rnacentral:lncRNA from 1 species
UUUUUUUUUUGUUUACUUCUCUCUAUCUCUUUCUUCGUACUAUUUAUUGCAUUUGCCAAGGAGUGACCUCUUCCAAUGAAAUGGUGCUUAGAUGAGGUGCUAUGGGAAUUAAAUGGCUUAGCAACGCAAGUCCCCAAUGCAUAGGUGCUUAGUUUUUUGUUGCUAAGUUUGCUUCAUCUAGGUACACGCACUUAUCGCCGUUUCUUCCUGGGGUCACCAAACUAGUCUCUCUCUUCUUAAUUAACUUGCCACAUCAGACUUUAUGCCUAUGUGGCAGGCUUAGCACAUGUAGGAUCAAGUACAAUAGUGGGCUAUAAGCCCGCUUUACAUGGCAUUUUUGCAUAUGUGGGGGAAAGAGGCAAGGAAAAAGUGGAGGAGUGGGCUCUCAAGCAAGAGCCAGCCUCUACAUGGUGGAGCAUCCGGAGAGGCACCUGUAUGGAGCUGGUCAGGAAUCGGGAGACUCAAGCCGGUCGUAGCACCGCAGUUAAAAUGAUAAUGGCAAGUCAAAUCACCAGGCCCCACCUGUCCAGCAGUAACUCACUGUCAAAUCACACAGCCCUACGUUUGCAGCAGCCUACUCCCUCUUCUUCUCGCGUCUCUGUCGAACCGACUAAGCGGAACUGCCCCGCCUACCGCGCGGGAAAAGCCCCGCCCUCAACUUUUAAAUAGUACAGUAUACUAAUUUUGUAUCCAUGGAUUGCGCCAUGGAGCAAAGCCUCAAGAAAACGGCGGUACACAUGUACGGAGUAUACAACACGCCCGUCGCGUUCGCGUCGCACCCCAAACGGUCGGUCAGUCUGGCACGCCGCUCUAUGAAUGGAACGCGCGUCAUAUUGCGUUUGCACACACAUGUGGGACCACAAUUGAGAACCGACCAUAGGCACACUCCCCGGCCCCGCAAGUCGGGUGAGUUAAUAGAAGUACAUACGUUGGUACCUGGACGAUCCCUGCAAGACACGGAAGAUCAGUUCAUCCAUGCAUAUGACCAGACUCCAGCAGACAUGCCUGGAUUGGCUAUUGUCUACAAAUCGUGCAGGCUGUCUUGUACAGGGCUGUAGUUCUGGUGAGAAAUCUAAAAAAAGGUUUCUUGUCAUCUCGCAAAAUUAGGUGUCAUGUGCUUCGGAUCACUGCGAGGGUUAAACAGUGACAACUGAGUUGGGCUAGUCAUUGGGGGCACAUGCACGAAGACUACUCGGCUGCCAUCUAGGUCAAGCCGGCUAUGUUAAUUAGGACAUCUAUCGACGAACCCCUUUUCUACGAGUUUAUCUUUAAUUUGAGCUUUGGUCCUCGUCUAGUUUGUCCAUCGGGAUUCAUCUUGUCUCCUUUGGGCAGUGAGGUUAUGAUUUCUUGUCAUGUGGCAUUUUUUUCGUGUUAUAUGUUAUAAUCCGGUGCUUCAGAUCAAAAUGAUGACAACUGCGCCUCCGGAGCAUGUGCAUGAAGACUUCUCGACAGUCAUUGCCGAGGUCAAGCCGGCUCCGGCCGGUAGACAAAAGAAAACUAGUACUCCACUAUAUAGCAGGAGCCUCCGCGCUUGCUUGCUAGUGUUGCUCUCUUCACACUAUCUCGUCCUCUCCAGAUCUAAACACGACAGCGGUGGCCACUCUCUCUCUCUCUCUCUCUCUCUACUCACCGCUGGUCACAGAUCCAGCCGGAUCCUCUCCGCUGGGGAAGGUGAGAAGGUGCAACGUUCACGCAGUCGUCCUCGGCGAUGGCUCUUACCCACUGUCGGCGCGUCCCGAUCAGCGUGCCUUGCCGUUCUCUCCCAAGCAUCGCUGGCGAGGGAGGGCCUCCCACCCCUUCUUCCUCGCUGCCGUAGUGUGGGCAGAUCUGGCGUCCCGCCGCCCACCUAGCGACAUCCCGGCGACCCUCAGGUAUAACUUCCUUCGAAACCGGCCUUGCUCUACUUCCUGAGCUCCUGACGUCGCUGCAUUUGUAUCUUUUACUAUUUCUCAGGCCCCCUCGUGUAGAUAGGAUCGAUCGGUUGUUCGAAAACCACCGAAUUUUUUACUAUUAAGAGGUAAAACUAGUUCAUGCACUCGAAUCUAGUAGUACUUGGUUCAAACAAGGAAGAAAGGGGGUGGGGUGGGGGAAGAUUUGUUACCUGAAUCUAGGACUUGGUUGAAAGAGGAAAUAAUGGGGGCGAAAAGUAGCAGAGACUGGCUAUCCAGCAUGUUCUCUAGGUCUAAUAGGGAAAUAAAGGGAACGCAGUACAAACUCAAUAUAAACCCGAUCUAUUGGUUGAAAAAGGAAAGAAAGUGGGGACUGGGGGACAAGUCAACAGAGUAAGUCCAGCACUAGAUUUGCUAGCCUCACACAGUAUAAGGUGGCUAUAUACCGAACAAAAAUGGGACCAACCCAGGUAUCCUCUUCUGAUGUUUGUUGCCCCGAGCCGCUCUUAUGUAAUGCCACUGGUAAAAUGUAGCAGUCGCACUGUUAAAAGUAAGGACACGUUAAACCAAUGUUGUUUUCAAUGUAAUGCCUCCAGUAAUAUGAACCAAUGGCACUUUUUUCAUGUCCUGCUAAAUUUCCCAUUAAGAUAAGUUGCUUCUUUUCGUUAGAGAUGCAAUUGUCCUGGUCCGCCUACUCUCCAGGAGCUUCAUGACCAACCUUGAUGUUGCUCAAUUUUAUUGCAACUAAUGAAGAAGAAGCUUUGUGGGUUUCAUUUUCUGAUGGAAAUGGAAUCGGGGCUGGAGCCGUUUUCUUAAAAAAAAGCUGCUAGCUCAUGGGACAUUGCUUCAUUUUAGGUGAACUGCACCAAAAGGUCCCAUGAUUGAAUCAUCCAUGUUGGUGACUGGUGUCAUCCCGUCUAUGAUGGCGUUGACUGCAGAUAUGGUUCCCAUCACGAGGUAUGUUCCUUUUUGGUCUGAUCGUUUGCCAAAGAUCCUGCAUGUUGAUCCUGCUCUUGUGCUACUGUUUUGGCACUGCCAUGAUAAAGCAGUAAUGUUAUUAUUUUACACCUUAAUCUAGUGGCACUAUUAAUUUGAGGCAAUGUUUUGGCACCGCUAGUGCCACUACUUUUUAUAUAUCGAAAGAGGGGGUUCCCUUUGAUUUCGUUAAAGAAACCCAACCAUAGAGAACCAUUAUCCGACAACAUCUCAGUGUAAACGGGCAGUUAUGCAACUACUACUAGAACGGACUGAGUACUAGCAGGAGGCAACUUCGCCACAUAAGCUAGGCAGGUAGGGGGACGCAGCACCAGCUCGACCAAGUUUGGAUUACAACCCAAAUGCUACCACAGAAACAUCAGGGGGAAGAUAGGGACUGAAAGAGCCAGCUUCAGCAUCCCAGUCUAAGCACCCCCGGCCUUCAUCCUUGCGACGCACGGUACACCUCGUUUGCCACCUGCUCGACCCUAGUGUCACUGAUAAAAUGAAGUAAUAAACAGUUAAAAUAGAGCGAGUGUCCUCUCUAUCAUUUCAUUUCCAAUGUAGAUAAAGAAAGUGCUUCUCUUUGUUAAUGUAUGUUUCAUCAACUAGUCCCAUUGUUAAUGUUUAAGCGUUUCUGCAAACUGGGGUGCUUAAUUUUAGUUGAUCUGCACAAAAAUAGAGAUUUGAAUGUCUCAAGGCCCCUCCUUGUACUACCGCUGUACACUGAUGUUCAUCACUGGCAGAAGGUGUAUCAAGGAGACUUGGGACGAUUUCCAGUAUGCGGCGUGGCGUACCGUAUGAGGCGUUGCAGGGCCCAUCUCGCCCACGCAGCAUGGCAUACUAUGAUACUAUCGCAAUAUUUUCUUCUAUUUAUUUUGCAUGUUUCAUCAACUAGUGCCACUAUAAUGUAAUCACGCUUUUUCAUUAUCUGUGCAAACACGGUUAUUCAGCUGCAUUUUGGUGGAACUGCACAAAUGUACGGAUGGAACCGGCAUAUAUGCAGAGUGCGAGGUGUGCCAAGUAAAAAUUACCGACACCAACCAUGCUCCAUGCACGCAUUGGCAUCCACCACCACCAGUGGGAUGUGUGGCGCUCUCUGUGGACGGAUCUUUCUCGGCAGCAAAUCCUCUAACCAAAUACUGGUAGCUUAUAUUGGCAGUUUUCUAGGGAGUACUCUUUUCUGAAAGAAGCACCAAUCUAUUUUUGUUUAUUUGUACACAGUGUCACAACUUUGACCCAAAGGUCCAGAGCUAUAUAAGGGUGAUUGGCGUAGUACUCGGAGACUGAUUGUAGCCAUGAUUUUCAUUAGCUGUCACAUUGAUUGUAAGCAUGAGCAGGUGGAAGAUUAGGUUAGUGCAAAGCUUACCUUAAACCCUACCGUCCUCGAAAUCUCCCACUCAUUGUCAAACCAAGUAAGGAUCCCCUUCAACCUGGCUAACUUUGCCUGGUCGCCGCCGGUGAUCUGCCUGAUUUGGUGCUAGCUUUGGAAAAUGGGAGGAGAGACGGUGGUCUUGCAAUAGAGAAGAGGGAGAGGCGAGACGGUGGUUUUGGAAUGGAAAUGAUGGAGAGGAGAGGAGGUGGUUUUUCAAUGGAGAAGAGGGAGAGGCGACACGGUGGUUUUGGAAUGGAGAUGAUGGAGAGGAGAUGAGGUGGUUUUGCAAUGGAGAAGAGGGAGAGGAACGUGCGGCAGCGAUUUAGGAUUGGACGAGAGGGCCGGCUCGCUGUGACUGGAUCAAAAUCAAAAUCAAUUUACCCUUCAAUUAAGAAAGCGACCCCACAUUAACUAGUCUCCCUUUUAUUCUGGGUCAUAAUUGACCAUGAUUUUCGCAAAUAAAAUAUAUGUUAUACGUUGCAAAAAUAAUAUAAUUUGAAAGUACAUUCAGAUACGAACCAAACAAUACAAUUUUUGGUGACAUGCAUUCACAUUUUGCUUGUCAAAUACAGUACGUGGUCAAACUUUGACCCAAAAUACGCAAAACAAAAAAAUACUUCCAAGACCAGCGCCGCUCUUCCCCUCUUCUCCUCUUAAACCACCGCUGCUCCUCUCCUGUUCCAAUCUAAAUCCAGCGCCGCUCCUCUCCUCUUCCAUUUCAAAACCACCGCCCCUCCUCUCCUGUUCCAAUCCAAAACCAGCGUCGCUCCUCUCCCGUUCUAAACCAAAACCAGCGCUGCUCCUCUCCUCUUCCAUUCAAAAACCACCGCCGGCGAGUGAAGGUGAUGUGUAGAAGUAGAUCGAUGGAGGAGUACAACCGAUACGUGAGGAUCGCAGACGGCGACCCUGUGAAGCUAGCUAGGAUGUUGGAGAUACAGUCUUGGUUUGACAACAAGGACCAACUAGCGGCGACGGCGACAUCCAUGGCCAAAUAUCUGCAACAGAGCGAAAAGGCGGCGAUACUCCCGGAGGGAGUCGCGCGGGAGUACAUAGAGCUGCUCCUCUAGGCCAUGGAGAAAAUAGAUUCACCGAAUCCGAUCGUGAGGGAGCGGUGGUGGGAGUAUCGAUCCCAGAUGGAGCAUCCACCAGAGAUUGAAGGAUCGAGCAUCUAUAGGGUGCCGUUUGUGAGGGUGUCGUGCCAGAGCGAGCCGGUGGAGUCUUCGUCGACCGAACCCAACUGCAAGAGGAGAAAAAACAGUUGGCCCGACGACGCUUCCCCGCCAUCCUCUCUCUGGCCGUUCACAUUGUCUCACGGGGCGGCUGUCUGUCGCCGAGGAAUAGGAGGGAUUGCCCCCCCCCCAGACCAAUAGUCGGGCAGGUUUUGAAUUGUCAGGAGGAGCUUAGUGUUGUUAGUAUUUUCAGGUUGUGAAUUGUGUUUUGUGUUGUGUAUUUUGAGAGUACUUUCAGAUAUGAAUGUCUUUUGAAUUUCAGAUUUGCAGUAUUGAGCAUAUGAAGUAUUUUAUGAAUUCUAGAGAUCUAUUUUUAGCACUUAAAAAAUGUAGCUUCAUAGGAGUAUAAAAGUGCAGACAAUGUGAUUCUCAGAGAAGAAACUGCAUGUUUCAAUUUCAGAUAAGAAACUCCAAGUUCAGUUUCAGAUAAGAAACUGCAACUUUCAGAGGCAGAGCAUUUAUAUUAACACGGCCUUUUCAAAUAGGGUUAACAUCAUGCUGGAAGUUUUAUUCAUGGUCGAAACUGGAACUACCAGGCAGUUAACAUCAUGCUGAUCAACAUUCAUGCAUAGCACAUCUUCAUAUGAUGCACAGUCAAAAAGAUAUGCUAUUUUCAAUAUGCCCACACAAUGUCGAGUGUGCGAAAAACAGAGAAAACGAGGGACGAAGUUUUGGCAAGUGUUGGACGUGGUGUGCGUAGAUGACAAUUGGGACCCACAUGUCAAUAAUGCUAUACUGACAUUGGGGCCCACGGGUUUGUCAACAUAGUUACAUUUCUUUUAGGUGCUUCAACGUAGUUACUAUAGGAGAUAAAUUCACAACGCAGCCGGGGAGCUGGCAGGUAUCAUUUAUUAUCACUGGGGCAGCAAGUAUCAGCUGGGUUUUGGGCUGCCCCGUCUAGGCUUUCUUUUUUAACAUGUGCAGCCCACGACAUCGGCUGGGAGGUCCAUAGGCCUCUUUGUAUUUUCUUGAGGGCCGUCAUGUAUCGACCGGCCUAUGGACCUCCCAUUGGAGGUUUUAUUUUUCCUGAAACAUCGGCAGCCCAAUUUAUGUAUUUUUUUGAAGAAAACGCAGAGGUCUAUUCUAUUUUUCUAUAUAAGAAUAGGAACGCCUGGUCCAACUUAUGUUUCCCUUCUAACUAUAUUAUAUAUAUUUAAAUUAUUUUAUAUGUUAUUAUAUAUUAUUGUUAUUGUCAUCAUAUAUUUAACAGAUACUUACAUAUGUAAGAAAACAAUAUCCCACAUCUUAUUAACUUAUAAAAAUAAUUUCUUAACAAUAAAAUCCUGGAUUUUUUUGGCAACGAAAAUCCUGGUGAUUGUGUACAAAAGCUUGGUAAGAUUUAAGGACCAAUGUAAUAGUAAAUCACUUAUUAUUUAAAUAUAUAUAUAUAACAAAAUGUUGAGCCCCUCUUUAUUUUUUGAUAACAUUGCUGCACCCACCCCAACAUUAUAAUUAGAAUAAGCCCAGGAAAAUCGUGUAUUUCGAGAAAGUGCAAAUGGCAUGUAUUUUUUUAGGAAAAACAUAAAUGGGCCGCAUGGAUGCUACAUUAUUUGUUCACCCAGCCCAGCUAAUGGACUGUAAUUCAAAAAAAAAAGAGAUCAAAUUGACUGUAUAUUCUACCCCGCAAAAAAAAAGACCGUAAAUUCUGAAAAAUGGGUUGAAUACGUGCCACAUUUUUGGAGGCUGAAAUGUGGGCCAAUAGGUCGAAGCCAAUGCAAGUCGUUGUCAACUUAGUCAACAAAUGAUUCUGACAUCAUUAGCCGUUGGAUUUACAUCCAACGACCGGCAUCCAUCUUCAAUCUCUCGUCUUCUUCCUCCUGCGCCACCGGGACCACCUGCUCUCGCCUCCUGCUGCUAGCAGCUCUACUUAGCACGCUUCGCUGUGAAGCGCUACUCCACCAUUGGCCAGGCCAUCCCUCCACCCCUCCACACCUCAUGUUCUUCUCCAUCGACUGCCGAACCACACCGCACCAGAACCAGUUAACCCUCGCACACCUCUCCGUCUGCGACUCUACUUCCGCGCCUUCCCAUCUCCGGCACGUUGCUGUCCGGGGCCUCACCAUCGUCCACCACCUUGGAUGCGCUCGGCGUGGAGUGGUCAACGUGGUCAACGAACAACACCAUCGGAAGUAGACUGUGCGUGGAGAGGCAGAUCCAUGGCCGCACGCAAGGAAAUGCCUCCUUAUUACACGCAAAAUAAUGAUUCCUCCACCUAACAGCUGGGACCCACCGGAAGGGCCUCUGUAUUUCACAAAAAACGUUCCCACCGCUGACAAGUUGGACCCACCAGCUAUAUCUUCGCACGCAAGGAAGUGCCUCCUUAUUACGCACAAAAAAAUGAAUACCCCCUGCUAGCUGGGACCCACAAUAGUGGGAGGCUGACUUGUGGGCCAACUAAGUUGACGGGGACAGAGGGCUUUGUCAACUUAGUCAAUAUGAACGAUUCUAGCUCCAGUUACCGUACGAUGUCCAUCCAACGGCCGUAGUGCUUCUUCAACCUCUGGUCUUCUUGCUCCAGCCGCCCAAAGCAGUGCCGGUCAUGCCUCGUGCUCCUGCCUCCCGUGGCCGGCUGCGAUGCCGCGGAGGCCUCACCGCCCCCUACUACUCCCACCGCUGGCCAGGCCAUCCCUCUACUCACCCACACCCCCUGUUAUUCUACGGCGACGGCAGCCUCACACCGCAGCGAACCAGUGAACCCUCAUACUCCUCUACGCGUGGGCAUCCACUGCCGCGUCUUCCCAGGCUCCGCGUCGUCCCCUUCCUAGGCCUUGUCGUCAUCCACCGCCCUGGUGCUCUCGGCGCGGCGUGGUCAACCUGGUCAAGGAAGGCCUUCCAUCGGACGUGGACUAUACAUGGAGAGGCUGACAGCUGGGUCCACGGCCGCAGCAAGGAAGUGCCUCCUUAUUACACGGAAAAUAAUGAUUCCUCCACCUGACAGCAGGGACCCACUGGACGGGCAACCGUAUUUCACGAAAAAAAUGUUUCCCCCCUGACUGCUGGGACCUACCAGCGACAUCUCCGCACGCAAGGAAGUGCGUCCGGGCAAAAAAAUGAUUCGCCCCCCUGACUGCUGGGACCCACUAGCUACAUCUUCACACACAAGGAAGUGCCUGACAGUCGGGACCCACCUGGUCGAAGCGUACGUAGCGUUGUCAUUUUGGUUGCGAACGUGUACGUACAUACUGGUCGAUAUAGAGGCGCGCAUGUGUUGUAGCAGAGGCGCGCACGUAGCAUGUACACGUACGUACAGCGGCCAGGGUGCAAGAAAGUAAAUACGGCCACGUACGUACAUACGGGCGGGGUCUCGAACGCCUACUCGCGUGUACGUACGGCCCGGGCUCGUGUACAUGGCUGGGUCGGAACGGAGAAACAGCGUCGUCGUCGUGUUCAUGGGGAGACAACCGGCUGGGUCAGAACGAAAUGCGUCGUCAUGUUCAUCGGGAGGGCUUGGACGGAACAGCCGAUGGAAACGAGGCCUUGCGUACCGCAGAACGGAGGAAACGGCCUUGUGUUCGACCGGCCACAUUCGAAAUGGGAUCCGGUUCAUCGGGAGGGGUCUGGCGUACCGCAAAACGGAGGAAACGGACCUCCUACGGUCGAAACGGGGGUCAUGUUGAUCGGGAGGGGUGUGGCGUACCGCAAAACGGAGGAAACGGACCUCCUACGGUCGAAACGGGGGUCAUGUUGAUCGGGAGGGGUGUGGCGUACCGCAAAACGGAGGAAACGGACUUGUGUUGGAGCGCUACGGUCGAAACGGGGGUCCUGUUCAUCAGGAGGGGUGUGGCGUACCGCAAAAUGGGACUCCACGGGAUACUGUUCAUCUCCACCGUCGACCCCCUCCAGCCUCCACGGGCUACUGUUCAUUCAUCGUCGACCUCCUCUAGCCUCCACCUGCGACUGUUCAUCCACGGGCUCCUAUUCAUCCAGCCUCCACCGCGCGCUACUCCACCGGCUACUGUUCAACCAGCCCUCUCCACGGGAUACUGUUCAACCACCCCUCCACGGGCUACUGUUCAUCCAGCCCUCCAUCGUCUACUGUUCAUCCAUCCCUCCACGGGGUGGUCCUAUUCAUCCAGCCCUCCACGGGGUCCUGUUCAUCCAGCCCCAACCGGCUCGAUCGAUCGGGGUCCUGUUCAUCCAGCGGCAACACCACGGGGUCCUGUUCACCCACCCCCACCGGGAACUGUUCAUCCAAACCCCCCAGCAACGCUCACUAUUCAUCCAGAGGCAACACCACGGGGUCCUGUUCAUCCACCCCCACCGGGAACUGUUCAUCCAACCCCCCUAGCAACGCUCACUGUUCAUCCAGAGGCAGCAUCGAUCGGCUUCAGUUAGCAGCAGUAGCGAAGGAAUCGCUCGAUCGGGUUCAAUUAACAGCCAUCGAUCAAUCGCUCGGGAUCAGUAACACGUAGACUGCAGUGCAAUCACUCGGGUUCAGUUAGAGCCCAAUGCCUCGCACCCACGCGCGUGCAUGUACGAGAGAAAUGCGCAUCGCUCGGCCCCGACCACCCACCGUAACCGGGAACACCCCGAUAUUUUCCUCGCCCUUGCUUCUACCACGGUUUUUUCCGUCAUGGACGGCCCAAAGAAUGUCAUGCAGCUGCGUCUCCGGCCCGCCCAGGACGAAAAGCCCAUUUUCUGUCAUGAUUUUCUGUCAUAGAAGUAGGACCCCCACCACAUCUAUGAUCAUACCGGGUUUUAUCACAAUUAUCGUCAUAGAAGUGUCAUAAGUACGACAGAAAAAAAUUCGUUCGGCCCAAAAUGUCACGGAUGUGUCUUUUUUUUAGUGCAAGUAGCUAAGAUGAUUCUGAAAGUCAGCCUUGUAAUUGAUUGAAGACCUUGAUCUGAGGAGUCUCAUAAUCCAAGGAGCAUAAGGCUUCAACUCAAAAUGUGACAGUGCAACAUUUGCCAGAGUCCUCAUGAAGAAAUCAUGGUAGUUGACAGGAACGCCAUGGAUGAUGUUGAAUACCAAAUUCUUCAUGAUGCCAACGACUUCUUCUUCAUUAGAGUCGUGACCUUUGAUAGGACUCAGGUUCUUGGUCAGAAUGCGAUAGAGAGUCCUCGGCACAAACAGCAAUUCCUUCACGAGGAAUUUGUCAGAUGUGGGGUUCCGGCAAAACCCUUAAGGUUCGAACAAUGGGGUGCGCGCGAAGAUCUACUCCCUACCGAAACACGCCCACAACCUCGCCGCGAUUCUAAGCUAGCACGAUGAAUGGCACAAGAGACACGAGGUUUAUACUGGUUCGGGCCACCAUUGUGGUGUAAUACCCUAAUCCAGUGUGUGGUGUGGUGGAUUGCCUCUUGGGCUGAUGAUGAACAGUAUAGAGGAAGAACUGCCUCGCGAGGGGUGUUCUUGUGCUUGGUGGAUGUGUGGGUGAUCUGAAUCAGUUGGCUCCGGAUGAGAUGGGAUCCAUCCCCUUCUACUAUGGUGGCUAGCCCUAUUUAUAGAGGCCCUGGUCCUCUUCCCAAAUAUUGAGCGGGAAGGGAGCCAACAAUGGCCAUUUUGAAAGGGGACAGCUAGUACAAGCUAUCCUGACUAAACGUGGUCUUCGACUGCCAAAGGCACUGGAGAUGACGCCGUCUUGGGCUCCACGGUGACCUCUGUCUUGCUGCUCUGCUGGUCUUGGUCUUGUUGCACCGAUAUGGAAACCUUUGCUUGAUGCCUUGGUACUCCGCGCCUGCGCUUGCCCCCUUUGCACCAAAGAGGAAACGAGGACACUGCGCAGGCUGGCGCCCGCCUGGCGCCUGCCUGGUCCUGAUCGUCAUGGCUUGCGUCAUGAGCACCUCACGAGGUACCCCUUGCCUUGAUCUCUCCGCCUCCUCGCGAGCCUGCCUGGUGAGGCCGCCCCUGGGGAAGCCUUGUGUCGUCCGCCCCGCGAGGCUUGGCCCCUCGCGAGGGUCUUGAGCUUGGGUUGAUGAAGACGGGCCGUACUGGGCCGCUGGUGAGCCACGCUGCAGGCCGCAGGCAGGCAAGUGCGAAGCGCCGUGGGCCCCCAAUAGCAUGCGGCCUUGGUCGCCACAUGGCGACUUGACUAGACGUGGGUGUCUCCGCUUCCCCGCUGCCUCGGCAACUGCCCGAUUUGAUGAGUCCCUGCUGCAUGCAAAAAGAGUCAUCAUUACCUGCAAUCGUGGAGGUCGACGGUUGGCCUCCCUUGGACUAUAAGUACGGAGAGGCGAGAGCCCCCGUUGCUCAUCUCUUCUUGCUCCGCCUGCUUCUUCCUCUCUGCUCCGCCUCCAUUCUCGACGCCGAUGGCACCGAUCCGCCGGUUCUCAGCCGACGAGAAAGGAAAGGCCCCCCAGGAGGGGCCUGGCCCACUCCCGCCAAAGAAACGGUCGGUCCAGUGCCGUCGCGACAAGGUUGCGAGGCCGGAGAUGAUGAGGCCUUGGUACGAGUGGCCACCCCCUGGGUUUCCGCUGCCCCUGUACGCCCGGGCCGAGGGCCCUGGAGAAGGAGAUGGCGAGCGUCGCCGCCCGUGCCGCAGGCGAGGCCGACGAGCCACGGCGGCGCGCGUCGUUGCUCCUGGGGUCCAUGCCACGAACUCCUCUCGCGAGCUCGUGCUUCACGCCGCGAUGCCUCCAAGCACCUGGAUCCGCGUCCCUUCAUUCUUCGCCUUCGAGAUGCCGCCGAGGGGGCCUCUCGAGCUUUGGCUGCAACACACCGACUGCGGUGCUCCGGCGGCCGGAGCGGAGGUUGAAGUCGUCGCUCCGCGCAAGGUCUUCAUGACCCAAGGCUGGGGCGAGGUCGCCCGGGUCUGCCGAACGAGGGGUGCCCUCGUGAUUCAUUUCGAAUACGAUGGCGCCUCCUUGAUGCUCUUCAAGGUCUUCGACGCAGAAGGCCACCGCCUGGAGUGCUGCCCCAGGGGAGGCAGCCGAGACAUCAAUGUGGCGGGGGCCAGGCCUGCCACCCGCCUCCCCUAUGGCUCCUCUGGCAGCAGCGGCGAUACUUGGGAGUCCAGCGACUCUCCCGAGCUCCUCGCGACUCCAGAGACGAGCGACGACAGCUACGUGCCCCCAAGCUCGCGCUGCGCCCGGAGCAAGGCGGUUGCAUCAGGCCGCCGGCGCAGCUGAUCUGGAUGAGGUUGGCGCCGGCCUCUCAUGGCCCACUGUUGAUGAUGGCGUCAUCCAUGGAGGCACGUGUAGUUAGGGCUCCUUAGGAUUUUCGUCUUUUGUUCCCUGCGAGGAAUCGAGAAAACACCCCGUGGGGGCAUGUAAAGGAUCCACGAUGUAUCUUGUUGAUAUUAUCCUUAUUAUGAAGCAGUGCGAAUGCUUGUCCUGUCUCGGCUUGGUUCCCCCUUACUAACCUCGCGACGACUCGGGGCUCUACGCUGACAGGUCCCGGUCCCCAGGCAGGCUUUAUCCAUCGCUGGUAUGCCAGGUCGCGAUGCCGUGGUCAAGGCCAGGAGGUGAGCGGCCUGAGGUCCAGUAAGAGCCCACGAGGCGCGAUGCUCGGGAGGUCCCCUUUAGCGCACAAGCAGCCGCCAAAAGGUGAGAAAGGAAGGCAGCGUCGCCAUCACAGAGCCGCAUUAUCUGUGUCGCAUCAAUUGACCAUUCUAGGUGCGAAACUUAUCUCAAGAACAUGGAGUCGCUCCUUCGCGUCACGCCAGACAUGUACAUCGGCGGCUGGGAUGUAGCUGGGUUAGGCCCUCGCGAGCUUCCUCUCUCUUCCCCACACUCCCCUUUGUGCUCUACGUCCUCAGGUCCCGGCCCUUGAGCAAGCUCAGCCGCCGCUGGUAUGCCAGGUCGCGAUGCCUGGACAAGGCCAGGGGUGAGGGCUGGAGAGCCAGUAAGAGCUCCUGAGUCGCGAUGCUCAGGAGCCCCCCUUUUAACACGCAAGCGGAUCGAGUGGGAAGGAGAGAGAGCUCGUGGUACCACCCGCUUCAGACCUCAGGGGGUUCCUGCCAGGUGACAAGAGAAAAAGCACGGGUUGCCAUUAUGAUUGCCGACCGGCCAUUGGUUGCUUCGAGAGAGUGGUGAGGGCACUGAGGGCCUGGUGAGGUGACGCUUGCGGGGCUGCCGCGGGCCAGAGCUCGACCGCUCAGAUUUGUCGACGUUGCAGGGACAGACCCAUGCGCAAGCGCCGUGCCAGAGUAAGCAGCUCCAAAGGUAGGUGUCAAUCGAACAGGCGAUAAGCACAGGCAGGUUAGGCAUGAAGGGCAAAUCAGCUUAGAUAAACGCGAAAAGGAUACAUGCCACUGGGCCAGGCCCGAGCGGCUUGGGGAUGUUGCAGCCCGAGGGGCGCCCCCAGCAAGGUAAAUUGAAGACAUAAGCAAAGGGAUACACGCCACAGGGACGGACCCACGCGGCCUGGGAAUGAUGCAGCCCUGAGGGCGCUCCCAGCUGAAAUGAACUCGAGAGAUGUCACCUGGUACCGUUGUAGAGGGGGUGUUGGGGUAGCAGAAGAUGCGCAGUGAAGAGGCCGAUCCUCAUGAGCCACCGGAGCCCUGAGCCUCGGGAGGCUCUGGGGGCCCAGGCGGUUCCUUGAGGACCACCUCCAUCUCCGCUAGGACCUCGUGACUCCUGGCCUCCUGAGCCGCCAAGACGCUCCACAGAUGGCGCUGAUGAGUAGCAGCCGCGUUCGGCAGGCCGAAAAGCAUGCGAACAUAGUUGUGUGGCGAACCCUCGCAACGUCCCACGCGCGAGGGCCAAAAGCGCUCCUGAGUCGUGGCUCGGUUGAGCCCUGGGUAGUCGACACAGACGCAUAGCCCGCCAUCCUCGCCUUGAUGGGGAGCUACGCCAGGCAAACGGCAAUCGCCGCGCAUGGCUCUUGCUUCCUGAAGCUCCUGAGUGGUCUUGGUGAUGAACUCCUGAGGGUUGGGCUUUCCAUGCCCUGAGACUUCCUGAGGGAAACAUGUUGUGAACACGCCUUCAAGUGGUGCCCGAGCGCCUCCCUCGUGAUCUUGGCAAAGUCUGAGGCCCUCCAGAAGAGAGCCCCCGAGCCCUGCCCAGGGAGGGCGACGGGCGCGCCUUCUUAUGCGAUGGAGGGAGGCGCCCCUUGCACGGGCGCGGAUCCUGAUGCAGCACCACCUGAGAUGCCAACUUCCUGAGGCCUGGAGCUGGGCGAUGUCUUCUUCUUCUUGGGGACUGCCUCAGGAUGGUUCUUGCCCAUGCUGUCCGGGUCCUCGAUUGAUGCAGCUUGGAAGGCGUGCUCAAGGGAGCACACCGCAUCUCUCUCUUCACAGGGGACCGUGAUGAUCCCGCCGCUUCCUGACAUCUUGAGGACAUUGUAGCCAUGGUGGGUCACCGCCAUGAACUUGGCUAGGGCUGGAUACCCGAGGAUGGCAUUGUAUGGCAGGCGAAUGUGGGCGACGUCGAAGUCGAUGAGCUCGGUGUGGUAGUUGUCGCGCUGCCCGAACGUGACAGGGAGGCGGACCUGCCCUAUCGGGGUGGUGGAGCCGUCAGUGACUCCUGAGAAAGGCUUGGUAGGCUGAAGUUGAUCAUAUGGCACUUGAAGCUUGUUGAACGUCUCAACGGACAGAAUGUUGAGCCCUGCGCCGCUAUCGAUAAGGGUCCUGGUAACUUGCACGUUGCUGAUGACCGGGGAGCAAAGCAUCGGGAGGACGCCAGUGGUAGCCGCACACUUGAGUUGACCUGCUGAGCUGAACGUGAUGGCGUACUUGGACCACCUGAGAGGGCGCAUGGCCUCAAGCUUGGGGAGGACUGCGUUCACCUCACGAGCAAACUGCUUGAAGAUGCACUGAGAAGCUGGGGCCUAGGCACCGCCCAGGAUGCAAGCGAUAGCACGCGGUUCCUGGAAGCCCCCAGCCCCCUCGUCCUGGUGGUGGUCGUCAUUCCUUCUUGGCAGUGGCGGCAGAGGAGGAAGGCCUGCGUUGCCCUGCGGGCGGUCCUCGCGAGGCUGAUCCCUCCGGGCUCCCUCGCGAGGCUGGUCCUGCCAGCGAUCCUCGUGAGGUCGGUCACACCACUCCUGGCGACGGCCUCGGUCGUCCCAUCAUCCUCCGCCUCUUCCUCCUCCUCGGCCGUAGCCCCGGUCGUUGCGCUCGGGGCGUCGACCGACGCGUCCUUCUCGAACGGCCCUGAGCUCUUGGCAUUCGUUGGUGUUCUGGGUGUAGAGGUUGUGGUAGGCACAGAAUCAGUUGCCCUUGGACGACUCCGGCUGGUCCCUGCCGCGCUUCAUGUCUGGCUCUGCUGCGAGCACGGCUGCUCCUUUGCGCUUCACGUCCUUGGCCUUGGCCUUCUUCUCUUCUGGGUCAGUAGCUGGAAGCUCGAGGAGGGAGAGGCAUCCUUCCUCAGCCCUUGCGCACUUGGUCGCUAGGUUGAACAGCUCCUGAGAUGUGCACAAGUCCUCGUGGAUGGCGAGCUCCUCCUUCAUCUUGACGUCGCGGACGCCAUCAGAAAACGCUGAGAUGAUGGCCUCGUCCGUCACCUUGGGGAUCUUGAGGCGAGCGCAAUUGAAGCGCUGGAUGUACUUCUGCAGGGUCUCCCCAGGCUGCUGCUUGAUGUGGCGCAGGUCACCCGCGGCUGGGGGGUGGUCGCGAGUGCCCUGGAAGUUGGCGAUGAAGCGGCUGUGCAUCUCGUCCCAAGAGGAGAUCGAGCCAGGAGGCAGGUUUAGGAGCCAGGUGCGGGCACCGUCCUUGAGCGCCAUGGGAAACCAGUUUGACAUGACCUUUUCGUCUCCGUUGGCCGCCUCGAUACCUAGCUCGUAGAGCCGCAGGAACACCGCAGGGUCGGCAGUACCGUCGUAGCGGGGAGGCAGGUCCGGCUUGAACUUGCCGGGCCAGACGACGCUACGCAGCUCGGUGGUGAACGCGCGGCAACCUGCCUUGGUCACCGGAGCCCUUUGCUGAUGCAGAACCUGCUCUUGGUUGUUCCCGCGCACCGCCGCCAGGGGUAGCACGGGGUCUUGACGCGCUGGUGCAGGGAUGCGGUCUUGUCACGCUGGUGCAGGGAGCACGUGAGCGCCUUCUUGAGGCUGAGGGAUUUCUUGGCAACUUCUUUCUUGCUGCGCGGGCACUGGACGCAGCGGGUCGCGUUCGGGGGCCGCGCGCCUUGGAGCCAGAGCGCCUUCUUGGGGAGGAGGUGGCGCUGGCGCUCCCUAAGUUGCGUCGCCCACGCACGACGGAGGACGAGGCAGCGAGAGGGACGGCACGGGAGAGCCCCCUGCGGCACUGACGAGCUCGGUGAUGCGAGCGAGCCAUUCUUCGUAGAGGUCGUCGACGGGGCGGUAGUGCAGGAGCUCACGUGCCAGGAGCAACGCGGCCUGCGCGACGAGCGUGAGACGACGAACCAGCUGGGGUCAGCGACGGAGUGGCGGUGCGGCCUCCCCGCCGCACCGAGGGGUGCAGCGAAGAUGCUUGCUGCUCGUUCCCCACCGGGCCGGUGGCGGCGUUGGCGGCAGGCGACGGAGAACGACGAGGAGGCCCACCAACGGGGGCCAUCUGGGCGACGCGGGCGGCGAGAGCAGCCCGGCGCUCGGCGAGCGUCUGCCAUGGAUGCGACGAAGCGAUGGGACGUAGAUCAGCGGAAAAGAUUUUGGCGCACCCCUACCUGGUGCGCCAAAUGUCGGAUGUGGGGUUCCAGCAAAACCCUUAAGUUUCGAACACUGGGGUGCGCGCGAAGAUCUACUCCCUACCGAAACACGCCCACAACCUCACCGCGAUUCUAAGCUAGCACGAUGAACGGCACAAGAGACACGAGGUUUAUACUGGUUCGGGCCACCGUUGUGGUGUAAUACCCUAAUCUAGUGUGUGGUGUGGUGGAUUGCCUCUUGGGCUGAUGAUGAACAGUACAGAGGAAGAACUGCCUCACGAGGGGUGUUCUUGUGCUUGGUGGAUGUGUGGGUGAUCUGAAUCAGUUGGCUCCGGAUGAGAUGGGAUCCAUCCCCUUCUACUGUGGUGGCUAGCCCUAUUUAUAGAGGCCCUGGUCCUCUUCCCAAAUAUUGAGCGGGAAGGGAGCCAACAACGGCCAUUUUGAAAGGGGACACCUAGUACAAGCUAUCCUGACUAAAGGUGGUCUUCGACUACCAAAGGCACUGGCGAUGACGCCGUCUUGGGCUCCAUGGUGACCUCCGUCCUGCCGCUCUGCUGGUCUUGGUCUUGUUGCACCUAUAUGGAAACCUUUGCUUGAUGCCUUGGUACUCUGCGCCUGCGCUGGCCCCCUUUGCACCAAAGAGGAAACGAGGACACUACGCAGUCUGGCGCCCGCCUGGUCCUGAUCGUCAUGGCUUGCGUCAUGAGCACCUCGCGAGGUACCCCUUGCCUUGAUCUCUCCGCCUCCUCACGAGCCUGCCUGGUGAGGCCGCCCCUGGGGAGGCCUUGUGCCGUCCGCCCCGCGAGGCUUGGCCCCCCGCGAGGGUCUUGAGCUUGGGUUGAUGAAGACGGGCCGUACUGGGCCGCUGGUGAGCCAUGCUGCAGGCCGCAGGCAGACAAGUCUGGGGACCCCCGUUCCCAGAACACCGACAGAAUUUAGUUCUGGGGGCUUGACCAGGCUUCAACGGCUUCAUCAAUACUUGCAUGUAAUGAUCAGAUAGUUCAGGUUCAUGGUAGAUGAGUUGCGCACCUUCAAGGGGAGGACUGACAGGUAGGGCAUGAAGCAAUUAAGAGGCCGGUGCUUUGAAGUGAGUGUUUUCUGUCAUCCAAUCCAGCACCCAUCAAUUCACAUCUUCAGCAUUGUCGGUGAUGUGUAGUGUGGCGUAGAACUAAAGAAUUAGUUCUUCAUUCCAGUCUACGAUGUCGGUGCAGAAGUUUAGCUGCCCAGCAUCAUGAAGAACACUAAGGACUGGGGUGAAGCAAGGCAGCGAUUCCAUGUCCACAUGAGGAAUAUGCUUAUGGUCAAAGAUCUUGUCCUUAUCAAAAAGCAGUGAAGAGUAGAAGUUGGCUUGGCUGGCUGUCCAGAAACGCUUCCUUCGAAGAUGAGCAGAGUCAUAUGGAGUGUAAUCGGUGAAGAACACAUGCUCGUGAAAGAAGUCAUCAGCCUUGAAUUUUUGCUUUUUGGAGACGGGAUUCUUCGGCUUGGGCUGAGGAGUAUCAGUCAAUGCCUUCACCGUUUCAGGAAUCACAAUCUCAGGAGCCACAGGCUGAGGAAUUUCAGUUUCUGCUUCAGUAGCAGCCUGGGUCUUCAUUUCUUCAACAACAUCAGCAUCACCACUAGUGGCUGGAAUUUCUUCAUGAAUGGAAGGUGUGUCUUGAGGUUCGUUAGAGCCCAUUUGAAUUUCUUCAGUCUGGACAAGGGACUGAGGAAUUUAUUGCAGUGGGGUGAACAAUGGUGAGUUGGGGUGCUGACUGUCCCAAUAGUCAUCGUUCAGCACCGGAGUGGAGCACCCAAUGUCCACAUCUUCUUCAUCAUUAAUUUCUUCAACGCCGGCCUCUUCAGCAGUGAACUGAGGCAUGGGCGAUGAGACCACUGGGGUUGAAGGGAUAUUAUCCACUUCAAUUUCUUCGUCCAACUGCUUUGUCGAAGUAGCAGAAGGGUCUUCUUCAUCAGAUUCAUUGGGAAUUUCAUAAUCUUCACCAAAGGGUACAAGCUCCUUUGAUGGCAUGCUAGAAACAGGAAUAGCAUCAAUUGGAUUCUCAAAAGAACUUGUCAGAGUCUUCAUCUUCUUUGGUGCUGAAGACUCUGAGGUGGCGGAUGCUUUCCUCUUCUUCACAGCUGCUUUCUCCGCAGCUUUGGUUUUCUUCACAUCUGAUGCAGAAGGUAGAAUGGGACUUGGCGUUGGUGCAGGAGGAGCAGAUGAAAUUGGUUCAUUUUCAUCAGGCACAACUGAUGCAGUAGCCCUGAUUGAUUCAGUUUCUUCAGGCACAGCAUUUGAUUCUUCAGCUGGUCUGGCUUGUUCUUCAGGCGCAACACUAGUGGUUGCCCUGGCAAUGUCAUCAGCGGCUGGAAUAGCUUCAUCAGCCCUGGUACUUUCAGUUUCUUCAGCAACCUGAUUUUCAUCAGCGGUGCUGGCAUGACCCUUCAGUUGGCUGGGCAGAUGCUUCAGCUUGAGGAGAUUCAUGUUGCGUUGGAGCUGCAACAUUUGAGGUGAAUCCUUCAGUCAGUUUCACAAAUCUGACUUUGGCUCCAAGCCAAUCUGUAUGGUAGACAUUGAAUUCAUCAUUGAGACAUUUGAUCUCAGACUGUAUGGCAACAAGUUCAUCAGUUGUCAUGUUGACAACAUUCUUCUUCAGAAAACGCUCCUUCUUGUACUGAGCUUUCUUCAGCUUCCUGGCCUUCUCAAAUUUCCAUUUUUCUUCACUGAUGAAGGCGGUCAGCAUGUGACUUUGGCUAGGAGUCAGCUUGAAGUCUGGUAUAGGUGUGUUUGGAUCCUUGUGCCAGAGAUCAAUGAAGUCAAGAAUCAGCUUUGGAUCCAACAUCAAUGGCACAUUUGUGCUUUUGGCUCUAGCGGCCCUUUGUUGUCUGUCUCUGAUGAUUUCUGCAAGUUCAUCAUCAUCACCUUCGUCAUCACUGGACGGUACAUGAAAGGCAACCUGCUUCUUGUGAGGACUUGGUCUAGUGCCUCGUCCAGCAGUGGCCUUUGUCUUCAGCAGAGUGGGGCCAGUUGAGGAUUGCAGAGGAGCUGAAGAACUUGCAGAGGCUCCUGAGGCAAUUGAGAUGCCUUUGGUCCUUUGACACGAGGCGAGAUGCAUAGGUGCAGAGGACUUUGCCGGAGGAGCUGAGGACUUUGGAGGAGCUGGAGCAGCAUGAGGAAUUUGUUGUGAGGGCUUUGCAGAACUAGGCCAUGAGGGCAUUUCUGAGGUGCUUGGCCGUGUGGGCAUUGAAGCAGAGGCACUGGGCUUAUGUGUGGGCUUCUUGGGCAUAGCCUUUUUGGGCUUGCUAGCAGAGGCCUCAGCAGUGGCAGCAGCAGCAGCAGCAGAGUCUUCAUUGAAUUUCCUCACUUCUUCUUUGGCCAUUUUGGCCAGUUUAGCUUGCCGUUCGCCCAUUCAUCAGGAUAGUCCUCACCGCGCUUGAGGAUGGUGGGAUCAGCUUCUUGGCCAGGUGCCAAUGGAGGUCUUGGGCAAGGAGGGUGAAGAGCGAAUUUCUUCAUGUACUUUGGAGUGACAUACCUGUACUCCCUCCAUUCACGUGCCCAUCUCCUCUCAAUAUUCUGAAUGUGCACUUUGCACUCAUUCUUUGUUUCCUCAGGGGGUGUGCAGUACCCUGCAUAGAUGUCUUCAGGGAUUUCAAAAGCAGUGUUGACUUCCAGUCUCUUGCCUCCCUUCUGAGGUUUCUUGCCAUCUAUCAUUUUCUUCAGCUGAGGAUUUUGAACAAUUGAGUUCUCUGACGAGGUAUGCAACUUUUCUUCGAGGAACGCUGCAAAUGAGUUAAGUUGAUGAGAACCUAGUGAUUCAGCAGCGGACAUGAGUACCUAUGAACAGAGUAUAGGUGCGAAGAAUUUGGAGAGGUCAUAUGCGUUCUCAGAAGUUUUUGCAAAAAGAACAAGUUUGAGGAAUUUGACCAGAUGUGUCUUGAGGAAUUUCACUAAGCGUUCUUUGACUUAGGUUCUAGAGUUGUAUAGAUUGAAAAUCCACACAAUUGAGGAAUCUUGAAGAAAAAUGUUACUUGGAGAAACAGAUCAAGAACGGAUGUUUGUGUGAGGUGUUUAGAGUGUGAAGUUGAAGAAUAAACACCUUUUGAAGAUUUUGUCGAAAUCAUAAGAAUCAACAAGGGCAGUAAAAGUAACUUCUAAUUACCCUUGAUGAAGAACACGAUGAACUAGGAAUAGUAGAUUGGAAGUUCAACUGACUGGAUCUUCCACGCCCUAACUUGGCAGAGGAAGACAGCUACGGCGGCGGCGGAGUGAAGAAAUCUGCGGCCGCCGCGAGUACGACGGCGGCGAGGUCGAGGCAGUGAAGCUCUUCCUCACCGGCGACGAUGGAAGUAGCGGCGGAGCUAGGUUUGAGAGCUUGAGCGAGGGAGUGAAGUCGAGCGGAGUAAAAACAGUCUGAGGAGGGUGAGGGGUAUAUAUAAGCGAGGUGAAAAACCGCUCGCCUAAGGAAAAUGGACGAACGUGCCCCUCAUCCUAGCGACAUGUGUCACCCACGUACAAAGCGAUGGCGAUCGUGUGAGAUCAUGGGUGAAUAGAUAAUUCUUAUCGUGGGAUGUGGAACGGUUUAGGCGGCAAGAGCCAAAAAUUUAGAUAAGACAAUUUUAAUGUUUCGUUCGCAAAUUCUUCAGCUUACAAGGACACAGUGAAGAUUUUGAACAGGUUUCAAGUAGAAUGCACAUGAAGAAUUUGUGAACAGAAUGGGUUGAGUAUAGCAUAGAGGGGGGAAGGGUCCGAUCACAUUCACUUAGCAGAAAAAGGCAACUUCAAGAAAUAGCAAUAAGUGAAUGUCGUAGAGGACAUAAACUCAUACAUAUAUAUAUAUAUAUAUAUGUGUGUAUAUAUAUAGUCAAUGAAGAAAAAUGACGGAGAGAGUAAAGACAAGGCAAAUUUGAAGAAUUUGAACAACUGAGGAAUUUCAAAAACUGAAGAAAAACUCAAAUUGAAGAUUUUUCAACUUUUGUUGGUGGCGUGACCCACCGUAUAAGAAUGAUUAUUUCAGACACCGCGUACAAUUGUCGUAGGGCUCUGAGAAUCAAAUUCUUGGUUAAUUUCUUCACACUUAGAGGGUUAGCCUUCAUUUAUUGAAGAAAAAUGUUACUUCGUGUGUUGCACAUCUAAGUCAUCAAUUUUUCAUAAGUGUUAGGAUGUGUGUCCUUUUCAAAGGACAUUCAAAGAUUCUAAGAUAUUUAGCUCACACCGCAACUUGCUAAAUCUCUUCUCAUCCAAGGGCUUUGUGAAGAUAUCGGCUAGCAGUUCUUCAGUCUUCACGUGCUCGACGGAGAUAUCGCCCUUCAACACAUGAUCAUGAAGAAAAUGAUGACGAAUUUGAAUGUGCUUUGUCUUCGAGUACUGAACUGGGUUGUGAGCAAUCUUGAUGGCACUCUCAUUGUCACAGUAGAGAGGCACAUUCUUCACAUUGAUGUCGUAGUCCUUGAGUGUUUGCUUCAUCCAUAGCAAUUGAGCACAGCACGAACCAACAGAAAUGUACUCAGCUUUAGCAGUUGACAGUGAUACGCAGUUCUGUUUCUUCGAAGACCAACAGACCAAGGAUCGUCCGAGGAAAUGGCAUGUGCCUGAUGUUGACUUGCGGUCCACACAAUCACUAGCAUAGUCAGAAUCUGAAUAUCCAAUGAGAUCAAAAGUCGAGCCCUUGGGAUACCAUAAUCCAAGUGUUGGAGUGUGAGCUAGAUAUUGAAGAAUAUACUUCACAGGCUUAUGGUGUGAUUCCUUCGGUGUACCUUGAAAACGGGCACACAUGCAAACACUAAGCAUAAUAUCUAGCCUAGAUGCACAUAAAUACAAUAAAGAGCCAAUCAUGGAGCGGUAUACCUUUUGAUCGAAGUCAAUACCAUUUUCAUCAGUGCAUAGAUGGUCAUUUGUGGGCAUAGGAAUUUUGACUCCUUUGCAAUCUUGCAUGCCGAAUUUUCUCAAUACAUCCUUGGGGUAUUUCUCCUGAGAUAUGAAGAUGACGUUUCAUUGUUGACGAAUUUGAAGACCUAAGAAGAAUUUCAAUUCUCCCAUCAUAGACAUUUGAUAUUCUUCACUCAUCUUAUAGGCAAAUUCAUCACUGUAACGUUGGUCAGUACAGCCAAAGAUGAUAUUAUCAACAUAUAUUUGGCACACGAAUAAUUCAUCAUCAUAAGUUUUGGUGAAAAGAGUUGGGUCAAGUGAACCGGGUUUGAAGCCUUUCUUCAUGAGGAAUUCCUUCAAAGUAUCAUACCACGCCCGAGGGGCCUGCUUGAGGCCAUAGAGGGCCUUAUUGAGUCUGAAGACUUUGUCAGGAUGCUUUGGAUCUUCAAAACUUGGGGGUUGAGCAACAUAUACUUCUUCCUCAAGCUUACCAUUUAGGAAUGCAUUUUUCACAUCCAUUUGAUAUAAUAUGAUAUUGUGAUGGUUAGCAUAAGCAAGUAAUAUGCGAAUAGCCUCAAGUCUAGCAACAGGUGCAAAAGUUUCAUCAAAGUCAAUUCCUUCAACCUGUGUGUAGCCUUGAGCUACCAGCCGUGCCUUAUUCCUCACCACAAGGCCAUUUUCAUCUUGCUUAUUCUGGUAGAUCCAUUUGGUGUCGAUGAUAUUGUGCUUGCGUGGGUCUGGUCGCUUGACAAGUUCCCACACAUUGUUGAGCUCGAACUUAUGUAAUUCCUCUUGCAUCGCUUGAAUCCACUCAGGCUCCAAAAAUGCGUCAUCUACCUUAGUGGGCUCUGUGUCGGCGUUCUGGGAACGGGGGUCCCCAGACUUGCCUGCAUGCGGCCUGCGACGUGGCUCAAGGGGUGGCCCAGUACGGCCCAUCUUCAUCAACCCAAGCUCAAGACCCUCGCGAGGGGCCAAACCUCGCGGUGCAGACGACGCAAGGCUUCCUUAGGGUCGGCCUCACCAGGCAGGCUCGCGAGGAGGCGGAGAGAUCAAGGCAGGGUUACCUCGCGAGGUGCUCAUGACACAAGCCAUGACGAUCAAGGCCAGGCGGGCGCCGGCCUGCACAGUGUCCUUGUUUCCUCUUUGGUGCAAAGGGGGCAAGCGCAGGCGCGGAGUACCGAGGCAUCAAGCAAAGGUUACCAUUCUGGUGCAACGAGACCAAGACCAGCAGAGCGGUAGGACGGAGGUCACUGUGGAGCCCAAGACGGCGUCAUCGCCAGUGCCUUUGGCAGUCAAAGACCACCUUUACUCAAGAUAACUUGUACUAGAUGUUCCCCUUCAAAAUGGCCCUUGUUGGCGCCCUUCCCGCUCAAUAUUUGGGAAGAGGACCAGGGCCUCUAUAUAUAGAGCUAGCCACCACAGUAGAGGGGGGUCGAAUCCUUCUCAAGUAGAACACACCACACCACCUCAAGAACACCCCUCGUGAGGCUGUUCUUCCUCUGUACUGUUCAUCAUCAGCCCCUGAGGCAAUCCACCACACCACACACUGGAUUAGGGUAUUACACCAAAACGGUGGCCCGAACUAGUAUAAACCUUGUGUCCCUGGCGUUGUUCAUCGUGUAGCUUAAGAUUCUCAGCGAGGCGUUCGGGCAUGGAUCGGUAGGGGAAAGAUCUCCGCGCGCACCCCAGAGUUCGAACCUUAAGGGUUUUGCCGAAACCCGAUAUCCGACAUUUGGCGCGCCAGGUAGGGGUGCGCCGAAAUCUUUCUUCCGUCGUCCCGCGUUCCGCCGCCUCGCCGCCUCCAUGUCCGGCGACAAGACCACCAACGCCGACCGCUGGGCGGCAUGGCCUGCCUAUGACGCACCGCCUGCCCAAGGUGCCCUCGACCCCGCGCCUCAGGCAGCCCGCGCUCCGCAAAACGCUGCGGGGCAUGGGCGACGUGGUGAAGCGCCGCUUGCCCUCACCCGGCGGCAUGUGAGGUCAGCAGCAAGGGCAUCAAACCACGUCGCGGCCAUGGCACCGCACACCCGACGGGAGCAGGUGAACAUGAAGGCUGCGCUCACGGUGGCUCGAGAACUGCUACGGUGCAGGCUCCAAGAAGGCGGCCAUGACAUGCUGCUGGAGCGCGUCGUUGAGCUCCUGGACGCCGCUGCUUCAGGGGUGCCCCCCUUCUGCGUCCAGCUUCCACCCCAGGCCCCGGGCGGAUCACACGGCGGGCCCAUAUGCACCCGCGCGCCCCCAGGCGUACCUCAAGGCUUCAUCAGCACCAGCUCGGCCAUCAGCGCUGGGCGACGAGCUGCACUAGCACCUCCUCUUGCAAGCGAGGGCAUGCACGUCGCUGCCUAUGGCCCGGGCGGGCCGCCGCCCUAUCAACCCCAAGACGGUGCUUCAAGCCAAGCCACAUGGAGCGUGGGGCACUACGGCGAGGCCUUUGGGGCGGCGCCCCCGGAGGCUUAUGUGCCCCACAUGGUGGAUCAAGGGUACGCGCUGGAAGAAGACCAUGGCUCGUUCCUCGGGUCAGGCUGGGAGGAAGAGACGCCAGAAGACGAGCCCUUUCAGGAGCCUCAGGGAAGCCUCGCUGGCCGAGCCGGCGGCAGUAGCUAUCGGGUACCGCUAAUUCCUCGAGAGCAAGCUUAUUCUAACCAUGGGUCACAGGAAGUCCAGGUCACCGCAGCGGAAGGAUGCCCCAGUGCGGCGGCCUCCCUCCCCUCAGGAGGAGGGCACUGGGGGCUGCAGGAGAGGGGCCGGGAGUCGGGCCCCUUCCCACGGCGCGCGGAGCAAGGUGUUCCUCAGAGGUAGGCCCUCUACCGGGGAGGUGCCGCAAGGCCUGCCCCCGGCAGAGGACCCGUGGUCGUCGGGGGAACCGUUGGCGUCCCCUUUUCCCCAUUGGCGUCGUCCUUGCUUUCUGGUCGCCGUCAAUGGUGGUCAAGGGUGGCGCAAGGCGGGGCCCUCAUCUGUCGAUAUGAAGCAAGGCCGGUACCUGUGAAGAAGGCCCAGUGCCUGUGAAGCUCGCCGCCCGUGACACUCUCACGUAAUAAUGAGUUGGGGCUGUACACGCCCCGGAGUCUCCGGAGAGCCGCCCUCGGGCCUCGGGGGCUCCCUCCCAUGCCCAGUGGCAGCACUUAGCUCCGCGCUGGUGAGAAGACGUCGAAGAGUAGACUAGGUGCCGGACGCGGCCUUUUGUUUUUGCUUCCUUUUGUGCUGCCGAACUUUCUCGCCUCGGAUUUAAGCUGAAGUUGGAUUUGUGUUUGCGUAUGUGGGGAGGGGUGAUCUGUCUUGCUCGCGUGCUUUCUCGUGUUCCGAUUUCCGCUCAAAUUGGAAUUCGCACUAGUUGCUUCCCCCUCGCGAGCCCUUCGCGGGCAGGACUGGGAUCAGCACGUGCGCGCAUGCCAUCCCGCGGCCGGCACUCGUUCUCGCGAGGCUCUCGCCACAUAGUCAACAGAUCCCCAGAGGACCCCCGAAGAAUCGCGACCCCGCAAGCCUACACAAGGCUCAUCCGGGCUAAGGUAAGCCGUAGCAACUAACUCAUCGCAGGGCACGUAACAUCAUGCAAGCACACAUUCAUCGUCGCUCCUAAAAGCACGUGGACAACAAUCUUUUUACACGAGGGGCUUCCCCUCCAAAAAUGCUCUCACAACCUUCGGGGCCACGCCCAAGUCUUUUUCUGCGCAGGAUAAACAGCAGGGGGAAUGCGAAAUCAGUCAGACAUAUCGCUCACCGUGUCCUCUGGGUCGCCUCCGAAGGCAUCACUGGCGCCGCUGCCACUGUCACUGACGCCGCCACCGCCGUCAUUGGCGCCACCUUCACCGCCAUUCACCACAUCACCUUCAUCUGCAGCAACCACCACCCCAUCAUCAUCAGAGGUGAAGGCCCGGACGAGUGCAUCAACAUUAUCCUCCACCCAUCGCGCCAGGUCGCCUUGGAUGGCCUCAGGCACCGGGGCGAUGGCAGCGUCGAAGUCAAAAUGAGGGUCGAUGUCCUGAAGAUGGCUGAAGACGCGGGAGAAUGCCCGUGCAAGAAGGCCACGUCUCCUCUCCUCAACAAGCUGGCAAGCCCUCUCAGAGCGACUCUCCAGAUGCGUCACCACAUCAGUGAAGAACCGGAGAUUACCAGCAUAGUUGGUCACAUGAGGCUCCUCAACGACUGCAUCACAGAUAUUGCCCAGGGCCGUGUUGGCCCUUUCCCUGAGCGUUCGGAGCAUAGGACCAUGCAUAUGCUCCAGCGUCUGCCGCUGGCGAAUCUCAUCUUCGUUCCGCCGCGCAACAGACUCGGCGUCAUCGACCCUCCGUUGGAGGAGGAGCAGCUCGGUGCAGGAGGAGGCCAGUUCAGCCUGCGCCGUGUCUAGGGCGGCUGCAGUAGCCUCGGUGCGCCGCGUUGCUUCGAUCAGCUUGGUCCUAAGAGCGGCAGUCCUGCCUUCAGCUUCGGCCUUGAUCAGCUCCAACCUCUGUUCGUACUCGCGCUCAAGACCCGCACGAGCUUCCGCCACGCGGCGGUCGAUCUCCUCCUGGAUUCGGGAAUCCCGCGCGCCAACAUCAUCCUCCGCCAGAGUAACUUGGCGCUCCCUCGUCUCCAGCCAUUCAAGAUCGAGGUUGCGCUCGGCAGCCUCCAGCGUCAGCACUUCUUCGCGCUUCCGGAGCUCCUCCUCUUCGACGGGUGUUCCCUUCAGUGACGCAAGCGCAGAUUGGCGCAGCUCCACUUGUUGCUCCAGGGAAUUGCACCAGGCCUGAAGUUCCCACGCCCGCUCCUCCGUGAUCUCGUGCCGUCGGUCUGCCUCUUGAGCUUCCUCAAUGGCUCGGGAGCAGGCCCUUCGCGAGGCCGCAAGAGGUGCUUCGGCCUUUGCAUUGUCAAGAUCACGUUGGUGGCGCGCAAGGCUGACGGCCACUUUCAACUUGCGUCGCUCCUCAACCAACCGCAAGCCUUCAGCUUCAAGACGCGCGUCUGCGUCAGCAAGCUCUCCGACGAGCGGGCCCAUCGCAUCCGUCGCCUUCCGAAGAAACUCUCGGCGGAUGGCGCUGCGCUCCCGCGCCCACUUGAGCACGUCGUCAACAUCGUCCUCCGCUGACGGCUUCGCCAGAGGGCCCUGGAGUGGUUCACCCCCUCUCGACAGGGGGCUGGGGGCUAGCGCCCCCACAAUCGCCGGACGGGCCCAGCGGGGGACCCAGCCCGGCGCUGACCCAUCCCCAGAAGAGGAGCCGAAGAUCGACUUCAACCACUCGCCAUCCAUGAUCAGGGGAGGAGCCCGGGGCAGGCUAGUUGUGCCCCGGGCAAGCUCGCGAAGGAAGGACGACGAGCGCACAGGCUCGAGGCGCACCGCAGAUCGGCCCGCCUCUCCAGCCGAACUCGCGUUGAGGGUAGUGCGCAGGCUCGCGACGCUCAAGGUCAGCGAUGAAGAUGGAGCCUGAGGAGGUGGCUCCUUGGCUGUCUCCGCAGGCUCGGCAAGAGGGAUCCUGAAAGGCCAAAGUCAGCGAAGGGAACAGAGAAUACGGAGUUACAAGACGGAGGAACUUACUCGUCCAUGGCAAGGUACUUCCGGUGCUUCAAUGGGCGGCAAGGGCGAUCGCCGCCACCCGAAGCCUCCUUCCUCAUGCGGAGGGCGUCGAAGUCUAUGCGGAACCAGCCCAAGCUCUUGACGUGAGGGCCGGCGCGCGACACGGACGAAGAAGCACCAAGGCGGCCUGGACCAGGGACGCCAGGCUGGGAAGAGCAAUCAAGUACCACCUCUUGGUGGUCAGUCGAGGCGUGGGGGCUUCGCCCCCGGGGGCCGCAGGUCGCGCUUCCUCAACAACUACCGCCUCAGGCCGUGUCUCGCAAGCUCCGGAGGACGACGCCUCGGGAGCCCCGCGCGACAUCAGCAUCCCAGCACUAGGUCCCCCAGCCCCUGGGGAUGCUUGCCUCCCUGCACCACCUCCUGAGGCAACAUCGACACGGGCAGCGGGGAGAGGAGCCACGGCAACUGGGUUCUUGUGGGGCCCCACGAGGCUAGCUGGGCACAACCCCCAUUCAUCAAAGCAGGGCAUCUGCCUCGCGAACUCGGCCUUGCUCGAGCAAAGAUACAGGAGGCCGCCCCCUUGCCGAAUGCCGCCCGGAGAAGGGUCAUCGGUCAAGACCUUCAGCACCUUCCUCAUCGUUUCAGGCGCAAGAUCCCACUCCUGAAGCCUCAUGCGAUCUUGAUGCCCGGUCAGGGUCCACAUCGGUCGAGAGUGGCGCUGAAGAGGGGCGAUGCGACACUGGAGGAACUCCUUCACCAUCUUAGGCGCCAUCACGCCAAGCGUCCUCAACCUCUCGAAUCAGCGCCAGAUGAAGGCAAGCUAGGGGCUUGUGAGCUUCUCGUAACCCCAGCCAAGAUUAGGGAUAGCAGGCAAUGUCGGGUGCGUGAGCAGGGGGCUGGGCACCCCGACAUCCACGUACAGCCACCGCUCCCGGAACCCACUCAUGGAAGGCGGAAGGCCAAAGUCGAUCCCCGAGGCAGCUGUCUCUGGCAUGGCCUGGAAGCUCACGCACCCCGAGCACUACAGGGAAUCGGUCAGGCGCAAGGAGAAGAAGUGGCGUAGGACGGCAACGGAAGGAGCAAUGCCCACCAUGGCUUCGCAGACAAAGGCGAAGGCAGCAAGAAGAGUGAUGGAUUGGGGAUCGAGAUGCAUCAUAUGGAUCUGGUAGUGGGAGAGCACCGCAUUGAAGAAGGCGGAGAAGGGAGGAACCAGGCCGGCCCACAGGGCGUCGGCAAAGAAUCGAACCUCCGUGACGAUCCUGUCGAAGGAGGCAUGGGACGCAGGCCAAGCUGUAGUCCUUCCGCACUCGUUGAAGCUGGAGGCGAGGGCAGAGCGGACCUUGUCCAAGGCUUCCGGAUUGAGUAUCAGCGACCGGCCGACGGCAGGUGCGAUUGCCGGAGGCGAGCUGGUCAAAGCCGCGGGCUUCUUCCCUUUCUCUCUUUUGGUUGGCGCCAUGGCAACAGAAGGAAGCAGAGCUCAAGUCUGAUUGGAGGUGGAAGUUGAGAUACGAGGAAGAAAGGGGGGAACCGAAAGCUCGCGGGUAGCAAGGAGGGAAUAACUGUGUACAGUUGCGUGGCCGCCUAGCCAGGCGUAUAUUGGGGGAGCGUGGGGAAGCGAAGACGCCCACGUCCAAUCAACUGCCACGCGGCGACCAAGGCCGUAGGCUAUUGGGGCCCGCGGCGUUCCGCACUUGCCGUUUCGCUUCGCUGCUAGGCCAAGCCCGAGCGUGCCUUGGGCCCGGGGGCUACUGUCGGCGUUCUGGGAAUGGGGGUCCCCAGACUUGCCUGCCUGCGGCCUGCGGCGUGGCUCAAGGGGUGGACCAGUACGGCCCAUCUUCAUCAACCCAAGCUCAAGACCCUCGUGAGGGACCAAGCCUCGUGGGGCGGACGACGCAAGGCUUCCCAGGGUCGGCCUCACCAGGCAGGCUCGCAAGGAGGCAGAGAGAUUAAGGCAGGGUUACUCGCGAGGUGCUCGUGAUGCAAGCCAUGACGAUCAAGGCCGGGCGGGCGCCAGGCGGGCGCCGGCCUGCGCAGUGUCCUUGUUUCCUCUUUGGUGCAAAGGGGGCAAGCGCAGGCGCGGAGUACCGAGGCAUCAAGCAAAGGUUACCAUUCUGGUGCAACGAGACCAAGACCAGCAGAGCGGCAGGACGGAGGUCACCGUGGAGCCCAAGACGGCGUCAUCGCCAGUGCCUUUGGCAGUCGAAGACCACCUUUAGUGAGGAUAACUUGUACUAGCUGUUCCCCUUCAAAAUGGCCGUUGUUGGCGCCCUUCCCGCUCAAUAUUUGGGAAGAGGACCACGGCCUCUAUAUAUAGAGCUAGCCACCACAAUAGAGGGGGGUCGAAUCCUUCUCAAGUAGAACACACCACACCACCUCAAGAACACCCCUCGCGAGGCUGUCCUUCCUGUGUACUGUUCAUCAUCAGCCCCCGAGGCAAUCCAACACACCACACACUGGAUUAGGGCAUUACACCACAACGGUGGCCCGAACCAGUAUAAACCUUGUGUCCCUUGCGUUGUUCAUCGUGUAGCUUAAGAUUCUCAGCGAGGCGUUCGAGCGUGGAUCGGUAGGGGGGAGAUCUCCGCGCGCACCCCAGAGUUCGAACCUUAAGGGUUCUGCCGAAACCCGAUAUCCGACACUCUGUGAUAGAGACGAAAGCAAAGUGCCCACAAAAGUUAGACAAAUGUGAAGCUGUUGAGCGUGUGAGAGGACCUGGUGCUCUGAUGCCGUUGAUGAUUCUCUCAAUCUGCACUUCAUUAGCAACGCGAGGAUGAGCUGGUUGACGACGAGGGAUUUGCUUAGCAUUUUCUUCAGAGCCAUUUUCUUUAGGUGCACCAGCAUGAUAUUCUUCACGUUCUGGAAUGACUUCUUCAUUAUAUUCUUCGGUAGGAAUGACAUCCUCAGUAGCCUUGAAAUUAAUGGAUUCCUCAGGUGGUAUUUCAUCUAGCACAGGAGGUAGGUGCUCUCUUUGCGAGCCAUUAGUUUCAUCGAACCGCACAUCUACAGUUUCAACAACCUUGUGGUGAUAGGUGUUGAAGACUCUAUAGGUGUGCGAGUCCUUUCCAUAACCAAGCAUAAAACCUUCAUGUGCUUUCGGUGCAAAUUUAGAAUUAUGAUGAGGAUCUCUAAUCCAACAUUUAGCACUGAAGACUUUGAAAUAACUCACAUUGGGUUUCUUGCCAGUGAGGAGUUCAUAUGAGGUCUUUCUGAAUAAUUAGUGAAGAUAUACCCUGUUGAUGAUGUGGCACGCGGUAUCAAUUGCCUCAGGCCAGAAGCAAGGAGGCGUCUUGUAUUCAUCAAGCAUAGUGCGAGCCAUCUCAACAAGAGUCCUGUUCUUGCGCUCCACGGUGCCAUUCUGCUGAGGAGUAUAAGGAGCAGAUAACUCAUGAGUAAUACCAAGUUCAUCUAGAUAAUCAUCAAGACCAGUAUUCUUGAACUCAGUUCCAUUGUCACUUCUGAUGUGCUUGAUCUUCACACCGAAGUUGGUUGAAGCCCUCGAGGAAAAUCAUUUGAAGACUUCCUGCUCUUCAGUUUUGUAAGUGAUGAUAUGUACCCAUGUAUAACGAGAAUAGUCAUCAACAAUGACAAAGCCAUAUAAGGAUGCAGCAUUAGUAAAUGUGGCAUAAUGAGUAGGGCCAAAGAGAUCCAUGUGAAGCAAUUCAAAUAGAGUGGUAGUCAUGAUGGUCUUCGAGGGAUGCUUGGCCUUGGUCAUCUUUCCAGCUUCACAAGCUCCACACAAAUGGUCCUUGAGGAAUUUGACACCCUCGAUGCCAAUGACAUGCUUCUUCUUCGCGAGCGUGUGCAAGUUCCUCAUGCCAGCAUGACCAAGUCGUCGAUGUCAUAGCCAUCAUUCUGAAGCUUUUGCAAGUAGACAUGUAGCAGGUUGUGGUCCUGUAGAGAAAUCAACAAUAUACAAAUCUCCUCUCCUAAAGCCUUCGAAGACUUUGGAAUUGUCAGCUUCCAUGAUCACAACACAACGGCACUUGCCAAAGACAACAACCAUAUCAAGAUCACAAAGCAUUGAGACAGACAUGAGGUUGAACCCUAAGGACUCAACAAGCAUGACUUUGUCCAUGUGUCGAUCCUUUGAGAUUGCAACCUUACCUAGACCCAAUACCUUGCUUUCGCCUUUGUCAGCGUAGGUGAUAUGCUUCAGAUGCGAUGGAGAUAAAGCAGUGUCUAUCAAUAGGCUCCUGUCACCAGUCAUGUGUUUUGUACAUCAACUGUCGAGGACCCACUUAGUGGCUUUGGGUUGAUCAUCCUGCAGAUGAGUUAGUGCAUCUUACGAACUCGUAUACUUCAUCAGUGAAGAAUAUAACAUCAAUUUCAUCAGAUCAAUUUCAUCAAGCGAUAGAACAGGUAAAGCAGUAUGAGGAUGUCGGUGUACAAAAGUAGGGGCACUCCUUUUUUACCCCUUUACUUGUGCACGGACAGUCGGAGCCGCGCCCACGGCCACACUGAGCAGGGCAGAGGAGGGAAGCCGAAGGCACAAGGCGACCAGAGGCAACGCCAAGACCAAAGAACACAAAAGAGCAAGAGGGCAAGGUGGACUCCCUCGGCAAGACCCUUGCCGGGGGAGCCUCCGCGGCCCCGGCAAGAGCCUUGCCGGGGCAACUUGCCCGAUGCUAGUAGAGCAGGCCACCCUUGACCCCGCGGGUUCCAACACCACCAACUAACUACAUUGGAACCAAGGCUCGGGAGGUGCCUCUGUGGUGGCAUGCAGAUCUUUGUCAAGAUCAUAAACACACAAGAUCACAUGAGGAUCAGAAGACGACGAUCCUCGGCGGGAUCCUAGCCUAGGAAAUCCAUGAGACCCACGGCAAGACCCUUGCCGAGGACGACCACAGUGUCGCGGCAAGACCCUUGUCGGGGCCCCGGCAAGGCCCUUGCCAAAGACACUUACGGGGCCGUGGCCAGGCCCGCGCCUGCCAAGGCUCCACCGCCGUCCCCAUGCAGCUGCCAGCUCAACCAGCUGAGCAGGCACCUGCGUGGCGACGAGCGGCCUCCAUGACCGACUCAGCAAGCACCUGCAUGGUGGCAUGCAGGUCUUCAUGAAGGCUCCACCACUGUGCCAGCCCAGCAGCCAGCCAACGUGGCGCUACAACGCCUCGUCAGCUCGGACGCGCGUCGCGGCCAGGCGAGGCGGCGAUAGCUGGGACGUGCUUCCUUGCCGUCCCCGAUAAAGCGAGAGGGACACGUCGGCAGCGCAUCAAAUGCGUUUGUCCGACGGUGCCAGAGGAUAGGCUCAUCCACUGUACACCUUUCCACCUCCUGUGUGGCACUGUGGCAACCCCUUUUUGCCUAUAAAAGGAGGCCCGAGGCGACCAGGAGAAGGAUUCAGAUCUUUUUGGCAAGUUGCACCCCGUAGCUAGCUCAAGAACACAAGAACACUCAAAUACAUCCACCAAAGAAGGACUAGGGUAUUACACAUCUUCGCGGCCCGAACCUGGGUAAACAAUCCGUGUGCUUCCUGUCAGACCCGCUCUUUGCACAACCUCGCGCUCGCCAACCGUAGAAGGGAUCCCAGUGAUUCCAUAGGUGUCGUUUCCACCGACAUCUUUCGCACGCCAGGUAGGGGAUGGCGAAGUUGUGAAAAUCGGGUCCGAUCGGAGCAGCGGCUUCAUCAUGGCCGUCGUUCCAAGGAAGAAGACGACCAAGCCUGACGGCACCAUCUGCAGAUGCAGUGGAUGCCCGUGCAACGACAGAAAAGCUAAGUCGUGUGAAACUUUAAGCAAUUUCUCUUUAUAUAUAAGGCUAUUGUCCUCGGAGGUUUUGCCCUAUGUAUGGAAAACCUGCACGCAAAGGGGCCCUUCCGCUAUUGGCAACGCCCUUGCUCUGUUUCGAGUCCUCUCAAUAGCUCGAGCGGCCACGUCGAGAACGGUAGGGUAGCCUUCCGCAAUUGGCAACGCUCUCGAUUCUGACUCGAGUCAAGCUCGACAGUUCAAGCGGCCGCGUUGAGGACAGUAAGGUGGCUCGCCUGGCAGCAAGCACACCCGGUAGGCCAUUGGGGAUCCGUCCUCAAGGCGCCGCGGCCUGGGUUUAUGCGCCGGCAAGCCUACCCGAUUAACGUAGGGUGAACAUACAAGGGAAGAUCAAACAUGAAGAUAGCAUGCAUAAUAUCAAAAGUGUUGCAGAGUUAUAUUACAUCAAUUGUGCCAUGGUUCUAACUAAAGACAGAAAUUUUCUUGGUCAUGAGCUUGCAGUGCCGAUGAAGAACGGGGUGCCUAGUCCCGACGCUGGCCCUCGACCCUCUGGAUUCCGUCGAUGCGGCUAGUGAUGGGCUUGAUACGCUCCUCGAGCGUCGCGAGCUCUCCAGCACGGCGUCGAAGUCGAGGUUGGGGUUCCAGUGCGCCACCUUGGUGAGAACCUUGGUCAUGGCACCCCGGCAAAGCCUCCGUGCCUCGUCGGCCAGCGAGGCCGCCCUGUUGGAGCGGAACAGCUCCAGGGCUCCGAGAACACCCUCGAAGAAUAGCAUCAGCUUGGCGUUGGGGCUCACGUUCGGCUCCAGGACGUACCUCACGUUUGGCAUCCCCAUGGUAGCUAGUUGCAUGGUGAUCCUGUCGGCAACUUCCUCGAGGCGGCUGAUCCAGCAUUUCUCGCCUUUCACGAAAUCCUCGUGGUUGGCGGUCUUGUUCUUCCGCAGCUGCCUCUCCUUCUCCAGAUUCUUGGUCAGGGUCUCCUCCCGGGCCUUGACCUCCGACAGCGUCCCCUCGAGACCCUCUAGCUUUUGCUUGAGGUCUUUGAUGGAGUUGUUGGCCUCGGAAAGCUGCCCAGCCUUGCCGAGGACUGCGCCAUGUGCCUCAACCAGAGCACCGUUGAGCGUGUCCUUCUACAGCUUCAGGACCUGGUCCUUCAACCCGUCCCGCUCCACCUCCAGCUCCUUCACCUUGCCGACGUGAACUAGAGCCUGGGCAUUGAGUGCCUCCCUGUGCCUCCGCUCCAGCUCCUGGGUCCGCUGCACGACGAGCUUCUCCACCUCUUCGUCCUUGCCGCGGAGCGUUGCAGCGAGCUUCUCCUCACGCACGGCAGGUCCUCCUCCUGGGAGUUUAGCGUGGCCUGCUGCUGGUGCCGAGCAGCCUCAGCCUGGGCGGCCUCCUGCUUUGCCAGUUCCUGGGCCUUCUCGAUGUCGGACUGCUUCAUGACGAGCGCCAGGUCGCGCUCAGCCAGCGUGUCCUGGGCAGCCUUCAAGUCCUUGUGGGGCUGGCGGAACCAAGCCUGCGCCUCAGCGACGCGCUCCUCAAGGUCCGCCUCCGCCUUGUCCACCACCGCCAUCCUGAACUUGGCCUUGUCUAGGCAGGCGCGGUGGAGCGCCUGGAGCUUCUGGAAGUUGGCGCUCAUGGCCUGGAGGAGCCGCCCUUCCUGGGAACCGCCGCCACCGGUGCUCGGCUCGUCAACAACCUCAAGCCCGGCGGCGGCGAGCACUUCGUCAUCAAACACCUCCCCCUCGACGUCCGCCCCGGUGCUCGUCGUCCCUGGAAGGUGGACGAACAGGUCGUCGCUCACCCUCAGGUACCUGCCCGAGCCAGAGGCAGCGGAGGAGGAAGGUUGGUCGUCAACCACCUCCUCCUCGGCAGCGGCCUUGCCGGCCUCCUCAGCAGGCCCCUUGCCGGCCUCCUCGGCGGCAGCCUUGCCAGGCUCCCCGACAGACCCCUUGGCGGUGUCCUCAGCAGCAUCUUUGGCGGCCUCCUCGGCGGCGAUCUUUUUGGCCUCCGUCAUGGCGUCCUUGGCAACAUCCUCGAUGACGGUGUCUAUGACCUCCCGGUCCGCCGAGGGAGGAUCUGGAUAUCGAGAAGGGGAUGAGGCGAAGCCAAGACCAAGAUCCAAAAGAAAGAGAAGAAAAGAAGGAGCAGGGACAGAAGGCGAAUCACUUACCCGUGCCGGGCCGGGAAGAAGUAGCCCCUUCCCCGCCAACAUCUGGCGUCGGGACGGAGCCACCAGCACCUGGGUUCUCCUCCUCCUCCUCCGUGCGCAUGGGCUCGACGCUUGGCGCCCUUACCGGGGACGCCCCUCGGGGCAGCGUAGUUGAUGGGGGCGGCGUGUUGGGGGUGGCCCCCAGUGGCUCCUCCUACUGUCGUCCUCCUCCUGCAACCACGGCAAUGUCAGCACCAAGGGAUCGUACCCCGGCACGUGUUGAGGGGGAGCGAGUGGUGAACUUACGCUGGGGGCUGCGCUGGGGGCUGCUGUCCGGGCUGCUCACCACCACCAGCGGCGUACCCGAAGUGCCCGCCGGGGGUUAGCCGCCCGUCGAGGCCCAGGCCCUCUUCACCCUUUGGGCCAGCGUCUCCGCGUCCCUGCAAAGAUGAAAACAAAUCAAGAUAAGUGGCACAGUCUGAGGAGACGAAGAUGACAAAAAGAGAAGGAACAAGAUACUUACUCAUCCUCCACCUCCUCUUCUGCUGCCUUCCUCUUCCUCCUUGGGCUGAGGGACCCAAAAUCGAAGACAACCUCCGUGUCGUCAUCCGCGGGAGGAGGGGAAGCAGAUGGAGUCCGAGGACGCUUGGACGAAGAAGAGGCAGUUGCUUUCUUCUUCGCCAUCGCGGCCUUCACCAGCUUCCUCGCCGCCGCGGCCCUCAUUUGGCGCAUGAACGCCUCCUGGGCCUGCUGCGGUUGCACGGCCCUACUGGGCCGAACUGGCCCAUCAGAGCUGGCCCGCCGCAGGACUCGCCCUCUCCCCGUGGCCGGAGGGUCGAUAGUCUCGACCUCCUCCGACGAUGACUCGUCGACCACAUCUUCAAUGAGAGGGGCCUCGGUGCCGGCGUUGCUGGCCUCCCCAGCGGACUCCGCCCACUAGGAGAGCUCCCUCUCCUCCUCGGCCACCGCGGCCUCGUCCUCCACGCCGCCGGCGCUGCUGGCCUCCUUGACGAGCUCCGCCUCCGCCACCCUGGCGGCGAUGUAGUCCAGCUCCACCUGGGUGGUGCCCUGAACAAGCAGCGGCUCGGCACGGACGUACUUCUCCUCCAAGGUAUCAAAGAACUCCUGCACUUGAUCCGCCGGCGGCUCGGCCCAAUUUGGGACAAGGCCGUGCAUGUUGAACUCCAGCAUCAUGGCGAUGAUGUCGUUUCGGCGCGAGUUAUUGCUCAGCGGGACCACCCCCGCCGGCAACCCAAACAAGGGCCCCUUGGCAACCUUGCCAGUUUUGGCGGCCUUGCCGGACCGUACGACCUUGCUGUUGCGGUUCACGUCGAGCUGGAAGAGCCGCUGGCAGAAGUUGGCGUGCCCCAUCACCGUGAGGUUGUGGUCCAAGCCGGGGCGAAGCCUCGUGAUGUCGGCCGCAUUCGUGAAGAGCCAGGCCGGCCUCCCCUUGUUGUGUAGCGAAGCGAUUCGGCGGCGGAUGAAAUCCGCCCCGGUCAUCUCAAGGGUGAGCCCGGCCUCGGUGAGGCGAAGAAUCCUGGUGGUGGCGACCGUGAGCUUCGCGUCGUCGGCGUCAACAUUGCUCCAGUCGUUUCUACGAACUGGCGGCGCCUGGCGAACCUAGCAGAUUCCUGCGGGUCCUCCUCCUCAAUCCAGCACCACCGGCCCUGCCACUCCUCCCACCUCUCCUUCUGAGCGCCCUCCGGGUAUGUCUUGGACCUUGGGAUCCAGGCGACACAAUCGGAAAUGGCACCCCCCCCCUUUUGGAUCCGAGGGAAGAAGUAGUGGCGGAAGAGCGCCGUGUUGGGAUGCACCCCGGCGAAGCCCUCGCAGAGAUGCGCAAAAAGAGCCAUGCACGCCACGGCGUUUGGAGUAAAAUCCAGAAGGUGGAAGCCGUAGGUAUGCAUGACAUCGUUGAAGAAAUCAGAGAAGGGGGGNNNNNNNNNNNNNNNNNNNNNNNNNNNNNNNNNNNNNNNNNNNNNNNNNNNNNNNNNNNNNNNNNNNNNNNNNNNNNNNNNNNNNNNNNNNNNNNNNNNNNNNNNNNNNNNNNNNNNNNNNNNNNNNNNNNNNNNNNNNNNNNNNNNNNNNNNNNNNNNNNNNNNNNNNNNNNNNNNNNNNNNNNNNNNNNNNNNNNNNNNNNNNNNNNNNNNNNNGUAGCCCCACAGGUGCUUGAAGUAGUCCCGAAGAUGGACCGCAUCGACCGUCGUGGGGAAGUAGGCGGACUGCGUCCGCUGUACCGCCAACUCGCUCUCCGGCGGCUCCUCUGCCCCGGCGUCCUUGGCCACUCCCUUGCCUUUACUGGUUUUGGGUGCCAUGGCGGCUGCGAGAGGUGAAGGGGGAAGGGCGACGAAGACGCAGCGGCGGCGAGCAAAGGCAAGAGCUUGAGAGGGAGGAAGAAGGAGACGGUGGUUCCGGGGUUGGAGAAAGCACAGAGGGUAAAUGAGCAGCGCGCCUGCGGUUAUUCCUUUUUAUGGGGAAGGCGUGGGCCGCCUCUUUACCAUUUACUAUGAUGUGACGCAUGCGUGCGGGAACCACCCCACGCAUGACCCCCACGUCACGCACGACCCUCCAUGUCGCGCGUUCAAUGCGGGUCAUGGGGAAGCGCAAGCGAGCGAAGAAGUUAUCGCGAUUAAAAUCCGCCACGCCUGCCCGCGCACCGUUCUGGGCCUGGCCCAACAACGUGCUGCGCUUAUGUGUGGCUCAGGCCCAGGGGCUCCUGUCGAUGUACAAAAGUAGGGGCACCCCUUUUUUUACCCCUUUACUUGUGCACGGACAGUCAGAGCCGCGCCCACGGCCACACUGAGCAGGGCAGAGGAGGGAAGCCGAAGGCACAAGGCGACCAGAGGCAACGCCAAGACCAGAGAACACAAAAGAGCAAGAGGGCAAGGUGGACUCCCUCGGCAAGAACCUUGCCGGGGGAGCCUCCGCGGCCACGGCAAGAGCCUUGCCGGGGCAACUUUCCUGAUGCCAGCAGAGCAGGCCACCCUUGAGCCCACGGGUUCCAACACCACCAACCAACUACAUUGGAACCAAGGCUCGGGAGGCACCUCUGUGGUGGCAUGCAGAUCUUCGUCAAGAUCAUAAACACACAAGAUCAGAUGAGGAUCAGAAGACGACGAUCCUCGGCGGGAUCCUAGCCGAGGAAAUCCACGAGACCCCCGGCAAGACCCUUGCCGAGGACGACCACGGUGCCGCGGCAAGACCCUUGCCGGGGCCCCGGCAAGGCCCUUGCCAAAGACACUUACGGGGCCGCGGCCAGGCCCGCGUCUGCCAAGGCUCCACCGCCAUCCCCAUGCAGCUGCCAGCUCAACCAGCUGAGCAGGCACCUGCGUGGCGACGAGCGGCCUCCACGACCGACUCAGCAAGCACCUGCAUGGUGGCAUGCAGGUCUUCGUGAAGGCUCCACCACCGCGCCAGCCCAGCAGCCAGCCAACGUGGCGCUACAACGCCUCGUCAGCUCGGACGCGCGUCGCAGCCAGGCGAGGCGGCGACAGCUGGGACGUGCUUCCUUGCCGUCCCCAAUAAAGCGAGAGGGACACGUCGGCAGCGCAUUAAAUGCGUUUGUCCGACGGUGCCAGAGGAUAGGAUCAUCCACUGUACACCUUUCCACCUCCUGUGUGCCACUGUGGCAACCCCUUUUUGCCUAUAAAAGGAGGCCCGAGGCGACUAGGAGAAGGAUUCAGAUCUUUUGGCCAAGUUGCACCCCGUAGCUAGCUCAAGAACACAAGAACACUCAAAUACAUCCACCAAAGCAGGAUUAGGGUAUUAUGCAUCUUCGCGGCCUGAACCUGGGUAAACGAUCCGUGUGCUUCCUGUCAGACCCGCUCUUUGCACAACCUCGCGCCCGCCAACCGUAGAAGGGAUCCCAGUGAUUCCAUAGGUGUUGUUUCCAUCGACAGAGGACGUGAGAAAUAAAAAUUCAUUUCUUCAUGAUUAGCUUGCGUCCUUUCAAGCAUAUUUAGGUCUCCAGCAAAUUCUUCAGACGUUUAAGUUCAUCUAGAGACCUGCCCCUGCAUAAGAGAUUAGUUCCUUUUCUUCACCACCCACAUCUGAAGGGGUGGCAAAGAGUUCGUCAUUCUGCGAGCUCCAUUAGAGAAAGGUGGCAUUGAAGCCAAUCGACUUCUUUUGACAUAAGAGGGGUUAGAGUAAGCAUAUGAAUAAGCAGAGAAAUUCUUUGAGGAUUUGUGAACAUAAUGAUUUGAAGAAUAAUGCACUAUUCAUAGCCCUUUGACUUUCCUGCGAAACAGAAGUGUUAGCACGAUGAUGUUCAUAUGAGGACUUUGAUACUUUUGAGGAAUUUGAUCCAUGUGAGGAAUGUGGUCCAUAUGAGGACUUGGAUCCAUAUGAAGAAUUUGGUCCAUAUGAAGAAUUAGAUCUGGGGUUCCUGUUCUUCACAGGUGGUGUCAUGAUGACAUUCACCUGAAGACUUUCAAGGCACUUUUUGGGAACCCAGAUUUUCUUCAUAGGGGGGCCGUUCCUGCGGUUAGUGCCAACAUAUCUAGCAAAUACUUCACCAUUCUGAUUUGUCAACAGUUUAUAAUUGGAGUCAAAUGACUCAUCAUAAGAAUAUGAAGAUUCACAUGUAAAGCCAGAUAAGGUAGAUGCAUCCACUGAAGGUCCCUCUGCAGCAACCCAUGAGGUUUUGGGAUACUGCUCAGGUUUCCAGUAGGUCCCAUCAGCAUUGAGUUUCCUCUCAAAGGCAAUACCCUCUUUCCUAGGGUUCCUGUUGAGGAUCUGCUUUUUAAGCACAUCACAAAGUGUCGAUGCCCUUUGAGGCUUUUGUACAUGCUUGUCACAUACAAUUCCUUCAGCCAUGCAUGGUUAGUGAUACUAGCAACAUCCUCGGAUGAGGAAUUAGUGAUAGCAGAGGCAGUUGAAGAAUUGCAACAAUAGAAGCAUUUGAACUUUCAGGUGAAGAAUUAGCAGAUUCACGUUCAAUGCACUUCAAAAAUGGAGGAAUAAAUUCUUCCUGAGCAGCGCUGAUUUCUUGAGCAAGUAAUGAAUCACGCUCCUUCUGAAGAUCUUCAUAACUCACUCUUAGCUACUCAAGAUCUUGCUUUCUUUGAAGAAAUUCAUAAGAAAGCUUAUCAUGAUCAGAUAAGAGAGUGUUAUGAUGACUCUGAAGGCUGUCAAACUUAGUCUGAAGUCUCUAAAGAUUUUCAGUCAAAGUUUUAGUGCGAUCCGUUUCUUCACCCAAUAUAUCAUCGCUUUUGUCUAGCAUAUUUUGAACCCUUUCAAGAUCCUUUUGUUAUUUCACAACAAUCUUAGCAAGUUUAGAAUAGCUAGGCUUGAGGUUUUCAUCAGAUUCAUCCUCACUUGAUUCAGAGGAGGGACAUUUGAGUACCUUUGCACCUUUUGCCAUGAAGCAAUAGGUGGGAGCGUAGUCAUCAUCGCCAUCGUCAGCAGUGUUGGGAAGGUCAUUUUCCUCAGAGUUGAAGAUGGGCUUGCUGACGAACGCAGUAGCGAGGGCUAGGCUCGUCACACCAGAGUCUGACUCCUCAAAUGCCUCCUCUUCCUCAUUUUCCUCAGAUUCAGCCUCAGAGUCCAUUUCCUUGCCAAUGAAUGCAUGAGCCUUCUUGGAGCUGCUCUUCUUGUAAAAUAAAGACCUUGAGGAUUUUGAUGAAGAGGACUUUGAAGAUUUCUUCUUCUUAUUUGAAUCAUCAGAACUGUAGUCCUUGUACUUCUUCUUCUUUUAUUUCUUCUCUCACUGAGGACAAUCUUGAAUGUAGUGACCGGGUUUCUUGCAUUUGUGGCAAAGUCUCUUCUUGUAAUCACGGGAUGAGGAAUUUGAUCUUAAGUCAUCACUUCUUGAGGAUUUUCCAAAGCGACCACGUCUUGAGAACUUCUGGAAUUUCCUCACAAGCAUUGCUAGAUCCUGGCUCAGUUCUUCAGGAUCACCAAGGCUGCUACUAGAAUCCUCACCUUCAGAUUCAGACAAAGCCUUGGCCUUCAGAGCUCGUGAUCUGCCAUAGCUUGGUCCAUAGAGAUCUCUCUUCUUAGCAAGCUGGAACUCAUGAGUGUUUAGCCUUUUGAGGAUAUCAGCGGGAUCAAGUGACUUGUAGUCUCCACGUUCUUGUAUCAUCAGUGCAAGGGUGUCAAAUGAGGAAUCAAGCAAUCAAAGCAAUUUCUUCACCACCUCGUGGUCGGUGAUGUCAGUGGCACCAAGUGCUUGAAGCUCAUUUGAAAUGUCAGUGAGGCGAUCGAAGGUUUGCUGAACAUUUUCAUUGUCGAGUCUUUUGAAGCGGUUGAAGAGAUUGCGAAGAACGUCAACUCGGGAGUCACGCUGUGUUGAGACUCCUUCAUUGACCUUGGACAGCCUAUCCCAGAUAAGCUUUGUUGUCUCCAAAGCACUCACUCUGCCAUACUGUCCUUUGCUUAGAUGGCCACAUAAGAUGUUCUUCACUUGAGAAUCGAGUUGCUUGAAUCUCUUCACAGCAGCAGCGUUCAUGGUAGGAGUGACAGAGGGAACGCCAUUUUCCACAGCGUACCAGAGAUCAUUAUCAAUUGCCUCAAGAUGCAUUCGCAUCUUAUUCUUCCAGUAAGUGUAGUCCGUCCCAUCGAAGGUAGGACACCCAGCAGAGACCUUGAUCAUACCUGCGGUCGACAUAACUAAAACUUCAGGUGGUUAAACCAAAAUCACACAGAACAAGGGAGUACCUUGCUCUGAUACCAAUUGAAGGUGCGUUAAGUCGACUAGAGGGGGGUGAAUAGGCGAUUUUUAUGAAUUCUACACUGAGGAAUUUUAGGGUGAGGAAAUUCCUAAGCAAAGAACUACUUGCAGCGGAAUAAGUACUCAGGUGCAACCAUAACAGAGUAGUAGCACAGUCAUCAUGAAGAAAUGAAACCAAGCACAUAGUACAAAAAGCAUAAACACAGGAUAUGCAGGCUGAAGACAAACUGACUGAAGAAAUUUAACUGAGGAAAUUGAGAAAGUCUUCAGUCAAAGUCUUCAAACAGUAGCGAUCAAGUAUACACCACAGUAAUGAGGAAAUGGAAGGGUUGAGGAAAUAGAACUAGUUCGCUCGAUGAAGACAAUGAUUUGGUAGACCAGUUCCAACUGUUGUGACAGUCGUACGUCUGGUUGGAGCGGCUAGGUAUUUAAACCUGAGGACACACAGUCCUCACCGUAUUCUCCUUGAAAUAAGGUCACACAGACCUCGUCCAAUCACUCGUGGUAAGUCUUCAGGUGACUUCCAAACCUUCACAGACUUGGUCACUCAGCGAUCCACAAUUUCCUCUUGGAUACUCUAGACCAUGACGCCUAACCGUCUGGAGGAUGCAUAGUCCUCAAAGGUAACAAGCGUUGGUUCCACACAGGAACAAUCUCUUCAGUGAUGCUCAAUCACUUUGGGUUUGUAGGUGUUUGGUUUGGGUGUUUGGGUUUUUCCUCACUUGAUGAUUUUAGCUCAAAGUCCUCGGAGGAUGGGAUGCUUUCAAUGACAAGUGUCAGUUUCUCGUGGAGCAGCCAACCAGCUAGUGGUUGUAGGGGGGCGGCUAUUUAUAGCCUAGGGAGCAGCCCGACAUGAUAAGACAUAAUGCCCUUCAAUGAUAUGACCGUUAGGUGGGUAGAUAUUUUGGGACAGCUGGUGCGUAGCACAGCAAUGGUCGGAAAUUUGGCUAUCAAAUUCCUCAGGGCUAUCAUGUUCCUCACUUGUAGGCAAUCCGCACUGGCGAAUUCCUUACUCAGUCAGAACAAAUUCCUCAGAGAAUAGAAGAACUUCGUCUCUAUCACUGAAGAAAUUGACUGAACUGUAUGAGAUUUCCAAUUGCUUCACUCGAAGGGAUUGGUAGGUGUCGGAUUUUGAGAUGAGCAUCACUUGGAAACUUUUCCUUCAUUUUUCCUCGACCCCCUUUAACAGUACGGUGUUUCCUAUGACUCAAGAAAGAGAAAAUCAAACUACGAAAACAAAAGUCUUCACUCUUCAUGUUCCUCGCAUGAAUAUCAAGUCUUCACGGUCACACCAAUUUCUUCACUUUCAAACUCUUCAGAAAGUCUUCAGAAAUCCAAAGUCUUCAGUUGAAGACAUUCAUUUUUAGGGGUCAACUUUCUUUGUAAAUAUCAAAAUCCUCAUAGACUUAUAGACCUGUGUACACUCACAAAUGCAUCAGUCCCUUAACCUAUAAGUCUUCAAUACACCAAAAUCACUAAGGGGCACUAGAUGCACUUACACUCAUCCGCCUGGUCAGUCCAGUCGAACACCAUCGUCUUCUUCAUUAGCUGAUAAAGGGGCAGGGCCCUCUCCCCCAGUCGACUGACGAACCGGCUAAGAGAGGCCAAGCAGCCGGUGAACUUUUGGACAUCGCACAACUGAGCAGGCUUGCGCAUGCACUCGGUCGCCUUGAUCUUCUUCGGGUUGGCCUCGAUGCUGCGCUCCAAGACGAGGAAACCAAGGAGUUGGCCAGCUAGCACGCCGAAGAUGCACUUCCCUAGGUUGAGCUUGAUCUGGAACCGAUGCAGGUUGGCCAUCAUCUCCUUGAGGUCGGCUAGGAGGGUAAGGUGCUGCUUAGUCUUCACCAUGCCAUAGCAAAAACCGGUACUGCCUGUGCGACGGAUUUGAUGAGCACUUCUUUUCCUCCCGAGGAUAAAAUCUUUUCCAUCCACCCUUUCACCUUGUUCCAAACUCUUUCCUUAAGGUAUCUGAAUGCCCCAUUUUUGCUGCUUCCAACAUCUGUAGGCAUACCCAAAUAUUUUUCAGACAAACUUCCAUUAUGAACAUUAAGGAUAUUUUUCAUACUAUCUUUCACUUCCUGCAUGCAUCCCUUACUGAAGAAAAUCGAGCACUUCGGUAAAUUGAUUUUCUGCCUAGAUGCAUGGCAAUAGGUUUCCAACAAUGAAGAUACCAGAGUAGCACCCCCACUACUAGCCUCGGACAGCGGUCUGUCAUCGGCGAAAAGUAAAUGGCUUACUGGCGGAGCCGUUUCUGCCACUUUGAUUCCGUUGAUUGGCGAUGACUCAUUCUAACUUUUAAGGAGGCACGAAGGCCCUCUACUUCCAACAAGAAUAGGUAAGGUGAUAUCGGAUCCCCCUGCUGAAUUCCCCUUGUAGGUGUGAAUUGCUCCAGUUUCUUGCCAUUAAACAAAACUGAGAACUUAACUGAGCUCACCAUCCUCAUUAUUGUAUUAACCCAAACUGGUUCAAAACCCAAUUUCGUCAUUAUAGCACGCAAAUAUUACCACUCCAGGCGAUCAUAAGCCUUCAUCAUAUCGAGUUUCAAAGCACAGAAACCAUUCUUCUUUGACUUAUCGUGUUUCAUAAAAUGGAGGCACUCGUAGGCCGAGAUGAUGUUAUCAGUAAUGAGCCUCCCCCCAACAAAGGUCGACUGCUCCUCGGAUAUGAUCUCCGGAAGGAAGAUUUUUAAUCUAUGUGCCAAAACCUUAGAAGCAAUCUUGUAGAGCACAUUACAAAGGCUUAUAGGGCGGAACUGUGUCAGAAGAGUUGGGUUCGGUACCUUAGGGAUAAGGACCAGAAUUGUAUCAUUCAACUCAUCCACUUCUUCUUCACCUCUUAGGAUUUUUAAGAUAAUCAAAGUAAUCUCGUCUCCGCACAUGUCCCAGUGCCUUUGAAAGAAGUGUGCGGGGUAACCAUCUGACCCUGGCGCCUUAGUAGGAGCCAUUUGAAAGAGUGUUGUCUUCACUUCCUCCUUAGUAUAUGCCGAAGUCAGCUUUUGAUUCAUCUCAUCGGUCACCCUACAAGGAACAACAUCGAUAACCCUGUCCAUGUUUGAUGUACCCUCUGAAGUGGAAAGGCCACGACAAAACGCCGUAACCAUACUCUCCAUCUCAUCUGCGUCCGCUGUUGUGGUGCCAUCUUCCCUUAGAAGGGUUUUUAUAUUGUUCUUCAGACGCCGUCUGCUGGCGCGCAAGUGAAAAAAAUUGGUGUUUUUGUCUCCUGUCGCCAGCCAGGUUAUGCGUGCCCUCUGUCGCCACAUCACUUCUUCCCUAUGAUACAACUCGGCCAGAUAAUCCUUGAUUUUUACUUCUAUUCGAGUCGGUUCUGUCCCGCUAGGAUCCGCCUGAAGCCCUUCCAGCUCCAAGUUCAGCCGCUUAAUCUCGGUCUUGACAUUACCAAAUAUGGAUUUGUUCCAUCGUGUAAGGCCCUUUGAAAGAGCAUUAAUUUUCGCACACAGACCUGCAACAAUAGUUGCGCCAGGUCCUUGCCAGUGUUGUUGUAUUUCCUCCUGAAAGCCAUCAUGGGACUCCCACAUGAGCUCAUAUCUGAAUGGUUUAUGAUGGCCCCAUGGGACUCCCACAGCUGAGUUUCUACUAUGCAAAACACCGUCGAAGCAAAUUGCCUCGCGAAGCCACGAAGCUCUCGAACUAUCUUGGGUUUGCCCGCCCCGUGACAGUUCCAACAGAAGAUACUCAUUGAGCCCGGCGGCGCUCCUCGUGGGAGCCUGCCAACUCGCUCUGUGAGUUCGUCGUUUUCUUGGUGACGUCCCCUUCUUUGGUUUCUUCCUCUCACGAGGUGUGAGGUAUGCAGGGGGUGGAGGCGAACCGAGCCCGUAUUCCCAUGCUUUUUUUUGAAUGUUGGUAGGAUCUACCAAAUUCAUUGAUCAGAUGGGAAGGACAAAGGGUGGACUAUAGAGAGUAGCAUCAAAACGAAAGCAAAGAAUACAAACGAGAGGAGAGCAGAAGAUCAAAAAACAAAAACGACAGCCCCACGCCGCCUAGCAACCUAGCCUGGAUCAAAAGGAAUACCAGCUCCCGUGAGGUUCCAGAGUGUGAUUUCCUCUCUUAAUCGCCUGACAAAACCGUCUAAGCUCAGAGCUUCCUGCUGGAACGUCCUCCUAUUACUUUCUUUCCACAAUUCCCAGGGAACAAGGUGUAACAAGGACAAAGUUCCUUUCUUCUUCUCCGUUGCCGCUCGGUUGUGACAGUCAACCAUCCAUCCCAAGAUGCUUGUUUGGUUGCUCCAUGACUGCGGCUUGAGCGCGGGCAUGCUAGUUAGGUGGGCGAUCCUUCCCCAAGCUUGCUUGGACCGUGGGCAUUCCCAGAACAAGUGCGUCGUGGUUUCCAGGUUUCUUUCACAUAGUGCACAAAAAUAGUUGUUCUCCCAUCCACGCCGCAGCAGAACAUCCGCAGUGAGGAUCCUCCCAAGUGUCGCAGUCCAGGCGAAGAAACGACAUUUCUCUGGCGCCCACACUCUCCAAAUUAGAUUGUAGUUCUCCGUGGGGAUCGAUCCCUCGAACUGCAGGAGGUAGGCAGAUCUCGCUGUGUAAUCUAACGAUUCUGUGAAACGCCAGCAGAUAGCAUCGUCCUGGCCCUCGUGAAGCUGCACCUCAUCUAAUAAUGUUGCUAGCCGCAUCAGUUCCGGUAGCAUCUGAUCAUUUAGCCCUUUAGCUAGGUCUGUUAACCAAGUUUCCUCGAGCAGUGCCUCAUGGACUGUUCUGUUCUUCCUUGCAGCGAUCUUGAAGAGGGUAGGCACAAAGGUUUUUGGGCAUUGUCCAUGAAGCCAGCGAUCGUGCCAAAACAUGGCCCGUCGACCAUCCCCCACUGUAACCUCGGUUGCCAUUGCAAAUAGCAUGUGGUCCUUGUCGUCGCACGGCAGCUGAAAGUUCACCCAAGGUCGUGUCGGAUAGCGCCAUGCAGACCAUAACCAUCGCAGUCUCAGCGCUGACCCAAAGCGCGGCAGGUCCAGCACACCUAAACCCCCGAAUUUUUUGGGGCGGCAGAUGAGACUCCAAGCCACCCUACAUUUGCCACCGGAGCAUUCUUCCUCGCCAGUCCAAAGCCAUGCACGGCAGAUCUGCAGCAAACGUUUCCAUACCCAGGCUGGCAAUUUAUGCAUCGUCAUCAUAUAGAUGGCCAGGGCAGUCAAACCCGAUUUUAGAAGCACCAACCGGCCACUCUUUGCUAUUAGUCUGCCCUUCCACAUCGCGGUCUUACUGCCGAAUUUCAGGAGCCAAGGGUCAAGAUCGACUUUGGUUAGAUUCCGCAGUGACAAGGGCAUUCCGAGGUAUGUGAUAGCGGAAUUUUUGAUCGGGAUUCCAAGGUGGGCCAAGACUCGAUCCAGCUUGAUCCCUCCGCAUUGAACAGGCAGGGCUGUGCUUUUGAUCUUGUUUGUGUGCAGCUCGGUGGCUACCGCAAAGCAUUGUAGAAGCAGGUUAAUCAUUGACGCUUCGCUCUCCGUCGGGUUCAUGUUUUUUUAAAAAGGAGUAUGACCCCCGGCCUCUGCAUCUGGGAGAUGCAUGCGGCCACUUUAUUGAUUAUUCUCGAGGACCUUACAAAGUAUUACAACAAUAUGCCUGAAUCCGCCAUCUUGGCAACAUAUGCCACUACUCCUAUCCAAAUGAUGAAGGCGUGCUAGCUGGGCCACUACCCAGACCACUCAUCUAAGCCUAACAUCAAAAUGAUGAAGGGGUGCUAGCUGGGCCACUACCCAGACCACUCACCUAAGCCUAACAUCAAAAGCCGGAAGCCCCAACCGAGCCACAUACCGGGUCUGGGGUACAAACCGGUCCGACGCACUCGUGUGUCGUCGCCGCCAUCUUUCACAGGUCCGUCUUCAGAGCAAAUAUUGAGGUUUCUACCUUGUCUGGCCACUCAGCCAUCGACGUCACCACGACACCAAACAGCUUCGUCCUCCUGCGCGAGUCCAUCGCCACAGACGCCAAAUCUCCACCGCGCCACGCCGCCGAGAUACGCCGCCAUCAAUGAGUAGGAUGAAGCACCGCUCCGCCGAGUCCGGCAGGGCUGCUGAAGACCAAGCACCGUGGAAGAAGGACUCCGAGGCUGAGCACAUAGGCGGCAGAGCGCCAACGCACCGCCACCAGACGAACUCCGACCACGCCACCAACCGCCGCCAAGCAACCAAAGCAUCACAUCCACCCCAAGAUCACCACGAACGACACCCCCAAGAGGGUGACGACGCCCGGAGCGCCGCUGUCGCUCGAUCCGGCAAGGAUUUGGGCUUUCGCCCGGCAUACGAGCUGGGUGGAAGGAAGAGGGGGAGGAGGCAACCUGGAUGGCGCCUACAAGAAGGGUACGGCGCCCUCGGGCGUCGCCGCCAUUGUGGCCAGCACUGCUGGCCUCGGAUUUCUCCGGAGCCACCUCCCACCUCCAGCCGCCAAACGGGUACAACUCCGGCGACAAAGGCCACCCAAAGCAGGACCAUCGGAGGCAGCCCUGGUUGAAGUAGACGGAGGUUCAUGAAUAGUGCUACAUCAUCAGCAUAGAAGGAGCAGUGCAUCAAGCGCCUUCGCCCCGGCAGCUUGGAUAGCAUGCCGCGCUCCGUUGCGACGGACAUGAGUCUUUGCAGUGGGUCCAUUGCUAGGAUGAAAAGGAAAGGGGAUAUCGGAUCUCCUUGCCGCAAGCCAUUUCGGUGAGUCACAAUCUCUGACUGUUGUCCAUUGAUUAGCACUCUAGAGGUCGAUGUCCUCAGAAUCAUGGCGAUCGAUUCACACCAUCGAGAGCCAAACCCCCUGGCCUACAUCAUCUCCAGCAGGUACGCCCAGGAUAACGAGUCGAACGCCUUGGCAAUGUCGAGUUUUAGGAGGAUUGACGGCUUCUUGGUCUUGUGCAGAAAACGAAUGGUGCUUUGGACAUAUAGGAAGUUUUCCUGUAUACUAUGCUUUUUGAUGAAGGCGCUUUGGCAUUGAUCCACUAAUUCUUCUAGUUUAGGAGCUAGCCGGCGGGCGAGGAUCUUAGAGAAGAUUUUAAUCACACUAUGCAGCAAAGAAAUCGGGCGGAAGUCCUGGAGUGUGUCUGCCCCCUGUCUCUUGGGAAUCAGGACGAUAAUGGCCUUGUUGAUCCUGUCCAGCCCUCUGUUAUCCAUGCGGUGCAGCUUAUUCAUAGCAUGCAGCAGAUCUUCCUUAAUCGUCCCCCAACAGUGCUUGAAGAACCCUCCUGAGAAGCCAUCAGGGCCUGGAGCUUUGUCCACCGGCAUGUCGUCAAUUGCUUGCUUGAUUUCCUCCAAAGAGAAAUCUCUCUCGAGGUCCAACAAGUCCGUGUGUUCCAGCUCCAGUUCGUCCCAAUUCAGAGCUCUUGUUCUCGGUUGCCCCUCACCCAAGAUACUCUGAAAGUGAUGAUGUGCAGCCGAAGCCAUCUCAUCUGCCGCAGUGACCGUGCCCGACGGCCCCUGGAGCAUAUGGAUAGUAUUUCUCUUGUGACGUUCAUUGGCCUUGCGCUGGAAAAACUUCGCGUUGGCAUCACCCGCUUUUAGCCAAAGUACCCGGCUACGUUGCCUAAGCUUGACCUUCAAGAGAACGGCAAGCCCCAGAGAUCGGGACUUAAGCUUGGCUCUUAGAUCACUCUCAUCAUUAGUAAGCUGCCGGAAAUCUUGCUGUGUGUCUAACUGGAGUAUCGGCUCGUUUGCAAUCCCUAGCUGCCUCUGAAUAUCCCCAACAAGAGUUUUGCUCCAAGCUCUUGAAGCCUUGCUCAAUCUAUGCAGCUUUGUGUUAAGCCUAGAGAUUGGGCACAUGUUCCCUAUAGGGGCUGCCCAAGACUGAUUCACCACCUCGUGAAAACCCUCAAUAUGCUGCCAGUAUGCUUCAUAUCUGAACCUCUUGUUGGUCUUUGUAAUCAUAUCGUUGACGAGGAUUAGAGGACAAUGAUCGGAAAUGGAUGAAGAUUGCCACAGCAGCUUGGCCCCAGGGAAUAGGAGCUCCCAUUCGACAUUACAGACAGGGCCGGCCCAUAGGCCGGGCAAACGGGGCGCCCGCCCUGGGCCCCCGGGGCGCAGGGGCCCCGGCCCAGGUAUUCCUUCUCUAGUAAGUAGAAUGGGCCAAGGAAAGUACAAGGGAAAAAUAAAGGCCCAAGGAACCGUGCUAUGGAAAACCCACCAGGCAAAAGUCACGUCUGUUCGACGCACUGGACCAUGAUCAUUCUCGUCUCUUCAGCUCCGCGACUCCUUCGCUUCCCCAAAUCCCUACUCCCGAACAGCGCCGCCCCUCGCAUGCCUGAUGCCUCUUCGAUUACAAGGACACGGCCAUGAUGCCUAGGGCGCGAAUUCACUCCCCAAUGGUCCUCUCCUUCCUUUCUCAACGAUCUGGUCACUUCCCAUCAACUGGAGUUGGAGAGAUCAAGAUGGUAUGUGUUCUUGCUUCCCGUAACCUCGUUCCUCAAUUCAAAGAUUCACUGGUAAUUAACCCUGCCCUCCGGCACUUACGAUUCCACGUUGCACAUUGUUCUGCCCUUCAUUGGAUCCAGAUGUGAGAGAGCACUCAGGCAGAAGAUUAGAAGAGAAAGGGUAAAUUUUAUUCACUUCAUGGCGGCGGCGUCUUGUUCGUGCUAAUUCUGGCUGCCGCGGCCAGUGGAUCAAGCCACCUACAUCCACAUCAAUCCGUUUCCAGGUUCUUCUGUUCCUGUAUUAACAAUUUUUAUGCAGCUUGUUUGGUGACAUGUCUCCAAGAAAGUAUUUGUCUUGGUAGUGAUUAAAGGAAGGAAGAAAAAUGGAUAGAUGAACUGGUAGAAUCCCAGAAAGGAUCAAUCGCUUAGUUUUCCUUUUUAUGGCGGGUAAUGGCUAAGUUUUCCAAAAGUAGUAAUUCUUUGCACUUGACUGUAGUAAAUGUCGAAGAGCAAAAACUGACAAUAUUUAUGUUGCUGCUGCUGAUGAUACCAACGAGGGUAAUAAUAGUUGUAGUAAACAAAAAACCUAGCUCACUCACCAAACUCAGAAAUACCGUGUGUCGAUGAACAACAAUCAUUCUUUGUUUGUUUUGUUUUGCAGAAAAAAAUCCCCAUUGUAACCAUUAGAAAAUCGAGCUGUUCUGGAGCUAUAUUGUUCCAUCAAUCUACACUAUGUACUGGAUAUUUACUUUGCUUCUAAUUUUUAAAAUAAAUAAAAAUUGAGCUUUUGUGUGUCAAGAAGGCCCCAUGUUCUUUUCUUGCCCCUGGGCCCCGUUUAUCUGUGGACCGGCCCUGAUUACAAAAUGCCCGAUCAAGCCGUAUUCCCAUGCUCAGCGACUUGUUCUGGCAUAUAACCUGUGCAUGCACGUCCCCCUGUUUCUCUUCCAUGUCCGUAGCAGGUGCGUCAUCAGGGAGAUCAAGCAUUUUCCUUGCUGAUGGUUCUGAUUGUCCCGGCUGCUGCGGCUGGUCAUCUUUCUUCUCCACUGGGUCAGCUUUCAAGGGGCUUUCAACAGUAUCAUGCAGGUCUUCCUCCUGCAGUCCCGCCUCUUGUGAAGAGCGCUUUCUUGCACCAUUGGUGCCUCCGCGUCUUCCACCCCUAGCUUUGUUCCACCUCUGGUCCAAGUGGAGUUGUUGUUGCUAUUCUGGCCUAACUGAUUAGACGGGAAGCUCCUCCUUGUGGCCACCAUCCAUUCCCCGUAUUCAAUUUCUUCAGGACCAUGGAUGCCAUUGCCGCACUCCUCUAGAAUAUGUCCCAUAAUACCGCAGACCUCACAGAAGUAUGCGAUUUUCUCGUAUUUAACUGGAAGAAGUAACCUUUCUUCUCCUUUUAUGUUCAGAGGAGUAAAACGAACCAGAGGUUCAGCAACCUUGAUCUUUGCGCGCGCGCGCGCACACAGUUGCCCUCAAACACACUAGAAGGAUUCAUCUCAACACUCUUAACCUGACCGAUUCUCCGGGCUAGCUGAUCCAGGAUAGGCUCCUUACGAUAAAGCUCUGUGGUGUCAUGGAUCUGUGCCCACACGUGCACACGAUCAAGCUCGACCGCAUUCGGUUUACCUCUUCCAUCAUAUUCCUCGAUGAUCACCAUGAGACCUCUGAAGAUCCAAGGACCUUGGUGCAUAACUCUAUUCCAGUCACCAACACAAAACAUCUGAAUGACGAAGAGGUUGUCAUCGGCCUUGCGGAUCUCAGGAUCAUAAGCCAGACGCCAAAUGAACUUCAUCAUGGCCUUGAAAGAUUCCGCACUAAAGGGUUUCUUAGUGUUAACCUUAGCAACCGCAAGCCAGCGGGCCUCUUUAGCAAAUUGGGAGAUUUACUCAUCCCCGACGAUCACAUCGUCUAGUUCAGAUUCCUUGAGCUUCAUAUUCUUCAUCGCUGUCUCCAAAUUGACUGCGGUUUUUCCCUUCCUUCUGGCCCCUAACAAUCCUCCAGGGACUCCGAAGGAUGAGGAUGUCGCCAUUAUUGUCGAUCCAAAACCCUAACCCCCGCACGCCGUUCCCGACGGAGGGGGAGACCAGGUCAGGGGAUGGGAGGAGUACAGGAAGACCUCAACGGCAGGCGGGGCCACUCGCAAGCGUUUGUUUUUUACUUGCCGCAAACUUACACUGCACAUUCUGGAUUAGAAGAUCUGGGCCGGCGUAACACUAUAUCCCAUGACGGCCACACAUGGUCAAUUGGAUUUCACGCACCUAAAAAAAUCCCCUCAAAAAACCUCAAAAAAAAAGCAAGCAGAGCUGUUUCUCUCAAAAAAAGCAGAAAUGUUGGGGAGCUUCAGCGAGUUCUGAAUUACUAUUUCCAUAGUUAAAUACUGCAAUGUACAUCUCAAGCGGUUAGUAGUACAUAAUACAACAUGCCCCCUCUUGGUACGGGUCAGCCCCUUGCAUUCUCACAAUGUCAUCACAGGGCUUAGUAGUGAAAUAACUUAACGGCCAUUCAAAUUUACUAACCAAACAUAACAAUAUGCAAAAGACUUCAACAUCUAAAGCCAGGAGCACAAACGUAUUUUGAACUAGUAUAUUGUCCAUAUGGCAGCUUGAAUUGCACCUGCAUCUCAACCCUCCAAGUGCCGCCCAGACAGAAUCAGGUUUUGUGGAGUUGGUUGCAGUAAUUCCGCCAUCUACCAAGACAUUUCUGCAAGCAAACAAAUUUGCGUUGAGCCUGGCAUCAUGUUCCAUACUCAGGUUCUCACAUGUAAAUAAUUCCGCUCUAACAUAUAAAAAGUUUCUUACUCGUAAAGAUUCAGUUACAUUUUUAAAGAGUUUGACUUUCUCAUAUGCACAUGGCAGUUAGCAACAAAUACAUGCCAAAAGCAAAUGAAACUGCUAUAUCAGUCAUGUGUGGUGAUGUUCAAAGGAUGAUAUUUUCGAUACAAGAUGCACGCAAUAGCAAAAGAGCACUGUUUUCUUCUACAGAACAGAAACACACACAAAAAAUCACCACUAAGUUUAAUUCCUUCUUCCUUGCCAACUACAAGGCCAAAACAAAGUCGAUUCCAAUAGCAUGCCACCUAUAAACCAUGGCAUCAUGCUCACAUAAGCUAGACACUGCUCAAUGGUAUUGCACCAACAUAAACCAAUGUGGAAAUAAUAAAAACAAACUUCUACUGCACAUGCAUGGAAAAGCUGACGAAGUUAUAUUGAUUUUUGCAUGAGAACAGCACAAGUUAACUUCAAAAUUGUGAAAAUUAUAUAAAGAAUUUACCCAAAGCUGAAUCGUUUCAGCAUUACUGAACAAAAAAAUAGAGACACUGAACGAACAAUAUCAGCUUAUUUAUGCUGGUACAAGAUCAACUUCUUUUGUUGACAAUCAUGUUCACAUGUUUUUGGCUACAUAUAAUCCCAGGCUUCAGGUUAAUAUUCAAGUCAAGUGAGAAUAAGGCUCACAGACUAAAAUCAGGAGCUAUGGUAUCUACUCCCUCCGUUCCUAAAUAUAAGCUUUUUUAGAGAUUUCAAUAUGGACUACAUACGGAUGUAUAUGUACAUAUUUUAGAGUGUAGAUUCACUCAUUUUGCUCCAUAUGCAGUCCAUAUUAGAAUCUCUAAAAAGCCUUAUAUUUAGGAAUGGAAGGAGUAACUCAUUGUGGAAAUUAUAAAAAAGGUUUAUCCAAUCAAAAGCUGAAUUAUUUCAGCCUGUUACUAGAUAAAACCAACAAUAGAAACAUUUAAUGAACAAGAAUAGAACUAAGUUAUUGUGUCAGCACUCAUUCUACUUCUAUUGCUGACAAUCAUGUUCUCCUGUUUUUGGAACAUAUGAUACCAUUGGUGCCUCCACAGGUAAUACUGAACUUUCAAGAUAAUUAAGUAAUGUGGGCCUGACUUUGUAUUAACACGCACAUGAGAGGCUCAGAGAGUAGAAAGCAGGAGCGUAUGGUAUCUAAUUCAUAGCCAUAUCUAUAAAUCUAAUAACUAGGUAGUUCAGAAAUUAAUCAAAUCCAUACAACAGACACCUUAUAGAAAACAAAACAAGAGAUGAAUUACCUGCUAAUUGAGUAACCAAUCAAAAAGAUACACAGAUAGCAAAAAGAAAAAUGUAAAUCACCUAUUCAAACACAUCUUAGAGAUCUUGGCUGUUCACAUUUUCAGAUUCAUCAUCUUGUCCGUCAUCACGAGUGUCAACUUCAGUGUCUAUAAGAGAAAGAAAUCUAUAAAAAAUAAGCUGGAUCAACAAGAAAGAAAAUUAAAUAUGCAAACACAAACAGUUUAAUUAUCUAUUAGUGUUGGAAAUAAUAUAUGUGAUGAAAGAGCAUUAUUAUAUCUGCAGAGGAUGCUUAGCUUAGCAGGGUAAAGUCAUCUAAAGAUAGGUAAAACCGCUAGGCCUUUGUCUCAACCUUCUUGAACUCAUAUGCCUCGGCAAUGAGUAUUCUGUUCACACGUGCAAUGGCCACAUAAGGGGCUUUGUCCUGCAACACAGAUCCAUCCAUGUAUGUAUCAUCAACAAUAAAUCAGCACGGCAAAAGUUACAGAAGAUUAGAAGCUCGCUUACCGAAUCGCUAAAGGAUUUCCAGUUUUCAGCAGCUUUCCUUUUAAUCUGAAAGUUUUCGACGAGAAACAAAUUAUCGAUUCAUCCACAAAACAAUGGAAAGAAAUCUGUAACGAGGCAUUGAAGGAUCGAACUGACAGCAUCUACGGACGGCUUGUCAUAGACGCCUUUGAAGUUGUCCAUCCAGAAGUAGUUCCUUACAAAAUGAUGGUCAAAUCAGCACCGUCCAGAAAAGCAAGAAACAGAACAACAGUCUGAAAACGUGUGGAGGAUCAAAUCUCACUGGUAGGUGAACAGGGCGUGCUGGGCGAGCUGUUCAUCCAACGGCUUCUCUGUUGCAAUGCUCAUUACCGCCAACCCGCGUGUAACAUCGGAAAGGUCAUGGGUCUUGGGCUUCUCCGCAACAUUGCUCUUCACCGCCAACCUGCGUGGAACAUCGAAAAGGUCAUAGGUCGGCGCACCAAAAUUAACCUCUAUUGCAUCACACAAAUCGAUUGGAUUCUUACUUGCCCUUGGCCUUCUUCCCCUUCCUGCACUUGGUCGAGGGCUUCCGCUCCUCCGCUCCAUCGCUCUUCGCUGCCGACCUGCGUAGGAAUCCAAGGUUAUGGAUCGACGCACCAAAACUAGGGAUGUCUCUUGCAUCACAGAAACAAGAUUCAGAUUUGAUUCUUACUUGCUGUCGGCCUCGUACGUGGCGGCGGCGCCCGUGGAUGCGGUCUGCUUGCAAGCAGUCAUGUCUGAGCAACAGAUGAGAUCGGCGCCAGGGGAAGCCAGGAAUCGAGCGCCCGAGUUGAGGGGUUCCGGGGAAAGGAAACGAGAGGGAGACCAGAGGCGAGCUGCAGCUAGGGCAUAAAAGAGAUCGGGCCAAGCGCCUCUUUGUCCUUAGGUCAGGCAAAUAUUGGGCCAAAUACAGCCAAGGCCUUAUGGCUCUCUCUGUCAGGAAAAAAGUAAACAAAUUGCGGCCCGUUUUAACCUUCAGAGGCCUUAUUACAAUCUUGAUAAAACUUUAGCACGCUGCUGGGCUGUAAAUUUGGGACAUCGGAUUGUGUGCGCGGGCUGCUGCAGGUGGGGCCGCCGGAUUGGGCAUCGUGUUUUUUGCAUCUCGAAAACCUCUUCGUCGUUCCAACGCGUAAAAAUACGGCCGCAGCUAGGCGUAGGUCGGAUGAUAUGCUCGAUUUAUAAACCGCGUUCGCGUCCGUCCGAUCGAACAACGCUGGUCCGUCCGAUCUCUGAGCUGAACCACGCGCACCGUUGCAAUGAACCGGGGAUAGGUCGCGAUGGCGCACGCGUAGGUCGAUCCCCACCCGCAGAUCGCGGGCGCUUCCCCCCACCGGCGGCCGGCGGCCGCCUCCCCUUCCCUCCACCUCUUCCCCAACCCCACCCCCUGCCCGCGAUGGCGCACCACAUCGCCAGAGACAUGGCCUACUCCGCCAUAGGUGGUAGCUCCGGCGAGGGUUCGGCUGUUCCCCGGCGGACGACUUCAGCUCCGGCGAGCGCCUUCGAUCUCAGGCGACAAAGUUCUGCUACGCGCAUGUACCGAGAUCCUCCAAUUGUUUUCUCUGAUGCUCCUCCGGCUGGAUCCGCUGCAAAUUGGGUGAGCUUCCCCUGCUGCCAAAUCCUCUGAAAUCCUCCACUUGUUUAUGUGCUGCAUUGACAUUUGCCAGUUAUGCUCAUUGGAUGUUGCUAUGCUAAUUGGUUUUAAUUCACAAAAAGUAGAAAAAACAAAAAUGUUUGAAACUACACAUUAUGUUGCUUUGGUUCAGUUGUGUAAAAUUGGAAAAGGUUACUUUCAGUGACCCUGAAUGUUGCUUUGAUUCAGAGAAUGCAACAGCACUGCAUGUUUGCUUGCUUUAAAUUCAGAGGAUGUAAGACUACUGAAUGUUUGCUUUGCUUUAGAUUUCAGAUAUUGCAAAAAAAUGUUGAAAAUUCAGCUUCAGAAAAAUAUUUUUGCUGCUGAAAGUAGCAAAAAACAGUAGUAGAUUAGAGACCUUAUGCAUGUUAUAGUGGUGUUAGUCUAUGGAUUUCAGCAAGCACAAAAACUCUAUGAUGAAAAAAAAAUGUUAAUUGAAGUUGAUAAAAAAGUUAUGCAGCACCAAAAAAUGUCGUAAAAUGUACUACUACCGUACUACCUAUAGAUCUUAUAAACAUGCUGCAAUGAAAAAAUAUACUACUGAUAUACAUGUUGAUGUUUCAUCUUAAAAAAUGUUUCUCUUGCAAAGAAAUGUUGACCUCAAAUACUGUUCAACUGCUACUGAUGGUGUUGUUCUACUGUUGUUGCAAUGAUGUAGCAUACCGAAGAUGGGGCGGCAAAUGAGGAGAGUUUUGUUCAGCAACCUUUCACAAGUCAUGGUGGUGGGGAUUCAGAUGGUGUCCUAAACACUCACGGUGGAAUGCAUGAUGCAGAUGAGGAUGAUGAUAUUUCAUCUCAGCCACUUCUGCCCUAUGUUGGCAUGGAAUUUGACUCAAUUGAAGAUGCCCAAAAGUUCUAUAAUGACUACGCAUUUGGAACGGGUUUUGGCUCACGCAUAGCUUCCUCAAAAAACAGCCAGAAGAAAGGUCCACAACAACUUAUCAAGAGGGUCUUCCAAUGUGUGCAUGCUGGCAAACCGGAGACUACAUGUGAGACAAGCAACCACUCGGAAGGAAUUGCAGCAGGGGGAAGCUCAUCAAGCAAGCAGGCCGGGGUUGAAAUGGAUGUGACAGUCAAGCGUCAGAGGAAUCGGAUUAUGCGUUAUGAUUGCAAAGCUCAUAUGAUUGUUGGCCUCAGGGGCAAUAAGUGGGUUGUUACCUACUUUGUUGCACAGCAUACACACCCUUUGAUGCAGCAUGAGGAGAUUGUGAGGUUCUACCGCUCACACCGCAAAAUUCCAGAAGAAGAUUACCAACUACUGAUGACAAUGCAUGAUGUAAACUUGUCAACUACAAAUUGCAUGGGAAUGCUUGGAAUGGUCCAUGGCGGAGACCGGAGGAAACUGCCAUAUGUGAAGAGGGAUGUUUCAAAUGCGCGUUCCAAGCUGCGACAAAAUCAGUCAUUUCAGGACAUGGAUAUGACGGUUGCUUACUUUAAGAGGCGUCAAGCUGAGAAUGCUCAAUUCUACUACGCAACAGAAGUUGACAAAGAAACAAACGAAGUGACAACUCUGUUUUGGGUGGAUGGAAGGAGAAGAGCAUUGUACCCAAAGUACAAAGAUUGUGUGUUCUUUGACACAACAUUUUGCACAAAUCGGUACAAUCUGCCUUUCGCUCCUAUUGUUGGUGUGAACAACCACUUGCAAACCGUGCUGCUAGGUUGUGCCUUGGUGCCAAAUGAACAAAUAGAAACUUUCAAGUGGGUGUUUCAACAUUGGAUGAUUGCAAUGAAUAAUGAGCACCCGUUGCACCUAAUGACUACCAGGACAAGGCAAUGGAAACAGCAAUAAAAGAUGUCUUCCCAAACACAGUGCAUAGGUGCUGCAAAUGGCACGUCCAGCGAAAAGCAAGGGAAAAGUUGGGUAGGAUCCUGAGCAUGGAUGAAAAUUUUGAGCAGGUUUUCUAUGGGGUUAUCAAUGAUUCGGAGACGGUGGAUGAGUUCGAGGAGAAUUGGCAGCAUAUGCUGCAUUGCUUUGAAUUGGUUGACAACAGACAUCUAAGCAACAUGUGGCGUAAGCGAGAGACAUGGGCUCCAGCAUACUUCCGAAAGAACUUCUUCCCAUUUACAAGCACUACAGGGCGGUCUGAGGGUCUCAACUCCUACUUCAAGACAUUUGUCAACCCUCAAGACUCUGUCUGGAGAUUUGUACAACAAUAUGAGGUGCUUCAAGAAACAAUGUUGGACCGUGAAGACAAUCAAGCUUUCAUAGGCCACGCAACAACUGCGCCACUUUACUCAAGGUAUGUGUGUGCUUUGUAGAGAGAAAAAGUUAGAACAGGGAACUUGAAAAACUCAAAAUCAUUGACCUUUUCAUUGCAACAUUCAGGUACAACUUUGAGCGCCAAGCAGUUCACUUCUAUACCCGAAGCGUGUUUCUCAAGUUUCAAAAAGAGGUCAUGGCAUCAACAGGCUUCAUCAUGAACCUGGCCCCUGCUCUUGACAAUGCAAGCGUGAGGUUUGAGCUGCACUCAAAUUACUUUGAGAACCCCCGAAUAUUUUCAGUGAAUGUUGUGUUGGCAGAGGAGAAGUUUGAAUGCAGCUGCAACUGUUUUGAGAUGAAUGGGAUUAUUUGUGCACACAUCAUAAGGGUAAUGGUGCAUCUCAAUGUCCAAAAAAUUCCACAAAGAUACAUGCUAGAGAGGUGGUCAGAAGCUGCGACAACGGCAAUGAGCGGUGGUGGAUGUCUCCUAGAUUUUGGGCACCCUGCAACCAACACUCUCAAGUACAACGCCUUGUGCAGAAAGUAUACAUGGUUGGCUUCACAAGCUUGCAGCAACGAUCUUGCCUACAAAAUAAUGAAUGAUGCAGCUCACCAACUUGAGCCCCUCAUAGCUGCAGCAAAGCAAGGGGCGCUCCCAGAACAACAGGAAGCAAAUCAGCGGCAAGCAAUGCAACAGCAACAAUAAACCCCCGAGCCAACCACUGUGCCGCAACCUGAUGGCGAUGCCAUGCUUCAGAACCCCGCACGUGUUCCAAAAAAGGGCGUCCGACUGAAAAAUCAAAGAGGAGAAAGACUCUGCUUGAGCAAUGAGAAGAUGCACAUAAGAAUAAAGCUAAGAAAGAUGAAAAGAAGCAAACCAAGCCCAGAGGAAAACCUGGACCAAAGAAGAAAGCGCCUCCUUGCUCGUACUGCAACGAAGAAGGUCACGGUGUCCAAACAUGCCAGUACUUGAAGGCUGUAAUGGGGGUCAAAAAAUGUCCCUACUGUGAAGAGCAAGGUCAUGCUGUGCAAGAAUGUCCCUACCUAAAAGCUGCAAUGAAGACAGAUGCUAGCAUGGCUAGAGCAACAGAGCUUAGGCUGUGAUCAACUUCGACCAGAAAAAGAAAAAGAAAACUCUCUUGCUACUACACAUUUGUAAUAUUGGUUACAUAGAUUAGUUUCUUGACAAAGAGAAUGGUGCAAUUUACAUUAGAGGACAAAAAGUAGUUAUUUCAUCAUGCAUUGAGUUGUGCCUGAUAUAAUGUUCUUCUUUUUCUGAAAUUACAAUUCCCCUUGUUGCUUAUGAUAUUGUUGCUGGCUCAUUGUACUUCCACCAUUGUAGCUUUUAUUUUGAAAGGUUUCCUUGGGACAACAAUGCAUGAUGUUGUUGCUGGCUACUUAAACAUACAAGUACAUUGAAGCAUCCUGUUUUAAAAACUUUUCCAUAAAAAACACACUGGAGAAACUGCAGCAAAAACUUUUGACAUGCCCGUUGCCACAUAGAAAGGAUAUUGCGUUACAUUUCCUUUUGUUUUAGUGAGAUUGAAAAGUUAUGAAGAUGAAGAGAAACAACAGCCCGACAAUCGCCCCAACCCCACCCUAUUGUUGCGAUUAUUCAACUUCACACACGAUUACAUGUGUGAGUACAGUGUAUUGACUUUCAUUGAUGAUGUCGAACUUCACUGUAAUUACUAAAUCCAUAUAAAAAAGGUGUAUAUUCACUGUAAUUACUAAUUCCAUAUGAUUAAUAGAGAUACUAGCAGAUACACUGUAACUACUUGUGAGAAAAAAAAGAUCUCAAGCCAGGUACAAUCAAAGUAUAUCAACAAUCUUCUUGAAAAGGCAAGUAAAAAACAAAUAAUCCUUGCAUAAGCUGACAAACAAUCUUGAAUAGGCUUCACAAAAAACAAAUCCUUGCAUACAGUCACACACUGAAACAUUCAUGUGCUUCAUUCAGAGUUGCAUUGUGAAAAAAGUUCAGUUGAGCUGGCUAGAAGAACAAGCUCUCAACUACACUCGAUCUGGCGACAAGAACAUGCUCCCAACUACACUCUAGCUAGCUACAAAAACUCGCGUCAGCAGUACUAGGCCACCGCCGCCAUGACUCCUCCUGUUGCAGAAGCUCGAAAACACCCAUCUAACGCUGAAGAAGCAGCUUCAGCUGAUGCGCGGGGUCCAACUUGUUGCUUGGGUGUCUCAACAGAUCUGCUGCAAUGCGUUUCCGAAGGUUUGGGAUGUAAUCCUAGGAAGCAAUAAGACAGGAAACAUAAAAAUUUAGUCAUGAAACAGAUCCCAAUCAAGUUGAGAAGAAUUACACAAAAAAAUAUGGUUUGCUAUCUAAAGAAAAUACCUCGCCAAAUGACAGCAUAACAAGGCCAUCCCAAUUCUCCACGUAUAAAAUACUAUAGUAGCCACAGUUAUAGCUGAAAAAAUAGAAGGUAUAUAGUUAUAAAAUGCAAAAGCAACUUUAGGUGAAAAAAUAGAAAAAUGUCUCUAAAUGCAAAAUAAACACAUAUUCUGCUGGGGUAAAAAUGCUUACUAAGUUUUUUGUUGAGGGUAAUCAAGUGGGGUGAAUAGCGAGUAAGACUCGAGAUUGUGCUUAAAAAGUGGCUCCCUCAUUGCAACACUCUUGAUGUUUGCGACCUGAUCAAACCCGAUAAAACAUGGACAAACAAAAUGCAUAAGUGUGUGGUGUGGAAAAGCAAAAAGAAGGAAAAGAUUUGUUGCGCCAAACUCCAACAGGAGCAUUACCACAUUCUUAGUGAUCCUGUCCAUCUCAAAAAGGUCUUCCGAGUUCCUAAUGGAGUCAAAGAUAUUGAACUCCUUUUGGGUGAUGUUAACAACUACUACUGCCCAGUGCCUUUUGUGUACAACCAUGAAGAAUAGCUGCAAUGCAUCAAAACAAAGCAGAACCAGAAAAUCCAUUUAGAAAAAAAUGUAAAAAAAUAGAAAAAGAAUGCAAGAUGGAACAAGAUAAGAACUUACCAGGUCAGAUUUUGAAAUGUGAUUUUGUAAGCAAGCAUUCUUAAAUUCUUUUUCGCACACCUUCGGAUCAAACACAUCUGGCUCAGCACUAAGUUUCAACUGAUGGAGAAAAUCACAAAACAAAACAAAAAUAUUAGAGGGCAGACCACAACUAUAUGAUAAAUCAAAAAAGCAUUGAAACAACAGAUAGAAAAAAAGAGAUUUGAACACUAACACUCAUCAACACUGAGAAAACAAUUUUUUUUGGCUUCUUCUUCUUCACUGACUGAUCAUAGUUGAAUGUCUUCAGGUAUAAGGUCAUGACCUCAUUGUCAAUAUCUGCUCUUGGCUUUAGAGAUGCAUGAAAAUUCUCGAGAGAUGUACGGAAGCCAUCUAUUUCAAUGAAGUCGGGCCUGCAAAAGAAAAUUUGUGUUGAUUUUAGAUAAAAACAGCAAGAGAUAUGCUCACAUAUCAAACUCUUUCAUCUAUGGAAACACAAAAAAAAAAUUCAGGCAAAAAUGAGUAAUAGAAAAGCAUCAUCAUAUGACUCACAGAAGCUCGUUUUUCUUUGGUUUUCUUGUCUUGUAUCUGGUCAUUACAUACUGAUGGUGUAAGGCAUCACCGUGUGCAUCAACCUUAAUCUUCUUCAUCGUUGGCACAUUGUCUGGGGAGACAGCCACCCUUUUCUUCUUUGACUGUUUACCAAGACUGUUGGACUCACCCCUGACCGCAACAUUCGCCUCGGUUGUCUCGUGCAAAUCCACUACUACUGCACAACAUUGCAACAACACAAAAAACAGAAAGAAAAAUGAGAAUGCAAAAAGGAAACGCACUGAGAAAACUCUUAGAUAAAAAGGAGCUUGUGUUCUGAAGCAAGAAAAAACCUUGAGGUCCAUCGGAGGAAGCGUUGUUGAAUGAGAUGGGGGACACAUCAAACACAGGCCCCGGAAUGUCGUUUGCCCUAGGGAGCUUUGGAGCUGUGUCAAAUGUUGCGGUUGGGAGGUUGCUAGGCCUUUCAACUUGAGGAGUGUUGUCAAAGUUUGGCACUGAUGGGAUUGAAUUCUGCACAUCAGAGCUAGAAGCAUUUGGUGUCUGCACAUGCUUGACUGGUAUGUCUACUUUUUGAUUCAUCCACUCAUAGUCUUCGGUCCCCUCCGAGAAAAGAGCACAAGAUGGGCCAUCUUCCCACUCCAAGGCAGUUACCAUCAUUGCCUGCACCGUGCCCUGGGAAAGAACUGGUGUUUCAACCUUAUCAGAAGCUCCCGAAGGAUCCAUGUUGCAAGCAUCUUUGGGGGUCACCUUUCCGCCCUGAUGUAUAACUUCCUCCUGCUCCACACAAUCCUUCCCAUGAGAAUGAUUGCUACUCUCACCUUGUUGCAACGCAGCAGCCCUGGAACGCUUAGCAACGCUUGUGCUUUGACCCACCCCCUGUUCCGCUUCCACCCCAACCUUCUCACCUAAUGCACCGGUCUCCACUACUUUGGGAGCAGCGACUACACCACCAGGUUGUGCCUUGUUCUGAUCAUCAGCACCUGCUUCUGCCCGGGAAUCAGGAUCCGAUAAUGGACACUUGGAAGAGUGGAUAGCAAUGCUUGCUGCAGUGGCUGUUGGGGUGCCAAAAGUCACCGCUCCCGUGCGCUCGACACUGCUUGUUGCAAUGACUCUUGGAGCGACAAAACCUUCAUCAUGUGCUCAUGGUUUGACACUGCAUUGGAGUGCGCUUCCAUCAACAUGAAACCCAACCGCUUGCAGAAAGUUGACUGCAGGACCUGCCCAAAAGAGGUAACAACAUUCUUCAACUCUGCCGUAUAGAGAUUUUUGUGCUUCUCAUAUAUAGGCUUCAAGUGCAAAGGUAUCUGGCACAGAAAAUAAGAAACAAACAAAUGGGGGUAAGCAUAAAUAAAAAUGAAAAAGAAGAUCAAAAGAACACAAAGAAGCAAAAUCAUGCACUAACAAAAGGUAGUGCAUUUCUACCUCUAACUCUUGGCAGGAAGGGAGCGGCUGCAGCCACUCAUCCAGAGAGACGCGAAACUUAGCACCUAAAUCACCCUCAACACUGACUUGAGUGUUGGCUUUGUCGGCUCUAUUAGUGAUAUUUGCCGGAUGAUGUUGAUUCUGACCCUCACAUUGCUUGUCCGCCUUCAGUACUGCAUAUGGCGUUUGAGACAAAGGACGAUGCUGCAUACAACAAUCACCAAAAGAAGAAAGUAAGAUGUUUAUCAUCGAAAGAAAUCUUAAAAAAAAGGAAGAUUGGGUCUGCUCUUACAUUGCGCUUUCCAAAAUCAACCUUCUCGAGGGUGAGCUUGUUCCUGUCAAAUUCUUUAACAAGCUCAAAAUCUGCAUUGCACACAAAGCAAGCCCUGGGCAGCGAGUAGUUGAACGUCUCCUCACUAAUCAAUGACCGAGGCACAUCCAGGAAAUCCAUGUAAAUUAACUACAUAUAUUUUUGAAAAAGAAAACAAAUCAGAAGGUUGUAUCGUACAUAUGAUUGUUGCGAGCAGAAUAAAAUAAAAUAAAGUAAAGCAAAAAUAUGAACCAAUGAAAACAUAGACAAAAUGAUUUGCGUUUGGCAUACCACGAACAUAGGUAGACAGCCGCCUAUCGAGAAGCCACUUGCCCCAGCCUCCCUCUUUAGUUGGUAAUUCCUCGCCUCCCUCAACGCAGUUGCCAACACAUGCUCGUCCCACGCAAACUCAUUCAAUUCAUCCAAGUCCUUCAAGCUAGCAAGGUAGUCCAACGAGACCAUGUUGCCGGUGCCAGGAACUAGCACGAGAGCAAGGCAUAAAAGAACCCAAGUCCUCUCUAAAGUAACAACAUCAUUAUCCGAUGCUUUCUUGAUUACAGAAAUGGAUUUCUUAAUUGGAGCCCUUGUGCCUUCUCGAUAUAUGUCGCGCAGCUCGCAAUGUUCGUUCCUCUUCAACAGCUCCACUACCCUUGGUCCGGAUGGGACAUUAAAAAAAAUUUGCACCAUGUCUCUAGUGAACAAUAUAGUCUUCUUUUUAUGGCUGACCAAAAGGCACAUGUCAAAUUUGAGAAAGAAGAACAUUGCUAUGCAAUUCCAAAUAAAGAACAUUGCAACAGAGACACACACAAAAUGAAAUGGGCUAGAGGGUGAUUUGAAGGUACCUGAACAAAGAAUGCUUAGUGUCAAUUCUCAUAACUACCCAGUCAAUCAGCUCAAGAGGUACAGAAAAUGGUCUGAUCUUCAACAACGAACCAAAACUCGACUUCUCUAGCACUGCCCUCUUGUUAGCAUUCAGCUCCUUCUCUGCAACCUCACGCAAACGGCUAGCUGAAAAGCGCGUUGAAAACGACCCAUCGGAAGAUUCAUCAUCAUCCAUUUUUGGAUCACUGCAAAAAAAAAAGAACAAAAAGGAAAUGUUCAGAACACCCAUUAACAACACUAAAAGCUAUAGAGAAGGAAUGCAUGAAAAAUCUGAAACUCGUGAAAAAAAUCUGAAAUAUACUUGGUCAUUGCAUGAAAAUGCUGGUUGGUCAUUCAUUUUAGGAGGCCACAUAAAAAAUGCAAUGUAGCAUCUUCACUAACUUCUGAAAGGGAAAACCUAUAUAGCUAUCACUAACAGAUAUCAAAUAAAAACAAACACAAACAACUACUUCUGCAAUUUCCAUGCAAUAUGGGUAAAAAUCCUGGGGUAACAUGUACUGCAAUGCAACACAACUGCCUCCUGAACAAACACAACAACAGACAAAACUACACUAAAAUCUACAACUCGCAAGUACUACAAAUGCAAAAAACCGUCUAAUCAUAUCUCUGCAUCACCAGACCUGCUACACACAUAAAAACAGCAGCAACCGUCUGCAUAAAUCCAUAUGCAGUCGACGACAUUGCAGCAUUAGUCGUGAGCACCACCGAAACCUGUCAAAAAAGCAGCAGCACACACACACACACGCCAUCAUUGAUGACCUUUAGCAAGGUGCAGUGCAAAAGACGUGGAAGAUUGCAACAAGCUUGAAACAGAGGCAGUUGCGAGCGCGAGAUCCCGUAGAGAGUGUAUGGGCUCUGGCAAAACUCCUGCUCCAGAUCCAGAACAAAGACCACCCCGCCUCUCCCAAAAAUAGAUGUCUACCGACGAGCCCGCCCCUAAAACUCCGGCGAGCCGGCGAUCCGCGUCCCCUAAAAUAGAUCGUCUGGCCUUUCUACUAUGAAUUUCUACUGCGGCCAUUUUCGUAUUAUUUUGGAGAAGGAUCGGAGGUACCUGUCCUGCAGAUUGUCGCCGUCCAUGUCUUCAGCCGCCUCCUCGCGGACCUCCUCGCGCGCCUCCCCUCGUCGACCUCGCGUCAGCUUCGCCGCCCCGGUAGCUGGAUGCCGCGACGACCGUCGCAUCGGAGAUUUGGAGCGAGCUUGGGCGAGAGGAACGAAGGGGAAAGUUGCGGUGUGGCGGAAGGGGGUGCGGGUGAGGGAAAACGCCGACCCGAUAGACGCGUCCUCAGCUCGCGUCGUGCACUACACCGGGUCCGUCGGAUCUCUCGUGAUCGGACGGUGCGCGAGGAGAUUUACGCGAGCGAGAGAUCAGUCGGUUGGAAAGAAGCGUUUUCCUAAAAAUACUACUUUAAUGUUGUAAAAGAAUUAUACCGCGCCGAGGUUGGAGAUGCUCUUAACCCAUUGUGUUUUUACUUUUUCCCGCCUUACUUCAAUUGGUUUUUCUUGCGCCUGCGUCUCCUUAUGUUAUAUGGAGUACCAUAUACAUAGAUCAUUUUUUGUGAAAAGGGGGAUUAUCCUGGCCUCUGUAUUUGGGCGAUGUGUGCAAUCAUUUUAUUAAUUAUUCACAAAGACUUUAUAAAGUAGUACAUCAGAUAGUUUGAAGUCACCAUCUUAGCAACAACUGUCGCUACUCAUAUCCACUUGAUGAAAGGGUGCCGAUAGUCCAAGCCCAAUACCAAACAGACAUCGCACCAAAGCCUAACAUCUAAAGCCGGAGGCCCCAACUGAGUCACAUACUGGGUUUGGGGUACAAACCAGUCCGAUGCACUCUCAUGUGUCAUCGCCAUCGCCUUCCAUCAAUCCAACUUCAGAGCAGAAACUAACGCAUCGACCUUGGCAGACCUCCCUACCAUCGACGCCACCAUGACGCCAGACAACGUCCUCCUCCUGCGCGAGUCGAUCUCCGCGCAUUGGACGCCGAGUCUCCACUGCACCACGUCGCCAAGAUCCGCCGCCAUCAAUGAGUGAGAUGAAGCACCGCUCCACCAAAGAAGUCGUCCACUGGUCCCUCGAGCCCGUGUACAUCUCCAAGAAUGACGCCCCAAGGGGGAAACGACACCAUAGCGUCGCCGGCAUCCGAUCUACUGAUUUAGGGUUUCUCCCGGAGUUAGCCGACAGAGAUCUGGAGCUUGUCCACGGUGAUGCCUUCUAGAAGGUAAUGACAGAAAAGAGUGCCGCCAUCGCCGGUCUUGGCAACAAGCCGAGAACGAGGUUUUCACCCGGAUCCGCUUGACGGACCCUCCAUCUCGCAUCGUGCGCACGGACCGCCACCUAUCUUCGCCGCCGCGGGGCGAGCAAGCCACUCUAGCCAUAUCAGAUCUGACCGGAGGGCCAACGACGCCCGCAGCCGACCAGUCCACCAAAGCCCUCCAAGCCGUCGCCGAUCCGAGGUGCCGCAAUGCCGCGGCCAAGUCCGCCGCCGCUCGCCCCGGCGAAGGCUUGGAUCCGGGGCGCACUUCCGCUUGCCAGGGUGCCCAGCGCCACCCUCGCGCGCGAGAAGGAGAGGCUCCUUAGCCCGGCAGCUACCUCCAGCGGCGGCGGAGGGGAGGGAUGGGAGGGGAGUGAUCGGUGGCUAAGGCUGGGGCCCCUCGGCCGCCGCACGUGGGGCGACGAUCGACGGAGAGGAGAGGAAGGGAGGAAGCAGCGGGCAGCGGCGCUCUCACGCGAUGGAGUUCAUAAUUUGCGCUUACGUCAUACGCGACGAAAUUCAUAAUAUGCGCUUAUGUCAUACGCGACGGAGUUCAUAUCUGAGCCGGAAGGCGAGCUUGUAUAUAUAUGGCGAAGAGAAGGGGAGACCAAUCCUUAUUCAACACCCUUUCUUCGACGGCCGAAAGAAGAUGGCGAUGGCAGCGCUCGCCGCUCGCAAACAUGCUCCAGUUGCCUUGGCUCGGCUUUACCCUUGACGCCGUCUUCCGUGAACCAAGCAUCUUGGGCGCGAUGAUAUAGUGGCUCUUGCUUGGCCUUUCCCUCGCUUCCGUUCGGCCAAGCAAGAAUUUGAUGGUGCUCCUGCUCCAGUGGUUCUGGUUUGGUGUCGCCCUCGCCCUUGCCCUCUCCCUCCUUGGGCCAAGCAAGAAGGCAUUGAUGCUCGAGUGGCUCUUCCUCGGCCUUGGCCUCGGCUUCGGCAUUGCCAUCGGUCCGUUGAGCAAGAACAAGAAGGCGGCGGUGGCAGCCCGGCCCCGCCGGAUGCUUGGAUGCGCUGCGCUAAUUAGGAUAGCUCCUUUGCCGGACCUCCUGCCAGAGUUGUUGGGCCAUGUGCUCCUGCGCAUGCCGUCACGCGCCGACAGCGUCCGCAUCUGCGUCGUUUGCCGCUCGUGGCGCUCCGGUGCGCCGCUGCCCCCGCUGCUUCCCUGGUUCGCCCUACGCGAGGGCAAGUUCCGCAGCCUCCCCGACGGUGCAGUCCGUCGCAUGCCUGUCCCCGACUAUGACGAUGUCCCCUACCGUGUGUCCACCGGCAGCAUGCUUUUCCUGGUGGACCACGACGGUAGGUGCUCCCUCAUGAGCCCUUCCUCCGGGAAGACAAUCCCUCUACAGAUCAACCCAGGUCACCUGGAGCUCAGGUCUCACGAGGACAUCCGCAAGGUGGUGGUGUCGGACGAUCUGCACACUGUUGUCAUUCUAACCACAAGCAAGACGAACUCGAAGAACGUCACCAUUUAUGCUUUUUGGCCACAAGGGGCCACAGCCAUGGAGUGGGCACCGCUCGUAAAUAGCCUCGCCUUGGACAUUUCACACUAUGUUCAAAUACGAAUCCAACUAUAUAAUCUUUGGAGACAUGCAUUCGUAUUUUAUUAGUUAAAUCAAACUUAUAAACCAGGACGGGGGUAUGCUACCUCUUGAGCAUGCGUUGGUUUUCCCUUGAAGAGCAAAGCGUGAUGCAGCAAAGUAGUGUAAGUAUUUCCCUCAGUUUUUGAGAACCAAGGUAUCAAUCGAGUAGGAGACAACGCACAAGUCACCUAGUACCUGCACAAACAAUCAAGACCUUGCAACCAACAUGAUAAAGGGGUUGCCAAUCCCUUCACGGCCACUCGCAAAAGUGAGAUCUAAUAAAGAUAGUAAAGUAAAUAUUUUUGGUAUUUUUGUUGUAUAGACUGGAAAGUAAAGAUUGCAAAAUAAAAGUAAAUAGGAAACUAGAACUAUAGAUCGGAAACUUAUAUGAUGUAGAAUAGACCCCGGGGCCAUAGGUUUCACUAGUGGCUUCUCUCAAGAUAGCAUGUAUUACGGUGGGUGAAUAAAUUACUGCCGAGCAAUUGAUAGAAAAGCGCAUAGUUAUGAAGUAUUCUAAGGCAAUGAUCAUGAAUAUAGGCAUCACGUUCGUGUCAAGUAGACCGAAACGAUUCUGCAUCUACUACUAUUACUCCACACACCGCUAUCCAGCAUGCAUCUAGAGUAUUAAGUUCAUAAGAACAGAGUAAUGCAUUAGGCAAGAUGACAUGAUGUAGAGGGAUAAACUAAAGCAAUAUGAUAUAAACCCCAUCUUUUUAUCCUCGAUGGCAACAAUACAAUACAUGCCUUGUUGCCCCUACUAUCACUGGGAAAGGACACCGUAAGAUUGAACCCAAAGCUAAGCACUUCUCUCAUUGCAAGAAAGAUCAAUCUAGUAGGCCAAACUAAACCGAUAAUUCGAAGAGACUUGCAAAAAUAUCAAAUCAUGCAUAUAAGAAUUCAGAGAAGAACCAAAUAAUAUUCAUAGAUAAACUUGUUCAUAAAUCCACAAUUCAUCGGAUCUCGGCAAACACACCGCAAAAGAGUGUUACAUCGAAUAGAUCUCCAAGAACAUCGAGGAGAACUUUGUAUUGAGAAUCAAAGAGAGAGAAGAAGCCAUCUAGCUAAUAACUAUGGACCCGAAGGUCUGUGGUAAACUACUCACGCAUCAUCGGAGAGGUUAUGGUGUUGAUGUAGAAGCCCUCCGUGAUCGAUUCCCCCUUCGGCAGAUUGACGGAAAAGGCCCCAAGAUGGGAUCUCACGGGUACAGAAGGUUGCGGCGGUGGAAAAGUGGUUUCGUGGCUCCCCCUGAUGGUUUUAGGGUAUAAGAGUAUAUAUAGGCGAAAGAAGUACGCCGGUGGAGCUUCGUGGGGCCCACAAGGGUGGGGGGAGAGCCUACCCCCCUGGGCGCGCCCUCCUGCCUCGUGGCCACCUCGCGGAGUUCCAGACUUCAACUCCAAGUCUUCUGGUUUGCUUUCGGUCCAAGAAAUAUCAUUGCAAAGGUUUCAUUCCGUUUGGAUUCCGUUUUGGUAUUCCUUGUCUGCAAAACACUAAAAUAGGCAAAAAAAACAAAAACUGGCACUGGGCCUCUGGUUAAUAGGUUAGUCCCAAAAAUAAAAUAAAAGAGCAUAUUAAAGCCCAUUAAACAUCCAAAACAGAUAAUAUAAUAGCAUGAAACAAUCAAAAAUUAUAGAUACGUUGGAGACGUAUCAAGCAUCCCCAAGCUUAAUUCCUGCUCGUCCUCGAGUAGGUAAAUGAUAAAAGCAUAAUUUUUGAUGUGGAAUGCUACCUAACAUAAUUUUCAAUGUAAUUCUCUUUAUUGUGGCAUGAAUGCUCAGAUCCGAAAGAUUCAAGAUAAAAGUUUAAUAUUGACAUAAAAAUAAUAAUACUACAAGAAUACUAACAAAGUAAUUAUGCCUUCUUAAAAUAACAUGGCCAAAGAAAGUUCAGCCCUACAAAAUCAUAUAGUUUGGCUAUGCUCCAUCUCCGUCACACAAAAUGUUCAAAUCAUGUACAACCCCGAUGACAAGCCAAGCAAUUGUUUCAUACUUUAGUAUUCUCAAACUUUGUCAACUUUCACGCAAUACAUGAGCGUGAGCCAUGAACAUAGCACUAUAGGUGGAAUAGAAUGGUGGUUGUGAAGAAGACAAAAAGAUGAAGAUGGUCUCACAUCAACUAGGUGUAUCAACGGGCUAUGGAGAUGCCCAUCAAUAGAUAUCGAUGUGAGUGAGUAGGGAUUGCCAUGCAACAGAUGCACUAGAGCUAUAAAUGUAUGAAAGCUCAACAAAAGAAACAAAGUGGGUGUGCAUCCAACUUGCUUGCUCAUGAAGACCUAGGGCAUUUGAGGAAGCCCAUCGUUGGAAUAUACAAGCCAAGUUCUAUAAUGAAAAACUCCCACUAGUAUAUGAAAGUGACAAAAUAAGAAACUCUCUAUCAUGAAGAUCAUGGUGCUACUUUGAAGCACAAGUGUGGAAAAAGGAUAGUAGCAUUGUCCCUUCUCUCUUUUCUCUCAUUUUUUUAUGGGCUUCUUUGGCCUCUUUUAUUUAUUGUUGGCUUCUUUGGCCUUCUUUUUUUCCCUCACACGGGACAAUGCUCUAGUAAUGAUGAUCACCACACUUCUAUUUAUUUACAACUCAAGGAUUACAACUCGAUACUAGAACAAAAUAUGACUCUGUAUGAAUGCCUCCGGUGGUGUACCGGGAUGUGCAAUGAAUCAAGAGUGACAUGUAUGAAAAAUUAUGAACGAUGGCUUUGCCACAAAUAUGAUGUCAACUACAUGAUCAUGCAAAGCAAUAUGACAAUGAUGAAGCGUGUCGUAAUAAACGGAAUGGUGGAAAGUUGCAUGGCAAUAUAUCUCGGAAUGGCUAUGGAAAUGCCAUAAUAGGUAGGUAUGGUGGCUGUUUUGAGGAAGGUAUAUGGUGGGUUUAUGGUACCGGCGAAAGUUGUGCGGCACAAGAGAAGCUAGCAAUGGUGGAAGGGUGAGAGUGCGUAUAAUCCAUGGACUCAACAUUAGUCAUAAAGAACUCACAUACUUAUUGCAAAAAUCUGCAAGACAUCAAAACCAAGCACUACGCGCAUGCUCCUAGGGGGAUAGAUUGGUAGGAAAAGACCAUCGCUCGUCCCCUACCGCCACUCAUAAGGAAGACAAUCAAAGAGACACCUCAUGCUUCAAAUUUGUUACACAGCGGUUACCAUACGUGCAUGCUACGGGACUUGCAAACCUCAACACAAGUAUUUCUCAAAUUCACAAUUACUCAACUAGCAUGACUCUAAUAUCACCAUCUUCAUAUCUCAAAACAAUCAUCAAGUAUCAAACUUCUCAUAGUAUUCAAUGCACUUUAUAUGAAAGUUUUUAUUAUACCCAUCUUGGAUGCCUAUCAUAUUAGGACUAAUUUUAUAGCCAAAGCAAAUUACCAUGUUGUUCUAAAAGACUCUCAAAAUAAUAUAAGUGAAGCAUGAGAGAUCAAUAAUUUCUAUAAAAUAAAACCACCACCGUGCUCUAAAAAGAUAUAAGUGAAGCACUAGAGCAAAAUUAUCUAGCUCAAAAGAUAUAAGUGAAGCACAUAGAGUAUUCUAAUACAUUCUGAUUCAUGCAUGUCUCUCCCAAAAGGUGUGUACAGCAAGGAUGAUUGUUGUAAACUAAAAAGCAAAGACUCAAAUCAUACAAGACGCUCCAAGCAAAACACAUAUCAUGUGGUGAAUAAAAAUAUAGCUUCAAGUAAAGUUACCGAUAGACGAAGACGAAAGAGGGGAUGCCUUCCGGGGCAUCCCCAAGCUUAGGCUUUUGGUUGUCCUUGAAUUUUACCUUGGAGUGCCUUGGGCAUCCCCAUGCUUAGGCUCUUGCCACUCCUUAUUCCAAAAUCCAUCAAACCUUUACCAAAAAACUUGAAAAUUUCACGACACAAAACUUAACCAGAAAAUCUCAUGAGCUCCGUUGGUAUAAGAAAACAAACCACCACUUCAAGGUACUGUAAUGAACUCAUUCUUUAUUUUUAUUGGUGUUAAACCUACUUUAUUCNNNNNNNNNNNNNNNNNNNNNNNNNNNNNNNNNNNNNNNNNNNNNNNNNNNNNNNNNNNNNNNNNNNNNNNNNNNNNNNNNNNNNNNNNNNNNNNNNNNNNNNNNNNNNNNNNNNNNNNNNNNNNNNNNNNNNNNNNNNNNNNNNNNNNNNNNNNNNNNNNNNNNNNNNNNNNNNNNNNNNNNNNNNNNNNNNNNNNNNNNNNNNNNNNNNNNNNNNNNNNNNNNNNNNNNNNNNNNNNNNNNNNNNNNNNNNNNNNNNNNNNNNNNNNNNNNNNNNNNNNNNNNNNNNNNNNNNNNNNNNNNNNNNNNNNNNNNNNNNNNNNNNNNNNNNNNNNNNNNNNNNNNNNNNNNNNNNNNNNNNNNNNNNNNNNNNNNNNNNNNNNNNNNNNNNNNNNCAAUCCGUAUCAUUUGAAUACUUCUAUAACUCCAAAAAUUCUGAUAAAAUAGGAAAUCCUAGAUAAUUUGUUUAUUAAUAUUAUUAAAAAAGAAUCAGUAUUUUAUCACGUUCUGGUGAUUUUUAACAAUUCUGGGACUGAGCACAAAGUUUCUGUUUUUACAGCAAGAUCAAAUUAACUAUCACCGUAGGUUAUCCCAUAGGUCUUACUUGGCACAAACACUAAUUAAAACAUAAAAUCACAUCUAAACAGAGGCUAGAUGAAUUAUUUAUUACUAAACAGGAACAAAAAGCAAAGAACAAAAAUAAAAUUGGGUUGCCUCCCAACAAGCGCUAUCGUUUAACGCCCCUAGCUAGGCAUAAAAACGAGAAUAGAUCUAGGUAUUAUCAUCUUCUCCCUUUUGGUGAUAAAGAGAGAAUUUCUUAUCUAAAGCACUUAUCUUUCUAUUUUGUGAAAGCACGUGGCCAUUAAUGGUAGAAUAAAGAUUAAGCACACUACAAAAAUUUGCAUGUAAGCUAGCCUUCAUCUCUUUGAUAAUUUCAUUCUGAUAAAAACACAAAAGAGAGGUGGAUUCAACCUUUGCACUCAUGGGGUGCCCAAAUAUAGCUUUCAUCUUUUCAUAGGGAUCAAUGGCAUCCCCCUCAAGAAAACCUUCUUCAAAAAUAGAAUCCAAAACUUGCUUGAAAGAAGAGGGUAAGCCAACAUAAAAACUUUUCAAGUAUACCUGGAUUUGAUAUUGGGGCACAUAGCUGCCUCGGAUCCUUAAUAGCCUAUCCCAAGCAUCUUUCAAAGAUUCAUCAAGCAAAUAGCGAAAGAUUCUGGGGUCAUCUUCAUCAAAAUUAUUCAAGCUUUCAUUGAUAACCCCGAUAGGUCUUUCCAUAGCAUCACUAUUUAUGUGCUUAGAAAGGAUAGAGGGACUAUCCAAAGUAUUAAAAACCUGGGAGGAAACCCUUAGCCCCUUUUGGUUCGGCCAUAGGGAUAGAAAGGCAAACUUAAGCGAACAAGAGGACAAAGAGAAAAGGCAAAGGUUUUCGAAAAUCAUUUUAGAAGUGGGGGAGAGGAAAACGAGAGGCGUAUGGCAAAUAAUGUAAUGCAAGGGAGAAGAGUUUAUGAUGGGUACUUGGUAUGUCUUGACUUGACGUAGAUCUCCCCGGCAACGGCGUCAGAAAUCCUUCUUGCUACCUCUUGAGCAUGCGUUGGUUUUCCCUUGAAGAGGAAAGGGUGAUGCAACAAAGUAGUGUAAGUAUUUCCCUCAGUUUUUGAGAACCAAGGUAUCAAUCCAGUAGGAGACAACGCACAAGUCACCUAGUACCUGCACAAACAAUCAAGAACCUUGCAACCAACGCGAUAAAGGGGUUGUCAAUCCCUUCACGGCCACUCGCAAAAGUGAGAUCUAAUAAAGAUAGUAAAGUAAAUAUUUUUGGUAUUUUUGUUGUACAGAUUGGAAAGUAAAGACUGCAAAAUAAAGUAAAUAGGAAACUAGAAUUGUAGAUCGGAAACUUAUAUGAUGUAAAAUAGACUCGGGGGCCAUAGGUUUCACUAGUGGCUUCUCUCAAGAUAGCAUGUAUUACGGUGGGUAAACAAAUUACUGCCAAGCAAUUGAUAGAAAAGCGCAUAGUUAUGAAGUUAUCUAAGGCAAUGAUCAUGAAUAUAGGCAUCAUGUCCGUGUCAAGUAGACCGAAACGAUUCUGCAUCUACUACUAUUACUCCACACAUCGACCGCUAUACAACAUGCAUCUAGAGUAUUAAGUUCAUAAGAACAGAGUAACGCAUUAGGCAACAUGACAUGGUGUAGAGGGAUAAACUCAAGCAAUAUGAUAUAAACCCCAUCUUUUUAUCCUCGAUGGCAACAAUACAAUACGUGCCUUGCUGCCCCUACUGUCACUGGGAAAGGACCCAAAGCUAAGCACUUCUCUCAUUGCAAGAAAGAUCAAUCUAGUAGGCCAAACUAAACCGAUAAUUCAAAGAGACUUGCGAAGAUAUCAAAUCAUGCAUAUAAGAAUUCAGAGAAGAACCAAAUAAUAUUCAUAGAUAAACUUGUUCAUAAAUCCACAAUUCAUCGGAUCUCGGCAAACACACCGCAAAAGAGUAUUACAUUGAAUAGAUCUCCAAGAACAUCGAGGAGAACUUUGUAUUGAGAAUCAAAGAGAGAGAAGAAGCCAUCUAGCUAAUAACUAUGGACCCGAAGGUCUGUGGUAAACUACUCACGCAUCAUCGGAGAGGCUAUGGUGUUGAUGUACAAGCCCUCUGUGAUCAAUUCCCCCUCCGGCAGAUCGCCGGAAAAGGCCCCAAGAUGGGAUCUCACAGGUACAGAAGGUUGCGGCGGUGGAAAAGUAGUUUCGUGGCUCCCCCUGAUGUUUUUUAUUAACCGUAUGUGUACGUGGCCUUUCGUGCUCCUCUCGCACGUCUUGUCACCCCGCUGCCACAGACAGCUUAUAGCGCAAGCUUGCGCAGCGCGCGGGGGCGUUCUUUUGGCCAAACGGUGGCGCCAAUGAAUCGUCGGUGAGCCCGUUCCCGCGCAACCUCGCAGGUUCCCGCGCAAGCUUCCCGCCUGACUCGGUGAAAUCCCCCAAAAUCCCAUGCUUACCGGCCUGCUAUAUAACCCUCACGGCCGGCGCGUCCUGCGUCACAUUCCCCCCCUCCCUGUUGGUUAUCUCGUCUGCUUCUCCCACAAUCGCCAAUGGCACCGGUCCGUCAUCGUCGCUCAGCCACUCCGCUGUCAUCAGAGGACAGCUCCAGCUGGGAGGCUACACCGCGGCGGCGACGUAGUCCCCGGCGUAGUGUAGUGCGCGUGGCGUCCCUGUUGGGUGUGCGCGGAACACCCACUACACGCUCCGCCGCCGCUGCCCGUCGGCAGCCGUUGCCAGUCGCUGUUGCCGCCACACCACCGUCGAAAUACAGGGCCAUCUCCCGCUCCGCCGCCGUGGCCCAAAGGUGGGAGGUGGCCAUCGUGGCCGCCACCCCACUGCCGGCCACCAUGGCCAUCACCCGCUCCGCCACCGCGGCCCGAAGGCGGGAGGUGGUGGUCCUGGCCGCCACCCCAUGGCCGGCCGCCGUGGCCGCCACCCCAUCGUUGGUCGCCGUGGCCGCCAGCCCACCGUUGACCGCCGGGGUCAUCACCCGCUCCGCCACCGCCGCCCGAAGGCGGGAGGCGGAGGUGGAUGCCCUCACAUGCGUCAGCGACCUUGCGCGCUACACCGAGUUCCUACGGGAGGAGGAGGAGCGCCUCGUCGAGCACGCAAAGAGCCUUACCGCCGCCGUGGUCGCGACACACGCAGCCUUAGAGGCGAGGAAUCAGGAGAUCUACGAGGAGAACCACCGCUUCGAGAGGGGUCGUCUGGAGCGGCAGAGGGCGUUCGAGGUGAGCGUCACAGAAGCUGCAGCUGCGGCAGGCACCGUUGUAACGCCCCGAGACCGACGCUCCAGGCGCCUGCCAUGUUUUGCGUGACCAUCGUGUGUUUUAUUGUUUGUUGCAUUCAUCAUCGCAUCAUCCGCAUUGCAUCGGCACUCGUUGUCGUCAUUGUUUUUAAAACUUGCAUUCGUUCGUAGUUGCCGUGUUUCCCCCUUGUCUUCGUUGACCGUUCCAAGACCAACCGUGUUUUCGGUUCCCUCUUGUCUAACCAACUAACCUCUCUUGUCAGCCCGCGAUCCCCUCCCGCGCGUCCGAAGGUUGUCCCGUACCCGACCCGGUUUGUUGUUACCGUUGGAUUCGAAUCAUCCCCAAACAUCUACAAAACAUCUUCGUUUUCUUAUUUGGACUCCCUACCUAUUAUUUUCUCGAUCGUCCGAUUUUAAUCAGAGGGACCAAAUGCCCCUAUCAAAAAUUCACUUGUUAUAUAUAUAGACCUCCGUCUCCAUUUUUAGACCAAACCCUAAUUUCUAGGGAUCCUACCCUAGCGCCGCCACCACUCUUCCUCGAGAUCUGUCUGAUCCUUCCACCCACCUUCUCCUCGAUCUCCCCACCAGCCCAACCGGAGCGCUCGAACAAGUCUCCUCCUUCCUCGGGAUCGAUCCAGAUCCUACCUGCCAAAUCCCCUCUCAAUCCACCUCGCCGGUGCCUCCUCCUCCAAAUCCGAACGGGAGAGGAGCUCCCGAUCUGAAGCCUCUUUGCGGCUGCUGUCCAGCGCGCCCGUGCCAAGGCCUCGCCCCUUCCUCCUCUGCCUGAUGCCCACCAUCCUCGCAGUCUCCUGCAACUUCCCAUUAUCGCGACCCCGUUCGCCUCCUCGAGCCGAAGCUCGCCGCCGCCGGCGACAGCAACAGCAACAUCGUCGUCGCCCUCCUCCUCUCCUCCCGUGCGCGCGUCCACUCAACCUCGUCGCCCCUGCUCGUCUUCAUCUCGCGCACCGCGUUGCUCCCCUUCCCCGAGCACCUCGUCCCCGCCGUCGCUAGUCGCCGGAGCCAGCACGCCAUCCUCGUCCGCGCCCCUGCCUCGCCGUCCCCUACGCCUCAAGCUCCUCCUGCCGGAGCCCCGAGUCCACCUCUGCCCCGCGUGGCCGUCCCUUUCCUGCGCCUCCCCGCCAGUUCCGCGUCGCCUCCCCAUGCCCGGGAGCCCGCGCCGGCCAUCUUCCUCGUCGGAGUGCCCCGCCAAGUCCCACGCCGCCCCGCCUGCUCCUUCAAGUCCUGCCAGCUAUAUCGCCUCGCCAAGUCCGCCGCCGUCGCCCAAGGCCCUCGGCUUCGCCGCCUCGCCAAGUCCCUAUCAAUAUGCUACUCGUUGCAUAUUGAGCUCCAUUUAAUUUGUAGUUUUGUUUGUUGCAUUUUCCCAUGCCAUGCCUCAUUUAAACCGGACAUGCAUCAUACUUGUUUGUGCAUCAUGCCUUGUGUAUGUAGUGGUUGUUUACUAUGUUGUUUGUUUCUUUCCAGGUUGCUUCUCUUGUUAGCUUCGGUUUCUUUCCGGAGUUGUGAGGAUUCGUUCGACUCCAUCCGUUUGUCUUCUUCAUGGACUCGCUCUUCUUCCUUGCGGGAUCUCAGGCAAGAUGACCAUACCCUCGAAAUCACUUCUAUCUUUGCUUGCUAGUUGUUUGUUCUAUUGCUAUGUUGCGCUACCUACCACUUGCUAUAUCAUGCCUCCCGUAUUGCCAUGUCAAGCCUCUAAUCCACUCUUCCUAGCAAACCAUUGUUUGGCUAUGUUACCGCUUUUGCUCAGCCCCUCUUAUAGCGUUGCUAGUUGCAGGAGAAGAUGAAGAUUGCUCCAUGUUGGAUUAUGUUUAUGUUGGGAUAUCACAAUAUCUCUUAUUUAAUUAAUGCAUCUAUAUACUUGGUAAAGGGUGGAAGGCUCGGCCUUAUGCCUGGUGUUUUGUUCCACUCUUGCCUCCCUAGUUUCCGUCAUACCGGUGUUAUGUUCCUUGAUUUUGCGUUCCUUACGCGGUCGGGUGAUUUAUGGGACCCCCUUGACAGUUCGCUUUGAAUAAAACUCCUCCAGCAAGGCCCAACCUUGGUUUUACCAUUUGCCUACCUAAGCCUUUUUCCCUUGGGUUCUGCAGACUCAAGGGUCAUCUUUAUUUUAACCCCCGGGCCAGUUCUCCUUCGAGUGCUGGUCCAAACCGAGCAAUGUCCGGCGCCCCCUGGGCAACCAGGGUCUAUGCCAACCCGACGUCUGGCUCAUCCGGUGUGCCCUGAGAACGAGAUAUGUGCAGCUCCUAUCAGGAUUUGUGGGCACAUUCGGGCGGCUUUGCUGGUUUUGUUUUACCAUUGUCGAAAUGUCUUGUAAACCGGGAUUCCGAGACUGAUCGGGUCUUCCUGGGAGAAGGUUUAUCCUUCGUUGACCGUGAGAGCUUAUGACGGGCUAAGUUGGGACACCCCUGCAGGGUAUUAUCUUUCGAAAGCCGUGCCCGUGGUUAUGUGGCAGAUGGGAAUUUGUUAAUAUCCGGUUGUAGAGAACUUGACACUUGACCCUAAUUAAAACGCAUCAACCGUGUGUGUAGCCGUGAUGGUCGCUUCUCGGCGGAGUCCGGGAAGUGAACACGGGUUCUGGGUUAUGUUUGACGUAAGUAGGAGUUCAGGAUCACUUCUUGAUCAUUGCUAGUUCACGACCGUUCCGUUGCUUCUCUUCUCGCUCUUAUUUGCGUAUGUUAGCCACCAUAUAUGCUUAGUGCUUGCUGCAGCUCCACCUCACUACCCUUUCCUUCCUAUAAGCUUAAAUAGUCUUGAUCUCACGGGUGUGAGAUUGCUGAGUCCUCGUGAGUCACAGAUACUUCCCAACAGUUGUAGGUGCCGAUGAUACCAGUGCAGAUGACGCAACCGAGCUCAAGUGGGAGCUCGAUGAAGAUCUUGUUCGUUGUGUUGUUCUUUUCUUGUUGAUCAGUGGUGGUGCCUAGUUGGGACGAUCAGGGAUCUAGCAGUUGGGUUGUCUUCUUUUAUUUUGGUUCCGUAGUCGGACCUAUGUGUGUAUCUUGAAUGAUGUAUGUUUCUUUUAUGUAUUGUGUGAAGUGGCGAUUGUAAGCCAACUCUUUAUCCCAUUCUUGUUCAUUACAUGGGAUUGUGUGAAGAUGACCCUUCUUGCGACAAAACCACAAUGCGGUUAUGCCUCUAAGUCGUGCCUCGACACGUGGGAGAUAUAGCCGCAUCGUGGGUGUUACAAGUUGGUAAUCAGAGCCAUCCCCGACUUAGGAGCCCCCUUCUUGAUCGAAUCGCUGGCGUUGUUGAGUCUAGAACAAAAAUGUUUUGAGUCUUAGGAUUAUAUAUAUCGGAGAGUAGGAUUCUUUUUACUCCUCAGUCCCUUCGUCGCUCUGGUGAGGCCUCCUGACGUAGAAGUUUUGACUAUUCUCUCCUCAAAUUUCACUAAAAAAUUUUUUAGGAUCACGCGGGUAUCUUAGAAUCGUUCCGAUGGUUUUGUGAUGGGAACAUUGUUCUUGGUGCCUCCUGACAUUUAGGGGUUGUGGCAGUGUCCCGGGGAGUUGAGCUCCGAGGUGUUGUCGUCACAAUUUUAUCGUUGCAGUUCUGGAAUACCUGAGUUUCGCCGACAUCGAAAUCUCUUUUAUGCAGUUGUUGGUGAGAUCACCUUGACGCCACCCAGUACUGGGGCCGGAGUUCGGGAGUAUUGCCAUAACUAGUAUAACGGAUGCUUUUCGAAGGUUGAGGUAAACGAUUUCCGGAGUUUUCUUGGUUAUGUGUUGACGAAUGGAUACAGCUGGAUCUAGGUAUUGUUAGUUUGGGUGAUAUAUUUUGUGUCCCCUGUAUCCCCAACACCAGAUUGCAUAACCAGAAAGUUUCGGGAGUUUAUAAGUGGGAAUUCAAGUAGCCUUAGGAUAUCUUUCCGACAGACGCAUGAUAUGAGAUUGGGGUUCGACGUCUAGUGGUCCGCCUGUACACGGUUGAUUUAAAGUGGUCUCGUAGUGUCUUAAAGAGUCCUUGGCUAUGUCGACUCUGGGACGCUUCGUAUGUCAUGUGCACAGCCUUGUACAUGAUGGUGCUGUACGAUCGAGCCCGUGUGGGCCCCACCACGAAAACUUUGGAUGAAAUCUCUAUCAUAUGUUUGUUCCGGCUUAUUCUGCAAGCCAAAUCCCUUGUUUUGUUUUAUUUGUGGUAUUCGAGUUGCUUCAAUGACAAGUGUUGAUUCCAUACCUUAUUCUAAGUGGUGUUCUCAUAUUUCUAUGCGGAUGAUAAUCCUUCUUGAUCAUCGAGAUCGUCAUGUUAAUUCCUUCCAACCGGCGUGUUUCUCUUCAAGUGCAUCUAGUCAUUCCAACAUUCGCAAGAUCACCUCUCAGUUUUCUCAACGUUGUUUGUUUCAUCUGCCCCAAGUUGCCUUUGUUUUCCCGCCCUCCCACCCUCUUUUUUCAGGACUCAGAUGUCUUAAUCAAGUAUCCAUUUUAUUCACGUGAAGCCCCUUCAUUCUUUUCCGUGAAUGUUCUUAUCCGGUGAUUUUCCAUGAAGAUGCUCACGAAACUUCAAGUUCAUCAUUCUUCAUUCUCGUAUUCUUUUCCGGUGGAUUCAAUUCAAGCUUUCGGUGUUGAUCAUAUUCCCUUCCUCGUUUCAAGUGUUUUCGUAUGUUGGUUCAUCUCUUAAUCAUUCCCCGUUUGCUAUUCAAUUGUUCCGGAGUGCUGAAGUUAUCCCAGAGGAUUCAAGUUCCCAUUCUCAAUUCACUCAAGUUUUGUUGAGGAUGCUAUCUCAUUCAAGCCAUUUAAUUCAACUAGUGCAAUCUCUCUUUUAAAUCAUUUCAACGGUGUUUCUCUUGAGUGGGCCCUAACCCACAGGUAUUUACCCAGGAUCUUACCUGACUCUUCUAAUUUUUCUGGAGUUAUUCUCAAAUUCAUUGCAAAGUUUGACGUAAGAAUGAAUUAUCAUCAGUCAAAUGUCUUUCUCCAAGAUCUUUUAAAUUCUUUUCGUCAUUGGUUCAACCUUUCCAAUUUUCAUUCCGGAGUGCCUCAAUAAUUCUUGAUGGUGUUUCUCAUCAUCAUUCUCAACAUUUGAAGACCGAAGAAGAGUUUUUCCUCCAAAUCUUAUCCGUUCUCUUGAAGAUUCAUAGUUCUAGCUUAUGCCAUCCUCUCAUAGUUGUUUUCGAUUGUGAGAAUUCUUUUCAUACCCAUCCGGAGCAUUUCAUGAGUUGUUUUCAUUUCUUGAUCAUCCAAAGGCCAUCUUUUCAGAAGAUUUCUUCGUUCUAAGUUUUCAGCCUCGUUCUCCAACUAUUCUAAAUUGAUGUCUCUUCGUUCUUCUCCAAAUCUUACCGGUGCAUGAUUCAAGUAUUCUCUAUUCAGCUCGUCAUCUAUUCGUUCACUUGUAUCUAAAUCCCCUCAAGUAUCUUCUUUCGUUUUCCAAUUCUUCCCGGUGAAUUGUGACUUUGCUACUUUCAUUUCCAAUUCUUAUGGUGGUUCAUUCAAGAUUUCUCUUCCUUCGUCACAUAUCAAGUUAUUCGUUGUUUCAAUCCUACCGGUGGUUCGAUGAAGGCCUUCCCAAGUCCCUAUCGCCGCCCCUGCUUCCCCUGCUUCGAGCGAGACGGGACGACGCGCCCCUGCUCCUCGCGUUGACCGCGCCUCCAGCACCUGGGCCAGCAUCCUCCAGCCCCAAGCGCCCACUUCGUCAGCUCGAGCGGCCAGGCCUGCAGCCAGCUCCACCCACGGGCCAAGGCCCAUGGUGAGCCUCCAGCGCCCCUGCUCCUAUGGGCCCAGCCAGUUUCAGCCCGAUGUGAGCAACUCCCCAGCCCCUCUCAGUUUUGGCCCGAGUCACUGUUUUUUUUCCUGCGAACGAUUUGUCUAAUUAUCCAGUGAAUUGCUGUUUUACAGAAAACCCCCUAGUGUUCGUGCAUAUAAUAACUCUUUAACCGUGCAUCGGAUUAAAAUGAUUUAAACAUGUAAAAUGCUCAGAAUUUCAUCUAGUUUCAUAAUAUGCAACUUUCAUCCCAUGUUAAAAUGUUUAAAAUGCUGUUUAUUUAAUUUUGCAUAAAUGCCAUAUUAAAAUGAUUUAUUUCAUAACUAAUUAACCGUAACUCAGAAUUUAAUAAACUUUAUAUGUAAAUGGGGUAGAAAAAUGCCUAGUUUAACAUGGUGCACUUAAUUUUGCUGUUUAACAACAGUAAAAUUGCGUUUAUGGCAGAACAGUACCAUAACCAAAAUAUGCACAUGAGGAUUUUUCGGAAUUGUCGUUUGUUAUUUCCAGCCUCAUUUAAACUUGCCUAGAUAGGAUGUUUAAUUAUGCUUCACCUCUUGCCAUGGUUAACAACAUUUAAUAUUGCUGGGUACAUAAACGAGAGAGAAAUAAAUAAUUAAAUGUGGUGUUUCAUCAAUAUGCUACUCGUUGCAUAUUGAGCUCCAUUUAAUUUGUAGUUUUGUUUGUUGCAUUUUCCCAUGCCAUGCCUCAUUUAAACCAGACAUGCAUCAUACUUGUUUGUGCAUCAUGCCUUGUGUAUGUAGUGGUUGUUUACUAUGUUGUUUGUUUCUUUCCGGGUUGCUUCUCUUGUUAGCUUCGGUUUCUUUCCGGAGUUGUGAGGAUUCGUUCGACUCCAUCCGUUUGUCUUCUUCAUGGACUCGCUCUUCUUCCUUGCGGGAUCUCAGGCAAGAUGACCAUACCCUCGAAAUCACUUCUAUCUUUGCUUGCUAGUUGUUUGUUCUAUUGCUAUGUUGCGCUACCUACCACUUGCUAUAUCAUGCCUCCCGUAUUGCCAUGUCAAGCCUCUAAUCCACUCUUCCUAGCAAACCAUUGUUUGGCUAUGUUACCGCUUUUGCUCAGCCCCUCUUAUAGCGUUGCUAGUUGCAGGAGAAGAUGAAGAUUGCUCCAUGUUGGAUUAUGUUUAUGUUGGGAUAUCACAAUAUCUCUUAUUUAAUUAAUGCAUCUAUAUACUUGGUAAAGGGUGGAAGGCUCGGCCUUAUGCCUGGUGUUUUGUUCCACUCUUGCCUCCCUAGUUUCCGUCAUACCGGUGUUAUGUUCCUUGAUUUUGCGUUCCUUACGCGGUCGGGUGAUUUAUGGGACCCCCUUGACAGUUCGCUUUGAAUAAAACUCCUCCAGCAAGGCCCAACCUUGGUUUUACCAUUUGCCUACCUAAGCCUUUUUCCCUUGGGUUCUGUAGACUCAAGGGUCAUCUUUAUUUUAACCCCCGGGCCAGUUCUCCUUUGAGUGCUGGUCCAAACCGAGCGAUGUCCGGCGCCCCCUGGGCAACCAGGGUCUAUGCCAACCCGACGUCUGGCUCAUCCGGUGUGCCCUGAGAACGAGAUAUGUGCAGCUCCUAUCAGGAUUUGUCGGCACAUUCGGGCGGCUUUGCUGGUUUUGUUUUACCAUUGUCGAAAUGUCUUGUAAACCGGGAUUCCGAGACUGAUCGGGUCUUCCUGGGAGAAGGUUUAUCCUUCGUUGACCGUGAGAGCUUAUGACGGGCUAAGUUGGGACACCCCUGCAGGGUAUUAUCUUUCGAAAGCCGUGCCCGUGGUUAUGUGGCAGAUGGGAAUUUGUUAAUAUCCGGUUGUAGAGAACUUGACACUUGACCCUAAUUAAAACGCAUCAACCGUCUGUGUAGCCGUGAUGGUCGCUUCUCGGCGGAGUCCGGGAAGUGAACACGGGUUCUGGGUUAUGUUUGACGUAAGUAGGAGUUCAGGAUCACUUCUUGAUCAUUGCUAGUUCACGACCGUUCCGUUGCUUCUCUUCUCGCUCUUAUUUGCAUAUGUUAGCCACCAUAUAUGCUUAGUGCUUGCUGCAGCUCCACCUCACUACCCUUUCCUUCCUAUAAGCUUAAAUAGUCUUGAUCUCGCGGGUGUGAGAUUGCUGAGUCCUCGUGACUCACAGAUACUUCCCAACAGUUGCAGGUGCCGAUGAUACCAGUGCAGAUGACGCAACCGAGCUCAAGUGGGAGCUCGAUGAAGAUCUUGUUCGUUGUGUUGUUCUUUUCUUGUUGAUCAGUAGUGGUGCCCAGUUGGGACGAUCAGGGAUCUAGCAGUUGGGUUGUCUUCUUUUAUUUUGGUUCCGUAGUCGGACCUAUGUGUGUAUCUUGAAUGAUGUAUGUUUCUUUUAUGUAUUGUGUGAAGUGGCGAUUGUAAGCCAACUCUUUAUCCCAUUCUUGUUCAUUACAUGGGAUUGUGUGAAGAUGACCCUUCUUGCGACAAAACCACAAUGCGGUUAUGCCUCUAAGUCGUGCCUCGACACGUGGGAGAUAUAGCCGCAUCGUGGGCGUUACAACCGUAUUGCAGUUGUCUAGCUCGUCGGUAGGCUCCUCCUCCUUUGCCUCUUACUGAGCACGCUUGGCAGAGGAGAGGCGGCCGGAAGUAGUACAAAGCCCCUCUGUAGUAGUAGUAGUACUAUUGAGGGGCUAUUUUAUUCAGUUCAUGUGACUAUAGAUGUGGUGGAACUGUACAACGUACUUAGAAUUAGCUAGUAUAUAUAGUUGAACUAUCUAUUUCAGUACGUGGUUGGCAACAAUUGGGGAAAAGUUUGGUCGUUUCAGCUGUCGAGUUGAACUGUUUGUAUAAAUUAAGAACGACUGCUUAAUCUUUGAAUGAAAUAUAUGCUUAUUUACUGAAUUUUAGUUGCAAAAAUAAGAUACAGCUAGUGAUUUUUAGCUUCAUAUUUUGACAAAUCACAGCGUUACAAGGAUUGACAAAUGGCAAUGUUACUAGAUCAACACAUGUCAAUCUUUCCAGUUUGACAAAUGGCAACAUACCCAAUAUGACAGAUGCAAAUCUUACCAAAUUGUUUGUAAGUGGUUGCACACGGGUCAUCCAAAAGAACCGUUUGCAUUGAAGAGAUGCACAAAUCCUGCUCUCACUUUGCAUACAGUGUUCUAUCUAAAACGUUUGUGAUCAAGAGCCGCAAAAAUCCUGUUCUACACCUUUUCCCUUGGCUUCCUGGGGAAGCUCCCGGUUUGCAUACAGGUGUUCUAACUAAAACGUUUGCGAUGAUUGUUUUAUAUUUAAAAACCAUUGACUUUUUUUCAAAAGAAAAUCGUUUGAUAAGUCUGUACAGUUUGCUCAAACCAUAUCUUUCAUUCAGUCAUACUGCGAAUUUAUAUUAAUAUGAUCGAGAUAUAGUAUUAAACCCAAGGAAAAAAACUAUUUCCAACGGCGGUGGAGGCGGCGUGCCGCGCCGUCGUUGUCGUUGUCGUCCUCCAGGACGCUCGUUAACGUUCAACGAUGGUGUCCCAUGCCGCUGAGGGGGGCGCGCGCAUGCAGAGGAAGGCGGGCGGCCACGGAAGUCAAAGGGCUCGCUUCCCAGUGAGCCUGCAUAGCAUACAGCUCGCAUGCUUCCCAGUGAGCCUGCCCAUUCGAGGACAUCUUGCAUGCCUCUCGGUCAGCCUGCGCACCGGACUGCGCUCGCACGCCUCCCAUUCAGUCAAGGUCAAGCAGCUGUCCGCACGACACCUCCUACAGCCAUUAAAAGCAUGACAUGUGGCGUCACGUGAAUGGUUAACAGAACGCACAUGGUUUGAAUUAUACAAACGUUUGAGAUAUUAAAGUGGCAGCUAUUUUUUCAAAAUGCCUUUGUUGGCUGUCAUUAUUCGAGUGCGCCUUCUCUCAAAAUGGACACAAAAAAUACCACAACAUGUCGGGUGCCAUUCCAUGAUAGCAUGCCAAGUUUCAUGAAUUUCAGACGGGUUUUGGAUUUACUAGAAUUUAAAGAUAAAGUAUGUCAAUGUUUUGCCGGCAAUCAACGGUGCCCUGGUGUUUGAAAUUCAUUCCCAUUUCUUGCAUGGGACCUAAUCAUGCACCCAAGGACACAUAUUUGAUUUUCAACCAAUUUAUAUGCACUGGAGCAUGUGCAUGUAGUUCAAAUUUGAAUUAUGCACAUAAAUGCAUUGAAAACUCAGUUAAUCCAUAAAAAUGUCCAGACGAACCCCGAAAAAUCAAAAAAAAUUGACACAAUACUCCUGUUGUUCUAUGUUGACACGAGAAUUUUUUUGAAACCAAUAAGAGGCAAUGGAUAUCGUUUCGUCCCCAAAGGUGGGACGUUCCCUAGCGAAACCAUCAUGCUUGUUAUGAGAAGCUCUGGUUUGUGUGAAGCAUAUACCCAAACCUGCCCCAAAUGGGACAAAUUUUUUACCACGGCAUGUUGAUGCCGCUCCAUGAUAGCAUGCCAAGUUUCAUGAAUUUCAUAUGAGUUUUGUAUUUACUAGAAUUUAAAAAUAAAGUAUCUCAAUGUUUUGCCGGCAAUCAACGGUGCCCUGGUGUUUGAAGUUCUUUCCCAUUUCUUGCAUGGGACCUAAGCAUGCACCCAAGGCCACAUAUUUGAUUUUUCAACCAAUUUAUAUGCACUGGAGCAUGUGCAUGUAGUUCAAAUUUGAAUUAUGCACACAAAUGCAUUGAAAACUCAGUUAAUGCAUAAAAAUGUCCAAACAAACCCCCCAAAAUCACCAAAAUUGACACAACACUCCUGUUGUUCUAUGUUGGCACUAGAAAUUUUUUGAAAGCAAUAAGAGGCAAUGAAUAUCGUUUCAUCCCCAAAGGUGGGAUGUUCCCUACCGAAACCAUCAUGCUUGUUGUGAGAAGCAUAUACCCAAACCUGCCCCAAAUGGGAAAAAAAUUACCACGACAUGUUGAUGUCGCUCCAUGAUAGCGUGCCAAGUUUCAUGAAUUUCAGACGAGUUUUGGAUUUACUAGAAUUUAAAAAUAAAGUAUCUCAACGUUUUGCCGGCAAUCAACGGUGCCUGGUGUUUAAAAUUCAUUCCCAUUUCUUGCAUGGGACCUAAGCAUGCACCCAAGGACACAGAUUUGAUUUUCAACCAAUUUAUAUGCACUGGAGCAUGUGCAUGUAGUUCAAAUCUUAAUUAUGCACAUAAAUGCAUUGAAAACUCAGUUAAUGCAUAAAAAUGUCCAAACGAACCCCGAAAUAUCACAAAAAUUGACACAACACUCCUGUUGUUCUAUGUUGACACGAGAAAUUUUUUGAAAGCAAUAAGAGGCAAUGGAUAUCGUUUCGUUCCCAAAGGUGGGACGUUCCCUAUCAAAACCAUCAUGCUUGUUGUGAGAAGCUCUGGUUUGUGAGAAGCAUAUACCCAAACCUGCCCCAAAUGGGACAAAUUUUUUACCACGGCAUGUUGAUGCCACUCCAUGAUAGCAUGCCAAGUUUCAUGAAUUUCAUAUGAGUUUUGUAUUUACUAGAAUUUAAAAAUAAAGUAUCUCAAUGUUUGCGGCCGAGUAACGGUGGCAGGCUGCUUGACAUUCAUUCCCAUUUCUUGCAUGGGACCUAAACAUGCAACCAAGAACACAUAUUUGAAUUUUCAACCAAAUUUAUAUGCAUUAGAGCAUGUGCAUGUAGUUCAAAUUUGAAUUAUGCACAUAAAUGCACUGAAAACUCAAUUAAUGCAUAAAAAUGUCGAAACGAACCCCGAAAAAUCCAAAAAAUUAACACAACACUCCUGUUGUUCUAUGUUGACACUAGGAAAAAAUUUGAAAUCGAGAAGAGGCAAUGGAUAUCGUUUUGUCCAGAAAGGUGAAACGUUCCCUACCGGAACCAUCGCGCUUGUUGUGAGAAGCUCUGGUUUGUAGGAAGCAUAUACCCGAACCUGCCCCAAAUGGGUCAAAAAAUUUACCACGACAUGUUGAUGCCGCCCCAUGAUAGCAUGCCAAGUUUCAUGAAUUUCAGAUGCGCUUUGGAUUUACUAGAAUUUAAAAACCAGGUAUCUCAAUGUUUGCGGCCGAGUGACGGUGGCAGGGUGCUUGACAUUCAUUCCCAUUUCUUGCAUGGGACCUAAGAAUGCAACCAAGGACACAUAUUUGAAUUUUCAACCAAUUUAUAUGUAGUAGAGCAUGUGCAUGUAGUUCAAAUUUGAAUUAUGCACAUAAAUGCAUUGAAAACUCAAUUAAGCAUAAAAUGUCCAAACGAACCCCGAAAAAAUCCAAAAAUUGACACAACACUCCUGUUGUUCUAUGUUGACACUAGGAAAAAAUUGAAAUCGAGAAGAGGCAACGGAUAUCGUUUCGUCCAGAAAGGUGAAAUGUUCCCUACCGAAACCAUCACCCUUGUUGUGAGAAGCUCUGGUUUAUGAAAAGCUUAUACCCAAACCUGCCCCAAAUGGGACAAAUUUUUUACCACGGCAUGUUGAUGCCGCUCCAUGAUAGCAUGCCAAGUUUCAUGAAUUUCGGACGAAUUUUGGAUUUACUAGAAUUACACGGUGUCGUGGUGUUCGAAUUUCAUCCCCAUUUCUUACAUGGGACAUAAGCAUAAACCCAUGGACACAUUGCACCGGAGCAUGUGCAUGUAGUUUAAUUUUGAAUUUUGCACCUGAAAUGGCUAGAAAACCAAUUUAAUGUAUAAAAUGUUCAAACGAACCCUGAAUAAUUAUAAUUAUUUUACGACACACAUAUAGUUUCAUGUUCACUGCAGAUAAAAGGUCUAGCAAUUCAAACAUCGUCCAUUGCCGCUGUAACCCCAUUAUGUAAUUCAAAUCAAGAUGAAAAAUCAAGUAGAUCGCACACAGUCUAUUAUCACCAACCGUGUGAGAUGCAGCACAAAAUAUCCUGAAGCACCGUCGGUGUAUAGUACGCCUAUGGCUUACGCGAGAAGGUGCGUCGGCUACAGUCCACAGCAGGCGUCUCAAGCAGACUAGCUCGCUCCCCAAAUAUCGUUUCACUGUUCAAUCGUCGCCGAUGAAAGGUGGGCACGUGGACCCGCGUCGUGAGGGCAACUUCGGUGGCCGACUCCGGCGAGAGCGCGGCCGCAGCCGCCAUGCGCGUGCUAGCAAUGUGCAUGAGUGCGGCUGCAAUCUACGACCGGGCGGCCAAGGCAGCCCAAACGGCCGCUGUUGCUUCUCAGGUGGUGGCAGUAACAUCUGCCUCGGGGAUAGCAACUGGCGAGAGCGGCACUGUAGUUGUCCGUUCCGCAGCGGCGGCCUUAGCCCUGAUGGAGGCCGCCCAUGACCAUGUCGAGGCCGCCCACGCCCAGCUCAUGAUGGUCACUGCACAAAUCAAACGAAGCUUCUCCGACAACGGUCGGCAAUCCACGGCGGAAGAGCUGGCAAUCGCCGAGAGCAUUCGAGCAGCCGUCCGUUCCUCCGUCGCAUACCUUGCGACGACGGAGCCCAUCCAAGCCCAGAUCGCGGUCGCCCACGCCCAGCUCGUGGCGGCCUUUUCCAAAGAGAUGGCAGACGCGGAUGGCGAGAUGCUUGCCGAGUAUGGUGCGAUGGAUGCCAUGGAGCCCCUUCCCCAGGAGACCGUCGGGCGCGAGCUGGACUUGGAGGCGGCGGCGGAGAUCAACGAGCACCAGACGUAGUAGUACUAUUUGUUUUGUUUAAUUAAAAGCGCUGGUCUUUAAUUUGUGAGAGUAAUGUUUAGGUCAACUAGCUCUGUUUAAUUGCUGAACUUGCUCGAUUAAGAAGUGUGGGUGUGUUGUAGUCUCCUUUAUGUACCCAAAUUAUGCAAUGACAUGGAUGACCACUGUAACCAUGGAAAUUCGAACCAAAAUUUUUGACGUUCAAACUCAUCACACACGGGUUAAGCUAUCUGAAUCGUUUGUGAUGUUCAUUCACAUAUCGUACAUAGUUCUGAAUAAGGGACCGUGUCUGAUGACACUUUGCGCGCCAGUUUUUUCACUGAAGCGAUUCCAAAUUUUCGGCUUCCGCGGAAAUAUCAACCUCCUCGCGCCCCUCCCCCUUACCAAAAGCCACAUUUCCCCUGUUUCCGCCUUCCUUUCCAAGUUGAAACCUUCACUCCUUGCUUGCAGCGCCGCCUCCUCGCUGGUGACCCUCCUUCAUGCUGCUCGGCCUCGUCUAUCCAGGCAGGUAAUCCACACCCGACCCCCAUCCUCCUCCUCCUUCCACAUCCCACAUGCCCCGACCGCCAGCGUGAGCGUGACACCUUCCACCCAAAUCACCAACUCCUCCACCAAAUAAGCGCCGCCCUAAGCCAUGGUGCAUGCAGUAUAGCCAUGAUCUCAAGGAGCAUUUGGCAGCGGAGAAGCAAAUCACGGCCGCACGCGCGGAUGAGGUAGCGAUGGCUGCCAUUCGUGCCAACCCCCAGAUCUUGGAGGAGCACCUUGCCAUUUGCUAGCUACGCCGUUUAAGCAAGCUUGGUUUACCCGUUGCGUGUGCUGCUCCUGCCUUUCCUUCACAAAUUCUAGUGGAUUGUGCUAUCUAAUUUUACCUUGCAAUCUAUUGCUCUAGUGUAUAUGUUCUAUAUGUCGUGCAGUGUGGUGCUCACUUAUUAACUGUUUUGUUAAUUAGUUGUCAUCUUUAGUUAACUAUUUGGUUCAAUUCUGCAAAUGUGAUGUUCAAUUCUUCAGGCUGCAAUUUUGUAUUGUGUUCCAUGUGAGAAAUAAAUCGAAUUUAUCUUUACAAAAUACAUGAGAAACGAAUACAAUUGCUAUAUUUCCAAGUUGUCAAGCAUGCUUGGUUUGGUUAUACAUUGUGCAAUGUGGUGCUCAGUUAACGUUUGGUUCAUUUGUGUUGUGGUGUUUAGUUAACUGUUUGAUUCAAUUCUGCAAUGCGAUGUUCAAUAGUUGUGGGUGCAUUCUGUUAUUGUAUACCAUGUGAGGAAUAAAUUGAAUUUGGCUGUAGUAAAUACAUAAGAAACAAAUACAAUUGCUAUAUUUCCAAGUUGUUAAGCAUGCUUGGUUUGGUUAACUGUCUGGUCUUCUAUUAGGAGUAUGUUAUAUUGUGCAAUGUGGUGCUCAGUAAUGUUUGGUUCAUUUGUUGUGGUGUUUAGUUAACUGCUUGGUUCAAUUCUGCAAUGCGAUGUCCAAUUGUCAUGGGUAGAAUUUUGUAUUGUUGUGCAUGUGAGGAAUAAAUCGAAUUUGGCUACACUUAAUACAUGAGAAACAUAUACAAGUGCUAUAUUUCCUAGUUCUUAAUCAUGCUUGGUUUGGAUAAAUGGGUUUUCCGAGUGGCUUGAAUUAAUCUGAUGAAUCUACAAUGUUCUUAUUUUCUUCAACAUAUUUUACUGAUAGCAUGCGAACCCUUACUUAACCUGAUGACUAACUACCUUAUAUGUGUUGCAGGGAAACAAUGGGAAGCACUGAGGUUUACAAUCGAGGUUAGCACGUGCAUGGUCCAUUGUCUAAUAGCACAUUAUUGUGCAAUUGCAGGAACCAUUCUAAUAUUUAGGUUUCUAACAAUUUGGUCUUGCACAUGUAGGUCCUGCUGUCAGAGGUUUUGACCCACUGUUCGACCCUUUUUGCAUAUGGGGAAAUGAGUUGUCCAUGAAUAUCAGUCAAGUCAAGAAACUCAGAAAGAUUGUUAGGAUAAAGAAAUUAGCGACAAAAAACAACAAGAUCUUUGUCUGCAUAAUGAUGAAGACAUCGGUUCACUACAGGAUGGUACUAACUAUUAUGCCUUGUCUUUUUUAUUCCUUUGCGCCAUUUCAAAUCUAGAGAAGAUAUUUAUGCAUAUCCUUGUUUCCAGGCCUUUCCAAAGCAGUUCACUGAUGAUUACCUCUCAAACCACCUCUAUGGUCAGGAGGCGAGGAAGGUUUUCAUACAACACCCACGGUUCAAUAUUGAAGUGUUCCUGAAGAGGACGAAUGAUGGAUGGUCAAUCAUCCACAGGCACUGGCCUAAAGUUGCAAAGACCUUGAACAUGAAUGAAGGCUCAAUAUUCGCCUUCCGCUUCAGCAGUUUUCCAGAUGAGAUGCAUCUGUCUAUAUACCAUCUAUGAUGGUAAUUUCGAAAGGUUGUACAUGUUGCAUGUGAAACUUGGUGCAGGUUUAGUUGUGUAAUGGGGUAGCUGAGUGCUGAAGCUAUAUCAUGUUGCACUCUGAUGUAUUUCAAUUAUGAAAUUCUGCUUCCUUAAUAUGAAUGUCAAUUAGAUUAAUAAAUGGAUUAUUAAUAAUAGGGCAAUUCGCCUCCUAAUGGCGAAUUAGCCUGCUAAUUGGGUUUUGCUAUUGCAAACGGUUAUUGAAAAAAAUACCGUGGGCGAUGACCUCAGGCAACGCACACAGUUUCUAGGAAUAAACCAUGUUGGAUCAAUGAACAAUCACACAUGACUUUCUCUUGAAAACUGUUUGUGUUAGGCCACCUUGCGCAAACAUUUACCACAUAAAAACUGUGUGUGAUGGACAACCUUUGCCACAUAGUUUCUUCUAUGGACCGUGUGUGAUGCAUUCAAUAACGCAAACGAUUUAACAGGAAAGAUUGUGUGUGAUGUACCUGUGAACGGAAACGUUUUCCUUGGAGCGACUAUGUGGGAUGAACAUACGAACGGAUACAUUUAGCGGGGACUGACUGUGUGGGAUGUACUUGCGACCGGAAACAAUUUUGCAUGUAUAAUUGUAUUUUUUAGCUCUACUGUAUGUAUUUCCGUAUUUGAGCGCUCGCCGGUCGCACACGACCUCAUUUUGCCGAGCGUGUGUGCCAGGAGGGCAUAUCCCCGACGGUUUCUGGGUCAUGUGGGAAGGACCCCCUAUCGCCCACACUCACUAGGCGAUGGUUCCAAAUGCCGUCGCUGAAAGGGGUUAAAAAUCGUUUGUAUAGCACCGACGCGUACUAGUGUCGUACAGAUGGAUAGAUUGAAUGUUUCUGAUAAUUUUUCAUAUAUAAAUUAUUUCAAUCUGAGCUAUGGUUGAUUUUAUAUGAACUUUUGAAGUUUUGGCUAUUUCCUGGAAUUUCCUGAAUUAUUCAAAUCCAGAAAAUGAUUAAUUGCGUCAGCACUGCGUCAUGCCUACGUCAGCAAGUCAACAGUGCUGACCAGGUCAAACCUGACGUGUGGGGUCCACACGUUAGUGACACGGUUAGUUAACAAUGUUAAUUAACACUAAGAUUAAUCCUAAACUAUAAUUAGUUAGGGAUGGGCCCCACAUGUCAUGGACUCAGGCGAGUCUAUUAGGUCAAACCCGGUCAAAAUGACCGGCGGUUAGCCGCCGACGAUGACAAGGACGGCGGAGAGGGUCAGAAAUCGUCCACAAUCGACCAAAUCGAAUGCGGUUUAGCUCUACGCGAAGCUGGUGCACGUGUGCAUCUGCUGGUGCCCUUGCUUUUGCCAGAGGUGGCAUAAGUAGACGGCGGCGUUCGCGGGCCUACGGCGAAGUGUGGCUCGACGGAGAGGCAUAGAGAAGUGUAGCGGAGCUCGUGGUCAUGAAGAGGAGGCGAGGGGGUGGCUGUGGCCGCGGUGGUUCAGGGCGGCGCGUCCAUGGCCGCGUCGGCCAUCGUGGGAGAGAGCAAGGGAGACGAGGAGAAAAGCGCAGGAGAGAGUGAGAGGGGCCGGGAGUUUCGUGGCGUCGUCUAGGCCAUCGAGGGAUAGGAAGGCUGGCUGGAGGUGGCCGGGCGCGUGGCCGCGCGCGUGGGGUGCGUGCCCCUGUCCUCCUGGCACGAGAAAGGGGACGACUGGCGUUGGACAGUCGGCUGGGCCGGCCCGCUGGGCCAGAACAUCUGGGCCGCCAGGUAAGUGGCCCAGGUAAGACUCUUUUUAAUUUCCGUUUUCCAUUUUUUCCUUUUUUGUUGUUUGUUUCGAUUUAGUUUUAAGCACUAAACCAUUUCCCUUUCUUCUGGUACUUUUGCAGGGACUAAAAGGAUUAUUCCAAAGCCCCUCACAAUUUACAGAAUUAUUGGAUCAUAUUUAAAAUAUAUCAAAUAUGAAUCCAAUGCAAAUAGUUAUUGAAUUUAAUUCCAAAUGCUCAAAAUAAAUAUUUCUGAGCUCCUAAAAAUAUUGGUUUGAAUUUACCUCUGGCCAAUAUUUUCAGGGGAAAACAAGAACAUUUUCUUGGACCUAUUUGAAGCAAUUUUUAUCUUGAUCAUUGUCAAAAUGAUUUCCGAGGCUUUCACAUAUCCCCAAUUCAAAGUUAUUUGAAAUUUGAACAUGACGCAAGAAAGAUGCAACACCAAGCAUUACCAGAAGCUAGGGAUGUGACAUACCCAAACCCGCCCCAAAUCUAAAAAAAUUCACCACAACAUGUUGAUGCCGUUCCAUGAUAGCAAGCCGGGUUUCAUGAAUUUCAGACAAAUUUCGAAUUGACUAGAAUUUUAAAACCAUGUAUAUCAAUUUUGCGGCCAAGCAACAGUGCCGAGGUGUUUGACAUUACUACUUCUUGAGCUUGCGUUUAUUUUUCCCUUGAAGAGGAAAGGGUGAUGCAGCAAACUAGAGAUAAGUAUUUACCUCAGUUAAGAACCAAGGUAUAAAUCCAGUAGGAGGACACCCAUGUCUCCAAUAGUUGCACCUGCACAAACUAACAAACACUUGCACGCAACACAAAACAGGGGCUGUCAAUCCCUUCACGGUCACUAGCAAAAGUGAGAUCUGAUAGAGAUAGGUAUAAAAGAUAAAUAAAAGUGGAAAAUAAAGUAAAUAUAAAUAAAGUGCAGCAAGGUAUUUUUUAUUUUUGGUUUUAUAGAUCUUAAAAUAUAUGAUGAGAAAUAGACCCGGGGGCCAUAGUUUUCACUAGAGGCUUCUCUCUUGAAAGAACGCAUACGGUGGGUGAACAAAUUACUGUUGAGCAAUUGAUAGAAAAGCGCAAAGUUAUGACGAUAUCCAAGGUAAUGAUCAUGAAUAUAGUCAUCACGUCCGUGACAAGUAGACUGAAACGAUUCUGCAUCUAUUACAAUUACUCCACACAUCAACCGCUAUCCAGCAUGCAUCUAGUGUAUUAAGUUAACGAGAACGGAGUAAUGCCUUAAGCAAGAUGACAUGAUCUAGAGGGAUAAACUCAAGUAGUAUAAUAUAAACCCCAUCUUUUUAUACUUCAUGGCAACAAUACAAAUACGUGCCUCGCUACCCAUACUGUCAUUGGGUGAGGACACCCCAAGAUUGAACCCAUCAUAAAGCACGUCUCCCAUUGCAAGAUAAAUCAAUACAGUUGGCCAAACCAAAUCAAUAGAUCGGAGAGAAAUACAAAGCUAUAUUAAGCAUGCAUAAAAGAGUUCAGAAAAGACUCAAAUAAUAUUCAUAGAUAAUCUGAUCAUGAAUCCACAAUUCAUCGGUAGAACUCCAAGAACAUCGAGGAGAACAUUGUAUUGAGGAUCAAAGAGAGAUAAGAAGCCAUCUAGCUACUAGCUAUGGACCCGUAGGUCUGUGGUAAACUACUCACACAUCAUCGGAGGGGCAGCAAGGUUGAUGCAGAAGCCCUCGGUGAUCGAAUCCCUCUUUGGCAGAGUACCGAAAAGGCCCCAAGAUGGGAUCUCACCAGAAUAGAAGCUUGCGGCAGCGGAAAAGUAUUUUUGGUGUACCCUCUGGUGUAGGGGAGGAUAUUUGGGUAUUUAUGGAGCCAAGAUUAGGGUUAGGAGAGUCCCGAGGGGCCCACAAGCCCUGGAGGGGGGCGCGGCCACCAAGCUUAUGGCCUCCUCGUGGCUCUUCUGGCCUCCUCCCGAAGCUUCGUGGGUGUCUUCUGGUCCAAGAAAAAUCAUCGUAAAUUUUUAUUCCAUUUGGUCUCCAUUUGGUAUUGAUUUUCUGUAAAGAUAAAAAGAAGGGAAAAAAAUAGCAACUGGCACUGGGACUAGGUUAAUAGGUUAGUCCCAAAAACGAUAUAAAAUAGCAUAAUAAUGCAUAUAAAACAUCCCAAAUUGAUAAUAUAAUAGCAUGGAACAAUAAAAAAUUAUAGAUACAUUGGAGACGUAUCAAGCAUCCCCAAGCUUAAUUCAUGCUUAUCCUCGAGUAGGUAAUUGAUAAAAACAGAUUUUUUUGUUGUGGAAUGCUACCUAACAUGUUUAUCAAUGUAUUCUUUCUUAUUGUGGCAUGCAUAUUCAGAUACAUAAGAUUCAAAAUAAAAUUUUAAUACUGACAUAAAGAUAAUAAUAUUUCAAGCAUACUAAAUAAAGCAAUCAUGUCUUCUCAAAAUAUCAUGGCUAAAGAAAGUUAUCCCUACAAAAUCAUAUAGUCUUGUCAUGCUCUAUCUUCAUAACACAAAGUAUUUAUCGUGCAAUACAUGAGCGUGAGCCAUGGAUAUAGCACUAUAGGUGGAAUAGAAUAUGGUGGAGGUUGUGAGGAGAAGACAAAAAGGAGAAAGUCUCACAUCAACUAGGCAAAUUAAUAGGACAUGGAGAUGUCCAUCAAUUGAUAUCGAUGCAAGUGAGUAGGGAUUGACAUGCAACAGAUGCACUAGAGCUAAAUCUCAAAAGAAAAUUAAGUGGGUGUGCAUCCAACUUGCUUGCUCAUGAAGACCUAGGGAAAUUUGAGCAAGCCCAUCAUUGGAAUAUACAAGCCAAGUUCUAUAAUGAAAAAUUCCCACUAGUAUAUGAAAGUGAAAAACAGGAAACUCUCUAUUAUGAAGAACAUGGUGCUACUUUGAAGCACAAGUGUGGAAAAGGAUAGUAACAUUGUUCCUUCUCUCAUUUUCUCUCAUUUUUUUGAUCUUUUUUCUUUUCUUUUUGGGCUCUUUGACCUCUUGUUUAUAAUUUUGGGCUCUUUAGCCUCUUUAUUUUUAUUUUUAAGUCCGGAGUCUUAUGUAUACUUAUGGGAGAAUCGUAGCCUCCAUCAUCCUUUCCUCACACGGGACAAUGCUCUAAUAACGAUGAUCAUCACACUUUAUUUACUUACAACUCAAGAAUUACAACUCGAUACUAGAACAAAUAUAUGACUCUAUAUGAAUGCCUCAUGCAUAUGAGAACAAUAUGACAAUGAUGAUGCGUGUCAUAAUAAAACGGAACAGUGGAAGUUGCAUGGCAAUAUAUCUCGGAAUGGCUAUGGAAAUGCCAUAAUAGCUAGGUAUGGUGGCUGUUUUGAGGAAGGUAUAUGGUGGGUUUAAUGCACCGGCGAAAGUUGCCCGGUACUAGAGAGGCUAUCAAAGGUGGAAGGGUGAGAGUGCGUAUAAUCCAUGGGCUCAACAUUAGUCAUAAAGAAAUCACAUACUUAUUGCAAAAGUUUAUUAGCCAUCGAAGCAAAGUACUAAUACGCAUGCUCCUAGGUGUAUAGAUUGGUAGGAAAAGACCAUCGCUCAUCCCCGACCACCACUCAUAAGGAAGACAAUCAAAAAUAAAUCAUGCUCUAACUUCAUCGCAUAACGAUAGACCAUACAUGCAUGCUUCGGGAAUCACAAACCUUAGCACAAAUAUUCUUAGUAAUCCACAAUUACUCACUAGCAUGAAUCUAAUAUCACCAUCUUUAUAUCUCAAAAAAAAUGCAAGGAAUCAAACUUGUCAUAUAUUCAAUGAUCUUCAUGAAAGUGUUUAUUAUAUCCCUCUUGAAUACCCAUCAUAUUAGGACUAAGUUCAUAACAUAAGAAAAUUGCCAUACUAUUUUUAAGACUCUCAAAAUAAUAUGAGUGAAGCAUGAGAUUUCAUCAAUUUCUACAAAGUAAAACCACCGCCAUGGUCUUAAAAUGAUAUAAGGGAAGUACUAGAGAAACUACCUAGCUCAAAAGAUAUAAGUGAAGCACAUAGAGUAUUCUAAUAAAUUCAUGAUUAAUGUGUAUCCCUAUCAAAAUGUGUGUACAACAAGGAUGAUUGUGGCAAACUAAAAAGAAAAUACUCAUAUAAUACAAGAUGCUCCAAGCAAAACACAUAUCAUGUGGUGAAUAAAAAUAUAGCCUCAAGUAAUUUGACCGAUGGAUUGAAGACGAAAGAGGGGAUGCCAUCCGGGGAAUCCGCAAGCUUAGAUGCUUGGUUGUACUUGAAUAUUAACUUGGGGUAACUUGGGAAUCCCCAAGCUUAGGCUCUUUCCACUCCUUAUUCCCUAGUCCAUAAAAACUUUACCCAAAACUUGAAAACUUCAUAACACAAAACUCAACAGAAAACUUGUAAGCUCCAUUAGUAUAAUAAAGCAAAUCACCACUUUUGGUACUAUUGUGAACUCAUUCUAAAUUUAUAUUGGUGUAUAUCUACUGUACUCCAACUUCUCCAUGGUUCAUACCCCCCGAUACUGCCCAUAGAUUCAUCAAAAUAAGCAAACAAGACAUAGAAAAUAGAAUCUGUCAAAAACAGAACAAUCUGUAGCAAUCUGGAAAUUUCUUAUACUUAUGUAACUAUAAAAAUUCUGAAAAAUUAGUACAACCUGGAAAAUUUGUAUAUCAACCUUGUGUAAAAAAUUCAGAUCAAAAGCAGUCUUCUGUGAAUUUACAAAAUUCCAGCAAUGAGCGAAUUUUUUUCUUCUGUUUUUCAGGAAAAUCAAAUCAACUAUCACCAUAGACCAUCCUAAAGGCUCUACUUGGCUCAAAAACUAAUUAAAACACUUAAACACAAUUAGUACAGAAGUAAUAUUGUGUAAUUAUUUAAAACAGAAGCAAAAAACACAAAAUUAAAUUGGGCUGCCUCCCAACAAGCGCUAUUGUUUUACGCCCCUAGCUAGGCAUAAUGCAAAGAUCUAGGUAUUGUCAUCUUUGGUAUUCAACCGAUAGGUGGCCCUCAUAAUAGUUUCAUAUGGCAACUUAAUUUUAUUUCUUGGAAAGUGUUCCAUGCCCUUCCUUAAUGGAAAUUGAAAUCUAACGUUUCCUUCUUUCAUAUCAAUAAUUGCACCAAUAUUUCUUCGGAAAAGGUCUACCAAGAAUAAUAGGGCAUGCAGGAUUGCAAUCUAUAUCAAGCACAAUAAAAUCUACAGGCACAUAAUUCCUAUUUGCAACAAUAAGAACAUCAUUAAUCCUUUCCAUAGGUUUCAUAAUAGUGGAAUCCGCUAAGUACAAAUUUAAGGAACAAUCAUCAAGUUUAUCGAACCUAGCACAUCACAUAAAGUUUUUGGAAUCGUGGAAAUGCUAGCACCCAAAUCACACAAAGCAUUGCACUCAUAAUCUUUAAUCUUGAUCUUAAUAGUAGGUUACCAUUCAUCAUAAAGCUUUCUAGGGUUUGAAACUUCUAACUCAAGUUUUUCUUCAAAAGAUUUCAUCAUAGCAUCAACGAUGUGUUUAGUAAAGGCCUUAUUUUGAUUAUAAGCAUGAGCUGAAUUAAGCAUGGAUUGCAACAAGAAAAUACAAUCAAUCAAAGAACAAUUAUCACAAUUAAAGUCCUUGAAAUCCAAAAGAAUGGGCUCAUCACUUGUUAAAGUCUUGACCUUUACAAUCCCACUUUUAUCAAAUUUUUCAUUAAGAUCAUCACUCUCCAAAUUAUUGGGAUGCCUUCUAGCUAAAGUUGACUCAUCUCAAGUCCCAUCUUGAUCAAGUUUUAUAUUAUAAAGCAAAGAUUCAAUAGGAGUUACACCUAUUACUUUAAGAUCUUCAUCAUGAUUCAAAGUUUUAGGUUUAGCAGCCAUCUUAUUUAUUAAUGUGGUUUGUUUAUUAAAAUUUGGCGUACUAGAUUUUCAAUAUGAGCAAGUUGAGAUUUAAGACCAAAGACUUCCUUAGUAACAUCAUCAAGUUCCUUGUUGAUAUAUUCAAUCAUAGUAUUUUGUUCUUUAAGUUCAUUCCUAAAGAAACUAUUAUACUCAAAUUGCAAGGACAUCAAACUUUUUGUAUUAUUUUCAACUUCUUCCAACUUUUUGUAGUAAAGAUCAAGGCCCUUAGGUUGAGACAUGAUGGAAAAGAAAGCAAUCUAGCACACAAGCAAACAAAAGACGAACGAAAAGAAGGCGAAUAAAAAAGGCAAACAUUUUUGUGUCUUCUGAAAACGUUUUAGAAGUGGGGAGAUGAAAACAAGAGACAAAUGGCAAAUAAUGCAAGUGCAAGAUAGGAGAGUUUAUGAUAGGUACUGUUGGGGAAUGCAGUAUUUCAAAAUUUUACUUACGAUCACGCAAGAUCUAUCUAUGUGAUGCAUAACAACGAGCGGGAGAGUGUGUCCACAUACCCUCGUAGACCGAAAGCGGAAGCGUAAAGUAAAGCAGUUGAUGUAGUCGAACGUCUUCGCCAUCCAACCGAUCAAGUAUCGAACGCCGGACACCUCCGCGAUCUGCACACGUUCAGCUCGGUGACGUCCCUCGAACUCUUGAUCCAGCUGAGGCCGAGGGAGAGUUCCGUCAGCACGGCGGCGUGGUGACGGUGUUGAUGAAGUUACCGAUGUAGGGCUUGGCCUAAGCACUACAACGAUAUGACCGAGGUGGAAUCUGUGGAGGGGGGCACCGCACACGGCUAAGACAACUGUCAACUUGUGUGCCUAUGGGGUGCCCCCCUCCCCCGUAUAUAAAGGAGUGGAGGAGGGGAGGGCCGGCCCUCUCUAUGGCGCGCCCAAGGGGGGAGUCCUACUCCGAGUAGGAGUAGGUUUCGCCCCUUCCCUAGUUGGAGUAGGAGAAGAUGGAAGAGGGAGAGAGGGAGAAGGAAAGGGGGCCAGCCCCCACCCCAAUUUGGAUUGGGCUUGGGGGGGCGCCCUCCACCUGGCCGCCUCCUCCUCUCUUCCACUAAGGCCCAAUAAGGCCCAUUGANNNNNNNNNNNNNNNNNNNNNNNNNNNNNNNNNNNNNNNNNNNNNNNNNNNNNNNNNNNNNNNNNNNNNNNNNNNNNNNNNNNNNNNNNNNNNNNNNNNNNNNNNNNNNNNNNNNNNNNNNNNNNNNNNNNNNNNNNNNNNNNNNNNNNNNNNNNNNNNNNNNNNNNNNNNNNNNNNNNNNNNNNNNNNNNNNNNNNNNNNNNNNNNNNNNNNNNNNNNNNNNNNNNNNNNNNNNNNNNNNNNNNNNNNNNNNNNNNNNNNNNNNNNNNNNNNNNNNNNNNNNNNNNNNNNNNNNNNNNNNNNNNNNNNNNNNNNNNNNNNNNNNNNNNNNNNNNNNNAAUGCUCGAACUCAUCUGUAACCAUUCCGGUGUCCAAACAUAGCCUUCCAAUAUAUCGAUCUUUAUGUCUCGACCAUUUCGGGACUCCUUGUCAUGUCCGUGAUCACAUCUAGGACUCCGAACUACCUUCGGUACAUCAAAACACAUAAACUCAUAAUAUCGAUCGUCAUCGAACGUUAAGCGUGCGGACCCUACGGGUUCGAGAACUAUGUAGACAUGACCGAGACUCAUCUCCGGUCAAUAACCAAUAGCGGAACCUGGAUGCUCAUAUUGGCUCCUACAUAUUCUACGAAGGUCUUUAUCGGUCAAACCGCAUAAGAACAUACGUUGUUCCCUUUGUCAUCGAUAUGUUACUUGCCCGAGAUUCGAUCGUCGGUAUCUCAAUACCUAGUUCAGUCUCGUUACUGGCAAGUCUCUUUACUUGUUCUGUAAUGCAUCAUCCCGUGACUAACUCAUUAGUCACAUUGCUUGCAAGGCUUAUAGUGAUGUGCAUUACCGAGAGGGCCCAGAGAUACCUCUCUGACAAUCGGAGUGACAAAUCCUAAUCUUGAUCUAUGCCAACUCAACAAACACCAUCGGAGACACCUGUAGAGCAUCUUUAUAAUCACCCAGUUACGUUGUGACAUUUGAUAGCACAGAAAGUGUUCCUCCGGUAUUCGGGAGUUGCAUAAUCUCAUAGUCAUAGGAACAUGUAUAAGUCAUGAAGAAAGCAAUAGCAACAAACUAAACGAUCAAGUGCUAAGCUAACGAAAUGGGUCAAGUCAAUCACAUCAUUCUCUAAUGAUGUGAUCCCGUUGAUCAAAUGACAACUCAUGUCUAUGGCUAGGAAACUUAACCAUCUUUGAUUAACGAGCUAGUCAAGUAGAGGCAUACUAGUGACACUCUGUUUUUCUAUGUAUUCACACAUGUACUAAGUUUCCGGUUAAUACAAUUCUAGCAUGAAUAAUAAACAUUUAUCAUGAUAUAAGGAAAUAUAAAUAACAACUUUAUUAUUGCCUCUAGGGUAUAUUUCCUUCAGUCUCCCACUUGCACUAGAGUCAAUAAUCUAGAUUACACAAUAAUGAUUCUAACACCCAUGGAGUCUUGGUGCUGAUCAUGUUUUGCUCGUGAGAGAGGCUUAGUCAACGGGUCUGCAACAUUCAGAUCCGUAUGUAUCUUGCAAAUCUCUAUGUCUCCCUCCUUGACUUGAUCGCGGAUGGAAUUGAAGCUUCUCUUGAUGUGCUUGGUUCUCUUGUGAAAUCUGGAUUCCUUUGCCAAGGCAAUUGCACCAGUAUUGUCACAAAAGAUUUUCAUUGGACCCGAUGCACUAGGUAUGACACCUAGAUCGGAUAUGAACUCCUUCGUCCAGACUCCUUCAUUUGCUGCUUCUGAAGCAGCUAUGUACUCCGCUUCACACGUAGAUCCCGCCACGAUGCUUUGCUUAGAACUGCACCAACUUACAACUCCACCGUUCAAUAUAAAUAUGUAUCUGGUUUGUGACUUAGAGUCAUCUGGAUCAGUGUGAAAGCUUGCAUCGACGUCUCUUUGUCACCUCCAUAAACGAGAAACAUAUCCUUAGUUCUUUUUCAGGUAUUUCAGGAUGUUCUUGACCGCUGUCCAAUGAUCCACUCCUGGAUUACUUUGGUACCUCCCUGCUAAACUGAUAGCAAGGCACACAUCAGGUCUGGUACACAACAUUGCAUACAUGAUAGAACCUAUGGCUGAAGCAUAGGGAAUGACCUUCAUUUUCUCUCUAUCUUAUGCAGUGGUCGGGCAUUGAGUCUGACUCAACUUCACACCUUGUAACACAGGCAAGAACCCUUUCUUUGCUUGAUCCAUUUUGAACUUCUUCAAAAAUUUAUCAAGGUGUGUGCUUUGUGAAAGUCCAAUUAAGCGUCUUGAUCUAUCUCUAUAGAUCUUGAUGCCCAAUAUAUAAGUAGCUUCACCGAGGUCUUUCAUUGAAAAACUCUUAUUCAAGUAUCCUUUUAUGCUAUCCAGAAAUUCUAUAUCAUUUCCAAUCAACAAUAUGUCAUCCACAUAUAAUAUUAGAAAUGCUACAGAGCUCCCACUCACUUUCUUGUAAAUACGGGCUUCUCCAAAAGUUUGUAUAAAAGCAUAUGCUUUGAUCACACUAUCAAAGCGCUUAUUCCAACUCCAAGAUGCUUGCGCCAGUCCAUAAAUGGAUCGUUGGAGCUUGCACACUUUGUUAGCAUCCUUUGGAUUGAUAAAACCUUCAGGUUGCAUCAUAUACAACUCUUCUUCCAGAAAUCCAUUCAGGAAUGCAGUCUUUACAUCCAUUUGCCAAAUUUCAUAAUCAUAAAAUGCGGCAAAUGCUAACAUGAUUCGGACAGACUUAAGCGUCAGUCUCAUCGUAGUCAACUCCUUGAACUUGUCGAAAACCUUUUGCAACAAGUCGAGCUUUGUAGAUAGUAACAUUACCAUCAGCGUCAGUCUUCUUCUUGAAGAUCCAUUUAUUCUCUAUGGCUUGCCGAUCAUCGGGCAAGUCAACCAAAGUCCACACUUUGUUCUCAUACAUGGAUCCCAUCUCAGAUUUCAUGGCCUCAAGCCAUUUCGCUAAAUCUGGGCUCAUCAUCGCUUCCUCAUAGUUCGUUAGUUCAUCAUGGUCAAGUAACAUGACCUCCAGAACAGGAUUACCGUACCACUCUGGUGCGGAUCUUACUCUGGUUGACCUACGAGGUUUAGUAGUAACUUGAUCUGAAGUUACAUGAUCAUCAUCAUUAUCUUCCUCACUAAUUGGUGUAGUAGUACAUGAACUGAUUUCUAUGAUGAACUACUUUCUAAUAAGGGAGCAGGUACAGUUACCUCAUCAAGUUCUACUUUCCUCCCACUCACUUCUUUCGAGGGAAACUCCUUCUCUAGAAAGGCUCCAUUCUUAGCAACAAAUCUCUUGCCUUCGUAUCUGUGAUAGAAGGUGUACCCAACAGUUUCCUUUGAGUAUCCUAUGAAGACACAGUUCUCCGAUUUGGGUUCGAGCUUAUCAGGUUGAAGCUUUUUCACAUAAGCAUCGCAGCCCCAAACUUUAAGAAAUGACAACUUGGGUUUCUUGCCAAACCACAGUUCAUAAGGUGUUGUCUCAACGGAUUUAGAUGGUGCCCUAUUUAACUGAAUGCAGCCGUCUCUAAAGCAUAACCCCAAAACGAUAGCGGUAAAUCAGUAAGAGACAUCAUAGAUCACACCAUAUCUAAUAAAGUGCGGUUACGACGUUCGGACACACCAUUACGCUGUGGUGUUCCGGGUGGCGUGAGUUGCGAAACUAUUCCUCAUUGUUUCAAAUGAAGACCAAACUCGUAACUCAAAUAUUCUCCUCCAUGGUCAGAUCGCAGAAACUUUAUUUUCUUGUUACGAUGAUUUUUCACUUCACUCUGAAAUUCUUUGAACUUUUCAAAUGUUUCAGACUUAUGUUUCAUUAAGUAGAUAUACCCAUAUCUACUUAAAUCAUCUGUGAAGGUCAGAAAAUAAUGAUACCCGCCGCGAGCCUCAAUAUUCAUCGGGCCACAUACAUCAGUAUGUAUGAUUUCCAACAAAUCUAUUGCUCGCUCCAUUGUUCCGGAGAACGGUGUUUUAGUCAUCUUGCCCAUGAGGCAUGGUUCGCAAGUACCAAGUGAUUCAUAAUCAAGUGAUUCGAAAAGUCCAUCGGAAGGAGUUUCUUCAUGCGCUUUACACCAAUAUGACCCAAUUGGCAGUGCCACAAGUAAGUUGCACUAUCAUUAUCAACUCUGCAUCUUUUGGCUUCAAUAUUAUGAAUAUGUGUGUCACUACUAUCGAGAUUCAACAAAAAUAGACCACUCUUCAAGGGUGCAUGACCAUAAAAGAAAUUACUCAUAUAAAUAGAACAACCAUUAUUCUCAGAUUUAAAUGAAUAACCGUCUCGCAUCAAACAAGAUCCAGAUAUAAUGUUAAUGCUUAACCUUGGCACCAAAUAACAAUUAUUAAGGUCUAAAACUAAUCCCGAAGGUAGAUUUAGAGGUAGCAUGCCGACGGCGAUCACAUCGACUUUGGAACCAUUUCCCACGCGCAUCGUCACCUCGUCCUUAGCCAAUCUUCGCUUAAUCCAUAGUCCCUGUUUCGAGUUGCAAAUAUUAGCAAUAGAACCAGUAUCAAAUACCCAGGCACUACUGCGAGCAUUAGUAAGGUACACAUCAAUAAUAUGUAUAUCACAUAUACCUUUGUUCACCUUGCCAUCCUUCUUAUCCGCCAAAUACUUGGGGCAGUUACGCUUCCAGUGACCAGUCCCUUUGCAGUAGAAGCACUCAGUCUCAGGCUUAGGUCCAGACUUGGGCUUCUUCACUUGAGCAACAACUUGCUUGCCGUUCUUCUUGAAGUUCCCCUUCUUCCCUUUACCCUUUUUCUUGAAACUGGUGGUCUUGUUGACCAUCAACACUUGAUGCUCCUUCUUGAUUUCUACCUCCGCAGCCUUUAGCAUCGUGAAGAGCUCGGGAAUUGUCUUAUCCACCCCUUGCAUAUUAUAGUUCAUCACGAAGCUCUUGUAGCUUGGUGUCAGUGAUUGAAGAACUCUGUAAAUGACACUAUCAACUGGAAGAUUAACUCCCAGCUGAGUCAAGUGAUUAUGAUACCCAGACAUUUUGAGUAUAUGCUCACUGACAGAACUAUUCUCCUCCAUUUUGCAGCUGUAGAACUUAUUGGAGACUUCAUAUCUCUCAAUCCGUGCAUUUGCUUGAAAUAUUAACUUCAACUCCUGGAACAUCUCAUAUGCUCCAUGACAUUCAAAACAUCGUUGAAGUCCCGGUUCUAAGCCGUAAAGCAUGGCACACUGAACUAUCGAGUAGUCAUCAGCUUUGCUCUACCAGACGUUCACAUUCACAACGUCCGACAUUGCUCCUGCAACGGGUCUUGCACCUAGCGGUGCUUCCAGGACAUAAUUCUUCUGUGCAGCAAUGAGGAUAAUCCUCAAGUUACGGACCCAGUCCGUGUAGUUGCUACCAUCAUCUUUCAACUUAGCUUUCUCUAGGAACGCAUUAAAAUUCAAAGGAACAGUAGCACGGGCCAUUGAUCUACAACAACAUAGACAUGUAAAAUACUAUCAGGUACUAAGUUCAUGAUAAAUUAAAGUUCAAUUAAUCAUAUUACUUAAGAACUCCCACUUAGAUAGACAUCCCUCUAAUCAUCUAAGUGAUCACGUGAUCCAAAUCAACUAAAACAUGUCCGAUCAUCACGUGAGAUGGAGUAGUUUUCAAUGGUGAACAUCACUAUGUUGAUCAUAUCUACUAUAUGAUUCAUGCUCGACCUUUCGGUCUCAGUGUUCCGAGGCCAUAUCUGCAUAUGCGCUCGUCAAGUUUAACCCGAGUAUUCUGCGUGUGCAAAACUGGCUUGCACCCGUUGUAUGUGAACGUAGAGCUUAUCACACCCGAUCAUCACGUGGUGUCUCGGCACGACGAACUGUAGCAACGGUGCAUACUCAGGGAGAACACUUAUACCUUGAAAUUUAGUGAGAGAUCAUCUUAUAAUGCUACCGCCGAACUAAGCAAAAUAAUAUGCAUAAAGGAUAAACAUCACAUGCAAUCAAUAUAAGUUAGAUGAUAUGGCCAUCAUCAUCUUGUGCCUUUGAUCUCCAUCUCCAAAGCACCGUCAUGAUCACCAUCGUCACCGGCGCGACACCUUGCAUCUCCAUCGUAGCAUCGUUGUCGUCUCGCCAACUAUUGCUUCUACGACUAUCGCUACCGCUUAGUGAUAAAGUAAAAACAAUUACAGGGCGAUUGCAUUGCAUACAAUAAAGUGACAACCAUAUGGCUCCUGCCAGUUGCCGAUAACUCUGUUACAAAACAUGAUCAUCUCAUACAAUAAAAUUUAGCAUCAUGUCUUGACCAUAUCACAUCACAACAUGCCCUGCAAAAACAAGUUAGACAUCCUCUACUUUGUUGUUGCAAGUUUUACGUGGCUGCUACGGGCUGAGCAAGAACCGUUCUUACCUACGCAUCGAAACCACAAUGAUUUUUCGUCAAGUGUGUUGUUUUAACCUUCAACAAGGACCGGGCGUAGUCACACUCGAUUCAACUAAAGUUGGAGAAACUGACACUCGCCAGCCACCUGUGUGCAAAGAACGUCGGUAGAACCAGUCUCGCGUAAGCGUACGCAUAAUGUCAGUCCGGGCCACUUCAUCCAACAAUACCGCCGAAUCAAAGUAUGACAUGCUGGUAAGCAGUAUGACUAUUAUCGCCCACAACUCAUUGUGUUCUACUCGUGCAUAUGACAUCUACACAUAGACCUGGCUCGGAUGCCACUGUUGGGGAAAACAGUAUUUCAAAAAUUUACCUACGAUCACGCAAGAUCUAUCUAUGUGAUGCAUAGCAAUGAGCGGGAGAGUGUGUCCACGUACCCUCGUAGACCGAAAGCGGAAGCGUUAAGUAAUGUGGUUGAUGUAGUCAAACGUCUUCACGAUCCAACCGAUCAAGUACCAAACGCAUGGCACCUCUGCGAUCUGCACACGUUCAGCUCGGUGACGUCCCUCGAACUCUUGAUCUUGCUGAGGCCGAGGGAGAGUUUCGUCAGCACGACGGCAUGGUGACGGUGUUGAUGAAGUUACCGACGCAGGGCUUCGCCUAAGCACUACAAUGAUAUGACCGAGGUGGAAUCUGUGGAGGGGGGCACCACACACGGCUAAGAGAACUGUCAACUUGUGUGUCUAUGGGGUGCCCCCUCCCCUGUAUAUAAAGGAGUGGAGGAGGGGAGGGCCGGCCCUCUCUAUGGCGCGCCCAAGGGGGGGAGUCCUACUCCGAGUAGGAGUAGGUUUCGCCCUUUCCCUAGUUGGAGUAGGAGAAGAUGGAAGAGGGAGAGAGGGAGAAGGAAAGGGGGCCAGCCCCCACCCCAAUUUGGAUUGGGCUUGGGGGGGCGCGCCCUCCACCUGGCCGCCUCCUCCUCUCUUCCACUAAGGCCCAAUAAGGCCCAUUGACUCCCCGGGGGGGUUCCGGUAACCUCCUAGUACUCCGGAAAAUGCUCGAACUCAUCCGUAACCAUUCCGGUGUCCAAACAUAGCCUUCCAAUAUAUCGAUCUUUAUGUCUCGACCAUUUCGGGACUCCUUGUCAUGUCCGUGAUCACAUCUAGGACUCCGAACUACCUUCGGUACAUCAGAACACAUAAACUCAUAAUAUCGAUCGUCAUCGAACGUUAAGCGUGCGGACCCUACGGGUUCGAGAACUAUGUAGACAUGACCGAGACUCAUCUCCGGUCAAUAACCAAUAGCGGAACCUGGAUGCUCAUAUUGGCUCCUACAUAUUCUACGAAGAUGUUUAUCGGUCAAACCGCAUAAGAACAUACGUUGUUCCCUUUGUCAUUGAUAUGUUACUUGCCCGAGAUUCGAUCGUCGGUAUCUCAAUACCUAGUUCAAUCUCGUUACUGGCAAGUCUCUUUACUUGUUCUGUAAUGCAUCAUCCGUGACUAACUCAUUAGUCACAUUGCUUGCAAGGCUUAUAGUGAUGUGCAUUACCGAGAGGGCCCAGAGAUACCUCUGUGACAAUCGGAGUGACAAAUCCUAAUCUCGAUAUAUGCCAACUCAACAAACACCAUCGGAGACACCUGUAGAGCAUCUUUAUAAUCACCUAGUUAUGUUGUGACGUUUGAUAGCACACAAAGUGUUCCUCCAGUAUUCGGGAGUUGCAUAAUCUCAUAGUCAUAGGAACAUGUAUAAGUCAUGAAGAAAGCAAUAGCAACAAACUAAACAAUCAAGUGCUAAGCUAACGGAAUGGGUCAAGUCAAGCACAUCAUUCUCUAAUGAUGUGAUCCCGUUGAUCAAAUGAUAACUCAUGCCUAUGUCUAGGAAACUUAACCAUCUUUGAUUAACGAGCUAGUCAAGUAGAGGCAUACUAGUGACACUCUGUUUGUCUAUGUAUUCACACAUGUACUAAGUUUUCGGUUAAUACAAUUCUAGCAUGAAUAAUAAACAUUUAUCAUGAUAUAAGGAAAUAUAAAUAACAACUUUAUUAUUGCCUCUAGGGCAUAUUUCCUUCAGGUACUUGGUAGGCGUGAUGUAGAACCUCCCCGGCAACGGCGUCAGAAAUUCUUCCUGCUACUUCUUGAGCUUGCAUUGAUUUUUACCUUGAAGAGGAAAGGGUGAUGCAGCAAAGUAGAGAUAAGUAUUUCCCUCAGUUAAGAACCAAGGUAUCAAUGCAGUAGGAGGACACCCAAGUCUCCAAUAGUUGCAUCUGCACAAACUAACAAACACUUGCACACAACGCGAAAAAGGGGUUCUCAAUCCCUUCACGAUCAUUAGCAAAAGUGAGAUCUAAUAGAGAUAGGUAUUAAAGAUAAAUAAAAGUGAAAAAUAAAGUAAAUAUAAAUAAAGUGUAGCAAGGUAUUUUUGUAUUUUUGGUUUUAUAGAUCUGAAAAUAUAUGAUGAGAAAUAGACCCCGGGACCAUAGUUUUCACUAGAGGCUUCACUCUUGAAAGAACGCAUACGGUGGGUGAACAAAUUACUGUUGAGCAAUUGAUAGAGAAGUGCAAAGUUAUGAUGAUAUCCAAGGCAAUGAUCAUGAAUAUAGGCAUCAUGUCCAUGAAAAGUAGACCAAAAUGAUUCUACAUCUACUACUAUUACUCCACACAUCGACCGCUAUCCAACAUGCAUCAUCGGAGGGGCAGCAAGGUUGAUGUAGAAGCCCUCCGUGAUCGAAUCCCCCUCCGGCAGAUUACCAGAAAAGGCCCCAAGAUGGGAUCUCACGAGAACAAAAGCAUGCGGUAGCGGAAAAGUAUAUUUGAUGUGCCCUCUGGUGUAGGGGGAAUAUUUGGGUAUUUAUGGAGCCAAGAUUAGGGUUAGGAGAGUCCUGAGGGGCCCACAAGCCCUGGAGGCGCCCCUAGGGUGCGGCCUCCAGGCUUGUGGCCUCCUCCCGAAGCUUCAUAGGUGUCUUCUGGUCAAACAAAAAAAUCAUCGUAAAGUUUUAUUUCGUUUGGACUCCGUUUGGUAUUGAUUUUCUGUAAAGAUACAAAAAGGAAAAAACAGCAACUGGCACUGGGCACUAGGUUAAUAGGUUAGUUCCAAAAAAUGAUAUAAAAUAGCAUAAUAAUGCAUAUAAAACAUCCACGAUUGAUAAUAUAACAACAUGGAACAAUAAAAAAUUAUAGAUACGUUGGAGACGUAUCAUACAUUCAUUCCCAUUUCUUGCAUGGGACCUAAGCAUGCAACCAACGACACACAUUUGUUUUUUCAACCCAUUUUUAUGCACUGGAGCAUGAGCAUGUUGUUCAAAUUUGAAUUAUGCACAUAAAUGCCUAGAAAAUCAGUUUAUGUAUAAAAAUGUCCAAACGAACCCUGAAAAAAUCCAAAAUUUAACACGACACUCCUUUUGUUCUAUGUUGACACCAGAAAAAAUUUGAAAGCAAGAAGAGGCAACGAAUAUCAUUUCGUCCACAAAGGUGACACGUUCCCUACCGGAACCAUGAGGCUUGUUGUGAGAAGCUCUGGUUUGUAGAAGCUUAUACCCAAACCUGCUCCAAAUGGGACAAUUUUUUUACCACAACAUGUUGAUGCCAUUCCAUGAUAGCAUGCCAAGGUUCAUGAAGUUCACACGAGUUUUGGAUUUACUAGAAUUUCAAAACCAAGUAUCUCAAUGUUUGCCGGCGAGCCACAGUGCCGAGGUGUUUGAAAUUUAUUCCCAUUUAUUGCAUGGCUCAUAAACAUCAACCCAUGGACACAUAUAUGAUUUUACAACCCAUUUUGGUGCACCGGAGCAUGUGCAUAUAGUUUAAUUUUAAAUUGUGCACCUGAAAUGCCUAGAAAACCAAGUUAAUGUAUAAAAAUGUCCAAACAAACCCUGAAUAAUUCCAAAUUUUUUGACGACACACCUAUAGUUGCAUGUUCACUACAGAUAAAAGUUCUAGCAAUUCAAACACCCUCCUUUGCCAAUGUGACCCAAUUAUGUAUUUCAAAUCAAGACGAAACAUUAAGUAGAUCGCACACAAUUUAUUAUCACCAACCAUGUGAGAUGCAGUACAAAAUAUCUUGGAGCACCGUUGGAGUAGUACAUAUAUGGCUUACGCGAGAAGGUGCGUCAGCUACAGUCCAUAGUCGGCUCGUCAAGCACACUAACUCGAUCCCCAAAUAUCAUUUCACUGUUCAAUCAUCGUCGGUGAAAGAUGGGGACGUGGACCCGCAUCAUGAGGGCCACUUCGGCGGCCCACUCCGGUGAGAGCGUGUCCUCAGCCGCCAUGUGCAUGCUAAUAAGCUGCAUGAGCACGACCGCAAUCUGCGACCGGGCGGCCAAGGCAGCCCAAACUGCCGCUUUUGCUGCUCAGGUGGCGGCAGCAACAUCUGCGUCGGGGAUAGACACUGGCGGUCACCGCACAAUAGCUAUCCGUCCCGCAGCGGCAACCUUAGCCCUAAUUGAGGCUGCCCACAACCAUGUCGAGGCCGUCCAUGCCCAGCUCAUGGCGAUCACCGCACAAAUCAAACGAAGCUUCUCCAACAAGGGUUGGCAACCCACGACCGAAGAGUUGGCAAUAGCCGAGAGCGUUCGAGCAAUCGUCCGUUCCUUCGCGGCAUACCUUGCCACGAUGAAGCCCGUCAAAGCCCAGAUUGCAGCCAACCAUGCCCAACUCGUGGCGGCCUUUUCCAAAGAGAUGGCGGACGCGGAUGGCAAGAUGCUUGCAGAGUAUGGUGCGAUGGAUGCCAUGGAGCCCCUUCCCCAGGAUAUCGUCGGGCGCAAGCUGGACAUGGAGGAGGCGGCGGAGAUCGACGAGCGCCAGCCAGAGUAGUACUCUUUGUUUAAUUUAGAGCGACGGUCUAUAAUUUGUUAGAGUAAUGUUUAGUUUAGCUAGCUCUGUUUAAUUGUUGAACUUGCUCGAUUAAGAAGUGUGGGUGUGCUGUAGGAUCCUUUGUGUACCCAAAUUAUGCAAUGACGUGGAUGACCACUGUAACCAGGGAAAUUCAUACCAAUGCAUGUUCAAACUCAUCACACACGGGGUAAGCUAUAUGAAUCGUUUGUGAUGUUCACAUAUCAUUCACAGUGCUAAAUAAUAGAUCGUGUCUGGUGACACUUUGCACGCUAGUUUUUUCGUUGCACCGAGCCAAAAUUUCGGAUUCCGCGGAAAUAUAUACCUCCCCACCCCUCCCCCUCACCAAAAGCCACAUUUCCCCUAUUUCUGCCUUCCUUUCCAAGUUCAAAGUUUCACUCCUUGCUUGCAGCGCCGCCUCCUCGUCGACGACCCUCUUUCACAUUGCUUGGCCUCGUCGAUCCAGGCAGGUAAUCCACACCCGACCCCCAUCCUCCUCCUUCUACAUCCCACAUGCCCCGACCACCGGCGCGACACCUUCCACCCAAAUCAUCGACCCCUACCCCAAAUAAGUGCCGCCCUAAGCCAUGGUGAAUGUAGUAUAGCCAGGAGCUCAAGGAGCAUUUGGCAGUGGAGAAGCAAAUCGCAGCCGCACGCGUGAAUGAGGUAGUGAUGGCUGCCAUUCUUGCCGACCCCCAGAUCUUGGAGGAGCACCUCGCCGUUGAUGCCACCAUCGACACGUCGCGUGCUGACGCCGCGACGCGGUUGGCUGCUUUAAAUGAUAGUUCGUGGCAUUUUCUCGAGGCCACCGUCGGUGCCUUCAAUGAAGACUACGAGGUGUUUUCUCAGUGUGCCCGUGCUUACCUCAACUCUAGAGCCAGCAGGUUGGUGCUCGGAGUGGCUCAAGUAACUCACUACUAUGAGGAGGGAACCACGAUGUGGAGGCCUUGCCCUCUUCCAUGUCCAAGGAGUCAAUCAUCAUCGAUAUCUCUGACGAUGAGGAGUAGCUUAUCUUAUUAGCUCACUAUAAGGACCUAUGUUCAGUUAGAUAGCUAUGCUGGUUAAGCAUGAUCAGUUUACCCGUUGCAUGUGCUACUCCUGCCUUUCCUUAAAAAAUUCUAGUGAAUUGUCCUAUGCACUUUUACCAUGCAAUCUAUUCCUCUAGUGUAUAUGUUCUAUAUGCUAUCCAAUGUGGUGCUCACUUAUUAACUGUUCAGUUAAUUUGUUGUCGUUUUCAGUUAACUGUUUGGUUCAUUCUGCAGUGCGAUGUUCAAUUGUUGUGGGUGCAUUUUUUGUCUACCAUGUGAGAAAUAAAUCGAAUUUGGUUGUACUAAAUACAUGAGAAACAAAUACAAUUGCUAUAUUUCCAAGUUGUUAAGCAUGCUUGGUUUGGUUAACUGUCUAAUCUUCUAUUAGGAGUAUGUUAUAUUGUGCAAUGUGGUACUCAGUUAAUGUUUGGUUCAUUUGUUGUGGUGUUUAGUUAACUGUUUGGUUCAAUUCUGCAAUGUGAUGUCCAAUUGGUGUGGGUACAAUUUUGUAUUGUUAUGCAUGUGAGGAAUAAAUCGAAUUUGGCUGCACUUAAUACAUGAGAAACAUAUACAAUUGCUACAUUUCCUAAUUCUUAAUCAUGCACUACUAGAAUAAGGAUCUUUGCCGUCAGCCAGCUGACGGCAAAGAAUGUCUUUGCCAUCAGCUUAAAGAAAACUGACGACAAAGAAUGAGCUGACGGCAAAGGUCAUGUUUGUCGUCGGCCAUAUCUUUGCCGUCCGCUAGCACACGACAUAGAAGCUUUGCCGUCAGCUAGUAGACGACAAAGAGUGAGAGUGGCCCACUAGCGAGAACCACCUAACGGACACUUUCUUUGCCGUCCGCUAGCUGACGACAAAGCUUCGUUGCCGUCUGCUAGCAGACGGCAAAGAAAGUGGCCAAACUAACGUCCGUUAGCUAGGCUCUUUGCCGUAUGCUAGCAGACGGCAAGGAACCGUGCCCUAACUAAAAUGCCAACGACGCCCGCGCCCCAUCUCUUUGUCCCCUCUCUCUCCCCGCCUCGUGCCCGAGCCGCCGCCGCCCCACGCCACCCCACCCCCGUGCCGCCGCCGCCCCGCGCCACCCCCAUCGUCGUGCCGCCCCUGCCGCCCCGGCNNNNNNNNNNNNNNNNNNNNNNNNNNNNNNNNNNNNNNNNNNNNNNNNNNNNNNNNNNNNNNNNNNNNNNNNNNNNNNNNNNNNNNNNNNNNNNNNNNNNNNNNNNNNNNNNNNNNNNNNNNNNNNNNNNNNNNNNNNNNNNNNNNNNNNNNNNNNNNNNNNNNNNNNNNNNNNNNNNNNNNNNNNNNNNNNNNNNNNNNNNNNNNNNNNNNNNNNNNNNNNNNNNNNNNNNNNNNNNNNNNNNNNNNNNNNNNNNNNNNNNNNNNNNNNNNNNNNNNNNNNNNNNNNNNNNNNNNNNNNNNNNNNNNNNNNNNNNNNNNNNNNNNNNNNNNNNNNNNNNNNNNNNNNNNNNNNNNNNNNNNNNNNNNNNNNNNNNNNNNNNNNNNNNNNNNNNNNNNNNNNNNNNNNNNNNNNNNNNNNNNNNNNNNNNNNNNNNNNNNNNNNNNNNNNNNNNNNNNNNNNNNNNNNNNNNNNNNNNNNNNNNNNNNNNNNNNNNNNNNNNNNNNNNNNNNNNNNNNNNNNNNNNNNNNNNNNNNNNNNNNNNNNNNNNNNGCUGCCGCCCGGCCGCUCCGGCGCCCCUUCCUCCACCCGGCCACCCCGGCGCCCCUCUCCUCCAUCACCGCGGCUGCCCCGCCGCUCUGGCGCCCCCUCCUCCACCCGGCCGCCCCGGCGCCCCUCUCCUCCACCCCCGCGGCCGCCCCGCCGCUCCGGCGCCCCCAACUAUAGUGAGACCUCUUGUAUUUUUUUCUUCUUUUUUUAAGUUUAGUUUAGGUUUACUUUAGGUUUGGUUUCCUUUAGGUUUAGUUGAAGUGAUAGGAUCCUAUGGAGUAAAAUUUAUAUGCACACCUCAUAUGAAUCUAUGAUCAUAUCCAGUAAAAUUUAUAUGCAUGUUCCACUCCACUAUCUACACAUUUACUUAAUUAGUAAUACUACCAAAUACUGAAGUUUUGCUAUGUAUAACAUUGCUACAUGUGUUUUUGUCUAUAUAGAAUUGCAUUCAUUUCCUCUUCUAGACAUGAACCAGCUCUUGCAUGAGUAUGUUAGCAUUUCACCUGGCUUGUAAUCAAAUUUUAUAACUGCUAAUGUACCUCAAGUUUAUUCGAUGAGAUGCCUAAGUCUUGGUAGUUUUGGAAUCCCUAUUAGUUGAAACAUGAGCAUUACAAAGUUUCAUAUCUAUGAUCAAUUUGUUGACAGACCGUUUAGCUGAUGCUUAUUUCUCUUGCUGGCAGAUGCUUAUUUCUUUAGGUUUUGUUUAGCUGAUGCUCAUGAUGUCGCUAUUGUCGUUUUUUGUCUCAGGGUCUUGUCAUUCUGAUCUCCUACUUCAACAAUGGCUAAGGUGUGUGUGUGCCUCAAACUCGCAACAUGGACUCAGUGUAUAUUUGAUAAAUGAUAACCUCAUGCCGUUAGCCCUCAAGUUAAAAUAGGACUUAUUCUCCUAUGUUAGUUGCAUCUCCUGUGAUCAUAGUUGAGCAAGUAUAAGAUUGCAGUAUGGAUAUAAUGUCUUACCCCAGCUUGCAUUUUCAUACCUUUUCUAUAAUAGGAUCCUAUGGUAAUGUGACGUGGUACUUGUUCUGAUUUGCAUACAAAGUAAAUUGAUUUUAGGACACUGCCCUUAGUUUUUGAUUUGAGGUAUGUUUGUUUGCUUGGUGUGUGUCAAAUCUCAAAAUGGCAAACAAAACAUGACAAGGGGAAAAUCCACAUACCAAGGAUAGGUCACCUGUAUGUCAACCUAGAGCCACCUAGAGCCACCUAAAUCCACAUACCAAGGAUAAAUCUUGUGCUCAGCUCUAGUAUGUCAACCUAGAGCCACCUAAAAUAUGGUGAAACUAUGAUUUUUGCCACAAGUAUUCCAAUGUGAUCACACCACAAGGAACUUUAGGUUUAGUUUUGGUUAAGAAGAAAGAUGAAAAAAAUAAGGAGAAGAAGAUAAAGAGGAGGAAGAAGAAGUGAAUUUUCCCCCUAUUUUUUGAUUACUAUGCUAUGUUUUUCAACAUUUUCAGUUUUCUUUCAUGUCUAAAGAAAUCCCUAGUUUUGAAGGGUGCCAAUUGCCAUUGCCAACUAACCUACCAAAUUAAUUAAGUGUUGUUGAUGUUGUUGAGCACAAGUGCAUUGCUUUUUUUUUUCUCAGUUUUCUUUCAUGUCUAAAAACUUGGCUCUGUUCCAACUAUGUCCAUUUAUCAAAUAUGAUACAAUUGAUAGAUAUGGUUCUAGCUAGCUGUGUUUAUAGAUAUGGUUCUAGAUACUAAUUGGUCUCUUCUGCUGCUUAUCAGAGAUGGGGGGAGGCCACCACCGCAGGCUGCGCUUUGCCACACCGGAGUACGACUUGGAAGGUUUCGAGUUCUUCACGAUCAUACUUGAGAAUUCCUCCAAGAGACAGUAUAUAAAAGGAGAGAUCUCCCCUUCACCCAUCUCUUUAUCAUAACUCUGUUGUUUGCUUCAUCACUCCUUGACCCACGCUGCAGAGGCUGCCUGACACUUUUAUGAAGAUGAUGGACGACCAUCAGCCAAAGAAUGUGAAGCUGUGACAGGCCGGCAGCAGGCUUCGCAGGCUGUGGGACGUGGAGGUGGUGAUCAGGUAUGACCACAUGUAACUGUGUUGUGGCUGGGAGCAGUUCGUCCGUGCCUACGACCUGCGGCAUGGGUACUUCCUUGUCUUCAGGUACGACGGCGACGCCAUGCUCACCGUGAAGGUGUUCAACACGACUAUGUGCCACAUGCGCUACCAGGACGACGACGAUGCCAGUACGCUCUGCCUCUUCUUCCUCUACAUUUGGCUUUGUCUCACACUGAUUGUUAAAAAAACUUUGUUGCAUUUGGUCAGGCAAUGGGAGCAGGAGCAGCGACUCUGGCUAUAGCCAAAGCAGCAGCGACUCUGGAUACAGCAAAAGCAGCAGCGAGGAUGAGGAGGAACAGAGUGGGGAAGAAGAGGAGCAGAGCAGUGAUGACCUCGUGAUGGUGGUGGCUGACAAUGGCCACACGAUGGUGGUGGAUGAAGAUGGCCUCGCGAUGGUGGCGAAUGACGAUGAGCUAGCGGCGGUAGUGCCUGAAGAUGGCCUCACGAUGGUGGUGGUGCCUGACGAUGACCACGCGAUGGUGGUGGUGCCGGCGAUCCCACAGCUAGGGGACGACAGGACCACACCAAUUAUGGUAGAGGAGUACAUCCCACUGCCUCGCCACUCUAAGCGCAUCAAGAUGAUGAAGGAGAAGAAGAAUAAGAAGAAGGAGGAGUGAAGAUCUUUAGUUUAAUCUUUUUAGUGUAAACCUUUUAAGUAUGAUAGUGUUGAACUUUCUUAAUUAUGUGUGCUCAUGGAUGCUCACGAAUUCAAAUUAUGUGCAUGCUCAUGGAUGCUCAUGAAUUGAAAUUAUGUGUUUUUGUGCUUGGUCAUGGGUGCUCAUUCAUUGAGUAGUUUUUGAUAAAAUUAUAUAUCUAUGAAAUUUGUGAUAUUGAAUGAAGAAAAAACAGGGGCUAUACAGGAUCUUUGCCAUCCGCUGGCAGACGGCAAAGAGCUUUGCCAUCUUCCAGCAGACGGCAAAGCUGCCACGUGGCAGCCACCUGUGCAACCUGGGGUGCACUGGGCUGGCCUAUUUGGCAGCUUUGCCGUCUGCUGGCAGACGGCAAAGAUGCAAAGAUGUUUGCCGUCGGCCAGCUGACGGCAAAGCACGCCGUUAACCCCUUAAUAGAGCUAAGGUGCCACGUGUGCCAUCCAGGCUCUUUGCCGUCUGCCAGCUGACAGCAAAGGCCUUUGCAUCUUUGCCGUCUGCCAGCAGACGGCAAAGAGGCCUUUGUCGUCUGCCAGCAGACGGCAAAGAGGCCUUUGUCGUAGCCUGUUCAGCCGGACCUGUUGCCGUCUGCUGGCUGACGGCAAAGUGCCUGAUUCCUAUAGUGAUGCUUGGUUUGGAUAAAUGGCUUUUCCAUGUGGCUCAAAUUAAUCUGAUGAUUCUGCAAUGUGUUUAUUUUUCAUCGACAUAUUUUACUGAUAGCAUGCCAACCCUCGCUUAACCUGAUCACUAACUACCUUAUACGUGUUGCAGGGAAACAAUGAGAAGCACUGAGGUAUACAAUCGAGGUUUGCACAUGCAUGUUCGUUUGUCUAAUAGCACAUUAUUGUGCAAUUCGAGGAACCAUUCUAAUAUUUAGGUUUUUAACAAUUUGGUCUUGCACAUGUAGGUCCUGCUGUCAAAGGUUUUGACCCACUCUUCGACCCUUUUUGCAUAUGGGGAAAUGAGUUGUCCAUGAAUAUCAGUCAAGUCAAGAAACUCAGAAAGAUUGUUAGGAUAAAGAAAUUAGCGACAAAAAACAACAAGAUCUUUGUCUGCAUAAUUAUGAAGACAUCGGUUCACUACAGGAUGGUACUAACUAUUAUGCCUUGUCUUUUUUGUUCCUUUGCGCCAUAUCAAAUCUAGAGAAGAUAUUUAUGCAUAUCCUUGUUUUCACGCCUUUCCAAAGCAGUUCACUUAUGAUUACCUCUCAAACAACCUAUAUGGUCAGGAGGCGAGGAAGGUAUUCAUACAACACCCACGGUACAAUAUUGAAGUCUUCCUGAAGAGGACGGAGGAUGGACGGUCAAUCAUCCACAGGCACUGACCUAAAGUUGUAAAGAGCUUCAACAUCAAUGAAGGCUCAAUAUUCGCGUUCCGCUUCAGCAGCUUCCAGAUGAGAUUCAUCUGUCCAUGUACGGUUGUGUAAUGGGGCAGCUAGCUAUAUGCCUAUAUGGCGUAACUGAGUGUUGAAGCUAUAUGAUGUUGUACUCUGAUGUAUUUCAAUUAUGAAAUCCUGCUUCCUUAAUACGAAAAUGAAAUAUAUUGUGUGCGUAAUAUGAAAUUUCAAUUUUAUUAAUAUAAAUGGAUUAUUAAUAAUAGGCCAAUUAGCCUGCUAAUUGGGUUUUUCUAUUGCAAAUGGUUAUAGUAGCGGCGCAGCCCUUGCUGGUAGAUGGCGGACCGCUGAGUGCUAACAGCCGGCCUUCUUCCAAUAGGUCGACGCCGUCUUCUCUUGCUUCCUUGGCCUCCUCCUCCGUGUACAUGGUGAUCCGAGGCGAGUCGAACUCGAUGUCUGUUGGGAUGACAGCCUCGGCACCAUACACGAGGAAGAAUGGAGUGAAGCCGGUUGACUUGUUGGGUGUAGUGCGCAGACUCCAGAGGACAGCCGGCAGCUCAUCGAGCCAGCAGCCGGCUGAUCGCUCCAGUGGUACAACCAGUCGGGGCUUGAUGCCGGAGAGGAUGAGUCCAUUUGCUCGCUCGACCUAGCCGUUUGACUGCGGGUGGGCAAGGGACGCUAAGUCCAGUCGGAUGCCCUGCGUCGCGCAGAAACGUGCCAGUGCUCCUUUGGCGAAGUUCGUGCCGUUGUCGGUGAUGAUGCUGUGCGGCACGCCAUACCGAGUAGUGAUGUCGGUGAUGAAUGUCACGACAGUCGGCCCGUUCAGCUUCUUGAUCGGCUUUGCUUCGAUCCACUUUGUGAACUUGUCCACAGCGACGAGUAGAUGCGUCAAGCCGCCGCGGGCUGUCUUGAAAGGGCCCACCAUGUCCAGUCCCCAGACGGCAAAAGGCCAGGUGAGGGGAAUGGUCUUGAGUGCAGAAGCCGGCAGGUGUUGCUUGGAACUAAAAACUUGGCAUCCUCUGCAGCUCUUGACCAUUUCUUUAGCAUCUUCCAAGGCAGUCGGCCAAAAGAAACCAUGGCGGAAAGCCUUGGCCACAAGUGAUCUUGAGGCUGCGUGGUGGCCGCAUUCGCCUUGGUGGAUAUCCUUGAGGAUUGCCACUCCUUUUUCUGGCUCGACACAACGCUGGAAGACUCCAGUGACGCUGCGCUUCACAAGCUCUCUGUUGAUUAUUGCAUAUGCUGCGGCUCGUCGUUGCACUAGUCUUGCUGAGAUCUCAUCAGCCGGCAGCUCUCUGCUGACUAGGAACUUGAGGAUGGGCUGGGCCCAUGACGGAGCUGUGACUUCUUCUUCUGUUAAUGUAGCCACCAUCACUCGGGUGGGUGGGUUGGGUGGCGUGGAAUUGGAGUCGGCCACCGCUUCUUGUGUCGUUGCAGUCCCCGGGCCGACUGCUGCAGCCCCCGGGCCGGGUUCGACUACGGAAGUCCCCGGGCCAGUUGUCGAAGUCCCCGUGCCGCCUGCGGGGUUCCUCCAGUCGGAUCCGGCUGCAUCUGGCGCAGGCGGUACGAAUAUAGAGUCCGACUCUGGAGACGGUUUGAUGGACGGCUUGAGGAGGCGCUGGAGGGAGACGCCAGUCGGUAUGGCUUGUCGGGUGGAGCCGAUCCAUGCUAGGGCAUCUGCUUGGUCGUUGUCGGCCCUUGGCACGUGAAGGAACUCGCACCCUUUGAAGUAUCCCCUGAUCUGCUGGACGAGGAAUCGAUAGCUCGCCAUGUUCGCGUCCUUGGCGUCCCAGUCGCCAGACGACUGCUGGACCACCAAGUCUGAGUCACCAUAACACAGGAUCCGGUGAAUGCCGAGCUCUUUGGCUAGCCGGAGCCCAUGUACGAGCGCCUCGUACUCGGCCACGUUGUUGGAGGCGGCGAAGUGGAUCUGCAGUGUGUACUUGAACUUGUCGCCUUUGGGAGAGGUGAGGACGAUGCCGGCUCCCAAGCCGGUGCGCAUCUUGGACCCAUCAAAGUGCAUCCGCCAGUGGGUAGAGUCGGGAGCCGGCGGUAGGUACUGGGUCUCGACCCAGUCGACGAGGAAGUCGGCCAAUGCUUGGGACUUGAUGGCGGUGCGCGGUUGGUAGAAGAUCGUGUAGGGCGCCAGUGCAGUAGCCCAUUUAGCCACCCGCCCGGAUGCUUCCCGGCUGCCUAUGAUCUCGGCGAGCGGGGCGGUGCACACGACCGUGAUGGGGUGUUCUUGGAAGUAGGGCUUCAGUUUCUUGGCGGCGAAGUAUACCCCAUAGCACAUCUUCUGGUAGUGCGGGUAGUUCUGCUUUGAGCUGGACAGCACUUCGCUUAGGUAGUACACCGGCCUCUGGACUAGCUGGGCUCGGCCUUCUUCCGGGCGCUGGACCACAACAACAGUACUGACUACUCGGCUAGUCGCAGCGAUGUAGAGGAGCAUGGGCUCCUUUUCAGUCAGCGCUGCCAGGACAGGCGGAGUGGUCAGCAUUUUCUUCAACUAAUGGAAGGCUUGGUCGGCUUGGUCGUUCCACUCGAAGUGAGUGGACUUCUUCAUGAGUCGGUACAGGGGGGGAGCCUUCUCUCCUAGUCGGCUGAUAAAACGAUUCAGGGAGGCCAAGCAGCCGGUGAACUUCUGCACAUCUCGCAGUUUGGUGGGAAUCUCCAUCCUCUCGAUGGCCUUGAUCUUGACGGGGUUGCACUCGAUGCCGCGUUCGGAGACCAGGAAGCCUAGCAGCUGGCCGGCUGGUACUCCAAACACGCACUUCUCGGGGUUGAGCUUGAUUUGGAAUCGACGCAAGUUGGCGAAUGUUUCUUUCAGGUCUUCCAGCAAGGUACCGCGCUUCUCUGUCUUCACCACAAUGUCGUCUACAUAGACGUGGGCAUUUCUGCUGAGUUGUUUCAAGAGGCAUUUCUGCAUGCAACGCUCAAAAGUGGCACCGGCAUUCCUCAGGCCGAAUGUCAUAGUCAGGUAGCAGAAAGCUCCAAAGGGUGUGAUGAAGGCCGUCUUCAGGCGGUCAGCCGGGUCCAACUUGAUCUGAUGGUACCCUGAGUAUGCAUCCAAAAAACUCAACAGCUCGCAUCCGGCUGUGGAGUCUAUCACUUGGUCAAUCCAUGGCAGAGCAAACGGAUCCUUUGGGCAGGCCUUGUUCAGGCUGGUGUAGUCUAUACACAUACGCCACUUGUUAUUCUUCUUCAGAACCAGAACUGGGUUGGCAAGCCACUCUGGAAAGAACACUUCCAUGAUAAAGCCAGCGGCUAGGAGCCGGGCUAUCUCUUCUCCCAUGAUUCUUCGCUUCUCUUCUGACAGUCGGUGGAGGGGUUGCUUGACCGGCUUCGCGUCGGCGCGGACAUGUAAUUUGUGCUCGGCGAAAUCCUUCGGGACACCCGGCAUGUCCUUUGGGGACCAUGCAAAAAUGUCUCGAUUCUCACGGAGGAAGUCGACGAGCUCGCCUUCCUAUUUAUUGUCCAAGUUCGCCCCGAUGACAGCGAACCUCUCCGGGUUCUCCGGGUCCAGAGGUAUCUUCUUCGUCUCUUUGGCAGGCUGGAAGGAGCCCUGUGCAUCACAAUCUUUGGGGUUGGGGGAUAGGGCCGGCUGCUUGCCGGCCAUGGCCACAACCCGCUCCAGCAUCUUCUUCUCUUCUGCCACCACGAGGGACUCGGCUAGCCGGCUGCUGGCCAUGGCACACUCGAUGGACUUCUUGUAGUCGCCGGCUACCGUGAUGAUCCCCUUCGAGCUCGGCAUCUUCAUCUUCAGGUAGGCGUAGUGGGGCACAGCCAUGAACUUGGCCAGAGCAGGUCGGCCAAGCAGAGCAUGAUAGGGGCUCUCCAAAUCCACUACCUCGAACCAGAUUGCUUCUCGGAGAAAAUGAUCUUUGUCUCCGAAGAGAACAUCCAUUUUAAUCUUGCCGAUUGGGGAGCAAGACAAGCCGGGGACGAUACCAUGGAAGACGGUGCGGCUCGGCAUAAGCUGCUUUGCUUUGAUGUUCAGCUUCUCCAUGGUAUCGCGGUACAGUAUGUUGAUACUGCUUCCGCCAUCUAUCAGGACGCGGGAGAAUCGGGCAGCUCGCCUCUCCGUCGCGAGGGUGACAUCCAAGACCAUUGCAUAGGAGCCAGGAGAGGGCAUCACCUCUGGGUGGUCGGCCUGGCUCCAGCUGAUUGGCUUCUCUGACCAGUGCAUGAACUCGGGGGCACUAGAGGUGACUGCAUUAACUUCUUGAUGCUGUCGGCGCCGAGUGCGCUUGUCGUCGGCUUGACUGGUGAAGACGACGUAGGCGGCGUGCUCUUCAGGGAAUUCGUCUUGGAUGGCGCCGACCGCCGGCCGAGGCGCCGACUGCUGGGGGGCUGGAGGCGGCGGGCCGGGAGGCGGAGCCGGCAGCAAUCCCUCGCCCUUGGUGAUUCGCAUGAGCCAGUGGCAUUUUCGGGUCGUGUGGUUAGACGGCUUCGCGCCGCUGUGGAACUUGCAGGGGGCGUCAAGAGCCUGCUCGUAAGAGAAAGCCGGCUGCCAAGCCGCCCUGCCGCCCUUCUUCUUGGGAGCAGGCCGCUCUUCGGGCUGCUCAUCUUCAACUGUGGCCACCUGCCGACUGGUGGAAGUCGGCAUGGGGGCCUUGCGCUUGUGAUCGUUCUGGUAGGGGCGCCGAUUAGGGUCGCCAGCCGACGUCUUGGGAGCCGGAGCAAUCACCUUUCCCGAGGCGUCUACUCGAAGCCCGGUCUUCAUCGAGGAGUCGGUCGUGGCGUACUUGUCCGCGAUGACCAGCAACUCGUCGAGGGUAGCCGGCUCGUCGCAGAGGAGUUGGUGCUUGAGGAGGGUGCCCUCUCGGCACCCGGCGGUGAAGUACUCGAUGGCCUGAACCUCGUGCACCCCCUCGCAGGAGUUGCGGAGCUCGGCCCACCGCGUGAGGUAGUCGCGGGUCGACUCGUUGGGUCCUUGGACGCAGAGGGAGAGCUGGCGAGGCUUGGGAGGCCGCUUGUAGGUGCUGGUGAAAUUGCGGACGAAGACUUCCGUGAAGUCCAGCCAACUGUUGAUGCUGGAGGGCUUGAGGCUGUUGAGCCAUGUGCGCGCUGUGCCUUGUAGCAUGGGGGGGACGUACUUCACGGUGACGCGCCGAUUGCCGUUGGCUAUGCUGACGGCCGUGGAGUAGUCGAUGAGCCAAUCUUCCGGCUUCACUGAGCCGUUGUACUUGGGCGUGUCUCUGGGGAGCGAGAACCCUUUGGGGAAGGGCUCGUUGCGGAUGCGGGGGCCAAAACAUGGCGGGCCGACAUCGUCUUCUUCUUCUAACGCCAAGGAUCAAGCGAGGCGGUCGAUCCGGUGGCGGGCGUCGUUCUCGCCGACUCCUUCUCGGCGGCCGAGUCGGUCACCAAGAGUCGGGUGCGUGAUAGGCGGCGGGGUGAGACGUCUUUCUCUUCGAGGCGGUGGAGGAGGCAGAUUUCCUUGGUGCUCCACCGCUCGCGGGUGGCCUUCCGCGUCGCGCUCGAUGGUGAUGCGAGUCCGGCUGCGGCUAGCAGCCGGCUCCUUGUCUUUCUUCUGACGGGCGCCGCUCGCAGUCGGCGAGCGGGAUGUCGCGGCGUGCUCCCGGCGCGGGGGAUGACUAUCAGCACGGGCGCCGGCUUCGUGCCGUUCUGCAGCCGCGUCGAUCAGCUGCUGGAUCCGUCUUGUCAUGUAGGGGAGCUCAUCGGCUCCUAGCCCAUUGAGCUCUUCUGCGACCGCCUGAGCGGCUCGCAGAUUCUCGAGCGGGGUGGAGUAGACGGGGCGAUCUGCCCCCAGCAUGCUGGCGACGGCCGCGCCGCGCUUCUGGAUGAAGCCGGCUCGGCUCGGGCCGCUAGGCGGCGGCGUACCGAAGGCAGCGCGGUCGACUUCGCGCUGGUGGGCCUCGGUGAGGCGUCUCAUGGAGGCUAUCUUCUGGCCUUCCGCGAUGAGGGCGAGGCGGCGUGCCUCCAGGGUCUCGGCGUCGGCAUCGGCCGGGAUGGGGACGGAGAGGUCGUGCAUCGCCGCUUGUAGGGCGUCGUGGGCGUUCUCGCCCGAGUUGGCGACGUGGCUGAUGACCAACACUUCGGUGACAGCGCUGCUGCCGCUGUCAGCUCGAGGGAGAGGAUCGUCGAAGACCACCACGUCGGAGGGGUAAGCGUCGAGCGAUGCCGUGUCGGAGUCGACGAGCAUCGGGUUGGUGGAGCCGACCGACUCCACAUCUGCAGUAGGCUCGCUGGAGACGUGAAGCUGGUCGAGGAGGCUGACGAGGCGGCUCUCGGGGUAGUCCGUGCCUGCGUCGGACGCAGGCUCAUCGGAGAUGCGAGUCUCGCCGAGCAGAUCGGCGAGGCAGCUCGCUGCGCAGGCGUCGUUGACGCCUUGCAGCGCGUCGAGGCAAACGCCAUCGGGCGCAGCAGGCUGGCUGCGCUCGCGGGGGAGGAAGAGGGUUCCCGUCCAGAACAGGUCUCCGGACGACGGUGCACCUGGCCCCAUGGUGGGUGCCAAAUGUCGGGUGGUAGGUGCGACAUAUGCCAACGGGUGGCUUAUCAUUGUGGGUGCCAAUAAGACGUCGCCGGUGCCUGGAAACGGGAUGAGGCGAAGACAUGCACGCCGGCGGAUCUUACCCAGGUUCGGGGCUCUCCGAGGAGGAUAAACCCCUAGUCCUGCUCUGCGGGGUCUCCGCAUGAUCACUAGAUCAGGAAAAGUAGCUACAAUCGCUCCUAGAGCUGUUGGGUUCAAGGGAGAAGAAGAACAAGGCUAGCUCUCGCUUCUCUCUCUUUCUAUGGUGUGUGUGCUAUGCUCCGAAAACCAACCCUUUGCAUGGGUGCCCCGGGGGGUUUAUAUAGGCCUACCCCCCGGGGGUACAAUUGUAAUCCGGCUGGGCACUGGUCCCAGCCAUCAGUGUCUACGCUCGCCGGCUUCUCCGCCGGCUGUUGGGGCCCGCCGACUGGUGGGUCCCGUCGGCUGCCGGCCUCUUGGUCGACAGACCGACCCCACCGCCUAGGAUCUUGUCGGCGGCUGCUUACUGUAGCAUCGCCCCUGAUGACGAGGGCUCCGUUGAGGUAAGCGUGGCUACAGUGGGCCACCUCGAGGGCUCUCACUAUAGCCUUACCUUGUCUUGUCUCCUUAAUGUGGCACGUGCUUCGAGGGAGGGGGUAGCCGACUUCUGGGGGCCGGCUACGCCCUUGGCCGACUGGGGGAGGCCGGGCCGCCUCCGCGCCUCUCUCUGGCUGAAGGGGCCCGCCGCCCGUGGGCCGUACCGGCGUCUGCCGUGGGUGACGUCGAGGCUAGCAUGGCUACAGUGCCGAGCCGGACGGGGGAUGGCCGUCCCGUACGGCGUCCUGUGGCCAUACCUGCCUCGGGUUUCGGGGGUAGUGGGCCGCACUGCGGACACACCCCGUCUUGUCACCGUUAUGUGGCGUAGCUUUGGUGGUUGCGGUCUUGGCCGGCUUCUUGGAAUCGGCGUUCUUUGGGGCCGGCUUCGGGGAAGUCGGCAUCCUUUACGGCCGGCUUCCCGGAGUCGGCCACCCCGUGGUUAUCCCGGGGGGAGGUUGCUGAGGCUGGGCCGCCUUCCGUGAGUCGGCCUCAGAGGUAGCCGGCCAGGGAAGAUGGUCCGAUGCUUGGAGCACUUGAAGGCCCAAAGGCCUGAUAAUUUUUUGGAAGAGCCAGGGGCAGUCGGUUAGGCUACCCGUGGCCAUUUACUCCGACACACAUAGUUUCUAGGUAGAAAACGUGUUGGAUCAAUGAACAAUCACACACGACUUUCUCUUGAAAACUGUUUGCAUUAGGCCACCUUGCACAAAUGCUUUCCACAUAAAAAGUGUGUGUGAUGGACAGCCUAUGCCACAUAGUUUCUUGUAUGCACUGUGUGUGAUGCAUUUAAUAACACAAACGAUAAAUUUGUUAAUAUCAUCUGCAAUGGCAACGCUAUCACAAACGAUUUAAUGGGGAAAAUUGUGUGUGAUGUACGUGCGAACGGAAACGUUUUCCUUGGAUCGAUUGUGUGGGAUGUACAUACGAACGGAAACAUACUUCUUGGAUUGACUGUGUGGGAUGUAUAUAUGAACGGAAACGUAUUCCUUGGAUUGACUGUGUGGAAUGUACAUACGAACGGAAACAUUUGUCUGGGACUGACUGUGUGUGAUGUACUCACGACUGGGACUUAUUGGGCCUGUAUAAUUGUAUUUUAUAGCUCACCCAUCGCACACGAGCUCAUUUUGCGCAGCGUGUGUGACCGGAGGGUCUAUCCCCGACGGUUUCUGGGUCAUGUCUGUCGACGUCCUGGGAACGGGGGUCGCCAGACUUGCCUGCCUGCGGCCCAUGGCAUGGCUCCACCAGCGGCCCUGUACAACCCAUCUUCACCAGCGAACGCUCAAGACCCUCUCGAGGGGCCAAGCCUCGCGAGGCGGACGACACAAGACCUCCUCGGGAGUGACCUCACUAGGCUGGCUCGGGAGGGGCGGAGAGAUCAAGGCAAGGGACACCUCUCGAGGUUCCCGUGACGCAAGCCAUGACGACUAGAGCCAGGCGGGUGACAGCGCACAGUGUCCUCAUUUCCUCUUUGGUGCUAAAGGGGCAAGCGCAGGCGAGGAGUCCCGAGGCAUCAGGCAAAGGUUUCCAUAUCGGUGCAACGAGACCAAGACCAGCAGGACGGCAAGACGGAGGUCACCGUGGAGCCCAAGGAGGCGUCACCACCAGAGCCUUUGGCAGGCGAAGACCACCUUUAGUUAGGAUAACUUGUACUAGUUGUCUCCCUUCGAAUUUGGCAUUGUUGGAUCCCUUCCCGCUCAAUAUUUGGGGAGAGGACCAUGGCCUCUGUAAAUAGGACUAGCCACCACCAUAGGAGGCAACUCAUCUUGGACUAGAUCCAUCCCAUCCUCACACUCACCAAGCACAAGAACACCUCUCCUCAGGAGACUGUUCUUCCCUUGUAACAGUUCAUCCUCAGCCCAAGAGGCAAUCCACCACACCACACUGGAGUAGGGUAUUACACCACAUCGGUGGCCCGAACCAGUAUAAAAUCUCAUGUCUCUUGUGUUGCGGGUUCGUCGAGCUAGGCUUUGAGAUCGUGGCGAGGGUGAUGGCGUGAUUAGGUAGGGAGAGAUCUUCAUGCGCACCCCAGUGUUCGAACCUCAAGGGUUUUGCCGGAACCCAAAAUCCGGCAUUUGGCACGCCAGGUAGAGGUGCGCCGAAGCUUUCUUUCCGCCGAUCCGCGCCACGUCGCUUCGUCGCAUCCAUGGCGGACGCUCGUCGAGCCUGCGCUGAGCGUCGGGCCGCCCUCGCCGCCCGCGUCGCUCAGACAGCUCCCGUCGGUGGGCCUCCCCCUUGUUCUCCGUCACCCGCCGCCAACGCCGCCACCGGCCCGGCGGGAAACAAGCAGCAAGCAUCCUCACUGCACCCCUCGGUGCGGCGAGACGGCUGCACCGCCAGUCCGUCGCUGUCCCCGGCCGGCUCGUCGUCUCACGCUCGUCACGCUCCCAUGGACGCGCAUGCUGCGCUGCUCAUGGCACGUGAGCUCCUGCGCUACCGCCCAGUCGACAACCUCUACGAGGACUGGCUGGACCGCAUCGCCGAGCUCGUCAGCGCCGCAGGGGGCUCCCCUGCGCCAUCUCUCUCGCUGCCUCGCCCUCCGCCAACUACGGGCGACGUGGCUCACGGAGCGCCUCCACCACCUCUGCAGCAAGACGGUGCCCUGGCGCCAAGGCGCGCCCCCCCCGGCGUGACCCAUUGCGUCGGGCACCCGCGCGAGAAGAAGGAAGCUGCCAAGAAGUUCCCCGGCCGCAAGAGAACACGCCCGCGCUCCCGACACCACUGCGACAAGACCGCGUGCCACCUGCGGUGGCGGUGCCCGGGCACCAAGGGCAGGCUCCGCAUCAGCAAAGGGUCCCGGUGGCCACCGCAGGCUGCCGCGCCUUCACCCCCGAGCUGCACAGCGUCGCCUGGCCGGGCAAGUUCAAGCCAGACCUGCCUCCUCGCUACGACGGCACCCCUGACCCCUCGGAGUUCCUGCUGAUCUACGAGCUGAACAUCGAGGCGGCCAACAGCGACGAAAAAGUCAUGGCGAAAUGGUUCCCCAUGGCUCUCAAGGUUGGCGCUCGUUCGUGGCUCUUGAACCUUCCCCCGGGCUCGAUCUCCUCCUAGAACGAUAUGCGUGACCGCUUCGUUGCCAACUUCCAGGGCAAUCGCGACCGCCCUCCAGCCGCAGGUGACCUGCGCCGCAUCAAGCAAUAGCCAGGAGAGACCCUGCAAAAAUACAUCCAGCGCUUCAACAACGUUCGCCUCAAGAUCCCCAAGGUAACAGACGAGGCCAUCAUCUCCGCGUUUUCUGAUGGCGUCCGCGAUGUCAAGAUGAAGGAGGAGCUCGCCAUCCACGAGGAGCUGUUCAACCUGGCGACCAAGUGCACAAGAGCUGAGGAAGGACGCCUUUCCCUCCUCGAGCUCCCGGCUGCUGACCCCGAGGAUAAGAAGGACAAGGCCAAGGACAUGAAGCGCAAGGGAGUAGCCGUGCUCGCGGUGGAGCCAGACAUGAAGCGCGGUCGGGACCUUCCCGAGUCGUCCAAGAGCAGCCGUCCUUUCUGCGCCUUCCACAACGUACACAACCACAACACUAAUGACUGUCAAGAGCUCAGGGCCAUUCGGGAUGGACGCCUCGGUCAACGCCCCGAGCGCAACGACCGGGGCUACGGCCGAGGAGGAGGACGUGGCGGAGGACGCUGGGACGAUCGUGGCCCUCGCCAGGAGUGGCGCGACCGGCCUCGCGAGGACCGCUGGCAGGACCAGCCUCGCGAGGGCGCCUAGAGGGAUCAGCCUCGCGAGUAUCGCCCUCAGGGCAAUGCUGGCCUUCCUCUGCUGCCGCUACCGCCAAGAAGGAACGGCGACCACCAUCAGGACGAGGGGGCUGGGGGCAUCCAAGAGCCGCGCGCUAUUGCCUGCAUCUUGGGCGGAGCUCAGGCCCCAGCUUCUCAGCGCAUCUUCAAGCAGUUUGCUCGUGAGGUGAACGCAACCCUUCCCAGGCUCGAGGCCACGCGCCCACUCAGAUGAUCCAAGAUGCGCCAUCACUUUCAGCUCAGCAGACCAGCUCAAGUGCGCGGCCACCACUGGCGCCCUCCCGAUGCUCUGCUCACCCAUCGUCAGCAACGUGCAAGUCACCAAGACCCUCAUCGACGGCGGCGCAGGGCUUAACGUCCUGCCCGUCGAGAUGUUCGACAACCUCCAAGUGCCAUACGAUUAGCUUCAGCCUACCAAGCCCUUCUCAGGAGUGACCAACGGCUCCACCACCCCGAUAGGGCAGGUCCGCCUCCCAGUCACCUUCGGACAACGCGACAACUACCGCAACGAGCUCAUCGACUUUGACGUUGCUCACAUCCGUCUGCCGUACAAUGCCAUCCUUGGGUAUCCGGCCCUGGCCAAGUUCAUGGCGGUGACCCACCACGGCUACAACGUCCUCAAGAUGCCAGGAAGCAGUGAGAUCAUCACCGUCCCCUGUGAAGAAAGAGAUGCGGUGUGCUCCCUCGAGCGUGCCUUCCAAGCUGCAUCAAUCGAAGACCCCGACAACAAUGCAGCGCAGUACCCUCCUGAGGUCGUCCCCAAGAAGAAGAAGCAGCUACUUUGCACAGGGCCUUAGGGGAACGGCGCCACAAGUGGUGCCUCGUCAGGAUCGGCGCCCGCGCCUGGGGCGCCUCCCUCCCUCGCAUAGGAAGGCACGCCCGGCACCCUCCUCGGGCGGGGCUCGGGGGCUCUCUUCUAGAGGGCCUCAGACCUCGCCAACAUCAUGAGGGAGGCGCUCGGGCACCAUGUGGAGGCGUGCUUCACGACAUGCUUCCCUUAGGAGGAUACCGGGCGAGGAGCACCCAGUGCUAAGGAGUUCAUCACCGAGGUCACUCAGGAGCUGCAGGACGCGAGAGCUAUGCGCGGCGACCGCCGCCCACCUGGCGCAGCUCCCCAUCCGGGUGAGGAUGGCGAGCUGCGCGUCUGCGUCGACAUCCCAGGGCUUAACAGGGCUGCAUCUCAGGAACCCUUCAGGCCUUCGCGCGUGGGACUCUGUGAGGGCCCACCUCACAGCUAUGUUCGCAUGCCAUUCGGCCUGCCGAGCGUGGCAGCCGCCUUCUAGUGCAACCUGCGGAGCAUCCUGGCGGCUCAGGAGGCCAGGCAUCACGCAGUCCUGAUGGAGAUGGAGACGAUCUUCAAGGAACCUCCUGGGCCCCCAGAGCCUCCCGAGGCUCAGGGUCCCGGUGGCUCAUGAGGAGCAACCCCUUCGUCACGCAUCUUCAGCUGCCCCAACAUCCCCUCGACAAUGGAAUCAGGUGACAUUUUCCAAGUUUAUUUAGCUGGGAGCACCCCUCGGGCUGCAUCAUUCCCAGGCCGCAUGGGCCUGUCCCUACGGCAUGUAUCCUUUUAUGCCUUUAGCUUACUCCGCUGGGGGCGCCCCUCGGGCUGCAUCAUCCCCAAGCCGCUCGGGUCCAGCCCGGUGGCAUGUAUCGUUCUCGUAUUUCACCUGAGCUAGUCUACUUUUCAUGCAUAAUCUAUCUAUGGUUGUCACCGCUUGACUGUCACCCACCAUGGGAGCCGCGCGCCAAUCGUCUUUCUUCAGGGCCCUUCGCAUAAGAAGGCUAGGCACGGCGUAUGUGCUCGGGCCCGUCCCUGCAGCGUCGAUAAAUCCAAUGGCUGAGCUCUGUCUGGCGGGCCAGCCCCGUUCACGUCACCUCCUAGGGUCGUUGGUGCUUGGCCUUCUCAUGCGAUAACCUCAGGAGAUUCGCUUGGCGCAGGUUGUCUAACCAUCUCGCAGGACCACCACAGCCAUCAAGAACCAAGACCAGGCGCAACCCGCCUUGAGGUAGGGCCUCGUGAGUCCCGCGCUGGCUCACGAGUGCCCAGACACACCUCGUCUAGCCUUGCCGUGCAAGCCACGUGUCAGGGCGGGGCUGUACACGCCCCGGGGACUCUCCGCAGUAGGGAGUCCCCUCCCACGUACCAGUGGAAGCACCGUGCUCCAUGUUGGCCAUCGACACUACUGAGGAGCGGCUAUGCCCGUGCAAAUGCGGAAGCACUAUGCUCCGCGCUGGUGAUAAACAACUGAGCGGGGCCUUACGGCCAUAUCAACCUCAGGGAGCCCUUGAGCUCAGUGCCUGGCCUCAUCGCAACACCUCCCCUCGGGAGAGUCACGCGAGGGGGCUGGGCACGGGGGCUACGCUCGGGUCACGCCCAAGCGUAUGCCACCCAGCCAGGUCCCCCGGACCUGGUCGUCGCACGCCCCUCCCGAGCUGAGCCUCGGUGAGGGCAAAGGUAUGAAGGUAGUUUGAGCGUCAAGGUGGACUCCUGAGCAUAGCGACUUAGGAGCAUAACUGGCCACGUAGCCCCUCACUCCUUGGUCUCAUCCUGGUGAUCCGGACGAGCCAACGGCGGUUGAGGUAUGCACGGGGUCGGGCCCUGCCGACGUAGAACACCAGACCUACUCCUGCAUCUCCUUUCCGUAAGAUGUUUGCACGUCAAGGGGGACUCCUGAGCAUCGCGACUCAGGAGCCUAACUGGCCACGUAGCCCCUCACUUCUUGGUCUCGUCCUGGUGAUCCGGACGACCCAACGGCGGCUGAGGUAUGCACGCGGUCGGGCUCUGCCGACGUAGAACGUAAAGCAAAUGGGAAGGAAAUCGAAAAAUCUCAAAGCAAAUAUUACAAGACAUAUUGUUCUCCAACAUCAAACACAAGUUUAAACGCCUACACGAGGCACGGUACAUGCUGCAGGAGUUAAGCGGGAAAGCAGCCGCCAGCAAGUCACCCCUUCAUCCCUGGACACCGCCGUCGCCUGUGAGGGAUGCUUCUUCCCCAACGGUGUCGCCUUCACCUGUGCCACCAGCCGGAGCUGCAGGAUCAGUAGCACCGCCAGUUGGGGGCGUGGGAGCGAAGGCGCGGAACUUCUUCAGCAGGGCCUUCUUCAGCGUGUCAAUGCGGCUGAGGAAAGAACGCGGGCUUCUCCCUCUGCCAUGGGGCCGAUACCGCUCAGGACGUCCUCAAGCGCAUCAACCAGAUAAGGAAGGAGCUGGGCGAGGCCCUCGUUGCUGGUGGCCAGCGGCUCCACCAAGCCCUUCUCGUAGAGUGAUCGCAGUGCCGUCUGAGACCUCUCCUGGAGGAGCUUGAAGGCUUCAUGGUCCUCAUCCAGGACCUUCGCCUUGGCUUCAAGCUCGGCCUUCUCCGCCUUCAGCUUUCUGUUGCAGCUCCUCCAGCCGGCCGCGCUCCAUGGCCUGUGCCUUCGCCAACUGCUCUAGCUCGGCAUCACGAUCCCUAACGGCGUCCUCUCGGGCCUUCAUCUUCUCCUCCUCUGCCUUGCGGCCUCGGGCUUCUUUCGCGCGCUCCCUCCUGCGGUCUCCAGCUCGGCCUCCAGCGACCGGCAGCGGUCCUUGGCGGCCUCGGCAUCCCUCAGCGCCACCUCGCGGGCAGCCACAGCUUGGGCGAUAGCCUCCCUAUCCUUCUCGGAGUCCGCAACAGCCUAACUCAACAUCGCCCGGACGGACACGUCGGAAUGAAGCCAGCCGGAGACCAGCUCCAGGCGCCCGGCCGCCAAGCGACGGUCGGUGCCUUGAAGAUCUUCUCGCAGCAGGGUCAUCGCAGAAUGAGCACGCUCCAGGACGUCAGGGGAGGCCGAAGGACCCGGACGUAGUAGGGCGGCAGAAGGGGGAGGAGGCGAAGUCGUCACCAUGGCCUGGGAGGACGGAGGCUCCUGAGCUUUGGGGAUCUUGGCGACAGGGCCAGGCGCUGGCACAUCCGGAGCCAGCGGGGCCACGGGGGCUGCCUCCUCCCGAGGAUGCUCCCCCAAGCCUCGUGAGGACGAUCGAGCUGGAGAAGCGCGAGCGCUGAUGCGGCCCUUCUCCAUGGAGGGAGACGCGGCCGCAGCUGACAAAUCGGUCCCGAGCAGCACCACCACUUCCUCCUUCCUCUUCUUCGCCGCGGGCAUCAGCCUAAUUGCACAACGGAGAAGCGUCAAGGUCAAGCAGCAGAAGCAAGAACAAAAGCAGGACAAUAACACUUAUUGGUCUACCGCGGCAUAGUCCCUCCGCUUCGUAAGCUUGAAGCCGGAGAGCCUCGCAGCCGGAGGCGCAGACGCGCGGGCUCCAAGAGCGGAAGAAGGGGCAGCGGACGAACCAGAAGCAGCCCCAGGCGGAGUCUGAGCAGGAGUGUCAUCUCGGGAGAUCAACGCCGACCUGCCCCUCAUCGGCACCAAGGGUGGCUCCUCUCUCUUUGGGAGGAAGAUGGCCUCGUCAUCGUCAUCAGGCAGGGUGCAGAGGAUGUUGGCCUUGCGCAAGGGGAAGGUCUCCCCCAUCCCCUCAGGAGUCGCCUCCGAGUCACAGUCCUCGCUCUCCUCCUCUUCCCCCUUCUUGCGGGAAUCGCCAAAAGACACGUCCACCGGCGCCGUCACCUCCGAAACCACAAGGGGCGCCGGUGGCACCAGUCCGCGCUCGUCGAAGGUGCGCAUGGCAGCCACAACUUGCGCCUCGUCCUUGCGAAGGAACAAGGGAGCGAUGGCACUCGGCGGGUACUCCUAGUCGUCCCCGACCAGGAGGCGGAGAGCCACGGCGAACUCCUCGUCAGCCAAGGCCCCCGGACUCAGGCGAAGCUUGUCUUCUUCGCCCCAAGCAUCCAUAAGGGGCGCGAGCGCGCCUGGAGCGGAGCCACCCGCAGCAUCAGGAACUCCCUCAGGAGCAUGGCCCCCGUCAGCUUUGUCGCCUUCGUGUUGCUCGGCUUCAGGUCGGCGGUCAUCUUCUCCGACAUCGACAUCGCCUGGUCAACAGUAAGCUUCACGCAGGACCACCCCUCGUCAGACUGGGGCAUCUCCGUCGGCAGCCUCAAUCGGGAGUGGACACACUUGGCAUCCACCAUGACCCACUUGCUCCUGAAGCCGUCGGCCUUCUUCCCGGCAUUCGAGAUCACGUUGGCCUUGCCGGCCGCGACAAAGUUGGCACACCCUGAGGUGUGGCCGUUGUUGAUCCAGAGGAAGAAGAAGUGGCGCAACAGUGCCAUGGACGACAUCACCCCGACAUACGCCUCACAGUAGAAGGCGAAGAUCGACAAGAGAAGAACAGAGUUGGGAUGGAGAUGGAGAGCUUGCAACCUGUAAUGGCGGAGGACGGCAUAGAAGAAGUCAGAGAAGGGGGGAACCAGGCCAGCGACGACGCUGCUCAUGAAGAAGGGGUAGAAGGUGCUCCCCUGAGCCUCCGGCUCGGCGGAGCCGACCCGGAGCUCCGUCUUCCCCUUCUCGUUGCUCUCCCCUACCGUCAGCAGGCACGUGGCGGCGAGGUUCUUCUCCGAGACGUUGGGCGCGUCCAAAGCCGGCUGGUACCAAGCGGGCGGCGCGACAGCCUUGGCCUUGCGGGGUGCCAUUGGUCGAAAUCUCGGAAGGGGAUUGAAGCAGAUCUGGAAAUUUUGGAAGCAAGGAGCGAGAAAGGGGAUCUAGAGCAAGGCGAAGGAAAGCAAUGAAGGCAAGCGUUGCCCGCGCCAACCUUUUGUCAGACGGGCAGUUGCCGAGGCAGCAUGGGGAAGCGGAGACGCCCACGUCCAAUCAAUCGCCAUGUGUCGACCAAGGCCGCAGGCCGUUGGGGCCCGCGGUGCUCCGCACUUGCCCUUUGGCUUCGCCACGAAGCCAAGUCCGAGCGCGCCUUGGGCCCGGGGGCUACUGUCGGCAUCCUGGGAACGGGGUCCCCAGACUUUCCUGCCUGUGGCCCACGGCGUGGCUUCACUAGCGGCCCUGUACAACCCAUCUUCACCAGCGAACGCUCAAGACCCUCGCGAGGCAGACGACACAAGACCUCCUCAAGAGCGACCUCACCAGGCUGGCUCGCGAGGGGCGGAGAGAUCAAGGCAAGGGACACCUCGUGAGGUUCCCGUGAUGCAAGCCCUGAUGACUGGAGCCAGGUGGGCGCGAGCGCGCAGUGUCCUCGUUUCCUCUUUGGUGCUAAAGGGGCAAGCGCAGGCGAGGAGUCCCGAGGCAUCAGGCAAAGGUUUCCAUAUCGGUGCAACGAGACCAAGACCAGCAGGACGGCAAGACGGAGGUCACCGUGGAGCCCAAGGCGGUGUCACCACCAGAGCCUUUGGCAGGCGAAGACCACCUUUAGUCAGGAUAACUUGUACUAGUUGUCUCCCUUCGAAUUUGGCCUUUGUUGGAUCCCUUCCCGCUCAAUAUUCGGGGAGAGGACCAGGGCCUCUAUAAAUAGGACUAGCCACCACCAUAGUUGGCAACUCAUCUUGGACUAGAUCCAUCCCAUCCUCACACUCACCAAGCACAAGAACACCUCUCCUCAGGAGGCUGUUCUUCCCUUAUAACUAUUCAUCCUCAGCCCAAGAGGCAAUCCACCACACCACACUGGAGUAGGGUAUUACACCACAUCGAUGGUCCAAACCAGUAUAAAAUCUCGUGUCUCUUGUGUUGCGGGUUCGUCGAGCUAUGCUUUGAGAUCAUGGCGAGGGUGAGGGCGUGAUUACGUAGGGAGAAAUCUUCGUGCGCACCCCAGUGUUCGAAUCUCAAGGGUUUUGCCGGAACCCGAAAUCCGACAAUGUCGGAAGGAUCCCCUAUCGCGCACACUCACUAGGCAACGGUUCAAAAUGCCGGUAAGGGGUUAAAAACCAUUUGUAUAGCAGCUCAAUGUACCAGUGCCUCCACCCCUUCUUCUCCAUAGAGAGGCCAUUAGAACGUGCCUACACUUCCACCAUUCAUUUUCUGAGAGAGAACCACCCACUCAUGUGUUGAGAUCAAGAGAUUCCAAUCCUACCACUGAACCUUGAUUUCUAGCCUUCCCCAAGUUGCUUUCAACUCAAAUCCUUCUUCCACCAUAGCCAAAACUGCGAGAGAGACACUACAAAAAAAUACACUUCCGUGAUGAUAUGUGUUUGUAGUAGUAGGUCACAUUUUCUGUCAUGCAUGUACAUCCAUGACAAAUUUAUGACAGAAUCAAGAUAGUCAUACCUGUGCUGUCGUAGAAGUGUUCCAUGACAUCACCAAAAUUAUCAUCAUGGAAGUGUAGACUUCCAUUGUCGGUGUUCUGGGAACGGGGGUCCCCAGACUUGCCUACCUGCGGCCCACGGCGUGGCUGUGCUGCAGGCCUGUACGACCCAUCUUCAUCAGCGAGACAUUCAAGACCCUCGCAACGGGCCAAGCCUCGCGAGGCGGACGAUGCCAGACCUCCUCAGGAGCGGCCUCACCGGGCUGCCUCGCGAGGAGCGGAGAAAUCAAGGCAGGGCAAACCUCGCGAGGCUCUCAUGACAUGAGACAUGAUGAUCAAAAUCAGGCGGGCGCCAGCGCGCGCAGCAUCCUUGUUCCCUCUUUGGUGCUAAGGAGGCAAGCGCAGGCGCAGAGUACUGAGGUAUCCAGCAAAGGUUUCCAUAUCAGUGCAACGAGACCAAGACCUACAGGACGACAAGACAGAGGUCACCAUGGAGCCCAAGACGGUGUCACCACCAGAGCCUUUCGCAGGCGAAGACCGCUUUUGUCAGGAUAAGUUGUACUAGCUGUCCCCUUUCAAAUUGGCCGUUGUUGGCUCCCUUCCCGCUCAAUAUUUGGGGAGAGGACCAGGGCCUAUAUAAGUAGAAGUAGCCACCACAGUAGGGGACGGGGUCGAGAACACAUCAUCUUGGACUGGAUCCACUCCAUCCUCACACCCACAAGUUCGUAGAGCACAAGUACACCUCGACCUCAGGAGGCUAUUCUUCCCCUUGUACUGUUCACCAUCAGCCCAAGAGGCAAUUCACCACCACCACACUGGAGUAGGGUAUUACACCACAACGGUGGCCCGAACCAGUAUUAAUCUCGUGUCCUUUGUGCCGUGAGUUCGUCGAGUUCACCCGCGAGAUCUUAGCAAGCUAGGGCAUGGAUCGGUAGGGAGGAAAUCUUCGCGCGCACCCUAGUGUUUGAACCUUGAGGGUUUUGCCGGAACCCAUGAUAUGACAUUUGGCGCGCUAGGUAGGGGUGCGCCGGAGCUUCCUUUCCAUCGUUUUGCAUCCAGUUGCUCCGUCGUCUCCAUGGCAGACGCUCGCCGUGCUCGUGCUGAGCGCCGGGCUGCCCUAGCCACCCGCGUCGCUCAGACGGCUCCCGUCGGUGGGCCACCUCGUCGUUCUCCGUCUCCUGCCGCCAACGCUGCCACUGGCCCGACGGGGAAUGAGCAGCAAGCGUCCUCGCUGCACCCCUCGGUGCGGCGGGACGGCUGCACCGCCACUCCAUCGCUGACCCCGGCUGGUUCCUCAUCCCAGGCUCGUCGCGCCCCCAUGGACGCACGGGCCGCGCUCCUCAUGGCGCAUGAGCUCCUGCGCUACCGCCCAGUCGACGACCUCUACGAGGACUGGCUCGACCGCAUCGUCGAGCUUGUCCGUGCCGCAGGGGGCUCCCCUGCGCCGUCCCUCUCUCCGCCAGCUACAGGCGACGUAGCUCACGGAGCACCUCCACCACCUCUAACCCAAGACGGUGCCUUGGCGCCAAGGCGUGCGGCUCCGCGGCGUGACCCACCGUGUCUGGCACCCGCGCGUGAAGAAAGAAGCUGUCAAGAAGUUCCUCGACCGCAAGAGAACGCUCCGCCACUCCUCGCACCACCGCGCCAGGAUCGUCUGCCGCGGCAGGCCCCCGCGCCACUUGCCGCAGCGGCGCAUGGGCGCCAAGAUCAAGCUCCACCUCCAAGGUGGGCCCCGGUGACCACGGCCAGCUGCCUCGCCUUCACCCCCGAGCUGCGUAGCGUCGCCUGGCCGGGCAAGUUCAAGCCAGAUCUGCCUUCUUGCUACGACGGCACCCCCGACCCCGCAGAGUUCUUGUAGCUCUACGAGCUGAGCAUCGAGGCGGCCAACGGUGAUGAGAAAGUCAUGGCGAACUGGUUCCCUAUGGCACUCAAAGACGGCGCCCGUUCGUGGCUCCUGAACCUGCCUCCAGGCUCGAUCUCCUCCUGGGAUGAGAUGCGCGACCGCUUCAUCGCCAACUUCCAGGGCACUCGCGACCGCCCGCCGGCCGCGGGUGACCUGCGCCGCAUCAAGCAACAACCAGGAGAGACCCUCCAGAAGUACAUCCAACGCUUCAACAGCAUUCGUCUUAAGAUCCCCAAGGUGACGGAUGAGGCCAUCAUCUCCGUGUUCUCUGAUGGCGUCUGUGACGUCAAGAUGAAGGAAGAGCUCGCUAUCCACGAGGAGCUGUGCACAUCUCUAGAGCUGUUCAACCUGGCAACCAAGUGCGCAAGAGCUGAGGAAGGGCGCCUCUCCCUCCUUGAUCUGGCAGCUGCGGACGCGGAGGAGAAGAAAGCCGAGGCCAAGGACGUGAAGCACAAGGGAGCAGCCAUGCUCGCGGCGGAGCCGGACACCAAGCGAGGCAAAGACCAGCCCGAGUCAUCCAAGAGCAGUCGACCGUUCCGCGCCUUCCACAACGUGAAUACCCACAACACCAGCGACUGUCAAGAGCUCAGAGCCAUUCAUGAAGGACGGUUUGGUCGACGCCCCGAGCGCAACGACCGGGGCUACGGCCGAGGAGGAGGAUGCAGUGGCGGACGCUGGGACGACCGUGGCCCGCGCCAGGAGUGGCGCGACCGGCCUCGUGAGGAUCGCUGGCAGGAUCAGCCUCGUGAGGAUCGUCCUCAGGGCAACACCGGUCUUCCCCCGCUACCGCCACCGCCAAGGAGGAAUGACGACCACCAUCAGGACAAGGGGGCUGGGGGCUUCCAGGAGCCACGCGCUAUCGCCUGCAUCUUGGGCGGAGCCCAGGCCCCAGCCUCGCAUCGUAUCUUCAAGUGGUUUGCUCGCGAAGUGAAUGCAGUCCUCCCCAAGCUUGAGGCCACGCGCCCGCUCAGGUGGUCCCAGUGCGCCAUCACCUUUAACUCGGAGGAUCAGCUCAAGUGCGCAGCCACCGCUGGCGCCCUCCUGAUGCUUUAUUCACCAGUUAUCAGCAACGUGCAAGUCACCAAGACCCUCAUUGACGGCGGCGCAGGGCUCAACGUCCUGUCCGUCGACACGUUCGACAACCUCCAACUGCCGUAUGAUCAGCUUCAGCCUACCAAGCCUUUCUCAGGAGUGACCGACAGCUCCACCACACCGAUAGGGCAGGUCCGCCUCCCUGUCACCUUCGGAGAACGCAAGAACUACCGCACCGAGCUCAUCGACUUCGACCUCGCGCACAUCUGCCUGCCAUACAACGCCAUCCUCGGGUAUCCAGCCCUGGCCAAGUUUAUGGCGGUGACACACCAUGGCUACAAUGUCCUCAAGAUGCCGGGGAGCGGCGGAAUCAUCAUGGUCCCAUGCGAAGAAAGAGACGCGGUGUGCUCCCUUGAGCGCGCCUUUCAAGCUGUAGCAAUCAACGACCCCGACAGCAAGGGCGAGGGCCCUCCAGAGGCCAUCCCCAAGAAGAAGAAGCAGCUGUGCCGUGCCGGACCUCAGGAGGGUGGCGUCGCGGCUGUAACCUUGUCGGGAUCAGCGCCCACUCCAGGGGCGCCUCCCUCCAUCGCAUAGGAAGGUGCGCCCAGCGCCCUUCUCGGGCAGGGCUCGGGGGCUCUCUUCUAGAGGGCCUCAGACCUUGCCAGCAUCACGAGGGAGGCGCUCGGGCACCACUUGGAGGCAUGCUUCACGGCACGUUUCCCUCAGGAGAACACAGGGCAAGAAGCGCCCACCACCUAGGAGUUCAUCGCCAAGACCACUCAAGAACUGCAGGACGCAAGGGCCAUGCGCGGCGACCGCCGCUCACGAAGCGCAGCUCCCCAUCCAGGCGAGGAUGCUGGGCUGCGUGUCUGCAUCGAUGUCCCAGGGCUCAACAGGGCCGCAUCUCAGGAGCUCUUCUGGCCUUCGCGCGUGGACCGCUGCGAGGGUCCACCACACAGCUACGUUCGCAUGCCUUUUGGCUUGCCGAGCGUGUCGUUCGUCUAUUAGCGCAACCUGCAGCGCACCCUGGCGACUCAGGAGGCCAGGCACCGCGCCGUGCUGACGGAGAUGGAGACGGUCCUCAGGGAACCGCCUGGCCCCCCAGAGCCUCUCGAGGCUCAGGACCCCGGUGGCUCAUGAGGAGCGACCCCUUCGCCGCGUACCUUCGACUGCCUCGACAUCUCUUCAUCAACAGAGCGGGGUGACAUUUUCCAAGUUCAUUCAGCUGGGAGCGCCCCUCGGGCUGCAUCAUUCCUAGGCCGCAUGGGUCCGUCCCUGUGGCACGUAUCCCUUUUUCUUCAUGUCUUUAGCUUACCUUGCUGGGGGUGCCCCUCAGGCUGCAUCAUCCCCAAGCCACUCGGUCCUGACCCAGUGGCGUGUAUCUUUCUGCAUUUACCUAAGCUGAUCUGCUUUUCAUGCGUAAUCUACCUGUGAUUAUCACCUGCUCGAUUGCCACCUACCACGGGUCCACCCCUCUCUCAUGCAAUUCGCUUGCGCGUUAAAAGGGGGGCUCCUGAGCAUCGCGACUCAGGAGCUCUUACUAGCUCUCCAGCCCUCACCCCCUGGCCUUGACCACGGCAUCACGACCUGGCAUACCAGUGGCGGCUGAGCUCGCUCGAGGGCCGGGACCUAAGGACGUAGAGCACUUAUACCUAACCACCUCGCAGGAAUACAAAGCUAACAAAGACCCAAGACCAGGCGCAACCCGCCUUGAGGUAGGGCCUCGUGAGUCCCGUGCUGGCUCACGAGUGCCCAUAUACACCUCGUCUAGCCCUGCCGUGCAAGCCACGUGUUAGGGCGGGGCUGUACACGCCCCGGGGGCUCUCCUCAGAGGGAGCCCCCCUCCCACGCACAAGUGGAAGCACCAUGCUCCGCGCUGGCCGUCGACAUUGCCGAGGAGCGGCUAUGCCCGUGCACAAGCAGAAGCACUAUGCUCCGCGCUGGUGAUAAACAACUGAGGGCAGCUUCACGGUCGUACCAACCUCAGGGAGCCCCAGAGCUCAACGUCCGGCCUCACCGCAACGCCUCCCCUCGGGAGAGCCACGCGAGGGGGCUGGGCACGGGGGCUGCGCUCGGGUCAUGCCCAAGCGUACGCCACCCAACCAGGUCUCCCGGACCUGGGGGUUACGCUCGGGUCACGCCCAAGCGCACGCCACCCAACCAGGUCUCCCGGACCUGGUCGUCGCACGCCCCUCCCGAGGCCUCGGCGAGGGCAGGUAUGGAGAUUGUUUGCACGUCAAGGGGGACUCCUGAGCAUCGCAACUCAGGAGCCUAACUGGUCAUGUAGCCCCUCACUCCUUGGUCCGUCCUGGUCUCCGGUCGGCCCAACGGCGGUUAAGGUAUGCGCGGGGCCGGGCUCUGCCGACGUAGAACAUUAAUCUAUCCUCGCGCAUUCUUCCUAUAGGUUAUUUGCGCGUCAAGGGGUACUCCCGAGCAUCGUGACUCAGGAGCCUAACUGGUCACGUAGCCCCUCACUCCUUGGUUUGUCUUGGUCUCCGGUCGGCCCAAUGGCGGUUGAGGUAUGCGCGGGGCCGGGCUCUGCCGACGCAGAACAUAAAGCAAAUAGGAAGAAAAUCGCAAAAUCUCGAAGCAAAUAUUACAAGACAUAUUGUUCUCACAAUAUCAAACGCAAGUCUAACGCCUCCACGAGGCCUGAUGCAUGUUGCAGGAAUAAAACAGGAAAGGAGCUGCAGGUCACCCUUGAACACCACCGAUGCCCGUGGGCGACGCUUCUCCCUUGGUGAUGUCGCCUUCGCCUUGGUCACCGGCCGGAGCUACAGGAGCAGUGUCGCCUUGUUUCAAAGGCGCGGAAACAAAGCCGCGGAGCUUCUUCAGCAGGGCCUCCACCUAACCUUGCACGGUUGCGGCGGCAGCUAUGCAGUGUUCAUCAGCCACAGGCUCCAGCAGCUCGUCAAGACGAGUGCUGGGGUCGCGAAGGUGCAGAUGGCUGAAGACACGAGUCAAUGCAGCUGAAGAAAGGACACGAGCCUCUGCCUCUGCCAUGGGACCGACGCCCUCCACGACUUCCUCGAGCGCCUUCACCAAAUAAGGAAGUAGCUGGGCGGGGCCAUCCUCAUCCGUGGCCAACGGCCUCUCCAAGCCAUUCUCAUAGAGCGUCUUCAGCGCCUCGCGAGACCUUUUCUCGAGGUUAGCGAAGGCCUUGCGAUCUUCAGCCAGGAACUUCGCCUUGGCGUCAAGAUCGAACUCCCUCGCCUUCACCUUACGCUCCAGCUCCUUCAGCUGGCUGCGUUCUGCGGUCUGCGCCUUUGCCAGCUCCUCCAGCUCAGCAUCGCGAUCCUUCAUGGCGUUCUCCUGAGCCCUCAUCUCCUCCUCCUUCGCUUGGCGGCCACGAGCUUCUUCAGCACGCUGGUCGCGCAGGCUCUUCAGUUCGCCCUCCAGCACUCGGCAGCGGUCGCGGGCGGUCUCGGCGUCCUUUAGCGCUGCAUCGCGAUCGGCCACGGCCUUGGCGGCAGCUCGCUUCUUCUUCUCGGAAGCGGCCCCGGCCUGGCUCAGCGAUGCUCGAACCGCCAAGACAGAAUGAAGCCAGCCAGAGGCCAGCUCCAGGCGCCCGGCUACCAGGCGCGGGUCCGCGCCCAGGAGAUCUUCCCGCAACUGGGCCAUCUCCGAAAGAAUGCGUUCAAGGGCAGCAGAGGAAGUAGAAGAGCCUGGGGCAGGAGGCGCAGUAGGAGGAGGGGCGGCGUUGUCACCCAAGCCUGGGAGAUCAAGGGCUCCUCAGCCUUUGGGACCUCAUCAGCCAAGCCAGGCGCCAGCACUUCCGAAGCCAGCGGGGCCAUGGGGGCUGACUCCUCCCGAUGAUGCUCCCCUUGGCCUCGCGAGGGUGACCGGACUGGGGAGGUGCGAGUGCUGCCACCUCCUUUCUCCGCAGAAGGGGGCGCGGCCGCUGUGUCCUCCUUCCGUUUCUUCACCGAAGGCACCGGCCUGAUCAACCAAGGGUGAACGUCAGGAGAUAGCAAGUAUAAGCAGAAGCAAGACGAAGCUCGAAGCACUUACUGAUCCACCGCGACGUAGUCCACUUUCCGCUUAGGGAGCCUAAAACCAGAAAGCUUCGGAGCCUGAGGAGAGGGCACGCGGGCUCCAGGAGCAGAAGACGGCACAACAGAAGGGCCGGAGGCAGCUCCAGGCGGCGUCAGGGCGGAGGCAGCAGCUCGAGGUACCAGCGACGAUCUGCUCCUCGUCGGGAUGAUGGGCUGCUCCCCCUCCUCCUGGCGGGCAUCGAUCUCGGUGUCGUUUGGCAGGCCACGGAGGAUAUCGGCCUUGAUCAAGGGGGAAGUCUCCCCCAUCUCCUUGGGGGUCGCCUCCGAGUCCACCUCCUCUUCCUCCCUCCCGCGGGACUCGUCAGAAGAGAGCUCCACCGGCUUUGGCACCGCAGGGCCUCCAGAGGGCGUGGGCGGCACCAGCCCGCGCGCAUCGAAGGUCGGCCCGGAGGCCAUGAUUGGCUCCCAGUCCUUGCGAUGGAACAAAGGAGUGAAGGCGCUCGGCGGGUACUCCUGGUUGUCCCCAACCAGGAGGCGCAGGACAACAGUCAGCUCAUCGUCAGGAAGGGCCUCCAACCUCAGGCGAACCUUGUCUCCUACAUCUCCAAGCCUCCACAAGGAGCGCGCACGCGCCUGAAGUGGAGCAACACGCAGUGCCAGGAAUUCCCUCAAGAGCAUGACCCGCGUCACCUUGGCCGCCUUUGCGUUGUCUGGCUUCAAGUCGGUCAUCAUCUCCUCCAACACUGACGACGCCCGCUCAUCAGCAAGCUCUGCACGAGGCCACCGCUUGUUAGACUGGGGCGCCUCCGUCGGCAAUGCCAAGCGCGGAUGGGCGCACUUGGCGUCCACCAUGACCCAUUUGGCCCGGAUGUUGUCGACCCUCUUCCCGGUGUUCGAGAUCGAGUUGGCCUUGCCGGAUGUGAUGAAAUUGGUGCACCCAGAGACGUGUCCCUCGCUGACGCGAAGGAAGAAGAAGUGGCGCAGAAGAGCCAUGGACGGCAUCACGCCCAGAUACGCCUCACAAUAGUAGGCAAAGAUGGACCGGAGGAGGAUAGAGUUGGGAUGGAGAUGCAACGCCUGCAGCCCGUAGUGGUCGAGGACCUCAUAAAAGAAAUCGGAGAAGGGAGGAACCAACCCGGCAGUGAUGCUGCUCGUGAAGAAGGGGAAGAAGGUGCUUCCCUCAGGCUCCGGCAUGUCGGAGGCAAGCCGGAGCUCCAUUUUCCCCCAUUCAUUGCUCUCCCCCACCGUCAGCAAGCACGUGGAGGCAAGGCUCUUCUCCGAUACGUUGGGCGCAUCAAGGGCGGGCGCGUACCAGGUCGACACUAAGGAGGACUUGACCUUGCGUGGCGCCAUAGGUCGCAAAUGCGGAGCAAGAUUGGAGAAGAUUUGGAGGCUUUGGCAGCGAGGAGCGAGAAAGGGGAUCUGAGGCAAGGCGAAAGGGAACAGUGAAGGCAAGCGUUGUCCGCGCCAACCUUUUGUCAGGUCGGGCAGUUGCCGAGGCAGCGUGGGGAAGCGGAGACGCCCACGACCAAUCAACCGCCACGCGUCGGCCAAGGCCACAGGCUUUUGGGCCCACGGCGCUCCGCGCUUGACCUUUGGCUUCGCCUCGAAGCCAAGCCCGAGCGCGCCUUGGGCCCGGGGGCUACUGUCGGCAUUCUGGGAACGGGGGUCCCCAGACUUGCCUCCCUGCGGCCCACGACGUGGCUAUGCUGCAGGCAUGUACGACCCAUCUUCAUCAGCGAGACAUUCAAGACCCUCACGAGGGGCCAAGCCUCGCAAGGCGGACGACACCAGACCUCCUCAGGAGCGGCCUCACCAGGCUGCCUCGCGAGGAGCGGAGAAAUCUAGGCAGGGCAAACCUCGCGAGGCUCUCAUGACGUGAGCCAUGACGAUCAAGAUCAGGCGGGCGCUGAUGACCCACAAGUAUAGGGGAUCUAUCGUAGUCCUUUCGAUAAGUAAGAGUGUCGAACCCAACGAGGAGCUGAAGGAAAUGACAAGCGGUUUCAGUAAGGUAUUCUCUGCAAGCACUGAAAUUGUAGGUGAUAGAUAGUUUUGUGAUAAGAUAAUUUGUAACGAGUAACAAGCAAUGAAAGUAAAUAAAGUGCAGCAAGGCGGCCCAAUCCUUUUUGUAGAAAAGGACAAGCCUGGACAAUUUCUUAUAAUGAGAAAAGCGCUCCCGAGGACACAUGGGAAUUAUCGUCAAGCUAGUUUCAUCACGCUCAUAUGAUUCACAUUCGGUACUUUUAUAAUUUGAUAUGUGGGUGGACCGAUGCUUGGGUACUGCCCUUACUUGGACAAGCAUCCCACUUAUGAUUAACCCCUAUUGCAAGCAUCCGCAACUACAAAAGAAGUAUUAAGGUAAACCUAACCAUAGCAUGAAACUAGUGGACCCAAAUCAGCCCCUUACGAAGCAACACAUAAACUAGGUUUAAGAUUCUGUCACUCUAGCAACCCAUCAUCUACUUAUUACUUCCCAAUGCCUUCCUCUAGGCCCAAAUAAUGGUGAAGUGUCAUGUAGUCGAUGUUCACAUAACUCCACUAGAGGAGAGACAACAUACAUCUCCUCAAAAUAUCAAACGAAUACCAAAUUCACAUGACUACUAAUAGCAAGACUUCACCCAUGUCCUCAGGAACAAAUGUAACUACUCACAAAGCAUAUUCAUGUUCAUGAUCAGAGGAGUAUUAAUAUGCGUUAAGGAUCUGAACAUAUGAUCUUCCACCAAGUAAACCAAUUAGCAUCAACUACAAGGAGUAAUCAACACUAUUAGCAACCCACUGGUACCAAUUUGUGGUUUUCAUACAAGAUUGGAUACAAGAGAUGAACUAGGGUUUUGAGAGGAGAUGGUGCUGGUGAAGAUGUUGAUGGAGAUUGACCCUUUCCUGAUGAGAGGAUAGUUGGCGAUGACGAUGGUGAUGAUUUCCCCCUCCCGGAGGGAUGUUUCCCCAGCAGAACAGCUCCGCCAGAGCCCUAGAUUGGUUCCGCCAAGGUUCCGCCUCAUGGCGGCGGAGUUUCGUCCCGUAAGCUUGCUUAUGAUUUUUUCCAGGGUAAAAGACUUCAUAUAGCAGAAGAUGGGCACCGGAGGGCCACCAGGGGGCCCAGGAGGGUGGGGUGCGCGCCCAGUAGGGGGGGCGCACCCCCACCCUCCUAGCCAGGGCGUGGGCCCCCUUUGGUAUUUUCUUCGCUCAAUAAUUCUUAAUAAUUCCAGAAAUGACUUUCGUGGAGUUUCAGGACUUUUGGAGCUGUGCAGAAUAGGUUUCCAAUAUUUUCUCCUUUUCCAGCCCAAAAUCCCAGCUGCCGGCAUUCUCCCUCUUCAUGAUAAACCUUGUAAAGUAAGAGAGAAUAGUCAUAAGUAUUGUAACAUAACGUGUAAUAACAACCCAUAAUGCAAUAAAUAUCAAUAUAAAAGCAUGAUGCAAAAUGGACGUAUCAACUCCCCCAAGCUUAGACCUCGCUUGUCCUCAAGCGGAAGCCGAUAUCGAAAAAUAUGUCCACAUGUUUAGAGAUAGAGGUGUCGAUAAAAAUAAAAUACGGACAUGAGGGCAUCAUGAUGAAUCUUAUAACAUCAACAUAUAUAGAUUUUGUCAUAUGAUUUCUUAUGCUCAAGUAACAAUCUAUUCACAAUGUCAACUAUGGUUCAGAAACUUCAUUGAGAACUAGCAAACUAUAAUCUCAGUCAUUGAAGCAAUUGCAAUUUAUCAUAACAUCGGAAAGAGUCAAGAAUAGAGCUUUUCAGCAAGUCCACAUACUCAACUAUCAUAUAGUCUUCUACAAUUGCUAACACUCACGCAAUACUUAUGGUUAUGAAGUUUUAAUCGGACACUGUGAAAGAAAGGGGCUUAUAGUUUCGCCUCCCAACAUAUUCACCUUUAGGUGAUGUCAACAAUAAUAGCUCAUGCUAACUUACAUCCAAUUGGAUAUAUAUAUCAGGUUUUUCCAACACGAGGUGCUUGCCAAAGGAUAAAAUGAAAAAGGGAAAGGUGAGGAUCACCUUGACUCUUGCAUAAUAUAAAAGACAUGAAGUAAAAGAUAGGCCCUUCGCGGAGGGAAGCAGAGGUUGUCAUGCGCUUUUAUGGUUCGAUGCACAAAAUCUUAAUGCAAAAGAACGUCACUUUAUAUUGCCACCUGUGAUAUGAACCUUUAUUAUGCAGUCCGUCGCUUUUAUUACUUCCAUAUCACAUGAUCGUAUAAAGCUUAUUUUCUCCCACAUUAAUAAGUCAUACAUAUUCAGAGAGCAAUUUUUAUUGCUUGCACUGAUGACAACUUACUUGAAGGAUCUUACUCAAUCCAUAGGUAGGUAUGGUGGACUAUCAUGGCAAAACUGGGUUUAAGGAUAUUUGGAAGCACAAGUAGUAUCUCUACUUGGUGCAAGGAAUUUGGCUAGCAUGAGGGGGAAAGGCAAGCUCAACAUGUUCGACGAUCCAUGACAAUAUACUUUAACUAAGAUGUGAGAAAACAUAACCCAUUACGUUGUCUUCCUUGUCCAACAUCAACUCUUUAACAUGUCAUACUUUAAUGAGUGCUCACAAUUAUAAAAGAUGUCCAAGAUAGUAUAUCUGUAUGUGAAAACCUCUCUUUCUUUAUUACUUCCUAUUAAUUGCAACAAUGACCAAAACUAUGUUUGUCAACUCUCAACAACUUUUAUGCCUCAUACUCUUUAUAUGUGAAGUCAUUACUAUCCAUAAGAUCAGUAUGAACUCUUUUAUUCCCCUUUUUUAUUCUUUCUAUUUUCUCAAGAUCAUAGCAAGAUAGCAAAGCCCUUGACUCAACACUAAUCUUUAUUAUAUAGCUCACGGACUCGAUUACAUAGAGAGAUCACAAAGCAAAACUCAAAACUACUUCAUACUAAAACUUUAUUCUACUAGAUCAAGAUAUUACUAAAAGGAUCGAACUAAGUAAAACGGUAAAGAUAGGAGUGUGAUGGUGAUACGAUACCGGGGCACCUCCCCCAAGCUUGGCAGUUGCCAAGGGGAGUGCCCAUACCCAGGUGAUUAUGUCUUCGGAGGUGGUGAUGUAGGCUUCUUCCUCAAUUUACGCUUGAGGAUAGUAUUUUGCUCCUUUAGAUCAUCGAUCUCCUGCUCAAGCCUUAAUAUUCUUCUGCAUAAUUCCUGUUUAUUUUCCUGCAAGAGACGAAAAGGGAUAAACUCGAUCUUUGGCUUCUUUGCUCUAUCAGGGAGGCUUGACUUUUUAAAAUCCACAUGCAUGUCUCCAGGUCGAGGUAAUGGGGCUUCGUCUUUGUCUGAGCUCGUCUCCUCCUUUCCCUUAGGCUCAUAGUCUUCCUCUUCCUCAGUGGUCCAGCCACCAUGCUCCAAGUCCCCGUAGACCUUAGGGUCUGCAAGGAAAUCAACAACAUAGCUUUCUCCCUUCGAAUCCUGGGAUGACAUAUUGCUCUAAUUCUGCAACAGGAACAGCUCAAAACGAAAACAGAGAAUAUUUGCGUGAUACGACGGUCAAAACCUUCGGGAGAUUAUAUAGUGAAUUUUUACCGACCAAGAGAAGUAACGUGCAAGAAAACGGAGUCCGGGAGGCACACGAGGUGCCCACGAGACAGGGGGCGCGCCCAGUAAGGGUGGGCGCGCCCUCCACCCUCGUGGAGGCCUCGUGUCCUUCCCGGAUUACUUCUUGCUUUCCAAAAUUCUUAAAUAUUCCAAAACGGAUAAAAAUUUCCAUUAGAAUUGUUUUGGAGUCGAUUUACUUACCGUACCACAUACCUAUUCCUUUUCGGAGUCUGAGAUGUUCUGGAAAGUGUCCCUUAUGUAUUCCUCCGGGGUUAUGGUCUCAAUAAUAUUAGUUUCAACAUUUAUAGGAUUACCUGAGAUAUAAUGUUUGAUUCUUUGACUGUUCACCACCUUCGGAUUUGUGCCUUCGAAGUUGUUGAUUUUUAUGGCACCGGAACAAUAGACCUCCUCGAUAACGUAAGGACCUUCCCACUUCGAGAGAAGUUUUCCUGCAAAAAAUCUUAAAUGAGAGUUGAAUAGCAACACAUAAUCACCUACGUUAAAUUCUUGCUUUUGUAUUCUUUUGUCAUGCCAUCUUUUAACUUUUUCUUUGAACAGCUUGGCAUUCUCAUAGGCUUGGGCUCUCCAUUCAUCAAGUGAGCUAAUAUCAAAGAACCUCUUCUCACCGGCAAGUUUGAAAUCAUAGUUGAGCUCUUUAAUAUCCCAAUAUGCCUUAUGUUCAAGUUCGAGAGGUAAGUGACAUGCUUUUCCAUAAACCAUCUUAUACGGAGACAUACCCAUAGGAUUUUUGUAUGUAGUUCUAUAGGCCCAUAAUGCAUCAUCAAGUUUCUUGGACCAGUUCUUCCUAGAUCUAUUAACAGUCUUUUGCAAAAUUAAUUUGAGCUCUCUAUUGCUCAACUCUACUUGACCACUAGACUGAGGGUGAUAAGGAGAUGCAAUUCUAUGAUUAACAUCAUACUUAGCAAGCAUUUUACGAAAGGCACCAUGAAUAAAAUGUGAACCAUCAUCAGUCAUUAAAUAUCUAGGGACUCCAAACCUCGAAAAAAUAACUUCUUUAAGCAUCUUAAUAGAGGUGUUAUGAUCAGCACUACUAGUUGGAAUAGCAUCUACCCACUUAGUAACGUAAUCAACAACAACUAAAAUAUGUGUAUAUCCAUUAGAGGCAGGAAAAGGUCCCAUAUAAUCAAAGCCCUAAACAUCAAAUGGUUCAAUAACAAGAGAAUAAUUCAUAGGCAUUUCUUGACGUCUACUAAUAUUACCAAUUCUUUGACAUUCAUCACACGACAAGACAAACUUACGAGCAUCUUUGAAGAGAGUAGGCCAAUAAAAACCGGAUUGCAAUACCUUAUGUGCAGUUCUAUCUCCAGCGUGGUGUCCUCCAUAUGGUUCGGAGUGACACUUGUGUAGGAUCUGUUCCUGUUCAUGCUCAGGUACACAACGUCUAAUAACACCAUCUACUCCUUCUUUAUAAAGGUCUGGGUCAUCCCAGAAGUAAUGUCUUAAAUCAUAAAAGAACUUUUUCUUUUGCUGGUAUGUGAAACUAGGUGGUAUAAAUUUAGCAACAAUGUAAUUAGCAUAAUCAGCAUACCAUGGAGCAGUACGAGAAGCAUUAAUGACCGCUAAUUGUUCAUCAGGAAAGCUAUCAUCAAUAGGUAGUGGAUCAUCAAGAACAGUCUCUAACCUAGACAAGUUGUCUGCAACGGGGUUCUCAGCUCCCUUUCUAUCAAGAAUAUGCAAAUCAAAUUCUUGGAGCAGGAGAACCCAUCUAAUAAGUCUAGGUUUAGCAUCUUUCUUUUCCAUAAGAUAUUUAAUAGCAGCAUGAUCAGUGUGAAUAGUUACUUUAGAAUCAACAAUAUAAGGUUUGAACUUAUCACAUGCAAAUACAACUGCUAAGAAUUCUUUUUCAGUAGUAGCAUAAUUUCUCUGUGCAGUGUCUAGAGUUUUACUAGCAUAUUGAAUAACAUUUAGUUUCUUAUCAACUCUUUGCCCUAGAACAACACCUACAACAUAAUCACUAGCAUCACACAUAAUUUCAAAGGGUAAAUUCCAAUCAGGUGGCUGAACAAUAGGUGCAGUGAUCAAAGCUUUCUUAAGUAUUUCAAAUGCUUCUACACAAUCGUCAUCAAAGACAAAAGGAAUAUCUUUUUGCAAUAAAUUAGUCAGAGGCCUAGAGAUUUUAGAAAAGUCCUUAAUGAACCUCCUAUAAAAACCGGCAUGACCAAGGAAACUUCUUAUACCGUUAAUGUCCUUGGGACAUGGCAUCUUUUCAAUAGCAUCAACUUUAGCUUUAUCAACUUCAAUACCUCUUUCAGAAAUUUUAUGCCCCAAGACAAUGCCUUCAUUAACCAUAAAGUGGCACUUUUCCCAAUUCAAGACGAGACUAGUGUCUUCACAUCUCUGCAAAACUCGAUCAAGGUUGCUUAAGCAAUCAUCAAAAGAGGAUCCAUAAACGGAGAAAUCAUCCAUGAAUACCUCACAAAUCUUUUCGCAAAAGUCAGAGAAUAUAGCCAUCAUACAUCUUUGAAAGGUAGAAGGUGCAUUACAUAAACCAAAAGGGAUACGUCUAUAAGCAAAAGUACCAAAAGGGCAAGUAAAUGUAGUUUUUGAUUGAUCCUCCGCUGAUACAGGUAUUUGAGAGAAACCAGAAUAACCAUCUAGAAAGCAGAAAUGUGUAUGUUUGGAUAGUCUUUCUAUCAUUUGAUCAAUAAAAGGUAAAGGGUAAUGAUCUUUCUUAGUAGCUUUAUUUAAUUUACGGAAAUCAAUUACCACCCUAUAACCUGUAAUAAUUCUUUGCGGGAUCAAUUCAUCUUUAUCAUUAGGAACAACAGUAAUACCUCCCUUCUUAGGGACACAAUGGACAGGACUUACCCACUCACUAUCAGCAACGGGAUAAAUUAUACCUGCCUCAAGGAGCUUUAGUAUCUCCUUUAUUACCACUUCUUUCAUCUUAGGAUUUAACCGUCGUUGAGGGUCUCUAACUGGUUUGGCAUCUUUCUCCAAUUUUAUUUUGUGCUGGCAUAGAGUGGGACUAAUGCCCUUAAGAUCAUCCACAGUAUAUCCAAUAGCAGCACGGUGCUUCUUCAGAGUUUUCAAUAAUGUUUCCUCUUCCUGCUCUGAAAGGUUAGCACUAAUAAUAACAAGAUAUAUCUUCUUUUCAUCAAGAUAAGCAUAUUUAAGAUUAUCAGGUAAAGGUUUGAGCUCAAACACGGGAUCACCCUUGGGUGGAGGAGGAUCCCCUAGGAUUUCAAUAGGUAAGUUGUGUUUCAAAAUAGGACCUUGUUGAAGGAAUACUUCAUCUAUUUCCCUUCUUUCAUUCAUAAACAUAUCAUUUUCAUGGUCUAGCAAAUACUGUUCUAGUGGAUCAGUAGGAGGCACGGCAAUAGAAGCAAGACCAAUAAUUUCAUCCUUACUAGGCAAUUCUUUAUCAUGAGGUUGUCUACGAAAUUUAGCAAAAUUAAACUCAUGUGUCGUAUCUCCCAAGCCUAUUGUAACAACAUCCUUUUCACAAUCUAUACUAGCAUUGACAGUAUUCAAGAAGGGUCUACCAAAUAUAAUGGGACAAAAGCUAUCUUGUGGAGAACCAAGAACAAGGAAAUCUGUGGGAUAUUUAACUUUCCCACACAAGACUUCAACAUCUCUAACAAUCCCAACUGGUGAAAUAGUAUCUCUAUAUGCAAGUUUAAUAGUAACAUCGAUACCUUCCAAUUCAGCAUGUGCAAUAUCAUGCAUAAUUUCUUCAUAUAAGGAAUGAGGUAUUGCACUGGCACUAGCACCCAUAUCACAUAAGCCAUGAUAACAAUGAUCUCCUAUUUUAAUAGAAAUAAUAGGCAUGCCUACAACAGGUCUAUGUAUCUUAGCAUCGGGUUUAGCAAUAUUAGCAGCUUCACCACAGUAGUAAAUAAGAUGCCCAUCUAUAUUAUCAUCCAAGAGAUCUUUAACCAUAGCAAUACUAGGUUCAACUUUAAUUUGCUCAGAGGGUGUAUAUGUUCUAGUAUUACUCUUACAAACCACAGUUGAAGCUCUAGCAUGAUCCUUUAUCCUAACAAGAAAAGGUGGUUUCUCAACAUAAGUAGUAGGAACAAUAGGAUCAUUAUAAGUGAUAGUCUUUUCUUCAACUGUAAUAGGUGAAACUACUUUUACUUCAGUGGGAGGAUUAUAUUUAAACCACUUCUCCUUAGGGAGAUCAACGUGAGCAGCAAAAGAUUCACAGAAAGAAGCUACUAUCUCAGAGUCAAGUCCAUAUUUAGCGCUAAAUCCACGAAAAGCAUCGGUAUCCAUAAAAGAUUUAACACAAUCAAACUUAGGUGUCAUACCUGACUCCUUACCAUCGUCGGAACCCCAAUCUUCAGAGCUGCGUUUAAUUCUUUCCAAUAAGUCCCACUUAAAUUCAAUAGUCUUCAUCAUAUAAGAACCAGCACAGGAAGUAUCGAGCAUGGUGCGAUUGUUGUCAGAAAGCCGAGCAUAAUUUUUUUGAAUAAUCAUUUCUCUUGAGAGCUCAUGAUUGGGGCAUGAAUAUAAUAUUGACUUAAGCCUCCCCCAAGCUUGAGCGAUGCUUUCUCCUUCGCGAGGCCAGAAAUUAUAUAUGUAAUUACGAUCACGAUGAACAAGAUGCAUAUGAUAGAACUUCUGGUGAAAUUCCAAUUUCAAUCGUUCAUAGUUCCAAGAUCCCAUAUCAUCACAUAGCCUAUACCAUGUCAAUGCGUCUCCCUUCAAAGAUAAAGGGAAGACCUUCCUCUUAACAACAUCAUCAGGAAUACCUGCAAGCUUAAAUAAUCCACAAACUUCAUCCACAAAGAUAAGGUGUAAAUCGGGAUGCAAUGUUCCAUCUCCUGCAAAGGGAUUAUGUAACACCCCGGAUGUAAACUUCCAUCUUUGACAAUGUAUCCAACCUUAUUCUUCAUCCAAUUCCUUUUGGGUCCAAUCCUUUUUGGUCUCUUUUGUUUUGUUUGUUGGUUUGUACUUAUUGCAUUGUCUUGUCAUCACUGUCAUCUUCUUUAUGCACUUGCCAUCUUAUGUUGCAUCAUGGCCUCAUCUUAGUGUUGCAUUUCAUCAUCCUCUUCAUGUGCAUUGUGUGUGUCAUGCAUGUUAUUGACCCAUGUGUGAUCCAUACAUGACUACCUCCAUGCAUCACCACCUCUUCUUCUCUUUUCUUUCUUGUUGGAAGUGCCAUUUUUGUCCUCCUCCAUAAAUGUUCAAUUUUUUUCCAUAUAAAUCUUGCAUCAUGUCAUAAACCUCUAUGCCAAAUUUCACUUCCUUUGGACUUGGUUUGGUUGGGUUCAAAAAGGUUCAAGUUUGAAUUUAAUUCAAACUUGAAUUAUUUUUCUGCCUCUAAAAAUCCCCAAGCCAUUUUAUUUAAAUAGUACCCAUUUCCAGGAGCUUGGAGCUAUUUUUAUUUCUGCCAAAUACCUCUCCUACCUCCCUGCAUUUUUUCCUUUUCUACAGCUGCGAAUUUAAAUUCACAGAACUAAGUUAAACGGGGAAGCCCUCCUAGUGCAGCAACUUGGGCUUUUUCCCCUCUCCCGCAGCCCAACAGAGCGCAUCAACCGCAGCCCAGUCAGCCCACGUGUACAGGAGCUUUGUCCUCCUAUACGGCAGUGCAUCCAGCGUGUCCAGGUCGGACAUGGGCGUGAUUUGACGGCCGUCCGGCGUCCCUAGCCCCUAUAUAUCAUGUCACCGGUUCCCUAGGGUUCCUCCUCGACCGAUUCCCCUCCUCUCCUUCCCUCGCCGCCGCCAGGUAAGGCUAGCCACGCCACGCCGUUGCCCUGCCCACCAUGUUCCGGCCGAGCUUGAGCUCGUGCUCGGAGUAGCUCGUCGUCGCGCCUCCGACCCUCCUGUUGCCGUGGAGAGGACCGUCAAGUCCUUCUUCGUCCCCUACCACCAGGCCCGCACCUCUACGGCCCCUGGAUCGACUACCAUGACGACAUCUUCCUCCUCUGCUUCGCGGACAGCAGCCCCACCAAAUUUAGAGCUCCCUCUCGUCGCCUCCGGCUCGUCUCCGUCGACCCCGUCAUGUCCUAGGGUGAGUUGGGUAACGCACCUCCCUCUCCCAUCCAUCCUGUCGUGGAAUUGUCACGGCAGAUGUCCUCGAGCUAGGACUUAGUCGUGGAGCCAUCGCAACUAGGAAGCUUGAAGGGGUUAAUAUGGGACAAGGAACAUGGGGGUUUAUACUGGUUCGGCCCCUUACGGUGAAGGUAAAAGCCUACGUCCAGUUUGAGGUGGUAUUGAUUAGGGUUACGAUCACCAGGGAGCUAAACCGCUGCGCCUGGCUCUCGAUCAGAUUGUCCUUCUCCCUAAACCGCUGCCGGGUCGUCCCUUUAUAUAGGGAGGCUGACGCCCAGCAGCUCUCAGAGUCCCGGCCGGCUCAUAAGAGUGUCCGGCUCGGACUCUCAACUAUACUUGCCUUACACUACAAGUUCUACCAUAAUAAUGAUUGUAACUCCGGGCCUUAAGUCAUAUCCGGGUCUUAAGCCCAUCUCUGGCCCAUCAUCUUCAAGCUUGGCCCCGGGCUUCUGGUAAUGACCAUUAGAGUAACCCGGCCCCUCCUGGCGGGUGACUCUAAGGUCUAUAUCCUCAACAUUAGGCCCCAGAUUGAUUUGAGUCGGCUCAUGUCAAUCUUCAAUUCUUUCGACAGAAAAAAUCUCCGGCUUACCAUUUAUGUGAAGGCCAUAACCCGGCGUAACGUCAUCCUCUGGACUCCGGAUAAUCCGCCGUGACGUCAUCUUCCAUUAAGCCCGUUUUUUACUCCACCAGAUCCGCAACGGAUCUUUGCUUUUACUGUCAUCCCGAAAAUCGAGGCGUUGUGGGGGGAGAUAACCAUGCCACGGUCUCCUUGAUUCUCGCGCCCGCUUUACGAGCUCGCCUUAUAAAUAGGCCGGCCCGACGGGCUUCUCUGCCACCCUUCUUCCUCCUCGCGCCACUGCCUCUCUGCCUGAGCUCGCACUCCGCCGCCGUCACCUCGCCUCCGAUCUUCAUCAACCUUGGCCGCUGCAUCACCCUGACUCGGACCAGACAAACGGCGGCGACCCCCGCACCUUUUCAGCUCCGGUAAGUCCUACUUGACCUGUAGAGUAGAUCUGCCGUAGGAUUUGCCCACGUUCUUCGUGUUCGUCGCCAUUGUCCGCAAGCUUCGGUAGUUCUCAUAGUUACUGCCCUUGUUUGAUCUUAGAUCUGCAUAGAAUUAGUGCGGCGGCUGUUUGGCACUUAUUUCAAAUGCCAGUAGGUCUCUUUCCACUGCAUAACGGCUUCGUUCGAGCUCAAGAACAUCCGCUUGUCUGUUUCUAGGUCUAGAAAUUUUUCAUUUCACCCGACCAUUUUGAUCCAAAAGUUUUACUGCGAUGUGUGAAACCUGUUUUACCGUGCUUAGUAAAAAAACUGCAAUCCUUGAGCCUCGGCGGUUUACAUUUCCGGUUUAAAGAAACCACGCGCCAUAGACCCUUCCGGCUUAAAGAAAACCAUGCUUCGUAGAAUCCUCCGGCUUAGCUAUGAUAAGGUCGUAGAUAAUCAAUUUAUUCUGAAUGCCCCUGCGGCUUAAAUAACCCACUGUACCUGAGUAUAUACCAUUAGUCCCCUUCAUAAGCCGCCACCUUAGUUUUCAACUGUAGAUCUCCUCCGGCUUAUAAUUAACCCGGACGUUUUUUCCUUUUUGUCAUAGACUGCCGACUUUCACCAUGCCUCCCAAAGCUCCCAUUACUUGCAACUGGAUGAGGUCCAAUGUGACCAACGAGACCCUAGCUGAUUUUGUUAAGUCAGGAUAUCUGCCCAAGAAAGACAUCAUGUCCUACCGUGCCCCUGACCCGUCAGAAGAGAGGCCACAGCCAAAGGAUGGGGAGGUAGUGAUUUUUGCGGAUCACAUGAGCCGGGGUUUCGCAGCGCCCGGCUCAAAGUUUUUUAGGGACGUGCUCAACUUCUUCGACUUGCGGCCUCAAGAUAUAGGACCCAACUCAGUGUCCAACAUCUGCAAUUUUCAAGUCUUCUGCGAGGUUUACCUUGGAGAAGAACCUAGUCUGCUGCUCUUCAGAGAGCUUUCUUACUUAAACCGUCAGAAUGAGUGCGCCAAUGGGCCAAGUCUGGAGUUAGGUGGUAUCUCCAUCCAGCGGCGUAGGGACUGCCUUUUCCCUUAUGCAGAGCCGCCGAGCCACCCAAAGGACUGGAACAUGACUUGGUUCUACUGCCAAGAUACGUCCCCGACUGAUGAAAGCCCGCUGCCCGGCUUUCGCCCAACACGUCUGGAGCCGACUCACCCACUGUCGGACAAGCUGUCAAGCGGAGCGCCAGCCUCUGCUCCCCACUAUCAACAAGAUCAAGGCUCUCCUGGGCAAUGGUCUGAACGGAAUCGACCUGGUCCGGGUCUGGAUCUCAUGGCGGGUGAUCCCAUUGAGCCGCCGCCCCGGCUUAAUGUGUGAGUACACAGGAUGAAAGGAUGAUCCUCAGAGACACAGCCGCAAUGAUCUUCCAGAAGACGUUGCAGAGGAGAUGACUAAGGCUCUUUUAAACGAGAGCCUGGCAGACUGCGGAAGGACCGGGUUAGCCCCCUUCUGCAAGACCAACCCAGCCCCAGCGGUAAGCCGCCGACUUUAACUUUUUAUCUUCUUCUGCAUAUAACCUUCAUCUGAACCGUUUUAAGAAUUCAUCAUUGUAUUUUUCAGGCUGAUGAUAAGUUCUAGUGGGUCAAAUAUGACCAUGAGGCGGCCAAGAAGGCCAGGAAGGCGAAGAAAGCUGCCAACAAAACCGCCCCUCGCAAGAAAGGGAGCAGGCCUACUGCCUCCAAGCUGAUGCAAUUAAGCGACAGCUCCGAGUCAGAGGUAACCCCUGAGCUUUUAAGUCCUUACUAUAUUCACUGUUUGUUGCUGUUCGCCUUAUCAAUACUUGCUCAUUGACAGGAUGACACCGGCGCCAGUAACCCGGUGGUUGAAGAGGUAAUGUCACUUUCCUCCGACUCGGAGCCCUUGCCACAGCUGAAAGUCCGAAGGGUAACCCGGAAAGUAAGCUUUUCACAUCCUUUAGCUUAUCAAGACCCUCAAUUUAUUUUGAAGCGACAGGUUCAUGAAAGCCGGCGUCACACCCGGACCAACAAGGACACCGACCUCUCCGCCGGGUUACCCGACGCAACAAGGAAGCGCCGAACUGAGGUUAUUUCCCACUUGUACCCUUUUCAUCCGUUGGCGGGUGUUAUCCGUCAGCCACUCAAUUCCUCUGACUCCAAUUAUCAGGAGACCUCCCCUUCUUCGGGCGACUCUAUGCAGUCGAGUCUUCCGACUUUCAAGACCGCGCCCGGGUAAUGACAACCAUAUCAUAUUGUAUUUGUCUAUACUUACUCUUUUUGUGCUUAACAUUUCUGUCCUUUCAACGCCCAGGCAAAGCUCACCAAAAGAGCGAAGAAGACCAAGUCAGCCGGUGUGCCGGAUUUGCCUGAACCGGAGGUGACGGCUCAAGAACCGCCAGCUGCCUCCGCCCCCGAAGCCACCACUCCAAUGGACACGGCACCUGAGGCCACUGCCCCGACUACCAAGGCAACGACCGAAGCUUCUGUUAACCCGGAGGCCUCCAGCUUAGCUCCACCAGCAGACGACCCGGACGUGGUAAUCACCCGGACGGAGUUCGUUGAGCCGGGGAGACCUACCGUGCUGGCCAAGUGCUCCGCUAAGGGGGAGUUGCUGCAGCCCCACCGGGUGAACCUGGACCUCUCCGACUACACCAACUUGAGCAUUGGAGAGCUCGUCUCUGGCUACAUCAGCCAAGUGCACAAGAGCCGGGACGCAGAGGUCGCCAUGGUGAACCAGAUCCAGCAAAAAUCUGAGGUAUCAUUCUGCUGUCCUCUUACUUACUGCAUAGUUACCUUUGCCAUGAUAGCCCCCAAGUCGACGACUGAUGAUUGAAUAUGUUGUAGACUUAGGUUCUGGCUUACUCAAUUGAGCCGGCAGUAUGUAGAUAGAUACGUUCAAUAUGCAUUAGCCCCCAAGUGCCAAGUGUCUUUGCUUGGAAAACACUUGGGACUUAUAUAAUGACUGUUAAUAACCCGGAAAUUUAUGCAGGCUGUUGGCAAGAAGCUAGAGGCGGACUUUGCGGAUCUCAAGGGCCGGCUGAAGACGCAGGAGAUGGAGACCCGGAAGGCAAACGCCAAGUUUGUAUCCAGCAUCGCCGCUCAAGAGAGGCUGAAGACAGAAUUUGAUGCUGAGCGGAAAGCCUGGGCCGAAGAGAAGGCCGCACUGGUGACCCGGGCGGAACAGGCGGAGAAGGCUCUCUCUGAGAAGACCGCCGAGCUCUCCGGCCUAAAGCGCCAGGUUUCCCAAAUGGUGGCCGCCAUCUUCGGUAAGUCGCCUCACCGGCUUUCAUCAAGUUUAGAAUGUUUAUAUCUCAAGAUUCAUCCUUCUCGCCGGCUUAUCUGAUUCUGUUAAACAGGUCCCAGAAGUGCCAACCUCAACCAAAGCGUGGUCACCAAGCUAAAGGCCGUGUAUACCUUGGUGGAACAGCUCUACACCGGGUCACAGCAUGCCUUAGCUGUGGUGGCCCUAUCCAACGAGGUGCCGACUCACCUGGCAGAAGUCCUGCGCCGGCUCGCCGUUCUGCCUCAGCGGAUCCAAGAGCUGCGACGGGCCUCUGCGAGAGCCGGAGCGAUCGCCGCGCUGAGCCGGGCCAAGGCAUUCCUGCCGGAGUUAGACCCGGCGGACAUCGCCCUUGGCUAUCCAAGCCUGAAGGAAGACGGCUCAGCUUUUGAUCAGAAGGACUUCGCAGCUCGCGUGAAGGCCGUACGCCCGGUGGCCACCCUUAUCGGGAACGACACAGAUCUGACCAAGUACCAGCUGGGCUACGAUGCGGAGAAUCAGAGGAUUCCAACCCGUCACUAUGAAGCCCUCAACUUGAUCCCGCGGGCUCAUCAGCACACUUCCGCCCCGGAGAUUGACCCGGCCGGGUUAAUUGACGAGGAAGCCCAAUUCGAAGCUCUCAGCGGCAUCGACUGGAAGUCAUCAACUUUCCAGGUUUUGGGAUCAGCCGGAGGAGAAGAUAGGAACGAGCCGGAGACUUCAACUCAGCAAGCGUCGUAACUCGGCUAGCGGGUUACCAAACAAUGCUCCACCCUUUGAGAUUUUGACGAGUUUGGUAAUAGAGUAGGUGCAACAGUUUAUCUCUGCCGUGCCAUCGUGCACGUAUUGAAUGCUAAAGUGUUUUGAAGUUGUCUCUUUGAUGUUUCUCCGGGUCAUAAUCAAUCCUUUGUUUUUCUUAACCUCAAAGAGGUGCCUUUAAUUAUCUUGCAUAGAAAGGCAAAUCACAAGUCUCGGGGCGUCUUACCGUCCUGAGAAUCAUAAAUUUUAGAUAACCCGGAAUAUGAAUCAAAAAGGACUUGUCUUCAAUAGUAUCCUGAAUACAGCCGUAAUAACACACUUAGCAGCCUGUAAACAUACUUCCGGUUUAGAUAACCCGGGUAACAAGGUUGGUACCUUAACUCCGAUUUACUUGUCUUAAUGACACCCAUGGUGUUCAACUAACACUGUAAACCAAAGUUAAGCCGGCAAAGUGAGACCCGGCCGUACACACCUUGACAUAAUCAGAGUAAACUUGUGAUAAAGCAGAAGAACUUAGGGGCUUCCGGUUUGAAUACGACCAGAGACCCGGCCCAAAGGGGUUAAGCUAAGAUUCGGAUACGAUCAUAUAGCCCCUAGUGGGUGUGGCGAUGCCAAUCAAGAGGGUACCGACAGCUAUGUUCUCUUUGGUUCGAAUACGACCCAUGUUUGAACAGGAAGCCCCCAAGUGAUUUUUAGAAUUGUUUAACGACGCUGAUUCGAAUACGAUCCACGUCGGUUCUCAGAGGGGUUAAACUAUGAUUCAAAUAUCACCAAAGGUAACCUCCCAAUGAGCUCGGCACUUUGCCAAUCAAAUGGGUAUCGACAGCUAUGUUCUCUUUGGUUCGAAUACGACCCAUGUUUGAACAGGAAGCCCCCAAGUGACUUUACUGCUUACGGCUAGAUUCGAAUACGAUCAUAAACCGGAUCCUCCUUUAAGUCACCAUGUAAUCUUGCAAUAAGAACAACACGUGCAUAUUUGGAGGAGAAAAAAGGACAGAGGUCCUGCUUUAUUGCUUAUCAUAAUAUAUACAUGGCUGAGAGAAAUAUGUACACCACGAGAGCCGGUGGCUCAAGUGUAGUAAGGCCAAAGCUGAGCUAUGUUCCACGGCCGACGGGUCUCCUCCUCUGACUUACGUGAAUCUUUGUGCUCCCGAAUGUCAAUGAGGUAAUAUGACCCGUUGUGCAAGUUCUUGCUGACCACAAAGGGCCCUUCCCAAGGCGGGGAUAACUUGUGUGCAUCUGUUUGAUCCUGGAUGAGCCGGAGCACGAGAUCGCCUUCCUGGAAGACCCGGGAUUUAACCCGGCGGCUAUGGUAACGGCGCAGGUCUUGGUGGUAAAUCGAUGAACGAGCUGCUGCCACAUCACGCUGUUCGUCCAAUAGGUCAAGAGCAUCUUGUCGCGCCAGUUCAUUAUCCGCCUCAACAUAAGCCGCCACUCGAGGUGAGUCAUGACGGAUGUCACUGGGGAGGACUGCUUCUGCUCCAUAAACCAUGAAGAAAGGCGUGAAGCCUGUAGACCUGUUAGGAGUAGUGUUGAUGCUCCAUAACACGGAGGGCAACUCCUCCACGCAACAACCCAGCGUCCAUUGCAAAGGGACCAAAAGCCGGUGAUUGAUACCUUUCAGAAUCUCCUGAUUAGCUCUCUCAGCUUGACCGUUGGAUUGAGGAUGAGCCACUGAGGAAACAUCAAGUCGGAUAUGCUCGCGUUGACAAAACUCUUCCAUGGCGCCUUUGGAGAGAUUGGUGCCAUUGUCAGUUAUAAUGCUGUGCGGAAAGCCAAAGCGGAAAAUCACCUUUUUCAUAAAUUGAAGCGCCGUGGCUGCAUCGCACUUGCUAACUGGCUCAGCUUCCACCCACUUUGUGAAUUUAUCAACUGCCACCAAGAGGUGGGUCUUCUUAUCCUUGGACCUUUUAAAAGGCCCAACCAUAUCAAGCCCCCAGACCGCAAAGGGCCAAGUAAUUGGGAUCAUCCUCAGCUCCUGAGCCGGCACAUGAGCCCGUCGCAAGAACCUUUGGCAACCAUCACAUUUACUGACCAAGUCCUCUGCAUCAGCAUGAGCCGUCAACCAAUAAAAACCAUGACGAAAAGCCUUGGCCACAAGGGACUUUGAGCCGGCAUGAUGGCCACAAUCCCUUUCAUGGAUCUUACGCAAGAUCUCUUGACCUUCCUCAGGGGAGACACACCGCUGAAAUGUUCCUGUAACACUGCGAUGAUGCAACUCGCCAUCGAUAACAAUCAUUGACUUAGCCCGCCGGGUUAUUUGCCUGGCCAAAGUUUCAUCCUCAGGCAACUCGCCCCGGGUCAUAUAAGCCAGAUAUGGCAUUGUCCAGUCUGGUAUGACAUGGAGAGCCGCCACCAGUCGUGUCUCUGGGUCAGGGACAGCCAAGUCUUCCUCUGUAGGCAACUUAACCGAAGGGUUAUACAGGACGUCCAGGAAAGUGUUAGGCGGCACCGGCUUUCGCUGAGAGCCUAGCCGGCUUAGAGCAUCAGCCGCCUCGUUCUUCCUACGAUCAAUGUGCUCUACUUGGUAGCCCUGAAAGUGCCCAGCAAUGGCAUCAACUUCGUGGCGAUAAGCCGCCAUUAGAGGGUCCUUAGAGUCCCACUUGCCUGAUACUUGUUGAGCCACCAAGUCUGAGUCACCGAAGCACCUUACCCGGCUCAAGCUCAUCUCCUUAGCCAUCCGAAGACCGUGGAGCAAGGCCUCGUACUCAGCCGCAUUGUUAGUGCAAGGAAACAUCAACUGUAGCACAUAAUGGAACUUGUCACCUUUAGGGGAAGCCAAUACAACGCCAGCCCCCAAGCCCUCCAACUGCCUGGACCCAUCGAAGUGAAUAGUCCAAUAUGUGUUAUCCGGCUUUUGCUCGGGCACUUGUGACUCUGUCCAAUCAUUGAUGAAAUCCACCAAGGCCUGAGACUUAACAGCAGUGCGUAGCCCAUAUUUGAGACCAUGAGGUCCAAGUUCUAUAGCCCACUUAGCAAUUCUCCCUGUGGCCUCUCUGUUUUGAAUGAUAUCACCAAGGGGGCAGAACUGACCACAGUGAUGGGAUGACCCUGAAAAUAAUGCUUAAGUUUCUGGCUCGCCAUGAACACACCAUACACAAUCUUCUGCCAAUGCGGGUACCGCUGCUUGGACUCAAUGAGCACUUCGCUGACAUAAUAAACCGGCCGCUGAACCGGAUGCUCCUUACCCUCCUCCUUGCGCUCCACCACAAUAGCCACACUGACGGCUCGUGCGUUUGCCGCCACAUACAGUAAUAAGGGCUCCUUAUCAACCGGAGCAGCAAGGACUGGGGGCUCUGCCAGCUGCUUCUUCAAAUCCUCAAAAGCGGUAUUAGCUGCAUCAUUCCAGACAAAGUUAUCAGUUUUCUUCAUCAACUGAUAUAAUGGCAUGGCCUUCUCACCCAAACGGCUUAUAAACCGGCUUAAAGCAGCGAUGCGACCCGCUAGACGCUGAACGUCAUUUAUACACGCCGGCUUAGCCAGGGAGGUGAUGGUCUUGAUCUUCUCCGGGUUAGCCUCAAUGCCUCUAUCAGAAACCAAAAACCCCAAGAGCUUGCCUGCAGGGACACCAAAUACACACUUGGCCGGGUUAAGCAUCAUCUUAUAGACCCGGAGAUUAUGAAAGGUUUCCCUUAAAUCAUCUAUCAGGGUUUCCUCUUUUAUGGAUUUAACCACAAUAUCGUCCACAUAAGCGUGAACAUUGCGCCCAAUCUGAUUAUGAAGACAGUUCUGUACACAACGCUGGUAAGUCGCCUGUGCACACUUGAGUCCAAAGGGCAUAGACACAUAGCAGAAGGCUCCAAAGGGAGUGAUGAACGCCGUCUUCUCCUGGUCCUUAACUGCCAUCUUAAUCUGAUGAUAACCGAAAUAAGCAUCCAAGAAACUUAAACGUGCACAACCUGCCGUAGCAUCAAUGAUUUGAUCAAUACGGGGGAGGGCAAAAGGAUCAGCUGGACACGCCUUGUUUAAGUCCGUGUAGUCCACACACAUUCGCCAAGUGCCGUUCUUCUUGAGUACGAGCACCGGGUUAGCUAACCACUCUGGGUGAAAGACUUCAACGAUAAACCCGGCCGCCAAGAGCCGGGCCACCUCUUCACCAAUAGCUUUCCGCCUCUCUUCAUUAAACCGUCGAAGGAACUGCCUGACCGGCUUAAAUUUCGGAUCAACAUUGAGAGUAUGCUCAGCGAGUUCUCUAGGUACACCUGGCAUGUCAGAAGGUUUCCAUGCGAAGAUGUCCCUAUUCUCACGGAUGAACUCGAUGAGCGCGCUUUCCUAUUUUGGAUCCAGAUUUGCACUGAUGCUAAACUGCCGAGAUGAGUCACCUGGAACAAAAUCAACAAGUUUAGUUUCAUCAGCCGAUUUAAAUUUCAUUGCCGGCUCUUAUUCUGUAGUUGGCUUUUUCAGAGAGGUCAUAUCUGUUGGUUCAACAUUGUCCUUGUAAAACUUCAACUCCUCUGUAGCACAAACAGAUUCUGCAUAAGCCGCAUCGCCUUCCUCACACUCCAGAGCCACUUUCCGGCUGCCGUGAACCGUAAUGGUCCCAUUGUGAUCCGGCAUCUUGAGCUGUAAGUACACAUAACACGGCCGUGCCAUGAACUUGGCGUAAGCCGGCCGCCCAAAUAUAGCAUGGUAUGGACUUCUUAUCUUGACCACCUCAAAGGUCAAUUUCUCCACCCUGUAGUUGUUCUCAUCACCAAAGGCCACUUCCAAUUCGAUCUUGCUGACUGGAUAAGCCGAUUUACCAGGUACCACACCAUGGAAGAUAGUGUUUGACUGGCUAAGAUUCUUAUCAACCAACCCCAUACGGCGAAAAGUCUCAUAAUAGAGGAUGUUGAUGCUGCUGCCUCCAUCCAUGAGCACCUUUGUGAACUUAUAUCCUCCCACUCGAGGAGCCACCACUAAGGCCAAGUGGCCCGGGUUAUCCACCCGGGGAGGGUGAUCCUCCCUACUCCACACUAUAGGUUGCUCAGACCACCGCAAGUAGCGUGGGAUCGCCGGCUCAACAGCAUUCACUGCCCUCUUAUGAAGCUUCUGAUCUCGCUUACACAGACUGGUGGUAAACACAUGAUACUGUCCACUGCUGAGCUGCUUUGGAUUGGUCUGAUAACCCCCCUGCUGCUGCUGAUGACCCUGGCUAGACUGCUGAUUAAAGCACCCUUGACCGUUCUGAGGACCGGAAUUUGAGCCGCCGCCUGAGCCGCCGCCCGGGCCAUUGUAAUUCUGAAAGGCCUUCAUGAUCGCACAAUCCUUCCACAGGUGAGUCGCUGGCUUCUCUCUAGAGCCAUGCCUUGGACAAGGUUCAUUCAACAGCUGCUCCAGCGUCGGACCUGACCCGCCGCCUCGGGGAGGGGGCCUCCCCUUGCGUCGCUGGUUAUUACCUUGUGAGCUGGCGUUGGCUACAAACUCUAGGCUGCCAUCGGCCUUGCGCUUGCCUCCUCCUUGGUUCCCCGGGUUAAACUGAGGACCCUUGCCAUUGCCGUUCUUCUUUCCCUUCCCUGUCCUUUCAUCAUCUGAAGGGGGAUCCUUGGUACCAUUAGAAUCGGUGUACUUGACAAGAGCUGCCAUUAGUGUACCCAUAGCACUGCAGUCGCGUUUAAGCCGCCCGAGUUUCAUCUUCAGGGGCACAAAACGACAAUUCUGCUCCAGCAAUAAAACCGCUGAGCCGGCAUCCAUCUUGUCUGACGAGUGUAUGAUCUCCUUAACCCGGCGAACCCAAUGUGUCGUAGACUCACCCUCCUGCUGCUUACAGUUAGUCAAAUCCACGAUUGACAUAGACUGCCUACAGGUAUCUUUGAAGUUUUGGAUGAACCGGGCUUUCAGCUCAGCCCAAGACCCAAUGGAAUUCGGUGGUAGCCCUUUCAACCAAGUGCGAGCAGUCCCAUCCAACAUCAUGGUGAAAUACUUGGCCACGGCCGCCUCACUGACCUCCAGCAGUUCCGUAGCCAUCUCAUAACUCUCGAUCCAGGCUGCGGGUUGUAAGUCAGCUGUGUAAUUAGGCACCUUCCUAGGGCCCUUGAAGUCCUUAGGUAGACGUUCAUUACGGAUAGCUGGCACUAAACAAGGGACACCCCCGGUCCUGGUAGGGACACCCACGUCGACGGAAGUCGUCGGAUAAGCCGGGGGGGGGGGUCUGGUAAGCCGUCAAUUGAGGCACUUGCUCCGCCUCUUGCCGCGCUUUGUCCUGGUCUGCUGCGUAAAAGGCUCCAUUAUGAGCCGGGCCAUGGCCAGGGGGCGGGUCAUGGCGUCGGACGUUACUUGAGCCGGUUGCUGAGACCAUGUGCCGGCUGUAACUCGGGCUCUGGCCUGGACGAGGGGUCGAGUGGAUCCUGUCCCGGCUGUAGGAGUACGCCUCUUGCUGCACCAGUGCUGUCUGAAGGAGUUCCCUGACCCGGUGGGUUUCAAUAGCCGUCGGAGAGUCGCCGUCAACUGGGAGAGCCGCCAGCCAUGCUGCCGCAGCGACCAUGUUCUCCAACGGGUUAUUAUAAUGACCCGAGGGUAUUGGCACGUACUGAGGCGGGGCAGGGGGCACCUGGGGAGGCCCCAUCACUCGUGGCUGAAUAAGAGGUCCAGACCCGGGCGCUAUGACCCCUGGCGGGUUACUAGACCCUGCACCUGGCGUGUUGAAGAGGUUGCGUGGAUCGUAAACCGGAGGGAGUCGAGAUUGGGUCUUUUGAUGCCUCCUUCUCAUGACCUCAUUGGCCGCGUUCUGAUCCAUCAUGAGUUGGAAGGACUGCGCCUGGAUCAGCUGAGUUUGGGCAUCGAGAGCCGCCCUCUCCGCAGCCAGCCUGAUCCCUUCCGCUGCAAGAUCAUCUUUAGCUUUCAUUAGAUCCAAUUUUAACUGUGCCACCUCUGCAUCGUGCUGAGCUUGAUCUGCCGGGUCAACCGUGGCGGUUAGCAGGGCCGUCAUCUUGUCUGUGAGAUCCAUCAGCACCUGAGCCGGAGAAGGCACCGGGUUUCCCGCUCCAGCAGCGGGGUUCUGAACAGGCUGCGCACCAGCCAUAAAAACUCCAACCUGACUUGGCGGCUCAAAUAGGUCCGGAAUACUGUCACCCUUGGAACAACCCAUGAGCCUGCCAUCUUCAAAUUGGUAUAACGAGUUUGACUCAUCGGUGGCCGACUCGCCGUCAGAGCCGGCGGCCGUCUCAUUACCAGAUCCAAAUCGAUCAGAGAGUCCUCCAUGGAUACACCCCACAAAAGCAUGCCUUAAGGCAGGCCGGGCCCGGGCGGGUCGCGCGCGCUGAGCCGUCUCGAUGAGAUCAGCGCAGAGACCCGGCUCAGGGCCCGACUCACCAAUCUUGCCAAUGAAAACAUGAAUUCCGCUGAAGGGGACCCGGUACCCGUACUCAAUUGAGCCAGCGUCGGGGCCCCAGUUUGCAUCGUCGAUGUAGAGCUUGCCGCGACGACUCUUGGUCAUCCGGCCCACAGCGUAUCCCUUGAGCCCUUCGAAGCUGCCCUUCAAGAACUCAAAUCCACCGUGCGCUGGCCCCACGGUGGGCGCCAACUGUCGUGGAAUUGUCACGGCAGAUGUCCUCGAGCUAGGACUUAGUCGUGGAGCCAUCGCAACUAGGAAGCUUGAAGGGGUUAAUAUGGGACAAGGAACACGGGGGUUUAUACUGGUUCGGCCCCUUACCGUGAAGGUAAAAGCCUACGUCCAGUUUGAGGUGGUAUUGAUUAGGGUUACGAUCACCAGGGAGCUAAACCGCUGCGCCUGGCUCUCGAUCAGAUUGUCCUUCUCCCUAAACCGCUGCCGAGUCGUCCCUUUAUAUAGGGAGGCUGACGCCCAGCAGCUCUCAGAGUCCCGGCCGGCUCAUAAGAGUGUCCGGCUCGGACUCUCAACUAUACUUGCCUUAAACUACAAGUUCUACCAUAAUAAUGAUUGUAACUCCGGGCCUUAAGUCAUAUCCGGGUCUUAAGCCCAUCUCUGGCCCAUCAUCUUCAAGCUUGGCCCCGGGCUUCUGGUAAUGACCAUUAGAGUAACCCGGCCCCUCCUGGCGGGUGACUCUAAGGUCUAUAUCCUCAACACAUCCCAUGGCAUGUAAGCACUCAUAGGACUCGCACGAUCCGUGUAUUUGCUGCGCAGUGCUCCGGCGAAGUCUGAAGUGUUCCCGCCUAGCUGCGUUCUCCUCACUACACUUUCCCACUCGCUUGCAGCCCGCAUGCCACAGCCACCAUGGUCGCACGGCAUGUUCGUGUACUGCCUUUGCCUGCUCUCGUCCACGCACACACGCAGCUUGCGUUCCACGGGCUCCUGCUCGAGCGUUUGCAAGCGCGCCACUACACCCGCACUCUCUUGCACUUCCCGCAGGCCCGAUGCUGCUCUGCAUCGCAAGUCGUCGCCUUCUAGCUCGUCACCGCCGGCGCCGGUGAUUUCUGUGUUGUCACGGCCAAAGGCUCGGCCUUCUGGCCCUGGUUCAAAAGGAGCCAGGCGCCUCUCUCAGUACACGCACUCCCCUCUAGCGCACUGGUUAGCACGCCUCUUUCCUACCUAGGAGACCUGGGUUCGAGUCCCAGGUUCCACGUUUUUAGUGGUGGCCUUUUAUUUUCACUGUGACUAUGACGCCUUGGUCCCAUUGUCAUCCACACACACUCACAGGCCCACAUGUCAUGCUCUCACAUCCCUCGUAUCUAUUUCUUUUCCUUUAUUAAUCUUUUAUUCCAGCGAUUUCCAUUUCUGGAAUAUGCUAGCUUUCCUUUUCAGGCAAGUCCAGAUCUGGACAUUCCAAAUAUGGAAAUUGCCAAUUCUGUCAUAUUCCCUUUUAGGGCAGUUUCUCACUUAUAGCAUUUGUGAUGAUUUUUCUACAGCAACCUAGACAUAUUAUAUAUGUUUUUGGGGUAGAAAAAUCCCACCAAUCCAGUGGUGGCAUUAUUUUCUGCAUUUAAGCAAGUUUGCAUACAUGUCAUUUUACAUCAUGAUGCUGUCUUGUCAUUUUUGUGCGGUUUAUUUCAAGCAUGCUAUGAGGUAGUUUUGCACAUGGAUAGUUUCAUUUUCAUGCCUAAUCUAUGCUAGAUUUAUUUCAGGCCAUGAUAUGCUAUGUAGUGAGUUAAUCAAGCUUGUUAACAUGCCUACAUGAAUCUGUUUUUGCCAUGUCCUGAAAUUUCAUCAAGUCUGAAUCUGUUUAUAAAACUUGCUAUGUUUACAUGGUUGCCAUCAUAUCUUCUGGUCCUUUUUGGCUUAUGGUCAGUAAGGUAUUUUUAUCAUAUGCAUUUAGUAGAAUACUGCCAUGCCUUGUUUUGCCAUGUUAAGUUCCUGUAGCAUGUUGUUUUCGUGCUCUGAACAUUGCUACCUGAUGCUGUUUUCUGCCAUGUCCAGUAAUUUCACCAAGUCUGUGAACCUGUUAGCUUUUGCACUUUUGCCAUGCUUGUUUGAGCUUGUUAUGUUGUGAUCUAGCCGUAGCUCAGUGUUCAUCUUUUGUCAAGCAUCUCCUGUAGAUUACUACCAUAUGCUUUGUUGCUACGUUGGAGUGCUGUAGCAUUGUUGCUUGUUGCAUUCUAAGUGCUAUCAUGCUGUUAAUCACAGAUUCGUGUCAUUCUUGUUUUGCUUGCCAUUUGCAAACCGUGCAUCCGUUUCCGGUGAUCUUUAUAUCGAUUUCGACCGAAAUCAUCUCAUCUUUCCAGUGGCAUGCUUGGUUUGCGAAGUUACUGCCUUGUUCAUCAUUUUCCUUCCGGAGCACGCAUAUGCAUCGCAUAUCAUAUCUUGCAUAUCAUACAUGUUUUGCAUCAUGUUGCUUGCGCAUUUCUCGUUGUUGAUUGUGGUUCCGUUUGUUUGUGUUCUUGUCUUGGGUAGAGCCGGGAGACGAGUUCGUGAACGAGCAACCUGUCGAGUACGCUUACGAGGAUCAAGCUUUCGACAACUCUGAGAACCUUGCAGGCAAGAUGACCACCCCUCGAAAUCACUUCUAUCUUUGCUUUGCUAGUUGUUCGCUCUAUUGCCAUGCUCCGCUACCUAUCACUUGCUAUAUCAUGUCUCCCAUUUUAGCCAUGUCAGCCCCUAACCAUCCUCUCCUAGCAAACCGUUGUUUGGCUAAGUUACCGCUUUUGCUCAGCCCUUCUUAUAGCGUUGCUAGUUGCAGGUGAAGUUGAAGUUUGUUCCAUGUCGGAACAUGGAUAUGUUGGGAUAUCACAAUAUCUCUUAUUUAAUUAAUGCAUCUAUAUAUAUUUGGUAAAGGGUGGAAGGCUCGGCCUUAUGCCUGGUGUUUUGUUCCACUCUUGCCGCCCUAGUUACUGAUAUAAAUGUUUCCCUACCAAGUUCCACUCACCAAAGGCGCUUCCCUCCCCGGCAACGGCGCCAGAAAAGAGUCUUGAUGACCCACAAGUAUAGGGGAUCUAUCAUAGUCCUUUCGAUAAGUAAGAGUGUCGAACCCAACGAGGAGCAGUAGGAAAUGACAAGCGGUUUCAGUAAGGUAUUCUCUGCAAGCACUGAAAUUGUAGGUGAUAGAUAGUUUUGUGAUAAGAUAAUUUGUAAUGAGUAACAAGCAAUGAAAGUAAAUCAAGUGCAGCAAGGUCGCCCAAUCCUUUUUGUAGCAAAGGAAAAGCCUAGACAAUUUCUUAUAAUGAGAAAAGCGCUCUCGAGGACACAUGGGAAUUAUCGUCAAGCUAGUUUCAUCACGCUGAUAUGAUUCGCGUUCGGUACUUCGAUAAUUUGAUAUGUGGGUGGACCGGUGCUUGGGGUACUGCCCUUACUUGGACAAGCAUCCCACUUAUGAUUAACCCCUAUUGCAAGCAUCCGCAACUACAAAAUAAGUAUUAAGGUAAACCUAACCAUAGCAUGAAACUAGUGGAUCCAAAUCAGCCCCUUACGAAGCAACGCAUAAACUAGGGUUUAAGCUUCUGUCACUCUAGCAACCCAUCAUCUGCUUAUUACUUCCCAGUGCCUUCCUUUAGGCCCAAAUAAUGGUGAAGUGUCAUGUUGUCGGUGUACAAAAGUAGGGGUUCUCCUUUUGACCCCUUUACUUGUGCACGGGCAGUCAGAGCCACGCGCCACGGCCGCACUUGGCAAGGCAGGGGAGGUGAACCGAGGUGGAACCAAGGCACAAGACAAGCGAGACAAACGCCAAGGCCAAGACCACAGAGAGCGGAGGGAUGAAGCAGGUUCCCCCGGCAAGACCCUUCCCGGGGCGGCUCAUCCAAACACCAACAGAGCGAGCCACCCUUGAGCCCACAGUUUCCAACACCGUCAACGACGUUGGGCCAGGACUCGGGAGGCACCUCCACGGUGACAUACAGAUCUUUGUGAAGACAAGAACAACACUCUUAAUCAGAAGAGUGGAAGACGACGAACCUCGGCGAGAUCCUUGCCGAGGAAGCCUACAAGACCCCCGCCGAGAUCCUUGCCGGGGACGACCGCAACGCCAUGGCAAGACCCUUGCCAGGGUCCCGGCAAGGCCCUUACCGAGGGCGUGCGCGAGGCCGCAACCAGGCCCACACCCGCCAAGCUUUCCGCCACACAUCCCAUGUAGCUGCUAGCCCACCAGCCGGGCAGGCACCUGCGUGUCGACGCAAGGCUCCUCUGACAACUCAGCACAUGCCUACGUGGUGGCAUGCAGAUCUUCGUGAAUGCUCCACCACAGCGCCACCUUAGCUGUUUGCCUGCCUACAUGGCACUACCGCCUCGCUGGCCCAGGCGCGUGUCAAGGCAGGGCGAAGCGGCGGUAAAGUGGAGGGGACACGUCAAGGGCGCAUUAACUGCGUCUUGUCCCAUAAUAGCCAGUGAUAAGCUUAACCACAGUACCCCGAUGCCACCUCCUGGUGCCACUGUGGUGAUCCCUUUGCCUAUAAAAGGAGACCCAGGGCAUCCAGGAGAAGGAUUCGGACUCUUGGACAAGUUACGCUCCUUGUAGCUAGUUCGAGAACCUCAAGAACACAGAUAUACACAUCCAAGCAGGACUAGGGUAUUACGCAUCUCUGCGGCCCAAACCUGGGUAAAUGAUCCGUGUGCUUGUACUGACCGCUGAUCCUGCUCUCCUCACCACCCAGCACCCCGCAACCGCAGAAGGGAUCCUCGUGGUCCCAUAGGUGUCGUUUCCCACCGACAUCUUUGGCGCGCCAGGUAGGGGGCGCGCAGUAGUGAGCAUCUGGUUUUGCAGCCAGUGGCACAGUUCUUCGUUGCCAUGGCUCCCAAGAAGAAGGCGGCCACGGCGGUCGGCUCGUCAGGAGCCAAGCGGCCCGAUCCAGUGCGGGCGAGCAGCGGACCGGUCGCGGACAGAACUCGAGCCGCAGUCCGUGACCAUUAGCAUCGCUCUGGCAGUCAGAGCCUGGCGAGUGGCGUCGUUCGUACGCCAAACGAUGAGCCGCACACCGCUAGAUCCAAAGGCGGGGCUGGGCCCCACGUAGGCGGCGCGGGGCCCUCCAAGAGUGUUGCUGUGCCACCCGCAGGUGGCGCAGCGACCUCCAAGACGCCCAUCCCGGCGCCCACAACAUGCUCUUCCCAUGGUGCGCGCGACGAGCAGCGUCACCACAUUGGUGACCCUGGACGCCGUCGUGGGAAGAGCCCUGUGCUUCAUCUGCGGGACGAAGGGGGCCUACGUGCCCGCCGAAGCGCUGGCGGGAGUGGCACGCAGCCGCUCGGCCGCGACGGAGCUCCUUCUAACGUGGUUAGAAGUCGAAGCGCGCCACGGUCCACACAGUUUUCGCCACCACCCACGCCAGCAGAAGCUUUGGCACGCGCGCAGCUACUCCUCGACUUCCCUCCUGCUACGGAGAAGCUUGAUGAGUGGAGAGCCACCAUCCGGAGCCUCAUUGCCAUCGCCAACAAAGACGAUUUGCGACCAACGGGGCCCUCGGGUUGGCGCUCCGUCGAGCCACCACAUGCCAGUGGAGGAAGGACCGGAGGUGCUGCGGCCAUGAUGCACCCUCCUCCUCCACGCCAACCACCGUGGGCGUCAGCCCGUCGUGACGACGCUUGUGAUAAUAUCUCCAUAGCAUCGUCCGACCCGCGGACCCACCGCGACCAGCGCCAAGUUCUUCUGGAGCAAGCUCAUGAAGACGCUCGAACCACCAUCGAGCGCCGGCGUGAUACACGCCACCAGUCGGACAAGCGGGCAGGGCCCGCUGCGAACCCCCCCGCUCCGGGAGGCCUCGGCGGCCUACCUUACGAGGUGGGUUGUCCGGCCUUUACCCGUGAGCUGCGGUAGUUCUAGUGGCCAUCCCACCGCAUGUUCAAGCCAGACGUCGGCGAGAAGUACAACGGCAAGACCCACCCGUCGGAGUUCCUCAGCAUCUACACCAUCGCGAUGCAGGCUGCUGGGGCCCGCGACGAUAAGGUGCUCGCCAAUUACUUCCCGUUGGCGCUGAAGCCUAACGUCAUGUCUUGGUUGAUUCCAUUUCUUCUUGGUCGGACCUGUGUCAUGAGUUCGUUGGUGCCUUCACUGGAGGCCACCAAGCUCACGGCCAGGCGAGUGUGCCGGUGGGAAACGACACCUAUGGGAUCACAAGAAUCCCUACUACGGUUGCGGGGCGCUGGAAGUGGUGAGGAGAGCAGGAUCAACAGUCAAUACAAGCACACGGAUCAUUUACCGAGGUUCGGGCCGCAGAGAUGCGUAAUACCCUAGUCCUGCUUGGAUGUGUAUAUCUGUGUUCUUGAGGAGCUCGAACUAGCUACAAGGGGCGUAACUUGUCCGAGAGUCCGAAUCCUUCUCCUGGAUGCCCUGGGUCUCCUUUUAUAGGCGAAGGGAUCGCCAUAGUGGCACCAGGAGGUGGCAUUGGGGGUACUGUGGCUAAGCUUAUCGCUAGCUAUUACAGGACAAGACGCAUUAAAUGCGCCUCUGACGUGUCCCCUCCACUUUACUCCCGCUUCGCCUCGUCUUGACACGCGCCUGGGCCAGCGAGGCGGUGGCGCCAUGUAGGCAGGAAAGCAGCUGAGGUGGCGCGGUGGCGGAGCCUUCAAGAAAAUCUGCAUGCCACCACGUAGGCACAUGCUGAGUUGGCGGAGGAGCCCUGCGUUGACACGCAGGUGCCUGCCCGGCUAGUGGGCUGGCAGCUGCAUGGGAUUGGUAGCAAAAAGCUUGGCGGGUGCGGGCCUAGCUGCGGGGCCCCGGCAAGGAUCUUGCCGGGGCCCCGGCAAGGGUCUUGCCGUGCUGUUGCGAUCGUCCCCGGCAAGGAUCUUGCCGGGGGUCUUAUGGGCUUCCUCGGCAAGGAUCUCGCUGAGGCUUCGCCGUCUUCCACUCUUCUGAUUUAGAGUGUUGUUCUUGUCUUCACAAAGAUCUGCAUUCCAUCAUGGAGGUGCCUCCCGAGCCUUGGCCCAACGUGGUUGAUGGUGUUGGAAACCCUGGGCUCAAGGCUGGCUCGCUCUGUUGGUGUUGGGGCGAGCUGCCCCGGCAAGGGCCUUGCCGGGGCCGCUGAGGCUGCCCCGGCAAGGGUCUUGCCGGGGGAGCCCGCUUCAUCCCUCUGCUCUUUGUGGUUUCGAUCUUGGUGUUGCCUUGCUUGUCUUGUGCCUUGGAUUUCACCUCGGUUCACCUCCCCUGCCUUGCCAAGUGCGGCCGUGGCGCGUGGUUCGACUGCCCGUGCACAAGUAAAGGGGUCAAAAGGAGAGUCCCUACUUUUGUACACCGACAGGAGCCCCCGGGCCUGGGCCACACAUAAGUGCAACACGUUGUUGGGCCAGGCCCAAAAUGGUGCGCGGGCAGGCAGGGCGGUUUUUACCGCGGUAACUUUCCGUCCGCUGCGCUUCCCCAUGACCCGCGUUGAACGUGCGUCAUGGAGGAGCGCGCAUGACGUGGGGGGCAUGCGUGGGAUGGUUCCUGCACGCAUGCAUCACGUCGCAGUUAGUGGGAAAGGAGGCGGCCCGCGCCUUCCCCGUAAAAAGGAAUAACCGCGGGCGCGUUGCUCACUUUACCCCUUCUGCGUUCUCUUCCGAUCUCAGAGCCGCUGCCCCCUUCUCCUUCCUCUCUAAGCUUCGUCCACCACCGCUGCGCUUCCGCCAUCUUCUGCCCUCUUGCUUCUCGCAGCCGCCAUGGCGCCCAAAUCCACCAGAGGCAAGGGAGUGGCCAAAGACGCCGGGGCGGCGGAGUAGCCGGAGAGCGAGCUGGUGGCGUGACAGGCGUAGUUCGCCUACUUUAAUUUGACGAUCGGCGUGCCCGAGCUCCGGGAGUUCUUCAAACCCUAUGGGGGGUGAAUACGGGGGAGAGACGACGGGGCAUCCAGCCACGCGCGUCAUCCCUGCCAGCGCCGGAGCCGCCCCAAAUCGGUACCCCUUCUUUGUCGACUACUUCUCUUGCAGUCUUUGUCCCCCCUUCUCUGAUUUCUUCAAGGAUAUCAUGCACACCUACGGCUUUCGCCUUCUGGAUUUUACUCCAAAUGCCGUGGCGUGCAUGGCUCUCUUCGCACACCUCUGCGAGGGCUUCGCCGGGGUGCACCCCAUCACGGCGUUCUUUCGCCAUUACUUCUCCCCUAGGAUCCAAAAGGGUGGCGCCAUCUCUGGUUGCGUCACCUGGAUCCUGAGGUCCAAGGGGGCGUACCCGGAUGGCACCACGAAGGAGAGGUGGGAAAAAUGGCGGGGCCGGUGGUGCUUUAUUGAGGAGGAGGAGCCGCCGACCUUUUGCCGGGUCCGCGACGUGCCGCCGGUUCGCGGGGGCGACUGGAGCGACCUUGACGCCGACGACGCGAAGCUCACGGUCGCCAUCACCAGGAUCCUUCGGCUUACCCAGUCCGGGCUCACCCUCGAAAUGAUCGGGGCAGACUUCAUCCGCCGCCGAAUCGCUCCUCUGCACAACAAGGGGAGGCCGACCUGGCUUUUCACUAAUGCUGCUGACAUCAUGAGGCUUCGCCCCGGCCUCGACCACAACCUGAUGGUGCUGAGGCAUGCCCAUCUCUACCAACGGAUCUUCCAGCUCAAGGUCAAUGAUGACGGCGAGGUCGAGCGGUCCAGCAAGGUCGCGAGGGCCGAUGCGAAGCCUGGCAAGGUUGCCAAAGAGCCCGUUUUCAAGUUGCUGGUGGGGGUGGUCCCGCUGUGCAACAAUUCUCGCCAGUCCGAGAUCAUCGCCAUGAUGCCGGCCUUCAACGCGCACGGCCUUGACCCGAACUGGAUCGAGCCGGACGAGCUCCAAGUGCAGAAAUUCUUCGACACCUUGCACGAGAGGUGCGCCACCGAUGAGCCGCGGCUCAUCCAGGACACCUCCCAGGCGGAGCUGGACUACAUCGCCGCCAGGGUGGCGGAGGCAAAACUUGCCGUGGAGGAGGCGAAGCUUGCCGAGGAGGCCGGCAGCGCCGGCGGCAUGGAAGACAAGGACGCGACGGUCGUGGAGGAGGAGGAGCUCGCCAGGUGGGCGGAGGCCGCCGGGGAGGUCAGCAGCGCCGGCACCGGGGCUCCUCUUGUUGAGGAUGCAGACGACGAGUCGUCGUCGUCGGAGGAGGCCGGGGCUGUCAACCCUCCGGCCUUAGGGAGGAGGCGAGUCCUGCGCCGGGCCACUUCCGGUGAUCCGGUCCGCCCUGGCGAGGCCGCACGGCGGCCCAAAUCUCCGGUGGAGUCCGCGCAUUAGGUGAGAGCCGCGGCGACGAAGAAGGUGGUGAAGUCCGCGGUGGCGAAGAAGAAGGCAUCUGCUUCCUCUUUGUCCAAGCGCGCGCAGACCCCGCCUUCCUCCCCUCCCCCGGUAAACGCCCGCGCGGGGCCCAACUUCGACUUCGGAUCCCUCAGCCCGAAGAGGAAGAGGGAGGCAACAUAGGUGGAGGCGGACGACGAGUAAGCAUCCCGCUCUCUCCGUCAUCCCCGUCCCCUCAAUCUGUACUGCUUGUCUUGACUUGUCUUCGUGUUUGUAGGGAUAUGGAGACGCUGGCCCAGAGAGUGAAAAGGGCCAAGGCCUCGGCGGGCGGCCAGCCCCCGGCUGGUACUUCAAAGGCGCCACUUGUGGUGUUAAGCAGCCCGGACAGCAGCCCCCAGCACAGCCCCCAGUGUAAGUUCAUUACUCUCCCCUCGUCGAUGUGUGUUAGGGGUACGACACUCCGGUGCUGAUCUUGCCGGGUGCGCAGGAGGAGAGCAGCAGCUGGAGGAGCCACAAAGGGCUACUCCCAACAUGCCGCCCCCGUCGACCACGCCGCCCUGAGGGGCGUCUCCGGUAAGGGCGCCAAGCACCGAGCCUACGCACAUGGAGGAGGAGGUGGAGAACUUGGGUGCUGGUGGCUCCGCCUCGACACCAAAUGUUGGCGGGGAGGGGACUUCUGCUUCCCAGCCUGGCACUGGUAAGUUGCUCGCCCUUCGUCCCUGCUUUUUCUCUUCUUUUGGAAUCUUUGAACUCGGCUUUACCCCCACCCUCUUCGUGAUAUCCAGAUCCUCUCUCGACGGACCGGGAGGACCUGGACACCGUCAUCGAGGACGUGGCCAAGGACGCCGCAGUGGAGGCCGAGAAGAUCGCCGCCGAGGAGGCCGCCAGGGCCGCUGCCAAGGACUCCGCAGAGGGUCCUGCCAGGGAGGCCGGCAAGGCCCCCGCUGAGGAGACCGGCAAGGGGCCCGCCGGGGAGGCCGGCGCGGCCAUUGCCGAGGAGGAGGAGGAGGUGGCUGAUGACCAGCCUUCUUCCUCUGCUGCUCCCGGCUCUGGCAAGUACCUGAGGGUGAGUGACGACUUGUUCGUCCACCUCCCAGGCGCGUCGAGCACCAAGGCACCCGUCGAGGGAGAGGUGUUCAACGAUGAAGUGCUUGCUGCCGCCGGGCUUGAGGUCGUUGACGAGCCAACCGUUGGCGGCAACGGCUCCCAGGAGGAGCGGCUGCUCCAGGCCAUGGGUGCCAGCUUCCGGAAGCUCCAGGCGCUCUAGCGCGCCCGCCUGGACAAAGCUAGGUCCAGGAUGGCAGUGGUGGAGAAGGUGGAGGCAGACCUCCAGGGGAGCGUCGCUGAGAUGCAGGACUAGUUUCACCAGGCUCGUGACGAGCUGAAGGCCGCCCAGGGCGAGCUGGCCGAGCGUGAGGUGGAGCUCACCAUGAAGCUGGCCGAUGUCGAGAAGGCCCAAGAGGCGGUGAAGAACUUGGCCGCCGCCACUGAAGCCACCCGGAUUCAGCACGAGGCCGCACUGAACUCCUAGGAGGAGGACCUUGUCGCGUGUGAGGAGAAGCUUGCCGCCAUGCUCUGCGGCAAGGAUGAAGAGGUGGAGAAGCUUGUCGCACAGCGGACCCAAGAGCUGGAGCAGAGGCAUAGAGAGGCGCUCGAUGCUCAGGCUCUGGUUUACACCGGCAAGGUGAAGGAGCUGGAGACGGAGCGGGACGGGCUAAAGGACCAGACCCUGAAGUUGGCCGAGGAGAAGGACAUGCUCAACGGCGCCCUAACGGAGGCGCAAGGCGCCAUCCUUGGCAAGGCUGAGCAGCUCUCCAAGGGCAACGACUCCAUCAGGGACCUAAAGCUGAAGCUGGAGGCCCUUGAGGGGAUGCUCUCGGAGGCCAAGGCCCAGGAAGGGACCCUGGCCAAGGAGCUGGAGACCGAGAAGCAGCUGCGGAAGGACGAGGCCGCCACCCACAAGGAUUUCAUGGAUGGUCAGAACCGCUAGAUCGGCCGCCUCAAGGACGUCGCCGGCAGGAUCACCGCACAGCUGGCUACCAUGGGGAUGACAAACGCGAGGUACGCCCCAGAGCGCAGCGGGACCACCAACGCCAAGCUGGCCCUGUUCUUCGAAGUUGUUCUUGGGGCCUUGGAGCAUCUCAAGUCCAACUAGGAAAGCUCCUUGGCCGACGAGUCCCGGCUAAUUUGCCAGGGCGCCAUGACCAAGGUCCUCACCAAGCUGGCCUUCUGGAACCCCGACCUCGAUUUCUAUGCCGGGCUGGACAGCUUGUCGGGCGAUGCAGACCUCUCAGGGAUCAAGGAGCGCAUCGAGCCCGGCAUCAGCUGCAUCGGCGGAAUCCGGAGGGUGGAGGGCCAUCGCCGGGACUAGAUGCUCCGUUCCUCAUUGCCGCUGUGGGUUCAUGACCAAGACAAUUCAUAUCUUUAGUUAGAACCGCAGCAACAAUUGGUGUAAUAUAACUCUGCAGUACUUUUGAUAUCAUGCAUGUUAUUUUCCUGUUUGAUCUUCCCUUUGUAUGUUCACCCUACGCCAAUUGGGUAGGCUUGCCGGCGCGUAAACCCAGGGCGGCGCCUUGGGGAUGGAUCCCCAUUGGCCUGCCGGGUGCGCUUGCUGCCGGGCGAACCACCUUGCUGCUCUCAACGCAGCCACUCGAACUGUCAAGCUUGACUCGAGUCAGAAUCGAGAGCGUUGCCGAUUACGGAAGGCUACCCCGCCACUCUCGACGCGGCCGCGUGAGCUGUUGAGCGGACUCGAAAUAGAACAAGGGCAUUGCCAAUCACGGAAGGGCCCCUUUGCGUGCAGGCUAUCAUACAUAGGGCAGGAUCUCCGAGGACGAUAACCUUAUAUUAAGAAGAAAAUCUCAAAGUUUGGCAUGACUUAGCUCUUUUGUUGCCGCACUGGCGUCCUACGCGUUCGCAGGCGGCGUCUUUUUCUUCUGGCCAUCUCCUUCUUGGGAGCCAGGGUGAUGAGGGACUAUGCCGCUGGCUGCAAAGCUAGAUGCUCACUACUGCGCCCCCUACCUGGCGCGCCAAAGAUGUCGGUGGGAAACGACACCUAUGGGAUCACAAGAAUCCCUACUACGGUUGCGGGGCGCUGGAAGUGGUGAGGAGAGCAGGAUCAGCAGUCAGUACAAGCACACGGAUCGUUUACCCAGGUUCGGGCCGCAGAGAUGCUAAUACCCUAGUCCUGCUUGGAUGUCUAUAUCUGUGUUCUUGAGGAGCUCGAACUAGCUACAAGGGGCGUAACUUGUCCGAGAGUCCAAAUCCUUCUCCUGGAUGCACCGGGUCUCCUUUUAUAGGCAAAGGGAUCGCCAUAGUGGCACCAGGAGGUGGCAUUGGGGUACUGUGGCUAAGCUUAUCGCUAGCUAUUACAGGACAAGACGCAUUAAAUGCGCCUCUGACGUGUCCCCUCCACUUUACUGCCGCUUCGCCUCGUCUUGACAUGCGCCUGGGGCAGCAAGGCGGUGGCGCCAUGUAGGCAGGCAAGCAGCUGAGGUGGCGCGGUGGCGGAGCCUUCAGGAAGAUCUGCAUGCCACCACGUAGGCAUGUGCUGAGUUGGCGGAGGAGCCCUGCAUCGACACGCAGGUGCCUGCCCGGCUGGUGGGCUGGGAGCUGCAUGGGAUUGGUGGAAAAAAGCUUGGCAGGUGCGGGCCUAGCUGCGGCCUCGCGGAUGCCCUCGGCAAGGGCCUUGCCGGGGCCCCGACAAGGGUCUUGCCGUGGUGUUGCGAUCGUCCCCGACAAGGAUCUUGCCGGGGGUCUUGGGGGCUUCCUCGGCAAGGAUCUCGCCGAGGCUUUGUCACGACCGGUUUUUCAAUAAAAUAAUUAUUGAGAGACCAAUCCCUUUUACGGACCAGCGAGGAAGAAUUCCUUCUCACUGGUAGACAAUAUCUUGGUCACAGAAGAAAAAUACCAGGAGUACUAAAUAUAAUAGAAGGUUGAGCAGAGAAUGCCCAACAAUUUAUUACAUGCACGCCGCUAAAACUAACGGCGGAUAGGGUGGCAACUACUAACUCACGACAAUGAUGGUGGUGGAAAUAUCACCGCGAAGCGAGUGAUAUGAUUCCAGAAGACUACAACUCAUCGAGCGUCGGAGUGAGGCUCGAGAAGACUUAUUGCGGGUGGCGGAAGCGUAUACAAUACAAGUGACCAAUAUCCGGGAUCGCGCAGGACUGACUGGGACUCCUCUAGGCGUCGGACGCACUAUCAAACUCUUCAUCCAAGAGAUCGCCUUCGUCAACAUCUGGCCAAAUCAACAAGCCAGGUGAGUACUAUGAAAGUACUCGCAAGACAGUUCGGACAUAAGGUAUAACAAAUGUAAACAUGAAGCAUAUGAACAAGUUAACCAGUGCGAUCAGACAUAGAGAUAAUAAAUACUGGGUGCCAAGCGAGGGUCUGAAUGACGCCUCGAGCGGAAACUGCAGAAUAGUAAUACUGGUGCCAAACGAGUGUCUGAAAGAAUCCUCGAGAGGAAAAUGCGGAAUAAUAAUACAGGUGCCAAACGAGUGUCUGAAAGACUCCUCGAGAGGAAAAUGCGGAAUAAUAAUACAAGUGCCAAAUGAGUGUCUGAAAGACUCCUCGAGAGGAAAAUGCGGAAUAAUAAUACAGGUGCCAAACGAGUGUCUGAAAGACUCCUCGAGAGGAAAAUGCGAAAUAAUAAUACAAGUGCCAAACGAGUGUCUGAAAGACUCCUCGAGAGGAAAAUGCGGAAUAAUAAUACAGGUGCCAAACGAGUGUCUGAAAGACUCCUCGAGAGGAAAAUGCGGAAUAAUAAUGCCACAGUCGGGCGUCGGGGCGACACCACAUAAAGGGCUUAUAUUUAAUGUGAGAAACGAGUACACGCCACAGUCGGACGUCUGCGCGACGUCACAUAAAGGGCUUAUAUCACAUCUCAUUAAUACAACAGUUCGGGAACAUAAAUUAUCACAAGCAUGAGACACAAAAUAAAGUUAGUCCAUCCACAGGAAUAACAAUAAAUCUGAAUUUUACCACUGGAGCUUGUUCACCGGGGACCAAGUUUUUUCACACGGAUAGAUAUGGAUAUAAUGUUCUCAUUACUUGAUCAUGGAUAUGAUGAUUUGGAAAGAAUUGACUCUGCAGAGUUUGUACUUAACCACAGCCAACGGAUUUCAGUAGUCACGGGGACUAGUUCCGUCUACGGUGUUUUGGAAGAAACACGUCUAACCAGUACACACCCAAUUCAACCAUCCGAAGCCAGGGAUCACCCUCGGCGACGUUCAAGAAAAACCUUGAGACGGGGAGGCUACAACCUCGCGUAGCAUGGGAUCAAAUUUCUAUACGCGCGCUUUAAGGGGGUGCCCCCCUCUCGGUCCCAACCGGAAACACCCAUGCCCCCUGACCGGAUGACUGGCUUUAAUCUUGGGCCAAGGUACCAUCAUCCCGGCCUCUCUGUUUGGUGUGUACACGGAAAGAGGUUACCAACUUACUAAACCGCAUCCUGGCAAUGAGACAUGUGGUAGCACGGAAAGGGGAAAGAACGGUAACGCGGCUCCAACCACGUUAACGUCGGAGAAAGUUGGAUGUCGCAAGGCUGGCAUGCUACAACAGUACCACCUUGCUGCCAUUCAUGUCACCACAUGAUUUGGCCAUCUCUCAUCAGAGAUCAUCGCAACUUUGGAACAUGCGGAAAAAGGUCGAUAACGUGGCUCCAACCACGUUAACGUCGAAGAGAGUCGGAUGACGCAAGGCUGGCAUGCUACGACAGUACCACCUUGCUGCCCUUCAUGUCACCACAUGAUUAGGCCACCUCUCAUCAGAGGUCAUUGCAACUGUGGAACAACCGGGUUGUUGCCUUACAAGCAACGAGGUAUUUAGCGACACUCAUAUGCCACGCACAAACUCUCACGUGAUCAUGCAAAACAUCUGCCAUAUCAAAUGUUCAAAACAUGCUUGCCUGGUUCGGAGAAGUCGGAGUCUAGCUCGGCGAAGUUCGCGGCCCCUUCACCUCUCCCGGAACCUACGGCAAUCACGAAACGGGUACUAACGUGAAAACCAACACAUACACAGAAACUUUUCCAAAUAUUUUUCAAAUAAAACCCAUAAAAAACUAGACAAAAUUUGGAGAUUGUCAGAAAAAGAAUCACUCAAAAAUUCCUUUUUAUUAAAAAGUUAUAAAGGUUUCUGUCCAGGGACUUAUCUGUAAUGAAACAGAAAAGUUCCAGGGUUUUAACUGAGAAAACAGAAAACGCUUCGGUUGGGAAUGCGCAAGCGGAAAGGAGAAAGCGUAUUUUGCCCGAAGGCGGCAACAGAAAACGGUUCGAGGUGGAAUAAAACAGAGGCUGACACGCGGGGUCCACAUGUCAGGUUUGAAAAGCUCGCCGGCGCCCGAAGACUGCGGUGGACGCCAGCGUCGAACCACGGCGAGUUAGGAGAAACGGAGGGUACCAAGAGCUUCAGCGUCUUCUUCCGCGUCGGUGGGUGGUGGACUCGUCCAACGGGGAGCACCACGUCGACGACGACACUUUCUCCGGCGGACGGUGGCUCGGGGGAGGAUGGGGAACUCCGGUGUAGGGCUGCAAGCUUCAAAUUGAAGUGUGGGUCAGAAAGAGGGAUGCAUGGUGAAGCUACUGGCAAGAGAGCGGAGGCGGAGGAGUACACACGGGGGCGAAUCGGGCUGGAUCCCGUGGCGGGUCUCGGCGGCCGGAGUCGAGGAAGGAGUCCUCCUCGUGGCUCUUCCAGUGGCUAGGCGUGCUCUAGGGGGAGUGCUGGGCUGGUGGGUGCUCGAGUUGAAGCUCGGGGCCUCUAUUUAUAGGCAGAUCGACGGGGUGGCCGUGAACGGAGAAUCUCCGGCGAGCGAUUAUGGCGAAGCAGUGGAUUGGGAGGGGGUUUGAGCGGCCGGGCAGCAUCAGUGGAGGUUACUGGACUCGUUUUGCAGCUAAACGGGGUCGGUCUUGGCGUAAUGGCGUCGGUCCAUGGUGAGGUGACCGCACGGGCUCAACGGCGGCAGAGAGCGCGCUCCGCGCCCGGCGGUUCACGACGAGAGCGGCAGCGCGUUCGGGGGAGUGGAAGGCCACGCGACGAGCUCCGGUGGUUUGGGCGGCGCUGGGUGGCGUCGUCGGCGCCGUGUCUCCCGCUGGAGUCCGCAAAGCCGCCGCCGGCGUCGAUCACGGGGCAGCACACCUUCUGCUGCUCGUCGCCGACGCCCGCAAGGCGCCAGGCGCUCGUGCGGUGCAGGAACAAGAGGGCGGGGACGAGGAGCAAGGCGACGCGGUGGCACUGGCGAGACCGACGUCCGCUUCUGAAGAAAACGACAGCAGCCACUUGACUGAAUCUCUGAAACUCUGAACUUGACAAUGACCAUGCACUGCAGGUGUUCGACAGGAGGUUUUGGCCAUGAGAUAAAUUUUUCUGGAGCUGUAACUUGGUGAGAUGACCACUCAAUGCACCCAGAGGCUACCUGAUUUUACUUGGAAUUUUUGGAGAAGGUUUUAAAUGAACUUCACCAAAUUUGACAAAUCUGGUCCAAACUUGUAGCAAGUGUAGUUUGAAAAUUUUGAACUGAAGACUAGUGGAUCUUCAUGGUUCUAGGUUGAGGGUUCAAAGGACUAGGAGGGGAAAAAGGUUUGGGGCCAAAAAUCAAGACAGAAAGUGGAGUUCCUUUGCAAAUCUCCAAGUGGUAGAAUAGAGGACAGAAAUUUGUUUGAAUAUAAUUUGAAUGGAAAUAGAUACAUGGGGAGGUUCAACUUGCUGGAUUUGGUGUAAAACAUGGUCCAAAGGUGAGGGAAGGGUUAGGAGAGAUCAUUUGCACUAGGGCCAUGGCAAGGAGGAAUUGUUGAAAGUGGCAAAGGACUUUCCAAAAGCCAUAGUGCAAAAUUCAAAAAGGUUUUCAAAAGUUACUUUUCCCAAAUGAAAAACAUUUUGUCUUGUGUCCAAAUGAAAAGCAAGGACUUCCAAGACCAAAGGCAGAUCUUGGGUGAAUCCAAAUAAAACUUUUGCCAUAAGGAAAAAUAUAUGAGAGGGAGAGUUCUCUUGAAGAAAAAAUUUAAAUCACUCCCCUCAAGUCAAAUAAAAUCUUUUGAAAAAUCCAAAUAAAAACUUGGGUGUCACAGGCUUCGCCGUCUUCCACUCUUCUGAUUUAGAGUGUUGUUCUUGUCUUCACAAAGAUCUGCAUGCCAUCAUGGAGGUGCCUCCCGAGCCUUGGCCCAACGUGGUAGAUGGUGUUGGAAACCGUGGGCUCAAGGGUGGCUCGCUCUGUUGGUGUUGGGGCGAGCUGCCCCGGCAAGGGCCUUGCCGGGGCCACUGAGGCUGCCCCGGCAAGGGUCUUGCCGGGGGAGCCCGCUUUGUCCCUCUGCUCUUUGUGGUUUCGAUCUUGGCGUUGCCUUGCUUGUCUUGUGCCUUGGAUUUCACCUCGGUUCACCUCCCCUGCAUUGCCAAGUGCGGCCGUGGCGCGUGGCUUCGACUGCCCGUGCACAAGUAAAGGGGUCAAAAGGAGAGCCCCUACUUUUGUACACCGACAGAGUGACUUGCAUAUCAUUCCCCAGAAGGAUGGAGAAACCCUGCGCAAGUACAUCCAGAGGUUCAGCCGGGUGUAGUACAACAUGCCCGAUGUUCAUCCCGCCGCCGUGAUUAGCGCGUUCCACCUGAACGUGUGCAACCGCAAGAUGCGCGAGGAGCUGGUGAUGAACAAGGUUAAGGAUGUCGCUAAACUUUAUGUACUGCCCGAUAGGUGCGCCCGGGCCGAGGAGGGAAGGAAGUUCCCCAGCGAGGACGUCGGCGUGGAAACCGACUCUACUGAUGGAGACACCGCCGCCCCGGCGAAGAAGGGCCGGCAUCGCAACAAGAAAUGCAAGGGAAAAGCCGUGCUUGCCGUCGAGGGAUCCGGCGACACCGGCGCCACCAAGAAGGCCAAGGCAGACGACCCCGGCAAGGAGAUUGCCGGGUGCGCCGCCUGCUGGGCCUUGGCGGCUGCCGACAAGCCAGGGGGCUGCGACAAGCAGUAUUGCAAGAUCCACCACACCAAGGGCCACGACCUCCAGAACUGCCGGCAAGCCGAGCUACUUGCUGAGAAGCAAAGGGUCGAGUAUGAUAGGCGGGACAAGGAGAAGGGUCAGGAGGGUGCCGAAGGAUCCGGCAAGAAGCGUGGCGGCCAAGGAGGUCGCCGCGGCAAGGAUAGCCAACAAGAGAGGCCCGCUCGGGGCCGUGACAAGGAGCAAGAAGACGAUGGUCAUGAUGAGGACGACGACUCCGGUGAGCAAGAGUUCCAGAAGGCUACAGAGGCCAUGUGCGUCGAUGGUGGCGGCUCGCUGCAUACUUCUCACCGCCAGCUCAAACAGUGGGCGCGUGAGAUUACAGCAGUGGAGCCCUCGUUCGACGCCUAGAAGCCGCUGAAGUGGUCCAGCACGCCCCUCAUCUUUGAUGUCGAGGAUCACCCUGACCGCACAACCGCAGUCGGGUGUUUUCCAUUGUUGGUCUCGCCAACGAUACGCAACCUCAAGGUGAACAAGAUGCUGGUUGACGGCGGGGCCGGUCUGAACUUGAUCUCACCUGUUGUGAUUAGAAGGCUGCAAAUUCCUGAUGGAGACCUCGAGGAAACGGGCAUGUUUCAAGGGGUCAACCCGGGAAGGAGCCAACCGAAGGGGAAGGUCACGUUGCCUGUGACGUUUGGAGGUGAGUUGAACUACAGGACGGAGAGGAUUGUCUUUAAUGUAGCCGAGAUCCCCUUGCCCUACAACGGGAUCCUCGGCCGCCCGGCACUGGCCAAGUUCAUGGCGGCGUCGCACUACGCCUACAACACGCUGAAGAUGCCCGGGCCGAUGAACAUCAUCACCGUCCCCUCCGACAAGAAAGACGCGUUGAUUUGCGCUGACCAACUCUACCGGGAAGCAGUUGGAGCAGCUGCCGCCAAGGCACCUGCUCCUGCCGACGGAGUCCCUGGAGGAAAGAAGACCGGUGAGACCCCUCGCACCCAAUCCGGCAAGCGCACCUCUUCGGGGUGUUGCGCUCCCGUUGAGGACGUGCCAGAGAGCUCCACCGGCAAGAGCAAGAAGUCCAGAGUUGCACCACCAGAGACCAAGAAGGUGUCCGUCAAGGAGGACGGCACGGGGGGAGCUUUCACCAUAAGCUCCACCCUCAACAGCAAAUAGGAAAGAGAGCUCGUCACUUUCCUGCGGGUGAAUGUCGAUGUGUUUGCAUGGCAAGCCUCCGACAUCCCCGGCGUUCCCAGGGAAGUGAUUGAGCACCAUCUUGUUGUCUGUCCUCAUGCACGGCCCGUGAAGAAAAAGGUCAGGAAGCAAGCUCUGGAGAGGCAGGAGUUCAUCACGGAGGAGAUCAGGAAGCUAGAUGCAGCAGGUUUGGUAAGGGGGGUGCUCCAUCCGACGUGGUUGGCCAACCCGGUAGUGGUGCGCAAGGCAAACAGGAAGUGGAGACUGUGUAUUGAUUACACAGACAUCAACAAAGCUUGUCCAAAGGAUCCCUUCCCGUUACCGCGCAUCGACCAGAUUGUUGACUCCACGACCGGGUGUGACCUGUUAUCAUUCCUCGACGCCUACUCAGGGUACCACCAGAUCUUCAUGACAAAAGAAGACGAGGAGAAGACAACAUUCAUCACCCCAUGUGGUACAUAUUACUUUUUACAGAUGCCUUUCGAGUUGAAGAGUGCUGGCUCCACCUUUGCAAGAGCAGUCCAAAUUGGUUUUGAGCCCCAGCUACAUAGAAAUAUGGAAGCUUAUAUGGAUGACAUAGUGGUCAAAACCAAGGACAAAGCAACACUUGUGCAAGAUCUGGAGGAGACGUUUGCAAACCUGCGCAAGAUCAACCUCAAGCUGAACCCUGAGAAGUGUGUCUUCGGUGUCCCGUCCGGCAAGCUUCUCGGGUUCUUUGUGUCGCAGCGUGGGAUUGAGGCAAACCCAGAUAAGACCAAGGCCAUCGAGCAGAUUGAGGCACCCAAGCGGAUCAAAGACGUGCGUCGGCUCACUGGCUGCGUUGCCGCCAUGAGCAGAUUCAUCUCCAAGUCCGCGGAGCGUGCCCUUCCCUUUUUCAAGAUCUUGAAGAAGAUGGGACCAAUGGAGUGGACCCCUGAGGCCGAGGCAGCGCUGCAGGAUCUGAAGAGGUACCUCUCCUCUACCCCAGUGCUGGUUGCGCCCAAACCACAAGAACCGUUGCUGCUGUACCUAUCGGCAACGAAUCAGGUGGUUAGCGCCGCACUGGUGGCACAGAGAGAGGUCGACGAAGAGGCAGCGGCAGCGGCAGAAUCAACGGAUGGCGAGCCGGAACCCUCCCCGACAGGGCUCGGUCCCGGAAAGGCUGAGUCCCCGGCAGAGGCUGACGCCAGUGUGACAGGGCCCGCGUGACUAGGUGAAGUGACGCAGAAGAAGAAAAUGGUGCAGCACCCAGUUUACUUCGUCAGUUCCCUCUUGCAGGGGGCGAGGUCGAGGUACUCAGGUGUGCAAAAAUUGCUCUUCGGCCUCCUUAUGGCCUCGAGGAAGCUGCGUCAUUACUUCCAAGCGCACGGGAUCACCGUGGUCACCCGCCUCCCAUUGCAACGGAUACUGCAUAACCCAGAUGCAACGGGGAGGAUCGUGGAAUGGGCCCUGGAGCUGUCGAGUUUCGGUUUAAAGUUCGAAAGAACCUCGACGAUUCAGAGCAGAGUCUUGGCGGAGUUCAUUGCAGAAUGGACCUCGACGCCCGACGAAGAAGUACAGGAGACCACUCUCCCCGGCAAGGAAACGAGCCGCAACUGGAUCAUUGUAACGCCCAUGAUGCGGCUAUAUCUCCCACGUGUCGAGGCACGAUUUAGAGGUAUAACCGCAUUGUGGUUUUGUCGCAAGAAGGGUCAUCUUCACACAAUCCCAUGCAAUGAACAAGAAUGGGAUAACGAGAGUUGGCUUACAAUCGCCACUUCACACAAUACAUAAAUAUAAUUCAUACAUCAUCCAAAAUACACACAUGGACCGACUACGGUCAAAAUCCGAAUGACAAUAAGAUAACCCCAAAUGCUAGAUCCCCGAUCGUCCCAACUGGGCUCCACUACUGAUCAUCAGGAAAAGACACAUAGUAACGACCACGUUCCUCAUCGAACUCCCACUUGAGGUCGAUCCCAUCACGUGCACUGACAUCGUCGGCACCUGCAACUGUUUUGGUAGAAUCUGUGAGUCACGAGGACUCAGCAAUCUCACACCCGCGAGAUCAAGACCAUUUAAGCUUAUAGGAAAAGAUGGUGUAAUGAGGUGGAACUGCAGCAGGCACUAAGCACAUAUAGUGGCUAACAUACGCAAAAGAGAGCGAGAAGAGAAGCAACAAAACGGUCGUCUUCUAGUAAUGACCAAGAAGUGAUCCUGAACUCCUACUCACGUCAUUCAUAACUCAAACUGUGUUCACUUCCCGGUCUCCGCCGAGAAGAGACCAUCACGGUUACACACACGGUUGAUGUAUUUUAAUUAAGUCAAGUGACAAGUUCUCUAUAACCGGACAUUAACAAAUUCCCAUCUGCCUGAUAACCGCGGGCGCGGCUUUCGAAAGAUAAUACCCUGCAGGGGUGUCCCAACUUAGCCCAUCAUAAGCUCUCACGGUCAACAAAGGAUAAACCUUCUCCCAGGAAGACCCGAUCAGUCUCGGAGUCCCGGUUUACAAGACAUUUCGACAAUGGUAAAACAAGACCAGCAAAGCCGCCCGGUGUGCCGACAAAUCCCGAUAGGAGCUGCACAUAUCUCGUUCUCAGGGAAACACCGGAUGAUACAUCCUACGAGUAAAACCAGGCCUCGAGUUUCCACGAGGGGGCCCCGCAUUCUACUCAGUUCGAACCAACACUCGAAGGAGCACUGGCCCGGGGGGGGGUUAAAAUAAAGAUGACCCUCGGGCUCGCGAAAACCCGGGGGAAAAGGCUUAGGUGGCAAAUGGUAAAACCAAGGUUGGGCCUUGCUGGAGGAGUUUUAUUCAAGGCGAACUGUCAAGGGGGUCCCAUAAAUCACCCAACCGCGUAAGGAACGCAAACUCAAGGAACAUAAUACCGGAAUGACGGAAACUAGGGCGGCAAGAGUGGAACAAAACACCAGGCAUAAGGCCGAGCCUUCCACCCUUUACCAAAUAUAUAGAUGCAUUAAAUAAAUAAGAGAUGUUGUGAUAUCCCAAAAAUAUCCAUGUUCGAACAUGGAACCAACUUCAACUUCACUUGCAACUAACAACGCUAUAAGAUGGGCUGAGCAAAAGCGGUAACUUAGCCAAACAACGGUUUGCUAGGAAAGGAUGGUUAGAGGCUGACAUGGCAAUAUGGGAGGCAUGAUAUAGAAAGUGGUAGAUAGCGUAGCAUGGCAAUAGAAUGAACAACUAGCAAAGCAAAUAUAGAAGUGAUUUCGAGGGGUGGUCAUCUUGCCUGCAAGGUUCUCAGAGUUGUCGAAAGCUUGAUCCUCGUAAGGUACUCGACAGGUUCCUCGUUCAUGAACUCAUCUCCCGGCUCUACCCAAAACAAGAACACAAGCAACGGAAUGACAAUCAAUCAUGGGAAAAUGCACAAACAACAUGAUGCAAUACAUGAAUGAUAUGCAAGAUAUGAUAUGCGAUGCAUAUGCUUGCUCCGGAAGGAAAAUGAUGAACAAGUCAGUAACUUGGCAAACCAAGCAUGCGACUGGAAAGAUGAGAUGAUUUCGGUCGACAUCGAUAUAAAGAUCACCAGAAACGGAUGCACGGUUUGCAAAUGGCAAGCAAAACAAGAAUGACACGAAUCUGCGAUUAACAGCAUGGUAGCACUUAGAAUGCAACAAGUAACAAUGCUACAGCACUCCAACAUAGCAACAAAGCAUAUGGCAGUAGUCCACAGGAGAUGCUUGACAAAAGAUGAACACUGAGCUACGGCUAGAUCACAACAUAACAGGCUCAAACAAGCAUGGCAAAAGUGCAAAAGAUAACAGGUUUACAGACUCGGUGAAAUCACUGGACAUGGCAGAAAACAGCAUCAGGUAGCAAUGUUCAGAGCAUGAAAUCAACAUGCUACAGGAACUUAACAUGGCAAAACAAGGCAUGGCAGUAUUCUACUAAAAGCAUAUAACAAAAGUCCCUUACUGACCAUAAGCCAAAAAGGACCAGAAGAUAUGAUGGCAACCAUGUAAACAUAGCAAGUUUCGUUAUCAGGUUUCAGACUUGGCAGAAAACAGAGCAUGGCAGAAACAAUAAUAUGAAGGCAUUUGGUGUGCUUGAUGCACUCACCACAAAGCAAUGCAUGACAAAACAAGCAUACCUACAGCAAGAUGGCAAGUUUAUGAAGCUAAACAUGGCAAGAACAAAUACAUAGCAUGGAUGAAACAACUACAACAAGCUUGGCAAAAUUGAAUAACACGUAAACAAUCUGCCAGAAAUAUUUUAUAGCAAAAGUAGAGCAAGAUUGAGUCAUGCUAUGGCACUCCAUAAAUGCAAACAAGGGCAGGAAUGGAUCAAUUACAACAAUAUCUACAAAACAUCCUUACCGAACAUCUCCAAAAUAUGCAUGGAUCUCUCUGUAGCAUCAAGUUUACAUGGCAACAAAAUAACAGCAGACAAAGACUUAGAGAAAUUACUAAGUCUCUGAAAUCAGAAACAUUACGGAGCCUGUCGUGGAAUUAUCACGGAAGAUGUCCUCGUGCAAGGACUUAGUCGUGGAUCCAUCGCAGCUAGGAAGCUUAAAGGGGUUAAGCAGGACAAAGGACACGAGGAUUAUACUGGUUCGUCCCCUUGCAGUGAAGGUAAAAGCCUACGUCCAGUUGAGGUUGUAUUGAUUAGGGUUUCGAUGACCAGGAGCUAAACCGCCCUGCCUGGUUAUCGACUUGAUCUUCCUUGUCCCUGAACCGCCGCCGGGUCGUCCCCUUAUAUAGAGAGGUUGACGCCCCGCGGUUCUCAGAAUCCCGGCCGGCUUACAACAAUGUCCGGCUUGGACUCUUAACUACUCUUGCCUUACACUACAAGUCUUGCCAUAAUGGCGGUUUAUCACUACGGGCCUUAAGCCGCCUCCGGGUCUUAAGCCCAUUAUCGAUCCGCCAUCCUCUAGCCUGGUACUGGGCUUCACGCGAUGAUCAUUAUGAUGUAACCCGGCCCCUCCUGGGCGGGUGACUCUAAUGGUUAUAUCUUCACCAUUAGGCCCCAGAUUGAUUUGAACGGUUUCAUGUCAAUCUUCAAUCCUUUUGAGAGAAAAUCUUCCGGCUUCUGCUUGUGCGAAGGUUAUAACCCGCCGUGACGUCAUCUUCUGGAUUCUUGAUAACCCGCCGUGACGUCAUCUUCCAUUAAAUUCAUUUUUUAUUCUGUCAUAUCUCAACGGAUCUUAUCUUAAUGACCAUCCCGAGAAUCGAGGCGUUCAAGCGGCAAGAUAAUCAUGUCCUCAGCCUCCUCGUUUCUCGUGCCUAUUUACCAGCUGUUCCUUAUAAAUAGGCCCGGUGUUGAGGAUAUAACCGUUGGAGUCACCCGCCCAGGAGGGGCCGGGUUACCCAUGAUGGUUACUACGCGAAGCCCAGUACCAAAGAUGAAGACGGCGGGUCAAUAACGGGCCCAAGACACGGAGAUGGCUUAAGGCCCGUAGCAUUAGCCGCCGUUAGGGUAAAACUUGUAGUGUAAGGCAAGAAUAGAUAAGAGUCCGAGCCGGACACUGUUAUGAGCCGGCCGGGACUCUAAGAGCCGCUGGGCGUCAACCUCUCUGUAUAAAGGGACGACCCGGCGGCGGUUCAGGACAAGGUAGAUCUCGUCGAGAGCCAGGCAUAGCAGUUAAGCUCCCUGGUCAUCGAAACCCUAAUCAAUACCACCUCAACUGGACGUAGGCUUUUACCUUCACCGUAAGGGGCCGAACCAGUAUAACCCUCGUGUUCCUUGUCCCGUUUAACCCCUUCAAGCUUCCUAGCUGCGAUGGCUCCACGACUAAGUCCUAGCUCGAGGACAUCUGCCGUGACAAUUCCACGACAGUUGGCGCCCACCGUGGGGCCAGCGCACGGUGGAUUUGAGUUCUUGAAGGGCAGCUUCGAAGGGCUCAAGGGAUACGCUGUGGGCCGGAUGACCAAGAGUCGUCGCGGCAAGCUCUACAUCGACGAUGCAAACUAGGGCCCCGACGCCGGCUCAAUUGAGUACGGGUACCGGGUCCCGUUCGGCGGAAUUCAUGUCUUCAUCGGCAAGAUUGGUGAGCCGGGCCCUGAGCUGGAUCUCUGCGCCGAUCUCAUCGAGACGGCUCAGCGCGCACGACCCGCCCGGGCCCUACCUGCCUUGAAGCAUGCUUUUGUGGGAUGUAUCCAUGGAGGGCUCUCUGAUGGAUCUGGAUCUGGUGAUGAGACGGCCGCUGGCUCUGACGGCGAGUCGUCCACAGAUGAGUCAAACUCGUUGUAUCAACUUCAAGAUGGCAGGCUCAGGGGUUGUUCCGAUGGUGACAGUAUUCCGGACCCAUUUGAGCCGCCGAGCCGGGUUGGAAUCUUCAUGGCCGGUGCACAGCCUGUUCAGAACCCUGCCGCUGGGUCAGGAAACCCGGUGCCCUCGCCGGCUCAGGUGCUGAUGGAUCUCACGGAUAAGAUGACGGCCCUGUUGACCGCCACGGUUGACCCGGCGGAUCAAGCUCAGCAUGACGCGGAGGUGGCGCAGUUAAAGUUAUAUCUAGUGAAAGCCAAGGAGGAUCUGGCGGCGGAAGGGAUCAGGAUGGCUGCGGAGAGGGCGGCUCUUGACGCCCAGACUCAGUUGAUUCAGGCGCAGUCCUUCCGGCUCACGAUGGAUAAGAACGCGUCCAAUGAGGUCAUGAGAAGGAGGCAUCAAAAGGCCCAAUCUCGACUCCCUCCGGUCUACGAUCCUCGAAACCUCUUCAACACGCCAGGUGCAGGGUCUAGUAACCCGCCGGGGGUCAUAGUGCCCGGGGCUGGGACACCUAUUCAGCCACAAGUGAUGGGGCCUCCCCGGGUGAACCCUGCCCCGCCUCAGUAUGUGCCAAUACUACCGGGUCAUUGUGCUAACCCGCUGGAAAACAUGGUCGCCACAGCAGCACGGCUGGCGGCUCUCCCAAUUGACGGCGACUCUCCAACGGCUUUUGAAACCCGCCGAGUCAGAGAACUCCUUCAGACAGCGCUGGCACGGCAAGAGGCGUACUCUUACAGCUGGGACAGGAUACAUUCAACCCCUCGUCCGGGCCGGAGCCCGAGUUAUAGCAGACACAUGGUUUCAGCGACCGGCUCAAGUAAUGUCCGACGGCAUGACUUGCCCCCUGGCCAUGGCCCGGCUCAUAACGGGGCCUUUCACGCAACAGACCAAGACAGAGCGCGGCAAGAGGUGGAGCAGGUGCCUCAGUUGACGGCUUACCAGACUCCCCCGGCUUAUCCGACGACUUCCGUCGAUGUGGGUAUCCCUACGAGGACUGGAGGUGUCCCUUGUUUAGUGCCGGCUCUCCGCAAUGAGCGUCUACCCAAGGAUUUCAAAGGGCCUAGGAAGGUGCCUAAUUACACGGCUGAUUUACAACCCAGAGCCUGGAUCGAGAGUUACGAGAUGGCCAUGGAAUUGCUGGAGGUCAGUGAAGCGGCGAUUGCCAAAUAUUUCACCAUGAUGUUAGAUGGAACUGCCCGCACUUGUUUGAAAGGGCUACCACCGAAUUCCAUCGGGUCUUGGGCUGAGCUGAAAGCCCGGUUCAUCCAAAACUUCAAGGAUACCUGUAGGCAGUCUAUGUCAAUUGUGGAUUUGACUAACUGUAAACAGCAGGAGGGUGAGUCUACGACACAUUGGGUUCGCCGGGUCAAAGAGAUCAUACAUUCAUCUGAUAAGAUGGAUGCCGGCUCUGCAGUCUUAAUGUUGGAGCAGAAUUGUCGUUUCCUGCCCCUGAAGAUGAAACUCGGGCGGCUUAAGCGCGACUGCAAUGAUAUGGGUACGCUAAUGGCGGCUCUCGUCAAGUACGCCGACUCUGAUAGUACCAAGGACCCCGCUUCAGAUGAUGAAAGGACAUGGAAGGGAAAGAAGAACGUCAAUGGCAAGGAUCCUCAGCAUAACCUGGGUAACCAAGGAGGUGGCAAGCGUAAGGCCGACGGCAGCCUAGAGUUCGUGGCCAACGCCAGCUCACAGGGUAAUAACCAGCGACGCAAGAGGAGGCCACCUCCCCGAGCCGGCGGGUCAGGCCCGACGCUGGAGCAGCUGUUGAAUGAGCCAUGUCCAAUGCAUGGCCCUAGGGAGAAGCCAGCUACUCAUCUAUGGAAGGAUUGCGCAAUCAUGAAGGCCUUUAAGAAUUCCAAUGCCUUUAAUGGCAACAAUGGCCCGGGCGGCGGCUCAGGCGCUGGCGGUUUUCAUGGCCCGGGCGGCGGCUCAAAUUAUAAUCCACAGAACGGUCAAGGGGGCUUUAAUCAGCAGUCUGGCCAGGGUCAUCAACAGCAGCAGGGGGGUUAUUAGACCAAUCCAAAGCAGCCACGGCGGUUCAGUUCAUGAAAAGGGUGAUAUUUUGUUUUAGCUUUCCACACAGCAUUAUAACUGACAAUGGUACCAAUCUGUCCAAGGCGCCAUGGAGGAGUUUUAUCAAUGAGAGCAUAUUCGACUUGAUGUUUCAUCAGUGGCUCACCCUCAAUCCAAUGGUCAAGCUGAGAGGGCUAAUCAGGAGAUUCUGAAAGGCAUCAAGCCCCGGCUUUUGGUCCCUUUGCAACGGACGCCGGGUUGUUGGGUGGAGGAGUUACCCUUCGUGUUAUGGAGCAUCAAUACUACUCCUAACAGGUCUACGGGUUUCACACCUUUCUUCAUGGUUUAUGGAGCGGAAGCAGUCCUCCCCAGCGACAUCCGUCAUGACUCGCCUCGAGUGGCGUCUUAUGUUGAGGCGGAUAAUGAACAGGCGCGCCAUGAUGCUCUUGACUUGUUGGACGAACAACAUGAUGUGGCAGCAUCUCGAUCAGCGAUUUACCAACAGGACCUGCGCCGUUAUCACAGUCGCCGGGUUAAGUCCCGGGUCUUCCAGGAAGGUGAUCUGGUGCUCCGGCUCAUCCAAGAUCAAACAGAUGCGCACAAGCUAUCCCCGCCUUGGGAAGGACCCUUUGUGGUCAGCAAGAACUUGCACAACGGGUCAUAUUACCUCGUUGACAUUCGGGAGCACAAAGAUUCACGCAAGUCGGAGGAGGAGACCCGUCAGCCGUGGAACAUAGCUCAGCUUCGGCCUUAUUACACUUGAGCCACCGGCUCUCAUAAUGUACAUAUUUCUGUAAGCCAUGUAUAUAUUAUGAUAAGCAAUAAAGCAGGACCUCUGUCCUUUUUCUCCUCCAAAGGUAAAUGCGUUGUUUCCAUUACAAGAUCACAUGGUAACUUGGAGGUGGAUCCGGCUUAUGAUCGUAUUCGAAUCUAGCCGUAUGCAAUAUAAUCACUUGGGGGCUUCCUGUUCAAACAUAGGUCGUAUUCGAACCAAAGAGAACAUAGCUGUCGAUACCCACUUGAUUGGCAAAGUGCCGAGCUCAUUGGGGAGUUUUCUUUGAUCAUAUUUGAAUCAUAGCUCAACCCCCUUUGGGAACCGACGUGGAUUGUAUUCGAAUCAGCGUCGUUAAACAACUCUUAAGAUCAUUUGGGGGCUUCCUAUUCAAACAUGGGUCGUAUUCGAACCAAAGAGAACAUAGCUGUCGGUACCCUCUUGAUCGGCAUCGCCAAACCCACUGGGGGCUAUAUGAUCGCAUUCGAAUCUUAGCUUAACCCCUUUGGGACGGGUCUCUGGUCGUAUCCGAACCGGAAGCCCCUAAGUUUUGAUUUUCUGAUUUACAACAAGUUCUUCUAGUUGUAUCAACAGUCUACACGGCGGUUCUUAUUUCGCCGACUUAACUUUGAUUCACAAGGUUAGUCACACACAAUCAGCAUUAUCUAGGCAGGUAAACCAGAGUUGAGGUACCAACCUUAUUAUCCGGGUUAUACAAACCGGAAGCGGAAGGCCUGUAAGUAUGUUAUUACGGUUGUAUCAAGGACAUAAUUGAGGACCAGUCUUUGGUGACUUAGAUUCAUAUUCCGGGUUAUAUGUAUGAGACUAUGAUUCUCAGUGCGGUAAGCCGCCUAGAGACUUGUGACUUGUUUUUCUAUGCAGGAUAGUUAAGGACGGCUAUUUGAGCUUAAGGAAAAUAAAUGAUCAAUUAUGACCCGGAAGAAUAUAAGGAGGCAACUUCAAUGGAGUUAAGCAUUCAACACGUGCACGAUGGCACGACAAAGUUAAAAUGUUGGCCCUACUCUAUUACAAGACUCCCCGAGUCCAAAAGGGUGAAGCAUUGUUUAACAAGCCGCCUAAAGAGUCAAGAUGCUUGCCGGGUUGAAGCUUCCGUCUCAUCCCUCUCCGCUCCUCCGGCUGUUCCCAAGACCUGGAAGGUUGACGAUUUCCAGUCAAUGCCGCUCAAAGCUUCAAAUUGAGCUUCCUCGUCAAUUAACCCGGCCGGGUCAAUUUCCGGGGCAAAGGUGUGCUUACGAGUCGGCGGGACCAAGCUGACGGCUUCAUAACGCGGAGUGGGGAUCCUCUGAUUCUCUGCGUCGUAACCCAGCUGGUACUUGGUCAGAUCGGUGUCGUUCCCAAUCAGGGUGGCCACCGGGCGCACGAUCUUCACACAGGCAGCAAAGUCCUUUUGGUCGAAGGGGGUGCCGUCUUCCUUCAGGCUGGGGUAACCAAGUGCAAUGUCCGCCGGGUCUAGCUCUGGAAGGAAAGCCUUGGCCCGGCUCAGAGCAGCUAUGGCUCCGGCUCUUGCAAAAGCUCGCCGCAGCUCUUGGAAACGCUGAGGAAGAACGGCAAGCCGGCGAAGCACGUCUGCCAGGUGAGUCGGAACCUCAUUGGAUAAGGCCACCACGGCCAAGGCGCGCUGUGACCCGGUGUAGAGUUGCUCCACCAGAGUGUACACGGCCUUCAACUUGGUCAACACAUUUUGAUUGAGGUUGGCGCUUCUGGGACCUGUUUAACAAAGUAAGAUAAGCCGCUGGCAAUGAUGGGAGUUAUGAGACAUAAAGACUAUAAACUUGUCAAGAGCCGGCGGAAUGACUUACCGAAGAUUGCGGCGACCAUCUGUGACACGUGGCGCUUUAAGCUGGAGAGUUCGGCGGUUCUCUCCGUCAGAAUCUUCUCCGCCUGUUCGGCCCGGCUUACCAGAGCAGCUUUCUCUUCAACCCAAGUUUUCCUUUCAGCCUCAAACUUCUUCUUUAGCUUCUCUUGAGCAGCAAUACUGGACUCAAAUUUGGCGUUGGCCUUCCGGGUCUCAGUUUCCUGAGUCUUCAGGCGGUUCUUUAGCUCAGAGAUAUCAGCCUCAAUUUUUUUGCAAGCAGCCUGCACAAUUUCCGGGUUAUAGUAUGAACAAUUAUUAUGCAAUUUUAAAGUCCCAAGCACUUUCCAAGCAAAGACACUUGGCACUUGGGGGCUAAUGCAUGUCGAAAGUUUCUAUCUACAAAUUACCGGUUCAUGGAAGUAAGCCGGAAAUUAAGUCUACAACAUAUUCUAUCAUAAGUCGUAGACUUGGGGGCUAGUAUGGUAAAGAUGAUUAUGCAGUAAGCAGUAGAGUGGUACCUCAGACUUCUGCUGUAUCUGCUUCACCAUGUCAAUCUCCAAAUCCCGGCUGCUGUGCACUUGAUUGACAUAGCCGGAGAUGAUCUCUCCAAUGCUCAGGUUGGCAUAGUUGGUGAUGUCCAGCUUGGCCCGGCGGCCCUCUAGCAACUCUUCCUUCGCAGAGCACUUAGCCAGCGCAGUGGGUCUCCCUGGCUCGACAAACUCCGUCCGGGUGAUUACCACGUCCGGGUCAUCGGCCGGCAGCCGGGCUGGAGAUGUCCGGGUUGGUGGAAGUCUCCAUGGCUGGCUCGUCGGUUGGAGUGGUGGCUUCAGGAGCAGAGGCAGCUGGCGGCUCUUGGGCUGAAACCUCCGGCUCAGGCAAGACCGGCUCUUCGACCGGCUUAUUCUUCCUCGCUCUUUUACUGAGCUUUGCCUGGGCACUGAAAGAACAAAAGGUUAGUACAAAAGCAUGAGUAAAGAUAAGCACAACAAGAGAUGAUCAUCAUUACCCGGGUACGGUCUUGAAAGCCGGCAGGUUCGAUUGCAUCGAGUCACCAGAGGAAGGUGAAGUUUCCUGAUAGUUUGAAUCAGAAGAAUUGAGCGGUUGACGUGUAACACCCGCCAAAGGAUGAAAAGGAUAUAAGUUGGAGAUAACCUCGGUCCGGCGCUUCCUCGACGCUUCAGGUAAGCCGGAGGAGAGGUCUGCAUCUUUGUUGGUCCGGGUGUGCCGCCGGCUCUCAUGAAUCUGUUGCUUCAAAAGAAAUUGAGGAUCUUGAUAAGCUAAAGGAUGUGAAAAUCUUACUUUCCGGGUUACUCUUCGGACUUUCAGCCUUGGCAAGGGCUCCGAGUCGGAGGAAAGUGUCAUUACCUCUUCAGUCACCGGGUUACUUGCUCCGGUGUGAUCCUGUGGAUAGUCAAGUUAGUAAGGUGGCCAAAAGACAGCAGAAAAGCGGAAACAAAGACAAGAGCUUACAGAUUCAGGGGUUACCUCUGACUCGGAGCUGUCACUUAGUUGAAGCAGCUCGGAGGCAGUAGGCCUGCUUCCUUUCGUGCAGGGAGCGGCUCUCCUGGCGGCUUUCUUAGCCUUUCUGGCUUUUUUUAGCCGCCUCAUGGUCGUACUUGACCUUCCAGAAUUUAUCAUCAGCCUGAAAAAUACAAUGAAGACUUCUUAAGGUUCAGAUGAAGACUAUCUAAGGAGAAAAUAAGAUGUUCAGAUUAGUGGCUUACCGCUGGGGCCGGGUUAGUCUUGCAGAAGGGGCUUAAGCCGGUCCUCCCGCAGUCUGUCAAGCUCUCAUUUAAGAGGGCCUUGGUCAUGUCGUCAACAACGUCUUCAGGUAGAUCGUUGCGGCUGUGUCGCAGAGGGUCAUCUUUCCGGCCCGUGUAAUCACACAUUAAACCGGGGCGGAGGCUUAAGGGGAUCACCCGCCAGGAGAUCCAGACCCGGACCAGAUCAAUACCGUUGAGGCCGUUGCCCAGGAGAGCCUUGAUCUUGUUGAUGGUGGGGAUCAGAGGUUGACGCUCCGCCUGAGAUAGUUUGUCUGGCAGAGGGCGGUUUGGUUCCAGACGCACGGCACGAAAGCCGGGUAGAGGGCUCUCGUCAGCCGGAGAUGUGUCCUGGCAAUAAAACCACGUCUGGUUCCAGUCCUUUGGAUGGCUGGGCGGCUCAGCGUAAGGAAAGAGGCAGUCUCUCCGGCGUUGAAUGGAGAUUCCACCAAGUUCCAGGCUCGGUCCGUUGGCGCACUCAUUCUGGCGGUUCAAAUAGAAUAGCUCUCUAAAGAGCAGAAGGCUGGGCUCUUCUCCAAGGUAGACUUCGCAGAAUACUUGGAAGUUGCAUAUAUUUGACACGGAAUUGGGUCCUAUGUCUUGUGGCCGCAGAUCAAAGAAAUUCAGCACAUCUCUAAAGAACUUUGAGCCGGGCGGUGCGAAGCCCCGGCUCAUGUGAUCAGCAAAAAUCACUACCUCACCCUCCCUUGGUUGCGGUCUCUCCUCCGAUGGGUCAGGGGCCCGGUAAGACAUGACAUCCUUCUUGGGCAAGUGACCCGUCUUCACAAAGUCCGCUAAGGUUUCGUCAGUUACAUUGGAUCUCAUCCAGUUGCACGUGAUGGGUGCCUUUGGAGCUUUGGGAGGCAUUGUGAAAGACGGAAGCCUAUGAUAAAAGGAACUGUUCGGUUCAAUUAUAAGCCGGAGGAAGUUUACAGUUCAAUGUUUAAAGUGGCGGCUUUUGAAGGGGCCUAAUGACAUAUGGCUAAAUGCAUCGGGUUAUCUAAACCGCUGAGGGCAUAGUCAGUAAAUGUGAUGGUCUAAAGCCCUAUUAUGAAUAAGUCGGAAAUUUCUACGGCGUGUGACCUCUUUAAGCCGGAGAUAUGAGCCGCCAUAACUAAACAGACGCAAUUUUUGACUAAGUGUGGCGCAAAUAAGUUUCACACCUCACAGUAAUUAUUCUGGAUCAAACGAUCGACUGGAAAGGGAAAGUCUCUAGACCUAAAACAGACGCAGAAGAAGUUCAUAAGUUCGAAUGGAGCCUUUAUGCAAUGAGAAGGGAUCUAUGUACAUUGGAAACGGGCGUGAAACAACUACCGCAACAGUUCUAUACAAUCUAAAGAUCAAGAAAGGUGGUAAAAAUAAAAUCUACCGAGAACUCGCGAGGAACGGCGAAGAACACGGGAAGAAUAGCAAAGAACCUAAUGUGGAUCUACUCUAUGGAGUGGCGAGGGCUUACGGGUGCUGGUGAGUCGCGGAGGUCGCCGCCGUUUUCUCUGGACACGACAGGUUGAUGCAGCGGCCGGAGUUGGUGAGGACGAGGAGAUCCGCGGCGGCGGCGGAGCUCGGGCGACAGCAUAGUAGGCGAGAGGAGGAAGAAGAUAGAGGUGACGAGUGACCAGAGGCUCAUGGGCCGGGCUAUUUAUAAGGUGAGGCUCAUAAGUGGGCGCGAGAAACGAGGAGGCCACGGCGUGGUUAUCUCGCCAUAUAAACGCCUCGAUUUUCGGGAUGUCAAUUAAAGAUAAGAUCGUUGCGGAUAUGGUGGAGUAAAAAAUGGACUUAAUGGAAGAUGACGUCACAGCGGGUUACCCGGAAUCCAGAAGAUGAUGUCACGACGGGUUAUGGCCUUCACGCAAUUGUAAGCCGAAGAUUUUCUGUCGAAAGGAUUGAAGAUUGACAUGAGCCGACUCAAAUCAAUCUGGGGCCUAAUGUUGAGGAUAUAACCGUUGGAGUCACCCGCCCAGGAGGGGCCGGGUUACCCAUGAUGGUUACUACGUGAAGCCCAGUACCAAAGAUGAAGACAGCGGGUCAAUAACGGGCCCAAGACCCGGAGAUGGCUUAAGGCCCGUAGCAUUAGCCGCCGUUAGGGUAAAACUUGUAGUGUAAGGCAAGAAUAGAUAAGAGUCCGAGCCGGACACUGUUAUGAGCCGGCCGGGACUCUGAGAGCCGCUGGGCGUCAACCUCUCUGAAUAAAGGGACGACCCGGCGGCGGUUCAGGACAAGGAAGAUCUCGUCGAGAGCCAGGCAUAGCAGUUAAGCUCCCUGGUCGUCGAAACCCUAAUCAAUACCACCUCAACUGGACGUAGGCUUUUACCUUCACCGUAAGGGGCCGAACCAGUAUAACCCUCGUGUUCCCUAUCCCGUUUAACCCCUUCAAGCUUCCUAGCUGCAAUGGCUCCACGACUAAGUCCUAGCUCGAGGACAUCUGCCGUGACAAUUCCACGACACCCGGCCCAUAAGCCUUCGUCACUCCUCUCGAUCCCUUGUCUUCCUCCUCUGACGCCCCAGAGCUCGAGCUCCGCCGCCGCCGCCGCGCUCCUUGUCUUCCUCAACCUCGGCCGCUGCAUCACCCUGAACUGGUCCAGAGAAACGGCGGCAACCUCCGCAUCUCAUCAGCGCCAGUAAGUCCUUGCCGCUCCAUACAGUAGAUUCGCAUUAGGGUUCUGUCGUUCUUCCCCUGUUCUUCGUAGUUCAUCUCGAGUUCUUCACAGUUCCGCCACCGAGGUUCCCUUUGAUCUAAAAACGGUACAGACUCCCUGCCGUAGUAGUUUCUCACUCAUUUUUAUGCUAGUAAAUCCCCUUUGUCCACAACAAGACCUAUUUAAAGCUUAUGAACUUCUCUGUAUCAGUUUUUAGGUCUAGAAUUUUUUUUCUUUCCAAACAACCGUUUGAUCCAAAAUAAUCCAUGCAAUCUGUGAAACUUGUUUGUGCAACACUUAGACAAAACCUGCAUCUGUUAACCAUGGCGGCUCAUAUCUCCGGCUUAAAAGAGGCCAUGCUCUGUGAAAUUUCCGGCUCAUUCAUGAUAGAAUUUUAAACAACUUGAAUUACUUAUGAUACCCUCAGCGGCUUAGAUAACCCAACUCAAUUAGCCAUAUAUCAUUAGGCCCCUUCAUAAGCCGCCAUCUUUUAUACUGAACUGGAACCUUCCUCCGGCUUAUAUUUGAACCGGACAUUUUCUUUUGUCAUAGGCUUUCGUCUUUCACAAUGCCGCCCAAGGCUCCCAAGGCACCCAUUAUGUGCAACUGGGUGAGAUCCAACGUUACUGACAAUACCUUAGAUGAUUUCGUGAAGACGGGUUACCUGCCUAAGAAGGAGGUCAUGUCCUAUCGUGCCCCUGACCCGUCCGAAGAAAGACCUCAACCAAGAGCUGGAGAGGUUGUGAUAUUUGCUGAUCACAUGAGCCGGGGUUUUGCACCUCCCGGCUCAAAAUUCUUUAGGGAUGUUCUGCACUUUUUCGAUCUGCGACCUCAAGACAUUGGACCCAAUUCCGUGUCGAACAUUUGUAACUUCCAAGUGUUCUGUGAGGUGUACCUUGGAGAGGAGCCCAGCCUACUGCUCUUUAGGGAGCUGUUUUAUCUGAACCGCCAGAACGAGUGUGCCAACGGGCCAAGCUUGGAACUUGGCGGAAUUUCAAUCCAACGACGGAGAGAUUGCCUCUUUCCUUAUGCUGAGCCGCCAAGCCACCCAAAGGACUGGACCCAGACAUGGUUCUACUGCCAGGAUACUUCUCCGGCUGAUGAAAACCCUCUGCCCGGCUUUCGCGCCCUACGUCUGGAGUCAAAUCACCCCCUGCCAGACAAAUUAUCUCAAGCUGAGCGUCAACCGCUUAUCCCCACCAUCAAAAAGAUUAAAGCUCUUCUGGGAAACGGCCUUAACGGUGUUGAUCUGGUCCGGGUCUGGAUUGCCUGGCGGGUGAUUCCCUUGAGCCGCCGCCCCAGCUUAAUGUGUGAUUACAUGGGCCGGAAGGAUGAUCCUCUGCGGCACAGCCCCAACGACUUACCUGAGGACGUCGUUGACGACAUGACCAAGUCCCUUCUGAACGAGAGCUUAGCAGACUGCGGGAGGACAGGCUUAAGUCCCUUCUGCAGAGCUAACCCGGCUCCGGCGGUAAGCUACUGAUCUGAACACCUUACUUUCUAUUUUAACAAUUUUCAUCUCUAACCUCAAGAAACCUUUGUUGUAUUUUUCAGGCUAAUGAUAAGUUCUGGAAGGUCAGGUAUGACCAUGAGGCUGCUAAAAAAGCCAGGAAGGUCAAAAAAGCCGCCAGGAGAGCCGCUCCCCGCAAGAAGGGGAGUAAGCCUAGCGCCUCAUACCUGCUUCAUUUGGAUGACACCUCCGAGUCAGAGGUAGCCCUUGAUUCUUUAGGCUCUUCUUUGGUUCUUUUGUCUGUUUUUAACCGCCUUAUUGACACUGAUUAUCAGCAGGAUGAUACCGGAGCGAGUAACCCGGUGAUUGAAGAGGUAACAAUACUUUCCUCCGACUCGGAGCCCUUUCCAAGGCUGAAAGUUCGAAGAAUAACCCGGAAAGUAAGAUUUUCACAUCCUUUAGCUUAUCAAGAUCCUCAAUUUCUUUUGAAGCGACAGAUUCAUGAGAACUGGAGGCAAACCCGGACCAACAAGGAAGCAGACCUCUCCUCUGGCUUACCUAAAGCAUCAAGGAAGCGUCGGACCGAGGUUAUCUCCAACUUAUAUCCUUUUCAUCCUUUGGCGGGCGUCACUCGCCAACCACCCAAUUCUUCUGAUUCAAACUAUCAGGAAACUUCACCUUCCUUCGGGGACUCCAUGCAAUCUAACUUCCCGGCUUUCAAGACCGCACCCGGGUAAUGAUGAUCAGCUUAUUUUGUGCUUAUCUUACCCAUGUUUUUGCACUAACCUUUUGACUUUCAGUGCAUAAGCAAAGCUCAGCAAGAGGGCAAAGAAAAGUAACCUGGUCGAAGAACCGGUCUUGACUGAACCCAACGCCUCUGCUUCUGAGCCGCCGUCUGCACCAGCUCCAGAAACCACCGCUCCAACUGAAGAACAAGCCAUGGAAGGAUUUGACAACCCGGAGAUCCCCAGCUCAGCUCAACCGGCCGAUGACCCGGAUGUGGUGAUUACCCGGACCGAAUAUGUUGAGCCGGGAAGACCCACUAUGCUGGCUAGAUGCUCUGCUAAAGAAGAACUGCUGGAGCGCCGCAGGGCCAGACUGGAUAUCACUGACUAUGCUAACUUGAGCAUUGGAGACAUUGUUGCUGGUUAUAUUGGUCAAGUGCACAACAGCCGGGACCUGGAAAUUGACAUGGUGAAACAGAUACAACAAAAAUCUGAGGUACAACUCUCUUGCUUACUCCAUAGUCAUCCUUACCGUGCUAGCCCCCAAGUCUAUUACUUAUGAUAGAAUAUGUUGUAGACUUAAUUCCGGCUUACCUGGUAACACUCAAGGGCCGGGUUAAAUAGCCUAUAAAUAGAGUAACUUUGCCUGCAAUGUGCUCGGGACUUACCUUCAUGAACCGGCACUAUAAAUAGAGUCUUUCAGCAUACAUUAUCCCCCAAGUGCCAAGUGUCUUUGCUUGCAAAGUGCUUGGGACUUUAAUGUUGCAUGAUAAUCACUCAAACUGUAACCCGGAAUUUGUACAGGCUGCCUGCAAGAAAUUUGAAUCGGAAAUCUCUGAGCUGAAGAACCGCCUGAAAACUCAGGAAACUGAGACCCAGAAGGCCAAUGCCAAAUUUGAGUUCAGUGUUGCUGCACAAGAAAAGCUGAAGAAAAAAUUUGAAACAGAAAGAAAAACUUGGGCCGAUGAGAAGACUGCCUUGCUCAGCCGGGCCGAACAAGCGGAGGCUGCUCUUACUGAAAGAUCCGCCGAACUCUCCGGCUUAACACGCCAUGUAUCACAGAUGGUCUCCGCAAUCUUCGGUAAGUUAUCUGUAGGCUUUAAAUAAGUUUACAUCAUUCAUGUCUCAUAAGCCCCUCCAGUGCUAUCAGCUCACCUGACUUUGUUGUACAGGCCCCAGAAGCUCCAAUCUCAAUCAGAACAUGCUGACCAAGCUGAAGGCUGUUUACACCUUGUUGGAGCAACUCUACACCGGGUCACAGCGUGCUUUCGCCGUUGUGGCUCUGUCCAAUGAGGUUCCCACUCACCUGGCAGACGUACUCAGGCGGCUUGCCGUUCUUCCUCAACGCUUCCAAGAGCUGAGACAGGCUUCUGCAAGAGCCGGAGCUAUAGCUUCUCUGAGCCGGGCCAAGGCGUUUCUCCCGGAGCUAGACCCGGCCGAUAUCGCUCUUGGAUACCCCAGCCUGAAGGAAGACGGUACCCCCUUUGACCAGAAAGACUUCGCCGCCUGUGUGAAGAGCGUGCGCCCGGUGGCUACCUUGAUUGGGAAUGACACAUAUCUUACCAAAUAUCAGCCGGGCUAUGAUGCGGAAAAUCAGAGGAUCCCAACUCCACACUAUGAAGCAGUCAGCCUGAUCCCUCCAACUCGUAAGCAUACCUUCGCCCCAGAAGUUGACCCGGCCUGGUUAAUUGAUGAUGAGGCUCAAUUCGAAGCUUUGAGUGGCAUUGACUGGAAAUCAACAACCUUCCAGGUCAUGGAAACAGCCGGAGGAGCGGAGAGGGAUGAGCCGGCAGGUUCAACCCUGUAACGCCCACGAUGCGGCUAUAUCUCCCACGUGUCGAGGCACGACUUAGAGGCAUAACCACAUAGUGGUUUUGUCGCAAGAAGGGUCAUCUUCACACAAUCCCAUGUAAUGAACAAGAAUGGGAUAAAGAGUUGGCUUACAAUCGCCACUUCACACAAUACAUAAAUAUCAUUCAUACAUCAUCCAAAAAUACAAUCAUAUAGACCGACUACGGUCAAAAUCCAGAUGAAAAUAAGAUAACCCCAAAUGCUAGAUCCCCGAUCGUCCCAACUGGGCUCCACUACUGAUCAUCAGGAAAAGACACAUAGUAACGACCACGUUCCUCGUCGAACUCCCACUUGAGAUCGACGCCAUCAUAUGCACUGGCAUCGUCGGCACCUGCAACUGUUUUGGUAGAAUCUGUGAGUCACGGGGACUCAACAAUCUCACACCCGCGAGAUCAAGACUAUUUAAGCUUGUAGGAAAGAGGAGGUGCAAAGAGGUGGAGCUGCAGCGGCAAAAGCAUAUAUGGUGGCUAACUUGCGCAUAUGAGAGCGAGAAGAGAAGCAACGGAACGGACGUCAUCUAGCAAUGACCAAGAAGAGGUCCUGAACACCUACUUACGUCAUGCAUAACUCAGACCGUGUUCACUUCCCGGACUCCGCCGAGAAGAGACCAUCACGGCUACACACGCACUUGGUGUAUUUUACUUGGGUCAAGUGACAAGUUAUCUACAACCGGACAUUAACAAAUUCCCAUCUGCCUCAUAACCGCGGGCACGGCUUUCGAAAGAUAAUACCCUGCAGGGGUGUCCCAACUUAGCCCAUCAUAAGCUCUCACGGUCAACGAAGGAUAAAACUUCUCCCGGAAAGACCCGAUCAGUCUCGGAAUCCCGGUUUACAAGACAUCUCGACAAUGGUAAAACAAGACCAGCAAAGCCGCCCGAAUGUGCCGACAAAUCCCGCUAGGAGCUGCACAUAUCUCGUUCUCAGGGCACACCGGAUUGUCCAAGCUUCCGAUAGGCGAGCCCAGAGUUGCCCCUGGUGGCCACCGGCGACUGACAGUUUGGACCAAUGCUCAGAGGAGCACUGGCCCGGGGGUUUAAAAUAAAGAUGACCCUCGGGCUCUAGAAAACCCGGGGGAAAAAGGUAUAGGUCGCAAAUGGUAAAACAAAGGUUGGGCCUUGCUGGAGGAGUUUUAUUCAAGGCGAACUGUCAAGGGGGUCCCAUAAAUCACCCGACCGCGUAAGGAACGCAAACUCAAGGAACAUAAACCCGGUAUAACAGUAACUAGGGCGGCAAGAGUGGAACAAAACACCAGGCAUAAGGCCGAGCCUUCCACCCUUUACCAAAAUAUAUAGAUGCAUUAAUUAAAUAAGAGAUAUUGUGAUAUCCCAACAUAUCCAUGUUCCGACAUGGAACAAACUUCAACUUCACCUGCAACUAGCAACGCUAUAAGAAGGGCUGAGCAAAAGCGGUAACUUAGCCAAACAACGAAUUGCUAGGAGAGGAUGGUUAGAGGCUGACAUGGCUACAAUGGGAGACAUGAUAUAGCAAGUGAUAGGUAGCGGAGCAUGGCAAUAGAGCGAACAACUAGCAUAGCAAAGAUAGAAGUGAUUUCGAGGGGUGGUCAUCUUGCCUGCAAGGUUCUCAGAGUUGUCGAAAGCUUGAUCCUCGUAAGCGUACUCGACAGGUUCCUCGUUCACGAACUCGUCUCCCGGCUCUACCCAAGACAAGAACACAAACAAACGGAACCACAAUCAACAACGAGAAAUGCACAAGCAACAUGAUGCAAAACAUGUAUGAUAUGCAAGAUAUGAUAUGCGAUGCGUAUGCGUGCUCCGGAAGGAAAAUGAUGAACAUGGCAGUAACUUGGCAAACCAAGUAUGCCACUGGAAAGAUGGGAUGAUUUCGGUCGAAAUCGAUAUAAAGAUCACCGGAAUCGGAUGCACGGUUUGCAAAUGGCAAACAAAACAAGAAUGACACGAAUCUGCGAUUAACAGCAUGAUAGCACUUAAAAUGCAACAAGCAACAAUGCUACAUCACCCCAACAUAGCAACAAAGCACACGGCAGUAAUCUACGGGAGAUGCUUGACAAAAGAUGAACACUGAGCUAUGGCUAGAUCACAACAUAUCAAGCUCAAACAAGCAUGGCAAAAGUGCAAAAGAUUACAGGUUCACAGACUUGGUGAAAUCACUGGACAUGGCAGAAAACAGCAUCAGGUAGCAAUGUUCAGAGCACGAAAUCAACAUACUAUAGGAACUUAACAUAGCAAAACAAGGCAUGGCAGUGUUAUACUAAAUGCACAUGACAAAAGUCCCUUACUGACCAUAAGCCAAAAAGGAAAAGAAGAUAUGAUGGCAAGCAUGUAAACAUAGCAAGUUUCGUUAUCAGGUUCAAUACUUGGCAGAAAACAGAGCAUGGCAGAAAUAUUAAUAUGUAGGCCUCUUUGUGAGCUUGAUGCACUCACUACAGAGCAAUGCAUGACAAACCAAGCAUACCUACAGCAAGAUGGCAUGUUUAUCAAGCUAUCCAUGGCAAGAACAAUUACAUAGCAUGUAUGGAUCAACUACAAUAAGCUUGGCAAAAAUGCAUCUCAUGUUAAGAAUCUGCCAGAAAUAUUUUAUAGCAAAAUUAGAGUAAGAUCGAGUCAUUCUGUGGCACUCCAUAAUUGUAAACAAUUGCAGGAAUGGAUUAAUUACAACUAUAGCUACAAAACAUCCUUACUGAACAUCUCCAAAAUAUGCAUGGAUCUCUCUGUAGCGUCAAGUUUACAUGGCAACAAAAUUACAGCAGACGAAGACUUAGAGAAAUCAUCAAGUCCCUGAAAUCAGAAAUAUUACGGAGCCUACUUUGCAUGCUUGUGCUAGUCACCAAAGAGAUCACAAAAAUACAUGGACUAUACCACUGGAAAGAUGGCAUGACAUACUUGAAAACACAUGUAGAGCUCAUGCUCAAAAGAUGCACAGAAUAAAUGAUACAAAAAUGACAAAUCUCCAAGUUCUGAUAAGAACCAGAGAUUAACAGCAACUAGCCCUCUUCCAACGAAGAUUUGUGCAUCAAGAUGACCUAUAAUGAACAUGGUGCAAUUGAAAAAAAUGAAUAGCAUCGCGAGAUGAACAAUUUGAUAUAUUACACGCGUGAAUCGGAGCUACAUGCACAAAGUUACGUCAUCUCAAACAGGAGCACAUGCUGAGAAAUUUUAGUGACUUGGAGAAAAAAAGGGUUCGAGAGAAAGUCAACGGGGGCUACCGAGGGCGAUCCAGAUCGGGGCCGGGUCGCUCGCCGACGACGGUGAAGGAAGGAGAGGAGGCGCGGCGGCCCGGGGAAGGAGGACGCGGUGCGGCGCCGGCGGAAUGGGCCGGAGGCGGCGGCCGCGGGCGGCGGNNNNNNNNNNNNNNNNNNNNNNNNNNNNNNNNNNNNNNNNNNNNNNNNNNNNNNNNNNNNNNNNNNNNNNNNNNNNNNNNNNNNNNNNNNNNNNNNNNNNNNNNNNNNNNNNNNNNNNNNNNNNNNNNNNNNNNNNNNNNNNNNNNNNNNNNNNNNNNNNNNNNNNNNNNNNNNNNNNNNNNNNNNNNNNNNNNNNNNNNNNNNNNNNNNNNNNNNNNNNNNNNNNNNNNNNNNNNNNNNNNNNNNNNNNNNNNNNNNNNNNNNNNNNNNNNNNNNNNNNNNNNNNNNNNNNNNNNNNNNNNNNNNNNNNNNNNNNNNNNNNNNNNNNNNNNNNNNNNNNNNNNNNNNNNNNNNNNNNNNNNNNNNNNNNNNNNNNNNNNNNNNNNNNNNNNNNNNNNNNNNNNNNNNNNNNNNNNNNNNNNNNNNNNNNNNNNNNNNNNNNNNNNNNNNNNNNNNNNNNGACGGGGCGCGGCGGCUGACGUGUCCGGCGGGGUACGGACGCGUCCGGCGGCGCGGAGGGAUUUUUUAGGGUUUGGACUGCGGUUGUAUUUCGGGAUGCCCACAUUUUAUAGGUAGAGGGAGCUAGGAGGCUCCAAAUGAGGUGCGGUUUUCGCCCACACGAUCGUGAUCGAACGACCUAGAGCAUGGAAGAGAGUUUGGUGGGUUUUGGGCUGGUUUUAGAGGGGGUUUUUGCUGGACACUCAAAUGGACAUUGCGGAUGCCCGGUUAUCCGUUGGAGUACCAAACGACCUCCGAAUGGAACGAAACUUGACCGGUAAUCUCCGGGUGGUAUAUUAAGACCACUUGAGAAGCCUCGGUCCAUUUCGAGAAAGUUUGACACACGCACACGAAAGAAAACAAGAGGGGUGCACCGGAGGAGAUAGGAGCGCCGGAUUGGAAAACGGACAACGGGGAAAAUGCUCGGAUGCAUGAGACGAACAUGUAUGCGAAUGCAAUGCACAUGAUGACAUGAUAUGAAAAUGCAUGACAUGACAAAAUACAAAACGAAAGACAAAACCCGACAACGGAGGGAAAACAUAUCACAUAGCCGGAAAUGGCAAGAGUCGGAGUUACAAAUAUGGCAAGUUACAUGCGGGGUGUUACAAACCCAACAAGCACCUUGACUUCUUAGGCGGCUCAUGGCUAUCCCUUAACAACAAUGCCUCAUCUUUUUGACUAGGGGAGUCCUGUAAUAGAGUAGGAAAACACUUAAUUUUGUCGUGCCUUUGUGCACGUGUGCAGCGUUUAACUCUGUUGAAGUUGCCCUCUUAUAUUCCUCCGGGUUAUAUUAGAUCAUUUACAUUCCUUAAGCUUAAAGAACUGUCUUUCAUUGUCCUGCAUAGAAAGCAAAUCACAAGUCUCUAGGCGGCCUUCCGCACUGAGAGUCAUAUAUCUUACACAUAACCCGGAAUAUGAACUAAACCCGUAAAAGACCGGCUCUCAAUUGUAUCCUCGAGGUAACCAUAACAACAUAACUGCAAACCUUCAAGUACACUUUCGGUUUAUGUUACUCAAAUAAUGAGGUUAAGAACUCAACUCCGGUUCACCAGCAUCGAUAAUGCGUGUUGUGUGCUAUCAACACUGUUAAUCAAAGUUAAGCCGGCGGAAUAAGAACCGCCCUUGCACACUGUUUAAUAUGAUCAAAAGAACUUGUUGUAAACCAAAAAGAUCAAAACUUAGGGGCUUCUGGUUCGAAUACGACCAGAGAACCGUCCCAAAGGGGUUAAGCUAAGAUUCGAAUGCGAUCAUAUAGCCCCAAGUGGCUUUGGCGUUGCCGAUCAAGAGGGUACCGACAGCUAUGUUCUCUUAGGUUCGAAUACGACCCAUGUUUGAACAGGAAGCCCCCAAAUGACCUGAAGAGUUGUUUAACGACGCUGAUUGGAAUACGAUCCACGUCGGUUCCCAAAAGGGGGUUGAGCUAUGAUUCAAAUAUGAUCAAAAAAACUCCCCAAUGAGCUCGGCAAUCUGCCAAUCAAGUGGGUAUCAACAGCUAUGUUCUCUUUGGUUCGAAUACGACCUAUGUUUGAACAGGAAGCCCCCAAGUGACCAUAUUGUUAACGGCUAGAUUCGAAUGCGAUCAUAAGCCGGAUCCACCUCCAUGUGACCAUGUAGUGUUGUAAUGGAAAUAACACAUUUACCUUUGGAGGAGAAAGGGACAGAGGUCCUGCUUUAUUAUUUAUCAUAAUAUAUACAUGGCUAUAGAAAUAUGUACAUUAUGAGAGCCGGUGGCUCAAGUGUAAUAAGGCCGAAGCUGAGCUAUGUUCCACGGCCGACGGGUCUCUUCCUCCGACUUACGUGAAUCUUUGUGCUCCCGAACAUCGAUACGGUAGUAUGAUCCGUUGUGCAAGUUCUUGCUGACCACAAAGGGCCCUUCCCAAGGCGGGGAUAACUUGUGUGCAUCUGUUUGAUCUUGGAUGAGCCGGAGCACCAGAUCACCUUCCUGGAAGACUCUGGACUUAACCCGGCGCCUGUGAUAGCGGCGCAGGUCUUGUUGGUAAAUCGCCGAGCGAGCCACUGCCACAUCACGCUGUUCAUCCAACAAGUCAAGAGCAUCUUGGCGCGCCCGCUCAUUAUCCGCCUCAACAUAAGCCGCCACUCGAGGCGAGUCUUGACGGACGUCGCUAGGGAGGACCGCUUCCGCUCCAUAAACCAGGAACAAAGGCGUGUAACCUGUAGACCUGUUAGGAGUAGUAUUGAUGCUCCACAACACUGAGGGUAACUCCUCCACCCAACAACCCGGCGUCCGUUGCAAAGGGACCAAAAGCCGGGGCUUGAUGCCCUUCAAGAUUUCCUGAUUGGCUCUCUCAGCUUGACCAUUAGACUGAGGGUGAGCCACUGAUGAAACAUCAAGCCGGAUAUGCUCUCAUUGACAAAACUCCUCCAUGGCGCCCUUAGACAGAUUGGUACCAUUGUCAGUUAUAAUGCUAUGUGGAAAACCAAAGCGAAAUAUCACCCUUUUCAUAAACUGAACCGCUGUGGCUGCGUCACACUUACUAACUGGCUCUGCUUCAACCCACUUUGUGAACUUGUCAACCGCCACCAGAAGGUGGGUCUUCUUAUCCUUGGAUCUUUUGAAAGGCCCAACCAUAUCAAGCCCCCAGACCGCAAACGUCCAGGUGAUUGGAAUCAUCCUCAGCUCUUGAGCCGGUACAUGAGCCCGUCGUGAGAACUUCUGACAACCGUCACAUUUACUGACCAAGUCCUAUGCAUCAGCAUGAGCCGUCAGCCAAUAAAAACCAUGACGAAAAGCCUUAGCCACAAGGCAUUUUGAGCCGGCAUGAUGGCCACAAUCCCCCUCAUGAAUUUCACGUAAAAUUUCUUGACCUUCCUCAGGGGAAACAUAACGCUGGAAAGUUCCAGUGACACUGCGACGAUGCAGCUCGCCAUUGAUAAUUAUCAUUGACUUAGACCGCCGGGUUAUUUGUCUGGCCAAAGUUUCAUCCUCAGGAAAUUCUCCCCGGGUCAUGUAAGCCAAGUAUGGUACUGUCCAGUCUGGGUUAAUGUGGAGAGCCGCCACCAACUGUGCCUCCGGGUCAGGAAUAGCCAAGUCUUCCUCUGUAGGCAACUUAACAGAAGGGUUAUGCAAGAUGUCCAAGAAAGUAUUAGGCGGCACCGGCUUUCGCUGAGAGCCCAGCCGGCUUAAUGCAUCAGCCGCCUCGUUCUUCCUGCGAUCGAUGUGCUCUACUUGGUAACCCUGAAAAUGUCCAGCAAUGGCAUCAACUUCGCAGCGAUAAGCCGCCAUGAGAGGGUCCUUGGAAUCCCACUUGCCUGACACUUGUUGGGCCACUAAAUCUGAGUCGCCAAAGCACCUUACCCGGCUCAAGCUCAUCUCCUUAGCCAUCCGAAGACCAUGGAGCAAGGCCUCGUACUCCGCUGCAUUGUUAGUAUAGGGAAACAUCAACCGUGGCACAUAGCAAAACUUGUCACCCCGAGGGGAAGUUAAUACAACUCCAGCCCCCGAGCCCUCCAAUUUCCUAGACCCGUCGAAGUGAAUAGUCCAGUAUGUAUUAUCUGGUUUCUCUUCAGGCAUCUGUAGCUCUGUCCAAUCGUUGAUGAAAUCCACCAAUGCUUGAGAUUUGAUAGCAGUGCGUGGCACGUAUUUCAGACCAUGAGGCCCAAGUUCUAUAGCCCACUUAGCCACUCUUCCUGUGGCUUCUCUGUUUUGGAUGAUAUCCCCUAGGGGAGCAGAACUAACCACAGUGAUAGGGUGACCCUGGAAAUAAUGCUUAAGCUUCCGGCUUGCCAUGAAUACCCCAUAGACAAGCUUCUGCCAAUGUGGAUACCGUUGUUUGGACUCAAUGAGUACUUCACUGACGUAGUAAACCGGCUGCUGAACCGGAUACUCCUUACCCUAUUCCUUACGCUCCACCACCACAUCCACACUGACGGCUCGUGUGUUAGCGGCUACAUACAACAAUAAGGGCUCCUUGUCAACAGGAGCAGCAAGGACUGGGGGCUCAGCCAGCUGUCUCUUCAAAUCCUCAAAAGCAGCAUUAGCAGCAUCAUUCUAGAUAAAGUCAUCUUUUUUCUUCAUCAACUGGUACAGUGGCAUGGCCUUUUCACCCAAACGGCUUAUAAACCGGCUCAAAGCAGCGAUGCGGCCCGCCAGACGCUGGACGUCGUUUAUGCACGCCGGCUUAGCCAAAGAGGUGAUUGCCUUGAUCUUUUCCGGGUUAGCUUUAAUGCCUCUGUGAGAAACCAGAAAACCCAAGAGCUUGCCUGCGGGAACACCAAAAACACACUUGGCCGGGUUAAGCAUCAUCUUGUAAACCCGGAGAUUAUCAAAGGUUUCUCUAAGAUCAUCUACUAGGGUCUCCUUCUCCCUGGAUUUAACCACGAUAUCAUCCACAUAGGCAUGAACAUUGCGCCCAAUCUGGUUAUGAAGACAAUUCUGCAGACAACGCUGGUAAGUCGCCUGUGCACUCUUGAGCCCAAAAGGCAUAGACACAUAACAGAAGGCUCCAAAGGGAGUGAUGAACGCCGUCUUCUCCUGGUCCUUAACUGCCAUUUUAAUCUGGUGGUAUCCAGAAUAAGCAUCCAAAAAACUUAAGCGUUCACAACCCGCCGUAGCAUCAAUAAUUUGAUCAAUACGGGGGAGAGCAAAAGGAUCAGCCGGACAGGCCUUGUUUAAAUCCGUAUAAUCCACACACAUCCGCCAGGUGCCGUUCUUCUUGAGCACGAGCACCGGGUUAGCUAACCACUCUGGAUGAAAGACUUCCACGAUAAAUCCGGCCGCUAAGAGCCGGGCCACCUCCUCACCAAUGGCUUUCCGCCUCUCCUCAUUAAACCGCCGGAGGAAUUGCCUGACCGGUUUAAAUUUCGGAUCAAUAUUGAGAGUGUGCUCAGCGAGUUCUCUAGGCACACCCGGCAUGCCAGAAGGUUUCCAUGCAAAGAUGUCCCUGUUCUCACGGAUGAACUCGAUGAGCGCGCCUUCCUAUUUCGGAUCCAGAUUGGCACUGAUGCUGAAGUGCUGAGAUGAGUCACCUGGAACAAAGUCAACAAGUUUAGUCUCAUCAGCUGACUUAAAUUUCAUUACUGGCUCAUGCUCCGUGGUUGGCUUUUUCAAAGACGUCAUAUCUACCGGGUCAACAUUGUCCUUGUAAAACUUCAACUCCUCUGUUGCACAAACAGAUUCAGCGUAAGCCGCAUCACCUUCCUCACACUCCAAGGCUAUCCUUCGGCUGCCAUGAACCGUAAUGGUCCCAUUGUGACCCGGCAUCUUGAGCUGCAAAUACACGUAACACGGCCGUGCCAUGAACUUGGCGUAAGCCGGCCGCCCAAAUAAAGCAUGAUACGGACUUCUUAUCUUAACCACCUCAAAGGUUAGUUUCUCCGCCCUGUAGUUGUACUCAUCUCCAAAGGCCACUUCCAGCUCGAUCUUACCGACCGGAUAUGCCGACUUGCGAGGCACCACGCCAUGGAAAACAGUAUUGGACUGGCUGAGGUUUUUAUCAAUUAAGCCCAUAUGACGGAAGGUCUCAUAAUAGAGGAUGUUGAUGCUGCUGCCUCCGUCCAUGAGCACUUUAGUGAAUUUAUACCCCCCAACCUGAGGAGCCACCACCAAGGCCAGGUGACUCGGAUUAUCAACCCGGGGAGGAUGAUCUUCCCUACUCCACACAAUAGGCUGCUCAGACCAUCUUAAAUAACGUGGAACCGCCGGCUCAACAGCAUUCACAGCCCUUUUAUGGAGCUUCUGCUCUCGCUUGCACAGACUGGUAGUAAAUACGUGAUACUGUCCGCCAUUGAGCUGCUUUGGAUUAGUCUGGUAUCCCCCCUGCUGCUGCUGCUGAUGACCCUGGCCAGGCUACUGAUUAAAGCCCCCUUGAACAUUCUGAGAAUUGGAAUUUGAACCGCCGCCCGGGCCAUGAAAGCCGCCAGCGCCUGAGCCGCCGCCCGGGCCACUGUUGCUAUUGAAAACAUUGGAAUUUUUAAAGGCCUUCAUGAUUGCGCAGUCCUUCCAUAGAUGAGUGGCCGGCCUUUCCCUAGAGCCAUGCCUUGGACAAGGCUCAUUCAGCAAUUGUUCAAGCGUCGGGCCUGACCCGCCGGCUCGGGGAGGUGGUCUCCCCUUGCGCCGGUGGUUGUUACCAUGUGAAUUGGUGUUGGCCACAAAUUCCAUACUGCCAUCAGCCUUACGCUUGUUACCUCCUUGGUUCGCCGGGUUAUGCUGGGGGCCCUUGCCAUUGCCGUUCCGUUUUCCCUUCCCUGUCCUUUCAUCAUCUGACGCGGGAUCCUUGGUACUAUCAGAGUCGGCGUACUUGACCAGAACCGCCAUCAACGUACCCAUAUCAUUGCAAUCGCGCUUCAGCCGCCCAAGCUUCAUCUUCAGGGGCGCAAAAUGACAAUUCUGCUCUAACAUUAAGACUGGAGAGCCGGCAUCCAUCUUAUUAGAUGAAUGUAUUAUCUCUUUAACCCGGCGAACCCAAUGGGUUGUAGACUCACCCUCCUGCUGCUUACAGUUAGUCAAAUCCACAAUUGACAUAGAUUGCCCACAUGUAUCUUUGAAGUUUUGGAUGAACCGGGCUUUUAUCUCAGCCCAAGACCCGAUAGAGUUUGGUGGCAGUCCUUUCAACCAAGUGCGGGCAGUCCCAUCUAACAUCAUGGUGAAGUACUUGGCCAUUGCCGCUUCGUUGACCUCCAGCAACUCCAUAGCCAUCUCGUAACUCUCGAUCCAUGCUCCGGGCUGUAAAUCAGCAGUGUAAUUAGGUACCUUCCUAGGCCCCUUAAAAUCCUUGGGCAGACGUUCAUUACGGAGAGCCGGCACCAGACAAGGAACACCUUCGGUCCUCGCAGGUAUACCCGUGUCGAUGGAAGCCAUCGGAUAAGCCGGGAGUGGCUGGUAAGCCGUCAACUGAGCCGCCUGUUCCGCCUCUUGUCGUGCUCUGUCUUGGUCUACCGCGUUAAAAGCUCCAUUAUGAACCGGGCCGUGGCCUGGGGGCAAGUCACGGCGUCUGACAUUGCUAGAGCCGGUCGCUGAGACCAUGUGUCUGCUAUAACUCGGGCUCCGUCCCGGACGAGGGGUUGAAUGAAUCUUGUCCCGGCUAUAUGAAUAUGCCUCCUGUUGCGCUAGAGCCGUCUGAAGGAGUUCUCUGACCCAGCGGGUUUCAACCACCGUCGGAGAGUCGCCAUCGAUUGGGAGAGCCGCCAGUCGCGCCGCCGCCGCGACCAUGUUUUCCAACGGGUUGGCAUAAUGGCCCGGUGGUAUUGGCACAUACUGAGGCGGGCGGCGUUCACCCGGGGAGGCCCCAUCACUUGGGGCUGAAUUGACGUUCCAGCCCCGGGCGCCGUGAUCUCUGGCAGGUUACUAGGCCCUGCACCAGGCGUGUUGAAGAGGUUUCGAGGAUCGUAAACCGGACGGAGUCGAGACUGGGCCUUUUGAUGCCUUCUUCUCAUGACCUCAUUGGACGCGUUCUGAUCCAUCGUAAGCUGGAAAGAUUGCGCCAGAAUCAGCUGAGUCUGGGCAUCGAGAGCCGCCCUCUCUGCAGCCAUCCUGAUCCCUUCUGCCGCCAGAUCCUCCUUGGCUUUUGCUAGAUCCAACCUUAACUGUGCCACCUCCGCGUCAUGCUGAGCUUGAUCCGCCGGGGCGACCGUAGCGGUUAACAGGGCCGUCAUCUUGUCUGUGAGAUCCAUCAGCACCUGAGCCGGCGAAGGCACAGGGCUUCCUGCCCCGGCGGUGGGGUUUUGAACAGGUUGUGCGCCAGCCAUGAAGAUUCCAACCCGGCUCGGCGUCUCAAAGGGGUCCGGAAUACUGUCGCCAUCGGAACAACCCCUGAGCCUGCCAUCUUGAAGUUGGUAUAACGAGUCGGUCUCCUCUGUGGAUGACUCGCUGUCAGAGCGAGCGGCCGUCUCCUCGCCAGAUCCAGAUCUUUCAGAGAGUCCUCCAUGGACGCAUCCCACAAAAGCAUGCUUCAAGGCAGGCAGAGUUCGGGCGGGUCGUGCACGCUGAGCCAUAUCGAUGAGAUCGGCGCAGAGGUCCGGCUCAAGGCCCGGCUCACCAAUCUUGCCAAUAAAGACAUGGAUUCCGCCGAAGGGGACCCGGUACCCGUACUCAAUUGAGCCGGCGUCGGGGCCCCAGUUUGCAUCGUCGAUGUAGAGCUUGCCGCGACGACUCUUGGUCAUCCGGCCCACAGCGUAUCCCUUGAGCCAUUCGAAGCUGCCCUUCAAGAACUCAAAUCCACCGUGCGCUGGCCCCACGGUGGGCCCCAACUGUCGUGGAAUUAUCACGGCAGAUGUCCUCGUGCAAGGACUUAGUCGUGGAGCCAUCGCAGCUAGGAAGCUUAAAGGGGUUAAGCAGGACAAAGGACACGAGGAUUAUACUGGUUCGGCCCCUUGCAGUGAAGGUAAAAGCCUACGUCCAGUUGAGGUUGUAUUGUUUAGGGUUUCAAUGACCAGGAGCUAAACCACCCUGCCUGGUUAUCGACUUGAUCUUCCUUGUCCCUGAACCGCCGCCGGGUCGUCCCCUUAUAUAGAGAGGUUGACGCCCCGCGGUUCUCAGAAUCCCGGCCGGCUUAUAACAGUGUCCGGCUUGGACUCUUAACUACUCUUACCUUACACUACAAGUCUUGCCAUAAUGGCGGUUUAUCACUACGGGCCUUAAGCCGCCUCCGGGUCUUAAGCCCAUUAUCGAUCCGCCAUCCUCUAGCCUGGUACUGGGCUUCACGCGAUGAUCAUUAUGAUGUAACCCGGCCCCUCCUGGGCGGGUGACUCUAAUGGUUAUAUCUUCAACAGAGCCUAGUUUGCAUGCUUGUGCUAGUCACCACAGAGAUCACAAAAAUACAUGGCAUAAACCACUGGAAAGAUGGCAUGGCAUACAACAAAACACAUGUAGAGCUCAUGCCCAUAAUAUGCACAGAUUAAAUGCAACAAAAAUAACAAAUCACUAAGUUCUGCUAAGUAACAAUAGAUAACAGCAACUAGCACUCUUGCACCAGAGAUUUGGGCAUCAAGAUGACCUCAAAUGAAAAUGGUGCAAUGGAACAAAAUGAAGAGCAUCACGAGACGAACAAUUUGACAUAUUACACGCACGAAACGGAGCUAUAUGCAGAGAGUUAUGAUGCGUUGAACAUAGCAAUAUACUGCAAAAUGCAUAGGACUUGGAAAUAUUUCGGGGGAGAUAGAAGUCAACCUCCCGUCGUUGACUGGAUCUGGAUCGGCCUCGGGGCUCGGGGACGAGCUCGCCGGAGCUGCGGGAGGAGGACGGCGAGGGGGGACGGCAGCCGGAGAGAGGCGGCGUCGGGCGCGCCGGCGGCGGAGCCCGGCGGUGCGGCGCGGGGCGGCGAUGAUGGCCGGCGGCGGCGGCGAGGAGCGGGCGACNNNNNNNNNNNNNNNNNNNNNNNNNNNNNNNNNNNNNNNNNNNNNNNNNNNNNNNNNNNNNNNNNNNNNNNNNNNNNNNNNNNNNNNNNNNNNNNNNNNNNNNNNNNNNNNNNNNNNNNNNNNNNNNNNNNNNNNNNNNNNNNNNNNNNNNNNNNNNNNNNNNNNNNNNNNNNNNNNNNNNNNNNNNNNNNNNNNNNNNNNNNNNNNNNNNNNNNNNNNNNNNNNNNNNNNNNNNNNNNNNNNNNNNNNNNNNNNNNNNNNNNNNNNNNNNNNNNNNNNNNNNNNNNNNNNNNNNNNNNNNNNNNNNNNNNNNNNNNNNNNNNNNNNNNNNNNNNNNNNNNNNNNNNNNNNNNNNNNNNNNNNNNNNNNNNNNNNNNNNNNNNNNNNNNNNNNNNNNNNNNNNNNNNNNNNNNNNNNNNCGCCGGGCGGACGUGUCCGGCGCGCAGAGGGAGGGGGCUAGGGUUUUGGACUGCGGGAGGAUUUCGGGAGAGAUGCAAAUAUAUAGGUAGAGGGAGCUAGGAGAGUCCAAAUGAGGUGCGGUUUUCGCCCACACGAUCGUGAUCGAACGACCUACAGCAUGGAAGAGAGGUUGGUGGGUUUUGGGCUGGUUAUGAGGGGGGUUUUGUUGCAACACACAAAAGGACUAUGCGGAUGCCCGGUUAACCGUUGGAGUACCAAACGACCUCCAAAUGGAACGAAACUUGACCGGUGGUCUACCGGUGGUAUACCAAGGCCACUUGACAAGCCUCGGUCCAUACCGAGAACGUUUGAUACCCGCUCAAGAAAGAAAACAAGAGGGGUGCACCGGAGAAGGUGGGAGCGCCGAAUUGCAAAACGGACAACGGGAAAAUGCUCGGAUGCAAGAGACGAACACGUAUGCAAAUGCAAUGCACAUGAUGACAUGAUACGGGAUGUAAGACAUGAAGAAAAUGCAAAACGACAAACAAAACCCGACCACGAAGGGAAUAUCAUAACACAUAGCCGGAAAAGGCAAGAGUUGGAGUUACAAAUAUGGAAAGUUACAUGCGGGGUGUUACAACACUCCACCACUACGAGAGGAUCUCGUCCCGAGAUCUAGGACUGAAAGAACUCCGGAUAUUCGGAACGGAGAUGGUCCUCGCAUUCCCAGGUGGCUUCUCGGUCGGAAUGGUGCGACCACUUCACUUUCAGGAAUUUGAUUGACUUGUUGCGAGUCUUGUGCUCAGUUUCUUCAAGAAUAGCAACGGGGUGCUCAUGAUAAGACAGAUCUUCUUGGAGGUCAAUCUCUUCGAAGUUGAUGCUGCGCUCGGGCGUCUUGAAGCACUUGCGGAGCGGUGACACGUGGAACACAUCGUGCACGUUCGCGAAGUUGGAAGGAAGCUCAAGUUGAUAGGCGAGGUCGCCUCUUUUGCCAAUGAUCUUGAAAGGACACACGUAUCUAGGAGCAAGCUUCCCUUUGAUACCGAAGCGACGAGUGCCUUUCAUUGGAGAGACGCGGAGGUAGACAUGGUCUCCAAUCUCGAAAGCCACAUCACGGUGCUUACUAUCAUAGUAACUCUUCUGGCGCGAUUGCGCGGCUUUGAGAUUUUCACGAAUGACUUUACACAUUUCUUCAGCUUCUGUUAUUAAGUCAUUGCCAAGAAGUUGGCGUUCACCAGUCUCUGACCAAUUGAGAGGAGUACGACACUUUCUGCCAUAGAGGAUCUCGAAUGGGGCCUUGCCCGAACUCGCUUGGAAGCUGUUGUUGUAGGAGAAUUCAGCAUAUGGAAGACAAUCUUCUCAUUUCAUGCCAAAGGAAAUGACACAAGCCCUGAGCAUAUCUUCAAGAAUUUGAUUGACUCGCUCGACUUGGCCACUAGUUUGAGGAUGGAAAGCUGUGCUGAAGCGAAUGUUGGUGCCCAUGGCCUUCUGGAAGGCGUCCCAGAACUUAGAGGUAAAGAUGCUUCCACGAUCUGAAGAAAUCAAUUGUGGAAUGCCGUGCAAAGAGACAAUUCUGGAGGUGUAUAGCUCUGCCAACUGAGCUGCUGUGAUGGAUUCUUUGAUUGGAAGAAAACGAGCCACUUUAUAAAGCUUGUCGAUGACAACGAAGAUAGCAUCAUUUCCUCGCUUGGACUUGGGAAAACCAGUCACGAAGUCCAUUUCGAUAUGAUCAAACUUCCACUCUGGGAUAGCAAGAGGUUGGAGGAGACCAGCUGGUCGUUGGUGUUCUGCUUUCACUCUUCGACAGACAUCACACUCAUUCACGAAUUGAGCGAUUUCUCGCUUCAUUCGAGUCCACCAAUACGACUGCUUGAGGUCAUGGUACAUCUUCGUACUUCCAGGAUGAAUGGAAAGAAGAGAAUUGUGCGCCUCGUUCAUAAUGACUUUCCUUAGAUCACCUUUAGGAACCACAAUCCGGUCCUCAAAGAAUAAAGUUUCUCUGUCAUCAAUGCGAUAGCACUUGUAUUUGGAAAGACCCUUGCUGAUACCACGUUUCACCUUCUUCACCAUGGCAUCAAGAAGUUGUGCCUCACGAAUUUGAUCUUCCAAAGUAGGAGAGACUAUGAGGUUGGCAAGAGAGCCUUGAGGAACAACUUGGAGAUUCAGCUUGCGGAAAGCUUCACAAAGAUCCGGUUGGAAUGGCUUGAGGAUUAAGCUGUUGCAAUAAGCCUUCUUGCUCAAAGCAUCUGCAAUGACAUUGGCUUUGCCUGGAGUAUAUUCAAUACUCGAAUUGUACUCUUGAAUCAUUUCGACCCAUCGAGUCUGCCUGAGGUUGAGGUUGGGCUGAGUGAAGAUGUACUUGAGACUCUUGUGAUCGGUGAAAAUGUCCACUUGUCUUCCCAACAAGAGAUGUCUCCACGUUAUUAAUGCAUGGACAACUGCCGCCAACUCAAGAUCGUGAGUGGGGUAGUUCUUUUCGUUGGGCUUCAACUGACGAGAGGUAUAGGCCACAACUUUAUUCUCUUGCAUUAACACAACACCGAGACCUUGAAGAGAAGCAUCACAGAAAACUUCAAAUGGCUUGGAUUCGUCAGGAGGAGUUAAGACAGGAGCUGUGACUAGUUUCUCUUUGAGAGUGUUGAAAGUAACGUCACACUCAGGAGACCAGACAUACUUUACAUGCUUCUGGAGAAGGUUGGAAAGAGGCUUUGCAAUCUUAGAGAAAUUCUCAACGAAUCUUCGGCAAUAGCUUGCAAGACCAAGAAAACUGCGGAGCUGCUUGACAUUCUGAGGAGGUUCCCAAUUCACAAUUGCGGACACCUUCUCGGGAUUAACAGCGAUGCCCUUGGCAGAGAUGAUGUGACCAAGGUAAAGAACUUCAUCAAGCCAAAACUCACAUUUGGAGAACUUCGCAUAGAAUUGAUACUCUCUGAGCUUGUCAAGCACCAAUCGCAAAUGCUUGGCAUGAUCCUUCUUAUUCUUGGAGAAGACCAAGAUAUCAUCGAGAUACACUAGGACGAAUUCAUUAGUAUAGGGGUUGAAGAUGAAAUUCAUCAUCCGAGAGAAUGUUGGAGGAGCAUUGACAAGGCCGAAAGACAUGACAGUAUAUUCAUAAGAACCAAAGCUUGUUCUGAAUGCUGUCUUGGGAAUAUUUUCUUCACGAAUGCGAAUCUGAUGAUAACCCAUACGAAGGUCAAGCUUGGAGAAUACUUUAGCACCUUUGAGUUGCUCGAAUAGCUCAUUGAUGUUGGGAAGUGGAUACUUGUUCUUGAUUGUCUUCUUGUUCAAUGGACGGUAGUCGACACAAAGUCGGUCCGUGCCAUCCUUCUUCUGGACAAAAAGAACGGCACAACCCCAUGGAGAAGAACUCGGUCUGAUCAAACCCAGACGCUCUUGUUCAUCGAGCUGUUUCUUCAAUUCCUUCAGCUCCUUGGGUCCAAGCUUGUAAGGACGCUUGCAAACGGGUUCCGUGCCAGGCUCUAGAUCGAUAACGAACUCAACUGGCCGGUGAGGAGGCAUACCCGGAAGCUCUUCUGGAAAGACAUCUUGAUACUCACAAACGACUGGAAUCCGAGAGAUGGCAUUCAAUUCGCCCUUCUCAUUGAGAGAAAAUAACCGAAUGGUUUCAUCACGAGCGGCAUAAACGAUAACAUCCUCAGAAGAGUGUGUCAAUUGAAUUUCCCUGGCAGCACAAUCAAGUUGAGCUUUGUACUUAGAAAGCCAGUCCAUCCCGAGAAUUAGAUCAAUAUCCGAGUCACCAAGAACAACUGGAGAAGACAGAAAUUUAUAGUUCCCCAUCUUGAUGGAAACAUCCGGAGCAACCAAACAAGAAGUCAAAAGCUUUCCCGGAGAAACAACUUGCAUAACUUUGGAUAAAAUCUCUGUGUCAACAUUGUGCUUCGAUGCAAAUGGGUAUGACAAGAAAGAAUGCGAUGCACCAGUAUCAAAAAGAACUUUUGCAGGAAUAUCAUUAACUGAGAGAUUACCCAUUAUCACAUCAGUAGAUUCCUCCGCUUGAGCUGCAUUCAUCAUGUUGACCUUUGCAGACUUUGGAUUAUGCUUGACCACUGCAUUGCUGGAAGAUCUGACAGGAGGAGGAGGCGGAAGGCGCCUUUGGUUGAAGCACUUGUUAGCAUAGUGACCUUUCUGCUGACACUUGUUGCAAGUCACCUCUGAGAGUGGACGGUGAUAAGGAGCAUUGGACUUUGGAGCUUGAUUCUGAGACUUGUUCUGAUAGCCAGAGUUGGAAGAGUGGGAAGAUCCAUGGCCACCUUUGUUCUUCUGCUGGUAACGCUGACGAAACGGAGGAGGAGGAGGCAACCAGAACUUCUGUUGCUUAGCUGCCACUAGUGAGGAAGAAUAAGACUGAACUACGUCCCUGACUCUCUUCUUAGAAGCCUCACACUUGAGCUGAGCAGCCUCUUGCUUCAGUGCCAUGUUAUAGAAUUGAUCAAACUGAGUAGGCUCAACAAGAAGGAGAGCUAACUGCAGAUCCUCUCUAAGGCCACCUCUGAAGUGAUAGAUCAUGCUCUUUUCAUCAGGAACGUCUUGUUUAGCGAAGCGAGCAAGUUUUUGAAACUAGAUGUUGAAUUGAUACACAGACAUGUUGCCUUGCUUGAGAUUGCGGAACUCCUCACGCUUGCUCUCAACAACACUUUGUGGAAUGUGGUGCGCUUUGAUGUCCCGACAGAAGUCAGUCCAAGUGAUCACACGACCUCCUCUGGAAUCUUUGUAUUGUUGAUACCAAUCAGCAGCUUGGUCCUUGAGCUAAAAAGAAGCGAACUUGACAUAGUCCUCAGGCCUGACAUUGCUACAUUCAAAAUGCUUGUUGAUGUCCACGAGCCAAUCAUCGGCAUCCGUGGCCUCGGCAUAGUAGCUGAAAGACUUGGGCUCAUUUGCGAGAAACUGGUUGAGAGUAGCAAAGUGAGACUGAUUGUUGCCUUGACCUUGAUUUCCUUGAUUGCCUUGCCCUUGGGUGCGUUCUUGCAAGAGUUGCAGAAUCAUCUGAGCAUUGGCGUUGGUGGCUGCCAUGAUAGCUUGCCAUGCCUCCGGAGGCGGAGGUGGUGGCGGAGGGUUCGCUUGAUUCCCUUCAUUGCAAUCCGGAUUCUGACGCGUUGGCGGAGCCAUCCUGAAGAGGGUGACAUCCGUUAGCAUCUUGACAGACAAAUAGACAAGUAGAAUCAACGGAUAGAUAUUGCAACAUAUAGUCUUCACAAUAAACAUUCGAACGAGGAUGAACGAAUGAAUUCCAUAGUAAAUCAUCACACCUCCGUUAAGUUGAGAAGCCACUUAGAAAAAGGUAUGGAAUCAACAUUUGACUUGAAGCAACUCGAAUACCACAAUUCAAAACAAAACAAAGUAUUGGCUUGCAGAAUAAGCCGGAACAAACAUAUGAUGGAGAUUUCGUCCGAAGUUUUCGUGGUGGGGCCCACACGGGCUCGAUCGUACAACACCAUCAUGUACAAGGCAGUGCACAUGACAUACGAAGCGUCCCUGAGUCGGCAUAGCCAAGGACUCUUUAAGACACUACGAGACCACUGUAAAACCAACCGUGGAAAGGCGGACCACUAGACGUCGAACCCCAAUCUCAUAUCAUGCGUCUAUCAGAAAGAUAUCCUAAGAGCUACUUGAAUUCCCACUUAUAAACUCCUGAAACUUUCUGGUUAUGCAAUCUGGUGUUGGGGAUACAGGGGACACAAAAUAUAUCACCCAAACUAGCAAUCCCUAGAUCCAGCUGUAUCCAUUCGUCAACACAUAACCAAGAAACCUUUGGAAAUCAUUUACCUCAACCUUCGAAAAACAUCCGUUAUACGAGUUAUGGCAAUACUCCCGAACUCCCGCCCCAGUACUGGGUGGCGUCGAGCUGAUCUCACCAACAACUGCAUAAAAGAGAUUUCGAUGUCGGCGAAACUCAGGUAUUCCAGAACUGCAACGAUAAAAUUGUGACGACAACACCUCGGAGCUCAACUCCCCGGGACACUGCCACAACCCCUAAAUGUCAGGAGGCACCAAGAAUAAUGUUCUCGUCACAACACCAUCAGAACGAUUCUAAGAUACCCGCGUGAUCCUAAAUUUUUUUAGUGAAAUUUGUGGAGAGAAGAGUCAAAACUUCUAUGUCAGGAGGCCUCACCAGAGCGACGAAGAGACUGAGGAGUAAAAAGAAUCCUACUCUCUGAUAUAUAUAAUCCUAAGACUCAAAACAUUUUUGUUCUAGACUCAACAACGCCAGCGAUUCGAUCAAGCACGGGGCUCCUAAGUCGGGGAUGGCUCUAAGCACGGGGCUCCACGAUGCGGCUAUAUCUCCCACGUGUCGAGGCAUGACUUAGAGGUAUAACCGCAUUGUGGUAUUGUCGCAAGAAGGGUCAUCUUCACACAAUCCCAUGUAAUGAACAAGAAUGGGAUAACGAGAGUUGGCUUACAAUCGCCACUUCACACAAUACAUAAAUAUAAUUCAUACAUCAUCCAAAAUACACACAUGUACCGACUACGGUCAAAAUCCAAAUGAAAAUAAGAUAACCCCAAAUGCUAGAUCCCCGAUCGUCCCAACUGGGCUCCACUACUGAUCAUCAGGAAAAGACACAUAGUAACGACCACGUUCGUCAUCGAACUCCCACUUGAGGUCGAUCCCAUCACCUGCACUGACAUCGUCGGCACCUGCAACUGUUUUGGUAGAAUCUGUGAGUCACGAGGACUCAUCAAUCUCACACCCGCGAGAUCAAGACCAUUUAAGCUUAUAGGAAAAGAUGGUGUAAUGAGGUGGAACUGCGGCAGGCACCAAGCAUAUAUAGUGGCUAACGUACGCAAAAGAGAGCGAGAAGAGAAGCAACGGAACGGUCGUCUUCUAGUAAUGACCAAGAAGUGAUCCUGAACUCCUACUCACGUCAUUCAUAACUCAAACCGUGUUCACUUCCCGGACUCCCCGAGAAGAGACCAUCACGGUUACACGCACGGUUGAUGUAUUUUAAUUAAGUCAAGUGACAAGUUCUCUAUAACCGGACAUUAACAAAUUCCCAUCUGCCUCAUAACCGCGGGCACGGCUUUCGAAAGAUAAUACCCUGCAAGGGUGUCCCAACUUAGCCCAUCAUAAGCUCUCACGGUCAACGAAGGAUAAACCUUCUCCCAGGAAGACCUGAUCAGUCUCGGAGUCCCGGUUUACAAGACAUUUCGACAAUGGGAAAACAAGACCAGCAAAGCCGCCCGGUGUGCCGACAAAUCCCGAUAGGAGCUGCACAUAUCUCGUUCUCAGGGCAACACCGGAUGAGACAUCCUACGAGUAAAACCAGGCCUCGAGUUUCCACGAGGGGGCCCCGCAGUCUACNNNNNNNNNNNNNNNNNNNNNNNNNNNNNNNNNNNNNNNNNNNNNNNNNNNNNNNNNNNNNNNNNNNNNNNNNNNNNNNNNNNNNNNNNNNNNNNNNNNNNNNNNNNNNNNNNNNNNNNNNNNNNNNNNNNNNNNNNNNNNNNNNNNNNNNNNNNNNNNNNNNNNNNNNNNNNNNNNNNNNNNNNNNNNNNNNNNNNNNNNNNNNNNNNNNNNNNNNNNNNNNNNNNNNNNNNNNNNNNNNNNNNNNNNNNNNNNNNNNNNNNNNNNNNNNNNNNNNNNNNNNNNNNNNNNNNNNNNNNNNNNNNNNNNNNNNNNNNNNNNNNNNNNNNNNNNNNNNNNNNNNNNNNNNNNNNNNNNNNNNNNNNNNNNNNNNNNNNNNNNNNNNNNNNNNNNNNNNNNNNNNNNNNNNNAAAACCCGGGGGAAAAGGCUUAGGUGGCAAAUGGUAAAACCAAGGUUGGGCCUUGCUGGAGGAGUUUUAUUCAAGGCGAACUGUCAAGGGGGUCCCAUAAAUCACCCAACCGCGUAAGGAACGCAAACUCAAGGAACAUAAUACCGGAAUGACGGAAACUAGGGCGGCAAGAGUGGAACAAAACACCAGGCAUAAGGCCGAGCCUUCCACCCUUUACCAAAUAUAUAGAUGCAUUAAAUAAAUAAGAGAUGUUGUGAUAUCCCAAAAAUAUCCAUGUUCCAACAUGGAACCAACUUCAACUUCACCUGCAACUAACAACGCUAUAAGAAGGGCUGAGCAAAAGCGGUAACUUAGCCAAACAACGGUUUGCUAGGAAAGGAUGGUUAGAGGCUGACAUGGCAAUAUAGGAGGCAUGAUAUAGCAAGUGGUAGGUAGCGCAGCAUGGCAAUAGAACGAACAACUAGCAAAGCAAAUAUAGAAGUGAUUUCGGGGGGUGGUCAUCUUGCCUGCAAGGUUCUCAGAGUUGUCGAAAGCUUGAUCCUCGUAAGGUACUCGACUGGUUCCUCGUUCAUGAACUCGUCUCCCGGCUCUACCUAAAACAAGAACACAAGCAACGGAAUGACAAUCAAUCAUGGGAAAAUGCACAAACAACAUGAUGCAAUACAUGAAUGAUAUGCAAGAUAUGAUAUGCGAUGCAUAUGCUUGCUCCGGAAGGAAAAUGAUGAACAAGUCAGUAACUUGGCAAACCAAGCAUGCGACUGGAAAGAUGAGAUGAUUUCGGUCGACAUCGAUAUAAAGAUCACCAGAAACGGAUGCACGGUUUGCAAAUGGCAAGCAAAACAAGAAUGACACGAAUCUGCGAUUAACAGCAUGGUAGCACUUAGAAUGCAACAAGUAACAAUGCUACAGCACUCCAACAUAGCAACAAAGCAUAUGGCAGUAGUCCACAGGAGAUGCUUGACAAAAGAUGAACACUGAGCUACGGCUAGAUCACAACAUAACAGGCUCAAACAAGCAUGGCAAAAGUGCAAAAGAUAACAGGUUUACAGACUUGGUGAAAUCACUGGACAUGGCAGAAAACAGCAUCAGGUAGCAAUGUUCAGAGCAUGAAAUCAACAUGCUACAGGAACUUAACAUGGCAAAACAAGGCAUGGCAGUAUUCUACUAAAAGCAUAUAACAAAAGUCCCUUACUGACCAUAAGCCAAAAAGGACCAGAAGAUAUGAUGGCAACCAUGUAAACAUAGCAAGUUUCGUUAUCAGGUUUCAGACUUGGCAGAAAACAGAGCAUGGCAGAAACAAUAAUAUGAAGGCAUCUUGGUGUGCUUGAUGCACUUACCACAAAGCAAUGCAUGACAAAAAAAGCAUACCUACAUCAAGAUGGCAAGUUUAUGAAGCUAGCCAUGGCAAGAACAAAUACAUAGCAUGGAUGAAACAACUACAACAAGCUUGGCAAAAUUGAAUAACACGUAAACAAUCUGCCAGAAAUAUUUUAUAGCAAAAGUAGAGCAAAUUUGAGUCAUGCUAUGGCACUCCAUAAAUGUAAACAAGGGAAGUAAUGGAUCAACUACAACAAUAUCUACAAAACAUCCUUACCGAACAUCUCCAAAAUAUGCAUGGAUCUCUCUGUAGCAUCAAGUUUACAUGGCAACAAAAUAACAACAGACAAAGACUUGGAGAAAUUACUCUCUGAAAUCAGAAACAUUACGGAGCCUAGUUUGCAUGCUUGUGAUAGUCACCACAGAGAUCACAAAAAUACAUGGCAUAAACCACUGGAAGGAUGGCAUGGCAUACAACAAAACACAUGUAGAGCUCAUGCCCAUAAGAUGCACAGAUUAAAUGCAAGAAAAAUAACAAAUCACUAAGUUCUGCUAAGUAACAACAGAUAACAGCAACAAGCACUCUUGCACCAGAGAUUUGGGCAUCAAUAUGAACACGAAUGAAAAUGGUGCAAUGGAACAAAAUGAAUAACAUCACGAGACGAACAAUUUGACAUAUUACACGCACGAAACGGAGCUAUAUGCAGAGAGUUAUGAUGCGUUCAACGUAGCAAUAUACUGCAAAAUGCAUACGACUUGGAAAUAUUUCGGGGGAGAUAGAAGUCAACCUCCCGUCGUUGACUGGAUCUGGAUCGGCCUCGGGGCUCGGGGACGAGCUCACCGGAGCUGCGGGAGGAGGACGACGAGGGGGGGGGACGGCGGCCGGAGGGAGGCGGCGUCGGGCGCGCCGGCGGAGCCCGGCGGCGCGGGGCGGUGAUGAUGNNNNNNNNNNNNNNNNNNNNNNNNNNNNNNNNNNNNNNNNNNNNNNNNNNNNNNNNNNNNNNNNNNNNNNNNNNNNNNNNNNNNNNNNNNNNNNNNNNNNNNNNNNNNNNNNNNNNNNNNNNNNNNNNNNNNNNNNNNNNNNNNNNNNNNNNNNNNNNNNNNNNNNNNNNNNNNNNNNNNNNNNNNNNNNNNNNNNNNNNNNNNNNNNNNNNNNNNNNNNNNNNNNNNNNNNNNNNNNNNNNNNNNNNNNNNNNNNNNNNNNNNNNNNNNNNNNNNNNNNNNNNNNNNNNNNNNNNNNNNNNNNNNNNNNNNNNNNNNNNNNNNNNNNNNNNNNNNNNNNNNNNNNNNNNNNNNNNNNNNNNNNNNNNNNNNNNNNNNNNNNNNNNNNNNNNNNNNNNNNNNNNNNNNNNNNNNNNNNNNNNNNNNNNNNNNNNNNNNNNNNNNNNNNNNNNNNNNNNNNNNNNNNNNNNNNNNNNNNNNNNNNNNCGUACGGGCGGCGGCCCAGGACACGUGGCGCUGCGCAGUUGGCCGGGCGGCGGCGGUGACUUCGUCCGGCGCCGGGCGGACGUGUCCGACGCGUGGAGGGAGGGGGCUAGGGUUUUGGACUGCGGGAGGAUUUCGGGAGAGAUGCAAAUAUAUAGGUAGAGGGGGCUAGGAGAGUCCAAAUGAGGUGCGGUUUUCGCCCACACGAUCGUGAUCGAACGACCUACAGCAUGGAAGAGAGUUUGGUGGGUUUUUGGCUGGUUAUGAGGGGUUUUUGCUGCAACACACAAAAGGACUAUGCGGAUGCCCGGUUAACCGUUGGAGUACCAAACGACCUCCAAAUGGAACGAAACUUGACCGGUGGUCUACCGGUGGUAUACCAAGGCCACUUGACAAUCCUCGGUCCAUACCGAGAACGUUUGACACCCGAUCACGAAAGAAAAUAAGAGGGGUGCACCGGAGGAGGUGGGAGCGCCGGAUUGCAAAACGUACAACGGGAAAAUGCUCGGAUGCAAGAGACAAACACGUAUGCAAAUGCAAUGCACAUGAUGACAUGAUACGGGAUGCAAGACACGAACAAAAUGCAAAACGACAAACAAAACCCGUCCACGAAGGGAAUAUCAUAACACAUAGCCGGAAAAGGCAAGAGUUGGAGUUACAAAUAUGGAAAGUUACAUGCGGGGUGUUACAAUCAUGUACUUUGAUGGGGCUUUUUCACUGCAAUGCGCCGGUGCUGGCGUGCUGCUUGUCGCACCCACCGGAGAGCACCUCAAGUAUGUCAUCCAAAUGCACUUUCCCCGGGAGAUGUCAACUAACAACACCGCCGAGUACAAGGGCUUGCUUGCCGGUCUCAGGAUCGCAGUGGACCUUUGAGUCAAAAAGCUCAUCGUCAGGGGUGAUUCGCAGCUCGUCGUCAGGCAGAUCAACAAAGAUUAUCAAAGCCCGUUGAUGGAAGCUUACGUGGAUGAAGUGAGGAAACUGGAGGAGCGCCUUGACGGAGAAUGACAUCGCCGACUACCUGUCAAAGCGUGCUGCCCUCAAGCUACCUGUGGAACCAGGUACUUUUGUGCUUCAGUUAACUCAACCAUCCGUUAAACCAUCAACCAGGAAGAACAAGCGGAGGAAGCUAGGCCCCGGCAGGUACUUCCUCACCGAGCUCCCCAGAGCUGCUGGCGGAGAUGUUGCCGUAGAUGCCGAUCCUGCCGCGGGGCAACCGACUCCGGCAGGGCCUCAGGCCAUGGCCAUAGAGACAUCCGCUCCUGUGGCAGAAGAGAUGCCUUUGGUCCUUGCCGUCGAGCCACAGGCUCCGGCAUGGGCGUAGCACACCGUCCGGUUCCUCCAAAUGGGAGAACUUCUUGAGGAGCAGGAAGAGGCAGAGAGAGUAGCCCGCCGGUCUGCUCUGUACCAAUUCAUUGACAACGUCUUGUACAGAAAAAGGCCGAAUAGGGUGAAAUUGAAGUGCAUCUCUCGGGAGGAAGGACUAGAGCUGUUGGCAGAGAUACAUGGAGGCAUAUGUGGCUCCCACAUAGGGUCGAGGGCCCUUGCUGACAAGGCUUUCCGGCAAGGUUUCUUCUGGCCCACCGCCGUCCAGGAUGCGACGGCACUAGUAACCAAGUGUGAAGCGUGCCAGUUCCAUUCGAAGAAGCUUCAUCAACCAACUCAAGUCCUUCAAACCAUCCCUCUCUCCUGGCCCUUCUCGGUCUGGGGGCUCGACAUAUUGGGCCCUUUCCCUCGUGCCGUCGGGGGCUUUGAGUACUUGUACAUUGCAAUCGACAAGUUCACAAAGUGGCCAGAGGUGGAAACAGUGAGGAAGGUGACAGCGCAGUCAGCCAUCAAGUUCUUCAAAGGGCUAGUUUGCCGUUUUGGUGUACCCAACAGGAUCAUCACCGACAACGGCACAUAGUUCACAAGCCAUGCCUUCAUGCAGUACAUUGAGGAUCUCGGCAGCAAGGUCUGUUUUGCUUCCGUGGCACACCCAUGGAGCAAUGGCCAAGCAGAGAGAGCAAAUGCUGAAGUUCUGCGAGGCUUAAGAACGAAGACUUUUGACAGGCUGUGCAAGAGUGGAAGGCGCUGGAUUGAUGAGUUGCCGGCGGUUCUUUGGUCGAUCAGAAUGACGCCAAAUCGAGCCACCGGCCACACACCCUUUGCCCUGGUCUACGGGGCAGAAGCAGUUCUCCCCACAGAACUCAUAUACGGGUCACCUCAAGUGCUCGCUUAUGAUGAGCUUGAGCAAGAGCGAUUGCGGCAAGAUGACGCAACGUUCCUUGAGGAAGAUCGUCUCCGGGCGGCUAUGAGAGCAGCACGCUACCAACAAGCCUUGCGCCGCUACCAUAGCCGCAAGGUUCAUGCCCGGAGCCUUGAGGAAGGUGACCUUGUUCUUCGGCACGUUCAGUCGGCCAAGAAUUCCAACAAGUUGAAGCCGAAGUGGGAAGGCCCUUAUCGGGUAACACGAGUCACUAGGCCCGACGCAGUCCGCCUGGAGACCGAAGAUGCCAUUCCAGUGAGCAACUCCUGGAACAUCGAGCAUCUUCGCAAGUUUUACCCAUAAGGCACGGCUGCCGGGCCUCCCGGCAAGCCACCUUUUGUAUGAGCCUUGCCGGCAAGGCAUGUAACCCUCUGUACAAAGCCAGGCGCACACCCUGAGCAUAAAUAAAUGAAGCGCUGAUGCCCUAAGUUUUAGCAUGCAUGCUAGGUCGAGUCUCUUCCUCGGUUAGGGUUGAUAGUGCUUAGCGGCGGCUAACCCCUAGCUUAGAGGUCGAGUGCGCAUCUCUUUGUUCUUUCCUGUCCUCUUUGGUUCGCAGGGCACAUGAGCACUACUGCUGAGCUAUUCGGGAGAAAGGGAACGGACCGGCGCCCCAACCCCGGCAAACCGAAGUUGCCGGGGGCUGCAAGUACAAGGAUCCAACCGCGGCAAGCCAAGGCUGCCGGGGGCUGCAGAUCUAGAUAAGUUUUUUAUCCUCUGCCAUGCAUUUCGGUAUGGAACUAGGAUAUAUGAAACCUCGUUUUAUUUCUAGGCUACCGUGCUCCCCUUUUCUAUACCCAAGGACUAUCUCCUGGGUCCGGAUUCGGUUGUAGUCGCGGCAGCAAGGAAAUGGAACGAGGAGCCUAAGCCCGCUUCACCCCUGCCUCCGCCAAGGGUGCGAGAAUGGUCGAGCGAAGUGUGGGGACGACAAGGCCUGUUGCCGGGCGAAAAACGUUUAUCUCAAAUAAUAACAAGGAUUCACUCCUUGUCGCGGGUUUUACCCACGAACGAAAAACCCGGCAAACAUCCCUUUUUCAUUAAAAGCAUCCCGUACAGGUACAGUUCAUACGGAGUGAAAAAGAUGAGCAAGGGGAUUACAAGUCCUAAAUUUAACGAAGGCCCGAAGGCUUACAGAUUGAAAAGAGAUAAGAUGCCCGUAAUCCCUUUCUUGUCCCUCUCCUCAGGAGGCAGGUCAAGGAAGCGAAAAGGGGCAAAAGGAGCGCCUAGGCGAGCUACGAGCAGCAGAAAGCACCAAGAGAAUGUCUCGGUGGCCGUCCAAAGGCUGGCUGGUGAUGACGGCGCUGGAAGAAGAGCUGGAAGAUGAGGCGGCAGGCCGUUAAUACGCGAUGAAGGCGUCGGUGCCCGCAUACUCCGACUUGAUGGCCUUGCCACCUGCCCUCUUCCUCUUUCGCAGCCUCCCAACGCCAGCCGCCCAAGGAGACGGCCUCGAGAAGUUCAAGGAGCUGGCCCCUCCCGCGGCAAACUCCGCCGGAGGAGCGGCCAGGUGCAGAUGCUGCUGCUGCGCCCGCCCGGGCACGGGGCGUCUGACGCCUAGUCGGACUCGUCCCCAUCAUCUGCCCCGCUGUCCUCCUCAUUGCUCUCGCUCGAGGAGGAGUCUUCUCCAUCGGAGGAGCUCUCCAUGCAGCGCCUUACGCGAGUCCUGAAGUGCCCAAAGGCCUUGACGGAGAGGAGGCCGCUCUCCAUUAAUUUGAAAUGGAGAGUGAGCCCCUCCGUCAGGCUGUGGAUGCGAGCAAAAGUCUUCCACCCUCAGCGAAGAUACAUGACGUGAGGGGCGGGGAACUCGACAUCGGCCCAUGUGCCGCUGUUCCCACAACCCCUCAUAUGCAGCCACAGCGCCUGCGGCGGGUUCCGCUCCAUCUCCCGUGCAAACGGGGUCGGGAGGCGAAGACGACGACGCGGCGACUGGCGCAGCCUGAUGAAGAACUCGUGGGGGUUCUCCCGACAUGGCCCUCCACCGCGGAAGGGGCCGCUGGCGGAGGCGAGGCUGAUGCGCCGCCCCGUCCUCCUCUUCCCCGAGCACCACGACGACCACGGCCUCGCCCGCGGCCUCACCCCUUCCCCUUCCCCUUGCGGCUGGCUCCGCCACCACGGGCUCUUGGGGAGGAGGGACGCGCUGUCGAGCGGAGACCCUCGCCGCCACCAUCGAAGGACCAGGGUUCCCCUUCUCCAUGGCGGAUGAGAGGAAGGAGGGAGCAGGAAUGAAGAGAAGCAGGUGAUGAAGGGUUGGGAGGCGCCGUUCCUCCCGCUCCCCUCUUUAUAAAGGGGCGGGGGCGGGGCUUGGCCGCCCCUUUCGGCCAGUCCGGCUCAUUGAAGUGACAGCGGGCGGGGCCGUCGACCACCCUCCCCGCCCAAUCGAAGGCGCAACUUCUCGUAUCCCGCGCGCCUGUCAUUCGCUCUGUGUCAUGGAUGCAGCGAACGUGGCGUAAGAGACGGGCGUAAUGGGACGCGUGGAGCAGCGGUUCCCCAAGUGCGGAGAGUAAAUGAGCAGCGGCCCUGCAGUCUCGAAGAGACACGCAGGCCGCCUCUUUACUGUUCGCCACGGAUGGCGUCAGCAUGCUUCGGUCACCCGCGCGCACAAUCCCCGUGUCACGCAAUCAACGCGGGUCGUGGGGAAAUGCAGCGGACGAAAAGUUACCGUGGUAAAAACCGCCCCGCCUGCCCGCGCACCGUUUUGGGCCUGGCCCAACAAUGUGUUGCGCUUAUGUGUGGCCCAGGCCCGGUGGCUCUUGUCGGUGUACAAAAGUAGGGGCUCUCCUUUUGACCCCUUUACUUGUGCAUGCGCAGUCGGAGCCACGCGCCACGGCCGCACUUGGCAAGGCAGGGGAGGUGAACCGAGGUGCAACCAAGGCACAAGACAAGCAAGAAAAACGCCAAGCCAAGACCACAGAGAGCAGAGGGACGAAGCAGGUUCCCCUGGCAAGACCCUUGCCGGGGCAGCCUCCGCGGCCCCGGGAAGGCCCUUGCUGGGGCGGCUCGUCCAAACACCAACAGAGCGAGCCACCCUUGAGCCCACAGUUUCCAACACCGUCAACCAUGUUGGGCCAGGGCUCGGGAGGCACCUCCAUGGUGACAUACAAAUCUUUGUGAAGACAAGAAGAACACUCUUAAUCAGAAGAGUGGAAGACGACGAACCUCGGCGAGAUCCUUGCCGAGGAAGCCCACAAGACCCCCGGCGAGAUCCUUGCCGGGGACGACCGCAAUGCCACGACAAGACCCUUGCCGGGGCCCCGACAAGGCCUUUACCGAGGGCGCGCACAAGGCCGCAGCCAGGCCCACACCCGCCAAGCUUUCCGCCACCAAUCCUAUGCAGCUGCCAGCCCACCAGCCGGGCAGGCACCUGCGUGUCGGCGCAGGGCUCCUCCGACAACUCAGCACAUGCCUACGUGGUGGCAUGCAGAUCUUCGUGAAGGCUCCACCACCGCGCCACCUCAGCUGUUUGCCUGCCUACAUGGCACUACCGCCUCGCUGGCCCAGGCGCGUGUCAAGGCGGGGCGAAGCGGCGGUAAAGUGGAGGGGACACGUCAGGGGCGCAUUAAAUGCGUCUUGUUCCAUAAUAGCUAGCGAUAAGCUUAACCACAGUACCCCGAUGCCACCUCCUGGUGCCACUGUGGCGAUCCCUUUCCUAUAAAAGGAGACCCAGGGCAUCUAGGAGAAGGAUUCGGACUCUUGGACAAGUUACGCUCCUUGUAGCUAGUUCGAGAACCUCAAGAACACAGAUAUGCACCAGAUAAAAUUUGAACUUGUAGAUUAGUGUACCAGAUAAGUUACUAAUGAGACAAAAACAAACAAAGUAGGUUUCACGUUUAUACAUAACUUAUUUUGGUGAACUACUAUAAUACAUUAGCAUGUAUUGUAGUGCCAACUACAUAAUAAAAUCACUUUUGGAACAUAUGUCCAUGUAGCAUGCCUACUGUAUUGUCUAUUUCCUCACAUUUGUUGACAUCUAAGGAUAAAGAGACAUGGUUUAAAGUAGGAUGAACAUAGUAUGACAUCAUUCAUAUCAUGGGCAAACAGAUAUAAAACAAACAACCUAUUGUAUCAUUGUGUGCGCACGUGAACAUCACAACUAGAUUACAGAUCAAGACCAAAAGAAUAUCCUUCAUCUCUUUUAAACCAUGUAAGGUGAAAUGAUACAUUAAGUCAACUGUGUAUAAAAGUGAACAGAGUAACUGACAUUGGCUGCAAACCAAGCAGUUAAAUGAACACAUCACAGUACCAAUCAGUUCAAAGGCAGGAAGAGUCAGGACUUACAACAGCGGCCUGAACUGGUGUGCUCAUGCCCUUCAUCUUGCUGGUGUGGCAAUCCUUGAAGAUUUGCACUGCAUUCGAUUUAGGUUCUUUUUGGUCCGCACGGGUUUUCCUCUAUAUUUGGAACAAUUCAAUAUAGAUACAAUAAUAUGGCACAGAAAAAAGAAGGAACUAGCAGCUAUUUACAAGAGCCUCGCAGUGUGCAAUAUAGCUAGGAGAUCCCGUUGUCUGUUGGAAUUUCACUUUAGAACGGUUGGUCUUGUUCUUCACACAGUUAGCCUAGAAGAAGGUACACUUGUAAGGCACAUACAUAAAUACAAGUUCAAUAUGUGGUCUGAUCAAAUACAUAUACCCUACCUGAUACUUUGGAUCAGACCAGUGUUUAACAAGGGUUGUCUAGUCUUCAUCCGUAAUAUAUUCCACUGGAGAUGUUUGGGCGAUUUCAUUGUUAGCCUUGCCUUCAAAGUGAGUUUUCUAAGGUGGUACCCAUACUGUCAUAGAGCAGACUGAAAAACAUGAGUGCAUGCUUGUUUAGUUGCAUCAUCUUUCGGAUCCAGCUUGAACCUCAUCUGUUGAAAAAAGAAUGUGAGUCUUAUUACGAGGAAGCUAGAAAGUAUGGCACAGAGCAAGACAAUAUUACAAACUGCGAUGAAUAACAUUACUUACGGAUAAAUGGUCAAGGAAGGUGUUAAACUGGGUAUUGUCUUUCUCAUUCCUGUACUGGGUCCACGUUGGGAGGAUACGUGCAUGACACCUAACGACAAUGGCUGCCUCUGAUACAAACUUGGCUGACUCUGUAGCAUCACGUGGCCUUUUCAAACCUGCCUCAAAAUGGAUCUCCAUUCUUCCUCCUUUAGAUUUUGUUAAUCUGUCAAGCAUUAUCCCUGAUGUCUGUUUCCGCUUGCGCCGUGGUGCUAGUUCAACAACGAAUAUGGAAAGUGUUAGUGCACAUCAAACUGUGAGUGUACAUAUAAAGGAGUAUGCAACUGCAACUUGACUUGGUCAGGUACCGUCUUGGUGUUGAUGCUCAUGAGGUUCAUCUGAUCUUGCCAAGUCCUAUUGUGUCAGCAGUGCUUCGGAAGUAGUGUUAGAUGUGAAGGCAGCUUGGGAACUGGCCAGUUCUGGAGCAAACAAACGAGUAACUCGUUCAGAUGCUGGUACAGUUGAAGCGGAUGCUGCAGCUGGUGGAGUAGGUGAUACUGUGUUUGUAGAUUUAGCCGGUGGACUUGGACCUUCUACUGCACUAUAAGUACCAGCAGAAUCUUGAGGGCAGCUCCCUGUCCAUUUCACCUGACGAGUAACACCAUUCCCUACUAUAUUCUUUUCCUUGCUCUUUUUUGAAUUUGCCAUGUCAAGCCAUACCCACAACACAAAAGAAUAAAAUCGCUCUUCAGAACUCAUUGAUGCAUGAUAUAGACAAGCAAUACUUUGAUGUAAGACAACCGUAUAGGAUGGAAUAUGUAAGAAAAACAGGACGACAUGACAUAUUCACAGCUACGAUGUGUAGACUAGGCAGAAGGAUUUUCAAGAAAAUAGAAGUAAUCCAAGCUAGACACCAUAUCAAAGAUGCAACGAAUAUCACUCUGCCUAGUUAAAAGUGUCUUGUCAUAAGUGGCAUUUCGAAAAAUUAGAAGCAGUACAACGUAGAAAUCAAUGCAAGAUGCAACCACUAUUAAACUGCCAUGUUAAAAGCGUCCAAUCAUGAGUGACUGUUGCGGGAUACACAACAGCAGUACUUUGAUGUAAGAACAUGGUAUGAUUGAUAGAUGCAGUGCAUUCUAGACACAGAAAGGCAUGUCAUAUGCACAUGUAUAAUGUAUAAACUCAGCAGGUGCAAUUUAAUCAAAAUAGAAGAAAUACAGGCUUGACAACAUAUGCAACAUGAAACCAAUUAUCACACUGCCAACUUAGAGCAAGCACCUGCAAUGGUGGAGUAUGGGAAAUGAACUCAUCAUGUAGACUUGGGACUUCAACUUCAUUAGCAGUAGCAGUGGCAAAUCUAGAGAGUCUCUGUUUGCGUUGGUCCCGAGGACCACCAACAUCCCCUAACUUACUCUUUUCCUUCCUAUUUUCUGAUAUUUCCUUAUGAAGUCAAAACCAAAAGAAGAUGAAUAAAAUUAGCUCUGCAUAACUGGUUGAUGCAUGAUACAGACAAACACUACUUUGAUGUAAGGCAAGCGCAGGAUAGGAGGAUGGAAUAUAUACAAAAAAAAGACAGCAUUGCAUAUUCAGACAUACGAUAGGAGGAUGGAAUAUGUAUGAAAAACAGGACGACGGAUGAUACAGACGAAUAGUGCCAUGUUAGAGCAAGCACCUAUGAUGGUGGAGUAGGGGAGAUGCGCUCAUCAUCUACACAGUUACGUUGACUGUCCAGCCUUGUGUUGUCUUGCGAAUCUUGUUGGUAGGAUGGCGGAGUAGAAUCUAUAGAGACCCUCUGUUUUAGUUGCUGCGAAGGACCACCAUCAUCCACUGCCGGAAUAAUUUCCUUCAGCUGUAUUGAUUUUGCAUUGUGAAGUCAAACUGAUAAGAAAAAGGAAUAAAAUUCACUCUUCAGAACUCAUUCAUGCAUGAUACUGACGAACACUACUCGGAUGAAAGGCAAACACAUGAUAUGAGGAUGGAAUAUGUACAGAAAACAGGACAGCGUGACAUAUUCACACCUAUGAUGUGGUAACUAAGCAGAAGGCGUUUCAACAAAUUAGAAGCACUGCAAGCUAGACACCAUAUGUGUUGGGGAUAUUACUACUGGGCGUAAACCGGCCAGGUGAAGCUGGGUUAUCCUCAUAAUGGAUUGUUUAUAUUUGAAGCCCAUGAAGGCAAGGAAUAAGGCGCUUUACUACAAAGGCUCAAAGGCCCAAGGCCCAAAGGUAGAUUAGGGCCUGUAGCUAUAAACCGCCAUGUAAUACAUAACUUGUAUCGUGAGGUAUGAGAAAGUAGAGACCGAGCCGGAUACGUGUAUAAACCGGCAUCGGGACUCUGUAAGCCGGCGGGAGUCGACCUGUGUAUAUAAAGGCACGGCCCGGCGGCGGUUCAAGGACAGGAGACAACAACUCGAGAUCCAGGUAAAGCGAUUCCGCUCCCUGAUCAUCGAGACCAGAUCAAUUCCACCACAACUGGAUCGUAGGCUUUUACCUUCACCGCAAGGGGCCGAACCAGUAUAAACUCCCGUGUCCUUUGUCCGGUUUAACCCCUUUAAGCUAACCCAUUGCGAUGGCUCCACGACUAAGUCCUUUCUCUAGGACAUCUGCCGUGACAAACCCACGACAGUUGGCGCCCACCAUGGGGCUCUCGCACGAUGGUUUCAAGUUCUUGAAGGGCAACUUUGAAGGGCUCAAGGGAUACGCCAUGGGCCGGAUGACCAAGAGUCGUCGCGGCAAGCUCUACAUCGACGACGCAGGCUGGGGCCCUUGAGGCCGGCUCAAUCGAGUACGGGUACCGGGUCCCCUUUGGAGGAAUUCACGUCUUCAUCGGCAAGAUCGACGAACCGGGCCCUGAGCCGGACAUCUGCACCGACCAUGUCGAGAUGGCUCAGCGUGCAAGCCCUGCCAGGGUUCAGCCCACGAUGAAGCGUGCGUUCGUAGGGUUCAUCAAUGGCGCGGAACUUGAACCGGCGUCUGAUGGUGAGACCGUCGUUUAUUCAGAUGGCGAGUCAUCCACCGGGGAGACCGAGUCACUGUACCAACUGCAAGAUGGCGGUUCUGGGGCUGUUCCGAUGGCAACAGUAUUCCGGACCCCCUUGAUCCGCCGAACCGGGUUGCAAUUUUCAUGGCCGGUACACAGCCCACGUUGCAAUCUUCAGCGGCGGCAAUGAUAAUUUCCGGACCGGCAGCUGGGGCAGGAGGUCCCGCGCGUCGGCCGGCCCAAGUCUUGUCCGGUUUAUUGGACUCCUGGUCGACAUUACUGACCGCACAGGUUACCCCAGACACCCAAGAUCAGCAUAAUGCGGAGGUUGCUAAGCUGCAGGAUCAGAUAACUCAGGCCAAGGAGGACUUGGCGGCUGAGGAAACCAGGAUGGCUCAGGAGCGGACCGCUUUAGAUGCACACGCACAACGGAUUCAAGCAGAGAAUUACCGGCUCAUGUUGGAUCAGAACGCUUCGAACGACGUGUUGAGGAGAAGGCAUCGGUCUCGAUUGCCACUGGUUUAUGAAGAAAUGAAUCUCUUUGGCACACCAGGAGCAGGAACCAGUAAUCCGGCAGCGGUAAACCGGAUCGAAACACCAAGGACAGGAGCACCGGAUCAGCCACGGGUGACGGACCCGCCUCGACGGACCCAUGACCCGCCACAAUAUGUACCGGCACCGUCAGGUCACUUCUCCACCCCUUCUGAUAACAUGAUCACCGCAGCAUCAUGAUUGGCCGCUAUCCAAUGGAGGGCGAGUCCCCAGCGGCGGGUGAGACGCGGCGCGCCAGGGAUCUCCUUCAAACAGCUAUGGUGCAGCAGCGGGCUUAUUCGUAUAGUCGAGACAGGCUUCAUUCAACCCCGCGCCCGAGUCGGAGUUACAACAGGCGCAUUGAUGAACCGGCUGCGUCAAGCAGUGCGCGGAACCGAGACGCCCCUCGAGGGCCUAAUCCGGCGCGUGGUGGGGCAAAUGCUCAGGAUGUGGUGGAUAAUGAUAGAGCACGUCGAGAAGCCGAGUUAGCAGCACAGGACCGUCAGCUCACUCCGGUUUGUCCGACGACUUCCGUGGAACGAGGGUUGACUUUCAGCUCUUGGGGAGUGCCCUGCCUCGCCCCGGCUUUGCGUAAUGUGCGACUGCCCAAGGAUUUCAAGGGCCCUCGUAAGGUGCCUAAUUACACCGCCGAUUUACCCCCCGAGUCAUGGGUUGAGAGUUAUGAGAUGGCAAUGGAGAUGCUGGAUGUGGAUGAAGCGGCAUGUGCGAAAUAUUUCACUAUGAUGUUGGACGGAACAACUCGCACUUGGCUGAAAAGUUUACCAGUUAACUCCGUCGGGUCAUGGGCCGAGUUAAAAGCCUGGUUUAUAGCAAACUUCAAGGACAUGUGUAAGCAACCCAUGUCAAUUGUGAAUUUAGCCGCAUGCGUCCAGGGAGAGGGCGAGUCAACAACCCAUUGGGUGUGCCGUGUCUCAGAGAUUUUGCAUUCAUCGAAUCGCAUCAAUGCGGACUCGGCAAUUAUAACAUUGGAGGGUAAUUGCCGGUUUAAGCCUUUGAAAUUGAAGCUGGGACGGCUCAAGCAUCACUGCAAUGACAUGGGAACACUUAUGGAUGCUCUGGCUAAAUAUGCUGAUUCUGAUAGUACCAAGGACCCCGAGUCUGACGAUGAAAAGACGGGGAAGGGAAAGAAGAACGGCAACACCAAGGGGCAGCAGCAUAACCCGACGGGCCACAAUAAUAAUGGUAAGCGUAAAGCAGAUCAUAAUUCAGAUUUUGUGGCUAACACCAAUACGCAGGGUAAUGGUCAGCGUCGUAAAGGUAAACCGCCGCCACGAAGAGGAGAACCCAGUCCUAAUCCGGAGCGCCUGAAUUACCAGUUGAACCUGCCCUGCCCAAAGCAUGGAUCGCAGGACAAACCGGCCACGCACCUCUGGAAGGAUUGUUAUAUCAUGCGAGAAUUCAAAAAUUCAGACUUUUUCCGGAAUGAUCAUGGACCAUCCGGCGGUUCAGGUUCCGGGUCUUACGGGCCGGGUUAUGGUGGAGGCAACUCCGGUUCAGGAUUCCAAGGCAAUCAGGGUGGACAUGGCAACCAAGGCAAUCAGAGCAACCAGGGUGGUUAUAGCCAGCAAGGAAGUCAGCAGCAGUCAGGUUACCAAAGCCACCCGAAGCAGUUGAGCAGUGGACAGUAUCACAUCUUCACCACUAGCCUGUGCAAACAUGAUCAGAAGCUUCAUAAAAGGGUGGUGAAUUCAGGUGAACCGGCGGUGCCCUGUUACUUGCGCUGGUCUGAGCAGCCCAUUGUGUGGAGUCGAGAGGAUCACCCGCCCCGGGUUGACAAUCCGGGUCAUCUGGCGUUGGUGGUGGCACCCCAAGUUGGAGGUUAUAAGUUUACUAAGGUACUCAUGGAUGGGGGGAGCAGUAUCAACAUCUUGUAUUACAACACCUUCCGUUGUAUGGGGUUAACAGAUAAGAAUCUAAAACCGUCAAACACUAUUUUUCAUGGUGUGGUGCCUGGCAAGUCAGCUUAUCCGGUUGGUAAGAUAGCCCUGGAGGUUGCCUUUGGAGAUGAGCAUGACUCGAGAUCAGAGACGUUAACUUUUGAAGUGAUGAAAAUCCAAAGCCCGUAUCAUGCCCUGUUUGGGCGGCCAGCUUACGCUAACUUCAUGGCAUGGCCCUGUUACGUCUAUCUGCAGCUCAAGAUGCCGGGUCAUAAGGGGACCAUCACAGUACAUGGAAGCCGUAAGAUCGCUUUGGAAUGUGAGGAAGGUGAUGCGGCAUAUGCUCAGUCGGUUUGUGCGACAGAGGAGCUGAAGUUCUAUAAGGACAAUGUUGAUCCAGCUGAUAUGACUUCAUUGAAAAAACCCACUACGGAGCAUGAUCCGGCCUUGAAGUUUAAAUCAGCUGAUGAGACUAAGAUGGUUGAUGUCGGGACCCCGAUCCUAAGUCACACCGAUCUAGCCUGUAACACCUCAUAUCACUUUGCGGCCUCAUGCACGGUAUUCCCAUGGGUGUCGCCUUACCAUGGCCCGGGACCGUUUGCGCCUUUUGGCUCACGUAUAUGAUAGUGUCGCUAGCAUCCAUAUGACAGAGAACCCGGGCCGACAUGGCUAGUCGUGAACCCAAAGCGGCACUAACUUACGGGGACAGGCAUACAUGAAUCAACAUCGAGCAUGCCAGUCAGCAGCGUGUGAAUCCGGGCUGUAGCACUGGGCUAACAGGACUCCGGGAACCCGGGCUGUAGCAGGCUAGGCAGGACUCCGGAUGUCACCGCGUGCCAUUUCCCCGAAGGGACAGACACAGGAACGAAGUGAAACACAUGCCGGCCAGUCAAGCGUUCUGGAGCAGUAGUGCUGGGCUAGCAGGACUCCGGUGAACCGGGCUGUACCGGACUACUAUCGCUCAUGGAAGCACUAGACUACAUUUCCCCAUAAGAGAGGCUGCCAGGGAUAAACAACUAGAUAGUCGGAUCCCACACAUAGCAAUACACGUCACACAUACGCAUAACAUGCAAGUAUGUGAUGUACAACAUGGCAUCACAACAUAACUCAACUCAUAUAGAUAAAGGCUCAGAAGAGCCACAUAGCAUUAAAUACAAACAGGGGUCACAUGACCCAUCAUUCAGAGCACACAAGCAACAAGCGGAAGCAUUACAUGUCUGGGUACAGACAUCUACAAAUGAAAAAGGCUGAAGAGCCUGACUAUCUACAACAUCCGAUCAAGAUCGUAGCUGAGGUACAAGCUACUUGUCGAAGUUCACGAGAACACUAGUAAGACCGAAGUCUCCGCUGCAAAAACAUAAAUAAAGCAACAUGAGUACAAAGGUACUCAGCAAGACUUACAUCAGAUCCUAUCAUACAUGCAUUAGUAUCAAGGAGGCAAUGUGGGGUUCAGUUGCAGCAAGCCAGCUUUGACUCAGUGGCUAUCCUGUUCUACGACUACGAGAAACUUCUUUAAGGUGAGACAAUGCACACGAGUCCACUAAUCACCAUCUCAAUACACCACUAUGGAUUCAUUCCCGUCUCCCUACGAGAAGCCAUCCAUAGCACCUCCACCUAUCUUGAGAAUUUUAGAGUAUCCACUUCAAGUUGUCUAUGUACCACGUAAGCAUCCAAGAAGUCCAUAACCGAGGACACGACUAUUGGAAUAUAUCAUGAUAACCCUGCAGGGGUGUACUUCUUCACACACGCUCUCGCCACUUACCGCCAUGUACACGUCAUGUAUCUCGGCAACAUUCAAGCGGAAGCCUGGCGAGGGUGUCGGCCACGACCUGACUAACCACACAAGACUCUAGUCCAAGUUUAUCGCCUAUUCGGGUUCCAUCCGUAAGGAGAUCCGGCCAGGGUGUCGCUCACGACCCCAAACGAUGUGAGCAGGGUUCCCAAGCCCACCAUCCGGGUGCCACUUGGUACACCGUGCCACCUGUGCCUAGUCUGUCCCAAGCCCACCCUGUCGGGUGCCACUCGGUAGAAAAAUAGCACUACCUACAAACACCAGAAACUAGUUGCAACUCCUGGACAGAGAUCAAGUUGGUUAAUAAGUCAAGAGGGGCCGAGUUACCGGAACCCAGUGUGUGGUAGUAGCUAGUCAUUGGACAACAUACACAGAACUUAGUGCUUAAGGACGGUUCCAGUGAGACAACCCACCAUGUACUCCUACAUGGCCUCUCACCGCUACCUUUACCAAAUCCUGUUCAUACACUUAACUCUCAGCACCAGAACAUAUCGUAACACUCUAAUUCAUUCCCAAUGAAUCAGACCUGACACAACUCUAAGCAAUAGCAGGCAUGGCAUGGUAGGAACACAACAUUGCUCAAUCAACUCCUACACAUGCUAGUGGGUUUCAACUAUUUACUGUGGCAAUGACAGGUCAUGAAGAGGAAUGGGUUCAACUACCGCAGCAUAAAGUAGUAGUUGAAUCAUUGUUGUCCUAAUGCAAUAAAAGAGAGCAGGAGCGAGAGAGUGGGAUUGUAUCAGAAUGAACAAGGGGGGUUGCUUGCCUGGUAGAUCAAUAGAGGGGCACCGCUUCACAGACAGGUACUCUGGAGCACUCUCCGGAGCAGAACCUAUCGAGAAGGAACGGUGUCGACAAUCAAUACACAAUCAUAUGCAACAAUAUGAUGCAUGAACAUGGCAUGUAGAUGUGAUGUUGUUUGUGCUAAUGCAUCUAGCAUUUCACUUGGAAGGAGUCCAUUUGAACCAAAGAUUCAAAUGCAUCUCCAAAGUAAGCUCUUAUGUAUGCCAUUUAUAUGUUUUCACUAAUACAGUAGGUAUAAGUUGGUUAGUCAUGCAUGAAACUGGUACAGAUGGUUAGAUUGAAUUUUUCUGAUAAUUUUUCAUAUAUAAAUUAUUUCAAUCUGAGUUACGGCCGAAUUUCUAUGAUUUUUUGAAGUUUAUAUCAUUUUCUGGAUUUUCCUGAUUUAUUUUUAAACCAGAAAACGAUUAAUUGUGUCAGCAUGACAGUGGCAUGACGUCAGCGAGUCAACCGCGGCUGACCAGGUCAAACCUGACGUGUGGGGUCCACACGUCAGUGUCACAAUGUUAAACAGAGGGGUUUUUACUAAUCUAAUUAAAAUUAGUGGCGCUGGGCCCCACUGUCAGUGUCUCUAGGGGGUAAUUAGUGCCUAACUAAAAGGCCACGUCAGCCCGCCGGAGUUUUGGCCGGCGGCGACCAAUACCGCGGCGGCAACUCGCCAGACUUGCGCUACGAGCGGCGGUUGGACGCGCGGAGACCACUGGGGCGUAGCCCGUCCUCGUCCGUAUCUAGGGGAGCAGGUGGGAGGCGGCGGGGGAGCCGGAGCUCGCCGGAGCGGGGCUCGAGGCGGCGGGGCGGCGAUGGGGAUCCACGGCGGCCGGAUACAAAGAUGGCGAUGGCGUCGGCUCCACGGGGCGCUUCGGCUUGCGUGGCUCGGCGGAGGGCUUCAGAGCGAGGAGGCGAAGCUCUGGGACACGACGGAGGUGCGAGGGGACGGCGGGGAGUGUGUCGGCGGUGAACUGCAGCGACGGCAGCGCUCGGCUGUUGUGGGUGAGGGCGACAGAGGCGGGGAGGAGGACGGGGGAGAGUGAGAGAGGCUUGGGGGGGUGCGUGGCGACGCACGCGUGAUCCAGGCGACGAGGGGAAGAAGCAGGAGGUGGCGGGGAGACGUGCCCGCGGCCGGUCGCGUGGCCGCGCACGCCGUCGCGUGCCCCUGUCCUUCUGUCAUCGCCAGGAGGACGACGGUUGGCGGUUGGGCCAGCGGGCCACGGGGUGUUGGGCCGGUCGGCUUGCUGGGCCACCAGGUGAGCGCCAGGUAAGCCUCUUUCCUUUACUCUAUUUUGUUUUCUUUUCUAUUUUCUGACAUUUGUUUCUGAUUUAGUAAAAUACUAAACCAGUUUAUUUUCUUCUGAAAAUUAUUGUAGGAACUAAUUGGAUUGCUCCAACACUUCUCAUCAAUUAACAGAAUUUUUGGACAUAUUAUAUAUAUAUAACAAAUAUAUAUCCAAAGCAAAUAAUUAUGCAUUAAUUCCAAAUGGCCAAAAUAAAUAUCCAUGAGCUCCUAAAAAUAUUUGUUUGGAUUUUACCUCUGCCCAAUAUUUUCAGAGAGCAACAUGAACAAUUUCUUGGACCUUUUUGGAGCAAUUUUUAUCUGGGUUAUUUCCAGAAAUGAUGUCUGAGGGUUUCACAAAUCCCCAUUUCAAAUUUAAAUGAAAUUUAAACAUGAUGCACACAUGACUAGAUAGCCUUGAGCAUACCAGAACUAGGGAUGUGACAGUUGAUUUUGUGCCUGGCGAUUCAUCCAAACAGUUCAUCAUCAGCGCAAAUCUGGAUCCAAAAUAGGAAAGCGCGCUCAUCGAGUUCAUCCGUGAGAAUCGGGAUAUCUUUGCAUGGAAGCCUUCUGACAUGCCAGGUGUACCGAGGGAACUCGCUGAGCACACCCUUAAUAUUGAUCCCAAGUUUAAACCGGUCCGACAGUUUCUUCGCCGUUUCAGUGAAGAGAGGCGCAAGGCCAUUGGUGAGGAGGUAGCCCGGCUUUUGGCAGCGGGAUUCAUUGUUGAAGUUUUUCAUCCGGAGUGGUUGGCUAAUCCGGUGCUAGUACUUAAGAAGAAUGGCACUUGGCGUAUGUGUGUGGACUACACAUAUUUGAACAAGGCGUGCCCAGCUGAUCCUUUUGCCCUCCCUCGUAUUGAUCAAAUCAUUGAUGCUACAGCGGGUUGUGAGCGUUUGAGUUUUCUGGAUGCUUAUUUGGGUUAUCAUCAGAUCAAGAUGGCAGUUAAGGACCAGGAGAAGACAAUGUUUAUAACUCCCUUUGGAGCCUUUUGCUAUGUGUCUAUGCCCUUUGGGCUCAAGAGUGCCCAGGCAACUUAUCAGCGUUGUGUCCAGAAUUGUCUUCCUAAUCAGAUCGGGCGCAACGUUCAUGCUUAUGUGGAUGAUAUUGUGGUGAAAUCCAGGAAGGAGGAAACAUUAAUAGACGACUUGAAGGAGAUCUUUGAUAAUCUCCGGGUCUAUAAGAUGAUGCUCAACCCGGCCAAGUGUGUUUUUGGUGUACCGGCAGGCAACUCUUGGGUUUUCUAGUGUCUAACAGGGGCAUUGAGGCUAAUCCAGAUAAAAUCAAGGCGAUUACUUCGUUGGCUAAACCGAAGUGUAUCAAUGAUGUUCAAUGCUUGGCGGGCCGGAUUGCAGCCUUAAGCCGGUUUAUCAGUCGCCUUGGGGAGAAGGCCAUCCCUUUGUAUCAAGUGCUGAAGAAAACAUAUAACUUCAUCUGGAGUGAUGCAGCUAAUGAAGAGUUUGAGGCUCUAAAGCGGCAGCUCGCCGAACCUCCUGUCCUUGCCGCCCGCAUUGACAAGGAACCAUUGCUGUUAUAUGUGGCUGCUAACGCCCGGGCUGUUAGCGUGGCUAUUGUGGUGGAGCGCAAGGAGGCAGGAAAAGAGUAUCCGGUUCAACGGCCGGUUUAUUACAUUAGUGAGGUGCUCAUUGAGUCAAAGCAGAGAUAUCCACGUUGGCAGAAGCUUGUAUAUGGAGUUUUCAUGGCGAGCCGGAAGCUGAAGCAAUACUUUCAGGGCCAUCCCAUUACUAUGGUCAGUUCUGCUCCUUUGGGAGAUAUCAUCCAGAACAGAGAAGCGACUGGCCGGUUGCUAAGUGGGCUAUUGAGCUUGGUCCUCACGGAUUAAAAUAUAUGCCUCGCACGGCCAUCAAGUCUCAAGCGCUCGUGGAUUUCAUCAAUGACUGGACAGAGUUGCAGGCGCCGGAGGAUAAACCGGAUAACACAUACUGGACGAUUCACUUCGACGGAUCCAGGCAAUUGGAGGGCUCGGGGGCUGGAGUGGUUCUUACUUCCCCUUGAGGUGACAAAUUUUGUUAUGUUCUCCGCUUGAUGUUUCCUUGUACUAACAAUGAAGCUGAGUACGAGGCCCUGCUCCAUGGUCUUUGGAUGGCUAAGGAAAUGAAUCUGAGCUGGGUUAAAUGCUUUGGUGACUCGGACCUGGUGGCUCAACAAGUCUCUGGUACUUGGGAUUCCAAGGACCCCCUCAUGGCAGCAUAUCGUCGAGAGGUGGAUAUUGUUGCAGGUCACUUCAAGGGUUAUCAGGUUGAUCAUGUGGACCGGCGAAAGAAUGAAGCGGCGGACGCUUUAAGUCGGUUGGGCUCCCAGCGUAAACCGGUGCCGCCCAAUGUUUUUCUUGAUGUUUUGCAUAACCCGUCUGUCAAACUCCCCACGGAGGAGGAUUUAGCUGUUCCUGAUCCAGAAGCUCAGUUGGUGGCGGCGCUCCACAUCACCCCGGAUUGGACAGUCCCAUAUUUGGCGUAUAUGAACCGGGGUGAGUUACCAGAGGAUGAAGUUCUGGCCAGACAGAUAAUCCGGCGUUCCAAGUCCAUGACUAUUAUCAAUGGCGAGUUACAUCAUUGCAGUGUCUCAGGGGCAUUUCAGCGCUGUGUUUCUCCUGAAGAAGGCUGUGAAAUUUUGCGCGAAAUCCACGAAGGUGAUUGUGGUCAUCAUGCCGGUUCAAAAUCCCUUGUGGCUAAGGCUUUUCAUCACGGUUUCUAUUGGCUGACGGCUCAUGCUGAUGCUAAGGACUUGGUCAAAAAGUGCGAUGGCUGUUAGAAGUUUGCUCGCCGGGCUCAUGUUCCGGCCCAGGAGCUGAGGAUGAUUCCAAUCACCUGGCCAUUUGCAACCUGGGAGCUUGAUAUGGUUGGACCCUUUAAGAGGUCUAAGGAUAAGAAGACCCACCUUUUGGUGGUGGUUGAUAAGUUCCAAGUGGGAGGAAGCAGAGCCAGUUAGCAAGUGUGAUGCGGCCACGACGGUUCAAUUCAUGAAGAAGGUGAUAUUCCGCUUUGGUUUUCCACACAGCAUUAUAACAGAUAAUGGCACGAAUAUUUCCAAAGGUGCUAUGGAGGAGUUCUGUCAACUAGAGCACAUCCGGCUUGAUGUGUCUUCAGUGGCCCACCCCCAAUCUAACGGUCAAGCGGAGAGAGCUAAUCAAGAAAUCCUGAAGGGUAUCAAGCCCCAGCUUAUGGUUCCUUUGCAGAGGACGCUGGGUUGUUGGGUGGAAGAGUUGCCUUCCGUUUUAUGGAGCAUUAACACCACCCCCAAUAGAUCUACGGGUUAUACACCCUUCUUCAUGGUUUAUGGAGUGGAAGCAGUCCUCCCAAGUGAUAUUCGCCAUGAUUUGCCUCGAGUGGCAGCUUAUGUUGAAGCGGACAAUGAAAGAGCACGCCAAGAUGCAUUGGACCUGUUAGAUGAGAAACAGGACAUAGCGGUGGCUUGCUCGGCGAUUUAUCAGCAAGACCUGCGGCGUUAUCACAACCGCCGGGUUAAAACCAGAACUUUUCAAGAAGGUGACUUAGUGCUCCGGCUUAUCCAAGAUCAGACCGAUAUGCACAAGUUAUCCCCGCCUUGGGAAGGGCCCUAUGUGGUCAGCAAGAAUCUGAACAACGGAUCAUACUACCUCAUUGAUGUUCGAGAGCAUAAAGACCCACGCAAGUCAGAGGAGGAGACGAUCCGACCAUGGAACAUAGCUCAUAUACGACCUUACUACACCUGAGCCAUAGGCUCCUAUCAUGUACAUAUUUUGACGAUGUAUAUAUUAUGAUCAAUAUAAUAAACCGAAGCCCCAGCUAAAGCGGGGUAUCUGUUAUUUUUCUCAUAUCAUGAGUGGUUACACGGAGGCUUCUAUUUGUAAAGCGACAUCCGGUUUACCCCUUUAUUCAGCUUAUACAACUAUCUAUCAAUAUAAGUCACUUGGGGGCUUGGUCGUAUUCAAACCAUAGCCACACCUCUUGACUGGCUCAGAGCCACAAAAGAAAGUCACUUGGGGGCUUGAUCGUAUUCGAACCAUAGCUACGCCUUUUGAUUGGCUCAGAGCCAUAACAGAAUUACUUAGGGGGCAAAGAGAGUGUUGUAAAAGAACAACUCAAACAUGGGCACCCAUUGAGCACAGCUCAAAAUGUAGCUUGGGGAUUCUUUGCUAUCGCAAUGAACAAAGAAUCUACACUUGCAAUAGGCUAUCAAGCCACGGCUUGGAAGCCUGGUGUAUACACCUAAAACCCCGGGUUAACCUGCCUUCAUCAAGUAAGUCACUCCGUCCAGGUAAACCUGGUAUGACCCGAUAACUUGACAAGUCAAUCUCAAUAUGACCCUGAACUUGUCAAUGUUAAACCAGCGAUUGGUUAAGGAUUUAGGACCAUCUUAAAAGGCUUUGUAAAAUGGUUUAACUCAGUGGCCUGGCAGCCCAUGAAAAGCCUCGCAUUUGGGCCUGACAGCCCUUGAAAAGCCUCGACUACAAGUUUUUCUUUUGCUUUUAUUUGUCAGUUUUUUUCUCCCUUGAUAAAGGUUUUGAGUUAAACCGGCGUCCAAUGGCCCGGCCUGACUACAAGUCAUCAAUAUAAACCGGUGUUUAUUUAACUCGGCCUGGAGUUAACUAUAAGUUGCCAGGGUGAUCAUCCGGUGUUUAUCAUAACCCGACAUCACUUAUUGUAUACCAGCAUAGCAUGGUUUGAGUUAUCAGCACUCAAGAUUUGGGUCGUCACCCUUAUUACAAGAACGUUGGUAAAGCAACAAGGUGAUUCAAUAUCACAGGUAUGAUAUGUUUCGUAUUUCAUUAUCUUUAAAGCUUUGGUUAUAAACCAUGGCUAUAUCUUGGGCAUUAUGACCCGUCCGGCGAUAAACCGCCAAGACAAUUUUCAGUCUAUUUUAUGCAGAAACAGGACUGUAUAAAACUGUUAAGGAUCAUAAGCAAAUAUAGCAUGAUGGAUUAACAAUAUUGUGCAAAGUAAAUAUGCACGAUGGCAUAACAGAUCAAGUGUUCAAGCUAGCCUAUUACAAGGCGUUUUGACUACCCAAAAUAAUAAUUGUUUUUCACAAGGAUGACAGUGUGCACAAGCUAAACCAGCUUCCGGAUUAUGACUCUGCCUCAGGUUGAUGUGAAGGUUGUGGAUCUUCCUGUGCCGGUUCACCCUCCUUCUCCCCACCCAGUGGCUGGAAGUCAACAGUUGUCCAAUCAAUCCCUGUUAAGGCUUGGAAGACAGCUUCAUCGUGUAUAAGAUCAGACGGUUCAACGUCAGGAGUGUAAGUAUGCUUACGGAUCGGCGGGAUCAGAUUUUCCACGUCAUAAGUUGGUGCAUUCAUCCGCUUGCCGCUCGCAUCAUAAACAUUCUGAUAAAAUGACAAGUCAGUGUCUUCAGCCAACUUACUUGCCAGUGGACGCAUCUCUCUUGUGAUGGCCCGGAGAUCGUCAUUGUCGAAUUCUGACCUGUCCUCUUUUUGGCUUGGAUAACCCUUCCCAACGUCUUUCGGAUCAAGGUCAGAUAUCCAGGGCUUGGCACGAGUCAGUGCAGUAAGGGCACCGGACCUAGCAGCGGAUUUCUUCAAUUCUACAAUCUGGGCAGGCAUCAUAGAUAACCUCUCCAGUGUUUCCUUGAUUAGCGUUGGGGGCGGCUUGUUAUUGGAGGCUGUGCAGAUGGCUCGUUGAGCGCCGGUAUAUAGCUGUUCUACCAAAGUAUAGACAUCCUUCAACUUUUUGCGCAUGUCUGCGCCAAGAUGAGUAACAUGGCUACCUACAAAAGGAUCAAAUUAUUGUUAAACCGGAAGUUUUCAUAACUGACAUUUGUUACAAAUUUGUGAAGAGAUUGUUACCAAAGAUGGCAGAGGUCAUGGCAUCGAUCUACCGCUUCAAGCUGCUCAGUUCUUCUGUCACCGGUUUAAGGGCAUUUUCCGCGUCUUCUGCCUGCUUUAACAAAGUGGAUUUUUCAGUUUCCCAGUCUGCCCGUUCACCUUUAAAGUACUCCUUCAGUUGUUUCAUGGUUGUUAAAGCGGUGGUCAGCUCGCCUUUAACUUUGCAAGUUUCAUCUUGCUGGGACUUGAUGUUUUCCUGGAGAUCGGUGAUUUGGGAGUCCUUUUUGGUCAGCUUAGCCUGAAAAAGACAGUUAAUGAGUUAGUACUACAACUCUGAAGUCCCAAGCACAUAACAAGUUAUCUACUUGGCACUUGGGGGCUAACGCGGAUUGCUUUUUAUCAGAUGUUAGUUUAAAGUCCCAAGCACAUAACAAGUUAUCUACUUGACACUUGGGGGCUAAUGCAUAUUUGCUCAGUUUCAGACGGAUUAUCAUAAUCACAAGUGGUGAAAGCAGUAUGAUGUACCGGUUCAUUCUAAAGCUAUAAACCGGUCCAUGGGGGCUACACCAGCAAAAUUCAAACAUUGAUUCUAUUACAAGACCCGGUUCAUAUCAACGUUAUGAACCGGCCCUUGGGGGCUACUGGAGUUGAUAGUUUAAACCAAUUAUAAGAAAGGAAUAUUUAUGCAAAGGGAAGUGAUAUUUACCUCAUACCGUUCCUUCAUUAGACCUACUAAGCCAGCUUCAUAGUCGCGGCUUGUAUAUAGGCGGUUCAAAAAGCCAGAAUGAAGGUCUUGGGCGCUGAGGUUGGCAUAGCUUGAUAACUCAGAUUUCCAUUUGCCCUUGUCCAUAGCAGAAAUUUCUUCUUUGGCGCUAUGUUUUGAUAAAGCGACAGGACGGCCAGGGGAGGUGAAGCCAAUACCAGUUACAACAACAUCGUCGUUCGUAGUCUUGGCAGGGCUUGGCGAUUUAUCAGACGCUUUAGCUGGGCUCAGUGGAUCCACAGUCGGACUUGGUGGAUCAGCUGGCUGGCCUGUUCGGUUUUUUUCCAUCGGUUCAACAAAUGUGUCAGUUGCUUGAGGUUCCGGAUCAUCAAGGAUAGUGUUUUCCUCCGGAUCAACAGCUUCUAGGGUUUUCUCCGGUUCAGUGGCCGGUUCAUGGUCGGUCGGCUUAUUCAAUUUAGCCUUCUUGCUUGGUCUGGCUUUGGCUCUGGAAAGAGCAGGCACGGAAAUUAGUAUGAUAAAAUAAUACAAGACCAAAAAAGUUAAAGUGUGUUAUGCUUACCCAGGGACAGUUUUAAGGGGAGGAAGUUGCGUAGCGGACGACUCGCCGGAUGAUGAAUGGGAAGUUCCCUGAUAAUUUGAGUCAGACGGAUUAAGAGGAUAUCGGAAGUAACCCGCCUUAGGGUAAAGGGUAUCAGGAAUAUAAGCAACCUCUUGGCGACGUUUGCGAACCGGAGAAUUUGGUAAACCGGAGGAGGUCACCAAUUGGCCACUAUGCCGGGUCGUGCGGCGAGUUUCAUGUUGUUGUGUCUUCGAAAGAAAGUGCGGAUCCAAAUAAGAAAGAGGACAUGAAAAUUUUACUUUCCGGAUGGCUCGACGGAUUCUUGGUACUGGCACAAGAUUUGAAUCAGAAGAAAGAAUAAUUACCUCAUUAGCAUGGCUAGCUUCCGCUUCAUCCUGAUAAUGAUCAUUGUCAAUAAGGUGUAUGAAAAAUGAACCGAGAGAGUCAAGUUCUACCUCUGAAUCCGGAUUGUCCAGAUCAUCGUCAAUGACGGGCUCGGACGGUUCAACGUUUCUCCUUUUCAGAAGCUUCUUUGAAGCCUUGGUCUUAAGCCGAGGAGCUCUUGCCGGUUUAUCCUGUGAUUUCCUUUUCCAGAAUGGAUCGUUGGCCUGCAUAGACAGAUAGUAAGUUAUCAAAGAAAAUCUAAACAAACGGCGGAUUAAGACAGAAAUGCGGUAAAUUCUACCUUUGGCGGUUUGUUGGCAGCAUAGAAAGGACUGAGCCCGGUUUUGCUGCAUACAUCUAUCGACUCAUCAAGCAUUUUCUUCACAGAUUCGGUGACUUCAUCAUCAGUAAGCUGGAUAUCAAUAUGACGCUGAGGGUCUUUCAGAUCCCCUGUGUAUUCACAUAUUAAACUAGGGCGCCGGCUUAAAGGUAAAACGCUCCAUGAAACCCAGCAUCGAACAAAGUCCACGGCUGUCAGCCCGUUUGCAACAAAGGUUCUGAGCUUUGCCAGCUGAGGGGCGUAUUUUGCUCGCUCCUGGGCGGUCAGUCGCUGAGGAAAGGGAUGAGUUUUUGUAAGCUGGUGUGGGCGAUAACCCGGCAAAGGAUUUUCAUUAUCUGGAGUUGUAUUGCGGCAAUAAAACCAAGUCUGAUUCCAGUCCUUGGGAUGACUAUGAAGCUUGGCGUGAGGGAAGUCAACAUCUCUCCUCUUUUGAAUCAAAACCCCGCCUAGUUCAGUGUUGGGUCCGUCCGUAAACUCAGUACAGCGGUUUAAAUAAAAGAAAUCCCGGAAUAGAUCAACAGUAGGCUCCUCUUGCAGGUACACUUCAUAGAAUACUUGCCAGCCACAAAUAUUGGAUACUGAGUUUGGACCGAUGUCUUGAGGGUGGAUUUGAAAGCUGGCGAGCACGUCACGAAAGAAUUUUGAUCCGGGAGGGGUGAAGCCUUGGCUCAGGUGAUCAGCAAACACAAUAACUUCUCCAUCCUGGGGUUCAGGAGGAUUUUAUGGACCGGGGACUCGCCAAUGAAUGGUGUCUUUGCUUGCUAAAGCGCCCGUUGCAACACACCCAGUCAGCUGUGCUUCCGUAACCCGGGAAGGAACCCAAUUGCAAGAGAAAAACUGUUUGGCCAUUUGAGUGGAAAGCUGGAAAAAGGAUUAAUAUCCGGUUCAAAAUUCAUGACUGAUACUUAUAAACCGGUGCAACGAUGGAAGAAGAUGACAUUGAAACGUCUUUACAUAUUAAACCGGAUUCAGAUACUUAAAGCAGCUGGCGGUUUAAAAGAAGGCUAAUGGUACCUGGCGGGUUAUCAUGUUCUAAGAGAUAAACCGCCUACAAUGGUAUGGAAGCUACGGAUCUGAAAAAAAUUCUAAGUGUUGCACAAACAGAAUUCCCAUAUUGGUGUCAUAAUUUUGGAUCUAUCGCGGUUCUAAAAGGGAGAUAAAUUUUCACCCUAAAGUGGUGACAGUAGAAGAACAUGUCUGCUUGGCUGGGAUCUCAUGUAGUAAAAGGUAGUUUCUGAGGUUGGCAAGGGGCGCUGAACUAUUAUCGCUAGCCUUUACUAUCAGUUUCAGAUCAAGGUAUUGGGAUCUAAGAGAGAGAAAAGGACGAACAGUGAAGAACACCGACGAACAGCGGAACCCUAAUGCAGAUCUAAUAUUAAAGAGGAAGAGUACUUACUGAUGUUGUGGAACAGCGGAGGCGCGUUGCAGUUUCUCUGGUUAAGAACAGGUUGAUGCAGCGGCCUUUGUUGGUGCAGACGUGAAGGUCGACGGCGGCGGUGGAGCUCGGGCUCUGAGGCGUCGUGAGGAAGAAGAAGAGAUGAAGAGACAAGGGGGGAAAAGGGGAAGGACCCUCGAUCUUAUUUAUAAAGGCGAAAGGAUAAGUGUCAAGCGCGAGAAUCGAGGAGCCUAAUAGUAGGAUAUGUGACAGAGUUGGCGCCUCGAUUGUUGGAGGAUAAUUAAUGAAGGUGAGGUAUAUAUCAUUUUAAAUAACAGGUGAUGUCAUGGUGGUUUAUCAUGAUACUGGACGAUGACGUCACAACGGUUUACAAGAUUUAUGCAAAGGUGUUGAAGGAAGAAAUUUUCUCAAGUUUUGAAGAUUGACAUGAACCAGUCCAAAUCAAUCUGGGGCCUAAUGUUGGGGAUAUUACUACUGGGCGUAAACCGGCCAGGUGAAGCCGGGUUAUCCUCAUAAUGGAUUGUUUAUAUUUGAAGCCCAUGAAAGCAAGGAAUAAGGCGCUUUACUACAAAGACUCAAAGGCCCAAGGCCCAAAGGUAGAUUAGGGCCUGUAGCUAUAAACCGCCAUGUAAUACAUAACUUGUAUCGUGAGGUAUGAGAAAGUAGAGACCGAGCCGGAUGCAUGUAUAAACCGGCAUCGGGACUCUGUAAGCCGGUGGGCGUCGACCUGUGUAUAGAAAGGCAUGACCUGGCGGCAUUUCAAGGAGAAGAGACAAUAACUCGAGAUCCAGGUAAAGCGAUUCCGCUCUCUGAUCAUCGAGACCAGAUCAAUUCCACCACAACUGGAUCGUAGGAUUUUACCUUCACCGCAAGGGGCCGAACCAGUAUAAACUCCCGUGUCCUUUGUCCAGUUUAACCCCUUUAAGCUAACCCGUUGCGAUGGCUCCACGACUAAGUCCUUUCACUAGGACAUCUGCCGUGACAAACCUACGACAAUAUGAAAGGUCCAACCAAUAUCACUCUGCCAAGUUGAAACUGUCUGGCGUUUCAACAAAUUAGAAACAGUACAUGCUAGAAAUCAUAUGCAAGACACAACCAAUAUCACAAUGGCGACUUAAAGGUGCCGUAUCAUAAGUGACUGAUGCGGGAUAUGCAAGAACAGUAGUCUGAUGUAAGAACAUGGUGUGAUCAGAUAUAGUAUGUUCUAGAAACAGGAACACGUGUCAUAUUCACAGGCAUUAUGUGUAAAGUAAGCAGAUGCAAUUCAACAAAGUUAGAAGCAAUACAAGCUAGACAUCAUACGCAACAUGCAACCACAUAUAAUAGUGCCAAUUUAGAGCAAGCACCUGUGAUGGUGGUGUAGGGGAGAUGUGCUCAUCAUCUACACAGCUACAUGGACUAUCUAGCCUUGCGUUGUCUUGCGAAUCUUGUUGGGAGGAUGGCGGAGUAGAAUCUAUAGAGACCCUCCGUUUCAGUUGCUCGGAAGGACCACCAUCAUCCAAUGCCUUACCAAUUUCCUUCCGCUUUAUUGAUUUUGCAUUGUGAGGUCAAACCGACAAGAAAAAGGAAUAAAAUUCGCUCUUCAGAACUCAUUCAUGCAUGAUAGUGACGAACACUACUCUGAUGAAAGGCAAAGUCAUGAUACGAGGAUGGAAUAUGUACUAAAAACUGGACGGCUUGACAUAUUCACACCUAUGAUGUGGUAACUAAGCAGAAGGCACUUCAACAAAUUAGAAGCACUGCAAGCUAGACACCAUAUGGAAGGUGCAAUCAAUAUCACUCUGCCAAGUUAAAACUGUCUCGUCAUAGGUGGUGUUCAUCAAACUAGAAGCACUACAUGCUAGAAAUCAUAUUCAAGACGCAAACCAAUAUCACACUGCCAACUUAAAGGUGUCCCAUCAUAUGUGACUGACGCAGGAUACACAAGAAGAGUAGUUUCAUGUAAGAACAUGGUGUGAUAGACAGAUAUAGUAUGUACCAAAAACAGGAAAGUGUGUCAUAUUCACACGUAUCAUGUGUAAGCUAAGCAGAUGCAGUUUACACUAAUUAGGAGCAAUACAAGCUAGACACCAUAUGCAAUGCAACUAGAUAUAACACUGCCAAGUUAGAGCAAGCACCUUGGAUGGUGGAGUAGGGGAGCGGAGACUUGGAACUUGUAAUGCACUAGCAGUACAAGGAGAAUCCGUACAGAUGCUCCGUUUACGUUGCUGCAGAGGACCACCAUCAUCACCUUCCUUACUCUUUUCUUUCCUCUGUUUUGAUUUUGCCUUGUCAAGUCAAACCCACAAGAAAAAGGAAUAAAAUUUGCUCUUUAGAACUCAUUGAUGCAUGAUACUAACGAACACUACUUUCAUCUAAGACAGCCGCAUGAUAGGAGGAUGGAAUAUGUAUGAAAAACAGGACGGCAUGACAUAUUGACUUGUAUGAUGUAUAAAGUGUAAACUAAGCACAAGGUGUUUAAACUAGUUAGAAGCAAUGCAAGCUAGAAACCAUAUGAAAGAUGAAACCAAUAUCAAUCUGCCAAAUUAAAAGGGUGGCCUAACAAAUGUAUUUGACCAAAUUAGAAGCAAUACAUCGCAACAAGUAUAAUGUGUAAACUAAGCAGAUGCAAUUUACCCUAAUUAGAAGCAUUACAAGCUAGACACCGUAUGCAACAUGCAACCACAUAUCACACUGCGAAGUUAGAGCAAGCACCGACGAUGGUGGGGUAGGGGAAGUGCGGUCUUCAAGUACAGAGCUACGUUCAAUAUCUUCAUUUAGGCUUGCUGUUUCUUGAGAAUCAUGUGGAGAGGAUGAAACUGCACUCUUUAUAAGAGUAGCGCGUCUCAUACUAACCCACGGGCGUGACUGUCUCAUCAUAAGCGAUAGAUGCAGGAUACACAAGAACAAUAGUUUGAUGUAAGAACAUGGUGUGAUAGGCAGAUGUAGUAUGUACCAAAAACAGGAAGGCAUGUCAUAUUCACAUGUAUAAUGUGUAAGCUAAUUAAGGAGAUGCAAUUUAACAAAUUAGGAGCAAUACAAGCUAGGAACCAUAUGCAACCAGAUAUCACACUACCAUGUUAGAGCAAGCACCUGGGGUUGUGGAGUAGAGGAUAUGAGAUUUGGAACUUGCACUGCAGUAGGAGUAGCAGGAGAAUCUGUAGAGAUCAUCUGUUUCGGUUGCUCCAAAGGACCACCAUCAUUCCGUGCCUUCGUCCUUUUAGAUUUUGCCUUGUCAAGUAAACACACAAGAAAAAGGAAUGAAAUUCGCACUUCCAAAUUCGUUGAUGCAUGAUACUGACGAACCGAACCUUUAUGUAUGGCAACCACAUUGUAGGAGGAUGGAAUAUGUACGAAAAACGCUGAGCAGAAGGCAUUUCAACAAAUUGGAAGCAAUGCAAUCUAAACACCAUAUGAAAGAUCCAACCAAAAUCACUCUACCAAGUUAGAUAUGUCUCAUUAUAAUUGGCACUUGAACAAAUUAGAGGCAAUACAUGUUUGAAAUGAUAUGCAAGAUGCAACCAAUAUUACACUGUCAACUUGAAGGUGUCUCGUCAGAAGUAAUUGAUGAGGGAUACACAAGAAAAGUAGUUUUAUGUAAGAACAUGGUUAAUAGAAAGACGUAAUAUGUACCAAAAACAUGAACGCAUGUCAUAUUCACAGGUAUAAUGUGUUAACUAAGCAGAUGCAAUUUACCCUAAUUAGAAGCAUUACAAGGUAGACACCAUAUGCAACAUGCAACCACAUAUCACACUGCCAAGUAAGAGCAAGCACCUGCGAUGGUGGUGUGAGGGAAUUGCGGUCAUCAACUAGAGAGCUAUGUUGACUAUCUUCAUUUGGCCUUGCUGUUUCUUGAGAAUCAUGUGGGGAGGAUGACACUGCACUCUUUAAACGAGUAGCGGGUCUCACAGUAACCCACUGGGGUGACUGUCUUGUCAUAAGUGAUUGAUGAGGGAUACAAAAGAGCAUUAGUUUGAUGUACGAACAUGGUUAAUAGACAUAUGUAGUAUGUAUCAAAAACAGGAAGGCAUGUCAUUAUCAAAGGUAUAAUGUGUAAAGUAAGCUGAUGCAAUUUAACCAAAUUGGAAGUAAUACAAGCUAGACACCAUAUGCAACAUGCAACCACAUUUGACAGUGCGAAGUUAAAGCAAGCACCUGGGAUGGUUGUGUGUGGCAAUUGAUAUCAUCAACUAUAGAGCUACGUUUACUGUCUCCAUCUGCUGGCACUGCACCGUUUAGAGCGCUGAGACGCUUAGUGCUUAUCUUUGAAUUACACUGGAGCGACUUCUGUCUUUUCUUUUCUGUAUUCAUCAACACUGCGUCAAAGUCUGAAAUACCCAUGCAUAAAAAACAAUAGUGUGAGUAUGGUGAAGUGUGUGCACAAUUAGUACAGUGUAAAGGUAGCAGAUAGCAGGUUGGUGAGAAAUAAAUGACAGGAGACAUAUGAUAGCUCUACAACAUGCAUGGCACACGAAAUUACUAGAUUCUACUCCCUCCAUUCCCAAAUAUUUGUCUUUCUAGACAUUUCAAAUGGUUACAACAUACAGAUGUAUGUAGACAUAUUUUAGAGUGUAGAUUCACUCAUUUUGCUUCAUAUGUAGUCAUUUGUUGAAAUCUCUAGAAAGACAAAUAUUUGGGAACGGAGGGAGUAGGAUUUUGAAAUAUGAGCACACGGAUGGCUGGGAAAUGCAGAUGCUCCUCCAGCACACCACAAGGUGUGGUCCUAUGAAAAUAACAGUCGACUGAAAACAAAUAGGCCAGUCCAUUUUUUCUGCAUCGUCCAAUGUACAAAGAACGGGCAGAUCGCCUUCAUCUACCUCCAGCCAGUCAGUGUUACGAUCUUCCUCAAAACGCCAGCGACCACCGGCCCAAUCCCCUGCCUCCGCCCUCCCCUCGACCUCACCGCACCGCCGUGCUUGGCACCGCCCCCGGCCAUCCCUUCAAGCCCCGCCGACCUCCAGAUCAAGCGCAAGCAGCUCCUGCGCCCCACACCCCUAUGAUAGACACCAAUGCGCCGCUUCCCUAAUGAACACGCGGACUAUGUGCUCUGCGCGCCUAAGCGGGUGCUUCUUCUUUUAAUUGCGAUUCAACUGACCCUGAAUUGAAAUCCAGGCGGGCUACUGACCUCUAGCAAAGGUGAAAUAGUAAAUGGGAGGAAACCUUGUGCAUUUAGUAUCACGAAGAAGAUGCAGUACGAAGCGCUCAACUAGUUUCUUUCGUGGGAUGAAUACGGUGUGAGCAGAGACAUAAGAUUUGCACGAAUAAGGGAAGAGGAGUACCUCUUUCUGCUGGCAGUGUUGUGUCCUCCUUCUGUUUUUUCAACGAUCUUCUUGUGGUUCGCUAGAAACGAGAAGUUGUGGAGGACGGUGGAACCUUGGACGAACCCAUGGCCAAGUUGUUGACUGUGGUGUGGUGGCCGUCUGUCGGCGACGGGGAACCAGAUUCGAGGCGGCGAACGAUGGCAUAGCGGGAACAGCUCCGGUGCGGUGGAUGGUUGCGACAGUGGAGCGGCAGGGGUGAGGCGCAGGACGGCAUGGUCGAAGUGGUUCUGGUACGGCACACGUCGGCGUCGGCGUCGUGGAGGCAGCUCUGCCUCGGCUUCAGCUGCUAAGUCCUUGAGGGCGUUCCGGUUGCGGUUGCGUUGGACGACGACGUCAGGGUACCGGCUCUAGCGUGAUGGAGGAGGGCAUCAGUGGAUUGGGCGCGAUGGGGUGGAGGACGGAGGAGGCUGGGGUUUCGCAGCUGGUGGAGAGGGCGUUUUGGCGUCCAUGGAGUAUGAAUGGGGAAACGGAGGGAGGGGGAAACUAAGGGUGAACAAUGUUACGGUUUGGGACGCGCUUGUUUGAAAUUUGGGGAAAGUUACAAACUUUGCCUCCAUCUAAAAUUUCGGACAUAUUGCGGGUUGGGGGUAGGACAGUAAUCUCAGGUGUCCCAAAUGGUGGGCGGGAUAGAUUUCGGCCGAGCGCAUGGGUGUUUAGGCGCCCAUGGCGUAUGAAUGCUUCUCGGAGGUGGUUGAGACUGGCGUCUUGGUGAAGUUACAAACCUACCCCGGUUCAGACCUUUGGACAUCGGGCCGAUAGGCUACACGUGCCAGAGUCAGGACAGUAAUUUCCUACCACCAAACGUUAGUCUCACGCGGUUUCGGGUGAACAGAGGCUUAUUUGGCGCUUCAUUCAAUAUUUGGGAGCAGAAGCAUUAACGUUUUCGGUUCUUUUGAAUUGAACUUUCAGGAUUUGUCAAACUUCACAAAUCUUUACUCUUGAAAAUCCCAAAACUACGAUUAUUUUGGAACGGAAGGGGUACAUUUGAAUAUACAUUGUACAUGAGUAUAUAUUGAAAAAUAUGCAACUUACCUCAGUUCAUGCAUGGUUCCAGAUAUAAUCUCCUUGGUUGCAAAAAAAAAAGUUAGACAUGCGUAUGAAUAUAUAGCAUGUUCAAACGCACAACAAAGAUUGAUGCCCCCUUUUAGAUCCGAUUUACAAAUGCCAUUAUCUCAGGUUCAAACAGAUGAAUGCACUUCCUAUGAAUUCAAAUCUUCGAAACCCCCUUUAUGUUGAAUUCAACAUGUAUUCUAUUUCGUAGCUAGCAAUUUGGAAUGUAUCCAUGUAAGUGACAAAUGUAUAAAGUGCUUCACACUAACAACAUGGAGUGCACUAAUUAAUGUUUAUAUAUGAAUUGCAAAAGCAAUGCAUUGCCUAUAUUUCAAACCGCUCUCACUCUAUGGAUCGAUGAUAUGAAAUAAACACAUGCACAUGCUAGAAUUCAAUAGUGUAUGGGUGUCUGAUAGACCGAUUUUCGUUCAUACGCAAAUUGCAAAAUUCAUGAUCUCAUCCAAAAAUAAUAAUGCCAUUUAUAUUUUAAUUUAAUGCGUAGAACCGCCUUUUACACGUAGAUGCACUAUGCCUCGGCCCGUUCUCACAAACGUGCUAUAUAUCUCUCUAUCUAACGCAUAAGUGCACACACUUUAUAUACAUCAGCAUUUCUCUUUCACACAUGCUCACAAUCUCUCCCGGGGUGUCGGGGUGUCUCACGCACACACUCUCUCUGUAUCUCUCUCUCUCUUUCUGACUACUAUGUGUACCACUCUUUUCACUAAUCUCAGUUGGAAAACACUAUUUCUCUCACAUGCAUAUAUACACACGUACAGUCUCUACUAGCCCUCUAUACGCACAUAUAUGUGCCUACGUGUCUCCGGCACGCACAUUAUAUUUAGGCCUCUCUUGCACACAUUGCGCCCCCCCAGAAACACCUCUCUCUUAGUAGUUGGCAGAUAUGAUUCCAUCAGAUCAUUCGGUAGGAUAUCCCUGACUGUUAGGCUGGAUGGUAAUACAAGGCAAAGUUUUACCCAAGUUCGGACCCUUCACUACAAAAAAAUACACUUCCGUGAUGAUACGUGUUUGUCAAACUAGGUCACAUUUUCUGUCAUGCAUGUACAUCCAUGACAAAUUUAUGACAGAAUCAAGAUAGUCAUACCUGUGCUGUCGUAGAAGUGUUCCAUGACAUUACCAAAAUUAUCAUCACGGAAGUGUCCACUUCCAUGACGAUAAAUCGCGCGUCACAGAAGUGCUUUCGUCAAGGGUGACCGACACGUGGUAUUCACCGUAACGGAACGCCGUUAAGCUAUCGGGUCCGGUUUUGGAUCCGAUAACCCGUUAACAACCCCGACAAAUGGGGAUUUUCCACAUGUAAAAUCAUCAUUGGCUGGAGGAAACACAUGUCGGCUCACCGUUCGGACAGAUGUCAUCCACUCAUUGGACCCAAAGCGCCUAUGAUACGUCGACACGUGGGACGGCCGAACAGAGGCCCAUUCCUGUGAAAAGGCCGGCCCGUUUGACUUGGUCAAAAGGUGGCAGGCCGGUCCACGGUAAGCCUGUUAACGGCAUGUUCGCAUAUAGCCCAUUUACAGCCCGCUAACCCAGGGCCCGUUUACGGCCUAUCCCAAUUAGGCCCAGUAGUGUCAUCUGGGCCGUCCCAUAUAAUUCCAGCCCAUUUUAACUUCCGGCCCAUGUAUGGCCCAUGACGUCUUUCGCCCCAUAUGAGGCCCUUAGUGACCCUCGGCCCAUUAACGGCCCGUGGUAAAAAUGGCCCGUAAUGAACAGUGUAUCACUUUAUACCCAUUAACGGCCCAUUAUUCCGUUGGGCCGUUUCCAGCCCAUGUUAUCUUUCGGCCUUCUCAGGGCCCAUUUAUUCUUGGGCUCAUUUCCAGCAUUCGUUUACUUUCGGCCUGUUACUAUCAUUUUCUGCUUGUGGGCCAAAUACAGCCCGUGGUUACAGUCAGCCCGUUUGUGGCCCGUUAAUACGUUGGGCCGUUUUCAUAGCGUCAUCAAAUACGGCCGAUUAACGACGGCCGAUUAACGACGGCCCCUUAUGGUCGGCCCAUGAACGGACGAUUUCAACUCCAGCCCAUUUACGGCCAUAAUUUGGUCUAUUAUUGGCCCAUGUUUGGCCAACCGAUCAUACGGCCCGUAGAAGGCCCAUUGAUGAUACGGCCCGUAGAAGGCCCAUUGUGUCUACGCCCCGUAGAAGGCCCAUUGUUUCUAUGGCCCUUAGAAGGCCCAUUGUUUCUUCGGCCCAUAGGAGGCCAAUGUUAACUACAGUAAAUAUGUAGCCCAUUGUUAAUGUGGCCUAGUUUUAAAAAAUAGGUUAUUGCGGCCACUAGCAAACCGCGGAAAAAGAACUGCACUGACUACAAGGAAACAAAUAAACAAGACAAUAAGGAAAUAAAUAAGCAAGCAACUUACGCUAGGCUAUCACGGCUAUUACACAUAUUACAUCCACUGGGCAUCAAAGUUCGCCACAAGUGCAAAUAUAGGGAACAAAGCAACAUAUAAAUGUCGCGGCAAAAAAGUCCAGAACUAAAACCACUUCAGAAGAGCUCAAGAAACAAUAUCCCAGGUACCCAUAAUGCUGGCAAGAUGCUUAGCAAGCUUAUUAACUUUCUCUUGUUUGGCGCUUAAAUCCUCCAGCACUUGCUGUUGCACUAGAAAGUAUGCAUCUGAAUUCUGUAGGGACUUCCUCAGUCCUUCGGCUUCCUGUCGCAUUGAUCGAUGUCUUUCAACUUGAAGUUGAGACUCAAGAAGCCGAACUGAUUCAGGCAGCGAGUUCGAAGAGCUGGUGCCAGCAGUAGUAGCCAGUAACUCGAACACUACAUCAAGACAGGACUUUGGGGUUGUCUCAGUGUCCUCAAUAUAGUUUUUAUCAGCUUUCUUGGAGAACAACAGGGAUGUCUCACUAUCUGGAACCUUAUCUGCAUUACUUCCUUUACCAUUGCAUAACGGGGUACACUUCUCCAAUAUUUUAUCUGCGUUCUAAAAGAGAAACAAACAAACACAUCACAGGUUUACAAUGUAGUAUAUGAAAGUCAUUUUGGUAAACCAGUUCAGUAGUAAGGUGGACAGGAUAACAGCAUGAAACAAACAUAUAUCUAUGUAGUAUGGUCACUGUAUGGUCUAUAUCAUUCUAGUUUAUGUUGCCAAAUCAAGAUAGAUAUACUUCGAAUCAUAUCUAUUUAAGACAAAGCAACAUAGACAGAAUAUAAGUGUGGGAAACUACACAACAAUAACAACACUUGUAAUGUGCAUGGCAUGAGAAUAUAACUGUUUAUUCAAUUGAAACUGAAAUCAACAUAGAGCAAGUUACAAUAGCAAACACGUUAAAGAAACAGGUUUAAAACAUACCUGUUGCGCCAUUGGAGUUUCAAUUGCAUCCUUCAAAUUUGAAAUUAGUUGGUAUGAGUAAAUACAGUGAUGCAAGAGCAAAGUAGUAUGAACCAUAGCUACGGAACCUAGCCUGAGAACAAUUCUUCUUCUGCUUUAAGCGUUGACUUGGGGUUCGGAGUGGUGGUCCUCGUGCUUUGGGCACUGCAGUUGCCUUACUAACUGAUCGUGUUUGGGUGCUCUGUGGUGGAAACGGUGCUGUGUCAACGGGAACUGGGUUACUAUCUGCUGGGGUCGGGGUUAGAAGGGGUGUAGCUGGUUCUCUGUCCAACUGGGUAGGGGUACAAUCUGCGUGAGUCUAGGUUAUGUGUGGUGGGGCUGGUUCUUGGGCAAGUACAACCGUGGUUCUAUCUCCAUCGACAGGUAGCACGAUCUUUUCUGAAGACCGUGUUUUUACUCCCACAGAUAUUGCCAUCACCCCCUCCAAUUGAAAUGGCUGAUAAACAAGAAAAGUAAUUGAAUGUACAGACAUUGUAAGAUAGACAGGUGCAAUGGAUAGUAGGGAAGAAAACAUGGCAUGAAAUAAUUCACAAUUAUGUUGUCUAACCAAACAGAAUAGCAGGACAUAAUUUCAAAUAUAUGAUGGCUAAUUAAACAGGAUAACAUGACACAAUUUCACAUGUAUGAUGGCUAACUAAACAGGAUAGAAUGACAUACUUCAAAAUAUGAUGACUAUGUAAACAGGAUGACAUGAUAUAACUAUACGAUGUGUCUAUUAAAGUGGUUGGCAUGCCAUAAAUCACAAACAUGCCGUCGAUGGAAACAUGAUGGCAUGAUAUAAUUCAUGGAUAGAAUGACAUAAUUCAAAAUAUGAUGACUAUGUAAACAAGAUGAGAUGAUAUAACUAUAUUAUGUCUUUAGAAAAUGGGUUGGCAUGCCAUAAUUCAGAUACAUGUUGUCUAUGUAAACAUCAUGGCAUGAUAUAAUUCAAAUAUAUGAUUUAUAUACUAAGGAAGUGAGUAGAGAGAAAUCGCAUAUAUGAUGUGUCAACUAAGGAGAUGGCAUUCAAUAUCGUGUAUAUGAUGUAAAAACUAAGCAUUGCAAUACAACAUAUGCAUGAUAUGAGUAAUAUAACCCUGCCAAGUUUGAGCAUACACCUCAGGGGGAUAAUAGGACUGGUCAUCUGCCUCUGAAUCCUCCUCUGAAGAGCUAUCUGUAACCAGCAACAUAUCUGCUUCAGCAGGUAGCAUUGUCUGCUCUGAAGACCUUGUUUUCACUCCAGAUUUCUCCAUCACCAAUUCAAAUGGCUGAUGCACAGGAAGAGCAGUUGAAUAUACAAACAUUGUCGACAAAAGCAAUGAGAAAUACAAAAAAAGGACGGCAUGAUAUAAUUCACAUAUAUGACGCUUGGCUAAACACCAUGGCAUUGCAUAAUUCACAUAUAUAAUGCCUUGCAACAAUAUAGCAUUGCAUAAUUCACAUAUAUAAUGUCUUGCAACAAGAUGGCAUUGCAUAAUUCACAUAUAUGGUAAUUAGACACUAAACAGGUGGCAUUCACACAAAUCAUGUCUAAACUAAGCAAAUGACAUAGCAAUGCAAGAUACCAUACGCACGAUAUGAGCAACAUAACCCUGCAAAGUUAGAGCAUGCACCUCGGGGGGGGGAUAGGACUGGUCAUCUGUCUCUGAAUCCUCCUCUGAGGAGCUAUCUGUAACCAGUAAGACAUGCGCUUCGUCAGAUAGCAUUGUCUACUCUGAAGACCUUGUUUCCACUCCAGAUUUUCCAUGACCGUGCCGAAUGGCUGAUGUACAGGAAGUAAUUGAAUGUACUAAAAUUGUUGACAAAUUUAACACGUAAUAAAAAAUGAUGUCAUGAUAUAAUUCACAUAUAAGAUGACUGGCUAACCAGGGUGGCAUUGCAAAAUUCACAUAUAUGAUGCCUGUCUAAAUAAGAUGGCAUUGCAUGAUUCACAUAUACGAUAAAGAAAACUGAACAGAUGGCAUUUACACAAAGCAUGUCUAAGCUAAGCAGAUGACAUCUUUGAUGUAUACAGUAAGUAAUGCAAGGCACCAUAUGCAUGAUAUUACCAACAUCAAGAUGCCAAGUUAGAGUGAAGACCUCAUGGGGUAAAUAGGAGUGGUCUUCUGCUUUUGAAUCCCCCUCAGAACAGUUAUCUUCCUCUUGAUUACGAUCCGAAAUGGGUGGAGGGGGGCUGCCUUUGCGCCCACCAUGGAGCGAUGUCUGCAUGAAAUUUUAUUGCCAUGCAAGGCUCGUCUCUUUUGCUCUACAUGUUCAGUUCCAUUGUGUACAAUAACUGACAUGCAUAGGAAUAAAACAUAGUGAGAUUAUGUAAGGAGUGCUUGCACAAAUCCAGAGUGAAGGUAGCAAACUGUGGAUAGAUCCAAAACCAAUGAUAGCAGGCAGAUAAUAGCUUUAGUUAAAAAAUACAGAUAAUGGCUCCUUUAAUGUUUGUUUGCACCCAACAUGAAACUCAUAGUAGACACCCGAGAUUAACCAGAUAGCAGAUAGAUAGUACUGAUUGCUGCCCCAAUAUGUACCCCACAACCAUUUAAAAACUCAAGUUUUAGCAUAAGUUUGGACCCGAGUCGGAGUCUGAUAGGUGAACACGACAAUAAAGUAGCAUGUCAACAUAUUAAGCGAUGCAUAUCAUAAGCAGAUAUGGAAGAGUGCGACCUCUCUUGCGGACCCGUGUAGUCCUCAAGGUCAUCUGCUCAGUUGAUGAUGGUAAUGCAGUUGUCGUGGUUGCCGGCGGCGGGGAAGAAGAUCUGAGGUGGCGAAAGACAGCCUGGAGAGCAGAUACCUGCUGUGGUGAACCCUUCCAUCAUUGGAGCAGCUGAGCUGGGGUGGAACACAACACCGCAGGAGCAGGACAAACCACACAAGGUUUUCUUUGACACAUAUCUGUAACAGAAGUAAUUGUGUAAGGGCUUGUUUGAAUUUGAGGAUUCUAACAAUGCAGGGAUAGGAAAUAGAUAGGAAUAGGAUAGGAAUGCACGUGCAAAACAGAGAAUUUAAAAGCACAGGAUUUCUGCCAAUCUAGGUGUUUGGUUCACAAGAAUUGGAAGAUCACAGGAUGCAAAGAAGCAUGGUGAGAUUAAGUCAAACCACAAGAAGUGUACAACCUCUUCGGCGAAGCCAUGUCGAUCUCAGCGUGAUUGGGUUGGCCGGUGAGGGUGCUCCGGCUGACUUGGCUGUUGGAGGAGGGGAAGAAGAUCUUAGGCGUCUGGAGAUGGAGCCCGAGGUACUGCUCCGCUGUGAUGGAGGGUUUCGUCGUUGGAGCAGCUCCGGUGAGUUGUACGACGUCAAGGCUGAAGCAGGACAAGAGAGACAAUGUUAACCCGAGUGGAAUUCUAAUAGCAUCUCCAAUAGAUGACGUAAAAUACAUAACCACAAAGUGCUAGAUGUAUACAUCAGCCGCUCAUCUCUGAACUUAACUGUCGAAACUGAAUUUAACUGUCGACACUGAACUUAACUGUCAAAGCUGAAUUUUGCUGUCGAAACUGAACGCACUAGAGGUGAGGCUACACGUCAGUCGACUGACUUUUUCAUCUCUGGUCAGUCGAUUUUGUAGCCGUUGGUUACGAAAUCAAGGGCCUGCAGUUCAUCUUCAACCUCCACCCCCCUGAGCCGCCAGCCACCACCGGCCAAACAGCCGCCCCCCGCCACCCACGGCCGGCGGUGCGCUGCCCCGCCCGCCCCGAAAACACUCCCCACCGCCGGUCCGCCGCCGCCCCGGCCAUCCCUCUAGGCCCCCCGUGCCGAGCUUUUUCUCCGGCGAUCCCCACGCCCUGCCCCACCACCGCCGNNNNNNNNNNNNNNNNNNNNNNNNNNNNNNNNNNNNNNNNNNNNNNNNNNNNNNNNNNNNNNNNNNNNNNNNNNNNNNNNNNNNNNNNNNNNNNNNNNNNNNNNNNNNNNNNNNNNNNNNNNNNNNNNNNNNNNNNNNNNNNNNNNNNNNNNNNNNNNNNNNNNNNNNNNNNNNNNNNNNNNNNNNNNNNNNNNNNNNNNNNNNNNNNNNNNNNNNNNNNNNNNNNNNNNNNNNNNNNNNNNNNNNNNNNNNNNNNNNNNNNNNNNNNNNNNNNNNNACUGACCCAAAAGUCGAUUCAGUCGACUGAAGUGUAGCUAAAUCGGAGCAGCAUCGCAAGCAAGAGCAAGAGCGAGAGCAGCAGCGCGAGCAAGAGCAGACCAGGCAGGGGACCGAGAGCAAGAGCAGAGCAGCAGCGAGCGAGAGCUAAAGCAGCAGCAGCUCCUACUGAUGUGGACGUCGCCGCCGAGGAAGCGACGCUGUGGAGGAAGUGGCCGGCGACGCCGUCGUGGAUGGAGCCGCGCCGUGUCGGCUCGGGACCGAGCGCCGGCAGCACCGUGAGAUCGAAUUAAGAAGAAAAUGCGGCGAUUAGUGUACAACCUCUUUGGUGGCACCUAUUAGGCCGCGGCUUCAUCCGAGGAAACGGUGAUGAUGAUGCUCUUCCGGUGGUGCAGGUGAAGACGGCGGUGUGGGAAUGGAGGUGGCGUGAAAGACGAGGGGAACGUCAGGGCAGCUCCUUGGAGGUGGAGGACGAGGUGGCUGAACCGGCGGGACGACCGGAUCGACGACGGAUCCUUAUCCGGUACGGUGGAUGAGGGACGUCGAGGUGUUGCUGUGGACGACGUCGUCGGGGAAGAGGCUCCGGCUGGGUGGCGGACGCAGGAUGGUGUGGGGCUUCGCGGGUUUUCCCAGCCUUGGUGUAUGAAUGGGUGGGCAGAUGGGAUGGGAGUGGGGAACCAUGGCUUAGGGACGCGCUUGUCCGAAAUGUGGGGUAAGUUACGAAAGUACCCCCACUGAUUUGAGGCGGUUCUUUCGGUUCAGGGGUAUCACGGGCAUUUUGCGUGUUGGGAUUUCACAGGAGGUGGGAGUUUUCGCGCGCAUUGUAAUUUUGGAAUAGCAAGGUGCGGAUUGAGAUGGAGGGAGUUGUCGGAGCACAACGAGACAAAGAUAUAUCUUAAAUAUUUCGGGCUAAAAAGGCGCGGGUUGAAAUUUCCGGACAAGCCCAACAUGUACUGUACCAAAUCAAUUCCCACUACAAAUGUCAUUCAAAACUUUGAAUUCAUGUUAUGUUCAAUUAAAAUAUUUCCCCAUGUGUAUAAUGCAUGCAACCUAGUACUCAAAUGAACAUUUUAGUGCAUUCCAAACGUAUAUACUACCGCUUCAAUAUGAACUAAAUUUGAAUUUGUUUCUCUAUUUGAAUAAGAUCUACAAUAAUGAUUGUUCUGAAGUCAAAGCAUUUGAAUUCGUUUCUCUGUUUUAAUAAGAUCUACAAUCGUCAUUAUUGUCAAGUUGAACCAUCGUUUGUGUAUUAUCUUCACAGCACACCGCAUGAUUAGUCUCGAGUUACAUAUGAACUAUGUGUACUAUAUGAACUCGAACUCGAUUUUUUGAAUCCACUUUAUGUUGAUUUCAAAUCAUAGUACAUUUCAAGCUCUAGCUAGAUCUUCACAAACUAAACCAUGUCCCAUAUGUAUAAUGUGUUUAUCACAUUAUGUAUGGUUCCCCGCCCCCUACGCCUACAAGUAUUUAGAUGUGAGCUGCAAACACCACACAUUACCACAAAUUCAAAUAAAAUGUGAGAAUGUUCGAUAUAUAGUAUUGUUUAGAUUGUUCGAUUUUUAGUUGUAAGCUGCAAACGCCACACAUUAUCACAAAUUCAAAUAAAAUGUGAGAUUGUUCGACGUAUAGUAUGGUUUAGAUUGUUCGACAUUUAGCUGUGAGUUGCAAACGCCAUGCAAUAUCACAUUAUGGUAUAACAUGUGCAAAACCACAACACGCGUAUCACUGCUAUAUUCAUGCAUGCAUAUGUUUAAAACACUAUGAUCUCCUAUUCAAAUAUAUGAAUCCACUUUCAUAUCAAAUUAUGAUCUUUGUUAGUCUCUUACACCCACACAAUCCUCUAACCUUUGUAGCUACCACUAACUUUCUCUCGUGCAUGCACAUGCCCUCCUUGCCCUCCCCCUCCCUCAGCAUUCUAUCCAUCGCGCACAUUCAUUUUUUUCUUUAGGUCGUUCUCCCACAGUCUCCACAACUCCUUUCCGACACACACCGAUUGAUAAACCUCUCCAGUGAUGUCUGCCUACAACAUACACACGCACCUUCAAUCUCCUCCUUUGUGUGUCCUUGCCUCGUGUCUCUCAUACGGUCCCACACACGUGUAAACUCUCACCCCUCUUUUCAUCGAUCUCACAACCGCACACUCCUCCCCCUAUCUAGCUAGUAGCUGGGCCUCUCACACCACCUCCUAGCUCCAUUCUCUCUAUCUAUCCGUCUCGCCGGGCCUUAUUUGCCUCUAACAAAUGGACGUACACCGACCGAUCUCCCGCUAUACAUAUAGAUAGCCAGGUCCUUAUAACUCGUUUUCCCCAUGCGACGAUCGAUCUACCUCAUUAGUUAUGUCUCUCCCUUCCUCCGACAAACAAAAAUUGAUCUACCGAUCUAGUUAGGUUUGCUUACCAAACACAUGGUUCCCCUUGAUCAUCCAUGGAUGUGUCCCGACAGAUCUAUCAUGCACAGGCACACACAGAAACACAUCCCCACUCUUAUUGAUAAUAUUGCAGUUCCACCCUCAGUUUGUCUAGUAGGCCUCUCCCACCAUCUUCGAGAAGCAACUCCAUCACCCAUCCAGCACUCUACCCCUCUCCCUCCCUCUCUCUCUCUGUCUCAUCCUAUUUCCCGUCCUUCAGUUAUGUAUGGAUGUCGACCGCUCUCCCUCAAGACAUAGCUGGGUCUCUCCUUCUCAACACAUAUACGAGUCGUUCUACCUCUAUAGUUAGGCCUCUGCCUACCCCUCCCCCCACCCCCUCCCACACACACACACACCGAUACAUCAAGCGCUCUAGUCAUGUCUCCCUGCCACACACAAACUUGACCUGUGCCCUCUGACGUUCCGGUAGCUAGGUCAGUCGCCCUAUAUCUUUGACUUGCACACACACACAAUUUCGAUGGCUCUCUUCAUCGAUCUCGGACCCACCCACUUCAUCCUCUCUUCGACUCUAUUGAUAUCUAUGAACCCUCCCUCUCUUCUUGAGGAUCGCCCGACCCUCUAUAUAUGAUAUGGAUAGGCCUCCAUUUCACACACAUUGCAUGCAAAAUUUUGUUUGAGAUGUCAUCGACACAUAUUCCCACAAAUACAUUCACGAAAUCAACCUCCCCCCCCCAAAACGAAAAACACUCAUGAAUGCACAAGCCAUUUGUCUAGGUUUGUAUCUCUCACACACACCCACGUAGGUGGGGGACGUGCACGAAGAGAAGAGGUGCACGCAUGGCGCACGUACUCCCGUCUCUUUCCCAACCACACCCGCGCGGGUACGCGGUGGAGCUCAUUUCUGUAUGAAAAGGCAACCCACUUGGUAAUUUGACACGUGUAUUGGCUGUCCACUAGAUGGAGGGAGGAUUGUCUACCACGGGUGAACAAACAAAUUCUGACUUGACGCGUUAUGUUAAAAAAGAGGCAAACCAUGUGGGGCCUACCUUAGAGGCAAGGCUCUAUACACUGGAGUACUUUUGAUGUGUCCUGUCAACUCGCAGAACGAGGAGAAGCUUGCUUAGUACGCCAUCUCCCCCGCCCACGGGCGCGGUGGCUCGCAGGAUGAGGUGAAGCUUGCUUACUAAUGAGUACGUACACCUUACGCCCGCUCCUUCGCCACGCGCACGGUGGCUCGCAUGACGAGGAGAAAAUUUUACUAGUACUCCCUCUGUUUACUCCUCGUCCCUACCUUGGUCAGAGAGAUUAUCAUAUUGUUUGGAAUAUAUGUCCUUUAGUAGAUUUCAACAUGAACUACUAGUACAUACUCCAAACACUGAUGUAUAUAGACGUAUUUUAGAGUGUAGAUUCACUCAUUUUGCUCCGUAUGUAGUCCAUAUUGAAACGGACGUAAUAGUACGCACUCUCCCUCGCCCCUCGACCCUCGCCACGUGCUGGACGUGCAGCAAUUCAUUCAGUCUCAUAUAGCCAGAACGAUAUAUACUACAGUACCAUUAUUGCUCGACUUCCCGAAGAGCCGAAGAGUCAAUCGCAAGGUUAAUAGUUUGGAGAUGCCAAGCGCAAGGUUUAUAGGAGAACGGGUAGUAGGUGCCGCGUCAUUAUAAAUAAAGUUUUUUUUCUUCAGUGGCACGUACGCAAUAUAACUAGGUUCAUAUGGAGAGAAAAGGAAACCGCUCCACUAUAUACAUAGGCAGGACGAGCCUACACGGUUGCUUGCUGGGGUUGCUCUCUUCAGUUUUCACACUCUCUCGCACAAAACAACUGUGGCCACAUCUCUAACAUCCCGGCGGAUCACGUCCGCCGGGGGAAGGGGUGGAUGCUUAGUGUAGAUGCGGUCGUCGUCGCCGACGGCGAAAACCCACUGUCGGCAUGUCCCGAUCAGGGGUCCCCGCCAUUCUCUCUCACAAAGCCGGUGAGGUUGCCUUCGUCCAUUGCUCACUGCCGUGACGUGGGUAGUUGCCUCCUCCCGCCGCCCUCCUCUAGGUUGAGCUACGUCCCGACAUCCCUCAGGUACAACUGCCUUUACAACCGGCUUGCACCACUGCUCCAGCUGCCCACAUCACUCCAUGUGGAUAUUUCUCUACUUGUUUGCCCCGCACAUACCUCUACUGGCUUCUACGUACUGUAUUUGUGAUGAGUUUAUGUCUCAUCAACUAGUCCCAAUAAUCUUAUUCUAAUCACACUUCUUCAAUUUCUUUGCCACAGGGAUGCUCAUCUCGAUUUUGGUGAAACUGCACAAAAUGAUCCGAUGGUCAAAGGGUUGCAAACUUCAUUUCUUAGGCCGACAUUGCCAGCAAAUUAAAGCCUAGUUAGGGUUUAUGGUUCAAGGGCUAGGGACUGCAUGGAUCGUACUUUUCUUUAGCUGUCUCUGUUUCAAUGGCUAGGGACUGCAUGAGUAGUAGUAGUAUUGUACGCCUUACGCCCGCUCCCUCACCCACGUGCGCGGUGGCUCGCAGGACGAGGAGAAAUUUUUACUGCUCCCUCCGUUUACUCCUCGUCCCUACUACCUUGGUUAGAGAGAUUCUCAUAUUGUUUGGAAUAUAUAUGUCCUUUAGUAGAUUUCAAUAUGAACUACUAGUACAUACUCCAAACGCUGAUGUAUAUAGACGUAUUUUAGAGUGUAGAUUCACUCAUUUUGCUCCGUAUGUAGCAUAAAGUUGAGACACUUAUUUUGGAACGGAGGGAGUACAUAUUUGCUAUGAUCUGUCAAUCAUUGAGAUGCAAUAGCAUGCAUGUUAGUCUCCUUUGUAUUUGAUGAAAUGUUGCAACGGGCAACCUUGGACGCAAGAUACAUGUAACAGAAGCUGGAAGUUUCAUAGCAUUGUACUAUCUCGCUGAUAAAGUAUAGUACGUACUAUACAAGUACUUCCUCCGUUCCUAAAUAUAAGUCUUUGUAGAGAUUUCACCAUGACCCACAUACGGAUGUAUAUAGAUGCAUUUUAAGUGUAGAUUCAUUCAUUUUGUUUCGUAUGUAGUCCACUUAGAGGAAUCUCUACAAAGACUUAUAUUUAGGAAUGGAGGGAGUACUAUGUAAAGAGUUAGGUGUCGCACGACGUCCAGAAAAUAUGGUGAUAGUGUGAGGUGGGCAAUGUAAUCACUGAGCCUGCGUGUUUUCACUGCUGUUGCACUCCUCCGCCGUAAGAAUGGAGAAAAUUGUAAUCUAGUAGUACCUCCUUUCGCCAAAAGCGUGUGACAUCCAGCAGUCCUACCACCUCAGUAAUAAUGACCGAUGAGCCGUCAAAUCACAUAGACCCAGCAGUAAGUUGGACGGACAAAGCAACCAUCACUCUUGAAUCCGCUUCUCCCUUCAACGCAGGCGCCAGUGAGAGGUCGCGUUCGCUCUGCCCGGGCAUGAAUGCAGCACCGAUUCUUUGGAGCGGCGCUGACCGUUUCGGGCGGGAAGCACGCGCAGGCGAUGGAGGGGCUUUGGGUGGGCCAGGCUGGUCACGAGCGGGCGUGGCAGCUGUCCGCCUGUCCCUACCGGACGCCCGGAAAUGAGAGGACGCACCGACUCUCGCGGCUAAAAUCGUACACUACACACCAUCUCUUAGUAGGAGUAGGUCAAUCCGUCGCUCUAACACACACAUGCUGUUAAACACACACACGCACACACAGGUUCAUAGAAUAGGAAAAUCGUGCGAGUGCGAAGCCACAAGAAGUGAGAUACAAAUGGAGUACGUACAAGAAGAGAAGAGGUGACGAAUAUUCCAUCAAACCUGGACUGAGUAGUAGUACUCCCUCCGUCUAGGUGUUAAGUCAUCCUACGGAAAUCAGAUAUUCCCAAAAUGUUUAGGCGUCGUCCAUUAACUUUGCAUCUCAAUCCCCUCUUGGCCUUGUUGCUAGCGAGCAUUGUUACUUAGGGAGUGUUUGGAUCCUUAGAAAGAACAUCUUAUAGCAUAUCCGGGCAAGGUUAGGCGUUUGGAACUGUUAAAAUAUGUUAGCUUUUGUGGGCCAGCUAGCUUGUGUGGGCUAGAAAAACCUUGCUAGCUCAGGAGAGCCAGAUCGGCUCGCUUCCGACGGCAAACUUUGCGUAGUAGUAACAUAGACUAGUAACAUAUGCAUGUUACUAGUCCAAGUUACUCACCACUAUGACCAGCCUAAGCAAUGUAACCAAACGCUCCUUACUCUACCUUGUUAUCUCCCCCAGAAACCCAAUGCAUGGAGCGCAACUACGCGUUGAUCAGUCAAGAAAUCAAAGUCGGCUUGCAUGCGAGUUAAUACGUGGCCCUGCAUGGUAGCUAAGACGGCAUCUCUUAGUUGUUUGGAUUAAUUGUUGCAUCUAGAGACAGAAAUCAGGGCUUUGAUUGGAGGAAUGACCGGUCAAGUUUCUCCUUCUCCUCCAAUCUGCUUGCACCUUGGUCCCAGUGCACCUUCUAACGUGACUUAUUACACCUAGACGGAGGGAGUUGUACGAGAUACGGUGGCACACUGACUUAGGUCGAAUACAAGUGCCCAAAAUUGUGUGCACGUUAUAAUAAGGAUUCACUAAAAAUAGUACGUGAGCGAGCAAAGGGAUCAAUUGGACAGUGCUCCCGAGCAGUAGCGAGAUGUGUGAGGUAAGAUACACUGCUGGCGCUUUUAAUUUUUCUUAUUAAUUUGUUUGUUUCACCCUCUGACUGGUGGGACCCAACAUACUACGUGGAGAGAGGUAAGGUGACUAAGGCUGCAUUAUUUCUGCACCACCGUGGAUAGUCUUACCACCAAAGCCACAUGACACGAUUAUGAUUUAAAUCCCAAUGACUCCCACACACAAAAAAACACGGCAUGCUUGCCACACGAAUGCAGGAAUGUAUAAAAGGUUAUUUUCCUCUCGUUGAACAUAACAGGAGGGUUGUGUAGCUGGUUAGUCUGUUCGCUCAUCAAACUUGAGGUCUCGGGUUCGAUAACUACACUUGAGCAUAAUCCGUGCCAGGAGGAUUCUUUGACUGGUCAAAAUGGAUGGAUACGGAGCUAUACGAUCUCGUAGUGACCGUAUAAUCACCUCAUCACGUAUAAGCUACAGCCUCAGCGCUUGUUUUCUAGGGUUUGCACUCUUCACACUCUCCAGUAUAUAUAUACACGCUGGAGCCUCGGCGCUUGUAGUUGCUCUGUUCACACUCUCUCACCCUCUCCAGAUCUAAACAAGACUUCAUUGGCCUCUCUCUCCCCUCACUGCUGGUCUGCUUGUAGUUGCUCCCUUCACACUCUCUCACCCUCUCCAGAUCUAAACAAGACUUCGUUGGCCUCUCUCUCCCCUCACUGCUGGUCAAAGAGCCGGCAGGAUCCGUCCACCAGGAAGGGAAGGAGGCUUAACGCUGUCGCCGUCGGCGAGGAAGGGAAUCUACUACCGGCGCAACUGUUCACUUUCACCCAGCGGCAGCGCGGGAGGGCCUCCGACCCCUUCUUCUUCGCCGUCGUACAUGGUGUGGCUCGAACGGCCUCCGGUCGCCCACCGAACCACACCCCAAGAACCUUAAGGUAUAAUUUACUUAUUCCACAUGCAUUGCUCUAGCUACAUGUGGGAUUUUUCCUCUUCUGCACUCGAAUCUAGGUGUUGGAUCAAACAGGAAAGUAGUGGGGAAAGUUGUAUACCAUGAAUAUAGGACGUGGUUCAAAGAGGAAAGGAAUGGGGGAAAGUAGUGGGAAAAGUUGUAUAGCAUGAAUCUAGGACAUGGUUCAAAAAGGAAAGGAAGGGGGAAAGUAGUGGGGAAAGUUGUAUCACAUGAAUCUAAGACGUGGUUCAAAGAGGACAGAAAUGGGGGAAAGUUGUGGGGAAAGUUGUAUAGCAUAAAUCUAGGACGUGGUUCACAGAGGAAAGGAAGUGGGGAAAGUACUAGUACAAACUGGCUAUCCAGCACCUACGUUGGUCGAAAAGGGAAAACAAUGACAAACGCAGUACGCACAUCUGUAACGAACUAAUCUUUUGUUUUGGGGGACAAGGCUGUAGAGUUUGAGCAGGACUAGAUUUGCUGCGCUCACAUAGGGAAAGGUGUCUAAAGAUAACAAAACUGGGACCAACACAAAUAUGCUCCUUGGUUGUUUGUUCUUUGUUGCAACAGACUAUGCAUCACCCCAAUACAUCGGUAGAUGCACAUGGUGCUGGUGCGUUCACUGUCCCGUGCAACUCUUUAGAUGUUGUUAAUCUAAGGCCCUGUUUGGUUAAAAACUCCCUAGUCCCUACCUGCUUGGUUCCAGGGACUAAACAUGGACUAGAGGUUAUUAAAUGACAUGCUAAAUGACCAUGUUACCCCUAGUAAUGAACUAAUAGAGACAAGGUGCGAUGCGUGGCAGGGGCAACUGUUGGAAAAAGUCCCAAAAAGACUCUCCCUCGGGGUCUUCUUUCUUUACUCCCAAAUGCCCACUCUUAGUCCCUAAAAGUCCCUCCUGUUUUGGUUUAGAUGGGACUGACACGGAGUUUUUUUAGUCCCUCCACCAAAAUGUCCCUGUAAACAAACACCCUCUAAUAAUGCCGCUGGAAAAUUGAUGCAAUGCCACAGUUAAAAGCAAAUUACAUGUUUAACGAAUUUUAUUGUUAAUAUAAUUUCUCUAUUAAUAUUAAUCAAUGCCACCGUUUGAGAAAUGGUACUGUCUUGCUUUCUUUCCCAUUUAGAUAAGGUAGAUGCUUCUUUUUGUUGGCUUCUAUGUCAUCCACCGUUAUUGACCACUAGUUGUUUCCUUUGCACCUCUGUGUAAACAGGGUUAUCUACUUCACCUCGUUGCCAUUGUGACCUUUUGUUGCACUACACAAAACACUUUUGUUUUAAGAGUGUUUUGUGCAGUUCAACCAAAAUGUCACACCGACAAUGUUGCUUGAUCUUAGUGGAACUGCACAAGAGGAGAUCUUACUUCCUAUCCGUGUUGGCAAAUUUGGUUCAGAUCUUCUUCUUGUGAGUUGUUUGAAUUCCGCAUCAUGAGAUGUCAGUACUAGCCUUCUUUCAUAUGAUUCUGUCUUUCAUAUGUUGUGCUACUUGUACGGUAAUGUUGCUUGAUUUUAGUGAACUGCACAGAUGGAGACAAGACUUCCAAUCUGUAUGUGCACCGCAAUAUCCCAUUGAGGUAAGAUAAGGAUAUUUCACAACUGUUGGCCUGUAUUUUGCCACUGUCAUCAGAAAAUUAAUGUCAUUGUUUAGUGUUAUACUUGUGCAACCUAAUUGACAUGCCAAAUCUUACAUUGAAGGCGAAGCUUGUCUGUUAUUGAACCAAGUGAUGAAGGGGAAGAACAAGCGGAAGAAAAACAAAAAUCAACUCCUGGUGCUGUAAUGAAGCACUGGAACUGUGACGACACAAGUAAUGAUAUAGUUUUGCAUCUUAAUUUAUUGCUAUCGCUGGAACGAGCAAUUGUUUUGCCACUGAUUUGAUGCCACUCUUAAUGUAAUACAUAAUUAUCUCUACUUGUGCAAAUAGGGAUCUUCUUUGAAGAUACCAUAUAUUUUAGUGGAACUGCACAAGAAGAUGCUGGAAACAUUAAUCUAAUCGAGGAGAAUAUAGUAAGCAUGGCCACCACAGUAGAUAGCAACAGAUGUUUCCGGAGAAGUGUUUCAUCUGUAUGCUUUACACAAUAAGCCUCCUAACAAAGGUUGGUACUCGCCCACUGAUUUCAUCCAUAUGAUUGAGCUUUGUCAUCUCUAUUGGUGUUGUGCUACUAUUUAGAUACUGUCAUCAAAAAGUGGUAUUGUCCUUGAGAAGUGCUUCAUCUGUGCUGUUUUAAAUAUUUCCUUUCCUUUUUUUCGAGCAAGCAGGGAUGCUAGCAUUUAGUUAUCCUCUUGUCUUUGCACAACAGGAUCAUCCUCCUCUGAAGAAGAAUAUGGAGUACGUGAAGUGACUAGUUCCGAUUAUGCCAGGAUGAAGAAGCCCUAUCUGUCUUCUCAUCAGAAGGAGCAGUUGAAGGAUGGUUACAUUACCCCCCACAAGACCAAACUAACUUCAGCUCAGAAGGACUGACAAAUCUCCAUUUUCUUGCUGUGAUGCGCGAGUACAAUGUUGUUCUAGGAUUCUUUCCGAUGAGUUCCAUUUUUUUAAUAGUGUGCUCUACAUGGACCAUGUAGGUGCCUGUUUAAACUGUCAAUUCAUAGUACAGUUUGCUUUAUACUAAUCACUUUUUUUGUAUAUGUGCAAACAGGGGUGCUCAGCUUGAUUUCAAUGGGAACUGCACAAAAUGUUCAUGAAUACAUCGAAUCAUUCAUUUCCACCACAAUAAAGGAGGUGCCGAUAAGUUCAAGGCGUUGCAACAUAUAAGGGCGAAAUCAUACAAGCUACGCGCGAAUUUGGUUGAUUUAGGUGGAACUACACAAAAAGAACAACUGGUUUAUUUAGCACGAGGUGCCAUGUCAAUGUCCGAACUGAUGGCAAACCCUGCCCAUUCCACAAUCGUAGGCAUUUGAUAUUUUGGAACGGGAAAACCUUGUCAAAUUUUGCUCAUUGAUUUUAGCAAGAAGACAUGCGUUUGAUAUUUUCGAAUGGGACGCCCUUUGCUGUCAGCAGUGUCGAUCAAUUUUUUCUUUAUUCUUUAGUUGUGAAGUAAAUAUUGGCUCUGACAUGUGAAUCGCUGAGAUGCAUAAUCAUCGAUUGUUUUGAAUGUUCUCUAUGACAUGUGAAUCGCUGUGAUUGCAAUGUACAUGAACGCUAAAAAGCUGCUCAAACUCUUUGUACUCCUGUUUCUUUUUACAUCGCACAUUGUGAAAGUGCAUACUUUUUUCUAUAAGAUUGGUCAAAGUAGAGAUACUUUGACUGCAGACAAAACUUGUAUGCAGACUAGAAAGGACCGAAGGGAGUACAUGUGAAACUGCUGCAAACAAGGUGAUCACCCUGGGAAUAAUGCUAGUACGUAUUGUUUUGCAUGUUCAUCCAAUGCCAGUGAUACAAGAAUUCAAAUUAAUCGAAAUAAAUUCAUUCAUACACGGUCGGAUUUCAUAUAAACAUGCCGGAUUUCAUUACAUUUCAUACAUUCUUCAACUAAAAAGGGGUGCGCUGGAGGUAUAAUUAAUUAACCGAAGCUACCCACAUGUAUCCGGCUGAGCCGAACAGAAGCUUCAGUGACUUAACUGCAGGUGCAGUUGCAUAACUGACAUGUGGCCCAGAUGCCUGUUGGGCCCACAUGUCAGUCAGCCAACUGCACCAGCAGUUAAGUAGAAGCAACGUCCUUCUCCAACAUAGCUCUGCGACUCCACGUCGCCGCCAAGAAGCUAACCGGCCGUCAGUGGUCAACCCGCCUAGCUUGUCAUAGUGAUUAGGGCAACUAGGAGCCCAAUGAUCAGGAUCCCCACAUGACAAACACCUUUCUUCUUGUCAUUCUUCUUCUUGAAGUUCGUGUGUUGCACAUCCUUGUUCUUCCCAUCAAACUUUGCUUUACCAUCAAACUUGCCCUUGUUCUUGAAAUUGUGGGGCUGGAAGUUCUUCUGUACCAGAUUGGCACUAGAUCCUCCCUCAAUUCCUCGAGCACGUGUGUCCUUUGUUCUCGCCUUUUCUUCCACAUCAAGAGUGCCAAUGAGAUCCACGAAGGAGGAAGCUUAGUGAUGAUACCUCCGGCAACAAACUUGUCCGGUAGCAUACAACUGAAGUGCUCAAGUUCUCUAGCAAAUGACUAUAUCUCAUGAGCUUACUCAACCACGGAGCACUCUUCAAUCAUCCUGUAAUCAUAGAAUUGCUCCGUGAUGUACAGCUCAGUGCCAGCAAUCGGAGGGUAGCAGCGGUGGCCUUACUUGGACCCGAGCGACGGCGACCUACCGUGUUCUACUCUUCCUCGUUUUCUGUGUGGCGCGGCCUCGUUGGCAGCGGGGAGGGGCCUCGGCGGAGCCGGCGAUGUCCUUUGUCUUGUUGCCGGUGGGCGGCACCUCGGCGGAGCGGGGGAAAUCCUCCCCCUCUUUGCCGGCAGGGUGGGGCCUCGGCAGAGCCGGCGGUGUCCUCUGCCUCGUUGUGGCGUCGCGGGGCCUCGAUGGAGCAACGCCUCGUCGACGCCAGCGGAGCGGGGACUCAUCAGAGCCAGCAUUGUCCUCUGCCUCGUCCUCGGUCUCGCCAAACAGCGCCUCGCCCACUUCAUCGCCCUCUUUGUAGGCGGCCGCAGCCUCCGCCACCCGCAUGCGGUACCGCCAACGCUCAAGGCGGCCCUCGCGGACAGAGCGGUAUGAGUCGAGCAGCGCCUCCUGCUCUGCCCGCUCGGUGGCGAUCUGCUCCUCCACCUGCAGCUGCUCCUGGAGGAGAUGGUGGUUUUAGGCGGCGUCGGCCUGCGCCUCCCCGAACUGCUCCUCAUGCUUCUGCCUCACCGUGUCCAUAUAUUGGGCACGGUCCUCGCCGAUGGUCAUGGUGCAAUGCACCGGUGAGGAUGGCGCAGAGGAGGGGGUUGGCGCCGGAUCAUCGACUACCAUGUUCUCCAUUGGGACGUCGUCGUCCUCCGGCUGCCAGCCAGCCAGCCAGUCGGCAGCAAUGGCUGCCAUCUCCUUGUGGUCUGUCGUCCGCCCAUCCCGAAGAGUGCUGGAGCGCGAGGAAGCCAUGGUGGGCAGUAGUGGUGUGGACAGGAGAAUAGGAACGGAUGCGGAUGACUGCGGCUAUGGCGGCGCAACAGUUUAUAUAGCAAUGGUGGGCGGCGGAGGGACGGACGUGUGGAGCCGGAGUAGCCGCCUCGGCAACCGCGUACCAUUAAUGUGGGCGGCAGAAGGACGGAUGGACGACACUUGUGUCAUUUGAAGGCGGAGCAGUCGCAUGCAUCGGGAAGCGGGGCGGGCGGCGCUGACCGUUUCGGGCGGAAAGCGCGCGCGGGUGAGGGAGGCGGUCUGGGUGGGCUAGGGCAGUCAGACUCGUGCUUGGCAGUGGGUCGGUCCAGCAGCCGGACAUGCUGGCUCGCCAGCUACCUCGCCGAGCUGAGCGAUGACAAUCAGACGAUGGGCGUAGCUUCCGACCAGGAGCCGGCGCCACUGUCCAAGCCGUUUCAUGCCGUGUUCACCAUAGAGCAGGUGCGGCCGCACUUCGACGCCCUAAUGGCGGAAGAGCUACCAACGCAGGAGGACCUAUGCUAAAACCUCCGUCUCCUCAACGAGCGCCGGUGAACAAGCGAAUGACAAUGCCGUCGCGGACAUGUGGCCCUAUGAUCCUGGCUUCUCGAAUGAGUAGUGGGCGUUGUAUCAGACCAUCCGUAGGGCCUGCGAGGCCCUCUCCGUCGUCCUUCAAGUUGUUGCGCUCGCCGUGGCGCCGCCAUCUCGCGUUGUCAACAUGGUCAACGGACAUGAGGAUUAGGAGAUGACUUUACUUGGAGAGGAUGACAGAGGGGACCCACCAGGGCCAUAGCCGCACGUACGCAAGUGCCUCCUUAUUAGUAUAUAAAACUAUAAUUUUUUUGCUUCCUCCUGGUUUCCUGACAUCACGGUCCCACACCAUUGUCAACCUAUGUAGUCAAUAAACGAGAGAAUUGCACAAGAAGCGGCCGACAGCUGGGACCAAGCAGCUCGAGCAGUAUUUGUGAUUUUGAGGUGUGAACACUGCAGAGUUUUUCUUGAGCGAUGUUUAGCCUAGAUAUUAAUUUUUCUCCUCUGAACAACAAAGAAAACAUCGCUGCAGCUAUUAACUGGGCGGGCUGUGGCCCAUCUAGCCCAGGCCAGAUAUCCAGCCCAGAUAUUAAUUUUUUUCAAGCUGAAAAUGGCUAGCCCAGCUAUACUUUUUUUAGGAAUACCGAGGCAAGGUCAAGUUGUUAUUCUCUGCCCCGCUGGCUGCAAAACUUUCCUAGGAUGGAUGCAUUAGGCUUAACAAGAAAAUGAGCUUUAACAAAUAAUAAAUGGGAUGUAAUUAUAAAAACUGGGCAGUAACUAUAAAAAAUGCACCAAACACGUAAUUAAUUUAUAAAAUAUUAUUUUUGGAUAUUGAAAAUUUUAAUUUCAUUAAUUGUUGCGAGCGCAAUGUUUCAUUGGAUUUUUGCGUAAUAUAAAUUUAUAUUGAAAUUGUAUUUAAUAUGACUAGAAAUUUCGAGAUAAAAAUAUUUUGGAUCCCAUCAAAAUGUGGGAAAUUUUAUUGAAUUCUGUUUUGAACGGUUGGUUGAAAUGGGUUGUACUUUUAACAAACUGUAAAUGUGUUGUAGUAAAUGCCAUUAGAAUUCAGAAAUUGGCUGCACAUUCUUACAAAUCUCAAAUGGGCUAUAAGUUCUCUACCACACACUUGUGGCCUUACUAAGUUGACACGUCCCCUCGAAAAAAAGAGUUGACACGUAUGCAAGGCUUUGUCAACUUAUAGUCAACACAUGGUUCUAGCAGCAGUGGCCGUUGGAUGUCCAUCCAGCGGAUGCCGUGCUUCUUCUUCAAUCUCGGAUAUUCUAGCUUCACCCGCACAAAAAAUGAUUCCUCCCCCUGACAUCUGGGCGCACCAUUUCGGAAGCUGACCUAUGGGCCUACUAAGUUGAGGCGUACCAAGGAUUUGUCAACUUAGUCAAUAUAAACGAUUCUAGCUGCAGUGACCAUACGAUGUCCGUCCAACGGCCGUCAUGCUUCUUCAACCUCUGGUCUUCUUUCUCCAGCCGCCCAAAGCAGCGCCGGUCGUGCCGCCUGCACCUGCCUCCCGUGGCCGGCUGUGCUGCCGCGGAGGCCUCACCGCCCCCUACUACUCCCACCGCUGGCCAGGCCAUCCCUCCACUCACCCACACCCCCUGUUAUUCUGCGGCGACGGCAACCUCACACCGCAGCCGAACCAGAGAACUCGUACUCCUCUCCGCGUGGGUAUCCACUGCCGCGUCUUCCCCGGCUCUGCGUCAUCCCCUUCCUAGGCCUCGCCGUCGUCCACCGCCGUGGUGCUCUCGGCGCGGCAUGGUCAAUGUGGUCAACGACCGACUUCCAUGGGAAGAGUACUGUACGUGGAGAGGCUGACAGCUGGGUCCAUGGCCACAGCAAGGAAGUGCCUCCUUAUUACGCGCAAAAUAAUUAUUCCUCCACCUGACAGCGGGGACCCACCGGACGGGCCACCGUAUUUCGCAAAAAAACGUUUCCGCCUGACUGCUGGGACCCACCAGCUACAUCUUCGCACGCAAGGAAGUGCGUCCGGGCAAAAAAAGGAUUCGCCCCCUUGACUGCUGGGACCCACCAGCUACAUCUUCGCAGGCAAGGAAGUGCCUGACAGUCGGGACCCACCUGGUCGAAGCGUACGUAGCGUUGUCAUUCUGGUCGUAAACGUGUACGUACAUACUGGUCGAUGUAGAGGCACGCACGUGUCGUAGUAGAGUUGCGCACGUAGCAUGUACACGUAUGUACAGCGGCCAGUGUGCAAGAAAGAAAAUACGGCCACGUACGUACAUAUGGGCAGGGUCUCGAACGCCUACUCGCGCAUACGUACGGCCAGGGCUCGUGUACAUGGCUGGGUUGGAACGGAGAAACUGCAUCGUCGUCGUGUUCAUGGGGAGCCAACUGGCUGGGUCAGAACGGAAUGCAUCGUCGUGUUCAUCGGGAGGGCUUGGACGGAACAGCCGAUGGAAACGAGGCCUGGCAUACCGUAGAACGGAGGAAACAGCCUUGUGUUCGACCGGCCACGUUCGAAACGGGAUCCUGUUCAUCGGGAGGGGUCUGGCGUACCGCAAAACGGAGGAAACGGACCUCCUACGGUCAAAACGGGGGUCCUGUUGAUUGGGAGGGGUGUGGCGUACAGCAAAACGGAGGAAACGGAAUUGUGUUGGAGAGCUACGGUCGAAACGGGGGUCCUGUUCAUCGGGAGGGUCUGGCAUACCGCAGAACGGGACUCCACGGGAUACUGUCAUCUCCACCGUCGACCCCCUCCAGCCUCCACUGGCUACUGUUCAUCCACCGCCUCCAGCCUCCACCUGCGACUGUUCAUCCACGGGCUCCUGUUCAUCCAGCCUCCACCGCGCGCUACUCCACCGGCUACUAUUCAACCAGCCCUCUCCACGGGCUCCUGUUCAACCACCCCUCCAUGGGCUAUUGUUCAUCCAGCCCUCCACCGUCUACUGUUCAUCCAGCCCUCCACGGGGUGGUCCUGUUCAUCCAGCCCUCCACGGGGUCCUGUUCAUCCAGCCCCAACCGGCUCGAUCGAUCGGGGUCCUAUUCAUCCAGAGGCAACACCACGGGGUCCUGUUCAUCCACCCCCACCGGGAACUGUUCAUCCAACCCCCCAGCAACGCUCACUGUUCAUCCAGAGGCAGCAUUAAUCGGCUUCAGUUAGCAGCAGUAGCGAAGGAAUCGCUCGAUCGGGUUCAGUUAACAGCCAUCGAUCGAUUGCUCGGGUUCAGUAACGCGUAGCCUGCAGUGCAAUCGCUCGGGUUCAGUUAGAGCCCAAUGCCUCGCACCCACGCACAUGCGUGUACGAGAGAAACGCGCAUCGCUCAGCCCCGACCACCCACCGUAACAGGGAACACCCCGAUAUUUUCCUCACCCUCACUUCUACCACGGUUUUUUCCGUCAUGGACGGCCCAAAGAAUGUCAUGCAGCUACGUCUCCGGCCCGCCCAGGACGAAAAGCCCAUUUUCUGUCAUGAUUUUUUGUCAUAGAAGUAGGACCCCACCACAUCUAUGAUGAUACCAGGUUUUGUCACAAUUAUCGUCAUAGAAGUGUCAUAAGUAUGACAGAAAAAAAAUUCGUUCGGCCCAAAAUGUCACAGAUGUGUCUUUUUUUGUAGUGCUUGUAGUUGAGGAAAAAGCCUACUCCUGGUACUGUAUAUUAGUGAUAGGGGUGUGUACAAAGUACACGUGAAUACUAGGCAUUGUGCGUGUGUGUAUACUAUCGACGAACUAGCCCCUAGGCUUCUAUAACACACUCGGGGCCUAGGGUUACAAAUCAUAUAUAGUCGGCUUAUCACCAGUGGGGAUAGUAUCCUCCACGACUCUGGUAGCUUCGGGUUGUAUGCCGAGUCCUCCACAUGGGUCUUCGUAUAAUGCGUCUCGGUCCAACCUAUGUGGCGCAGGAUGGAACCGACCCAUGAGUCCUCAUGUUGACCCACCACAACUAGAAAUGAUGUGCCCACCCCAACUAGAAAUGAUGUGCCCACCACACCACACACGCAAUCGGUCACUAAGAAAAUAAGCAUAUACAAUAGUACAAUGUUAUACAUGAAAGUUAAUUGCAUGGUGCAUCCAAAAAAAAUUGUUCUGCAUUGUGAAUGUUUAUGUUUUCUCCUAAAAUAUUAGUCACGGGAAAGAGAAACGAAGGGCAUAUAUCUCCUUGUCUCCACCGGACACCCCCUCUUUCUACACCACUUUCACGUACGCAGACAAACUAUCUCUCGGCCCUCUAAAAGUAUGCAUGCCCAUGACACAUUCACGUGUGACGGUCACUAUAUUUCAAGCGAAAGCACUAUACGGUCGCUGGACUUCAAUGUGCUCAUUACGGUCACCGUAUACAUUCUCGUGGUGAUCAUACUGUAUCUAGCUCACGAUACGUCUCCGUAUUUUGUUGAUGACACUAAUGGACAUUGUAUUUGAAGCGUGCUCCAUAUUUUGUUGACGACACUUAUGGUCAUUGUAUUUGAAGUGAAAGCAAAAUAUGGUCACUGGACUUCAGAAUAAGCUCAUCAUGGUCAGCACACACAUUUUGUGGUGCUAACCAACCUAUGGUUGGAUGGUUAGGAGGACAGUGGUUUCUCGAGCCCACCAGGGUUAAAGUCCUGGUGCUCGCAUUUUUCCUGGAUUAAUUUCAGUAUUUUUCUGGCGAUGUGCGUUCAGUGGGAGGAGACGUUCCACUCGACUACAAGGCACCUAUGGUGACUUCGUAAAAUCUCAAGAUCAUAUGCUGGCUCACUCUCUCGAAGGUGCUCAUAGGGGUAGGGUCUGCGUGUGUGCGCUGAUAGCGGUGAGUGCUUGCACGUAUAUAUGAGCGCUUGUGUCUGUACCAUGGUAAAAAAUACAUGUCAUGAUUAUACGGUCACUGGCUCACCCGUACAACUCCGUAUUUUGUUGAUGACACAAUCAAUUGACCAGUCAAACGUUCCACGUGGCGCAACUAGUGUUGCGCCAUCGGGGCGCGUAACGGUGGGGCCCACCUGUCAGCGCGUAUAUGAAAGAAAGAAAUGGUAGUUUGAGUCUGUACUGUGUUAAUAAAAUACUUUUUAGGGUGAUCAUACGGUCACUGGCUCACCAUACAGCUCCGUAAUUUGUUGAUGACACGAUCGAUUGACCAGUCAAACGGUCCACAUUCAGCAGCGGACAUUACCAUAGGGCCCACCCGUCAGCGCGUAUAUGAAGGACAGAAAUGGUAAUAAAUUAGUGGUCGGUGCGGAUUCGAAGUCGUGAGACCUCUGGUUGGCAGUUGCCAGCGGUGGGGGGCGCGGUGAUUGGGCGGUGGCGUGGGGAUCGCCGGAGAAAAAGCUCGAAGCAGGGGGGGCUAGAGGGACGGCCGGGGCGGCGGAGGACCGGCGGUGGGGAGUGGUUUCAGAGCGGGCAGGGCAGCGUGGCCGCGCGGGCCGGCCGCGGGUGGCAGUGGCCGGCGGCUCGGCCGGUGGUGGCUGGCGGCUCAGGGGGGUGGAGGUUGAAGAUAAACCGCAGGCCCUUGAUUUCGUCUCCAACGGCUGGAAAAUCUACUGACCAGAGAUGAAAAAGUCAGUUGAUUGACGUGUAGCCUCACCCCGAACAUACACAUGCACACACGCAACACUCGCACGAACACAUGCACGCAUGCAGACGUGCAACACUGACACGUACACAUAACGAACACACGCGCGCAUGUAGGCGUGCAACACUAACACGUACACAUUCACUCACGAACAUACGCACGUACGCACACAUGCAUGCAACACUGAAACGUACACAUGAACGCACGCAAUAGUCGCACGCCUACAUGCACACAGCACACGACGCAAGACACAUGCUCAACCUAUACGUGCAUGCACCCUUUGUUAAGGUCAUGGAGUGUUACAGGUAUUAAUCAAUCUUAUCUGUGAUAAGCAGAACAUGAUGUUUGCAGCGGUCUUUAUGAAUCACAACGUAUCGAACAGGCUAUCAACGUAUAUAUGAAAAUUUUAAAAUUCUCUUACAUUAUUAUAUACUAGUAGGUUUAUCUAGAUGAAAUAGAUGAUGUCACACUCAAUGAACAAUCACCGGUUUAUGAAAUGCCCGCUUCUGACCGCCCUGGCCCACCAAAACUUCCUCUGCCCUGCGCUGCCUGCGUUGGGUCACUGACAUGCAGGCCAUGUACCCAAAGAGCCCACACGUUAGUGGAAAAACGGCGCGGUGUCGUACGUCAGAGUCGAGGGCGCCACUCGAUGCACGCCCGGCUGAACACGCCUCUUGCCGCAUUCAAAUGCCUCCAUGAAACCUGUGUGGAAGCCGAGAAACCCACUCUAGACACACGCCCGUUCAUGACCGGGCCGGCAUUAAACGCAACGCCGGCCGAGCUCCUCCCGUCGGCCAUCUAUUUAUUCUCCUAUUUAAACGAGGCCAAACGCCGGCCAAGAAUCGCACACCUCCGCCGCUCCCCUAUCUCCUCCUUCACCAUUUUGUCCACUCUUACAAUGGCUUACGAAGAGUAGUUAUCCCACAUCCAAGCCGGCUGGGUGGCCCACCAAGCCCGCCGGAUACGAGCUAUGCAGCUCGCUGAUCCACCUCCCUCCCCUCGCCCGAUGGAGCCAGUUGCCGCCUCAAGCCGGCGCGCAGUUCAGCAACUCGCCGCUCUAGGCCAGCUCGAUGAGGAGCGGCGCACGGGCGUCGUCGCUGCCGUCCAUGCCGCCGCGUCGUACCGCGACUCCCGUGUCUGCGACCGCGUCUCCUGUUUCUGUGGCCGAGACUCCCAUGCCGGCGGCCGCACCAUGCAAGCAGAGACAGAAGCCGGGUGCGCGGAGAGCGACGAGUCGAUGGCCAGCGCCUCCGCGUCCGCCGCCAUCAAUGAUGAGAAGUAGAACACAGGAGGCCGCCGCCGCUUGGGUCCCAUGAAGGCCACUGCGGAGGCGACGCCAGCGUACACAGCAGGUGUCUUGCCGGAUCCUUUUGUUGUGAGGACCUUCGUCGACCCCGCAUGGACUCCACGGAACCGGAGAAGCCCCCGUCUACCAUCAUCUUGGGCAUCAGCCAACCAUAUCAAUUGCGCAGUGGGGAAGCGAGCCAUCCUUUGCGUUGAAGCAUAUACCUUCGGGGCUCCCGGCAGUCCGGUGAUCGUGCUGUCGGACAUGAGGAACACAAAUGGAUCGGCGGGCGACCAUUUAGGCCAGGUAUUAUAUACCUAUGCUGUCGAGAACUAGCACCGCUUAGUUGAUUUGAAUGUAAUGAAAUUUGUAAAGUUUGUAUUAAAAUCCAGUAUUUUAUAUGAAUUCCGUCAUUGUUUAUGAGAAAUAUCGCCUUGUUUGCAUGAAUUUCGUCCGGUUGGUUCAGUUGCUGUCAGAAUCUGUGCAGCUACGGUUGGAUGGCGUAAUAUGCGGGUCGCCGGUCGGUCUGCGGCCGGCUCGGGCGGCGUGGUGGGACAAAAAAAGCACAGCUCAUGCGAGCUCGUCUCCAACGUGCGCGUUGGAGGAUGCAUGAGCACCCGAGCCAUUCCUCGUUCAUCGGUGGCAAAGGCACCGGUGGACAAAAGGGUCGCCAAUAUUUUGGCUACCCCGGGCAAAUCCAAACAACCCCUCCCAGUAGAUUCAAAUCCCUCGUUCGCCGUGAAAUUUUUCCAUGUGUUGUUUUCAUGGACUAGCAAGAUGCACGUGCAUUGCACGGAACAUCAAGAUGCAUUUUUACAAAACACCUGUUGUGAUUGACCCAUGCAGGAGUAAUCCCAUGUGUAAAAACUAAUGAUAUCUCGAGAAUUUAAUGGAAAAAUGGUAUCUUGAGAAUUUCAUCGACAAAAUGAUAUCUCGAGAAAGAUGAGAGAUAAGGUGAGGAGGAGUGGGGCGUGGUGGUGACUGGUGGUCGGACUGGGCGGAGGCAUGGGGAUGGACGGCACAUUAUGUCUAGGUUUGUAUCUCUCUCUCACACACCCACGUAGGUGGGGGACGUGCACGAAGAGAAGAGGUGCAUGCACGGCACACGUACUCCUGUCUCUUUCCCAACCACACCCGUGCGGGUACAUGGUGGAGCUCAUUUCUGUACGAAAAGGCAGCCCACGUGGUAAUUUGACACGUGUACUGGUUGUCCACUUGAUGGAGGAUCGUCUACCACGGGUGGACAAACAAAUUGCGACUUGACACGUUACGUUAAAAAAGAGGCAAACCAUGUGGGGCCUACCUUAGAGGCAAGGUUCUAUACACUCGAGAUGCUCUGUACGUAUUACUUUUGAUGUGUCCCAUCAACUCGCAGAACGAGGAGAAGCUUGCUUACUACGCCGUCUCCCCUGCCCACGGGCGUGGUGGCUCGCAGGACGAGGUGAAGCUUUCUUACUACUACUCUUUGUACUAUAUUGGUUUAUUGGUCCCCAUUGUAUAUUGUGUCAAAUUUUGACUAUAGAUUGAACUAACAAAACAUUCGUGCAUGUUACCAAAAAUUAUAUCAUUGAAAACUAUGUUGAAAUACGAAUCCAACGAUAUAAUUUUUGUUGACAUGCAUUAACAUUUUGUUAGCUAUAUAUUUGGUCAAAAUUUGGCACGAACUACAAAGGUGACCUAUAAACCAGGACGGAGGUAGUAGUACUACGCCUUACGCCCGCUCCCUCGCCCACGCGCGCGGUGGCUCGCAGGACGAGGAGAAAAUUUUACUACUCCCUCCGUUUACUCCUCGUCCCUACCUUGGUUAGAGAGAUUAUCAUAUUGUUUGGAAUAUACUCCCUCUGUUCCUAAAUAUAAGUCUUCUAAGGGAUUUCACUAUAGACUACAUAUAGAACAAAAUGAGUGAACCUAUUCUUUAAAAGGCGUCUAUAUACAUCCGAAUGUAGUCUCUAUGGUGGAAUCUCUAAAAAGACUUAUAUUUUGGAACGGAGGGAGUAUGUCUUUUAGUAGUAGUAGGAAUAGUACAAUGGUAUAUAGGAGUAGUACUACUACAGCAAUUUCCUUGGAGUCCGUGGUGCAGCAAGCUACCCUAGGCUCAAUUUCAAAAUCUCUCCAACCAAGGCAGACGGUGAGUGGUGGAAUUAAUUUCAUAGUUUGCACAAGCAAUGUACGCUCAUUUUUCUCAAGAAGUUAUGUUUACCGAGGCAUUAAUAAGAAUGAAUGCAUGCAUGACCACUAAUUUUCCAUGAACUUCUACAUGCAUUGGUGAGUUUUCUCUUGACAAUGCUUGCAUCGGGUGAUUUAACGCACCUCGAAAUCCAGCACGUGAUGAUACUACUACUACUACUAGUAGAAUUGAGACUUAUAAAACGGAAAAACGAUUUUUUAGACGAGCCCUAUAAACCAGAAAGGAGGGAGUAGUAAGUAGUAUACUACCUCCAUAGUGGGUACAUACUCCGUAAAAUCAGUUUUUCCCAAAAGUAAGUCGCUCAACCUUUAUUUGCUUGUUUCCCUUCCUGCCUCGUUGCCUCGAAAUGACUAUGCCAAACUCCCCUGCCUGCCGCAUGGGAAAAGACCCGCCCUCACCUUUUUUAGUCCAGGUUUGUAUCGAUGGAUCGCGCGAAGCAGCAAAAACCAAGCCGUGUCUUGUACUACUCCGUCGACACUCGCUUUCAUGAAUUCUGUACUUCCUCUCGCCGACAUGUGGGACAUAUAGCAACUGGGUCGACGUGUCAUGCACCAAAUAAUAGUGUAGAACAGCAGGAGGGACGCACCCCAGUCGUACCGACCCAUUAGUAGUAAUGAGCAAUGAGACGUCAAAUCACGGUCGCACCUUGCCAGACGGAUGAAGCAACCAUUAUUUCACACUUUGCUUCGCCAUCAUCUCCUUUAAGAAAACCACGUAGUAUUGCUUCUGCCAUUGUUCUUCCUCAAGAGGGACACGCGCAUUGCCUUGGUACAUCAUGACACGUGGGACCGCGUGAUAGGCCAUGCUCCCCCGCCCAUCGCUCGGUAAAAUCACCUCAUAUUUACUACUUCCUCCGUAUUGGUUUACAGGGCAUGCACGUCGUUCUAGGUUGAGAAUAUAACUGGCUAUAUAUGUGAUGAACAGUGUAUGUUUAGAAACUACAUCCGCUUAAGAAUCGAAUGAUAUACUUUCUGUGACAUAGUAACUCAUAUUUAGUUAGUCAAAUGGAUGACGAGAACUAUGUGCGCGCCCUAUAAACCGAGACGGAGAGGGUAGUACAGUACGUAUCUUUUUAGAUCAAUAUAAUCGGGAUUCACCAAGGAGCAAAACCAAGUGGUAGGCUGCUCCUGUCGUGUUGGCGUAGCAACUCAAGCAGGGUCAGUCCACACACGAAAUGGUGACACACUUAACAUGACCCCUUUGGCCGACAUGUGGCUCAUCCACCGUCUUUGUUCCACGUGCGAUGCACCAAAUUACAGUUCGGAGCAGCGGUUGGACUUGGAGGCACCCCGGUCGUAGCGCCGCAGUAGUAGUAAAUGAGCGAUGAGGGGUCAAAUCACAAAGCCCCACCUUUCCCGCAUUAAGCCGGACGGAGGAAGCAACCAUCAUUUCACUCUAGGGCGCAAGAGCAUAAAGAAAUUAGAAAACCAAUGAUGCGUGCGGCAGCUACCUAGGGCACCCUAGGGUAGGGGCCUCCACUACAAAUCCAUUUUUUAAAGCGCCGCCAAUACAAAUCCGCUUCUCCCUCGUCCUCUUGAAGAAAACCGAUGAUGCGUGCGGCGGUAGGGUUUGUAGGAGUACUACGGCAUGCGGGGCCACGUUGUAGUAAACGGGAGAGGGAUUGAGUUCAAGUCGACGCCUUAAUAUGUGUGGGUCGCUUGGUUUUACGGGAACGAGGCAGCAUUUUGGGUUCGGGGACCAGUGGAGAUAUACGUACAAAAAAUUGUGGAUGUAGGUUCGACCGAAAGGCAAUGAUGCAUGGGCCCUGCAUUUUGAUAUACCCGCGGCCGCAUGAAUUUUGCUACUCUACUCAAAACUAGUAAGGUACACAUGCAUUAAACGCAUGAGAUUUGGAAACGAAAUUAUGAAUAAAUACACAGUAUAGCAUGUAAAGCUUUGAGUCAUAUAUGCAUGAUGUAGAUGUUUGUUUAGUUCUUAUAGUUAAUCUCAUUCAAAAUCAGUUAGUUUUAUAAAAAGGUUAAGAUUCAUGGGAUUGUGCAUUGUAAAGCAUAAAUUAAAAGACAAAUAAUGGCAAUUCAUUUAGAACAAAGGAGAAGUGCUUGUGUUUUGGGAAAGCAUGCAUGGCCCACGUCUCUUAUUGGUUGGUAUGUCACGAAACAAGAAACGAGGAGGGAGUUAAUGUACCGUGCUAAAGUGUUUUGGGAUUAUUUGGUUUUUGGAAAAUGACUUACACACCUAGACGGAGGGAGUACAAUGACAAAAAAUGAAUUGCAGUUAAAAAAAUGACAUUUCUAACAAAAAUGUGAAUGUGAACUACAUAUGUGUGCACGUGACCAGCACAUACAUUGUCAAUAGAAAAUUUAAUGCAAGAAAUAACUUAUGAGUAACAUGCAUGAAUUGAUGAUGUGGUGCUUGCAUGCAUAGAGUAGAAAAACAAUGUGAUUUAUGACUUGCAUGCAUGACGUGUUCUUGUGCCAUAGUUGCAUGUCUAGGAAAAAAAGCUACUAGUGGGUUGUACUAGCUAUUUAGGAAUAGAAGAUGUAUACAUGGAAGUUGUAGGGAAAGAGAUGACAUGUAUCUCAAUUCCUAUGAGUAGGGAUUGGAAAAGAGAUGUCAUUUGGUUCACAUCAUAAGAACUUUUCUAUUGAAUCUAGAGAUGACAUGUAUCUCAAUUCCUAUGAGGAGGGAUAAGAAUAGAGAUGUCAUUUGGUUCACAUCAUACGAACUUUUCUAUUGAAUAUACGCUAAUGUUUAUUUUCCUUUGAAAUUAUGGGAGUAUAAGAAUCCAUUAAUAUGAACCAAGUGGCUCUAAAGCUAUAAAAAUGAUAUCAUGUUUAUUUCCUUUGAAAUGUUGAGUAUAUGAAUCUAUUCCUAUGAACCAAUUGGCUCUAAAGGAAAAAAUCCUAUAAAAAUCAUAUCAUAUAGAGUUCCUAUGGUAUUCCUCCACAUCAAAGGAUGGUUGAAAUUGCUGCAGGUGAUACGACGGUCUUUCUUUGUAGAUUCCUCCCCCAUCUUUAUAGUUACCUCUCGAAGAUGAAUGAAAUGAUAUAUACUGGGUAUUCUAUAUGUGCAUUUUGCUACACGAAAACUCGGUAAAAGUUUGCGAGGUUCGAAUUUUCAAUAAAGCUAUAUGCAUUGCAUUUUGGAACUAAGGGAGGAGCAUACGGCAGUUGCUAACACUCACGUGGAACAUUUGUGUGUAGGAGGAGUGGCUGUCCUGUGAAAUGACAUGGCAAAACUGACGCUGUCGGAUGCCGAUCUAACGGUUCUUACGGCGUUCGUCAGGAAACCACUUGUGGCGAACGUUUGUCCGAUAAUGAUUUAUGGACACAUGCAUUGCAUUGAUACGUGCCCCCUCUCUCUUACGUACACACGCACCCUCACGAGUCACGACUCUCCUGGGUCCUCUCGCACCCACCGUCUAUCUGCAGGUAGACGUCACACACAUAUGUGCUCUUCACACCCUACACUCAGAACUUCUAAAAGACAAAAGACGUCGCGCACCUUUUAUUUUAGCUCACACGUCACACACUUAUACUAUUACUCUUGUGGCGAACAUUCUUUGGGCAUAGUAUAUUGUACUCUCGUGAAGAGAAGCGGUGCACGCAUGCACUAGUUCUCUCACACCCACUCGCGGGUACACGUAGGAGCACAUUUUUUGAAGCUGUUACAACAAAAUCACUCCACUAUAUAUAAGCAAGAGCCUUAGCGCUCGCUUUACUACGGUUCCUCUCUUUCACUCUCUCAUGCUCUUCAGAUCUAAGCAAGACAUAGGUGGCCACACUCUCCCUCUGCUCAUGGCUGGUCACAAAUCUGGCCGGACCACCUCGACCGGGGCAGGGGUGUAGGUGCAUCGUUCACGCUGUCGUCGGCGGCGAGGGAGGAGACCAACGGCUACCCGCGCGUCCCGAUCGGCGGCCGUGUCGUUCUCUCCGAUAGAGCGCCGGCUUGGGAGGGCCUCCGACCCCUUCUUCCUCCCUGCGGUAUUGUGGCCAAGAUGCGGCCUCCCGACGCCAUCUUUUCCACAUGCCGACGACCCUUAGGUAUAUAUUCAUUUGAAACCUGCCUUGCUCUACUGCCCCAGCUCCCCACGUGGCUGCGUGUGGAUCUUUUUGUACUUCCGUCGGCUAUUCCAAAGCCACCUAGACUUUUACUAUUAUUAGAGGUAAAGGUAGUUCAUACAGUCGAAUCUAAGAGUUGGUUCAAACAGGGAAGAAAGUGGGAAAGCUGUAGCAUGAAUCUAGGACUUGGUUCUAAGAGGAAAGGGGGGAAAGUAGUAGAUACUAGCUACCCAACCGGUCUCUUGGUUGAAAAGGCGAAGAAAGCAUGGUGGAUGGCAAAGGGUCGGGGGAAGUGGAGUCUCUUGGUUGAAAAAGGAAAGAAAGUGAGGGGUGUUGGGGGACAACGCAAAUGAGAAUGAGCAGGUCUAGACUUCCUGUGCUCACAUAGAAAAUGUCGCCGAGAUAAAAAAUGGGACAAAUGCAGACAUGCUGCGUGAGUGUUUGCCGCUCUCGGCAACCACAUCUGCCUCACCACUUUAUGCCCCUGCUGUCCCUACGCCCAUAUCGCUACCGUUAAUGUAAAAUCACAUGAAGCAUUAAGCAAUGCCACCAUAAGUAAUGGUCUAGCGUCGUCGAUAAAUUGAAGCAAUGCCACCACCAUUUUAUGAAGUGCUUCCAUCUUGCUUUAUUUCCCAUGAACUGUGUUUUUGCAGUUACACUUAAAUCUCACACCGCUAACAUUGCUUCAUCCCAGUGGAACUGCACAAAUUUGAUUGCACAUUUACUGACCAUGUGCUACUCUCAUGACAGUAAUACUAAUGCUAUUGUUCUGCAUGUUAAUCUAGUGGCAGUGUUGAUGUGAUGUGAUGCUACUUACUUAAGGGUGUCGGCGUUCUGGGAACGGGGGUCCCCAGACUUGCCUGCUUGCGGCCCACGGCGUGGCUGUGCUGGCAGGCCUGUACGGCCCAUCUUCAUCAGCAAGACAUUCAAGACCCUUGCGAGGGACCAAGCCUCGCGAGGCGGACGACGCAAGACCUCCUCAGGGGUGGCCUCACCAGGCCGCCUCACGAGGAGCGGAGAAAUCAAGGUAGGACAAACCACGCGAGGCUCCCGUGACGUGAGCCGUGACGAUCAAGAUCAGGCGGGUGCCAGCGCGCGCAGCGUCCUUGUUUCCUCUUUGGUGCUAAGGAGGCAAGCGCAGGCGCGAAUACUGAGGCAUCCAGCAAAGGUUUCAAUAUCAGUGCAACGAGACCAAGACAAGCAGGACGGCAAGACGGAGGUCACCGUGGAGCCCAGGACGGCGUCACCACCAGAGCCUUUCGUAGGCGAAGACUGCUUUUGUCAGGAUAAGCUGUACUAGCUGUCCCCUUUCAAAUUGGCCAUUGUUGGCUCCCUUCCCGCUUAAUAUUUGGGGAGAGGACCAGGGCCUAUAUAAGUAGAACUAUCCACCAUUGUAGGGGCAACUCAUCUUGGGCUGGAUCCACUCCAUCCCCACACCCACAAGUUCGCAGAGCACAAGAACACCUCAACCUCAGGAGGGUGUUCUUCCCCCUGUACUGUUCAUCAUCACCCCGAGAGGCAAUCCACCACCACCACACCGGAUUAGGGUAUUACACCACAAUGGUGGCCCGAAACAGUAUAAACCUUGUGUCUCUUGUGCUGUGAGUUCAUCGAGUUCGUCCGCGAGAUCUUAGCGAGCUAGGGCGUGGAUCGGUAGGGAGGAAAUGUUCACGCGCACCCCAGUGUUUGAACCUUGAGGGUUUUGCCGGAACCCGUGAUCCGACAUUUGGCGCGCCAGGUAGGGGUGCGCCGAGGCUCCUCUCUGUCAAUCUGCGCUCCACCGCCACCGCACUUUGCUCUCAUGGCAGGCGCCCCGCUACCGACUCCUGACGACGAGCCCUGGCCCCCGCCCUGCGGCGGGUGCGUUGGCCGCCCAAGUUCAAGCCAGAGAUGUCGCCGCGCUACGACGGCGCGGCGGACCCGUCAGCUGUUCUGCUGGCAUAUGAGGAGGCCGUCCUCGAGGCAGGGGGCGAUGACAAAGUCAUGGACAACUGGCUCCCCAUGGCCCUCGCUGGUGAGCCACGCGCCUGGCUGCUCAACCUCCCCGGAUCCACGGUGGCAUCCUAGGAGGAACUCCGCGACCUCUUCACUGCGCGCUACGCGGCACCGGCGCACCACGCGGUUGCGGCCCUACUGGUCGGCUCUCAAGCGCCGCCUUCAGAUCGCCACGUCAAGCCAUUCCUCCGCCAGAUCGGCACCGCCUCCAAGCGCUUGGGGGCUCCGCCUGGCUGGGCUGCACCCAAGGCUGACCUCACCUUUGGCUCUAAAGACCACCCCGACUCCACCGCUGGCUCGGGCAUGCUCUCAAUGCUCUGCACGCCCACCAUCUGCAAUGUGGCAGUCACCAAGACCCUCAUUGACGGCGGCGCCGGCCUCAACUUGCUCUCCGUGGAGGCCUUCAGCCUUCUUCACGUGCCACUCGAGCGGCUCAGCCUCAGCAAGCCCUUCUCAGGAGUUGGUGGUGGUACCGCCCGCUCCCUGGGGCAGAUCCGCCUCCCUAUCACCUUCGGCAUGCGCGACAACUACCGCACCGAGCUGGUCGACUUUGACAUCGCCCGCAUCGGCCUCCCGUACAACGCCAUUCUCGGGUACCCAGCUCUGGCCCAGUUCAUGGCGACGACUCAUCCGGCCUACAACCUCAUGAAGAUGCCUGGAAGCAAGGGCGUCCUUACUAUCAAGGGGGACACCAAGGAGGCCCUAGCGGCGCUCAAGCUCGCCCUCAAGGCCGCCGCGGCAGCACAGCCCGCUGACGCGGGCACCUCUGAACCCAAGGGAGCCACGCCAACCAAGAAGAAGCAGUUGUUCACACAAGACAAGGCGGAAACCAAGCAGGUGCGAGUCAACAAGGACGGGUCCUCAGGAGCCACCUUUACCAUAGGUGCCGGCCUCGACCCAAGCCAGGAGGAAGCAUUGGUGAAGUUCCUGCGUGCAAAAAGGAUAUAUUCGCAUGGGAGCCCAAUCAGCUGGUGGGAGUCCCGAGAGAGGUGAUUCAGCAACAUUUAAGGGUAUGCCCCAAUGUGCGCCCUGUGAAGCAACGAGCAAGACGGCAGUCCACGGAGCAGCAAGCCUUCAUCGUCCAAGAGACCCACAAGUUGGAGGCGGCGGGUGCCAUUCGUGAGGUCCGGUACCCCGAAUGGCUGGCGAACCCCGUCGUAGUACCGAAGAAAGGCGGGAAGGAGCGAAUGUGCGUCAACUUCACCAACCUCAACAAGGCCUGCCCCUAGGAUCCGUUCCCCCUCCCACGCAUCGACCAGAUCGUUGACUCCACUACCGAGUGUGACCUGCUGUGCUUCCUAGAUGCGUUCUUAGGGUAUCACUAGAUCAAGAUGGCAGUAGAAGAUGUAGAGAAGAUAGCCUUCCUGACCCCGUGUGGGGUGUACUGCUACACCUGCAUGCCCUUCGGACUGCGCAACGCGGGCGCAACCUUUCAGCGGCUGAUGCACAUCGCCUUGGGGCGGCAGCUCGGCAGAAACACGGAGGCCUACGUCGACGACAUUGUGGUGAAGUCUCAGGAGGCAAGAACCUUGAUUCAAGACCUAGAGGAGACCUUCGCGAGCCUGCGCCAGAUGAACUUGCGGCUUAACCCGGAGGAGUGCGUGUUCGGUGUACCUUCCGGCAAGCUGCUGGGCUUCCUCGUGUCCCACAGAGGGAUCGAGGUGAACCCAGAGAAGGUCAAGGCCAUUGAGGACAUGAGUCCACCGCAGACUCUUAAGGAAAUGCAGAAGCUAGCUGGUCGGGUAACUGCGUUGGGACGCUUCAUCUCCAAGCUAGGAGAGCGCGCCCUACCCUUCUUCAAGCUAAUGAAGAAGAAGGGCCUGUCCGAGUGGACCCAGGAGGCUGACCAAGCUUUUCAAGACCUCAAGAGAUACCUGACCAGCCCUCCAGUGAUGGUGGCGCCACGACCCCUAGAGCCCCUAGUACUCUACCUCGCCGUUACCCCGUACUCCGCCAGCGCGGCGCUGAUGGUGGUUCGGGAGGAGCACAAAGCCAAAGGCGCGUUGCGCCGAGCUACAGCUGAAGCGAUGCAAGAUCAGGAAGGCGCCGCAAGGGCCUUAGCAGCGUUAACCGAAGGCCAAGCUCGGCAGGAUGACGUCGCCGAGAUGCCCACAAGUGAUCAGGCGUCAGGAGUCUCAUCACCUCAGGAAACGUCCCAAUUUCCGCAAGACACGAGCCUCAAUAGCACACCAUCCCUCGUCGAUCACCCGAUGUAUUUUGUCAGCAUAGUGUUACGGGACGCGAGGGCGCGAUAUCCCAUGCCUCAGAAGCUCCUGCUCGCACUCUUAGUGGCCUCAUGCAAGCUGCGGCACUAUUUCUAGGGCCACCCCAUCAAGGUUGUCUCAGCCUACCCAUUGGAGAGGGUGCUCAGGAGCCCCAACUCAGCUAGAAGGGUCGCUGAGUGGAACAUCGAGCUGAAAGCAUUCCAGUUGGAGUUCGGCACUACCAGGGUCAUCAAGGGAGCCGCGCUCGCUGAUUUUGUGGCAGAAUGGACAGACGCCCCGGAACUCCAAGCGAGCGAAGACCGGUCCACCUUCCUAGGAAGCGAGGUGCCAGACGGUUGGGUCAUGUAUUUCGAUGGCGCCUUCGUGCAUCAGGGCGCGGGGGCUGGAGCGGUACUCAUCUCGCCCACUCAGGACAAGCUCUACUACGCUGUGCAGCUCUGCUUUCAGCAGGGCGAGAAGGUCUCCAACAACACCGCUGAAUAUGAAGGCCUCAUAGCUAGCUUGAAGGCCGCCGCAGCUCUGGGAGUGAAGCGCAGCAUUAAGGGCGACUCAUAGCUCCUCGUCAAUUUCUCCAACAAGGUGUACGAGCCAAAGGACGAACACAUGGAGGCAUACCUUGCGGAAGUGCGUAAGAUGGAAAAGCUGUUCCUGGGCCUGGAGUUGCAGCAUGUACCCCGAGGCACCAACAAGGAAGCCGACGACAUCGCCAAGAGGGCGUCCAAGCGGGAGCCCCAGGAGCCCGGCGUCUUCGAGGAGCGGCUCUUCAAGCCGUCAGCAACGCCACCACUUUCAAGCACAAGUCAGCCUCGGGAGGAGCUCCCACAGCCGCCUGCCACAGGAGGCCUAGCCUGUGGCCCGACCUCAGGAGCUCUCCUGCUCUUGGCGCUCGAGCCCCAGGAGGGAUGCUGGACCAAGGAAUUCAAUGAAUAUCUGAUGCAAGGGGCGCUGCCGGAGAAGGAAGAGGACGCAGAGCGCGUGGCCCCGCAGGCCACGGCGUACUGCAUCCAGGACGGUGAGUUGUACAGGAAGCGGCCAAAUGAUGUUUCUCUGCGCUGCAUUUCCAGGGACCAGGGGAAAGAGUUGCUAAUAGACAUACACGACGGAGGCUGCGGGCACCACUCGUCAUCACGGACACUCGUCGGCAAAGUAUUCCGUAGUGGGUUCUACUGGCCCAUCGCGCUCAACGACACAGCUGAGCUGGUGAAGUCCUGCGAAGCCUGCCAGUUCCACGCCAAGCAGAUCCAUCAGCCGGCUCAAGGCCUCCAUACCAUCCCACUCACAUGGCCGUUCGCGGUCUAGGGGCUGGACAUCUUGGGCCCGUUCCCUCGAGCACCUGGGGGCUACCGCUACCUCUACGUUGCCAUCGACAAAUUCACCAAGUGGGCGGAAGUGGAAGCCAUCCGCACCAUCCUAGUUGGCUCUGCCGUCAAGGUCAUCAAGGGCCUCGUGAGCCGCUUUGGGGUCCCCAACCGCAUCAUUACAGAUAACGGCUCGCAAUUCACUAGUAACCUCUUCAAAACCUACUGUGCUAACCUUGGAACGCAGAUUUGCUAUGCUUCAGUGGCACACCCUAGGAGCAAUGGUCAGGCCGAACGCGCCAACGCAGAGGUCCUAAGGGGCCUCAAGACUAGGACCUUCAAGAAGAAGCUCGAGGCCUGCGGCAGAGGCUGGCACGAUGAGCUCCAAUCUGUGUUGUGGUCCAUCCGUACCACCGCCACCAAGCCAACGGGCGAGACCCCAUUCUUCCUUGUCUACGGAGCCGAAGCGGUCCUUCCUCACGAGGUCAAGCAUCGCUCCGCACGGGUCCUAGCGUUUGAUGAAACACAGCAGGAUGCCACGCGGGGGGUGGUCCUCGUGCUGGGGGAAGAACGUCGUCACGAAGCUGCACUGAGGGCGGCAAGGUACCAGCAGGCCCUGCGGCGGUACCACUGCCGCAGCAUCCGCUCCAGGACGCUCGAGGCGGGCGACCUCGUCCUGAGGCGGGUCCUCUCCAGGGAAGGGCUGCACAAGCUCUCACCUAUGUGGGAGGGCCCGUUCAGGGUCGUCCAUGUCUCCAGGCCUGGUGCCGCACGCCUGGAGAAGCAGGACGGGGUACCCAUCCAGAACGCCUGGAACAUCCAGCACCUCCGGAAGUUCUACCCAUAAAACAAGGCCUGGUGCCUGUGAAGGAAGGCCCAGUGCCUGUGAAGAAGGCCCGGUGCCUGUGAAGAAUCGCCGCCCGUGACACUCUCACAUAAUAAUGAGAGGGGUUGUACACGCCCCAGAGUCUCCGGAGUGCCGCCCUCAGGCCUCGGGGGCUCCCUCCCACGCCUAGUGGUAGCACUUAGCUCCAUUCUGGUGAGAAGACUUGAAGACUAGAUUAGGUGCCGGACGCGGCCUUUCAUUUGCUUUCCGUAGUUGACUCGCCUUCUCUUAGUUGAAGUUUGCUUCUGGUGUUCUUUGUUGAUUCGGUUCCUUCGCCUUUUUCCGCAUUUUCCAACUCUGGUUCGCUUGUGUUCUCUCUCUCUCGCAUACCUCGCGAGGGGGGCUGGGCAAGUGCCCUCGCGAGCGUUUUUUCCUCCUCUCUGCCUUCUCGCGAGCCACUCUCAGCGUUUUUUCCUCCUCUCUGCCUUCUCGCGAGCCACCCUCGUUCGAGCCCGCAAACUGGCGCAUCUCUCCUAAAUCCGUGCCCCUCGGAUAUCGCGAUAUGAAGCGCCGGUCAAGGCUUGGGUGAACGGAAAAUCUCCUAGCAAGCUCCCUAACGAAUUUUUUGCAGUUCCUGAGCAACCACAGAUCACUAGAUGCACACGAGAAAACAGACACCUCGUAAAGAGGAGGCCCCCGAACGCAUCAAGCUCAGUUAUCUCUGCACAAGAUAACAGCACAACAUGGAAACAACAGGCAUCGCAUAAUGAUUAAGAAGUCAUGGUUCGAUACACGCCCCUCCGGGACCAUACUAGUUUCAUUUUGAUGCAGGAAGGAAAAGAGGAAGAAAACAAAAGCGGCGCUCGCCCCUGCAGCAGUCCGCGAGGGCAGGCCCUUGGCGACGUCCUGGGUUUAGUCGGACCCCUCCUCGCGUUUCACGGAUGCGCGGCGAUGAGACGACCUGCUACCACCUUUGAAGUGGGCGCGGCGACGUGGCGGCUGGUCAUAGCCGCCACUGCUGGAACUGUCGCCAAGAGAAGAGCCACCGUAGCCGGACGAGGCGCGGCCAGCGGGUUCACCCUCCUCCUCGUCCCGACCAUCGCCAAGGCCGAGCACCUCCCCGCCGUCGUUCACCUUAGGGCAGCAUCCGGCGCGGCGACCGUCUUCCCCGAGCACCUCACGUAGAGGGUUGUGUCGCCAUCGAACUUGAAGUGGAGGGUGCACCGCCUACCUAGGCCUCGCGCGCGGGUGAACGUCUGCCAACCGCAGGCCAGAGCUAUGUUGCCCGCGACGGAGACCUCGACCGCGACCCAAGAAGCCUGGCUGCAGCAGCCGUCUGCCUGCAGCCAGAGCCCACUUGGACCGGAGGCCGACAGCUCGUCGGCAAAGAAGCGGGGAAGCUGGAGCCAGCCGUCGGCCGGAUUCUCCGACCAGACAACAAACUCCGGCAGCACCUCUGACGCAUGGAACCGCGGCCGGGGAGGCCGUGCAACUACGGCACGUCUCCUCUCGUCAGCGGGGCUGCCGUGACCGGAGCGACUCCUGUCAUGCACAGUGGCGCCACCCCGGGAGCCAGGGGCCAUGGCGGGGAUCGCGGCGCGCUUACGGGGACGGCCACGUCCACGCUUGGGCGUCAGGGAUCCGGGCCCCUCCCGAGGGGCCUUGCCCUUCUCCGCGGCGAAGAACCUCUUCGACGGCGACAUCGCUGCUAGCAGAGGAGCAAGGAGGAGGAAGCAAGCGGACUGCGAAGAGAUGGACGACGAGGAUUCUUCCCCUCUCUCCAUUUAUAGCAGAAGAAGGCCAACCGGCGCCUCCCACGAUCACAGGUAAUGAUGGUUUUCCUUGCAUGUUGCAGGGACUUGUCAAGUCGAGCAGUUGCCGAGGCUACGCGGGGAAGUGGAGACGCCCACGUCCAAUCAAACGCCACGCGUCGACCAAGGCCGCAGGCUUUUGGGGCCCGCGGCGCUCUGCGCUUCACAUUUGGCUUCGCCUCUAAGCCAAGCCCGAGCGCGCCUUGGGCCCUGGGGCUACUGUCGGCGUUCUGGGAACGGGGGUCCCCAGACUUGCCUGCUUGUAGCCCACGGCGUGGCUGUGCUGGCAGGCCUGUACGGCCCAUCUUCAUCAGCAAGACAUUCAAGACCCUCACGAGGGACCAAGCCUCGCGAGGCGGACGACGCAAGAGCUCCUCGGGGGUGACCACACCAGGCCGCCUCGCGAGGAGUGGAGAAAUCAAGGCAGGACAAACCUCGCGAGGCUCCCGUGACGUGAGCCAUGACGAUCAAGAUCAGGCGGGCGCCAGCAUGCGCAGCAUCCUUAUUUCCUCUUUGGUGCUAAGGAGGCAAGCGUAGGCGCGGAGUACUGAGGCAUCAAGCAAAGGUUUCCAUAUCAGUGCAACUAGACCAAGACCAGGACGGCAAGACGGAGGUCACCGUGGAGCCCAGGAUGACAUCACCACCAGAGCCUUUCGCAGGCGAAGACUGCUUUUGUCAGGAUAAGCUGUAGUAGCUGUCCCCUUUCAAAUUGGCCGUUGUUGCCUCCCUUCCCGCUCAAUAUUUGGGGAGAGGACCAGGGCCUAUAUAAGUAGAACUAGCCACCACAGUAGGGGCAACUCAUCUUGGGUUGGAUCCACUCCAUCCCCACACCCACAAGUUCGCAGAGCACAAGAACACCUCAACCUCAGGAUGCUGUUCUUCCCCCUGUACUGUUCAUCAUAAACCCGAGAGGCAAUCCACCACCACCACACUGGAUUCGGGUAUUACACCACAACGGUGGCCCGAACCAGUAUAAACCUUGUGUCUCUUGUGCUGUGAGUUCGUCGAGUUCGUCCACGAGAUCUUAGCGAGCUAGGGCGUGGAUCGGUAGGGAGGAAAUCUUCGCGCGCACCCUAGUGUUUGAACCUUGAGGGUUUUGCCGGAACCCAUGAUCCGACAAAGGGCACUUUCAUACUGUCAAUCUAGUGCCAAUUAUAACACAAUAGAUGUUGUUGUUAAUCAUACACCACUGCAAAUAUCUGUCACUGUUUAAAUAACCGUAUUCGUAUUUGCGCAAACAGGGAUGUCUGUCUCCAUAUCGUUUCUAUCUGUGCAAUCAAAAGUACACACCUCAGUUUUAGUACAACUGCACAAAAUGAGAUGGUUAUUCCUAGCUGCCUUCCUCUAACCUCCAGUGUUCCAGGUAUUCCUACAUUGGUAGUAACUAGGUAGAAUGACCAACGCAAUCUAAAAGAAGCUGAUUCGUACGUUUUACUUCUUGAUUGCAGUGCAGGGACGAGCGAAAACAACUGCAUCCUAGUCCGGAAUGCACUUUCUACGAGUUGAUCCAUGGACCAAGGACUAGCUGGCACGGCUGCAUGGAGGUUUUUGGGACAUGUGCGUGGACAAGAGGCAUUGCGGUCUGCUUAUUUCUGCAAAUAGCGGUGCUUAAAUUUAGUGGAAUGCACAAGAAUUUCAGCUGGUCAGUACACUACAUGGUUCAGUUCAGCAUUCCAGAGUGAACUCCAGGAAAAACAAGGGAGAACUCCAGGAAAUUUAAGCCUGCCUAGGGAGGCCCUUUGCUCAGAGAAGCCUUGCUUGUUUUUUCCUGAUUUGUAAACCUUCUCACAACUUUGUCUUUUGGUGUGAACUAGUAUGUGUUUGUUAUCGUCUAUGAAUCAUUGAGAUGUAUAAAAUUGCUUAACUUAUGCUUUUCAAGUUUUUUAUGAAGCCGAGUUUAAUGUGAGUGUUCUACAUGAACGUUGGACUAGCGUGUGAGCGUUUGUAAUUUACAUUGUGGCCUCAGUUAACUUCAUGAACCACUGUAACAAGAUACGCAGUUGCAGACAGCAGAUUAUUGAUUGUUAGUUGGUCGAUAGCCUAGUGUUGAAGCAAGCUGAGCCAAUGUGCCGUGUUUUGCACAACUGCUUACAAGUGGGGUAGCACCAACAGUGUUUACCAGUACUUAUGUAUCAUCGGCGCACAGUUCUCGAACGAGUACUCUAUUUCAUCAAACACACACUGCUCGUAUGAUAAACCAUGAUAACUUAUGUCUUACCAUGCAAUAUUCAUGAAAAAACUAGUGAGGAUGCAUCUGGUUCGGCAAUAAUUAUGAUGGUUCUCACAUGAUUCAUGGGCACACAAAAGUAGCAGCAGUUCCCAUAGACGGAUUCAAACAGAGUACUAGCCCAGAGGGCUCGAUAAUAGGCAAGGUUCGGAUAAUUAGACACAAUCCAAACUACUAUUAAACACUAGCUGGGGCAACUAUUUCAUGCCUCGAUCUAAUUUGGGCUGGACACAAGACGGACCUUGCCAUGAACAUCAUCGAGGAAGUCCGGCAGCAGAUCAAUUCUAUGAACCUUCAUGAAGAUAACCUUGUGGCCUUGCCACUCAUAAACUUGUUUGUGGAGGCAUGCCACAUCAUCUUCCCGCGUAAGCUUGACAAGAAGAGUAUGCCUCACAAACAAAGGAGUAGCUUUGAACUUCUUGUGCUUCAGUACACCCUGGACAACACGCCUGACAACAGUGAGGCUGGAAUACAACUAAACAUCGGUAUAAUCGCAAAUGGCUUGCAGGAUCCAACAACCCAAGAACUUUGUUUUCCCAGUGUGUAUAUUCAGGUCAUCCGCCUCAUAGCGAGUGACAUGUACAACCACACAAUCCUUGUCUGCAUCAGGGCUCUAAUUGAAACAGAAAAAAAUUCUGAAUUACUUUCCAGUACAAGAGACACAAGUUAUUUAAACCACUAUGUAUAGCAUGGCAUCGAAGCUAAUAGAAUUUUGCAUUAUUCAUCACCACAUACUUAGAUGAAAAACCACAAUCGAGAUCGGCAAAGAAGAAAAUCACCUUGGGCAGCUCAGCGGGGGGGGCACAUCCUUGAAGGGGGAAAACUGCUCCUCUAGUGCCACGGGGGCUGUAACCUCAAACGGGGCGUUGACCAUCUCAGUAGUGGCGUGAGCGUAUCUGGGGUCGGCUUGGUGGCCGGCUCCAUCUUCUUGGAGCUCUCUGUCUCGUGGGGAUCAGCCUCCCGCAUCUGCUCCAAUAUCGCAGAUCUUUGCCUGGUUCUCCUUGGUCCAUCAUGAAACAGACAAAUACUAGGAGACCACUGAAAGGAAAACACAAUCGCAAUGACAACGAAACAAAAAAGAGAGUGAGGAUCGGUUACUGCUUUGCAAAAGUUCUUUCUUUUUUCUCUGAACGAAAAUAUACCAAUAUCACGGAUCCACUUACCUUCCCUUUGUUGGGAGAGAAGAACAGUGGCAGAUGUGAGUGUUGGCUUUCUUGAAGACGGUGAGGGAGAAGGGGAUUCAGCGAAGAGUGAAAUGAUGGUUGCUUUGUCCGUCAAACUUAGACUGCGGGGAGGUGGGGUUUUGUGAUAUGAUGGCUCGUUACUACCGCGCUACGACCUGGGUGAGUCUCCGCCUGCAUACUGCCUUCUAAUUUGGUGGAUGGCAUUUGGGCCCACGCGCAGCAUGGCCCGCAUAUCGGUGAACAAAAGUAAAACGGCAUUCAGUAGAAGGAGACAUUUCGAUGACCUAGGAGGAGCCAAAAGUGGUAGUGUAUCCACUGUACUAGUAGUAAUUGUUUUUCUGGUAGCUGUAGAGUGUCUGCACUAUACUAGUAGUAAUUGUUUCUCUGGGCCCAAGACAAAACAGCCCAUCCACCCUAGUAAAUAAUAAAAUCAAUUCAAAAUCCCAUAUAUUUACUUAAUGAGAGAUGCUACCCACACCUAGCACACCGCCCCCCAAAAAAACAUGGGUGCUCUUCUUCCUCCUCACUCCCACCCACCUCACGUCAGCUCGCUCCACUCGUACCCCCAAAUUCCUCACCUCACUCCUAGAGAAAACUCCAGCUCCCCUUCUUCCUCACUCCUACAGAAAAACCCCAGCUCCCCUCUUCUUCACUCGCACUACAACUAGGCUUGUCAUUCGUUACUCUGCUCAAAUCCGUGAGCGCGAUGCGAUGCCCUCGAGGAAAAUGGAGUCGGCUGACCCCAGCGCCAAGAAGAUGAGGCUCCCGCCAGCGGCGACGCCUAUUGUAGAUCUCGCACCCGGCAGCACGGGGAGAAGCGGCAACCCCGCCCCCACCGGAUCCCAGGAACCCGUAGAAUCUCGGGUGGACCGCAUCUGUGAUCUCCCAGACGUCGUCCUUGGGGAGAUCAUCUCGCUUCUCCCCACCAAGGAUUGCUGCCGCGCCCAAGUCCUCUCAAUUUGGUGGCGCCCUCUAUGGCGCGCCGUGCCUCUUAAUCUCGACUGUCGUCAGCUAUCUCUCUUCAAUGAUUUUGAAAUCCCUAGAGCCAUCAUCUCCUCCCACCAGGGCUCCAUUCAAAGCCUCUGCAUCCCAUCAUGCUACCUGAGCAAGCAUACCAUGCCCUGCACAGUGGACACCUGGCUGAAAUCCCUGAAUUCAUAGAACUACAACUGCUUGAGUUCUACUAUUCUCCUGGAAAUCACCUACCAGAUAUCGAACGCCAUCUACUUGUGCCCUCAGCACCGAUGUCCAUCUCGUGGUUUUCCUCCUCUCUCCACACCGCCACCUUUCUGCUGUGCGACCUACCAAACAAUCUGGUACUAAACCUUCGACUCCCAUUUCUCAAGAAACUUUCACUUGUGCGGGUUCAUAUAUCGGAGGCCUCAUUACACAGCAUCAUCCACUCCAGUUUCCCUGCCCUGGAGUGCUUGGUGCUUGUUUUCACAGUUAGAAUCGGUUGUCUCCAAAUAAAGUCGCCUAACCUUGUAAGAAUUGGAAUUUCUUUUGACAGAAGGCAUCUCAUCAUCCAAGAUGCCCCUUCACUUCAAAGGUUGAUCCUUGAUUCUAGUUAUUCACCGUCGCAAAUAACCGUCCUCUCUGUGCCUAAACUGAAGACCUUGGGUGUAAUACAUGAUCUGUGUGCUCAUUUCAAGAUGGUGUUUGGCUCCACAGUUCUUCAGGUACUUUAUAUUAUCAUCUACACUUGUAACCAUAAGCUGCAUUUUAAAUUUCUGCGCAUGAGUUAUAUAUCAUCUCGGAGUACACAUUUUGUACUAAUAUUAUGUUCUAUGCUCAAUGAAGAGUUUAUUUUCUCCAUGGAUAGCCUAUCAAUGGUGCUGGAUUCUGUCAAGAUCUUAUAUAUCGAAAUGAAUAGUUUUGAUCUGAACAAGAUUAUUGGCUUGCUGCAAUGCUUUCCAUGUCUGGAGAAGUUGUAUAUAAAGGUGAUAAUUUCAUGCAUUGGAAGCCCGCAUUUAGUGUACUAGAAUUAACCGUUCAGUUGUUGCUCUUUCCACACUCUUUUUUAGACUUUAACUGUUUUCAAUAUUCAUGUCUAUUUAGGCAACAAGACGGGGUAAGAAAGUUAUAACCAAUCGGUGGAUUCGUAAGCACCGAGAUUUUCUCACUUCUAAUGACAUUCGAUUGAAGACAAUAACGCUAGAACGAUAUGUAGCCAACCAUGAAAACACUAGAUUUGUCACAUUCUUCCUGCUAAAUGCGAGGUUACUAUUGUCCAUCAGGCUUAAGUUUAUUAGCAGCAUGGUUUUGACAGAUGGUAUGUCGAAGAGCAAAAAAAGGAGUUUCAGGUGGGCAAAAGAGCUUCAGAAUGUGCCGGACUUCUAUUUACAACAUAUUGUGGUCAUAAUCCAGUACAUUUUAUGACCCAGGAUGUUCAUUCUAUGGGCCUGACCGAUCCAUUUGAUUAUGACUGCCGAAACCAGUGCUGGAGUUAGAUGUUGUUGCCCUUUUCAACCUGGGUUUUGUCUAAACCUGAUGAACAAUUAACCCUCGUGCUUUUGUAUAGUUUGUAAGCUGGAAUUAGAUGUUCUUGCCCUUUUCAACUCAGCUGUGACUGUCAUAUUUUCUUUGAAACAAGGCAAAUGGCUUGCCAUUCAUUUAAUUUAGAGUGAAAUAUUGUAACAAAUCCCAACCAAGGGAAAUAACAUCACUCUCACCAGCUACUUGAGCUCACUAUGCAUUACAGAAACCAAGUGAUUAGCCCCCACCGGCACCCACAAACUUAUUUUGAACUAGCACACCAAAUGGGUUGUAAAUUUUCAUAGGAAAGGCUGCAUGACCGUGACAGAUUUGGAUUCUGACAUUUGGGACCCACGAGGAAAUAGCCUAUCCAAGGUGGUGUCGACUUACUAGCUAGUCAACAAAUGAUUCUGCCUACCAGCCGUUGGAUUGACAUCCAACAUCUAUCGUGUAUCUUCUAGCUCUUGUCUUCUUCCUCCAGCCGCACAAACCAAACCACCCCGUCGGCUCCGCCUGCUCCCGCCUCCCAUGGCUGGCUGCUCCUCCGCCGCCUUACCGUACCCUCCAACGUUGGCAAGUCCCUCCCUCUAUUCCCCCACACGUCCUGCUAUUCUCCGACGACGUCAGCCCCAACACGCACCUGCACCCGAACCAGUCAACCCUCGUACUCCCCUCCGCUUGCGACUGGACCGGCGCAUCUUCCACGGCUCCUAUUUGUUCCGUCCGAGUCCUCGCCAUCGUCCUCGGCCUUGGUUCGCUCGCCGUGCGCGGUGCGCCGCCCUCUUGCGUUGUCAACAUCGUCAACAACCGAGAGGAACACGGAGAUGACUGUACGUGGAGGGGAUGACAGUAGGGACCCACCAGCGUCAUGGCAGUACGCAAGCAAGUGCCUUGUUAUUACAAGCCCAAAAAAAUGGUUCCUCCUAAUGGUUGGACAUCUGGGGCUCACGCCAUUGUCAACGUCAAUAAACGAGAGAAUUACACAACGAGCGGCUGACACGAGGGACCCAGCAGGCCGCGCAGUUAUUAUUUACUUUUUUAGGAACAAGGAGUCGUUAUUUAUACUAGUUUUAGCGACGGAUCAGGGUAAGAACGGGGCUGUGUGGGGCCUGUGGCUCGUCUAGCCAGGGUUUUAUUUAUCUUUACCACAUCAUGAGCCCAGUUGUGUUUUUUCUUGCUGAAAAUGGCUAGCCCAGUUCUAGUUUUUUAAGAAAUACCCAAACGAGGCCUACUUGCUUUAUCAGCCUUGCUGGGCUGCAAAUCUUUCAAGACGAGGAGAGUUUCAUUCGGUUUGCCCAGAAAUGGGCUGUACAUUUCUAAAACACAUCAAACCGGGAAUUAGUUUCAAUUUUUUUUCAUUACAAGAUUUUAAAUUCCAUUGAUUUUUAUGCGUGGACAAUUAUUUGGAUUUUAUAUUUAUAUAAAUUAUUUUUCAAAAUAGUUUGCAUGUGACUCGAUAUUUCAGGAUUAAAAACAGUUGACUGCACUAAAAUAUGCGAAAGUUGGUAUAAUUUUUAACCCUGGCCACAAUAUGGGGUGUAAUGCUAACAAAAAGAAGAUGAGCUCCAAAGAAAUUCUUAAGAAUUGGCAAAUGGGCUGUAUAUUAUUAGAAAUAAUGGCAGAUGGGUUGUAUACUGUUUUCCACAGAUUUGAGGCUGACUUGUGCACCUACUACAGGUUGACGCGUAUGCUUUCCUAAAAAAAAGGUUGACGCACACGCAACACCGUGUCAACUUAGUCAAGACACGAGAGGAGUGACUGUUGGAUGUCCAUCCAACGGCCGUCGUGCUUCUUCAUUCUCUGCUCUUCCUGCUCCAGCCGCUCAAACAAGCGACGGGACUGCCUGCUGCCUCCUCCCGCGGCUGGCUAUGCUGUCGCGCAGGCCUCACCGCCCCAUCGUUCUCCAAUCGCUGGCCUAGCCAUACCUCUACUCAGCCACACCUGCUGUUAUUCUCCGGCGACGGCAGACGAACCAGUAAACCCAUGUACUCCCCUCCGCAUGGGAAACAACUGCCGAGUCUUCCCUGGCUCCAUGUCGUUCCCUUCCUAGGCCUCGCCGUCGUCCAUCGCCAUGGUACUCUUGGCGCGGCGUGGUCAACAUGGUCAAUGAACGACAUGCAUCAGAAGUGGACUGUACGUGGAGAGGCUGACAGUUGGGUCCACGGCCGCACGCUAGGAAAUGCCUCCUUAUUACGCGCAAAAUAAUGAUUCCUCCACCUGACAGCUGGGACCCACCGGAAGGGCCUCUGUAUUUCUUGAAAAAAACGUUCCCCCCGCUGUCAGCUCGGACCCACCAGCUAUAUCUUCGCACGCAACGAAGUGCCUCCUUAUUACGUGCAAAAAAUGAAUACUCCCCCUACUAGCUAGGACCCACCAUAGUGGGAGGCUGACUUGUGGGCCUACUAAGAUGACGGGGACGGAGUGCUUUGCCAACUUAGUCAAUAUGAACGAUUCUAGCUCCAGUGACCGUACGAUGUCCAUCCAACGGUCAUAGUGCUUCUUCAACCUCUGGUCUUCUUGCUCCAGCCGCCCAAACAAGCGUCGGUCGUGCCGACGGCUCCUACCUCCCGUGCCCGGCUGUGCUGCCACCGCUGGCCAUGCCAUCCCUCUAUACUCACCCACACCUCCUAUUAUUCUCCAGCGACGGCAGCCUCACACCGCAGCCGAAGCAGUCAGCUCACGUACUCCCCUCCGCGUGGGCAUCCACUGCCGCGUCUUCCCUGGCUCCGCGUCAUCCCCUUCCUAGGCCUCGCCGUCGUCCACCGCCCUGUUGCUCUCGGCGUGGCGUGGUCAACGUGGUCAUCGAACGACUUUGAUUGGAAGAGUACUAUACGUGGAGAGGCUGACAACUGGAUCCACGUCCGCAGCAAGGAAGUGCCUCCUUAUUACGCAGAAAAUAUUGAUUCCUCCACCUGACAGCAGGGACCCAUCGGAUGGGCCACCGUAUUUCACGAAAAAAAUGUUUCCCCCUGACUGCUGGGACCCACCAGCUACAUCUUCGCAUGCAAGGAAGUGUGUCCAUAUUAUGGAAAAAAUGAUUCGCCCCCCUGACUGCUGGGACCCACCAGCUACAUCUUCGCACGCAAGGAAGUGCCUGACAGUCAGGACCCAUCCGGUCGAAGCGUACAUAGUGUUGUCAUUAUGGUCGCGAAUGUGUACGUACAUACUGGUCGAUUAGUCUGUCUGCAGGCUGCAGCGAUGACCCGUGGUCGUAUAAGGAAGGGCACAUGUGGUAGUAGAGGCGCGCACGUAGCAUGUACACGUACGUACAGCGGCCAGGGUGCAAGAAAGUAAAUACGACCACGUACGUACAUACGGGCGGGGUCUCGAACGCCUACUCGCGCAUACGUACGGCCAGGGCUUGUGUACAUGGCUGUGGCUGGGUCGGAACGGAGAAACUGCGUCGUUGUCGUGUUCAUGGGGAGGCAACGAAAUGCGUUGUGUUCAUCGGGAGGCAAUGGAACGCGUGCUGUUCAUCAGGAGCCAACCGGCUUGGACGGAACAGCCGAAGGAAACGAGGCCUGGCAUACCGCAGAAUGGAGGAAACGGCCUUGUGUUCGACUGGCCACGGUGGAAACGGAAUCCUGCUCAUCGGGAGGGGUCUGGCGUACAGCAAAAUGGAGGAAACGGACCUUCUACGGUCGAAACGGGGUCCUAUUGACUGAGAGGGGUGUGGCGUAUUGCAAAACGGAGGAAACGGACUUGUGUUGGAGCGCUACGGUCGAAACGGGGGUCCUGUUCAUCGGGAGGGGUGUGGCGUACCGCAAAACGGGACUCCAUGGGAUACUAUUCAUCUCCACCGUCGACCUCCUCCAGCCUCCACCUACGAUUGUUCAUCCACGGGCUCCUGUUCAUCCAGACUCCACCGCGCGCUCCUCCACCGGCUACUGUUCAACCAACUCUCUCCACGGGGUCCUGUUCAACCACCCCUCUACGGGCUACUAUUCAUCCAGCCCUCCACCGACUACUGUUCAACCAGCCCUCUACCGGCUACUAUUCAACCAGCUCUCCACGGGGUCCUGUUCAUCCAGCCCUCCACGGGGUCCUGUUCAUCCACUGGCUCGAUCGAUCGGGGUCCUGUUCAUCCAACCCCCCACCGAGAACUGUUCAUCCAACACCCCCCCCCAACAAGGCUCACUGUUCAUCCAGAGGCAGCAUCGAUCGGCUUCAGUUAGCAGCAGUAGCGAAGGAAUCACUCGGGUUCAGUUAAUAGCAAGGGAUCGAUCAGGGUUCAGUAACGUAGCUAGUGCAAUCGCUCGGGUUCAGUUAGAGCCCAACGCCUCGCUUGGGUUCAGUUAGAGCCCAAAGCCUCGCACACACGCGCGUACGUACGAGAAAAACGCGCAUCGCUUGGCCCCCGACCACCCACCGUAACCGGGAACUCCCCCGAUAUUAUCCUCGCCCUCGCUUCUACCACGGUUUUCUCUGUCAUGGACGGCCCAAAGAAUGUCAUGCAGCUGCGUCUCCGGCCUGUCCAGGACGAAAAGCCAAUUUCUGUCAUGAUUUUUUGUCAUAGUAGUAGGAGCCCACCACAUCUAUGAUGAUACCGGAUUUUGUCACAAUUAUCGUCAUAGAAGUGUCAUAAGCAUGACAGGAAAAAAAUUCGUUCGGCCCAAAAUGUCACGGAUGUGUCUUUUUUGUAGUGAGUGCUGAGUGUUGCGGAUACUAUCAUUUGAAGCACAAGAGCAAGGAGUUCAUAAUCAAUAAACCGUCUAUUACCUUUUGGAGAGUGGUGUCUCCUAGAUUGGUUAGGUGUCGCUUGGGAGCCUCCGACAUGAUGCGGAGUUGAACCAAGAAGUUUGUAAGGGCAAGGAGAUUUCCUACUUCAUGAAGAUCUACCUGAGUGAGGCAAGUCCUUCAUGGACGAUGGCCAUGGUGGGAUAGAAAAGGUUGCUUCUUCAUGAUCCCUUCGUCGGUGGAGCCCUCCAUGGACUCACGCAGCCGUUACCCUUUGUGGGUUGAAGUCUCCAUCAACGUGGACGUACGAUAGCACCACCUAUCGGAACCACGCCAAAAAUCUUUGUGUCCCCAUUGCGUUUGCCUUAUCCAAACCCUUCCCUUCACCUUCAUGUGCAAUGCUUUACUUUCCACUGCUAUACUCUUAGAAUUGCAUGUGUAGGUUGAUUGUUUGACUUGUCAUAAUUUCUAAAAUAUGCCUAACACUAAAAUUGGGAAAAUGUUACGUUUUAUUUUGUCAAGUAGUCUAAUCACCACUCUCUAGACAUACUUUCGAUCCUACAAGUCGUAUCAGAGCUUUGGUCUUCGUAAGCCUUGGUUUCCAUUACUUUGGUUACCAUAGCCUUGGUUUCACAACCUAGCAGAGUAUGGUGUCUAGUGAGGGUAACUAUCACCGUAGAGGUCCUUAUUUUGAUGGUACAAAUUUUGCUAGUUGGAAGCAUAAGAUGAAAAUGCAUAUUCUUGGUCAUAACCCCUCCAUUUGGGUUGUUGUUUGUAUUGGCUUGCAAGGUGAAUUCUUUGAGGAUCAUAGAGAACCGGCUCGUGAAGCGGCCAUGGAAGAAUUGAAGAUGUUGUAAUGCAAUGCUCAAGCUUGUGAUAUUCUCUUCCAUGGAUUGUGCCCCGAGGAAUUCAACAAAAUCAGACGCCUUGAGAAUGCAAAGGAAAUUUGGGAUACUUUAGUUAAUAUGCACAAAGGUACCGAGUCCGUCAAAGAAUCCAAGUUGGAUGUGCUCCAAAGUCAACUUGACAAGUUCAAGAUGAAGGAUGGUGAAGGAGUCGCCGAAAUGUACUCUAGGCUUGCUCUCAUCACAAAUGAUAUUGCCGUCUUAGGAAGUGAAGAGAUGACCGACAAGUUCAUCAUCAAGAAGAUCCUUAGAGCAUUGGAUGGGAAAUAUGAUACCCUGUGCACAUUGAUCCAAAUGAUGCCCAACUACGAAGAUCUCAAUCCCACGGAACUCGUUGGUAGAAUUGUUGCUCAUGAGAUGUCACUCAAAGAUAAGGAUGAGCUCCACAACAAGUCAAGUGUUGCAUACAAAGCUUCAAGUGAGGCUCCCACAACAUCAAGUGAUGAUACGUCUCCAACGUAUCUAUAAUUUAUGAAGUAUUCAUGCUAUUAUAUUAUCAACCUUGGAUGUUUUAUAUGCAUUUAUAUGCUAUUUUAUAUGGUUUUUGGGACUAACCUAUUAACCUAGAGCCCAGUGCCAGUUCCGGUUUUUUUCCUUGUUUUAGGGUAUCGCAGAAAAGGAAAACCAAACGGAGUCCAAUUGACCUGAAGCUUGACGGAGCUUAUUUUUGGACCAGAAGAAGGCCAAGGAGUAAAAGAGUUGGGCCGUCCCGGGCUGCCCACGAGGGUGGGAGGCGCGCCCACACCCCCUGGGCGCGCCCCCUACCUCGUGGACAGCCCGGAGACCCCCCCUGACUUGUUCUCGACGCCAAAACCUCUUAUAUAUACAGAAACCUCCAGAAAUUAACCUAGAUCGGAAGUUCUGCCGCCGCAAGCCUCUGUGGCCACGAGAAAUCAAUCUAGGCCCUCUCCGGCACCCUGCCGGAGGGGGUCAUCAUCACCGGAGGGCAUGGAGGAGGAUCCCGGAGGGGCCAUCAUCACCCUGAAGGCCAAGGACCAGAGGGAGAACCUCUCCCCAUCCAGGGGGAGGCCAUGGAGGAGGAAGCAUAAGGGGGAGAACCUCUCCUCGUCUCUCUCGGUGGCGCCGGAGUGCCAUCGGGAGGGGAAUCAUCACCGCGGUGAUCGUCUUCAUCAACAUCACCAUCAUCAUCACCAUCCUCAUCUCUUUUACGCGGUCCACUCUCCCGCACCCUUCUGUAAUCCCUACUUGAACAUGGUGCUUUAUGCCACAUAUUAUGAUCCAAUGAUGUGCUGCCAUCCUAUGAUAUUUUGAGUAGAUAUCCUUUGUCUUUGGGUUGAUUGAUGAUCUAGAUUGGUACGAGUUGUAUGUUUUAUUUUGGUGUUGUCCUAUGGUGCCCUCCGUGUCGCGCAGGCGUGAGGGAUUCCCACUGUAGGGUGUUGCAAUACGUUCAUGAUUCGCUUAUAGUGGGUUGGUGAGUGACUGAAACACAAACCCGAGUAAGGGGGUUGUUGCGUAUGGGAAUAAAGAGGACUUGAUGCUUUAAUGCUAUGGUUGGGUUUUACCUUAAUGAUCUUUAGUAGUUGCGAAUGCUUGCUAGAGUUCCAAUCAUAAGUGCAUAUGAUCCAAGUAGAGAAAGUAUGUUAGCUUAUGCCUCUCCCUCAUAUGAAAUUGCAAUGACGACUACCGGUCUUGUUAACAAUUGCCUUUGACAAUUCCGCACACCGAUCCACCAUUAUUCCACACUCGCUAUUUAUAAUAUUUAGUAAUAUAUUCUAACUUUAUGAUAAUAGCACCUACUUUUAGAUUUUAGCUCUCCGAUAUCAUGCAAAGUUAUCCUCUUCAUACCCACAAUGUAGUUUUAUUUCUCGUUUCUAGUUGGAAGCAAACGUUCGGUAUACGUAGAGUCGUAUCAGUGGCAGAUAGGGCUUGAGAGAAUAUUGAUCUUACCUUUAGCUCCUUGAGGGUUCGACACUCCAUACUUAUCACUUCCACCUUUGGAAAUUGCUACGAUGAUUCCCUUCACUUGGGGAUUAUCAAGCUCUUUUCUGGCGCCGUUGCCGGGGAGCAAUAGCGUGGGGUUCAUAUUCUCGUGUGUGCUUGUUUGCUUUCUUCACUAAGUAGAUUUUGUUUUUCCUUUUUUUUGUUUAGUUUGUUGGAAAUAUGCCCUAGAGGCAAUAAUAAAAUGUUAUUAUUAUAUUUCCUUGUUCAUGAUAAUUGUCUAUUGUUCAUGCUAUAAUUGUGCUAUCCGGAAAUCGUAAUACAUGUGUGAAGACAUAGACCACAACAUGUCCCUAGUGAGCCUCUAGUUGACUAGCUCGUUGAUCAAUAGAUGGUUACGGGAUUCCUGACCAUGGACAUUGGAUGUCAUUGAUAACGGGACCACAUCAUUAGGAGAAUGAUGUGAUGGACAAGACCCAAUCCUAAGCAUAGCACAAGAUCGUGUAGUUCGUCUGCUAAACCUUUUCUAAUGUCAAGUAUCUUUUCCCUAGACCAUGAGAUUGUGUAACUCCCGGAUACCGUAGGAAUCCUUUGGGUGUACCAAACGUCACAACGUAACUGGGUGGCUAUAAAGGUGCACUACAGGUAUCUCCGAAAGUGUCUGUUGGGUUGGCACGAAUCGAGACUGGGAUUUGUCACUCCGUAUGACGGAGAGGUAUCUCUGGGCCCAGUCGGUAAUGCAUCAUCAUAAUGAGCUUAGUGUGACUAAGUAGUUGGUCACGGGAUCAUGCAUUACGGAAUGAGUAAAGUGACUUGCCGGUAACGAGAUUGAACGAGGUAUUGGGAUACCGACGAUUGAAUCUUGGGCAAGUAACGUACCGAAUGACAAAGGGAAUUGUAUACAGGAUUGCUUGAAUCCUUGACAUCAUGGUUCAUCCGAUGAGAUCAUCGUGGAACAUGUGGGAGCCAACAUGGGUAUCCAGAUCCCGAUGUUGGUUAUUGGCCGGAGAGAUAUCUCGGUCAUGUCUGCAUUAUUCCCGAACCCGUAGGGUCUACACACUUAAGGUUCGAUGACGCUAGGGUUAUAGGGAAAGUUUGUACAUGGUUACCGAAUGUUGUUCGGAGUCCCGGAUGAGAUCUCGGACGUCACGAGGAGUUCCAAAAUGGUCCGGAGGUGAAGAUUUAUAUAUGGGAAAUCAUCAUACGGUCACUGGAAGUAUUCGGGGGUAUGCCGGUAUUGUACCGGGACCACCGAAGGGGUUCCGGGGGUCCACCGGGAGGGUCCACCUGCCUCGAAGGUCCCUAAUGGCUGCAUGUGGAAGGGAACCAGCCCCUAAGUGGGCUGGGAGCCAUCCCCCCUAGGGCCCAUGCACCUAGGGUUGGGGGGACCCUAAAGGGGGCGCCCCUCUUGGCUUGGGGGCAAGCCUCCCCCGUGCCGCCGCCCCCCCCUCUAGAUCCAUCUGGAGGGGGCCGGCCCCCCUUUCCCUUGCCCCUAUAAAUAGAGGGGAGGUGGGAGGGCAGCCACACCACAUCCAAGGCACAGCCCUCCCCCUCUCCAACACCUCCUCCUCCUUCCGCGGUGCUUGGCGAAGCCCUGCCGGAGUACCACGCUGCUCCAACACCACCACGUCGCCGUGCUGCUGCUGGAGUUGUCUUCCCCAACCUCUCCCUCUCUCCUUGCUGGAUCAAGGCGCGGGAGACGUCACCGGGCUGCACGUGUGUUGAACGCGGAGGCGCCGUUGUUCGGUGCUAAGAUCGGAAUCGACCGCGACAUGAAUCGCUACGUGUACGACUCCUCCAACCGCGUUCUUGCAACGCUUCUGUUUCACGAUCUUCAAGGGUAUGAAGAUGCACUCCCCUCUCUCUCGUUGCUAGUUACUCCAUAGAUUGAUCUUGGUGAUGCGUAGAAAAUUUUAAAUUUCUGCAACGAUCCCCAACAGUGGCAUCAUGAGCUAGGUCUAUGCGUAGUUUCUAUGCACGAAUAGAACACAAGUUGUUGUGGGCGUCGAUUUUGUCAAUUUACUUGCCAUUACUAGUCUUAUCUUGAUUCGGCGGCGUCGUGGGAUGAAGCAGCCCGGGCCGACCUUACACGUACGCUUACGUGAGACAGGUUCCACCGACUGACAUGCACUAGUUGCAUAAGGUGGCUAGCGGGUGUCUGUCUCUCCCACUUUAGUCGGAUCGGAUUCGAUGAAAAGGGUCCUUAUGAAGGGUAAAUAGAAAUUGGCAUAUCACGUUGUGGUUUUGGCAUAGGUAAGAAACGUUCUUGCUAGAAACCUAUAGCAGCCACGUAAAAACUUGCAACAACAAUUUGAGGACGUCUAACUUGUUCUUGCAGCAUAUGCCGUGUGAUGUGAUAUGGCCAAAAGGAUGUGAUGAAUGAUAUAUAUGUGAUGUAUGAGAUUGAUCAUUUUCUUGUAAUAGGAAUCAUGACUUACAUGUUGAUGAGUAUGACAACCGGCAGGAGCCAUAGGAGUUGUCUUAAUUUAUUAUAUGACAUGCGUGUCAUUGAAUAACACCAUGUAAUUACUUUACUUUAUUGCUAAACCGUUAGCCAUAGUAGUAGAAGUAAUAGUUGGCAAGACAACUUCAUGAAGACACGAUGAUGGAGAUCAUGAUGAUGGAGAUCAUGGUGUCAUGCCGGUGACAAUGAUGAUCAUGGCGCCCCGAAGAUGGAGAUCAAAAGGACCAAAAUGAUAUUGGCCCUAUCAUGUCACUAUUUGAUUGCAUGUGAUGUUUAUCAUGUUUUUGCAUCUUAUUUGCUUAGAACGACGGUAGCAUAAAUAAGAUGAUCCCUCAUAAAAUUUCAAGAAAGUGUUCCCCCUAACUGUGCACCGUUGCGAAGGUUCAUAGUUUCGAAGCACCACGUGAUGAUCGGUGUGAUAGAUUCUAACGUUCGCAUAGAACGGGUGUAAGAGAGAUUUACACAUGCAAAACACUUAGAUUGACUUGACGAGCCUAGCAUGUACAGACAUGGCCUCGGAACACAAGAGACCAAAAGGUCGAACAUGAGUCGUAUAGCGAUACGAUCAACAUGAAGAUGUUCACCGAUGAUGACUAGUCUGUCUCAUGUGAUGAUCGGACACGUCCUAGUUGACUCGGAUCAUGUAUCACUUAGAUGACUAGAGGGAUGUCUGUCUGAGUGGGAGUUCAUUAAAUAAUUUGAUUAGAUGAACUCAAUUAUCAUGAAAUUAGUCUAAAAUCUUUGCAAUAUGUCUUGUAGAUCAAAUGGCCCACGCUAAUGUUGCCCUCAACUUCAACGUGUUCCUAUAGAAAACCAAGUUGAAAGACGAUGGUAGAAACUAUACAGACUGGGUCCGGAACUUGAGGAUCAUCCUCAUGGCUGCCAAGAAAGCAUAUGUCCUAGAAGCACCGCUAGGUGAAGCACCCGUUUUCCCAACAACUCAAGACGUUAUGAACGCCUGGCAGUCGCUUAGUGAUGAUUACUCCCUGGUUCAGUGCGGCAUGCUUUAUAGCUUAGAACUGGGGCUCCAAAAGCGUUUUGAGAAGCACGGAGCAUAUGAGAUGUUCCAAGAGCUGAAAUGGUUUUCCAAGCUCAUGCCCGGGUCGAGAGAUAUGAAGUCUCCGACAAGUUCUACAGUUGUAAGAUGGAGGAGAAUAGUUCUGUCAACGAGCACAUACUCAAAAUGUCUGGGUUGCACAACCGCUUGUCUCAGCUGGGAGUUAAUCUCCCGGAUGACGCGGUCGUUGACAGAAUCCUUCAGUUGCUCCCACCUAGCUACAAGAGCUUUGUGAUGAAUUUCAAUAUGCAGGGGAUGGAGAAAACCAUUCCUGAGGUAUAUUCAAUGCUGAAAUCAACGGAGGUGGAGAUCAAAAAGGAACAUCAAGUGUUGAUGGUCAAUAAAACCACUAGUUUCAAGAAAGGCAAGGGUAAGAAGAACUUCAAGAAGGACGGCAAGGGAGUUGGCGCGCCCGGUAAGCUAGUUGCCGGGAAGAAGCCAAAGCAUGGACCCAAACCUGAGACUGAGUGCUUUUAUUGCAAGGGAAACGGUCACUAGAAGCGGAACUGCCCCAAGUACUUAGCGGACAAGAAGGCUGGCAACACCAAAGGUAUAUGUGAUAUACAUGUUAUUGAUGUGUGCCUUAUCAGUACUCGUAGUAGCUCCUGGGUAUUUGAUACCGGUGUGGUUGCUCAUAUUUGUAACUCAAAACAGGAGCUGCGGAAUAAGCGGAGACUGGCGAAGGACAAGGUGACGAUGCGUGUUGGGAAUGGUUCCAAGGUCGAUGUGAUCGCCGUCGGCACGCUACCUCUACAUUUACCUACGGGAUUAGUUUUAAACCUCAAUAAUUGUUAUUUAGUGCCAGCUUUGAGCAUGAACAUUGUAUUUGGAUCUCAUUUAAUGCGAGAUGGCUACUCAUUUAAAUCCGAGAAUAAUGGUUGUUCUAUUUAUAUGAGAGAUAUGUUUUAUGGUCAUGCCCCGCUGGUCAAUGGUUUAUUCUUAAUGAAUCUCGAACAUGAUGUUACACAUAUUCAUAAUGUGAAUACCAAAAGAUGCAAGGUUGAUAAUGAUAGUCCCACAUACUUGUGGCACUGCCGCCUUGGUCACAUUAGUGUCAAACGCAUGAAGAAGCUCCAUGCAGAUGGACUUUUGGAGUCUCUUGAUUAUGAAUCAUUUGACACAUGCGAACCAUGCCUCAUGGGUAAAAUGACCAAGACUUCGUUCUCCGGAACAAUGGAGCGAGCAACCAACUUAUUGGAAAUCAUACAUACUGAUGUGUGCGGUCCAAUGAGCGUUGAGGCUCGUGGUGGCUAUCAUUAUGUUCUCACCCUCACUGAUGACUUAAGUAGAUAUGGGUAUGUCUACUUGAUGAAACACAAGUCUGAGACCUUUGAAAAGUUCAAGGAAUUUCAGAGUGAGGUAGAGAAUCAACGUGACAGAAAAAUAAAGUUCUUACGAUCAGAUCGUGGGGGAGAAUAUUUGAGUCACGAAUUUGGUACGCACUUAAGGAAAUGUGGAAUUGUUUCACAACUCAUGCCGCCUGGAACACCUCAGCGUAAUGGUGUGUCCAAACGUCGUAAUCGCACUCUAUUGGAUAUGGUGCGAUCUAUGAUGUCUCUUACCGAUUUGCCGCUAUCAUUUUGGGGAUACGCUUUAGAGGCAACCAUAUUCACUUUAAAUAGGGCACCGUCUAAAUCCGUUGAGACGACACCGUAUGAAUUAUGGUUUGGGAAGAAACCUAAGCUAUCGUUUCUAAAAGUUUGAGGAUGCGAUGCUUAUGUCAAGAAACUUCAACCUGAAAAGCUCGAACCCAAGUCAGAAAAAUGCGUCUUCAUAGGAUACCCUAAGGAAACCAUUGGGUAUACCUUCUACCUCAGAUCCGAAGGCAAGAUCUUCGUUGCCAAGAAUAGGUCCUUUCUAGGACAGAGUUUCUCUCGAAAGAAGUAAGUGGGAGGAAAGUAGAACUUGAUGAAGUACUGCCUCUUGAACCGGAAAGUAGCGCAGCUCAGGAAGAUGUUUCUGUGGUGCCUGCACCGACUAGAGGGGAAAUUAAUGAUGAUGAUCAGGGUACUUCGGAUCAAGUUGCUACUGAACUUCGUAGGUCCACAAGGACACGUUCCACACCAGAAUGGUAUGGCAACCCUGUCCUGGAAAUCAUGUUGUUGGACAACGGUGAACCUUCGAACUAUGAAGAAGCGAUGGCAGGCCCAAAUUCCAACAAAUGGCUUGAAGCCAUGCAAUCCGAGAUAGGAUCCAUGUAUGAAAACAAAGUAUGGACUUUGACAGACUUGCCCGAUGAUCGGCGAGCGAUAGAAAAUAAAUGGAUCUUUAAGAAGAAGACGGACGCGGAUGGUAAUGUUACCAUCUAUAAAGCUCGACUUGUCGCUAAGGGUAUCGACAAGUUCAAGGGGUUGACUACGAUGAGACCUUCUCACCCGUAGCGAACCUGAAGACCAUCCGAAUCAUGUUAGCAAUUGCCGCAUUCUACGAUUAUGAGAUAUGGCAAAUGGACAUCAAAACGGCAUUCCUUAACGGCUUCCUUAAGGAAGAAUUGUAUAUGAUGCAGCCGGAAGGUUUUGUCGAUCCUAAGAAUGCUGACAAGGUAUGCAAGCUCCAGUGCUCAAUCUAUGGGCUGGUGCAAGCAUCACGGAGUAGGAACAUUCGCUUUGAUGAGAUGAUCAAAGCGUUUGGGUUUACACAGACUUAUGGAGAAGCCUGUGUUUACAAGAAAGUGAGUGGGAGCUCUGUAGCAUUUCUCAUAUUAUAUGUGGAUGACAUACUAUUGAUGGGAAAUGAUAUACAAUUCUUGGAAAGCAUAAAGGCCUACUUGAACAAGUGUUUUUCAAUGAAGGACCUUGGAGAAGCUGCUUACCUAUUAGGCAUCAAGAUCUAUAGAGAUAGAUCGACACGCCUCAUUGGUCUUUCGCAAAGCACAUACCUUGACAAGAUAUUGAAGAAGUUGAAUAUGGAUCAGUCCAAGAAGGGGUUCUUGCCUGUAUUGCAAGGAGUGAGAUUGAGCACGGCUCAAUGCCCGACCACGGCAGAAGAUAGAGAAAAGAUGAGUGUCAUCCCCUAUGCCUCAGCCAUAGAGUCUAUUAUGUAUGUCAUGUUGUGUACCAGACCAGAUGUGAACCUUGUCGUAAGUUUGGUAGGAAGGUACCAAAGUAAUCCCGGCAUGGAACACUGGACAGCGGUCAAGAAUAUCCUGAAGUACCUGAAAAGGACCAAGGAUAUGUUUCUCGUUUAUGGAGGUGACGAAGAGCUCGUUGUAAAGGGUUAUGUAGAUGCUAGCUUCGACACAGAUCUGGAUGACUCCAAGUCACAAACCGGAUACGUGUAUAUUUUGAAUGGUGGGGCAGUAAGCUGGUGCAGUUGCAAGCAAAGCGUCGUGGCGAGAUCUACAUGUGAAGCGGAGUACAUGGCAGCCUCGGAGGCAGCGCAUGAAACAAUCUGGAUGAAGGAGUUCAUUACCGACCUAGGAGUUAUUCCCAAUGCGUCGGGCCCGAUGACUCUCUUCUGUGACAACACUGGAGCUAUUGCCCUUGCAAAGGAGCUCAGGUUUCACAAGAAGACCAGGCACAUCAAGCGUCGCUUCAACUCCAUUCGUGAAAAUGUUCAAGAUGGAGACAUAGAUAUUUGUAAAGUGCAUACAGAUCUGGAUGUCGCAGAUCCGUUGACUAAACCUCUUCCACGAGCAAAACAUGAUCAACACCAGAACUCUAUGGGUGUUCAAUUCAUCACAAUGUAACUAGAUUAUUGACUCUAGUGCAAGUGGGAGACUGUUGGAAAUAUGCCCUAGAGGCAAUAAUAAAAUGGUUAUUAUUAUAUUUCCUUGUUCAUGAUAAUUGUCUAUUGUUCAUGCUAUAAUUGUGUUAUCCGGAAAUCGUAAUACAUGGUGAAUACAUAGACCACAACAUGUCCCUAGUGAGCCUCUAGUUGACUAGCUCGUUGAUCAAUAGAUGGUUACAGUUUCCUGACCAUGGACAUUAGAUGUCAUUGAUAACGGGAUCACAUCAUUAGGAGAAUGAUGUGAUGGACAAGACCCAAUCCUAAGCAUAGCACAAGAUCGUGUAGUUCGUCUGCUAAAGCUUUUUUAAUGUCAAGUAUCUUUUCCUUAGACCAUGAGAUUGUGUAACUCCCGGAUACCGUAGGAAUGCUUUGGGUGUACCAAACGUCACAACGUAACUGGGUGGCUAUAAAGGUGCACUACAGGUAUCUCCGAAAGUGUCUGUUGGGUUGGCACGAAUCGAGACUGGGAUUUGUCACUCCGUAUGACGGAGAGAUAUCUCUGGGCCCACUCGGUAAUGCAUCAUCAUAAUGAGCUCAGUGUGACUAAGUAGUUGGUCACGGGAUCAUGCAUUACGGAAUGAGUAAAGUGACUUGCCGGUAACGUGACUGAACGAGGUAUUGGGAUACCGACGAUCGAAUCUCGGGCAAGUAACGUACCGAUUGACAAAGGGAAUUGUAUACGGGAUUGCUUGAAUCCUUGACAUCGUGGUUCAUCCGAUGAGCUCAUCGCGGAACAUGUGGGAGCCAACAUGGGUAUCCAGAUCCCGCUGUUGGUUAUUGGCCGGAGAGAUGUCUCGGUCAUGUCUGCAUGAUUCCCGAACCCGUAGGGUCUACACACUUAAGGUUCGAUGACGCUAGGGUUAUAGGGAAAGUUUGUACGUGGUUACCGAAUGUUGUUCGGAGUCCCAGAUGAGAUCCCGGACAUCACGAGGAGUUCCAGAAUGGUCCGGAGGUGAAGAUUUAUAUAUGGGAAGUCAUCAUACGGUCACUGGAAGUAUUCGGGGGUAUGCCGGUAUUGUACCGGGACCACCGAAGGGGUUCCGGGGGUCCACCGGGAGGGCCCACCUGCCCCGGAGGGCCCUAUGGGCUGUAUGUGGAAGGGAACCAGCCCCUAAGUGGGCUGGGAACCAUCCCCCCUAGGGCCCAUGUGCCUAGGGUUGGGGGGAACCCUAAAGGGGGCGCCCCCCUUAGCUUGGGGGGCAAGCCUCCCCCCUUGGCCGCCGCCCCCCUCUAGAUCCAUCUGGAGGGGGCCGGCCCCCCUCUCCCUUGCCCCUAUAAAUAGAGGGGAGGUGGGAGGGCAGCCACACCACAUCCAAGGCACAGCCCUCCCCCUCUCCAACACCUCCUCCUCCUUCCGCGGUGCUUGGCGAAGCCCUGCCGGAGUACCACGCUGCUCCAACACCACCACGUCGCCGUGCUGCUGCUGGAGUUGUCUUCCCCAACCUCUCCCUCUCUCCUUGCUGGAUCAAGGCGCGGGAGACGUCACCGGGCUGCAUGUGUGUUGAACGCGGAGGCGCCGUUGUUCGGUGCUAAGAUCGGAAUCGACCGCGAUCUGAAUCGCUACGUGUACGACUCCUCCAACCGCGUUCUUGCAACGCUUCCGUUUCACGAUCUUCAAUGGUAUGAAGAUGCACUCCCCUCUCUCUCGUUGCUAGUUACUCCAUAGAUUGAUCUUGGUGAUGCGUAGAAAAAAUUUAAUUUCUGCAACGAUCCCCAACAUAGUUGUGGGUGAAACAUACAAAAAAAAGGGUUUUAAAAGAAUGAAAAUACCAAAAAAAAAUUACUUGCUUCUCUUACCUAAAAAGUUUUUCAAAAAAGAGAAGUGAUUGGAAAGUUUUGCAUUGAAGAAGUGAGGGUCGACCUUGAGCACUUGUGUUCAUGCUCACGGAAACAAUGUAGAAUUUUUCAUGGAAGUUUCUAUGUAAAUAAUUAUCCCCUUGUAUAUAUCCAUUGUAUUAUAAAAAUAAUGUGCCAAGCUUUGGUUUUAGUAUGAUUAGAUUGCUUGUUUACUAUGUGCAGAACAAAAACAGAAACUUUGGCUGUAGCGCGUGAUUUUACAUUUUUUCCUGGAUGGUCAAAUGGGUCUGAAACUUUUUGCACAUUACUUAUGUACAAAUUGUUCAAAUUGUCAAAUUUAUUUCAUAAUUAUUGGAGUUACAUAAGUUUACUAAACCUCCGUAUUACUGCAGACUGUCCUGUUUUAGACAGAUUCUGUUUUCUAUGUGUUGAUCGCUUAUUUUGAUGAAUCUAUGGGUAGUAUCGGGGGGUAUGAACCAUGGAGAAGUUGGAAAACAGUAGAUAUAUUUCUAAUAUGAAAUUGGAAUGAGUUUGCAACAGUACUUAAAGGUGGUGAUUUGCUUUAGUAUACUAACGGAUCUCACAAAGUUUUUGUUAAGUUUUUGUGGAUGAAGUGUUCGAAGAACGAGGAGUUACCGAUGUGAGAAGAAUAAAGAGAGGCAAGAGUUCGACCUUGGGGAUACCCAAGGCACCCCAAGUAAAUAUUCCAAGGAUACUCAAGCAUCUAAGCUUGAGUAUGCCCCGGUUGGCAUCCCAUCUUUCUUCUUCAACAAUUAUCGGUAUACCUCGGUUUUUGUUUUGUUCACAUGAUUUGUGUCCUUUGUGUUUUUAUUUUUCUUUAAGAACCAUGCUAGUAUGAGAUAUCCCUUCAUUGAUUUAUAUAAUACUUCAUGUGCUUCACUUAUAUCUUUUAAGUAUGACCUUAUAGAAUGCUCUUUGCGCUUCACUUAAAUCUUUUGAGUAUGGUUUAAUAGAAUGCUUCGUGCGCUUCACUUAUAUAUUUUGAGCUUGGAUAUUGGUUAGUCUAUAUUAAUUGUAGAAUUCUCCAUGAACUUCACUUAUAUAUGUUGGAGUAUGAAUAAUACUAUCACCUAAAGCGGGUUUGUAAGAGUGUCAACUUUACGAACUAGUGAUCCCGCUAUUCUGAAUGAGAAGAAGUUUGCUUAUGUGGAGAGUAGAAAAAAUUUUAUGCUUGUAGAUCAUGAAAAGAAUGCUUUAUGUGAUGGUUAUAUUCAUGAAUUAAUUCAUGAUUCUACUGAAAAUUAUUAUGAGGGAGGAAUAUAUGCUUGUAGGAGUUGCAAUAAUAUCAAGUUUCCUCUCUAUGUGCUUAAAGUUUUGAAGUUAUACUUGUUUUGCCUUCCUAUGCUAGUUGAUUCUUGUUACUAUAAAUUAUGUGUUCACAAAAUCCCUAGGCAUAGGAAGUUGGUUAGAUUCAAAUGUGCUAGUCAUAUUCUUCAUGAUGCUCUCUUUAUGUUUCAAUUCUUAUCUUUUAUGUGAGCAUCAUUGAAAUCGUCAUGCCUAGCUAAAAGGCAUUAAAGAAAAGCACUUGUUGGGAGACAACCCAAUAUUUACCCUUACUGUUUUCGUCUGUUUACAUGAUUAAGCUACUGUAGUAAUCAUGUUUUAUAGCUUUUGUUUCAAUAAAGUGCCAAGUAAGACCUUUGGGAAGACUUGGGUGAAAGUUAAUGUGAUCUUGCUAUAAAAAACAGAAACUUUGCGCUCACGAGAUUAGCUAUCAUUUUUUUUACAGAAGAGUGAUUUUGAGUUGAUUCAUUUUUCAUAAGAUUAAUAGACAAAUUCCUAACGUCCACAAAUUUAUUUAAUAAUUUUUGGAGUAGCAGAAGUAUGGUUGCUGUUCAGAUCAUUACAGACUGUUCUGUUUCUGACAGAUUCUGUUUUCAUUGCAUAGUUUGCUUGUUUUCUAGUUUCUAUGGCUUAUGUUUCUCAAUAUAAAUUGUAUAAAUGAUAUGGUACAGUAGGAAUUGUGUGAGAACAACUAUGAACCUUGUCUUUGACAGUAACAAAGUGAAUGGUUUGCUCUUUAUCAUACUGACCUAUCUCACGAAGUUCCGUUAAGUUUUGUGUGAUUGAAGUUUUCAAGCUUUGGGUGAGAUAUCAAUAUGAGGAGAAUAAGGAGUGGAAAGACCCUAAGCUUGGGGAUUCCCAAGGCACCCCAAGGUAAUAUUCAAGGAAUACUCAAGCGCCUAAGCUUGGCGAUGCCCCGGAAGGCAUUCCCUCUUUCGUCUUCAAAACUAUCGGUAUACCUUACUCGGAGCUAUAUUUUUAUUCGUCACAUGAUAUGUGUUUUUCUUGUAGCGUAUUUUCAUUUUUACUUGCUGUUUGAAUAAAAUCAUUGGAUCUGAAUUAUUGAAUGAAAAAGAAUCCUCCCAUGGCUAGUUAAUUAUUUGACUACUCAGUGCUUCACUUGUAUCUUUUUGAAGUAGUUUGUCAAUUACUCAUGUGCUUCACGUAUAUCCUAUGAGUAAAUGGUUGAAUGAAUUGAAUGUCAUAAAUCUGAAUUUAUAUAUGUUUCAUAUGCUUAUAACAUGGGGAGUAAUUACUUCACACAUAAUAAGUAUAGGUAGUAAACUCAUUGAAAGUUAGCAAACAUAGAAUUGGUCACUUGAACAAUUCAUGAAAGAAUACUGAAGGAAGAGAGAUUUCACAUAUAAAUAUACUAUCUUCGACAUCUUUUGUAAUUGUGAGCACUCAUUAAAAUAUGACAUGAUAAAAGGUUGAUGUUGGACAAGGAAGACAACUUAAUGGGUUAUGUUUUCUUAUAUCCGAAAUAAAGUAUAUUGUCAUGGAUCAUCCAACAUGCUGAGCUUGCCUUUCCCUCUCAUGCUAGCCAAAUUCUUUGCACCAAGUAGAGAUACUACUAGUGCUUCCAAACAUCCUUUAAAACGAGUUUUGCCAUGAGAGUCCACCAUACCUACCUAUGGAUUAAGUAAGAUCCUUCAAGUGGGUUCGACACUCCAUACUUAUCACUUCCACCUUUGGAAAUUGCUACGAUGAUUCCCUUCACUUGGGGAUUAUCAAGUGACAAGCUAGUCUCCAAUAGGAAAUAAGUCUUAUUGUGAAGAACUUCAACAAAUUCUACAAGAGACGUAGCAAAGAUAGAAGCUCCAAGUCAAGGUCCUAAAAUGAGAAAAGUCUUCUAGUCGUGACCGUAAUUGCUAAUAUUGUGGAAGACCCGAACAUUAGUCCAAUGAGUGUCUGACACACUAAGAAAACAGAAGACUCACUAAAAAGGAGAAGUAGAAGAGAUGAAUCACCUCAAAGAGAGACAAGGAGUAGAGAUGAUCGUUAUGAACGAAGACCCUCUCAAAGAAGCAAGGAUUCGGAAAGGAAGGAAAAGUCAUCAAAGAGCUACACAAGACGAAGACAUCAAGCUCAUGUUGGUGAAUGGGUUUCUGGUUCCAACUCCGACAACUACUCUGAGACAAGCUAUCACUCCGACUCUGAAUACACUCAAGAUGAAGGUGUUGCUGGACUUGCUCUAGUACCAUCCAACCCCACGACAUAUUUGAUUCACAAAAUGAAGGAAUUGGAAGAUGCUUCACGGCUAAAGGCCCCAAGAUAUCACACCUCGAGUAUCUUGAUUUCAAUAGUGAUGAAGAUGAUUUUCUAGGUGAUGAUGAUUUACUUGUUGACAAAACUAGUGAUGUGAACUAUAAUGAACUUGCUAGUAAUCAUGCUAAUCAAGAUGAAACGAAUGACAAUGAUAAGAAGGAGAUUGAGCAUCUAACUAAAGAACUAAACACUCUUAAGUUAGCUCAUGAAACAACUCAAUAGGAUCAUAGAGUGCUCCUAAGAACUCAUGAGAAGCUACUGAUAUGUCUCCAACGUAUCUAUAAUUUGUGAUUGUUCCAUGCUAUUAUAUUACCCGUUUUGGAUGUUUAUAGGCUUUACUUUACACAUUUAUAUCAUUUUUGGGACUAACCUACUAACCGGAGGCCCAGCCCGUAUUGCUAUUUUUUUGCCUAUUUCAGUGUUUCGAAGAAAAGGAAUAUCAAACGCAGUCCAAAUAGAAUGAAACCUUCGGGAGCGUGAUUUUUGGAACAAACAUGAUCCAGAGGACUUGGAGUGGAAGUCAAGCAACCACCGAGGCGGCCACGAGGGUGGAGGGUGCCCCCCCCUACUGGGCGGGCCCCCCUGUCUAGUGGGCCCCUCGGGCGUCCACCGACCUACUUCUUCCUCCUAUAUAUACCCACGUACCCCGAGAACAUCAGAAGCGACCACGAAACCUAAUUCCACCGCCGCAACCUUCUGUAUCCGCGAGAUCCCAUCUUGGAGCCUUCGUCGGUGCUCCGCUGAAGGGGGCAUCGAUCACGGAGGGCCUCUACAUCAUAUCCAAGGCCUCUCCGAUGAGUUGUGAUUAGUUUACCACAGACCUUUGGGUCCAUAGUUAUUAGCUAGAUGGCUUCAUCUCUCUCUUUGAAUCUCAAUACAAAGUUCUCCUCGAUCUUCUUGGAGAUCUAUUCGAUGUAACUCUUUUUGCGGUGUGUUUGUCGAGAUCCGAUGAAUUGUGAGUUUAUGAUCAAGUUUAUCUAUGAGAAAUAUUUGAAUCUCCUUGAAUUCUUUUAUGUGUGAUUAAGUUAUCUUUGCAAGUCUCUUCGAAUUAUCAGUUUGGUUUGGCCUACUAGAUUGAUCUUUCUUGCAAUGGGAGAAGUGCUUAGCUUUGGGUUCAAUCUUGCGGUGUCCUUUCCCAGUGACAGCAGGGGCAGCAAGGCACGCAUUGUAUUGUUGCCAUCGAGGAUAAAAAUAUGGGGUUUAUAUCAUAUUGCAUGAGUUUAUCCCUCUACAUCAUGUCAUCUUUCUUAAUGUGUUACUCUGUUCAUUAUGAACUUAAUACUCUAGAUGCAUGCUGGAUAGCGGUCGAUGUGUGGAGUAAUAGUAGUAGAUGCAGGCAGGAGUCGGUCUACUUGUCACGGACGUGAUUCCUAUAUACAUGAUCAUGCCUAGAUAAUCUCAUAAUUAUUCGCUUUUCUAUCAAUUGCUCGACAGUAAUUUGUUCACCCACCGUAAUAUUUAUGCUAUAUUGAGAGAAGCCACUAGGGAAACCUAUGGCCCUCGGGUCUAUCUUUUAUCAUAUAAGUUUGCCAUCUACUUUUAUUUGCAUCUUUACUUUUCUUAUCUAUAUUAUAAAAUACCAAAAAUAUAUUUAUCAUAUCAUAUUAUCUCUAUCAGAUCUCACUUUCGCAAGUGGCCUUGAAGGGAUUGACAACCCCUUUAUUGCGUUGGUUGCGAGUUCUUGUUUGUUUGUGUAGGUGCGUGGGACUUUUGAGGAGCCUCCUACUUGAUUGAUACCUUGAUCAAAAACUGAGGGAAAUACUUACGCUACUAUUGUUGCAUCACCCUUUCCUCUUCAAGGAAAACCAACGCAAGCUCAAGACGUAGCAGCUAUGCUUCAAGAAGCUAAAUUUAGAGCAAGGGCAUGAGUUCCUAAAAGCUACCAAUGAUGAUAUUUGAAUGAAGAGUUCUUCUUACAUUGCCAACCGUCUCCUCUUGUCAACUUAUAUGCCACAACUCAAAUAUAGUAACAAGAGCAAGAAAGAUUCUUCUUCUUGUAGUAACAAUAACCUUGCUAAAUCCAAUGUUGUUGCUUCUAGUAGUUCUCUUUAUUCCACUAGUGAUUCUCUUAGCCAAGUUACAUUUAAGCAAGAAAAUAUUUUAUUGAAGAGAAUUAUAGAGAAAGGUGUUUACAAGAUCCUUGUCGGGAGUAAGAAAUUUGAGGGAAUUGUACACAAGCAUUGAAGGUACCGGAAGAAUCAAGGUGUUGAUUUUGAACGAAAGUUCAAUGCCAAUGGAGUUGAAUGGGAAUAAGAUCAAUACCCCAAGACGAAGUUUGUUCCUCAACAAGAUAAGUAUGACCCCACUUAUUUUGAGGGAACACAAGCUUAUGAUGAUCUUCCACCACAAGAUCACAAGCUAAAAGGCAAGGACAAGCUUCAAGAGGAGAUUGAUUCAUUUGAGGGAGCACCUAAAGCCAUGGUCAAGUGGGUUCCCAAGACUUCAUAAAGUUUGACUACAACUCCAAGGAUUCCCAUCAAGUAGAUGUGGAUCCCAAAGAAGAACAACAAGAGUGUUCUUGAGGGUGACUCCGCCAACAUACUUCACUCAUAUUCAUUUUGGCAAGGACUCGUGCAAUCAACUUUCACAUCUUGCACUAGUUCAUGGAGUCACAAACCCUCUUGGUGGUAAGACAAGGGACAAGAUAUUCAUUGCAUUCGUGGACAUCAUCAUGUGUGGAAUUCACUCUAUGUCUAUGGAUAUCCUUGUAUGUUCCUUGUGGGACUAACCCAUGUAGGUAUUGAAAGUGCAAAACUCCAAAUGAUUGCUCCAAACUCCUCAUGGACUACAUCAACAUUGAGCAUCCACAUCUUCAUUAUCUACAUGAAGUCAUCAUCGACAAAACCUAAGGUUAGUUCAUCCCUCUUUGGGGGGCUAUCACAUCUAGGGGAGCUUUGCUCUAAAAAUUGAGCUAAAGCAACUCUAAUGGUGUGAACACAUUAAUGCCCCAUGUAAAAGUGAUAACCCCACUUGUGCUUAAACGACGAGUAUGACCUAUGAUCAAAUGUUCUCAUUUGACUCCAAAGUCAAUAUACUCAUAUAUAGAUGACCUAGUCAUCACCAAUUGUUUGAUAGAUGCUAGAAUUGGUUGUGCAUGUUUGACACAUAUUUCAUUUGCUAUCUCAUAUUGUGAGCAUGUUGGUUUGCAUGUUUUCUUCAUUCGAGGACAUCCAUAUUUGUUGAUUUGAUUGUCUUGGUUUUUCUUGCCAAGUGGAUGUACAAGAAUCCCUAAACACCUUCUCUAUCUAUCUAUGCUUUCCUGUCUCAAAUUCUAUUCUUGGUACAUCACAAAAAUUGAACAAGUGUGUUUCGGACACUCCGGGUGAGGUGCACUCGGAGCCACUGAUCUAAAAGGGCUGAACUCCAAAACCUUCGAAUUUGUUUUGAUGUGACCAAUCCACUCCUAUCCGGACUCAAUGAAACAGCUUGAUUGUUCCGAGCUUUCAAUCUCGGUGUAACCGAUUAGAUCAACUCGGCAUCACCAAGAUGUUGCAACUUCUCGCAGUUACACAUCUCGGUGCCACCAAUUUGCUUCACUCGGUGCCACCGACAGCAGCAGGGUAUAUAUAUCCCGCAGGCCCGUACGGUUGAAAUUUCUCAAAUGUCACGACUCACGCAUACCUCUCUGAUGUCGUCGCCCUCGUCUUUGGACUUCGUCGUUGCGUCCAGCGCGCCCUCGCCGUUGGACUCCGCCGCCGUAAACUGAAUUCCCUCCCUACAUUGUUGCCGUUGGGGAUUUGCGCCAAGUUAGGGUAAAAAAUCCCUCCCCCUUGUGCCUUUUUGUGACACCCUGGUUUUUGCCAUUUUUCUUUUUCUAAGUUUUAUUGCUUUUUGAAUUGAAUUUGAGUUUUUGAAUCAACUCAUUUCGACUUCAUCACUUGGGCAUUCCUUUGAUUUUCACCCAAGUGACUCAUCUCACCUCCAAACCCAUACCUUGCCCUCUAAUAUACCCAAAUAUAACUUUGGGAAUAUUUUUCUUAAAAGAAAAAUAUUCAUUUUCUCUCUGAAAUCACACUUCAAUCACUUCUGCUCCAAAGCAACCCUCAUUUUCUUGCCCACAAUCUGAGAAAAUUCCUAAAUAUUCUUUGCACCUUGGCACACCUCCCUAUGCAAAAAUAUUUCAUUGUUAUUCGGAAUAUGUUUGCUACAGAAAAUCUUUUCUAUUCUCAUCAGAAAAUGCAUGUUGUAAAGGAAGUGCAUUUUUCCUUGACCCAAUGAAGCUGAAAUUUUUAGGGCUUCAUUACCCUCCUAAGUAAACCCUAGAUGCCAAAAAUCAGCUCUUAACUCUCUCUAGAUCUUUCUCUAUUAAGCUCCAAAGUUUCUGUCCAGAAACUUGCCAAAGAGCUACAGACUCACCCAGUCGGCCUGGCACUAACUUGAAUGCUUGGAUCAACCUAGCCUUGCGAAGACAACAUCCCAGACAUGAUUUUAAUGUCCAACACAUCGCAUAGCUGGAGUUCCCGCGGUGACCGUGUUCGUCCGAGCGUGCUAACAUGUAGUCGACGCGCUAUGCGUCGCGCCAUCGCCCCUGUUGAGCUCGUGCCCACGUUGCAGCUCACCUCACCCUAUCGCACCGCGCCACGACCCUCGUAUCUUCGCCCUUGACCCCUCCCUGCCGCUCGCCGAUGCUGGAGUUCGCCAUAGUGAGCACGGGCACGACGCGGCCAAGUGCACAGUGCAUCCGUGCCCCUGUGCUCAUCUCCACCCGCUCCCUGUGCUCGUCCCCGUCCUCCCACAGUGGACGCGUGAGCCGUGGAGGCUUCCCCCUCUCCCAAUGACGCCCCGCGUCGCCUCCCGGAGACUCCAGAGAGCUCGCCGGAGCCCGUGACCCCUGCCUCGGCUCCCCUAUAAAUAGAGCCCCUCCCCCGCCCCUCCGAGCACCUCACUGCACUCCACAACCCCUCCUAGAUAGCCGCGGCCCGGCAGGGCAGGCCUCUGGCCGCCAUUCCCCUCCUGAUCUCGCCGGCGAUCCCCUCCCUCGGCCAUCCACCUCUCCACUGCCCCUCGAGAUCCAUCGUCUACGCAGGCGUGUUCCUGGUGGUCCACUGGUGCUCGCUGACGCCUCUGGAGCCCCUGGAACGGCCUCACGUCACUGGCGUCUUCCUCUCCGAUGAGCCUCGUCCGCUGCAGCUGCCGGAGACGACCACGCCGACCUCAUCCGUCCACCUCCUGCCUUGCCACGGGUACGAGCAGGUGCGCCAGGACCUCCUCUCUUGAUCCCUCCCUUCCUCGACUGUCAUCAUGCCCUCCUCGCCGAAGACGGCCCCGGCGACGAGCCGCCGUCCUUUGUUUCUCUCCCUCUCUCUCAAAACCUGACAGGCAGGGCCCACUAUCAGCCUCUCAAAUCACUCCCGAAGCUGUACGAGUGGAGGCGUAUUCGCUGGUUUAUGCCUUCGACGUCACCCCCUCUCUGAUUUUCUGAAGAUCAAAUUUAAAUUCAGAAAAUUGACUAAACUUUGACCAGUUAUAACUCCUAUUCUAUAAGUCCAAAUGACAUGAUUCUUUUUGCAUUAGUUCUGUAUUGCACUCCUCUAUCAGCAUGCAAAAGAUGAGAUUUUUGCUUGCUGUAUAUAUUAUUUGGUGCAUUAAACAGUGUCAUGUGACAUUUUCUUUUUGCUAUUUUAAUUAUUUUGAUAAGGAAAUUAUUGCCUUGAAGAUAACCAGAAGGAGUGUGACCCUCCUCUGCUCUAAGGCAAGCCAUCACAAAUAUUUGCAAGAAUGACAUUUCAAUAACUAUGAUUUUCACUUGAAUAUGAUUAUUAAAUGCAUAUAGAAAUUUCAUAUAAAUUCAUUUGAUGCUAGUGCAUGUUCUUGCUGUGAUUAUUCUGUUAUCAGUAGCAUUGUAGUUGGAUGGUUAAGCUUAUACAGUAAAGUAAUUAUGCCAGAUUUAGUUCAUAUUGAGAUUAUGUUGAGAAUGAUGCAUAAGUUGUCAUUGCAUUUUCAUGGCAUAAUAUGACUCGGUGAAUUUUUUUUGCAAGUUGAAACUUGAUCAUAAAACAACUUGAACAUGUUGUUGAUCAAGUCAUGGUGCCACCAAAUCGAGCUUCCCAAAGUGCAACCACAUUUGCCUUUGUGAGGGGGGCCUUUUCUCGGUCUAUUGUUAUGCCUAUCGCCGGUGCCUCCAACGAGAGAAGGUUAUGUGUUGGCGCUACCCUAGCUCGGUAGGCAGGUAUAACCUUGUGUUCCCAUAGUUAUUUUGGUACCAUGUCCCCGUUUGGGACGAUUGUUUUGCCACGACGGUGGCCGUUAGAUGUCCGGAGUGGCAUCGGGGCCACCCAUGACUUAGCCCAAAGGGGAGUUGGUCGGAGUGGCCGGGAGAGUGUCAUGGCAAUAGAUUGGUUCUGUCGGAACGCCGUUGGUCCACCCGAAUGGGAAUCCGAGGCCAUGGGUUCCGUGGUGUGGGUACAGUGUACUAACCUCUACAGAGUCUGCUUAAACUAUCGAUAGCCGCGUCCUUGGUCAUGGACACAAGUUCGUAGUAGGUCACACCGUGUAUCAACAAAAAUAUUGAACUUCCACACUAAAUGAAUACUUGUGGCACUGGUUAUGUUGGUGAAGAUGUUGAGACCAUCGAGAUGGUUUCCUUUGUGAUCCGGAGGUGAUCACCUUGGUAUGAUGAGGUUCAUGGUUACGAGGUAACCGAGAUGGUAAGCGAGUCAGAAAGGCCCUGUUAUAAGCACGAUCAAUUCAUGAGUAGCAUGUCAAAUCUUGCAUUAAACUUGCUUAAAUAUCAUUGUUGUUGUUUUCCAUUGUUGCUUUGUUUGUGUGAGCUUGCAAGUACAUUCAAUGUACUAACCUGGCGUGUCAUGCCAGUUUAAGGAGAAAUCAUACCAGAGUUGGAGUUGCAUAUCGCAUCGCAGUCUAGACUGUGUCCACAUCAGUGUCCCUGUGAGAUGGAGUCCUUCUACGUCGUCGUUCCGCUGCCGCGUAGUCUUAUCGUGAUGUCGAGGCCCCUGCUUAUGUCUACUAAAUAAUGUACAUAUGUUCAGCAGCACCGAGUGUGCCACUUGGCCUCGCGACUUGAUGUAAUAUCAAACCCUAUGUUCCGCUAGCAUCAAUAAGGUGGUUGUAUUUCUGUACCAAUUUGUUGCGUGUUGCCAGAAGACUUGAUCUCUGGGCUGGCAAUGCAAGGCAACCCGGUUUCUCUAAGCCGGGGUGCCGCACUUUUUUUCUGACUCCAUGCACUAGGGAUUUUCCAUGAUUCUUACUAAGUAUGAAAGAUUCAUGAAAAUAAGAUAAACUCCGUAGAUAAAUUUCGAGUAAAAAUUUUAGGGUUAAGUUUCUGCCGAAAGCAUCUCGGACCGACCGAUUAGGAAUUUUCUGAGUCACCGAUUUGGCCCUGGCCAGUGCACUAGUACGUCUCGGUGCCACCGAGAAGUACGAAUCGGUGAGACCGAAAGUAAAGUUUCAGUGAAACCCUAGCAUCUUGGAGACACCAAACCACAUAUCGGUCUGACCGAAAUGGUGUGUUUGGUUUCUGUUGAGUGCUUCGGUAUCACUGAGAUGACCAACUCGGUGGAUCCGAACUGCAUUCUGUGAAAACUUAAAACUAAUAUUUGAACUCAAAUUUUCAAAAAAUUAUCUACUUUUUGUGAUGAUUCAUUUACUCUGCUGAUAUCCAUCUAUUCACGGGGUUUGUUUGCAAGAUGUCAGAUGCAAGUGACAGCCGGAAUGUUUCAGAACAGCAUGCAGAUCUCAGCUCAGGCUCUAGUCCUGAAGAAAGUUAUUAUGAGGGAGAAAGAAGCUCUUCGGAACUGCCUCAGGCUGCCACCAGGGCAGGAAGAAAGAGAACCUCAGAUGAUGGGGAUGAGGACUUUGUCACUAGUGAAGCAACAUCAAAGAAGAAGACAGUGCUGAGAAACGAAUAUGGUACAUCUACUAGUACCAGACCUUCUACCAAGGAUAGAACUGGUAAGGAAAGAACCUCUCUCCAAGACAGUCAAAGCCACAGCUACCAAAGAGACCAUGACAUUUACACUUGAGGAGCCAAGUGGCUCAGAGACAGCAGUUGCAGGAAAGAAGAAGAAAAGGCCAAGGAAGACAAUUGCUUAUGUUAUUGGCAAACCUUCUGUUGGGGAUAUAACCCCGUGAUAUAACCCGCCAUGAUUGGGCUAGGUCAAACAGAUGGCAGCUUAGAAGCAAGAAUCCAUAUGGGCCGAGGUGCCCAGGAGCAAGACCGGUUGGGCCGUUCACAGAGUGGGCCGGUUCAGGGCUUAGCAUCCGAAGACGAUGGCUCGUGACCCCAAAGCCCAAGUCGCCGAGAGUUUGCAUACUUAGGAGAGAAGUUGUAAAUAUGCUAAGUCACGGAUCAUAGUAUGAUCUGGACUCUUGUAAGCCCUAAGUCUCGACAUGUAUAUAAAGGUGAGUCUCACGGGAAGAUAGGGCUAAGUUACAAUCGAUCAAUAGCUAGGUCAAGCGAAUCUGCUCCCUUGUAUUGAUCUCCAGAGCAACAAGCAAACAAGCAGGAAGUAGGCUAUUACCUCGAUUGUGAGGGGACGAACCUGGAUAACUCGUGUCUCUCAUUCUCGUUCAACCCCGACAAGUUAAUCUCCUAGUUGUGAUGGCCUCGCGACUAAGUCCUCACACUAGGACAUCUCUCGUGACAAAACCACGACAGUUGGCGCCUACUGUAACGCCCCGAGACCAACGCUCCAGACGCCUGCCAUGUUUUGCGUGACCGUCGUGUGUUUAUUUGAUUGUUGCUUUCAUCAUGCCUUCAUUUGCAUUGCAUCGGCACUCGUUGCCAUCAUUGUUUUCAAACUUGCAUCCGCUUGUAGUUACUGCUCCUCGUUUCUCUCCGUUGCGUUCGUUGACCGAUCCGAGUUCAAUCGGGUUUUCACUUCCCUCUUGACCGUGACCACCUAACCUCUUUUGCCAGCUCGCAGCCCCCUCGCCCGUGCUCGAAAACUGCCCCGAACCCGAACGGCUCAGUCAUCACCGUUGGGUCCAGAUCAUCCCCCAACAUCCCUAAAACAUCUUCGUUUUCUUAUUUGGACUCCCUAACCUAUCUAUUCUCGACCGCCCGAUUACGAUCGGACAGACCAGAUUAGCCCCUAACCAAAAUCCAUGCUAUUUAAAUAGAUCAAACCCUAGUCGCUAGUUGUCCCAUCCAUCCAUUCCCUCACCUGCCGCCGCCACUCCCUUCCUCGGGAUCCCUCCCGAUCCAGCUGCCAGCCCACCUGGUCUCCUCCUCGUCUCUCCCACCGAGCCAACCACCAUCCAUCUCAGAUUCAUCUCCCUCCAACCGCAGCCUCUGACCACCUCCCGUGAUCUUCGCGCCACCAAAAAUCCCCAGCACCCGCAACCCUCCUCCUCGCUCGAUCCCGAGCGAGAGAGGACUCCAACGCCUCCUCUGCUUCGUCCCGCGCGCACGAGCCCAAUGGGAGAGGAGCUCCUCCACGCCGUGCUCCUCACCAUGCCCGAAGCCUCGCUCCCAGCCUCCCGCAAGCAGAGGCCCCACGAACCUCUCGCUCCCUCGUGCUCGCCGCUCCUCCCGUUCCAACGCGCCCUCCGGCGACCCCGACCAGGACCGGCCUCGUCCCGCUCCUCUCCUCCUGUUUUUUCCCUCUCUCUCUGUCUCAUGGUGGCCCUCUCUCUCUCCUUCCCAGGAACGAGCAAGAUCUCGCCCAAGCUCCAUGGUGUCGCUGCCGUCGUCCUGCUUCAUCCGGUGACCUCCGAGCAGCGCCUCCCGCCGGAUCUGCUCGAGCUCGCCUCGCCCCUGCGCCUCAAGUCCCGCGUCGCCAAGCCACCUCCCUGCCCUCGAGUCGGUCCACUUCCGUCGUCCGCCGUGGCCGUGGAGCUCGUCGGCGUCGUCCUCAUGCUUGUUCCAGUCCCGCUGCCGCCGUUCCCCUGCCAUGGUGCCUCGGCCUCCUCUGCUGCCCGCUCGCCCGCUCGUUGACCGCAUCGACCUCCCCUGCUCUACCUCGUGGCCCAGCUCCAGCCACUCCCGCACCGCACCAGGCCCAGAUCCGCCAGCCCAAGCCAGCUCCCUGGAGCCCAAUGUGAGUAGCCACCAGUGCACCAGAUUCGGCCCAUGUCUCAUUUUUUUCGUGCUGCGAUUUUAGGAUUAUUCCAGGAAUUACAGUUUUACAGAAAAGCCCCUAGUCUUCAUGCAUAUAAUAACUCAUUAACCGUGCAUCAGAUUAAAAUGUUUUAUAUAUGUGUCGGAGUAAGUGGCCACGGGUAGCCAAACCGGCUACCCCUGGCUCUUCAGAAAAUUUAUCAGGCCUUUGGGCCUUCAAGCACUCCAAGCAUUUGGGCCGCCUUCCCGGGCCGGCUACCACUAAAGCCGACUCCCGGAAGGCGACCCAGCCUCACCGACUCCAAGAAGCCGGCCAAGAGAAACGCCGACUCCUAGAAGCCGGCCGAGACCACAACCGCCCCUACAUAACGACGACCUGACGGGGCAUGGCCACAGUGCGGCCACGACCCCCGAAGCCCGAGGCAGGCAUGGUUACAGGAGGCCGUACGGGAGGGAUGUCUCCCGUGCGGCCGGGCACUGUAGCCACGCCAGCUACGACGUCAUCCACGACCCCCUCCUGUACGGCCCAAGGACUGCGGGCCCCUUCAGCCAGAGAGAGGCGUGAAGGCGGCCCGGCUUUCCCUAGUCGGCCGGGAGCAUAGCCGGCCUCCGGAAGCCGGCUACUCCCUUCCUCGAAGCAGGAGCCCCAUUAAGGAGACAAGACGAGGUGAGGCUACAGUGAUAGCCCCCGAGGCGGCCCACUGUAGCCAUGCUCACCUCGACAAAGCCCUCAUCAUCAGAGGCGCGGCUAUAGUAAGCAGCCGCCGACAAAGCCCUAGGCGGUGGGGCCGGCCUGUCGACCAAGUAACCGGCAGCCGGCGGGACCCAGCAGCCGGCGGAGAAGCCGGCGAGCAUAGACGCUGACGGCUGGGACCAGAUCCCAGCCGGAUUACCAUUGUACCCCCGGGGGGUAGGCCUAUAUAAACCCCCCGGAGCACCCAUGCAAAGGGUUGGCCACUGAGCAUAGUUCGCACCCAAGCAUAGUUGGCACCUCUGCAUGUUUGGCUUCCAAGCAUAGCACACACACACACACCAUAGAUAGAGAGAAGCAAGAGCUAGCCUUGUUCUUCUUCUCCCUUGAUCCCAACAGCUCUAGGAGCGAUUGUAGCUACUCUUUAUCGAGCUAGUGAUCAUGCGGAGACCCCGCAGAGCAGGACUAGGGGUGUUAUCUCCUCGGAGAGCCCCGAACCUGGGUAAGAUUCGCCGGCGUGCAUGUCUUCGCCUCAUCCCGUUUCCAGGCACCGGCGACGUUUUAUUGGCUCCCACAAUGAUAAGCCAUCCUUUGGCAUAUGUCGCACCAACCACCCGACAUUUGGCGCCCACCAUGGGGCCAGGUGCACCGUCGUCCGGAGAUCUGUUCUGGACGGGAACCUUCUUCCUUCCCCGCGAGCGCAGCCAGCCUGCUGCGCCCGAUGGCGCUUGCCCCGACGCGCUGCAAGGCGUCGACGACGCCUGCGCAGCGAGCCGCCUCGCCGAUCUGCUCGGCGAGACUCGCAUCUCUGACGAGCCUGCGUCCGACGCAGGCACCGACUACCCCGAGAGCCGCCUCGUCAGCCUCCUCGACCAACUUCACGUCUCCAGCGAGCCUGCUGCGGACAUGGAGUCUGUCGGCUCCACCGACCCGAUGCUCAUCGACUCCGACACCGCGUCGCUCGACGCCUACCCCUCCGACGUGGUGGUCUUCGACGACCCACUCCCUCGAGCUGACAGCGGCAGCAGCGCUGUCACCGAAGUGCUGGUCAUCAGCCACGUCUCCAACUCGGGCGGGAGCGCCCGCGACGCUCAGCAAGCAGCGAUGCACGACCUCUCCAUCCCCCUCCUGGCUGACGCCGACGCUGAGAUCCUGGAGGCACGCCGUCUUGCCCUCAUCACGGAGAGCAAGAAGAUAGCCUCGAUGAGACGCCUCACCGAGGCCCACCAGUGCGAAGUCGACCGCGCCGCCUUCGGGACGCCGCCGCCGAGCGGCCCGAGCCGAGCCAGCUUCGUCCAGAAGCGCAGCGCAGCCGUUGCCAGCAUGCUGGGCGCAGAUCGCCCCGUCUACGCCACCCCGCUCGAGAAUCUGCGAGCCGCUCAGGCGGCAGCAGAGGAGCUCAAUGGGCUGGGAGCCGAUGAGCUCCCCUACAUGACAAGACGGAUCCAGCAGCUGAUCGACGCGGCUGCAGAACGGCACGAAGCCGGCGCCCGUGCCGAUAGUCAACCUCUGCGCCGGGAGCACGCGCCAGAAGAAAGACAAGGAGUCGGCUGCCAGCCGCAGCCGGACCCGCAUCACUAUCGAGCGCAACGCGGAAGGCCGCCCUCGGGCGGUUGAACAUCAAGGAAACCUGCCGCCUCCCCCGCCUCGAAGAGAAAGACGCCUCACUCCGCCGCCCAUCACCCAUCCGACUCUUGGCGACCGACUCGGCCGCCGAGAAGAAGUCGGCGAGAGUGACGCCCGCCACAGGAUCGACCGCCUUGCUCGGUCCCUGGCGUUAGAAGAAGAAGAAGACGAUAUCGGCCCGCCAUGCUUUGGCCCCCGCAUCCGCGACGAGCCCUUCCCCAAAGGGUUCUCGCUCCCCAGAGACACGCCCAAGUACAACGGCUCGGUGAAGCCGGAAGAUUGGCUCAUCGACUACUCCACAGCCGUCAGCAUCGCCAACGGCAACUGGCGUGUUGCCGUGAAGUAUGUCCCCCUGAUGCUGCAGGGCACGGCGCGCACGUGGCUCAACAGCCUCAAGCCAUACAGCAUCAACAGCUGGCUGGACUUCACCGAGGUUUUCGUCCGCAACUUCACUAGCACCUACAAGCGGCCCCCCAAGCCUCGCCAGCUCUCCCUCUGCGUCCAAGGACCCAACGAGUCGACCCGCGACUACCUCACGCGAUGGGCCGAGCUCCGCAACUCCUGCGAGGGAGUGCAUGAGGUCCAGGCCAUCGAGUACUUCACUGCCGGGUGCCGAGAGGGCACCCUCCUCAAGCACCGACUCCUCUGCGACGAGCCGGCUACCCUCGAUGAGUUGCUGAUCACCGCCGACAAAUACGCUACUGCCGACUCCUCCAUGUAGGCCGAGCUCCGAGUGGACGCCUCGGGGAAAGUGGUCGCCCCGGCUCCCAAGCAGCCGGCUGGCGACCCCAACCGACGCCCCUACCAGAACGACCACAAGCGCAAGGGCCCCAUGCCGACUUCCUCCAGUCGGCAGGUGGCCACCAUUGAAGACAAGCAGCCCGAAGAGCGGCCUGCUCCCAAGAAGAAGGGAGGCCGGCCGCCCUGGCAGCCGUCCUUCUCCUACGAACAAGCACUCGAUGCCCCCUGCAAGUUCCACAGCGGCGCGAAGCCGUCCAACCAUACAACACGGAAAUGCCACUGGCUCACCCGCAUCACCAAGGGCGAAGGGAUAGUGCCGCCUCCGCCUCCCGGCCCGCCGCCUCCAGCUCCCCAGCAGCCGGCGGCCCGGCCGGCAGUCGGCGCCAUCCAAGACGAGUUCCCUGAAGCACACGACGCCUACGUCGUCUUCACGAGUCAAGUCGACAACUAGCGCAGCCGACGCCGGCAACACCAAGAAGUAAAUGCAGUCGCCUCUAGCACCGCCGAGUUCAUGCAUUGGUCGGAAAAGCCCAUCAGCUGGAGCCAGGCCGACCACCCAGAGGUGAUGCCUUCGCCUGGCUCCUAUGCUAUGGUCUUGGACGUCACCCUUGCGACAGAGAGGCGAGCUGCCAGAUUUUCCCGCGUCCUGAUAGACGGCGGAAGCAGUAUCAACAUACUGUACCGCGACACCAUGGACAAGCUGAACAUCAAAGCAAAGCAGCUCAUGCCGAGCCGCACUGUCUUCCAUGGUAUCGUACCCGGCCUGUCUUGCUCUCCAAUCGGCAAGAUCAAAAUGGAUGUUCUCUUCGGAGACAAAGAUCAUUUUCGCCGGGAAGCAAUAUGGUUCGAGGUGGUGGAUUUGGAAAGCCCCUAUCAUGCACUGCUUGGCCGACCUGCUUUGGGCAAGUUCAUGGCUGUGCCCCACUAUGCCUACCUGAAGAUGAAGAUGCCGAGCUCGAAAGGGAUCAUCACGAUAGCCGGCGACUACAAGAAGUCCAUCGAGUGUGCCAUGGCCAGCAGCCGGCUGGCCGAGUCCCUCGUGGUGGCGGAAGAGAAGAAGAUGCUGGAACGGGUUGUGGCCAUGGCCGGCAAGCAGCCGACCUUGUCCCCCAACCCCAAGGACUGUGAUGCGCAGGGCUCCUUCCAGCCUGCCAAAGAGACGAAGAAGAUACCUCUAGACCCGGAGCACCCGGAGAGGUUCGCCGUGAUUGGGGCGAACUUGGACAGUAAAUAGGAAGGCGAGCUCGCCGACUUCCUCCGUGAGAAUCGAGACAUCUUUGCAUGGUCCCCAAAGGACAUGCCGGGUGUCCCGAAGGAUUUCGCCGAGCACAAAUUACAUGUCCGAGCUGAUGCGAAGCCGGUCAAGCAACCCCUCCGCCGACUAUCAGAAGAGAAGCGAAGAAUCGUGGGAGAAGAGAUAGCCCGGCUCCUUGCAGCCGGCUUCAUCAUGGAAGUGUUCUUUCCAGAAUGGCUUGCCAAUCCAGUUCUGGUUUUGAAGAAGAAUAACAAGUGGCGCAUGUGUAUAGACUACACAAGUCUGAACAAGGCCUGCCCAAAGGAUCCGUUUGCUUUGCCACGGAUUGACCAAGUGAUAGACUCUACAUCCGGAUGCGAGCUGUUGUGUUUUUUGGAUGCAUACUCAGGGUAUCAUCAGAUCAAGUUGGACCCAGCUGACCCCCUGAAGACUGCCUUCAUCACACCCUUUGGAGCUUUCUGCUACCUGACAAUGACAUUCGGCUUGAGAAACGCCGGUGCCACUUUUCAGCGUUGCAUGCAGAAAUGUCUCUUGAAACAACUCGGCAGAAAUGCCCACGUCUACGUAGACGACAUUGUGGUGAAGACAGAGAAGCGCGGUACCUUGCUGGAAGACCUGAAGGAAACAUUUGCCAACUUGCACCGAUUCCAGAUCAAGCUCAACCCCGAGAAGUGCGUGUUCGGAGUACCAGUCGGCCAGCUGCUAGGCUUCCUGGUCUCCGAACGCGGCAUUGAGUGCAACCCUGUCAAGAUCAAAGCCAUCGAGAGGAUGGAGAUUCCCACCAAGCUGCGAGAUGUGCAGAAGUUCACUGGCUGCUUAGCCUCCCUGAACCGUUUUAUCAGCCGACUAGGAGAGAAGGCUCUCCCCCUCUACCGACUCAUGAAGAAGUCCACUCACUUUGAGUGGAAUGAUCAAGCCGACCAAGCCUUCCAUGAGUUGAAGAAAAUGUUGACCACUCCGCCUGUCCUGGCCGCGCCGACUGAGAAGGAGCCCAUGCUCCUCUACAUCGCCGCGACAAGCCGAGUCGUCAGCACUAUUGUUGUGGUCCAGCACCCGGAGGAAGGCCGAGCCCAGCUGGUCCAGAGGCCGGUCUACUAUCUCAGCGAAGUACUAUCUAGCUCGAAGCAAAACUACCCGCACUACCAGAAGAUGUGCUAUGGGGUGUACUUCGCUGCAAAGAAAUUGAAGCCCUACUUCCAAGAGCACCCCAUCACGGUCGUGUGCACUGCCCCGCUCGCCGAGAUCAUAGGCAGCCGGGAUGCAUCCGGCCGGGUGGCCAAAUGGGCCAUUGCCUUGGCGCCCUACACAAUUUUCUAUCAACCCCGCACCGACAUCAAGUCACAAGCAUUGGCCGACUUCCUCGUCGACUGGGCCGAGACCCAGUACUUACCGCCGGCUCCCGACUCUACCCAUUGGCGGAUGCACUUUGACGGGUCCAAGAUGCGCACCGGCUUGGGAGCCGGCAUCGUCCUCACCUCUCCCAGAGGCGACAAGCUCAAGUACACGCUGCAGAUCCACUUCGCCGCCUCCAACAACGUGGCCGAGUACGAGGCGCUCGUACAUGGGCUCCGGCUAGCCAAAGAGCUCGGCAUACGCCGGAGCCUGUGCUACGGCGACUCCGACUUAGUGGUCCAGCAAUCAUCUGGCGAUUGGGACGCCAAGGACGCGAACAUGGCGAGCUACCGCUUCCUCGUCCAGCAGAUGAGCGGAUACUUCGAAGGGUGCGAGUUCCUUCACGUGCCAAGGGCCGACAACGACCAGGCAGAUGCCCUAGCACGGAUCGGUUCCACCCGACAAGCCAUACCGACUGGCGUCUCCCUCCAGCGCCUCCUCAAGCCGUCCAUCAAGCCGUCUCCAGAGUCGGAUUCCAUCUUUGUACCGCCUGCGCCAGAAACAGCCGGAUCCGGCUCAAGAAAUCCCGCAGGCGGCACGGGGACUUCGACGACUGCCCCGGGAACUGACGUAGUCGCACCCGGCCCAGGGACCUCAGAGCCCGGCCCGGGGACUGCAGCAGUCGGCCCGGGGACUGCAAUGACGCAAGAAGUGGUGGUCGACCCCAACGCAAAACCCAACCCACCGACCCGAGUCAUGGUGGCCACGAUAACAGUAGAAGAAGUCACAGCUCCCUCAUGGGCCCAGCCCAUCCUCAAGUUCCUAGUCAGCAGAGAGCUGCCGACUGAUGAGAUCGCAGCAAGACUAGUGCAACGACGAGCCGCAGCAUACACAAUAAUCAACAGGUAGCUUGUGAAGCGCAGCGUCACUGGAGUCUUCCAGCGUUGCGUCGAGCCAGAAAAAGGAGUGGCAAUCCUCAAAGACAUCCACCAAGGCGAAUGCGGCCACCACGCCGCCUCAAGAUCCCUCGUGGCCAAGGCUUUCCGCCAUGGGUUCUUCUGGCCGACUGCCUUGGAGGAUGCUAAAGAAAUAGUCAAGACCUGCAGAGGAUGUCAAGUCUUCAGUUCCAAACAACACCUGCCGGCUUCUGCCCUCAAGACCAUUCCCCUCACCUGGCCUUUCGCCGUCUGGGGACUGGACAUGGUGGGCCCUUUCAAGACAGCCCGCGGUGGCAUGACACACCUGCUCGUUGCGGUGGACAAGUUCACAAAGUGGAUCGAAGCCAAGCCCAUCAAGAAGCUCAACGGGCCGACUGCCGUGACAUUCAUCACCGACAUCACCACUCGGUAUGGCGUGCCGCACAGCAUCAUCACCGACAACGGCACGAACUUCGCCAAAGGCGCACUGGCACGUUUCUGCGUGACACAGGGCAUCCGACUGGACUUAGCGUCCGUUGCCCACCCGCAGUCAAACGGCCAGGUCGAGCGAGCAAAUGGACUUAUCCUCUCCGGCAUCAAACCCCGACUGGUUGUACCACUGGAGCGAUCGGCCGGCUGCUGGCUCGAAGAGCUGCCGGCUGUCCUCUGGAGUCUGCGCACUACACCCAACAAGUCAACCGGCUUCACUCCAUUCUUCCUCGUGUACAGUGCCGAGGCUGUCAUCCCAACAGACAUCGAGUUCGACUCGCCUCGGAUCACCAUGUACACGGAGGAGGAAGCCAAAGAAGCAAGAGAAGACGGCGUCGACCUACUGGAAGAAGGCCGGCUGUUAGCCCUCAGCCAGUCCGCCAUCUACCAGCAAGGCCUGCGCCGCUACUACAACCGCAAGGUCAAGCCAAGAUCCUUCCAAGAGGGCGACCUUGUGCUCCGGCUGAUCCAGCGAACAGCCGGCCAGCACAAGCUCUCGGCCCCUUGGGAAGGCCCCUUCGUCGUCAGCAAGGCACUCGGCAACGACUCCUACUACUUGAUCGACGCGCAAAAGCCAAGAGCACGCAAGAGAGAGGACUCCCGCAAGGAGUCGGAGCGACCAUGGAACGCAAACCUCCUAAGACGAUUUUACAGCUGAAAAGCAGUAUGUAUCACGCUACCCCUUUUGUAUUAAGAUACAAACCAACAGGCCCCCCGAACAGUACUCGGGGACUGCCUUUUAUUUAUCUAUGGAUGACGAGUGUCAUAUCCAUGAAUGUCUUAUUACAUUUUGAAUUCUUGUCCGGCACCGGGUCCGACUAGUCGGCCCGGGGACUGGCCGCCUUAAGCUAUAUUAUAAGUUCUUCCCGAAGUCAGCAAAGUAGUGCGCCGGCUCCCCAGUCCUCUCUUGUUGAAAGUCGCAGCUCAAAGAACUGACUGUCCGACUAGCAAGAGAGAAGACAGAAAGGACGCCCACACGAAAACGGCUAAGGAACAACUAACCUAUAUAGCAAAAAGACGGCCUCUAUAUACGCCUGCCGACUGUCACAACAGCCGGCUGGCCGGCUUCCUAAAAACUUAGCUUAAGUCCGACCGAGCUAAAAGUACUUCCCCCUCCCCAAUCGGCCAGGCACUCCCCGGCUACAGAUUGCAGAGCAACUGUUUGACUAGGGAGACGGCAACCAAGGGAGGGCGGCAAAGGAAAAAAGCAGAAGGACAAAAAGCAAAAGUACAAGGAAAAGCCGAUUGCAUAACUUAUAUACAUAAAGCCGCCUAAAGGCUGGCAACAGAAUUAAGUUUGAAUACACCCAGUGGGUGGAAUUGCGCAGACUUAACCGAACAUUGUUCAAAAGUAACAAGACAGGAAACAAAAGAAAGAAGACAAAGGCGCGAAGGCCGAGUUGGUCGGUGAAGGCAGCUCGCCGGCUGAAGGAGUGGCCGCCUAGCUGGUCCCGGCUUGACCGCCUCCCGCAACAGGAGACGUACUCGCACGCAGCGUAGUGCUAGAGGCGCGGUCAGGCUGGCUGGCUGCUCCACCAGCCGGCUCGACGUCUUCACCCUCCUCCUCCUCCUCUUCGCCCUCGUCGCUGGAGUCGAUCUCCUCCGCCGAGUCCUCGCCGUACGCCGGGUCCAGCCCGAACCAAUCUUCCGGCUAGGCGACUCCAUUGUCGUCCACCUCGGGGGCGAAGACGUUGGUGUUGGUGUAGUCGGCGAUCGCCGAAGCUCGCCGAAUGAUGGCCGGCCGCGCCGGCUCCAGCUCCGCGUCAGCUUGCUGCCGCCAGGUGGCCAGCUGGUCCAGAUUCAGGCCUGGGUACCAGGCCUUGACGAACUCCAGCGCCCGCCCGGUGCCGGAGCGAGCCGCUGACGCCUUCCAAGCCUCGAAGCGCCCGACGGCCACCUCCAGCCAGUCGGCGGUCCGACUGGGAGUGCGCGGGAUCACUUGGCCAGGCCAGAGGGCGGCCAGGACCUGCGACCCGGCACGCUGAAGCCGGCGGAGCAGCCUGUGAGCCGGCAGGAUACGAGCCUGGAUCGCCAGGAGCUGCUCCGCCAGCGAGCGGCCGGCAGUCGGCGAAAUCUCGAAGCCGGCUUGCCUCUUCGCCUGGCGAUGAGCUUCGAUGGCCUGGUUGGCGGUAGUGGAAUAGCCGGGGAAGUACUCUGCGCAGAAAAGAAAAGAAGAACCCCAAAUCAGAAAAACAAGUCGAAGUAGCAGAUGGCAAGAGAGGAUGAAGGGGCAGACGACUUACCAUCAACCAGAUCCUCAAUCUGGCCAUAGCCGGAGACCAGAGUCUGCCUGGCCUCUGCCCAGCCGGCCGCCUCCUUCUCGAACUAGGCCUGGAGGGCGGCUUCGCGGUCCUGCGCGGCCUUCAGCGCCGCCUUAUGGCUUUCCUCCUGGUCGGCCAGCUUCUUGACCAGGCGGUCGCGCUCCUGCACCAAGGCGGCGAGCUCCGCGUCCUUGCCACGAAGAGCAGUCUGGGACUCCCCCAGCUGUGCCCUCAGACUGGCGUUGGCCGCUGCAGAGACAGAAGAAGAAGAACAAUGAGAAAUCAUCAAGGAAGAUCCGAGCCGACUGCUCAGCAGUCGGCCCGAAUCUCGGGGACUACACCCAGUGGGUGCGCUGACGCGCCCCCACAUGAGAUAGAGAUCAAGUCACAUACCUCGGCUUUCAGUGAGAUCGGCGGUCUUCUGCGUCAGCUCCCGAGCCUGGGAGUUGAAGGCGGCCGCUCGGAGGUUGUGGUAGUCCUGCAAGAUGGACAGAAGACCGAAGUAAGAACAAAAAUAGCAAAGGCAAAUCCACCAAGAAGUUCCAAGCCGCCUGCUCAGCAGCCGACUCGGAACUCGGGGACUACACCCAGUGGGUGCGCUGACGCGCCCCCACGAGAGAAAUCAAGAAGAAGAUGAGAAUACUAACCCGGAUGGCAGCCCGCGUGGCGAGGAAUUCGUCGGUGAACUGCCUCAGCGCCGCGGCUUGGCCCUGGAGCCGGGUCCGGACGUCUUGCGCAGCGAUGUUCACCAUGGCUGUCCCUCCGCCUGACGUCCACCCUGAGGUAGCGCUGGCCGCCUCCGCGUCUCGGGCCGACGAGCUAGAGCCCACGGCCGGCCGUGGCUCCGACGCCGCUUUCUGCGGCUCCGACGCGGCAUUCCCUGCGCGCCGGCUUGGCGGAACCCGGACCGCCACCGCAGCUCCCGCGGCCGGCUCGCCUUCCGCCGACUGUGCGGGUGCAGGCUCAGUCUGGCCGCCUUGGGCCACCCUAGUCGGAGGAGUCGGCCCCGGCGCCUCCCUCACGAAGAUGACGUCGUCGCCGCUCCCGCCCAGACCCGGCUGGGAACCGCUGGCUCCCCCUGGCGAGGGAUCCGCGUCCCCGGGCGCCAUGGCGCGCAGGGGGUGACCAUCAAGGCCUCCCCUGCCGCCGCUUCGGCCUCGGCCUCUGCCUGGGCCUUGGCUGCAGCCUCGGCGAGCGCCUUCGCCGCCUCCUCGUCCCGAGCUGCCUGGGCGGCGGCUGCCUUCCAUGCCUCCGCCUCCCGCGCUUCCUGCUCCUCCCGCACCUCCCGCGCGUUCCUUUCCGUCGCCUCCAGGAGGGCGGCGCGGGGGUCUACGCGGCGGGUGGUGCUCCCAGAGCCCCCUGGCGACUCGACAACGGAGCCGGCAGCCGCCCACUCGAGUGACAGUGGAGCUCUGAUCAAAGAAAAGAAGAUAAAGGUUCAGAAGAACACCCAAGAAAAGAAAGAAGGGGGAUACACAGAAAGAGAGAAAGCUUAUGCUGACACAGCCUGCGGCUGCUUCACCACUUUGCGGAAGCGAGCCGCCUUCGCGGCCGCUUCUUCCCGCCUGGUGGCCGCCGCCCCACCCCUCGGCUUCUUCGUCCGGCUACCGAACAUGCCCUGGGCGGCGCGACGUUUCUGGCCUCUACCCCGAGCAGGCUACGCGCCGGAGGAGCCGGCGCCGCGUCCGGAGGCUGGCUGGCGGGGCGGGACGACUUCGGCUUCGUCCUCGUCCGGCCAAUCAUCGAAGGUCGCGUAGAACCCGGCGCCGCCGGCUUGGCCACCAGCCGGCUCGGCGGCUUCCUCCAUAUGGACCGCCCCUAGAUCGGGGUCCUCCUGGUCGUGCUCGGUCCGGUCGGGGACGAAGCGGCGCUCCACGUCUGCCCCGCUGGCCGGCCGAAGCAGAGGAUUCUGUCGAAAGAGCGAGCCGACUGAGUUAGAGUCGGCCCGGAGGAACUCGGUGACAAAGAGAAAAAGAGAAGGGGAGUGUACCGUAGGCGGAGGAUUGGCGCGGCUGUAUGGCUCCUUGCCGAAUUGCCAGUCGUCGAGAAGCUGGCAGUUGGCGAGGUAGUUCACCAUGUCGGCAGCGUCGGCCUGCGGCAUCUCCUUGGUACACAUCCGGCUCGGAUCGAGCUGGCCGCUCAUCUGACAGAUCAGAUGAGGCCGGCUCUGGAGCGGGAGGACCCGGCGUGUGACGAACGCGGCCAGGAGGUCGGGCCCCGUCAGGCCCUUCGUCUGGACCAUCACCCGCAGGCGGGCGAUGGCGGCGUUUCCUCCCUGCGACAGCGUCACCGCCCGGAAGGACCACUGGGGCAGCCUCCCCGCCGGCGGGCCGGCUACGUAAGCCCGCAGGUUGACGUAGUCGCCCCAUGGAGCGAUGUUCCGCACGUAGAAGUAUGAUUUCUGCCACUUCUUCACCGAUUGGAUCAGCGUGAUGACGGGGAAGGGGUUGUCGGCGCCCGAUCUCCGCGACGCGAUGAAGGCGCCAGUGUGGGCCGGCACGCCCUGGCUGCGCGUACCCAGCUUCGACUGGAAGAACUCCCCCCAGAGCUCAAGGGUGGGGAGGACGCCGAGAUAGCCCUCGCACAGGGUGACGAAAGCCGACAGCAGCACCACCACGUUGGGGGUGAGGUGGUGCGGCUGGAGCUGAUAGAAGUCCAGCCAGGUGCGGAAGAAGGCGCUCACUGGCAAGCCGAAGCCGCGCAGGAAGUGCGAGCGGAAGACCACCCGCUCGCCAUCCUGCGGCGCCGGCCUGAUUUCUUUCUCCGGCGCAAGGCGGACCUCCACUUUGUCCGCACUGGGCAGACGCCGUGUGUCGCGGAGGAAGUCGAUGUGGUCGUUGUGGACGAUGGAGCCAUCCCAAUCCCCGCCACGCUGCUCUACGUGGGGAGGCAUGGCGGAAGCUAGCACGGCGGCGGAGGAGCGUGCGGAGGAAGAGCGCGGCGGCGAGGCGCUGUUGCGAGAACGAGCAAGGCAAGAAGACGGCGGAAGUAGCAGGAGCGUGCGAAGGCCUGCUGCCCUCCACCUCCCCCUACUUAUAGCCUCACGCGGCCGAAGAGGCCGGACGUGGGGGGAGACGUGGGAUUAACUGCGCCCACUCCCCCACGUCUCGCGUUUAUUACGCAUAAGUGCGAGCCGAAACUGCCGCACGGAGCAUGCGGGCGGUUCCGGGAUACAAAAGAUCCGCGCCUGGGCUGGGGCGCGGACGUGGCGGGCCCCCUCUCUGCGGCGACGUCCCGUCUCGCACGUGGGCUGGCAGGCUUUCCGGCUACGUGGCGCGCCGUCGGCCCGCGGCCGGCCCGCGGCCCGGCGCACAUGCCAGCGGGUUCCCGCCCUCCGACACCAGAAGAUUUCGACUCAGGCGACGUGCCUGACCAAGGCCGGCUCCCAGCUGCCGGCUUGUCGCGAUGGGAAGCUGUUCGAGCUUCUCGAACCCUACUCCACCUCGAAGCUCGAUCAGCUUCGGGGACUACUGUCGGAGUAAGUGGCCACGGGUAGCCAAACCGGCUACCCCUGGCUCUUCAGAAAAUUUAUCAGGCCUUUGGGCCUUCAAGCACUCCAAGCAUUUGGGCCGCCUUCCCGGGCCGGCUACCACUAAAGCCGACUCCCGGAAGGCGACCCAGCCUCACCGACUCCUAGAAGCCGGCCAAGAGAAACGCCGACUCCUAGAAGCCGGCCGAGACCACAACCGCCCCUACAUAACGACGACCUGACGGGGCAUGGCCACAGUGCGGCCACGACCCCCGAAGCCCGAGGCAGGCAUGGUUACAGGAGGCCGUACGGGAGGGAUGUCUCCCGUGCGGCCGGGCACUGUAGCCACGCCAGCUACGACGUCAUCCACGAUCCCCUCCUGUACGGCCCAAGGACUGCGGGCCCCUUCAACCAGAGAGAGGCGUGAAGGCGGCCCGGCUUUCCCUAGUCGGCCGGGAGCAUAGCCGGCCUCCGGAAGCCGGCUACUCCCUUCCUUGAAGCAGGAGCCCCAUUAAGGAGACAAGACGAGGUGAGGCUACAGUGAUAGCCCCCGAGGCGGCCCACUGUAGCCAUGCUCACCUCGACAAAGCCCUCAUCAUCAGAGGCGCGGCUACAGUAAGCAGCCGCCGACAAAGCCCUAGGCGGUGGGGCCGGCCUGUCGACCAAGUAACCGGCAGCCGGCGGGACCCACCAGCCGGCGGGACCCAGCAGCCGGCGGAGAAGCCGGCGAGCAUAGACGCUGACGCCUGGGACCAGAUCCCAGCCGGAUUACCAUUGUACCCCCAGGGGGUAGGCCUAUAUAAACCCCCCGGAGCACCCAUGCAAAGGGUUGGCCACUGAGCAUAGUUCGCACCCAAGCAUAGUUGGCACCUCUGCAUGUUUGGCUUCCAAGCAUAGCACACACACACACACCAUAGAUAGAGAGAAGCAAGAGCUAGCCUUGUUCUUCUUCUCCCUUGAUCCCAACAGCUCUAGGAGCGAUUGUAGCUACUCUUUAACGAGCUAGUGAUCAUGCGGAGACCCCGCAGAGCAGGACUAGGGGUGUUAUCUCCUCGGAGAGCCCCGAACCUGGGUAAGAUUCGCCGGCGUGCAUGUCUUCGCCUCAUCCCGUUUCCAGGCACCGGCGACGUUUUAUUGGCUCCCACAAUGAUAAGCCAUCCUUUGGCAUAUGUCGCACCAACCACCCGACAAUAUGUAAAAUGCUUAGAAUUUCAUCUAGUUUCAUAAUCUGCUACUUUCAUCUAUGAUAAAAAUGUUUAAACAUGCUGUUUGUUUAAAUUUGCUUAAAUGCCAUGCUAAAAUGAUUUAUUUCAUAACUAAAUAACCGUAGCUCCAAAUUUAAUAAACUUUAUAUGAAAAUGGGGUGGAAAAAUGCAUAGAUUAACAUGGUGCACUUUGUUUUACUGUUUAAUAACAUUAAAAUAUGGUUUUAGGAAGAACAGUACCAAUUCAAAAUAUGCAUAUGGGGAUUUUCCGGAAUUGUCGUUUGUUAUUUCCGGCCUCAUUUAAACUUGCCUAGAUAGGUUGUUUAAUUAUGCUUAACCUCUUGCCAUGUUAACCAACAUUUAAUCUUGUCUUGUUCCUAAACGAGAGCAAACUAAAUAACUUGAAUGUGGUGUUUCGUCAAUAUGCAAGUCGUUGCAUAUUGAGCUCCACUUAAUUUGUAGUGUUGUUUGUUGCACUUUGCCAUGCCAUGCUCUUUAAACCGGGCAUGCAUCAUACUUGGUUGUGCAUCAUGCCAUGUGUAUGUGGUGGUUGUUUACUAUGUUGUUUGUUUCUUUCCGGGUUGCUUCUCUCGUUAGCUUCGGUUUCGUUCCGGAAUUGUGAGGAUUCGUUGGACUACAUCCGUUUGUCUUCUUCAUGGACUUGUUCUUCUUCCUUGCGGGAUCUCAGGCAAGAUGACCAUACCCUCGAAAUCACUCCAAUCUUUGCUUGCUAGUUGUUCGCUCUAUUGCUAUGCCGCGCUACCUACCACUUGCUAUAUCAUGCCUCCCAUAUUGCCAUGUCAAGCCUCUAACCCACCUUUCCUAGCAAACCGUUGUUUGGCUAUGUUACCGCUUUUGCUCAGCCCCUCUUAUAGCGUUGCUAGUUGCAGGUGAAGAUGAAGUUUGUUCCAUGUUGGAACAUGUUUAUGUUGGGAUAUCACAAUAUCUCUUAUCUUAAUUAAUGCAUCUAUAUACUUGGUAAAGGGUGGAAGGCUCGGCCUUAUGCCUGGUGUUUUGUUCCACUCUUGCCGCCCUAGUUUCCGUCAUACCGUUGUUAUCUGCCUUGAUUUUGCGUUCCUUACGCGGUUGGGUGAUUUAUGGGACCCCCUUAAGUUCGCUUUGAAUAAAACUCUUCCAGCAAGGCCCAACCUUGGUUUUAACAUUUGCCACCUAAGCCUUUUUCCCUUGGGUUCUGCAGACUCAAGGGUCAUCUUUAUUUUAACCCCCGGGCCAGUGCUCGUCGUGAGUGUUGGUCCAACCCGUCAGCCGUCGGUGGCCACCAGGGGCAACUCUGGGCUCGCCUAUCGGAAGCUUGGACAAUCCGGUGUGCCCUGAGAACGAGAUAUGUGCAGCUCCUAUCGGGAUUUGUUGGCACAUCGGGCGGCUUUGCUGGUCUUGUUUUAUUAUUGUCGAAAUGUCUUGUAAACCGGGAUUCCGAGGCUGAUCGGGUCUUCCCGGGAGAAGGAAUAUCCUUCGUUGACCGUGAGAGCUUAUAAUGGGCUAAGUUGGGACACCCCUGCAGGGUAUAAACUUUUGAGAGCCGUGCCCGCGGUUAUGAGGCAGAUGGGAAUUUGUUAAUGUCCGGUUGCAGAGAACUUGACACUUGACUUAAUUAAAAUACAUCAACUGCGUGUGUAGCCAUGAUGGUCUCUUUUCGGCGGAGUCCGGGAAGAGAACACGGCUUUUGAGUUAUGUUUGACGUAAGUAGGAGUUCAGGAUCACUUCUUGAUCAUUACUAGUUGACGACCGUUGCGUUGCUCCUCUUCUCGCUCUUAUUUGCGUAUGUUAGCCACGAUAUGUGCUUAGUGCUUGCCGCAGCUCCACCAUAUUAUCCCUUUCCUUCCUAUAAGCUUAAAUAGUCUUGAUCUCGCGGGUGUGAGAUUGCUGAGUCCUCGUGACUCACAGAUACUUCCAAAACAGUUGCAGGUGCCGAGGAUACCAGUGCAGAUGACGCAACCGAGCUCAAGUGGGAGCUCGAUGAAGAUCUUGUUCGUUGUGUUGUUUCAUUUCCUGUUGAUCGGUAGUGGAGCCCAGUUGGGACGAUCGGGGAUCUAGCAUUUGGGGUUGUCUUCUUUCAUUUUGGUUCCAUAGUCGGACCUUGCUUGUACUCUGGAUGAUGUAUGUUUAAUUUAUGCAUUGUGUGAAGUCGCGAUUGUAAGCCAACUCUUUAUCCCAUUCUUGUUCAUUACAUGGGUUUGUGUGAAGAUGACCCUUCUUGCGACAAUACCUACAAUGCGGUUAUGCCUCUAAGUCGUGCCUCGACACGUGGGAGAUAUAGCCGCAUCGUGGGUGUUACAAGUUGGUAAUCAGAGCCAUCCCCGACUUAGGAGCCCCCUGCUUGAUCGAAUCGUUGGCGUUGUUGAGUCUAGAAAAAAAUGUUUUGAGUCUUAGGAUUAUAUAUCGGAGAGUAGGACUCUUUUACUCCCCAGUCCCUUCGUCGCUCUGGUGAGGUCUCCUGACGUAGAAGUUUUGACUUUUCUCUCCUCAAAUUUCACUAAAAAAAAUUAGGAUCAUGCGGGUAUCUUGGAAUCGUUCUGAUGGUUUUGUGACGAGAACAUUGUUCUUGGUGCCUCCUGACAUUUAGGGGUUGUGGCAGUGUCCCGGGGAGUUGAGCUCCGAGGUGUUGUCGUCACAAUUUUAUCGUUGCAGUUCCGGAAUACCUGAGUUUCGCCGACAUCGAAAAUCUCUUUUAUGCAGUUGUUGGUGAGAUAACCUCGACGCCACCCAGUACUAGGGCGGGUGAUCGUGAGUUUUGCCAUAACUCGUAUAACGGAUGCUUUUCGAAGGUUGAGGUAAAUGAUUUCCGAAGGUUUCUUUGUUAUGUGUUGAAGGAUGGAUACAGCUGGAUCUAGGUAUUGUUAGUUUGGGUGAUAUAUUUUGUGUCCCCUGUAUCCCCAACACCUGAUUGCAUAACCAGAAAGUUUCGGGAGUUUAUAAGUGGGAAUUCAAGUAGCUCAUAGGAUAUCUUUCCGACAGAUGCAUGAUAUGAGAUUGGGGUUCGACGUCUAGUGGUCCGCCUUUCCACGGUUGGUUUUACAGUGGUCUCGUAGUGUCUUAAAGAGUCCUUGGCUAUGCCGACUCGGGGACACUUCGUAUGUCAUGUGCACUGCCUUGUACAUGAUGGUGCUGUACGAUCAAGCCCGUGUGGGCCCCACCACGAAAACUUCGGACGAAAUCUCUAUCAUAUGUUUGUUCCGGCUUAUUCUACAAGCCAAUCCUUUGUUUUUUUUGUUUUUUUUUGUGGUAUUCGAGUUGCUUCGAAGUCAAGUGUUGAUUCCAUACCUUCCCUAAACGGUGUUCUCAUAUUUCUAUGUGAAUACUAAUCCUUCUUGAUCAUCGAGAUUGCCAUCUUAAUUCUAUUUCCAACCGGUGUGUUUCUCUUCGAGAUGAUACCAUCACUCUCCCCAUCCGCAAGAUCAAUUAUAAGUUUUCUCAACGGUGUUUAUUCCAUAUGCCCCAAGUUGCCUUUGUUUUCCCACCCUCCCACCCCUUUUUCUUCAAGGACUCGGAUUUCUGAUUCAAGUAUCCUUUUAUUGACGUGAAGUCUCUUCGUUCUUUUCCUCCAUGUUCUUAACUGGUGAUUUCUCAUGGAGAUGCUCAUGAAGCUUCAAGUUCAUCAUUCUUCGUUCUCAUUUUCUUCUCCGGUGGAUUCAAUUCAAGCUUUGUCGGUCAUAUCUUUUCCUUGUUUCAAAUGUUUUCUCAUGUCGGUGCAUCUCUUAAUCAUCCACUUCUUGCUAUUCAAUUGUUCUGGAGUGAUGAAGAUAUCUCAGAAGAUUCAAGUUUCCAUUCUCAAAUCACUCAAGUUCUUUUGAGGAUGCUAUCUCAUUCAAGCCAUUUAAUUCAACCGGUGAAGUCUCUCUUUUCAAUCAAUCGUUCAAUGGUGUAUCUUUUAGUGGGCCCUAACCCACAGGUCUUUUUCCAGGAUCUUACCUGACUCUUCUAAUUCUAUUCGGAGUUAUUCUCAAAUUCAUUGCAAAGUUUGACGUAAGAAUGAAUUAUCAUCAGUCAAAUGUCUUUCUCCAAGAUCUUUCAAAUUCUUUUCGUCGUUGGUUCAACCUUUCCAAUUUUCAUUAUGGAGUGCCUCAACAAUUCAUGGUGGUUCGGUCAAGAGUUCUCUUUCUUGGUUAUCAUAUCAAUUCAUUCGUUCUUUUCAAAUCCUACCGGCGGAUCGUUGAAGACUGUCGGGUGGUUGGUGCGACAUAUGCCAAGGGAUGGCUUAUCAUUGUGGGAGCCAAUAAAACGUCGCCGGUGCCCGGAAACGGGAUGAGGCGAAGACAUGCACGCCGGCGAAUCUUACCCAGGUUCGGGGCUCUCCGAGGAGAUAACACCCCUAGUCCUGCUCUGCGGGGUCUCCGCAUGAUCACUAGAUCGAUAAAGAGUAGCUACAAUCGCUCCUAGAGCUGUUGAGGUUAAGGGAAAAGAAGAGCAAGGCCAGCUCCUGCUUCUCUCUAUCUAUGGUGUGUGUGCUAUGCUCGGGUGCCAACCCUUUGCAUGGGUGCUCCGGGGGGUUUAUAUAGGCCUACCCCCCGGGGGUACAAUGGUAAUCCGACUGGGAACUGGCCCCAGCCGUCAGUGUCUACGCUCGCCGGAUUCCCCGCCGGCUGCUGGGUCCCGCCGGCUGCCGGCUACUUGGUCGACAGGCCGGUCCCACCGCCUAGGGUCUUGUCGACGGCUGCUUACUGUAGCCGCGCCUCUGAUGAUGAGGGCUUUGUCGAGGUGAGCAUGGCUACAGUGGGCCGCCUCGGGGGCUAUCACUGUAGCCUCACCUCGUCUUGUCUCCUUAAUGGGGCUCCUGCUUCGAGGAAGGGAGUAGCCCGCUUCUGGAGGCCGGCUAUACUCUUGGCCAACUAGGAAAGGCCGGGCCGCCUUCACGCCUCUCUCUGGCUGAAGGGGCCCGCAGUCCUUGGGCCGUACAGGAGUGGGUCGUGGAUGACGUUGAGGCUAGUGUGACUACAGUGCCGAGCCGCACGGGAGACGUCCGUCCCAUACGGCCUCCUGUAGCCACGCCCUCCUCGGGCUUCGGUGGUAGUGGGCUGCACUGUGGCCUCACCCCGUCACGUCGCCGUCAUGUGGGAGUGGUUGCGGUCUUGGCCGGCUCCUAGGAGUCGGCGUCCUUCUUGGACGGCUUCUUGGAGUCGGCCACCCCGUAGUCGUCCUGGGGAGGAGUCGGUGAGGCUGGGUCGCCUUCCGGGAGUCGGCUUUAGUGGUAGCCUGCCAGGGAAGGCGGCCCAACUGCUUGGAGUGCUUGAAGGCCCAAAGGCCUGAUAAUUUUUCUGAAGAGCCAGGGGUAGUCGGUAUGGCUACCCGUGGCUAUUUACUCCGACAGUAGUCCCCGAAGCUGAUUGGGCUUCGAGGUGGAGUGGGGUUCGAGAAGCUCGAACAGCUUCCUAUCGUGACAAGCCGGCAGCGGGGAGCCGGCAGCGGGGAGCCGGCCUUGGUCAGGCGCGCCACCGUAGUCGAAAUCUUCUGGAGUCGGAGGGCGGGAACCCGCUGGCACAUGCACCAGGCCGCGGGCCGGACGCGGGCCAACGGCGAGCCACGUGGCCGGAAAGCCUGCCAGCCCACGCGCGUGACGGGACGUCGCCGCAGGGAGGGGGCCCGCCACGUCCGCACCCCGGCCCAGGCGCGGAUCCUUUGUAUCCCGAAACUGCCCGCACGUUCCGUGCGGCAGUUUUGGCUCGCACUUAUGCGUAAUAAACGCGAGACGUGGGGCGAGUGGGCGCAGUUAAUCCCACGUCUCCUCCCCACGCCCGGCCUCUUCGGCCGCGUGAGGCUAUAAGUAGGGGGAGGCGGAGGGCGGCAGGCCCUCGCACGCUCCUCCUACUUCCAUCGUCUUCUUGCCUUGCUCGUUCUCGCGAUAGCGCCUCGCCGCCACGCUCUUCCUCCGCACGCGCCCCUGCCGCCGCGCUAGCUCUCACCAUGCCUCCUCACAUAGAGCAGCUUGGCGGGGAUUGGGACGGCUCCAUCGUCCAUAACGACCACAUCGACUUCCUCCGCGACACCCGGCGUCUGCCCAGUGCGGACAAAGUGGAGGUCUGCCUCGCGCCGGAGAAGGAAAUCAGGCCGGCGCCGCAGGAGGGCGAGCGGGUGGUCUUCCGCUCGCACUUCCUGCGCGGCUUCGGCCUGCCGGUGAGCGUCUUCUUCCGCUCCUGGCUGGAUUUCUAUCAGCUCCAGCCGCACCAUCUCACCCCCAACGCGGUGGUGCCGCUGUCGGCCUUCGUCACCCUGUGCGAGGGCUAUCUCGGCGUCCUCCCCACCCUCGAGCUCUGGGGGGAGUUCUUCCAGUCGAAGCUGGGCACACGCGUCAGGGGCGUGCCGGCUCAUACUGGCGCCUUCAUCGCGUCGCAGAGAUCGGGCGCCGACAACCCCUUCCCCGUCAUCACGCUAAUCCAAUCGGUGAAGAAGUGGCAGAAGUCAUACUUCUACGUGCGGAACAUCGCCCCGCGGGGCGACUACAUCAACCUUCCGGCUUACGUAGCCGGUCCACCGGCGGGCAGGCUGCCCCAGUGGUCCUUCCGGGCUGUGACGCUGUCGCCGUCAGGAAACGCCGCCAUCGCCCGACUGCGGGUGAUGGUCCAGUCGGAGGGCCUGACGGGGCCCGACCUCCUGGCCGCGUUCGUCACGCGCCGGGUUCUUCCGCUCCAGAGCCGGCCUCAUCUGAUAUGUCAGAUGAGCGGCCAGCUCGAUCCGAGCCGCAUGUGCACCAGGGAGAUGCCGCAGCACGAGGUCGCCUACAUGGUGAACUACCUCGCCAACUGCCAACUCUCUGAAGAUUGGCAAUUCGGCAAGGAGCCAUAUAGCCGUGCCAAUCCUCCGCCUGCGGUACGCUCCCCUCAUCUCUUUUUCUCUCUCUCUCUCUCAGCCUUGUCGCCGAGUUCCUCUGGGCCGACUCUAACUCAGUCGGCUUGCUCUUUUGACAGAGUCCUCUGCUUCGGCCGGCCGGCGGGACAGACGUGGAGCGCCGCUUCGUCCCCGACCGGACCGAACACGAUCAGGAGGACUCCGACCUGGGGGCGGUCCAUAUGGAGGACGCCGUCGAGCCGGCCGGUGGCCAAGCCGGCGGCGAAGCAGGCGGCUCCGGGUUCACCGCUACCUUCGACGACUGGCCGGAUGAGGAUGAAGCCGAAGCCGUCCCGCACCGCCAGCCGGCAUCCGGACGCGGCGCGGGAUCCUCCGGCGCGCAGCCUGCUCGGGGUAGAGGCCAGAAGCGUUGCGCCGCCCCGGGCUUGUUCGGCAGCCGAACGAAGGAGCCCAGGGGCGGGGCGGCCGCCACCAGGCGGGAAGAGGCGGCCGCGAAGGCGGCUCGCUUCCGCAAAGUGGUGAAGCAGCCGCAGACCAUGUCGGCGUAAGUUCUCUUUCUCUAUGUACUUUCUUUCUUUCUUUGGUGGUUCUUGAACCUUUGUCUUCUUUUCUUUCGACGAUCAGAGCUCCGCUGUCACUUGAGCGGGCGGCUGCCGGCUCCGUUGUCGAGUCGCCAGGGGGCUCUGGGAGCACCACCCGCCGCGUAGAUCCCCACGCCGCCCUCCAGGAGGCGACGGAAAGGAAUGCGCGGGAGGUGCGGGAGGAGCAGGAAGCGCGGGAGGCGGAAGCACGGAAGGCAGCCGCCGCCCAGGCGGCUCGGGAGGAAGAGGCGGCGAAGGCGCUCGCCGAGGCCGCAGCCAAGGCCCAGGCGGAGGCUGAGGCUGAGGCGGCGGCAGGGGAGGCUUUGAUGGUCACCCCCCUGCGCACCAUGGCGCCCGGGGACGUGGAGCCCUCGCCAAGGGGAGCCAGCGGUUCCCAGCCGGGGCUGCGAGGAAGCGACUACGACGUCAUUAUCUUGGAGAAGGCGCCGAAGCCGACUCCUCCGACUAGGGCGGCCCAAGGCGGCCAGCCUGAGCCUGCGCCCGCACAGUCGGCGGAGGGCGAGCCGGCCGCGGGAGCUGAGGUGGCGGUCCUGGUUCCUCCAAGCCGGCGUGCAGGGAAGGCCGCGUCGGAGCCGCAGAAGGCUGCGUCGGAGCCACAGCCGGCCGUGGGCUCCAGCUCGUCGGCCCGAGACGCGAAGGUGGCCAGCGCUACCUCGGGGUGGAUGCCGGGCGAAGGGACAGCCGUGGUGAACGUCGCUGCACAAGACGUCCGGACCCGGCUCCAAAGCCAAGCCGCGGCGCUGAGGCAGUUCACCGACGAAUUCCUCGCAACGCGGGCAGCCAUCCGGGUUAGCAUUCCUAUCUUGUUCUUUCUUGAUCUUGAUUUCUCUCGUCGGGGCGCGUCAGCGCACCCACUGGGUGUAGUCCCCGAGUUCCGAGUCGGCUGCUGAGCAGGCGGCUUGGAACUUCUUGGAGAUUUGGCUUUGCUGCUUUUGUUCUCACUUUGGUCUUCUGUCCGUCUUGCAGGACUACCACAACCUCCGAGCGGCCGCCUUCAACUCCCAGGCUCGGGAGCUGACUCAGAAGACCGCCGAUCUUACUGAGAGCCGAGGUAUGUGACUUGAUCUUUAUCUCAUGUGGGGGCGCGUCAGCGCACCCACUGGUUGUAGUCCCCGAGAUUCGGGCCGACUGCUGAGCAGUCGGCUCGGAUCUUCCUUGAUGAUUUCUCAUUGUUCUUCUUCUUCUUCUAUCUCUGCAGCGGCCAACGCCAGUCUGAGGGCACAGCUAGGGGAGUCCCAGACUGCUCUUCGUGCCAAGGACGCGGAGCUCGCCGCCUUGGUGCAGGAGCGCGACCGCCUGGUCAAGAAGCUGGCCGACCAGGAGGAAAGCCACAAGGCGGCACUGAAGGCUGCGCAGGAUCGCGAAGCCACCCUCCAGGCCGAGUUUGAGACGGAGGCGGCCGGCUGGGCAGAGGCCAGGCAGACUCUGGUCUCCGGCUAUGGCCAGAUCGAGGAUCUGGUUGACGGUAAGUCGUCUACCCCUUCGUCCUUUCUUGCCAUCUGACACUUUGACUUGUUUUUCUGAUUUUGGUGUUCUUCUUAUCUUUUCUUCUUCGCGCAGAGUACUUUCCCGGCUAUUCAACUGCCACCAACCAGGCCAUCGAAGCCCGUCGCCAGGCGAAGAGGCAAGCCGGCUUCGAGAUCUCGCCAACCGCCGGCCAUUCGCUGGAGGAACAGCUCCUGGCGAUCCAGGCUCGCAUCCAGCCGGCUCACAGGCUGCUCCGCCGGCUUCAGCGCGCGGGGUCGCAGGUCUUGGCCGCCCUCUGGCCCGGCCAAGUGGUCCCUCGCACCCCCAGUCGGAACGCCGACUGGCUGGAGGUGGCAGUCGGCCGCUUCGAGGCUUGGAAGGCGUCAGCGGCUCGCUCCGGCGCCAGGCGGGCGCUGGAGUUCGUUAAGGCCUGGUAUCCCAGCCUGAACCUGGACCAGCUGGCUACCUGGCGGCAGCAAGCCGACACGGAGCUGGAGCCGGCGCGGCCGGCCAUCAUUCGGCGAGCUUCAGCGAUCGCCGACUACACCGACACCAACGUCUUCGCCCCCGAGGUGGACGACAAUGGAGUCGCCCAGCCGGAAGAUUGGUUCGGGCUGGACCCAGCGUACGGCGAGGACUCGGCGGAGGAGAUCGACUCCAGCGACGAGGGCGAAGAGGAGGAGGAGGAGGAGGGUGAAGACGCCGAGCCGGCUGGUGGAGUAGCCGGCCAGCCUGACCGCGCCUCCAGCACUACUUCGCGUGCGAGUGCGUCUCCUGCCGCAGGAGGUGGUCCAGCCAGGACCAGCUAGGCGGCCACUCCUUCAGCCGGCGAGGCCGCCUUCCCCGACCAGCUCGGCCUUCAUGUCGCGCCUUAGUCUUCUUUCUUUUGUUUUCCUGUCUUGUUACUUUUGAACAAUGUUUGGUUAAGUCUGCACAAUUCCACCCACUGGGUGUAUUCAAACUCAAGUCUGUUGCCGGCCUGUAGGCGGCUUUAUGUAUAAAAGUUAUGCAAUCGGUCUUUCCUUGUACUUUUGCUUUUUGUCCUUCUGCUUUUUUCCUUUGCCGCCCUCCCUUGGUUGCCGCCUCCCUAGUCAAACAGUUGCUCUGCAAUCUGUAGCCGAGGAGUGCCUGGCCGAUUGGGGAGGGGGAAGUACUUUUAGCUUUGCCGGACUUAAGCUAAAUUUUUUUUAGGAAGCCGACCAGCCGGCUGUUUUGACAGCCGGCAGGCAUAUUUGGAGGCCGUCUCUUUGCUAUAUAGGUAAGUUGUUCCUUAGCCGUUUUUCGUGUGGGCGUCCUUUCUGUCUUUCCUCUUGCUAGUCGGACAGUCAGUUCUUUGAGCUGCGACUUUCAACAAGGGAGGACUCGGGAGCCGGCGCACUACUUUGCUGACUUUAGGAAGAACUUUCGAUAUAGCUCAAGGCGGCCAAUCCCCGGGCCGACUAGUCGAACCCGGUGCCGGACAAGAAUUCAAAAUGUAAUAACACAUUCAAGGAUAUGACACUUGUCAUUCAUAGAUAAAUAAAAGGCAGUCCCCGAGUACUGCUCGGGGGGCCUGUUGGUUUGUACUUUAAUACAAAAGGGGAGCGUGAUACAUACUGCUUUUCAGCUGUAAAAUCGUCUUAGGAGGUUUGCGUUCCAUGGUCGCUCCGACUCCUUGCCGGAGUCGUCUCUCUUGCGUGCUCUUGGUUUUUGCGCGUCGAUCAAGUAGUAGGAGUCGUUGCCGAGUGCCUUGCUGAUGACGAAGGGGCCUUCCCAAGGAGCCGAGAGCUUGUGCUGGCCGGCUGUUCGCUGGAUCAGCCGGAGCACAAGGUUGCCCUCUUGGAAGGAUCUUGGCUUGACCUUGCGGUUGUAGUAGCGGCGUAGGCCUUGCUGGUAGAUGGCGGACCGGCUGAGGGCUAACAGCCGGCCUUCUUCCAGUAGGUCGACGCCGUCUUCUCUUGCUUCUUUGGCUUCCUCCUCCGUGUACAUGGUGAUCCGAGGCGAGUCGAACUCGAUGUCUGUUGGGAUGACAGCCUCGGCACCGUACACAAGGAAGAAUGGAGUGAAGCCGGUUGACUUGUUGGGUGUAGUGCGCAGACUCCAGAGGACAGCCGGCAGUUCUUCGAGCCAGCAGCCGGCCGAUCGCUCCAGUGGUACAACCAGUCGGGGCUUGAUGCCAGAGAGGAUAAGUCCAUUUGCUCGCUCGACCUGGCCGUUUGACUGCGGGUGGGCAACAGACGCUAAGUCCAGUCGGAUGCCCUGCGACGCGCAGAAACGUGCCAGUGCGCCUUUGGCGAAGUUCGUGCCGUUGUCGGUGAUGAUGCUGUGCGGCUCGCCGUACUGAGUAGUGAUGUCGGUGAUGAAUGUCACGGCAGUCGGCCUGUUCAGCUUCUUAAUUGGCUUGGCUUCAAUCCACUUUGUGAACUUGUCCGCCGCAACGAGUAGGUGUGUCAAGCCACCGCGGGCUGUCUUGAAAGGGCCCACCAUGUCCAGUCCCCAGACGGCAAAAGUCCAGGUGAGGGGAAUGGUCUUGAGGGCAGAAGCCGGCAGGUGUUGUUUGGAACUGAAGACUUGACAUCCUCUGCAGCUCUUGACUAUUUCUUUAGCAUCCUCCAAGGCAGUCGGCCAGAAGAAACCAUGGCGGAAAGCCUUGGCCACGAGGGAUCUUGAGGCGGCGUGAUGGCCGCAUUCACCUUGGUGGAUGUCUUUGAGGAUUGCCACUCCUUUUUCUGGCUCGACGCAACGCUGGAAGACUCCAGUGACGCUGUGCUGCACAAGCUCCCUGUUGAUUAUUGUGUAUGCUGCGGCUCGUCGUUGCACUAGUCUUCCUACGAUCUCAUCAGCCGGCAGCUCUCUGCUGACUAGGAACUUGAGGAUGGGCUGGGCCCAUGAGGGAGCUGUGACUUCUUCUGCUGUUAAUGUGGCCACCAUGACUCGGGUGGGUGGGUUGGGUGUUGCAUUGGAGUCGACCACCGCUUCUUGUGUCGUUGCAGUCCCCGGGCCGACUGCUGCAGUCCCCGGGCCGGGUUCUGAAGUCCCUGGGCCGGGUGCGACUACGUCAGUUCCCGGGGCAGUCGUUGAAGUUCCCGUGCCGCCUGCGGGGUUUCUUGAGCCGGAUCCGGCUGUUUCUGGCGCAGCCGGUACGAAGAUGGAAUCCGACUCUGGAGACGGCUUGAUGGACGGCUUGAGGAGGCGCUGGAGGGAGACGCCAGUCGGUAUGCCUUGUCGGGUGGAGCCGAUCCGUGCUAGGGCAUCUGCUUGGUCGUUGUCGGCCCUUGGCACGUGAAGGAACCAGCACCCUUCGAAGUAUCCGCUCAUCUGCUGGACGAGGAAACGGUAGCUCGCCAUGUUCGCGUCCUUGGCGUCCCAGUCGCCAGAUGAUUGCUGGACCACCAAGUCUGAGUCGCUGUAGCACAGGAUCCGGCGUAUGCCGAGUUCUUUGGCUAGCCGGAGCCCAUGUACGAGCGCCUCGUACUCGGCCACGUUGUUGGAGGCGGCGAAGUGGAUCUGCAGCGUGUACUUGAGCUUGUCGCCCUUGGGAGAGGUGAGGACGAUGCCGGCUCCCAAGGCGGUGCGCAUCUUGGACCCGUCAAAGUGCAUCCGCCAAUGGGUAGAGUCGGGAGCCGGCGGUAAGUACUGGGUCUCGGCCCAGUCGACGAGGAAGUCGGCCAACGCUUGCGACUUGAUGGCGGUGCGGGGUUGAUAAAAAAUCGUGUAGGGCGCCAAGGCAAUGGCCCAUUUGGCCACCCGGCCGGAUGCAUCCCGGCUGCCUAUGAUCUCGGCGAGCGGGGCAGUGCACACGACCGUGAUGGGGUGCUCUUGGAAGUAGGGCUUCAAUUUCUUGGCAGCGAAGUACACCCCAUAGCACAUCUUCUGGUAGUGCGGGUAGUUUUGCUUUGAGCUGGACAGUACUUCGCUGAGAUAGUAGACCGGCCUCUGGACCAGCUGGGCUCGGCCUUCCUCCGGGCGCUGGACCACAACAACAGUGCUGACGACUUGGCUUGUCGCGGCGAUGUAGAGGAGCAUGGGCUCCUUCUCAGUCGGCGCAGCCAGGACAGGCGGAGUGGUCAACAUUUUCUUCAACUCAUGGAAGGCUUGGUCGGCUUGUUCAUUCCACUCAAAGUGAGUGGACUUCUUCAUGAGUCGGUACAGAGGGAGAGCCUUCUCUCCUAGUCGGCUGAUAAAACGGUUCAGGGAGGCUAAGCAGCCAGUGAACUUCUGCACAUCUCGCAGCUUGGUGGGAAUCUCCAUCCUCUCGAUGGCCUUGAUCUUGACAGGGUUGCACUCAAUGCCGCGUUCGGAGACCAGGAAGCCUAGCAGCUGGCCGGCUGGCACUCCGAACACGCACUUCUCGGGGUUGAGCUUGAUCUGGAAUCGGCGCAAGUUGGCAAAUGUUUCCUUCAGGUCUUCCAGCAAGGUACCGCGCUUCUCUGUCUUCACCGCAAUGUCGUCUACGUAGACGUGGGCAUUUCUGCCGAGUUGUUUCAAGAGACAUUUCUGCAUGCAACGCUGAAAAGUGGCACCGGCAUUUCUCAAGCCGAAUGUCAUUGUCAGGUAGCAGAAAGCUCCAAAGGGUGUGAUGAAGGCAGUCUUCAGGCGGUCAGCCGGGUCCAACUUGAUCUGAUGAUACCCUGAGUAUGCAUCCAAAAAACUUAACAGCUCGCAUCCGGCUGUGGAGUCUAUCACUUGGUCAAUCCGUGGCAAAGCAAACGGAUCCUUUGGGCAGGCCUUGUUCAAACUUGUGUAGUCUAUACACAUGCGCCACUUGUUAUUCUUCUUCAAAACUAGAACUGGAUUGGCGAGCCAUUCUGGAAAGAACACUUCCAUGAUGAAGCCGGCUGCAAGGAGCCGGGCUAUCUCUUCUCCCACGAUUCUUCGCUUCUCUUCUGAUAGUCGGCGGAGGGGUUGCUUGACCGGCUUCGCAUCAGCUCGGACAUGUAAUUUGUUCUCGGCGAAAUCCUUCGGGACACCCGGCAUGUCCUUUGGGGACCAUGCAAAGAUGUCUCGAUUCUCACGGAGGAAGUCGACGAGCUCGCCUUCCUAUUUACUGUCCAAGUUCGCCCCAAUCACGGCGAACCUCUCCGGGUGCUCCGGGUCUAGAGGUAUCUUUUUCGUCUCUUUGGCAGGCUGGAAGGAGCCCUGCGCAUCACAGUCCUUGGGGUUGGGGGACAAGGCCGGCUGCUUGCCGGCCAUGGCCACAACCCGUUCCAACAUUUUCUUCUCUUCUGCCACCACGAGGGACUCGGCCAGCCGGCUGCUGGCCUUGGCACACUCAAUGGACUUCUUGUAGUCGCCGGCUACCGUGAUGAUCCCCUUCGAGCUCGGCAUCUUCAUCUUCAGGUAGGCGUAGUGGGGCACAGCCAUGAACUUGGCCAAGGCAGGUCGGCCAAGUAGUGCAUGAUAGGGGCUCUCCAAAUCCACCACCUCGAACCAUAUUGCUUCCCGGCGGAAGUGAUCUUUGUCUCCGAAGAGAACAUCCAUCUUGAUCUUGCCGAUUGGAGAGCAAGAUAGGCCGGGUACGAUACCAUGGAAGACGGUGCGGCUCGGCAUGAGCUGCUUUGCUUUGAUGUUCAGCUUGUCCAUGGUAUCGCGGUACAGUAUGUUGAUACUGCUUCCGCCGUCUAUCAGGACGCGGGAAAAUCUGGCAGCUCGCCUCUCCGUCGCAAGGGUGACGUCCAAGACCAUAGCAUAGGAGCCAGGCGAGGGCAUCACCUCUGGGUGGUUGGCCUGGCUCCAGCUGAUGGGCUUUUCCGACCAGUGCAUGAACUCGGCGGUGCUAGAGGCGACUGCGUUUACUUCUUGGUGCUGCCGGCGUCGGCUGCGCUUGUCGUCGACUUGACUGGUGAAAACGACGUAGGCGUCGUGCGCUUCGGGGAACUCGUCUUGGAUGGCGCCGACUGCCGGCCGGGCCGCCGGCUGCUGGGGAGCUGGAGGCGGCGGGCCGGGAGGCGGAGGCGGCACCAUCCCUUCGCCCUUGGUGAUGCGGGUGAGCCAGUGGCAUUUCCGUGUUGUAUGGUUGGACGGCUUUGCGCCGCUGUGGAACUUGCAGGGACCAUCGAGUGCUUGUUCGUAGGAAAAAGAAGGCUGCCAAGGCGGCUGGCCACCCUUCUUCUUGGGAGCGGGCCGCUCUUCGGGCUACUCGUCUUCAAUUGUGGCCACCUGCCGACUAGAGGAAGUCGGCAUGGGGCCCUUGCGCUUGUGGUCGUUCUGGUAGGGGCGCCGGUUAGGGUCGCCAGCCGGCGUCUUGGGAGCCGGAGCAAUUACUUUCCCCGAGGCGUCUACUCGGAGCUCGGUCUUCAUGGAGGAGUCGGCAGUGGCGUACUUGUCAGCAAUGACUAGUAGCUCGUCGAGGGUAGCCGGCUCGUCGCAGAGGAGUCGGUGCUUGAGGAGGGUGCCCUCUCGGCACCCGGCAGUGAAGUACUCGAUGGCUUGGACCUCGUGCACUCCCUCGCAGGAGUUGCGGAGCUCGGCCCAUCGCGUGAGGUAGUCGCGGGUCGACUCGUUGGGCCCCUGGACGCAGAGGGAGAGCUGGCGAGGCUUGGGAGGCCGCUUGUAGGUGCUGGUGAAGUUGCGGACGAAAACUUCGGUGAAGUCCAGCCAACUGUUGAUGCUGUAGGGCUUGAGGCUGUUGAGCCAUGUGCGCCGUGCCCUGCAGCAUCAGGGGGACGUACUUCACGGCAACGCGCCGAUUGCCGUUGGCGAUGCUGACGGCUGUGGAGUAGUCGAUGAGCCAAUCUUCCGGCUUCACCGAGCCGUUGUACUUGGGCGUGUCUCUGGGAAGCGAGAACCCUUUGGGAAAGGGCUCGUCGCGGAUGCGGGGGCCAAAGCAUGGCGGGCCGACAUCGUCUUCUUCUCGUAGCGCCAAGGAUCGAGCAAGGCGGUCGAUCCUGUCGCGGGCAUCGUUUUCGCCGACUCCUUCUCGGCGGCCGAGUCGGUCGCCAAGAGUCGGAUGGGUGACAGGCGGUGGAGUGAGGCGUCUUUCUCUUCGAGGCGGGGGAGAAGGCAGGUUUCCCUGGUGCUCUACAGCUCAAGGGCGGCCAUCCGCGUCGCGCUCGAUGGUAAUCCGAGUCCGGCUGCGGCUGGCAGCCGGCUCCUUGUCUUUCUUCUGGCGCGCGCCGCUCGCAGUCGGCGAGCGGGACGUCGCGGCGUGCUCCCGGCGCGGGGGAUGGCUAUCAGCUCGGGCGCCGGCUUCGUUCCGUUCUGCAGCCGCGUCGAUCAGCUGCUGGAUCCGUCUUGUCAUGUAAGGGAGCUCAUCGGCUCCCAGCCCAUUGAGCUCCUCUGCAGCCGCCUGAGCGGCUCGCAGAUUCUCGAGCGGGGUGGCGUAGACGGGGCGAUCUGCGCCCAGCAUGCUGGCAACGGCUGCGCCGCGCUUCUGGACGAAGCCGGCUCUGCUCGGGCCGCUAGGCGGCGGCGUCCCGAAGGCGGCACGGUCGACCUCGCGCUGGUGGGCCUCGGUGAGGCGUCUCAUCGAGGCUAUCUUCUUGCCCUCCGCGAUGAGGGCAAGGCGGCGUGCCUCCAGGGUCUCGGCAUCGGGGUCGGCCGGGAUGGGGACGGAGAGGUCGUGCAUCGCCGCUUGCUGAGCGUCGCGGGCGUUCUCGCCCGAGUUGGAGACGUGGCUGAUGACCAGCACUUCGGUGACAGCGCUGCUGCCGCUGUCAGCUCGAGGGAGGGGGUCGUCGAAGACCACCACGUCGGAGGGGUAGGCGUCGAGCGACGCGGUGUCGGAGUCGAUGAGCAUCGGGUCGGUGGAGCCGACAGACUCCAUGUCCGCAGCAGGCUCCCUGGAGACGUGAAGUUGGUCGAGGAGGCUGACGAGGCGGCUCUCGGGGUAGUCGGUGCCUGCGUCGGACGCAGGCUCGUCGGAGAUGCGAGUCUCGCCGAGCAGAUCGGCGAGGCGGCUCGCUGCGCAAGCGUCGUCGACGCCUUGCAGCGCGUCGAGGCAAGCGCCAUCGGGCGCAGCAGGCUGGCUGCGCUCGCGGGGGAGGAAGAGGGUUCCCGUCCAGAACAGGUCUCCGGACGACGGUGCACCUGUGCCCCACGGUGGGCGCCAAAUGUCGGGUGGUUGGUGCGACAUAUGCCAAGGGAUGGCUUAUCAUUGUGGGAGCCAAUAAAACGUCGCCGGUGCCCGGAAACGGGAUGAGGCGAAGACAUGCACGCCGGCGAAUCUUACCCAGGUUCGGGGCUCUCCGAGGAGAUAACACCCCUAGUCCUGCUCUGCGGGGUCUCCGCAUGAUCACUAGAUCGAUAAAGGGUAGCUACAAUCGCUCCUAGAGCUGUUGAGGUCAAGGGAGAAGAAGAGCAAGGCCAGCUCCUGCUUCUCUCUAUCUAUGGUGUGUGUGCUAUGCUCGGGUGCCAACCCUUUGCAUGGGUGCUCCGGGGGGUUUAUAUAGGCCUACCCCCCGGGGGUACAAUGGUAAUCCGACUGGGAACUGGCCCCAGCCGUCAGUGUCUACGCUCGCCGGCUUCCCCGCCGGCUGCUGGGUCCCGCCGGCUAGUGGGUCCCGCCGGCUGCCGGCUACUUGGUCGACAGGCCGGUCCCACCGCCUAGGGUCUUGUCGGCGGCUGCUUACUGCGCCUCUGAUGAUGAGGGCUUUGUCGAGGUGAGCGUGGCUACAGUGGGCCGCCUCGGGGGCUAUCACUGUAGCCUCACCUCGUCUUGUCUCCUUAAUGGGGCUCCUGCUUCGAGGAAGGGAGUAGCCGGCUUCUGGAGGCCGGCUAUACUCUUGGCCGACUAGGAAAGGCCGGGCCGCCUUCACGCCUCUCUCUGGCUGAAGGGGCCCGCAGUCCUUGGGCCGUACAGGAGUGGGUCGUGGAUGACGUUGAGGCUAGUGUGGCUACAGUGCCGAGCCGCACGGGAGACGUCCGUCCCGUACGGCCUCCUGUAGCCACGCCCUCCUCGGGCUUCGGGGGUAGUGGGCCGCACUGUGGCCUCACCCCGUCACGUCGCCGUCAUGUGGGAGUGGUUGCGGUCUUGGCCGGCUCCUAGGAGUCGGCGUCCUUCUUGGCCGGCUUCUUGGAGUCGGCCACCCCGUAGUCGUCCUGGGGAGGAGUCGGUGAGGCUGGGUCGCCUUCCGGGAGUCGGCUUUAGUGGUAGCCCGCCAGGGAAGGCGGCCCAACUGCUUGGAGUGCUUGAAGGCCCAAAGGCCUGAUAAUUUUUCUGAAGAGCCAGGGGUAGUCGGUAUGGCUACCCGUGGCUAUUUACUCCGACAAAGACUUUUCUCAAGUUUGAGCAAUAUCUCUCUUCAAUCCUUUUUCAACGAGAAUAAGUAGUAUGUCAAAUCCGUUGCUUGUCAUCAAUCUAAAUUGGUGAAGGAUACGUAUAACAUAAUUCUUGUUCUUGUUUCAUCCAAGUGAUUAAUUCCUUCUUCCGGAGUUCCAAGUUUUUUUUCCGCAUUAUCUCGUCGCGAAGCUCCAUCGAAAUCAUUGCAAGGCUUCACCUUGUGUUUUCAACUUCUCUCUCUUUCUAUCAUCCUUGUUUUACCGGAGUUCUUCAUGGAAGGUUCACAUGGUGCUUCGUCAAGGAUUCCUUUCAUUCUUCAAUUGUUCUUCAAGAUUUCUCUCGGAGUCAAGAUUCGUCAAGCUAUACUCUAAAAUAAACAUGGUGCACAACACAUGUUUGUUUUGAGGAGGUCAAGCACUCUUCGUCUUGCGUUCCGAAAUGCAAUUCGUUUUACCUUAUCUUUUGAGAUGGCGUUAUAUCAUUCUUGUCGAUUUCCAUUCAUGUUUCGCGAUUCACAUGUUGUCAAGUAUGAGGUAUUUUAAAUCCAUCAAUCUCUUCGUUGGAGUUAUCUUGUGUCAUGUUUCACCUAAAGUCUUCCCUAAGGAAUGUUGCUAUUAUGGUGCUUAUCAAUGAUCCAAGUUUUCUCCUAUCCUCUCGGCAAGAGAAGUUUUCAUCUCUUCGUUGAUCUCAAGCAAGCAAUUGUUUUCGUUAGUGGCAGAAUUUCACCUCAAGUUUUGAGAUGUCUCCAUAAGCCCACGAAGAUCAUAUUCUUUCUUUGUUGAUUUUUUUCAAAAAUUCCAUUUUAUCCUUCUUUUAAGGAUGCUCUCUCAAAUUCAAUUAGGGUAGAACAUGUUGUUUUCUUCUCCGUUCUUUUCAUUGCAUUCUUUCAUUUCUACCGGAGGGAUUGUGAUUUUGCUCUCUUCGACCCAUCUUCUUGUUUUGUCAAGAUCUUCUUUUUUUCCUUGCUUAUCCAUUUAACCGGAGUGUUGUGUCAUCUCUUCAAUUUCUUUUCAUCUUAUCAAGUUUUCCUUCUCUUUUUCAACCGGAGUGCUGUAAAAAUAAUGUCAUUCUUGUUCCUUGGCUAUCUCGUUAUACCGGUGUGGUUUCAUAUUCUUUUGGCUCGUUAAGCCCUUGUUUCAUGUCUUUCAACCCACAAGGUUCUCAUAAUGUUACUUGUUCCCCUUUUCUAACGGGGUGUUUGUAAUCUCAUCCAUCUCCGUUGUAUUCUUUUCUCAAAAUUGUUUAACCUCUCAAGGUUCGUGGUUUCACUAUUUUGUCAAAGAAGCAACUUUGUUUUACCUCUUCCCCUUCCGUUUUUCUACGGUGCCAUCCUAGAUCUCGGGACGAGAUCCUCUUGUAGUGGUGGAGUGUUGUAACGCCCCGAGAUCGACGCUCCAGACGCCUGCCAUGUUUUGCGUGACCGUCGUGUGUUUAUUUUUUUGUUGCUUUCAUCAUGUCUUCAUUUGUAUUGCAUCGGCACUCGUUGCCGUCAUUGUUUUCAAACUUGCAUCCGCUUGUAGUUACCGCUCCUCGUUUCUCUCCGUUGCGUUCGUUGACCGAACCGAGUUCAAUCGGGUUUUCGCUUCCCUCUUGACCGUGACCACCUAACCUCUUUUGCCAGCUCGCAGCCCCCUCGCCCGUGCCCGAGAACUGUCCCGAACCUGAACCGCUCAGUCAUCACCGUUGGGUCCAGAUCAUCCCCCAACAUCCCUAUAAAAUCUCCGUUUUCUUAUUUGGACUCCCUAGCCUAUCUAUUCUCGACCGCCCGAUUACGAUCGGAUAGACCAGAUUAGCCCCUAACCAAAAUCCAUGCUAUUUAAACAGAUCAAACCCUAGUCGCUAGUUGUCCCAUCCAUCCAUUCCCUCACCUGCCGCCGCCACUCCCUUCCUCGGGAUCCCUCCCGAUCCAGCCGCCAGCCCACCUGGUCUCCUCCUCGUCUCUCCCACUGAGCCAACCACCAUCCAUCUCAGACUCAUCUCCCUCCAACCGCAGCCUCCGACCACCUCCCGUGAUCUUCGCGCCACCAAAAAUCCCUAGCGCCCGCAACCCUCCUCCUCGCUCGAUCCCGAGCGGGAGAGGACUCCAACGCCUCCUCUGCUUCGUCCCGCGCGCACGAGCCUAACGGGAGAGGAGCUCCUCCACGCCGUGCUCCUCACCAACGCCCGAAGCCUCGCUCCCAGCCUCCCGCAAGCAGAGGCCCCACGAACCUCUCGCUCCCUCGUGCUCGCCGCUCCUCCCGUUCCAACGCGCCCUCCGGUGACCCCGACCAGGACUGGCCUCGUCCCGCUCCUCUCCUCAUGUUUUUUUCCUCUCUCUCUGUCUCACGGUGGCCCUCUCUCUCCUUCCCAGGAACGAGCAAGAUCUCGCCCAAGCUCCAUGGCGCCGCUGCCGUCGUCCUGCUUCGUCUGGUGACCUCCGAGUAGCGCCACCCGCCAGAUCUGCUCGAGCUCGCCUCGCCCCUGCGCCUCAAGUCCCGCGUCGCCAAGCCGCCUCCCUGCCCUCGAGUCCGUCUAGUUCCGCCGUCCGCCGUGGCCGUGGAGCUCGUCGGCGUCGUCCUCAUGCUCGUUCCAGUCCCGCUGCCGCCGUUCCCCUGCCAUGGCGCCUCGGCCUCCUCUGCUGCCCGCUCGCCCGCUCGUUCACCGCAUCGACCUCCCCUGCUCCAUCUCGUGGCCCAGCUCCAGCCACUCCCGCACCGCACCAGGCCCAGAUCCGCCAGCCCAAGCCAGCUCCGUUGUAACACCCCGCAUGUAACUUGCCAUAUCUGUAACUCCGACUCUUGCCAUUUCCGGCUAUGUGAUAUGUUAUUCCCUCCGUUGUCGGGUUUUGUCUUUCGUUUUGUAUUUUGUCUUGUCUUGCAUUUUCAUAUCAUGUCAUCAGGUGCAUUGCAUUCGCAUACGUGUUCGUCUCGUGCAUCCGAUCAUUUUCCCCGUUGUCCGUUUUCCAAUCCGGCGCUCCUAUCUCCUCCGGUGCACCCUUCUAGUUUUCUUUCAUGUGCGUGUGUCAAACUUUCUCGGAAUGGACCGCGGCUUGUCAAGUGGUCUUAAUAUACCACCCGGAGACUACCGGUCAAGUUUCGUUCCAUUCGGAGGUCGUUUGGUACUCCAACGGUUAACCGGGCAUCCGCAAAGUCCAUUUGAGUAUCCAGCAAAACCCCCUCCAAAACCAGCCCAAAACCCACCAAACUCUCUUCCAUGCUCUAGGUCGUUCGAUCACGAUCGUGUGGGCGAAAACCGCACCUCAUUUGGAGUCUCCUAGCUCCCUCUACCUAUAAAUAAGUGGGCAUCCCGAAAACGAAACCGCAGUCUAACCCUAGCCCUCGUCCCACUCCGCCGCCGGACACGUCCGGGCGGAGCCGGACACGUCCAACCGCCCCGCCGCCGCCACGUGUCGCCGCCGGGUCCUCCCGCCGCGCCGGCCCGCCGGGCCCGUGACCNNNNNNNNNNNNNNNNNNNNNNNNNNNNNNNNNNNNNNNNNNNNNNNNNNNNNNNNNNNNNNNNNNNNNNNNNNNNNNNNNNNNNNNNNNNNNNNNNNNNNNNNNNNNNNNNNNNNNNNNNNNNNNNNNNNNNNNNNNNNNNNNNNNNNNNNNNNNNNNNNNNNNNNNNNNNNNNNNNNNNNNNNNNNNNNNNNNNNNNNNNNNNNNNNNNNNNNNNNNNNNNNNNNNNNNNNNNNNNNNNNNNNNNNNNNNNNNNNNNNNNNNNNNNNNNNNNNNNNNNNNNNNNNNNNNNNNNNNNNNNNNNNNNNNNNNNNNNNNNNNNNNNNNNNNNNNNNNNNNNNNNNNNNNNNNNNNNNNNNNNNNNNNNNNNNNNNNNNNNNNNNNNNNNNNNNNNNNNNNNNNNNNNNNNNNNNNNNNNNNNNNNNNNNNNNNNNNNNNNNNNNNNNNNNNNNNNNNNNNNNNNNNNNNNNNNNNNNNNNNNNNNNNNNNNNNNNNNNNNNNNNNNNNNNNNNNNNNNNNNNNNNNNNNNNNNNNNNNNNNNNNNNNNNNNNNNNNNNNNNNNNNNNNNNNNNNNNCGGCCGGCGACCCCCACCGCCGGCCGCGCCCUCCAGCCUCGCCUCCUCCUCUCCCCCCUCUCUCCGGCAGAGGACGCCGGCGAGCUCCUCUGUCCCGAGCGACGAGCUCGGGCUCGAGCGACAGCCAGAUCCGAUCGGUACUCUGCCCCAUUGACUUCCUCGCGCCCGUUUUUAUUUCCAAGUCCCAGAAUUUUCUCAGCAUAUGCUCCUGUUCCCGAUGCGAUAACUUUGUGCAUGUAGCUCCAAUUCGCGCGUAUAAUAUGUCAAAUUGUUCGCCUCGUGAUGCUCUUCAUUUUGUUCAAUUGCAUCAUUUUCAUUAGAGGUCAUCUUGAUGCCUAAAUCUUCGUUGGAAGAGGGCUAGUUGCUGUUAAUCUCUGGUUCUUGUCAGAACUUGGAGAUUUGCAUUUUUGUAUCAUUUAUUCUGUGCAUCUUUUGAGCAUGAGCUCUACAUGUGUUUUGAAGUAUGCCAUGCCAUCUUUCCGGUGGUAUAGCCCAUGUAUUUGUUUGGUCUUUUUGGUGACUAGCACAAGCAUGAAAAGUAGGCCCCGUAAUAUUUCUGAUUUCAGGGACUUCGUGAUUUCUGCAAGUCCUAGUCUACUGUAAUUUUGUUGCCAUGUAAACUUGAUGUUACAGAGAGAUCCAUGCAUAUUUUGGAGAUGUUCAGUAAGGAUGUUUUGUAGCUAUAGUUGUAAUUGAUCGAUUCCUGCAACGUUUUGCAAUUUUGGAGUACCAUAGCAUGACUCAAUCAUGCUCUAAUUUUGCUAUAAAAUAUUUCUGGCAGAUUCUUAACAUGACAUGCAUUUUUGCCAAGCUUAUUGUAGUUGAUCUAUACAUGCUAUGUGAUUUUUCUUGCCAUGGAUAGCUUCAUAAACAUGCCAUCUUGCUGUAGGUAUGCCUGGUUUGUCAUGGAUUGCUCUGUAGUGAGUGCAUCAAGCUCACAAAGAGGCCUACAUAUUAAUAUUUCUGCCAUGCUCUGUUUUCUGCUAAGUCUGAAACCUGAUAACGAAACUUGCUAUGUUUACAUGCUUGCAAUCAUAUGUUCUGGUCCUUUUUGGCUUAUGGUCAGUAAGGGACUUUUGUCAUGUGCAUUUAGUAAAACACUACGAUGCCUUGUUUUGCUAUGUUAAGUUUCUGUAGCAUAUUGAUUUCGCGCUCCGAACAUUGCUACCUGAUGCUGAUUUCUGCCAUGUCCAGUUUUUCACUAAGUCUGUGAACCUGUAAUCUUUUGCACUUUUGCCAUGCUUGUUUGAGCUUGAUAUGUUGUGAACUAGCCGUAGCUCAGUGUUCAUCUUUUGUCAAGAAUCUCCUGUAGAUUACUGCCAUGUGCUUUGUUGCUAUGUUGGAGUGCUGUAGCAUUGUUACUUGUUGUAUGUUAAGUGCUAUCUUGCUGUUUAUCGCAGAUUAGUGUCAUUCUUGUUCUGCUUGCCAUUUGCAAACCGUGCAUCCGAUUCCGGUGAUCUUUAUAUCGAUUUCGACCGAAAUCAUCUCAUCUUUCCAGUGGCAUGCUUGGUUUGCCAAGUUACUGCCAUGUUCAUCAUUUUCCUUCCGGAGCACGCAUAUGCAUCGCAUAUCAUAUCUUGCAUAUCAUACAUGUCUGGCAUCAUGUUGCUUGCGCAUUUCUCGUUGUUGAUUGUGGUUCCGUUUGUUUGUGUUCUUGUCUUGGGUAGAGCCGGGAGACGAGUUCGUGAACGAGGAACCUGUCGAGUACGCGUACGAGGAUCAAGCUUUCGACAACUCUGAGAAUCUUGCAGGCAAGAUGACCACCCCUCGAAAUCACUUCUAUCUUUGCUAUGCUAGUUGUUCGCUCUAUUGCCAUGCUCGCUACCUAUCACUUGCUAUAUCAUGUCUCCUAUUUCAGCCGUGGCAGCCCCUAACCAUCCUUUCCUAGCAAACCGUUGUUUGGCUAUGUUACCGCUUUUGCUCAGCCCCUCUUAUAGCGUUGCUAGUUGUAGGUGAAGUUGAAGUUUGUUCCAUGUCGGAACAUGGAUAUGUUGGGAUAUCACAAUAUCUCUUAUUUAAUUAAUGCACCUAUAUAUUUUGGUAAAGGGUGGAAGGCUCGGCCUUAUGCCUGGUGUUUUGUUCCACUCUUGCCGCCCUAGUUACUGUUAUACCGGGAUUAUGUUCCUUGAGUUUGCGUUCCUUACGCGGUCGGGUGAUUUAUGGGACCCCCUUGACAGUUCGCCUUGAAUAAAACUCCUCCAGCAAGGCCCAACCUUGGUUUUACCAUUUGCGACCUAUACCUUUUUCCCCCGGGUUUUCUAGAGCCCGAGGGUCAUCUUUAUUUUAAACCCCCGGGCCAGUGCUCCUCUGAAUAUUGGUCCAAACUGUCAGUCGCCGAUGGCCACUAGGGGCAACUCUGGUCUGGCCUAUCGGAAGCUUGGACAAUCCGGUGUGCCCUGAGAACGAGAUAUGUGCAGCUCCUAUCGGGAUUUGUCGGCACAUUCGGGAGGCUUUGCUGGUCUUGUUUUACCAUUGUCGAGAUGUCUUGUAAACCGGGAUUCCGAGACUGAUCGGGUCUUUCCGGGAGAAGGUUUAUCCUUCGUUGACCGUGAGAGCUUAUGAUGGGCUAAGUUGGGACACCCCUGCAGGGUAUUAUCUUUCGAAAGCCGUGCCCGCGGUUAUGAGGCAGAUGGGAAUUUGUUAAUGUCCGGUUGUAGAUAACUUGUCACUUGACCCAAUUAAAAUACACCAAGUGCGUGUGUAGCCGUGAUGGUCUUUUCUCGGCGGAGUCCGGGAAGUGAACACGGUCUGUGUUAUGGAUGACGUAAGUAGGUGUUCAGGAUCACUUCUUGAUCAUUGCUAGAUGACGUCCGUUCCGUUGCUUCUCUUCUCGCUCUCAUUUGCGCAAGUUAGCCACCAUAUAUGCUUUUGCCGCUGCAGCUCCACCUCUUUGCACCUCCUUGUCCUAUAAGCUUAAAUAGUCUUGAUCUCGCGGGUGUGAGAUUGCUGAGUCCCCGUGACUCACAGAUACUUCCAACACCAGUUGCAGGUGCCGACGAUGCCAGUGCAGAUGAUGACGUCGAUCUCAAGUGGGAGUUCGACGAGGAACGUGGUCGUUACUAUGUGUCUUUUCCUGAUGAUCAGUAGUGGAGCCCAGUUGGGACGAUCGGGGAUCUAGCAUUUGGGGUUGUCUUAUUUUCAUCUGGAUUUUGACCGUACUCGGUCUAUAUGAUUGUAUUUUGGAUGAUGUAUGAAUGAUAUUUAUGUAUUGUGUGAAGUGGCGAUUGUAAGCCAACUCUUUAUCCCAUUCUUGUUCAUUACAUGGGAUUGUGUGAAGAUGACCCUUCUUGCGACAAAACCACUAUGCGGUUAUGCCUCUAAGUCGUGCCCCGACACGUGGGAGAUAUAGCCGCAUCGUGGGCGUUACAAGUUGGUAUCAGAGCCAUCCCCGACUUAGGAGCCCCCUGCUUGAUCGAAUCGUUGACGUUGUUGAGUCUAGAACAAAAUGUUUUGAGUCUUAGGAUUAUAUAUAUCGGAGAGUAGGAUUCUUUUUAUUCCUCAGUCCCUUCGUCGCUCUGGUGAGGUCUCCUGACGUAGAAGUUUUGACUAUUCUCUCCUCAAAUUUCACUAAAAAAAAUUUAGGAUCACGCGGGUAUCUUGGAAUCGUUCCGAUCGAUUUGUGACGAGAACAUUGUUCUUGGUGCCUCCUAUCAUUUAGGGGUUGUGGCAGUGUCCCGGGGAGUUGAGCUCCGAGGUGUUGUCAUCACAAUUUUAUCGUUGCAGUUCUGGAAUACCUGAGUUUCGCCGACAUCGAAAUCUCUUUUAUGCAGUUGUUGGUGAGAUCACCUCGACGCCACCCAGUACUGGGGCGGGAGUUCGGGAGUAUUGCCAUAACUUGUAUAACGGAUGUUUUUCGAAGGUUGAGGUAAACGAUUUCCGAAGGUUUCUUGGUUAUGUGUUGACGGAUGGAUACAGCUGGAUCUAGGGAUUGCUAGUUUGGGUGAUAUAUAUUUGUGUCCCCUGUAUCCCCUACACCAGAUUGCAUAACCAGAAAGUUUCGGGAGUUUAUAAGUGGGAAUUCUAGUAUCCUUAGGAUUUCUUUCCGACAGACGCAUGAUAUGAGAUUGGGGUUCGACGUCUAGUGGUCCGCCUGUAUACGGUUGAUUUUACAGUGGUCUCGUUGUGUCUUAAAGAGUCCAUGGCUUUGCCGACUCGGGGACGCUUCGUAUGUCAUGUGCACAGCCUUGUACAUGAUGGUGCUGUACGAUUGAGCCCGUGUGGGCCCCACCACAAAAACUUCGGACGAAACCUCUAUCAUAUGUUUGUUCCGGCUUAUUUUGCAAGCCAAUACUUUGUUUUAUUUUGUUUUGUGGUAUUCGAGUUCCCUUCGAAUUCAUAUGUUAAUUCCAUAUCUUUUUCAAGUGGCUUCUCAACUUAUGGAAGUGUGAUGAUUUACUACGGAAUUCAUUCGUUCAUCUUCGUUCGAAUGUUUAUUGUGAAGACUAUAUGUUGCAAUUUUUGUCCGUUGAUUCUACUUAUCUUUUGUCUAUCAAGAUGCUAACGGUUGUCACCCUCUUCAGGAUGGCUCCGCCAACGCGUCAGAAUCCGGAUCGCAAUGAAGGGAGUCAAGCGAACCCUCCGCCACCACCUCCACCUCCGGAGGCAUGGCAAGCAAUCAUGGCAGCCACCAACGCCAAUGCUCAGAUGAUUCUGCAACUCUUGCAAGAACGUACUCAAGGGCAAGGCAAUCAAGGCAAUCAAGGUCAAGGCAACAAUCAGUUUCACUUUGCCACUCUCAACCAGUUUCUCGCAAAUCAGCCCAAGUCUUUCAGCUACUGUGCCGAGGCCACGGAUGCCGAUGAUUGGCUCGUGGACAUCAACAAGCAUUUUGAAUGUAGCAAUGUCAGGCCUGAGGACUAUGUCAAGUUCGCUUCUUUCCAGCUCAAGGACCAAGCUGCUGAUUGGUUUCAGCAAUACAAAGAUUCCAGAGGAGGUCGUGUGAUCACUUGGACUGACUUCUGUCGGGACUUCAAAGCGCACCACAUUCCACAAAGUGUUGUUGAGAUCAAGCGUGAGGAGUUCCGCAAUCUCAAGCAAGGAAACAUGUCUGUGUAUCAAUACAACAUUCAGUUUCAGAAACUUGCUCGCUUCGCUAAACAAGACGUUCCUGAUGAGAAGAGCAUGAUCUAUCACUUCAGAGGUGGCCUUAAAGAGGAUCUGCAACUAGCUCUCGUUCUUGUUGAGCCUACUCAGUUUGAUCAAUUCUACAAUAUGGCACUGAAGCAAGAGGCUGCUCAGCUCAAGUGUGAGGCUUCUAAGAAAAGAGUCAGGGAUGCAGUUCAGUCUUCUUCUUCCUCACUUGUGACAGCUAAGCAACAGAAGUUCUGGUUGCCUCCUCCUCCUCCGUUUCGUCAGCCUUACCAGCAGAAGAACAAAGGUGGCCAUGGUUCUUCAAACUCUUCCAACUCUGGCUAUCAGAACAAGUCUCAGAAUCAAGCUCCCAAGUCCAAUGCUCCUUAUCACCGUCCACUCUCAGAGGUGACUUGCAACAAAUGUCAGCAGAAAGGUCACUAUGCUAACAAGUGCUUCAACCAGAGGCGUCUUCCUCCUCCUCCUCCUGUCAGAUCUUCCAGCAAUGCAGUGGUCAAGCAUAAUCCAAAGUUUGCAAAGGUGAACAUGUUGAAUGCAGCUCAAGCGGAGGAAUCUACUGAUGUGAUAAUGGGUAAUCUUCCUGUUAACAAUAUUCCUGCAAAAGUUCUUUUUGAUACUGGUGCAUCUCUUUCUUUCAUAUCAAGACCUUUUGCAUCCAAGCAUGAAUUGCAUUUCCAAGGAUUGCCUAGGCCGUUAGCAGUUGUCUCUCCAGGCAAAUGCAUGAAUGCAAGUUCCAUGGUUCCGAAUGUUACCAUCAAGAUGGGCGAUUAUGCAUUCCAGUCUUCUCCAAUUGUUCUUGGUGACUCGGAUAUUGAUCUUAUUCUCGGGAUGGACUGGCUUUCUAAGCACAAGGCUCAACUUGAUUGUGCUGCCAGAGAAAUUCAAUUGACACACUCGUCUGAGGAUGUGAUUAUUUUUGCCGCUCGUAAUGAAACCAUUCGGUUUUUCUCUCUCAAUGAGAAGGGCGAAUUGGAUGCCAUCUCUCAAAUUCCAGUUGUUUGCGAGUAUCAAGAUGUCUUUCCAGAAGAGCUUCCGGGUAUGCCUCCGCACCGGCCAGUUCGGGCAAGGCCCCAUUCGAGAUUCUCUAUGGCAGAAAGUGUCGUACUCCUCUCAAUUGGUCAGAGACUGGUGAACGCCAACUUCUUGGCAAUGACUUAAUCACUAAAGCUGAAGAAAUGUGUAAAGUCAUCCGUGAUAAUCUCAAAGCCGCGCAAUCGCGUCAGAAGAGUUACUAUGAUAGUAAGCAUCGUGAUUUGGCUUUCGAGAUCAGAGACCAUGUCUACCUCCGCGUCUCUCCAAUGAAAGGCACUCGUCGCUUCGGUAUCAAAGGGAAGCUUGCCCCUAGAUACGUGGGUCCUUUCAAGAUCAUUGGCAAAAGAGGCGACCUCGCCUAUCAACUUGAGCUUCCUUCCAACUUCGCGAACGUGCACGAUGUGUUCCACGUGUCACAGCUCCGCAAGUGCUUCAAGACGCCUGAGCGCACUAUCGACUUCGAAGAGAUUGACCUCCAAGAAGAUUUGUCUUAUCAUGAGCACCCAGUUGCUAUUCUUGAGGAAACUGAGCGCAAGACUCGCAACAAGUCUAUCAAAUUCCUCAAAGUGAAGUGGUCGCACCAUUCCGACCGGGAAGCCACCUGGGAACGCGAGGACCAUCUCCGUUCCGAAUAUCCGGAGUUCUUUCAGUCCUAGAUCUCGGGACGAGAUCCUCUCGUAGUGGUGGAGUGUUGUAACACCCCGCAUGUAACUUGCCAUAUCUGUAACUCCGACUCUUGCAAAUUCCGGCUAUGUGAUAUGUUAUUCCCUCCGUUGUCGGGUUUUGUCUUUCGUUUUGUAUUUUGUCUUGUCUUGCAUUUUCAUAUCAUGUCAUCAGGUGCAUUGCAUUCUCAUACGUGUUCGUCUCGUGCAUCCGAGCAUUUUCCCCGUUGUCCGUUUUCCAAUCCGGCGCUCCUAUCUCCUCCGGUGCACCCUUCUAGUUUUCUUUCGUGUGCGUGUGUCAAACUUUCUCGGAAUGGACCGCGGCUUGUCAAGUGGUCUUAAUAUACCACCCGGAGACUACCGGUCAAGUUUCGUUCCAUUCGGAGGUCGUUUGGUACUCCAACGGUUAACCGGGCAUCCGCAAAGUCCAUUUGAGUAUCCAGCAAAACCCCCUCCAAAACCAGCCCAAAACCCACCAAACUCUCUUCCAUGCUCUAGGUCGUUCGAUCACGAUCGUGUGGGCGAAAACCGCACCUCAUUUGGAGUCUCCUAGCUCCCUCUACCUAUAAAUAAGUGGGCAUCCCGAAAACGAAACCGCAGUCUAACCCUAGCCCUCGUCCCACUCCGCCGCCGGACACGUCCGGGCGGAGCCGGACACGUCCAACCGCCCCGCCGCCGCCACGUGUCGCCGCCGGGUCCUCCCGCCGCGCCGGCCCGCCGGGCCCGUGACCNNNNNNNNNNNNNNNNNNNNNNNNNNNNNNNNNNNNNNNNNNNNNNNNNNNNNNNNNNNNNNNNNNNNNNNNNNNNNNNNNNNNNNNNNNNNNNNNNNNNNNNNNNNNNNNNNNNNNNNNNNNNNNNNNNNNNNNNNNNNNNNNNNNNNNNNNNNNNNNNNNNNNNNNNNNNNNNNNNNNNNNNNNNNNNNNNNNNNNNNNNNNNNNNNNNNNNNNNNNNNNNNNNNNNNNNNNNNNNNNNNNNNNNNNNNNNNNNNNNNNNNNNNNNNNNNNNNNNNNNNNNNNNNNNNNNNNNNNNNNNNNNNNNNNNNNNNNNNNNNNNNNNNNNNNNNNNNNNNNNNNNNNNNNNNNNNNNNNNNNNNNNNNNNNNNNNNNNNNNNNNNNNNNNNNNNNNNNNNNNNNNNNNNNNNNNNNNNNNNNNNNNNNNNNNNNNNNNNNNNNNNNNNNNNNNNNNNNNNNNNNNNNNNNNNNNNNNNNNNNNNNNNNNNNNNNNNNNNNNNNNNNNNNNNNNNNNNNNNNNNNNNNNNNNNNNNNNNNNNNNNNNNNNNNNNNNNNNNNNNNNNNNNNNNNNNNNNNNNNNNNNNNNNNNNNNNNNNNNNNNNNNNNNNNNNNNNNNNNNNNNNNNNNNNNNNNNNNNNNNNNNNNNNNNNCCUGCCGCCGCCCGUCGCCGGGGCCCCGCCGCCUCCCUCGCCGGCCGGCGACCCCCACCGCCGGUCGCGCCCUCCAGCCUCGCCUCCUCCUCUCCCCCCUCUCUCCGGCAGAGGACGCCGGCGAGCUCCUCUGUCCCGAGCGACGAGCUCGGGCUCGAGCGACAGCCAGAUCCGAUCGGUACUCUGCCCCGUUGACUUCCUCCCUCGCGCCCGUUUUUAUUUGCAAGUCCCAGAAUUUUCUCAGCAUAUGCUCCUGUUCCCGAUGCGAUAACUUUGUGCAUGUAGCUCCGAUUCGCGCGUAUAAUAUGUCCAAUUGUUCGUCUCGUGAUGCUCUUCAUUUUGUUCAAUUGCAUCAUUUUGAUUAGAGGUCAUCUUGAUUCCCAAAUCUUCGUUGGAAGAGGGCUAGUUGCUGUUAAUCUCUGGUUCUUGUCAGAACUUGGAGAUUUGUCUUUUUUGUAUCAUUUAUUCUGUGCAUCUUUUGAGCAUGAGCUCUACAUGUGUUUUGAAGUAUGCCAUGCCAUCUUUCCAGUGGUAUAGCCCAUGUAUUUGUUUGGUCUUUGUGGUGACUAGCACAAGCAUGCAAAGUAGGCCCCGUAAUAUUUCUGAUUUCAGGGACUUAGUGAUUUCUGCAAGUCCUAGUCUACUGUAAUUUUGUUGCCAUGUAAACUUGAUGUUACAGAGAGAUCCAUGCAUAUUUUGGAGAUGCUCAGUAAGGAUGUUUUGUAGCUAUAGUUGUAAUUGAUCCAUUCCUGCAAUUUUUUGCAAUUUUGGAGUACCAUAUCAUGACUCAAUCGUGCUCUACUUUUGCUAUAAAAUAUUUCUGGCAGAUUCUUAACAUGACAUGCAUUUUUGCCAAGCUUAUUGUAGUUGAUCCAUAUAUUCUAUGUGAUUGUUCUUCCCAUGGAUAGCUUCAUAAACAUGCCAUCUUGCUGUAGGUAUGCUUGGUUUGUCAUGGAUUGCUGUGUAGUGAGUGCAUCAAGCUCACAAAGAGGCCUACAUAUUAAUAUUUCUGCCAUGCUCUGUUUUCUGCUAAGUCUGAAACCUGAUAACGAAACUUGCUAUGUUUACAUGCUUGCAAUCAUAUCUUCUGGUCCUUUUUGGCUUAUGGUCAGUAAGGGACUUUUGUCAUGUGCAUUUAGUAAAACACUAUGAUGCCUUUUUUUGCUAUGUUAAGUUUCUGUAGCAUAUUGAUUUCGUGCUCCGAACAUUGCUACCUGAUGCUGAUUUCUGCCAUGUCCAGUUUUUCACUAAGUCUGUGAACCUGUAAUCUUUUGCACUUUUGCCAUGCUUGUUUGAGCUUGAUAUGUUGUGAACUAGCCGUAGCUCAGUGUUCAUCUUUUGUCAAGCAUCUCCUGUAGAUUACUGCCAUGUGCUUUGUUGCUAUGUUGGGGUGCUGUAGCAUUGUUACUUGUUGUAUGUUAAGUGCUAUCUUGCUGUUUAUCGCAGAUUAGUGUCAUUCUUGUUCUGCUUGCCAUUUGCAAACCGUGCAUCCGAUUCCGGUGAUCUUUAUAUCGAUUUCGACCGAAAUCAUCUCAUAUUUCCAGUGGCAUGCUUGGUUUGCCAAGUUACUGCCAUGUUCAUCAUUUUCCUUCCGGAGCACGCAUAUGCAUCGCAUAUCAUAUCUUGCAUAUCAUACAUGUCUGGCAUCAUGUUGCUUGCGCAUUUCUCGUUGUUGAUUGUGGUUCCGUUUGUUUGUGUUCUUGUCUUGGGUAGAGCCGGGAGAUGAGUUCGUGAACGAGGAACCUGUCGAGUACGCGUACGAGGAUCAAGCUUUCGACAACUCUGAGAAUAUUGCAGGCAAGAUGACCACCCCUCGAAAUCACUUCUAUCUUUGCUAUGCUAGUUGUUCGCUCUAUUGCCAUGCUCGCUACCUAUCACUUGCUAUAUCAUGUCUCCUAUUUCAGCCAUGGCAGCCCCUAACCAUCCUUUCCUAGCAAACCGUUGUUUGGCUAUGUUACCGCUUUUGCUCAGCCCCUCUUAUAGCGUUGCUAGUUGCAGGUGAAGUUGAAGUUCGUUCCAUGUCGGAACAUGGAUAUGUUGGGAUAUCACAAUAUCUCUUAUUUAAUUAAUGCACCUAUAUAUUUUGGUAAAGGGUGGAAGGCUCGGCCUUAUGCCUGGUGUUUUGUUCCACUCUUGCCGCCCUAGUUACUGUUAUACCGGGAUUAUGUUCCUUGAGUUUGCGUUCCUUACGCGGUCGGGUGAUUUAUGGGACCCCCUUGACAGUUCGCCUUGAAUAAAACUCCUCCAGCAAGGCCCAACCUUGGUUUUACCAUUUGCGACCUAUACCUUUUUCCCCCGGGUUUUCUAGAGCCCGAGGGUCAUCUUUAUUUUAAACCCCCGGGCCAGUGCUCCUCUGAAUAUUGGUCCAAACUGUCAGUCGCCGAUGGCCACCAGGGGCAACUCUGGUCUGGCCUAUCGGAAGCUUGGACAAUCCGGUGUGCCCUGAGAACGAGAUAUGUGCAGCUCCUAUCGGGAUUUGUCGGCACAUUCGGGAGGCUUUGCUGGUCUUGUUUUACCAUUGUCGAGAUGUCUUGUAAACCGGGAUUCCGAGACUGAUCGGGUCUUUCCGGGAGAAGGUUUAUCCUUCGUUGACCGUGAGAGCUUAUGAUGGGCUAAGUUGGGACACCCCUGCAGGGUAUUAUCUUUCGAAAGCCGUGCCCGCGGUUAUGAGGCAGAUGGGAAUUUGUUAAUGUCCGGUUGUAGAUAACUUGUCACUUGACCCAAUUAAAAUACACCAAGUGCGUGUGUAGCCGUGAUGGUCUCUUCUCGGCGGAGUCCGGGAAGUGAACACGGUUUGUGUUAUGGAUGACGUAAGUAGGUGUUCAGGAUCACUUCUUGAUCAUUGCUAGAUGACGUCCGUUCCGUUGCUUCUCUUCUCGCUCUCAUUUGCGCAAGUUAGCCACCAUAUAUGCUUUUGCCGCUGCAGCUCCACCUCUUUGCACCUCCUUGUCCUAUAAGCUUAAAUAGUCUUGAUCUCGCGGGUGUGAGAUUGCUGAGUCCCCGUGACUCACAGAUACUUCCAACACCAGUUGCAGGUGCCGACGAUGCCAGUGCAGAUGAUGACGUCGAUCUCAAGUGGGAGUUCGACGAGGAACGUGGUCGUUACUAUGUGUCUUUUCCUGAUGAUCAGUAGUGGAGCCCAGUUGGGACGAUCGGGGAUCUAGCAUUUGGGGUUGUCUUAUUUUCAUCUGGAUUUUGACCGUACUCGGUCUAUAUGAUUGUAUUUUGGAUGAUGUAUGAAUGAUAUUUAUGUAUUGUGUGAAGUGGCGAUUGUAAGCCAACUCUUUAUCCCAUUCUUGUUCAUUACAUGGGAUUGUGUGAAGAUGACCCUUCUUGCGACAAAACCACUAUGCGGUUAUGCCUCUAAGUCGUGCCCCGACACGUGGGAGAUAUAGUCGCAUCGUGGGCGUUACAUCCCUGGAGCCCAAUGUGAGCAGCCACCAGUGCACCAGAUUCGGCCCAUGUCUCGUUUUUUUCCGUGCUGCGAUUUUAGGAUUAUUCCAGGAAUUACAGUUUUACAAAAAAGCCCCUAGUCUUCAUGCAUAUAAUAACUCAUUAACCGUGCAUCGGAUUAAAAUGUUUUAUAUAUGUAAAAUUCUUAGAAUUUCAUCUAGUUUCAUAAUCUGCUACUUUCAUCUAUGUUAAAAAUGUUUAAACAUGCUGUUUCAUUAAAUUUGCUUAAAUGCCAUGCUAAAAUGAUUUAUUUCAUAACUAAAUAACCGUAGCUCGAAAUUUAAUAAAAUUUAUAUGAAAAUGGGGUGGAAAAAUGCAUAGAUUAACAUGGUGUACUUUGUUUUACUGUUUAAUAACAUUAAAAUAUGGUUUUAGGCAGAACAGUACCAAUUCAAAAUAUGCAUAUGGGGAUUUUCCGGAAUUGUCGUUUGUUAUUUCCGGCCUCAUUUAAACUUGCCUAGAUAGGUUGUUUAAUUAUGCUUCACCUCUUGCCAUGUUAACCAACAUUUAAUCUUGUCUUGUUCCUAAACGAGAGCAAACUAAAUAACUUGAAUGUGGUGUUUCGUCAAUAUGCAAGUCGUUGCAUAUUGAGCUCCACUUAAUUUGUAGUGUUGUUUGUUGCACUUGCCAUGCUCUUUAAACCGGACAUGCAUCAUACUUGGUUGUGCAUCAUGCCAUGUGUAUGUGGUGGUUGUUCAUUAUGUUGUUUGUUUCUUUCUGGGUUGCUUCUCUCGUUAGCUUCGGUUUCGUUCCGGAGUUGUGAGGAUUCGUUCGACUAUAUCCGUUUGUCUUCUUCAUGGACUUGUUCUUCUUCCUUGCGGGAUCUCAGGCAAGAUGACCAUACCCUCGAAAUCACUUCUAUCUUUGCUUGCUAGUUGUUCGCUCUAUUGCUAUGCCGCGCUACCUACCACUUGCUAUAUCAUGCCUCCCAUAUUGCCAUGUCAAGCCUCUAACCCACCUUUCCUAGCAAACCGUUGUUUGGCUAUGUUACCGCUUUUGCUCAGCCCCUCUUAUAGCGUUGCUAGUUGCAGGUGAAGAUGAAGUUUGUUCCAUGUUGGAACAUGUUUAUGUUGGGAUAUCACAAUAUCUCUUAUCUUAAUUAAUGCAUCUAUAUACUUGGUAAAGGGUGGAAGGCUCGGCCUUAUGCCUGGUGUUUUGUUCCACUCUUGCCGCCCUAGUUUCCGUCAUACCGGUGUUAUGUUCCUUGAUUUUGCGUUCCUUACGCGGUUGGGUGAUUUAUGGGACCCCCUUGAUAGUUUGCUUUGAAUAAAACUCUUCCAGCAAGGCCCAACCUUGGUUUUAACAUUUGCCACCUAAGACUUUUUCCCUUGGGUUCUGCAGACUCAAGGGUCAUCUUUAUUUUAACCCCCGGGCCAGUGCUCGUCGUGAGUGUUGGUCCAACCCGUCAGCCGUCGGUGGCCACCAGGGGCAACUCUGGGCUCGCCUAUCGGAAGCUUGGACAAUCCGGUGUGCCCUGAGAACGAGAUAUGUGCAGCUCCUAUCGGGAUUUGUCGGCACAUCGGGCGGCUUUGCUGGUCUUGUUUUAUUAUUGUCGAAAUGUCUUGUAAACCGGGAUUCCGAGGCUGAUCGGGUCUUCCCGGGAGAAGGAAUAUCCUUCUUUGACCGUGAGAGCUUAUAAUGGGCUAAGUUGGGACACCCCUGCAGGGUAUAAACUUUCGAGAGCCGUGCCCGUGGUUAUGAGGCAGAUGGGAAUUUGUUAAUGUCCGGUUGCAGAGAACUUGACACUUGACUUAAUUAAAAUACAUCAACUGCGUGUGUAGCCGUGAUGGUCUCUUUUCGGCGGAGUCCGGGAAGAGAACACGGCUUUUGAGUUAUGUUUGACGUAAAUAGGAGUUCAGGAUCACUUCUUGAUCAUUACUAGUUGACGACCGUUGCGUUGCUCCUCUUCUCGCUCUUAUUUGCGUAUGUUAGCCACCAUAUGUGCUUAGUGCUUGCCGCAGCUCCACCAUAUUAUCCCUUUCCUUCCUAUAAGCUUAAAUAGUCUUGAUCUCGCGGGUGUGAGAUUGCUGAGUCCUCGUGACUCACAGAUACUUCCAAAACAGUUGCAGGUGUCGAGGAUACCAGUGCAGAUGACGCAACCGAGCUCAAGUGGGAGCUCCAUGAAGAUCUUGUUCGUUGUGUUGUUUCGUUUCCUGUUGAUCGGUAGUGGAGCCCAGUUGGGACGAUCGGGGAUCUAGCAUUUGGGGUUGUCUUCUUUCAUUUUGGUUCCGUAGUCGGACCUUGCUUGUACUCUGGAUGAUGUAUGUUUAAUUUAUGCAUUGUGUGAAGUGGCGAUUGUAAGCCAACUCUUUAUCCCAUUCUUGUUCAUUACAUGGGAUUGUGUGAAGAUGACCCUUCUUGCGACAAUACCUACAAUGCGGUUAUGCCUCUAAGUCGUGCCUCGACACGUGGGAGAUAUAGCCGCAUCGUGGGUGUUACACCCACCAUGGGGCUAGCGCACGGUGGUUUCGAGUUCUUGAAGGGCUCUUUCCCAGGGAUCAAGGGAUACGCUGUCGACAGGAUGACGAAGAGUCGCCGUGGUAAGAUCUACAUCGACGACGCCGACUGGGGUCCCGAGGGCGACUCAGUAGAAUACGGGUACUAGGUCCCCUUUGGCGGAAUCCACAUCUUCAUCGGCAAGAUCGGCGGAUCUAAGCCCGAGCCGGACAUCUGCACCGACCUCGUCGAGCUGGCCCGGCGCAUGCAACCGGCCCGGAUCCAAGCCGCCCGGAAGCACGUCUUCGUGGGUUUCACACAAGGCGUGGAGCUCGCGGAAAAGUCCUUGUCUGGAGGAGAGACUCUCAUCUACUCAGACGAUGAGUCCUCGGCCGGGGAGAUGAAGUCAAUUUACCAACUUCAGGAUGGCGGGCUUGGGGGGCUGUUCCGAUGGCAACAUUAUUUCGAACCCCUACGAGCCGCCAAGCUGAGUCGCCAUAUUCAUGGUGGAGACGGCGCCGGCUCUCAAUUCUUCUGCGGCGGGAGCAACAAUAACAACUGACUCGGCGGCCGCGGCCGCUGGUGCGUCGGGCUCAGUUAGGCCGCCGGCUCAAGUAUUAUCCGGCCUGAUGUGCACUCUAAAAACCUUGCUGGCGACUGAAGUUACUGCAGAAAAUCAAGUGGAACACAACGCGGAGUUUGCAAAGAUUCGAGAGAAGAUUACUAAGGCCCAAGAAGAUAUGAGUGUUGAAAGUGUCAGGAUGGCUACAUUGCAAGCUCACGUUGCAGAGGCAGAGCGCCUGAACAUGGAGGCUUGGUGCCUGAAUCUAAACCAGAACGCUUCUAAUGUUGUCCUUCGAAGGAGUCACCAGUCCUGUUUACCUCCAAGUUAUGAGCCUUUGCGUUUAUUUAACACGCCAGGGGCAGGUCCAAGCACUCUUGGAGCACCGGUUAUACCCCCAAUUAACUUUAGAUGUGCCCGAAAGCCGGGCAGCGGCUCAACCUCAUCAGCCAGAGCCGACCCGGAGGGAGGAGCCAGUUCUAGAUCCAACCCGCGUCCAGACGCCACCACAGCGAUUCCUGGCACCCUCGAGUCACUUCUCUAACCCGGUGGAUAAUAUCGUUAAAGCAACAACCCGCCUUACUACAAUCUCGAUCACUGGCGAGUCACUGAUCGCGAUGGAAACCCAGAACGCCAUCGAACUUCUGCAAACAGUGAUUGCGCAGCAGGCGAAUUACUCAUAUAGCCAGCAUCGUGUGCAUUCAACCCCAUUGUCUAGUCGUAGCUACAGCCGGCAUGUUGAAUCGCCAACAGUUUCUAGCAGCAAACGACGCCAUAACCUGACAGAAAAGGAUAUCAGGCCAUCCUCCACUGUUUUUCACGGGGUAGUUCCUGGCAAGUCGGCUUAUACCGUGGGGAAGAUUCCCCAAGAGGUGGGUUUUGGUGAUGAGUACAACUACAGAGCAGAGACACUGUGGUUCGAGGUGGUGAAGAUCAAAAGUCCAUAUCAUGCACUGUUUGGAUGGCCGGCUUAUGCCAAGUUCAUGGCUCGUCCCUGUUACAUAUAUUUGGAUCUUAAGAUUCCAGGGCCAAACGACGCAAUUACGGUUCAUGGUGAUCGAAAGAUAGCCUUGGAGUGUGAAGAAGGAGACGUUGCUUACGCAGAGACGGCUUGUGCAGCUGCAGAGCUCAAAUUUUAUAAAGAUAAUGUUGGCCCGGCUGAUAUGACCCCUCUCAAAAAGCCCAACACUAAGAAGGACCCUCUCCUUAAAUUUAAGUCGGCAAAGGACACCAAGCAGGUUGAUUUCAUCCCUGGCGACUCUACCCAGCAGUUCACUAUGGGCACCGAGAUGGAUCCUAAAUAGGAAAGCGCGCUCAUCGAGUUCAUCCAUGAGAACCGGGACAUCUUUGUAUGGAAACCUUCUGACAUGUCGGGUGUACUAAGAGAAUUCGCUGAGCACCACCUUAAUGUGGAUCCAAAGAUGAAGCCAAUCAGACAAUACCUCCGUCGUCUUAACGAGGAGAGGCGUAAGGCUAUUGGAGAAUAGGUAGCCCUGCUCUUAGUCGCUGGGUUUAUAGUUGAAGUUUUCCACCCUCAGUGGUUGGCUAACCCGGUUCUUGUGCUCAAGAAGAAUGGCACGUGGCAUAUGUGUGUCGAUUACACAGAUCUCAAUAAAGCAUGUUCGGCUGAUCCUUUUGCUCUCCCUCAUAUCGACCAGAUCAUUGAUGCAACGGCAGGUUGUGAGAGUCUUUGUUUCUUGGAUGCUUAUUCUUGCUAUCAUCAGAUCAAGAUGGCGGUUGAGGAUCAGGAGAAGACCACUUUUAUCACACCUUUUGGAGCUUUCUGCUAUGUUUCUAUGCCCUUUGGGCUCAAGAGUGCCCAGGAGACUUCCCAACGUUGUGUUUAGAAUUGUUUUCAUGGGAAGAUUGGACGCAACAUUCAUGCUUGUGUGGAUGACAUUGUGGUCAAAUCCGGGAAGAGAGAAACCCUGCUUGAUGAUUAGAAGAAGAUCUUUGACAACCUCCGGGUUUACAAGAUGAUGCUUAAACCGGCCAAGUGUGUUUUUCGCGCAGCUGGCCCAAAUCUUAUUGCUUUGCUUUGUUUUUGCUUUUUCUUCUUCUUGUCUAGCUGCUGACCGGGAGCCCUAUUGUGUAGCCACUGCAGCUGAAAUGCUGGACCUCCGAAGCCGGCUAGACCAAGCUGGCCGGCAGCAUGACCAGGCCGUCAUGGAGCACAACUGGUUCCAAGCGAAGACGAGCCGACUGGCGGCGGAGAGGGACCAGAAGGCGGCGGCCCAUCAGGCCGAGCUGGACCGGCUUGCGGAGGAGCACCGCAAGGUGGCAGCUGAGCAGGCGGCAAAGGCCUUCGAGGAGAUCGCCAGCUUAAGGCAGAUCGCAACCGCUGCGUCGAUGAGUGGUUGGGGAAGGAGCGGGCGAUACUGGCGGAGGCGCAACGGGUCGACGAGAUUGUCACCCGGAAGUGCUUAGUUUGCUUCUUUGUUUACCCGUGUCUGGCCAGCCAGUUCCUUGGUUGUUUGGCUGAUUUUCUCCUUUUCUUCACCAGGGGUCUUCCCUGAGACGCAGGCACCAGCCGAGGCGGCCAUUAACGCCUACCGGGAUGAACAAAGGGUGGAGGGGGCCGAAAUCGGCGCACGCACGACCUGGACGGUGGCGGAGAUGGUCGUCGCCGGUAAGGCCUAGAUAGGGCCGGUGGAGCGCGACAUGAACCGGCUAUUCGAAGUCGGCUCGUCGAUGGUGGGCGCCCUUUGUCCGAACACGGUGGUGCCCGACACGGUCAACUGGCUGGCACGGUGGUUGGAGGCCGGGGGGUGCGACUCGGCGCGUGGAGGGCUUCUACGGCCUGGACCGACGCAGAGAUGGCGCUCAGCUUCGUGAUGUCCUGGUAUUUGAGCGUUGACCUGAGCCGACUGGUCGCCCAGAGGGCCGAAGAGGAAGAUGACCUAGCGCAACAAGCUAUGCCGCCUGCUGUGCGGGCCAGCGACAUUGCGUCGUUCACUCCCCACGACGAGUUCGUCUUCAAGCGAGCGUCGGACAACACGUCGCUCCCCACCGAUGACUUUGGACCCCUCGAGGACCCAGCGGGCAGCGAGACCGAGACGGACAUGGAGGCGCACAUUGACGCUCCCAACCUGGACGACACCGGUGCCACGGAGGAGACGGUGCGGACUGACGCGGAUGCGCCCCGCGUAUAACGAUUUUUCCUUUCCCGUCUUUUUCUUUUAUGCUCAAACUUAAGGUUAGUUGGCAAGUCCACCCGCUGUGGUAUAAGUUUAUGUAAUGAACUCUGAGCCGCGGGCCUUUUGAUAUAUAUAUGAACACGUAUGUUCUCUAUCUGUGUAUGCCUUUUGCCGGUUGGCGGCUCGCUUUUUUCCUUUGUCCUUAGGUCAUUUUUCUUGUUCGCUCCCCUUUCGGCUCCCCCCCCCCCGCGCCAGCCGGACAACUAGGAGUCGGUCUGUAGUGGGACGGGGAGUCGCACUUGAAGGAAAGGCACAAUACAUAGGUUUUAGGACUGGAGCGCGGCCGGUCUGUGUGGCGGCAAGCGAAAGAAGGAAAAAAAUGGGCGGCCGGGUCGGUUGAGCCAGACGCUCUUCCUUAGCCAUUUUUCAUGUGAGGCGCUUCCGGCCUUUGGCUCUUGCUAGCCGGACAGCCAGGAUCUGGACUGUGGCUUGAGGCGAAGAAAAGGCUUUGGCGGCGUGCACGCUACAAAACUAGCUACGGAAAGGGCGGGGCGCGGGCUAGCCGGCGGGCCCCCGAGCCGGACACGAUGACCCGGGAUGGGGAUGAAUGCGGUAAAGAGCGCAAAAAAUAGAAGGGAUUCAAUAGAUCUAAAAAGGUUGCCCCCGAGUGUCGUUUGGGGGACCAGUUGCUUUCAUUGAUUCAAAAGGUAGCGAUACAUGCAUGCAUGUAGUCAACUGUAAAACGAGCGGAGGAGCUCCGCGUUCCAGGGGCGCUUGGUCUCUUUUCCAAAGGCGUCUCUCUUACGCUUGUUCAGCUUCUGCGCGUCGAUGAGGUAGUACGCAUUCCAAUUAAGCAUGGCCUUACUGAUGAUGAAGGGGCCCUCCCAUGGGGACAGCUUGUGUUGGCCGGCUGUGUGUUGGACGAGCCGGAGCACUAGGUCACCCUCGCAAAACGCGAGGGGCUUGAUCUUCUUGCUAUGGUAGUGGCGCAGGCUCUGCUAGUAUAUGGCUGGCCGACUAAGGGCCAGUAGGCACGCUUCCUCGAGCAGGUCGACGCCAUCUUCACGUGUCUCCUUGGGCUUGGCCUCCGUGUACAUGGUCACCCAAGGCGAGGAACUCGACAUCCGUGGGGAUGACCGCCUCGGCCCCAUAGACGAGGAAGAAGGGGUGAAGCCGGUUAAUCGGUUGGGUGUGGUCCGAAGACUCGAAAGGACUAUCGGCAGCUCAUCGAGCCAGCUACCGGGUGAGCGCACGAGCACUACAAAAAAAAGACACAUCCGUGACAUUUUGGGACGAACGAAAAAAAAUUAUGUCAUACAUAUGACACUUCUAUGACGAUAAUUGUGACAAAACCCGGUAUCAUCAUACAUGUGGUGGGCUCCUACUUCUAUGACAAAAAAUCAUGACAGAAAAUGGGCUUUUCGUCCUAGGCGGGGGAGCCGAAAGGGGAGCGAACAAGAAAAAUCCGGAGACGCAGCUGCAUGACAUUCUUUGGGCCGUCCAUGACGGAAAAAACCAUGGUAGAAGCGAGGGCGAGGAAAAUUUCAGGGAGUUCUCGGUUACGGUGGGCGGUCGAGGGCCGAGUGAUGCGCGUUUCUCUAGUACACAUACGCGCGUGUGUGCGAGGCGUUGGCUCUAACUGAACCCGAGCGAGGCGUUGGGCCCUAACUAAACCCGAGCGAUUGCACUGCAGGCUACGCGUUACUGAACCCGAGCGAUCGAUCGAUGGCUGUUAACUGAACCCGAUCGAGUGAUUCCUUCGCUACUGCUGCUAACUGAAGCCGAUUGAUGCUGCCUCUCUGGAUGAACAGUGCGCGUUGCAGGGGGGUUGGAUGAACAGUGAGCGGUGGCGUUGCCUCUGGAUGAACAGGACCCCGUGGUGUGGAGGGCUGGAUGAACAGGACGACCCCGUGGAGGGCUGGAUGAACAAUAGACGGUGUAGGGGUGCCCGUGGAGGGGUGGAUGAACAGUAGACGGUGGAGGGGUGCCCGUGGAGGGGUGGUUGAACAGUAGCCGAUGGAGUAGCGCGCAGUGGAGGCUGGAUGAACAGGAUCUCAUGGAGGCUGGAGGAGGUCGACGGUAGCCCGUGGAGGCUGGAGGAGGUCGAUGGUGGAGAUGAACAGUAUCCCGUGGAGUCCCGUUUUGUGGUACGCCACACCCCUCCCAAUGAACAGGACCCCCGUUUCGAUCGUAGCGCUCUAACACAAGUCCGUUUCGUCCGUUUUGCGGUACGCCACACCCCUCCCGAUGAACAGGACCCCCGUUUCGACCGUAGCGCUCCAACACAUGUCCGUUUCGUCCGUUUUGCGGUACGCCACACCCCUCCCGAUCAACAGGACUCCUGUUUUGACCAUAGGAGGUCCGUUUCCUCCGUUUUGCGGUACGCCAGACCCCUCCCGAUGAACAGGAUCCCGUUUCGAACAUGGCCGGUCGAACACAAGGCCGUUUCCUCCGUUCUGCGGUACGCGAGGCCUCGUUUCCAUCGCCCGUUCCGUCCAAGCCCUCCAGAUGAACACGACGACGCAUUCCGUUCCGACCCAGCCGGUUGGCUCCCCAUGAACACGACGACGACGUUGUUUCUUCGUUCUGACCCAGCCAUGUACACGAGCCCUAGCCAUACGUAUGCGUGAGUAGGCGUUCGAGACCCCGCCCGUAUGUACAUACGUGGCCGUAUUUUCUUUCUUGCACCCUGGCCGUUGUACGUACGUGUACAUGCUACAUGCGCGCCUCUACUACAACACGUGCACGCCUCUACUACGACACGUGUGCGCCUCUACUACGACAUGUGCGCGCCUCUACAUCCACCAGUAUGUACGUACACGUUCGCGACCAGAAUGACAACGCUAUGUACGCUUCGACCAGGUGGGUCCCGACUGUCAGGCACUUCCUUGCGUGCAAAGAUGUAGUUGGUGGGUCCCAGCAGUCAGGGGGGCGAAUCGGUUUUUUUUCUUUUGCCCGGACGCACUUCCUUGUGUGCAAAGGUGUAGCUGGUGGGUCCCAGCAGUCAGGGGGGAAACGUUUUUUUCGCGAAAUACGGUGGCCCGUCCGGUGGGUCCCUGCUGUCAGGUGGAGGAAUCAUUAUUUUCUGCGUAAUAAGGUGGCACUUCCUUGCUGCGGCCAUGGACCCAGCUGUCAGCCUCUCCACGUACAGUCCACGUCCGAUGGAAGUCGUUCCUUCACCACGUUGACCACGCCGCGCCAAGAGCACCAGGGCGGUGGACGACGGCGAGGCUAGGAAGGGGACGAUGCGGAGCCGGGGAAGACGCGGCAGUGGAUGCCCACGCGUAGAGGAGUAUGAGGGUUCACUCGUUCGGCUGCGGUGUGAGGCUGUCGUUGCCGCAGAAUAACAGGGGGUGUGGGUGCGUAGAGGGAUGGCCUGGCCAGCGGUGGGAGUAGUAGGGGGCGGUGAGGCCUCCGCGGCAUCACAGCCAGCCACGGGCGGCAGAAGCAGACGGCACGACCGGCGCUGCUUUGGGUGGCUGGAGCAAGAAGACCAGAGGUUGAAGAAGCACUACGGCCGUUGGAUGGACAUCGUACGGUCACUGGAGCUAGAAUCGUUCAUAUAUUGACUAAAAUUGACAAAGGCCUCUGUCCCAGUCAACUUAGUAGGCCCACAAGUCAGCCCCCCACCAAGGUGGGUCCCAGCUAGCAGGGGGUAUUCAUUUUUUGUGCGUAAUAAGGAGGCACUUCCGAUGGGUCCGAGCUGACAGCGGGGGGAACGUUUUUUCGCGAAAUACGGUGGCCCGUACGGUGGGUCCCAGUAGUCAGGGGGAAACUUUUUUUUGCGAAAUACUGGUGGCCCGUCCGAUGGGUCCCUGCUGUCAGGUGGAGGAAUAAUUAUUUUCCGCGUAAUAAGGAGGCACUUCCUUGCGGCUGCCGUGGACCCAGCUGCCAGCCUCUCCACGUACAGUACUCUUUUGAUGGAAGUCGGUCGUUGACCACAUUGACCACGCCGCGCGGAGAGCACAACGGUGGUGAACGACGGCGAGGCCUAGGAAGGGGAUGACGCGGAGCCGGGGAAGACGCGGCAGUGGAAGCCCGCGCGGAGAGGAGUACAAGGGUUCACCGGUUCGGCUGCGGUGUGAGGCUGCCGUCGCCGCAGAAUAACAGGGGGUGUGGGUGAGUAGAGGGAUGCCCUGGCCGGUGGUGGGAGUAGUAGGGGGCGCUGAGGCCUGCGCGGCAGCACAGCCGGCCACGGGAGGCGGGAGCAGGCGGUCCCGCCGGCGCUGCUCUGGCGGCUGGAGCAAGAAGAUCAGAGAUUGAAGAAACACGACGGCCGUUGGAUUGACAUCCAACAGUUGCGUCUACUAGAAUCGUUUGUUGACGUAUAUAAUAACUAAAAAAAUCUUGCAUACGCGUCAACUAAACAGGCCCACAAGUCAGACCACUCCCUCUUUUUUUUAAUAAUUUAUAUAUAGCUCAUGGCAACUUCUUAUGCAAUUUAUUGCAGUCGUUUUUUUGGUUGGCCAGGGCCAAUUUCACAUAUUUCUGUGGGUUCCAAACUAUUUUUAAUACCGAAAUGUCGAGCCAGAUUUAAAGUACUUUGAAGAUAUAUUUAAAUUAGGUUAAUGCCCAGUGAAAUAGGAAUCUGAAAAUGUGAAAAAAUUCAGAAAUUAUAAAGUAAUUGCCAAUUUGUCAUCUGUUUUUAUAUUUACAACCCAUUUCAUAUUACUUUCAAGAUUUGCAGACGUCUUGAAAGAGUUGCAGCCCAUCAGGGCGUAGAAAAAUAAGUAGGCCUGGAUUGGGUAUUCUUCAGAAAAAAUAAACUGGGCUCAUUUUCACAAAGAAAAAAUAGUUGGGCUGGUCACAUGGUGAACAUAAAAUAUAAGCCUGGGCUAGACGGGCCACAGCCCAGUUCAAACCCUGCUCCGUCUCAACAAUAACAAAAAGAUACUGCUCGAGUAGCUACGUCCCAGGUGUCAGCCAAUCUUGUGUUGUUCUCUUGUCUAUUGACUAUAUACGCUCACAAUGUCGUGGGUCCCAGAUGUCAGGAAAACACUAGGAGGAAGCAUUUUAUUUUUCCAUACGCUGACGUGGUGGGCCCCUACUGUCAUCCUCUCCAUGUACUUCUGCCGAUUCCUAUUGUUUGUUGACCAUGUUGACAACGCGAGAGGGCGGAGCCGCGGCGAGCGCACCAAAACGCGCGGAGGACGUCGGCGUUAACGAUUUAGGAGACGGUGGGGCGGCGAUGCGUGCGCUGAGGCGCAGCCAGCCGUGGGAGGCGGAAGCAGGCGGCCCCGCCGGCGCUGGUUUGGUUUUGGCAGCUGGAGGAAGACAGGACUGAAGAAACACAACAGACUGUAAAAGCAGCAGGAGUACUUAACAACCUUAACUGAAACCAGCAGGGGCACUUAACAACCAAAGCUGAAAGCAGUAUGAGUACUUAUACAGGUUCAACCGUACAAAGCACGCCUCGAACAGUGCUACUUUGCCUACAGUUAACCAAGGGUGAGGCCGCCAAGCCCCAGGACAAGGCCCAGGUGCCACCCCGCGCAUCCACAACCUUCUGAAAGCGGCUUCAUCUCGCAAUGUGGUCAAUAAAUAGGAUAUUCGCUCUAGAGCCAUGGAAAAGCAUGAACAUAAUCUUCUGUCCUAUUCUCCAAGAUGGACGGGCCUUCAUUAUUUGAGACCACCCAUGAAUAAGUAUCUUUUCACCUCCAAGGGGAAUUGAGUAGGUCGACAUAAACAUCAUGUUGUGACCAAGCGCAAGUCUGACCCGACCAUGGUCAGGCAUCUGUAUAGGAACAAUAGAACUGGGCAAUUUCUGUUUCAAGAAGAUCACAGCUGUAAAACUGUGUAUAAGCAAUAGUUUAUGGACAACAUAUAUAACAGAAAACAGCUCGUACCAUAAGUUUCUCGACACAGUUGGACCUGUUCAACGAGUGCAGCAGUGGCACACAUAUCCCACGUGGCCUUCCACCAUUGAAACGCCCCACAAGGACCUCAAGACGAUCAAUAAAGUGUAGGAACUUAUGGUUGUCGAUCCAGUCAACUUUAGUGCCAUCAGUAACAACCGAGUUAUUACAGAGUAACAAACGAGCAGACUGCUUAACUCUGAAAAACCUACAUGUGCCACCAAUUAUAAGAAAAUAUUAGUUAGAAGUAGCAUCUUCGUGAGAGAUUCUUUGCUACUUCUAAAGUUAAAUUGUGAUUAGUUAGACAGAAUAGGUGGAUUAAGAAGUAAUCGAGGCAACAAGCAAGAACCAGAUACAAAACUAACAUGGAUGAACAAUUGGAACGACGUCGGGGUGGAAGAUCGCAGCGAAGAUGAGACCAGGUUCUGCUAUUUCCAUCAACAUUCAUGCGCCAAAUUUCAGUCCGUAACACUUGAGAAAGUUUAUCCAAGUUCGGCCAUAAAAAAAGCAGUGAUCUUCUUGGUUCAUGAACCCAACUCAGAACUUAUAUCCAUGGCUUGUCUUCACUAUGACCAUUAAACUAGUGUAUUCAGUUAUGGCAAGGCCGAGCAUCUUGAGUACAUGUGUUCUGGCAGAGCAAAUAAUACACUGCGGGAAAAAUAAUAUGAGAACACAGCAUGUUCAAAAGAAACGCCCUCCCGGAUAGAAAAGAGGAUUCUAGGAACAUACUAUGCGCGUUUCAAAAUGCUGUGUUAGGAUGAGAAGGAACAAGUGUGGCGUCUCGCCGAGGGCGCAGAAACCUGUAGGGUACUCACACUUUGGGCACUGCAAAUGAAACACACUAGAUUCAGUAGGAAGAAAAAUGCAUCAACGGCGGCGGCUGCCAUCCUAGGAUUAUCUGCAACCAAGGGACUUGGAUUUAUCGGGGAUGGAUGAAGAAUUCGUACCUGAUUCUCCAUGAGAAAACCCUAUGCAAUCGCCGAGAGGGGGUUUUCUCUAAACAAGCAGACGAGGGAGAAGGGGAUUCAGGCCUAGUGAAAUAUUGCCGCUUCGUCCGUCCAGCUUACUGCUAAAGCUGGAAAGGGGGUUGUGAUUUGACGGCUCAUUGGGCAUUACUGCGGCGCUACGACCGGGGUGUGUCUACCAUGAAGUUGUGCACUCUAAUUUGUGCAUAUGGCACGUGGACCCCGUUGCCGGUUGCCCCACAUAUCAGCGAAAGGAAGUAGAAAGACAGGAGUAACUAGUUACACAUAAAUAUAUUUUUUGACAGAGAGAUACUCCCUCUUUAAAGAAAUAUACAAAUCUUUUAUAUCACAGACAGGCUCACCUUGCCGAGAAAUAUACUCCCUCUGCAACGCACGGGCAUUAUGGGGGUUCAGCUUUUUUAUGGGGGUUCAGCUAAGAAUAUAAUACUUAGAUAGGCUCACGGUUCUGGUCUUUGGGCCGCAGGCCGACCCUGCAUGUUUGGGGGCCCAUGUGUUCUACCUCAGCGCUUUUCAUAUUGCAAGCGAUCGGUACGGCGCUGGUUUUAGAUGCUGUCGCAAGGCGAAUACACAAAAUUGAAUAAAGCACGGCAGCUGUUGGAAUGAAAUCGUACGACAGUUCCUAACCAGCAAUCAGAGUUGCAAUUCUAUCAACGAUAUACCAUGUGAUAAAUAAUACUGUCGUACUACUUAUACACACAGGACAUUUGUUUCACCAUGCCAGAUUAUUACAUCAAAAUCUCUCGGAGGAUAGAUCAGUUCGGCAGUUGCAUGCUGCUACUGAAGAAUUUCAAAGUUGAUUUGGACCAGCUCUCCUUGCUGAGAAAGUUCGAUUUUGACAUCAUCCCCUACCGCAAGGUAUGAUUUAGAUUUGAACCUUGACCAUCCUUUAGCAUCAAUCAUCAUGCGACCAUCCUUUGUACUUACGAUAUAUUGAGCAGGUUCAUUCACACAAAGGCUGCGCAUGGUAAGAGAAACUUGGCCGCGGUCGCCCGGAUUGUUGAACGACUCCCUCGUUGCUCUAGGUAUUCUCUGUUUGCAAACAAGAAGACAUACCCAAACAGUUAGAUCAACACAGUGAAUCAUGUGAAACAACAUGGAAAGAAAAAAGAAUGAAGCACUUGGGCGGCCAAUGCUUACCAAGAAGGUGGACAUGUCAGUUUUUCUAAGGACUUUGGUAUAUGAAGUGCGAACUACAGCCCAGUCUGUUGCCGGUGCAACUGCACGGGCCAGAGCAGAUGCAAGUGCAAGUGUUGGUGCAGGUGCUGAAGCCGCUGCUGCUGCCGGAGAUGGUGCUCCUUGUAGAGCUGGUGCAGGUGUCGGAGCAGGUGCCAGUGUCGAUGCCCGAUCCUCCGGUAGAUCAGACUGAUCCGCUGACGCGGUCGGUGCCCAAUCCUCAGCUGGAUCAGACUGAGCUGCUGCCGCUGUCAGUGCUAGAGCAACUGUCGGUGCUCGAUCCGUUGCUGAAGGUGGUACCGAUGUGCGAGACAGCGGCGAUCGUGUCUGGUCUGCUAUGAUCAGCUUUCUAACUUGACUAGGAUCCGUGACCGUGAUCCAUUUUUUUCUUCAUUUCCUUUAAACGCGAGAAGGACUAAUUGUGGUGUUUCUGUUAAACCAAGCUGCAGUUCAUCAUAGGGAUUCAGCUUGUACUCAGACAACAAACUAAUCCAAUUUUUUCCAGUAAUAUAAGUGAUGGACAGUGCCUUUGUUACUGACACGACAUAAGAAGUGAAACCUGCAAAAAUAGCCAUCGUAGAGCAAACCAAACGUUUUGUUCUAUGAUGAAUGUCACAUGGCAAAACCUGCAUCGUAAAAUUGCAGGAAAAGAAAGAAAACAUGACAUUAAAUCAAUAAGAUUUACUUGAUGUGACACGAGUGAAUCCUUACCAGGAAAUCACUAUGUUGAAGUACUAAACAGAAGAUUGAUCGUCCAACUACGGGUGGCAUGCAGGGGCCCCGCCUACUCCCACAAGUAGGACAGUCCAAAGGUCGUGACAAAUCGUAUGGACCGAACAUCCAUGGGACUGGAAAUCCUGGUGGGUGCGAUAAACCUUGCAAUGCAUACAGAUAUUGGAGUGUAACCAUAAUUGAUAAACCGUCCUCACAAAAAUAUGAUCUGGAUACUUCAAAAUAUACAUACUGAAUUGAGUGGACAGACAUUAACAUAGACCAUUCUCAGGACUGACCACACACCAAAAGCGGCAGUACUAAUAAACAAUACAGGGUUCACAAACACAAAUCAAGUACUGAACAAUAGUACUUACUACAGCAAGCAAAGUUGCACUAACUAAACUCUGCAGACUAUUUCUUGCCACCGACCUACGGGAUGAAGCCCGCAUAACUGACUAGGCUAUGGACUUCGUGUGAGAUGUCUACAUGCACCAUCACCAUCUUGUCAACCUUGGAGAACCUAACAGAGUGGUCUUUCCACUCAUAAACAUGAUGAUGAAGACAGGCCGCAUCAGAUUUGUUGGGAAGCUUUACAAGAACCACACCCUUCGUAAUCGAAGGCACAGCCAGGAAAUUGUUGUGGUCAAGUACAGCCUCGAGAACACGCCUGACAACAAAGCUACAGGAAAACACUAGUUCAGGACACGUGGCGACAAAGACACAGCAGCUGGAUAGUUAGCAGUAGAACUCAUCAUCAGGUCUUCCAGUUCACACGGCAUGACUUUGAGAACUUCAUCUCCACUGCGGACCUGGUUCUAAUUCAAACAGAAACCAUAUUUUAUUACUACCUUUGUUCAGAAAUAUAAGAUGAUUUUCGAUAUUAUAUUCCAUAAAGUAGUUGAAAGGUAGCAUUGAUGUUCAUAAAGUACUGAGGCAAAUAUACCCUCUUCAAAGGUUACAAGUUACUGAGGCAAAUAUACCCUCUUCAAAGGUAGCAUUCAUGUUCAUAAAGUACUCCCUCUGUCCCAAAAUUCUUGUCUUAGAUUUGUCUAGAUACGGAUGUAUCAAGUCACAUUUUAGUAUUAGAUACAUCCGUAUCUAGACAAAUCUAAGACAAGAAAUUUGGGACAGAGGGAGUAGUUGAAAGUAAUCUAUAAGAAAUCAGUGUCAACCUCUCGCAUGUUUUGGUCAAAAGAGGAAUUUAGAACCGUCAUUUGGCACACUAAAAUCACAUGCAAGAUCACCCAGAAAGUUGUACUACCAGUACUAGUACUGCGUGUUAGAUGAAAAAACACGAUCAAGAUCGAGAAAAGGAUCGUCAACAAGAGACAUUACCUGUACUUGCUUAAUGAGGGAUCCCGGAGAGGGGGGCUUGGAUAGGGCAAUGGCUUUGAGCUUGUCUGUGGUAGUCUCGGCGGGGUGCUUGCGCUUCUUCAUACCAUGAGCCUCGACGGUUUUGGCCAGAGCCAUAGACAUCACGUCGGCCGAUGCUCCAGCAUCCAUCCAAGAGAGGAAGCUGAGAGAGAAGAGUGAAAGGAGGAACGAGAUGAGGGAGAAGCGAAGCGAGUGGGGGUUUUCUUCAAGAGAGGAAGCUGAGAGAGAAGAGUGAAAUGAUGGUUGCUUCGUCCGACCAACUUACUGCUGGAAAGGAGGGGGUUUUGUGAUUUGACGGUUCAUUGGGCAUUACUGCGGCGCUUCGAUCGGGGUACUCUACCGUCACUCUACUAUGGAGUAAUUUAGUGCAUGGCUGGUGGACCCAGAUGCUGGCUGUCCCACACGUCGGCGAAAGUGAGUAAUUUAGUGCAUGGCUGGAGGAGGAUCCGCACGGUAGAGCGUGUCCACUGUUUUUCUGAAGAAACAAAUGAUUACAGCAAGCGUUUCCACUCUUAUGAAGGAGGAGUGCGAAACACGGCAGCCACUUGAACAUACACAGUGCUCCUACUAUUAGGCAUGUGCAGUGGUUCAUACGUCAGUACUACACAAUCUUGUUGCUAGUGUAGUAAGAUAUGACGAUAACAAAUGAUGUUGUGCGCAUGUCAACUACUCCUAUAUGUAACAUAGUACCGCUUUUUCGACUGUCCGUUCGAGAAUGAACGGUGAGAUCAAUGUUAACAGAAGUAGGUCCACAGUGCACGGAGAGUAUGGUGCUACAGUACUCCACGAAACAUGAACCAUAUGAAGCACGAAUAGUGUUAGGCAGGGUGUAUGAAGGGUGCACGGGAUGGGAGCAAAAGUUCCCUUCUCGACCCACUUUUGGGUGUUUGGCCGAGUGCAUGAAUGGUGCAUGAGUCCACACUAGUAGGUUGACAAAAACACACGAAGAGGAAACAACUAUAUUGAGAUGAGAAUGCAACCAAACACACCCACACGCUUUGUGCUACAGUGACUGAUCUGCACCGUCUGAGUUUGAUCCAACGGUCAUGUUGCGCCGAGACAUGGACAUGCCCAUGAAGAGGGCGCCUAAACACCACCGAAGUCCCUCUGCUUCUCGAGGCGCACGACGUUGGUGAUGCAGGGUGCAACCGCCCGCAGAGGUGGCUCCCGGUCGACGGGAGCCAGCUCGUCAAAGAUGGCGUCCAAUGGCACGAAUGGAUUUUAGUGACGGAACCCUGAAAGGAUUCGCCCGGCAACGUCGACGACAGCCCGCAACCCCUCCUUGUCCAGCUCAGCCCCCACCAUCGCGCGGAGACGGCUCAGCUCCUCGGAGAUAUGGGUGAAGAAGGAGACCAGGUCAGGAAGCCGCAGCUCGUUGAAGUCGACCGGGUGGUCGAACGGGUUUAGCCCGACGGCCGGCAUCGUCACACUGGCAUGACGGUAGGCAUCGCGCAGCCGCAACACGUGCGUGGCAACUUGGUUCACCAAGUGGCUGAGGCGAUACUGGACCUCGUCACGAUCGGCCCGCUCGCGCUCCAGCUGGCUCCCCUAACGGCCUAUUGUAUCUCCCGCUUUCUGUAGCAACGCCGCCGAUGCCUCGAGCAUCUUUGUGGUGGACGCCUGCCGCUUUUGAAGCUCCGUGAACUCCCGCACAUAACGGAGGAGCAUGGCACUCCUAUCCUCCUUGAGCUCACGGAGCUCCACGUCCUUGGCCCUGAGCUCCGCAUUCUUGGCAUGGAGCUCCUGUGUCAGGCGCCUCACCUCGGACUCCGUGAUCUGCUGCGCCCCCAUGGCACCAGGUAGAAGCAAUGGGGAGAGGAAGCAAAGGGGGCGAAACGGCUGAAAGGCAAUGCAAUCUACGGGAAGGCGGAGGGAGCCAGCCGAGGAGCGGGGAAUCUUUUGGUUUUCACCAUGGUAAAACACCAGUCGAUGACUUCUCACAUCAGGGAGCAGUGGGUUUUACAGGCGGAGUCAUCGUGACUAAUUGUUGCCGCGCCUGCUCCCGUCAAUCAAAAAAUUAAAAAUCCUGUCGCGCCUGCUCCCGUCAAUCAAAAAAUUAAAAAUCCUGCCGCACCCAAACACCAGAGCAACGCCGCGGUGGAUAUUUAAAUUUACCUACCAGCAAGUAGAUAAAAAAAGGGGUGAAAAAACAAAUGUGGCGGCAGCCUAGCUAAUCGGUCGAACUAGCCCAACUAGCUAGCCAUCGUGCUUCACUGAUGUACUCGGCGGGAAAGGUGGUCUUUUGUGAUUUGACGACUCAUUUACUUGCUUCGGCGCUACGACCGAGGAGGACCCAGAAAACGCGCGAUAGGGCGUCCCACGUCAGGAAGAAUAUAUGCGUGCACCACCCGGGAGGACCCCGAAACUGCACGGUAGGGUGUGCCACGUCUCGGCACGGAGGAAAAAUGUGCGUGUAAAAAUAUACUGUAUCACAUGUAGUACCUAUGGUUCGACCUCGGGACCCAGCCAGUCAGUCGAAAACACCCCACUAGUCACACAGCUUCAUCAUGCAAACGUGGCACGGAGGAUAGAUGUGGUUAACCCCGUCUCGACCAGCCACAACAUCUCUUGUUCUAGGCGAUUCUUCUAUUUUCCAAACUUUUUUUAGUUGUAAUAACACCACGGCAAGCUAGCGCCGCUCUUCGUGUGUGCCCGUGCAAAGGUUAGAUGAUGGAGAGAAGAGAGAUUGAGAUCGCAGACCUGGGACCCACCAGUAAGUGAGACAACGGUCAUGCACGUGUUGACGAGGCACUCCCUCUACUCUACUCAACGCAAGUAUUGUAUAAAAUCAAGUUAUGGGAAAAAGCCAACAACCGUUGUUGUUUCAGGCUAUUGACUUACGCUUUGUAGUCCAGGUUGCCAGUUCGAAUCUCAUCUUUUAGAUUUGUUAGUUUUAGGUCCAAAUUUCAUUAAUGACAAGUGGGAACCCCGUGUGUUGUUCCGAUGUUUCAGUGUAGGAUGGUUUUUUUGAACAAACACUUUGGGCGGACAAGUGACUGCGCGGUUAGACAAGUGACGGCAUGAGUUACACGUAUUUUGCAAGUUUACGAACAAAAAUGACACCAGCAUAGAAUAUCACAUCCACCCCGCAGCUUAGAUACUAUGGUGAUACGAGUUUUUACACCGUUGGAAGUGGGAUCCAAUGGCUUGGGAGUAGUCUUUGUAAUUAUGCGCAAUUUCCAAACUCUCCAAAGGUUUUUUUUGCAAAUAAAACAUUCAGGCCUCAUGUGUACCGCUGCAUCUUCGAUCCAACGGCUCCCCGUUGCUCAUAUUAGGUGCUCCCCAUAGCUUAAUUACCCGCUACGGUGAUAUGAGCAUCUAGGUCGUAUGAUCAGUGAUCAGAUGGCACAUGCGUAGUACUUGUACUUUCUGCGCAUUUCCCAAACUCUAUCAGCCGUAUAUUGCAAAAACAUUCAAACCUCCUACUGUGGGCCGUUAGAUCUCAGUGAACUCGUAUCACCAUAGAAUCUACGGUGCGGGAGCACCUCAUAUUCUCCCGUGCGAGAAAACAUAAGGUGCUAUCGCAGCUUGGAUGCUACGGUGAUACGAGCUUGGAGGUUGUUUGAUCUGAGAUCCAAUGGCAUCUGAGCAGUCUUUGUGCUUGUAAGCAGUGGCCGAACUCAUUUGGGGCUUUUCUGCCCAAAACCAUUCGAACAACCGAGGAGGUGUUGGGUCACAAAUCCAACGGCUCCGAAGAGCUUGUAUCACCAAAGCAUCUAAGGUGUGGUAGCACAUGAUAUUCUUACAUACAGGAGAAUAUGAUGUCCUCCUUCAUCUUAGAUGCUACGGUGAUACGAGCUUCGAGGUUGUUGGAUAUGGGAUCCAAGGGCAUCUGAGUAGUUUUUGUACAAAUUGUGUGCAAUUCUCAAACUCAUCAAGGUUUCCUGCAAAAAUAUUAAGACACAUCAUGUGAGCUGCUAUAUCUCAGAUCUACAAGCUCCAAGCAACUCGUAUCGGCAUAUAGCAUCUAAGGUAUGGGGGCACAUGAUAUUCUCCCGGGGAGGAGGGGUGGGGGUGCACAACCAAUCGGUGGUUGGGAGGGUGGGGACAAAUAUAAUCUAAACAACCCUAAACAGAGCUCCACAAUUUUAUCUAAGGUCGAGGGGUUGACCCCCGACAAUCAUAGCUCCGCCUAAACACAACAUCUGCAUGUACUUUAGUACUAGACUUAAUAUUCAUGUUUCAGUUUCAUGUUCAUUUUAAAUAUUGAACUGAGGACCAUGGAUGUCUUACAUUUUACUCCCUUCGUUCCUAAAUAUUAGUCUUUUUAGAGGUUUCAAAUGGACUGGCACAUACGGAUGUAUAUAGACAUAUUUUAGAGUCUAGAUUCACUCAUUUUGCUCCGUAUGUAGUCACUUGUUGAACUCUCUAAAAGACUAAUAUUUAGGGAUAGAAGGAGUAUUUUUUAAUCCGUGUCAUACAUGCAUGGUUUGGAAAAAUAGAUGCACUAUACUUAUUGGAUUGUUGUUGUGUUCGUGCGUGUGUGUCUGUGUGUGUGUGUGUGUGGUCAUAUGCUUGGUACAUACAAAGUUUUCUCACCUCCAUAUUGUUCAUCUUUUAAAUUUGAAUUUCAUUGAAAAACUUACUAGGGAUACCAUGAAAUGUGAAAUCCACGUUGAGAUCACUAUAUCACAAACUCACUCUAAUUCAACAACUCGUCAUAAAUCAAUUACCAUGUUGAGAUUAGUAUUUGCAAGGAAAAUACGGGUAUUGUAAUACACAUAGAUUCGUUCGACAAUUUAAAAGGUUCCUUUCGUAUUCUCGAACGGUAGGACCCAACGGCGUACCAGCCAGACCUUGGCUCGUGUUGAUCCUAACAAAAUAAAAAUAAUAAAAAACCGGGCUCGUGUCCUUCGGUGGCGUGCGUGGUACGCACAUUAGGCAACCACAACCAGUCGAGCCUUAGCGUUUCAAGUCAAAAUAUCUGGCGGCCAGAAUUCCAGCCCUAGGAAAUUCCCCUCGUGUCCCCGGUCCAUAAUGACUACCGAUGAACAACGGAGGGAUGCUUUAGUAACUAGACAACGUUACCUACCGUGCCGAGCACGGUUCAAUUCCCUCGGUCGCCGCUCGUCAAGGUCACCUGUCAACUGCAUUGCCUAGUACUACUACUACUACACCAGGAUGAGCACAGAAUUGAGCCCGUUUGUUCGUGCCUAGUACUUGAGUUAAUAUAUCAGGCAAUGCACUGGUACGGAGGGAUUAUCCUUUUACUCUGCAUAUAUAACUUGUCUGAAGUCUAACUAAGCAAAAAAUUUGACCAAAUCCUUUCUUAAGAAAUACAACAGGACAGAUGUACGGCUUGAAAAUUUAUUGCAUGAUGCAGGUUAUGAUAUUGUUUCGAAUCCUGGAUCUUAAAUUUCAGAAAAUCCAAAAGUGAGCAUAAAUUCUUGAAACUGAGCAUGGUCACGUGAUAUGGCACAAAUAUUACUUCGUAAGUUUUUUCUUCAAUUUGAGACAAGCUGCUUAUGACAAGUUGCACAAAUGAAGAGCCAAGGUAUUUUGGAACAAAGACCUGUCACAUUAAGGCGAACGCUUUCACUAUUGAAACCGUGGGCGUUUACGUGCCGCCACGAGUCCCCGCUUCUCAUCGGCAGGUGCCGUCCGAGCAAGCCUGUGAGUCGACGGGAGGCAUGCGAGCAGACCGCUGCGCCGGCUGUCACGGAGACGUGCGAGCAGACCGCUGUGCAGGCUCAUCGGGAGGCGAGCCCUUUGACCAGGCUCCACCGCCCACCAUCGUCCCAACUGCUCCCACUUUUAAUGUCGCCGGCGCCGCAGUUUAAAAUCAACCCCGCACUACCCGAUAUCGCUACAAUCUUCUCUCUUCCUCUCCGAUUCUCCUGUCGUCUACCUCCAACUAGCCUGACCUAAACGUACGCCAUGCCGCAUCAUGAUGGUCUGCCCUUAGUGUUCCAGUUUCCUGAGGAAGACACCCAGCCUGAGUCUCAAGAACAUAAGGCGCUUUGGGACGAGCUUGAACUGGCCUUGCGGGAAGACGCCGUGCCUGUCCCCGCUCCCGUUCCGGCUCCCAUCGCCCGACUGCGCCAGCGCCCAUCCCCAUGGCAUUGAUGGGCUGGGAGCCGCACAUUGCCGCCGAGCUUGAUCCCACGGGGUUCCAUGAGGUCCCCGCCGACUUUCACGCGCCCGUGCACCUGCCAGCGCAUGCGCCUGCGCGUGCACUGACGCGCACGCCCGUGCCGGUGCCCGUGCACCUGCCAGCGCAUGCGCCUACGCGUGCACUGACAUGCGCGCCCAUGCCGGUGCCCGUGCACAGGAAUGUCUCCGUCGCGCCGUUGACAGUGCAUGUCCCCGCGUGGGUGCCAGUGCCCCCCUCAGCGGCAUGGAUGGCCGUCGUCGACCGCUUCCUUGCACCAACGCCAGUCGCCUCCUCCCGCAAGUUGACUCGCUCCGAAGUCCAGAACAUUUUGGCCUUCCUUGAAGCUAGGCCAACGUCCAGGAGUACGCCAACAACGACGCAAGACGCCGCCGUCGCCGUCGGUCAGUGGCCCGACGACACACAGAGCACGGCAGAGGAGCCGCUUCCCACCGCAAGACGUCCCCGCCGCCGCCGCGUAAUCUAAAUUUGCCAUGAAAAACGUUUGGAUUGUCAUGCUUAAAAUCCGAACGUUUAUCAUUUCCGUUUAUUUUAUAUCGAUCGUCGUAUAAUUUAAAGUCGGAGUCAGACUAAAUGAAAUCUAUGGUUUGAUCGAUUGAAUGUUCUGCUAGAGCCGUAUCAAAUUAAAUAUAAAACAUCAUCAAGCCACAUGUAUUCCUUGUCAUCCAACAACCUAGACUGCUUCAAUGUCGAGCGCUCAACACGUUUAGCGUGCAGUUAAUUUCAUGCCAAAAAUAGUGCUAAUCACAUAAUAACACGCAAAUAAUAUCCUAGUACUUAAUAUCCGCAUGCACUUAAUAUACUUCCAAAUUAACGUGCAUUUCACGUACACACUGACUAGUGCUGCUAAUACGUGAAACUAGUGCCGUGACUUGUGAACGCGUCCAGAUAUGGUCAACGGCAACAUCGCCCGCGAGUUCUUCGUGUUUGCCCGUGUGUCUAAACGCAGAAGGGGAGGAGAGAGAGCACACAUGGAACCCACCAGUAAGUGAAGGCAAAUAGUACUAAAAAUAAUAUUACAUGUUAUCCAUUAAUUAGGCUGUGGUAAUAUAAAAACAUUAUGUGAACAGAGGGGGGUACAACAAACAUUGUUGUUCUACGUAUGUUGCCUAUUGACGUGCGGCUUGAAGGCCCGGUCGCAUGUUCGAUCCUCGUCCUUUAUUUUUUAAUUUGUAUAUGGGUCCAAAUUUGUUUCAUGACAUGUGGGCCCCUCGGUGUGUAGUUUUUAGCACUUUAAUUUGUGGGUCGAAAUUUGUUCCAUUCCAAGUGGACUAUCGGUGUGUAGUUUUGUAGCUUAUUUAUAAUAAUUAAAGAGAACAACAUAGUUUUUUCAAUAAUACCAUGGUGCGACGUUGAAGGCGAGAAAGGACGUGCGAGAGAGCGAUGACCGAGCCAGAGGGAAAUCAACUAGGGGAAUUGCAGGGGUUACAACGGUGUUUGGAGUAGUUGUGGGCCGAAUGCUACGAAAAUAUAAUCUAAACCGACCGGAAUAAAUGCCUACACAAAUUAAUCCAAGGUUGGAGUGCCCCUCGCAAUGUAAAUAGCUCCGGAUUUGCAAGGGAUGGAGAGGUAGUAGCUUCAAUGCGUGGAAGAUACGGUGUGAGAAAGUGAGGUCAAUCGAGAGACAUAUAGAUAGAGAGACAAAGUGAGUGUGGUCCGACAUUCAUUGAACAAAUAUAUAUGCUCUGGAGAGAUAUUGUCCGAUUGAGCUUUUGGCAAGGGCGAGGGCUGUAAGAUAGAGCUUGAGAGAUGAUCCAGUCACAGACGUGUAGAUAUAUUUUGUGCGUGGGAGGAAGCAAGGUCAACCGAUCACAUAGGGUCGCCGUGCGAUCGAAAGAGUGAGACGGGUUGGAGAGAGUGACCUAGAUAGACAAUGUGCGUGAGAGAGUAUACAAUGUGAAUAGGUCAAAUUGGGCUCAAACAUGGCGAUAUAUCGUUUUUGUCCGAGAAAGAGCGAGGUCAAUCGAGACAUACAAAGAGAGAGAGAGAGAGAGAGAGAGAGAUUGAGUGAGCGUGGCCCACCAUGAGGUCGAAAGAGUGGUGGCGGCUUGGAUGGACUGACCUAGAUAGACAAUCUGCGUGAGAGAGUAUAGAGUGUGUCGAUCGAGGCCCGAACAGGGAGAUAUAUCAUUUGUUUGUGAAAGAAAACGAGGUUAAACGAGACUCAGAUAAAGAGAGCGAGAUUGAGCGAGUGUGGCCCGCCGUGCGAAAGAAAGAGUGAGACAAUCUCGAGGGAGUGACCUAGAUAUACAACGUGCGUGCGUGCGCACGAGAGGUUGGGGGGCUAGAUAGGCAAUGCAUGUAUUUAGCGCGAGAGGGUGAGAGGGAGAGGGGAGAGAGAGAGCUCGGCAUGGGGUGCAAUGGCGGGUGUGUGAGGUAAAUACAUUUGGUAACAGAGUGGAAAAAGGGGUGGUGUAGUUGAGAGACUUAGAGAUCGAAACAUGGAGAGAAAGAAUGAACGUGUGUUGGAAACCGGUAGCUUCCUAAGGUGGUUAGGAGAGGAAGAUUGACCGAUACAGGAAGUAUGUAGCGUUUGUGCGGGGGGGCUAAAAACGACAUUUGAAUGUACAUAGUACGAGACUUAAUAUCGAUGUUUCAAUUCGGUGUACAUUGUAAGAUUUGAACCGAGGACCAUGCAUACGGGUAAUUAUUUUGAAUUCGUGCCAUACUAAGUUUCGAAAAGUUGACAUUGACUCAAUUUGUUGUGCUUUUUUGUAGGUCAUAUGUUUGAAUCCAUCCAAAAGUUUUCUCACUACCAUGGUGUUCAUCAUAUACAUAUGAAUUUGUAUUAAAAAAGUAGCGUGGAUACAGUGAAAUGCGAAAUCCACGUUAGAAUUGGAGAUCGCUACGUGACACACACUCUAAUUCAAAUAACUAAUUAUGUGACACACACUCUAAUCCACGUUAGCGUGGAUACCGUUUCGAUUUUUUUCAAAUAACUCCUCAUUAAUUAAUUUAUAGUACUCCCUCUGUUCACUUUUAUAAGACCUUGAAGACAUUUCAGACAAUGUGCAAAACAGUUCAUUUUAAGUUGUCUGAAACGACUUACAAAAGUGAACGGAGGGAGUAUCUCGUUUCGAAUGACUAAUUAUUGCAAGGAAAACACGGGCAUGGUAAUACAUACAGAUUCGUUUGCAAAUGAAAGAAGAUUCGUUUGCAUUCUCAAAUGUAGGCGCACCAGGCAGACCAGGGUCGUGUCGGGGUGGACGUUGCUUCGGUGCCUUAAGGCACCGAAGCAUAGUCCUGUCACGGUGGUCACGUGUGUCGGACGGACGCGUAGCACCCAGCCACCCACCCCCUCCCUCCCUCCCCCACUCCCCCCCACCCCCCACCCAAAAAAGGACGACGACAAAAUAAGUUCGCGCUUCCAUGUUUCGGAUUGAAAUAUCUGGCGGCCCCAAUUCCAGCCCUACAAAAUCUCUCUUCUCCACCGUCCCCUUCCGCGCCCAGAUUGCUCAAAUCCCUAAUUCGCCGCCAACCGAAGCAAAGUUCGAAUCGCCCCUCGUCUCGUCUCUUUCCCCACCUCUGUGUCGGACGACGACGACGAAGACGACGGUCGCGCUUCACCACCGCACUGGAGCUACCUCAUCUACGCCCUCGUCAACCGCACCGGGUGGUCCACUGACAACGUCGGCCGCCGCAAUCGACGUGCCUCACAGACACCGAGUUCCACCGCAUCAGGUGCGCUUCACCGACGUCGUCUCCCAGCUCACCGAGGCUACUUCACCGAGCACAUCGUCGCACCUCCGCCCCCCGAGGCCGUUGGGGCUUCACCAACGGUCUCAUCCACCGCAUCAUAGCGCUCUGCUGCCACUCAAGAUCUGCAUCCGUGCGCGGCCAGGCAAUGCCAGCGCAUCACCCUCAACGGCUCUGAAGUGACCCGCACUCUAGCUAGGCGAGCAUGCCCAAACGCCGGCCCGAACUAGGUAUCCACACAUCACUCCCUUGUGCACUGUUCCGACGAUGUUUGGAUAUUCUUUCACUGCUCUCUUAGCUUACACGCCUAUGCAACUCUGACUUUAACUCUUAUUUCUUCUGGAGAUAUCAUCUGAAACAAGCAAAUCCAUUUUUUAGCGAAGCAUGACGGCGCUACGGGAUCUGGUACACAUCCUGCACACCCGUAUAACCUUGUAAGUAUCUGUCCUCUGGUACAACAUCAAGAUUGAUUCCUCUCAUUUGAUCAACCAUUCGCCGUGUCAAAAAUGCAGAGGGGGAUGCAAGGAGCACAAGGCCUGCACAUCCAAGAAAGUGGUAACAUGGACUUGUACAUGGAACAUCCCAAGCGCAAGCAGAGCUGCAAUGAGCCUGUACAACGAGCUAGCGUAAGUCCCUGCAUUUCAUUUAAUUUGUACUGGCAUUCGUGUAUGAGUGCAGUGGCGGAUCCACGAAUUCAAGUUACCAGGGGCGAACAUUUAACUUAAAAAAUACGAAGGCACUUGCACUUCGGAAAUCAACAUAACUUGAGAAAUGUGAAGCUACAUGCACUUUGAAAACCAGCUAAUGAUCCAAAGUAGUUCAGAUUAUAAACACUAAAUGAUGCAAGCACCAAAAAACACAAAAUGCAACAUGGUGUACAAGGACUACAAACAUGGUCUGUACCUGCUUGAAUUAUUCGUUCUCUGGCUGAAAAUAUCGAAGUGUGAUUGCACCUAUAACCAGUGCGCAAACUGCAUAUCAAUAUAUCUAUCCUGCACAAGUAUGCCAAUAGUUUCAAACAACAGAUUAGAAAAGUAUUUAUGCUAUCUUGUCAUGAUACGGGGACUUUCUGGUAGAUGGCCUCGAUGUUUCCUCAAGCUAUGAAAAUGCACUAUAAUUUGCUUGUCAUCAAUGCCUGCAAAUCUCUGUCUCUCUCAACAUAGUAGAUCAUCAUUAGACACUAAAUCCUUCAAUGAGCUUGCAAAAUGCUUGCAUUAGCUCCCUCAUUAGACACUAUAUGUUCAUCACCAGGAGCAUGUAAAAUGUUUGCAUCUAAUCCUUCAUUAGCAGUCUGUUCAUUAGACACUUCAAGCUCAAGAACAACAUGAGCUUGUAUGUUGCACCGAAAACUUGAUUAGAUACAUCAGAUUCAGUCAGUUCAGUAUUGAUUGGGGGAGUUAUAAAAUAAGUAGAAAUUGGUUUCAUUUUCUCAUAGAUUCCCUACAUACAAGCAGUUUUACAACACCGUCAGGUUUAACUAUUGGCCAGAAAUUGAAGAGUUGAAUUAGAUAUAAUCAGGGAUGUGAUGUACCUGCUCGUUGCGCAUGCUACUCUUGCAAGUUGCGACUGUCCGUUUGCGCAAGCUCGAUGCCAUGCUCGUGCUGCCGCCGCUGCCUCCCACGCAGGCUACACCCAGGGUUGGAUCUUCAUCUUCUUGUCCUUCCGUUCGCUUAAAGCCCAGCGACCACCCUCCAACGAGGGCGCGAGGAAGUGUUGUGUCGGUCUGUCCAGCGGCGGCUAGGUUAGGAGCGAACCAGACUGGAGGCUGGAGCGAAUGAAUUGGGAUUUUUCCUGCUGUCGAUCGAUAUGGGAGGCGCUCGUUUGGGCUGCGAGCCUGCUAUAAGGCCUGCCUUGCACUUAUGUUAUUGGCCCAUCCAAAUUGAAACAUUUUUCUUCAUUUUUUACAUUGCCUGCUCGUGCGUUGGGACGGAGAGAACUAGCGUGGGCCAACCUGGAUGACUCAAACUAGGUGCACACUUUCCAGCCACCUGAGACGGCCGCCCAUACCAGCCCCUAUGGUGGCGUCGCCCCUUUUCGCGUGUAUGAUUGAAUAGUGAAAAAUAUUCCAGUGGCGCUUUUGAUUUACCCACAGAAUGGUUGAAUUGCUUGUUUCUAUGAACUGAGUUCGCCAAUAAUGUGAAGGAUGCCAGUCUUUUCAUCCUAUUGUAGAUUGCUUAGAUCUCGAUAUGCCAAAAGUAAUCGCAUGAAAUAUACAGUAAAAGCCAGUGUGAUGUGUGUGGCUACAACUAGUCUGACUACACGUCCUCAUAUAACAUAUCAAGGACGCACCAUCUUACCAGAUUAACCAUUCGACUUACCAAUGCAGUGUGGGAAGAAAGAAGUAUUGGGACUGCGUAUCCAAGCAAUUGAUGCCAUGGUACUCCUUCGUACAACCUUGUAAGCGAAAAAGAAGUUGCAGUGUGCAUGUACAAAGAACUAGCGUAAGUUCAGUUACCUGCUUCUCGGAAUUUUAGUUAGCCACUUAUUGCAAAAUUGUUCAAUUACGUUGCAUGGCUUAAUUUAGUUUGCUACUGAUUACAUAAUGCCAUAGCCUGUUAAUCAUAUUGUAGACUGCGCCUAUCUAUGUGUUUGAUACUUACUGUUAAGAAUUACCUGUUUGCCUUAACUUAAAUAUCUACUUGUUUGUUUAACUGCUUUGCUGCUGCAACAGCGGGUUACAAUGAUGUUAAUAACUACUUUUCAGCAUCCAUUGAAACUCUUUAAUUCCUUGUUUGUUUAACUGGUUUGUUGUUAUAACUCCCAGUUGAGAUGUUUUGCUAGCUUCAACUUUUCUGAAUCCAAUCGGAACUUUAAUGGCAAAACAGGUUAGCCCAAGAUCAAAGAGCGAGGUCCCCAUGGACGUUGCAUCAUCCCACAGCAGUGGCACCGGCCCAAUCGUGCAUUAUGAAUUGCCAACUGCUGAUGCUCUAGAGGCUAAACUAGUGGUAGAAAGAGAUUCUGUUUCUGCACUUAGAGAUGAAGUUGACAUGUUGAGGAAGCAAACAGCACAAUCACAAGCAGUACUCAAGACAACCAUUAAAUAUUUGGUGGAUUUCAAAACGAAGCAAGCUGAGACUGACCAGAUUGUUAAGGUCCUGAAGGAAAAAAGGAAAUUAAAUUCCUACUUGGUAAAUCAUAGGUGAAAUGUUCUUUCCAUCGUUGAAUAACCUUUGUGUUGUCUGUUCAUGUAAUCAAUCAAACCAUUUGUUUUAGAGAUCAUGUAAUAAUUGUUUUUUUUGUUUGUAAUUUUAUUUGAGCACAAGUCUGUAUUAAUUGAUAAGACUCGGAGACAUUUCAUUUGGAUUGUUGCGCCAGACCUACAAAUAUGCCAAUCGGGCUGAAUGUGCAUUCAACAAUAGUAGUAGUAUAGAUGGACCAUAAGUGGCACGCAUCGGAAAGGGCCAAGAUGCUGGCUAAAAAAAGGAUGUUGUUGUAGCCAAAAAAAGUACAGCGGCCUGGCUUAUGUAUGUUAGUUGAUAUUAUUGAUCCAUAUACUCUAUAAGUGUUUAUAUGUCUGUUAGUUCUGUACAUUCUUGGUUGAUUGACUCGGUAUUUGAAUCUUGAUACAUCGCUUGUGUACAUAUCCAAAUGGGAGUACACAUUAUGCUGCGUGUGACAUUUGAGUUGGACAUGAAGUGUUCCAAAUAUUCGAAUUCACCUUAAACUGGAUUCUAGCUUCUGAAUUUGAGUAUCGGCAUUUGUAAACCAUAUUCAUAUAUGACAGUGGAAUACAUCUUUGUCGUCCUUUUGAAGAUAUAUAAAAACACAUAGAAUGAUUUAUAAAGAUUCAUAUAGGAAUACAAAAUGGAUUCGAAUUUAGUUGCCAGGGUAAACAUGGAUGCUUAUUGUCCCAAAAUUCGAAAGAAUCGGCAAAAUGUCCACUCCCAACGGCUGCCCGAAGCCAAGUGUUUGGGAGAUGGAAAUUACUGUCUACCCAUUACACGUACAAUCCAUCGGCCCGAUUUCCACUGCUCUAAAUAGGGGUAGGUUAGUAACUUCAAUUAGACAUGACACGACCGCCUCUGAGCCCAUUCCGACACGGUGGGCGUCAAACAUGGGCGGCAAAACACAUUUGAUUCAAGCUUGUCCGAAAGACCUCUGUUUCUCCCUCCAUUCCCCAUUCAUACACGGUGGGCGGCAAAACAAACUCGACUCGGCCGAAAUCGAUGUAGGCAAAUAUUUUCAAUAGGGGCAGGUUUGUAACUUCACUCAGACGUGACACAACCGCCCUACCUGUCAGCCCCGUUCAUACACCGUGGGCGCCAACCAUGGGCGCCAACCACCCUCUCCUCGCCCGAAAUCGCUCUGGGAAAAUAUUGGCGAGAUGCGAGAUUACCAUCCUAUCCCCAACCGACGAGACGUCCAAAUUUUAAAUGGGGGCUAAGUUCGUAACUUUCCCAUAUUUCAGACAGGCGCGUCCCAAAAACAUGGUUCCCCGUACCUCUCCCUCCAUUUUCCCAUUCAUACACCGUCCGCGCUAGAACACCCCAUCCCCACACCAGCCUCCGUCCGCCACCCCAUCCAUCGCCGCCGUCCUCCACCACAUCCAUCGCCACCGUCCUCCACCAUGCCGGAGCGCCUACCAAUACCGCGUCAUCCACUGCUAGAGAUGGACGUUUCUCAUCCACGGCGACGGGCCAAUAGCCUUGCAUCGCGUCCUCUCGCUUCAUCGGCGCCGUCGUCCUCUUUGCCGGGGCCGCUCACACGACCUUCUCUUCCACCGCAACGGGACUUAUCCCCCGAUGCACCCGUCUACCGUCGCAGAUCUACUUCAACGCCACCAAUAGCCAUCGCACCCCCGAUGCCUAUACGGCGCCGCAAGAGAGGUGGUACUUCAUAUCUCCUCAACUUUUUGAUCUCAACCAGAAAAUAGAUCUUAACUUGGUUACUCUACUUUCUUUUCAGCUCUUAGAAUUUAGUUCUUAGUUCGAAGCAAACAAUGGAUGCUAAAUAUCAUUUCUCCGGUUUGCGGCUUCAAAUCUGCCAUGGCACAGCCAUAAUACGGUUUAAUUGAUCAUGCUUAGGGUUUAAUUGAUCAUGUUGGUUCCGUGGUGGUUUCUUUAAUAGAAAUCGGAGGGGAAACCCUCUUUUGAUAAAAAAAAUAUGCUUAGAGUUUCCCCCUUUUAUGAUCACUAUACGAUCAGAAUACGUGCUUCGUGUCAUAAUAACACUGCUCCACCCAUCAAGCUAAACAAGCUUAGUUGUUCAAAUACGAAUAUGAUAUUAUUAAAACAAAGUUGUUUAAUUGGUCAGCUAAAUGUUCCUAAAUUAGUUUCAAAAAUGCAUGUUCGCCGCUCGGGUGUGUAUUUCUACAGGGUGCCCACGGUGGGCCGGCCCACCCUGGGAUUUUGGGUCGUCACAGGCCCCGAUUCCCCUCUGUUCUGCUACGCGCUUCCGAUCUCUACUCGCCCCCCAGCCGCCUGCCUCGCCGGCGACUUGCCGUCCCCGGACGGCAUGACUCUAGGAGGAGACGCCGGACUAACAGGAGGCCAGGAGCCGUUCGCCCAACAGCGUCACCGCUGCCCGGGCGCGCCGCCGUGCCUACCUUGCCAGUCCGUUCAGGGCUCAGGUGUGCAGCACCCACCAAGCCAACCCGAUUUAUCCUGAGAUACGUCCUCAACACUCAGCAGCCACUCCUCAUCACCCAUUUUCUAAUUGAUUCAUUACUCAUUAGGCAGGACUGUCAUUAGGGUUUGUUGUGUGCUCAGUGCUACCUACACUUAAUGGUUCAGAUGUAUUUCGGUAAUCUUUAAUACCUCUAAAGUUCACAGGGUUUUCAAAAUUCCAGCCCUCGGAACAGACACUAGUCAUUUUGGAUUGUUGGUCGUAGUGACAUUGACCCAGAUUACUACUGCAAGCCAGGUUUGUUGACAAUUUUACUUGUCUUUCUUACUCAUUCGAUAUAAUAUCCAAUUAUUCACGUCGAUUAGUUGCAAACAAUAAGUGCUAGACAAACUUCUUCAUUCGGAUUUUGGACGGUCUCUUACCGCAGUUACAAUUCUGCAUACUUGUCCUAGUAAGCUCACAAGUAAAUGAUUGAUUCACUGCAUCUAUGCUUGCCUUGUCAUAUUUGUUGUCAAUAUUCUUUUAGGGUGGACCACCCUGUUUCUAAAUACUAGAACCAUAGACAUGAGUGAAUAGUAUUUCUCUAUGUGAUCUCUUCCAUCAUGUGUGGGCAACGAACACUGCAUUGUAUAGAAAGAAAGUGUCAUUUCCAGCUUUUACAUAGGUUUCGAUCUUUUACAUGGAAUACAAUCUGCCUACUUGCUUUGUGUCGCACUACCAACACUCCACCCUUGAAGCUAAACAUUAUGCCACUCAUGAUUGCUUAGUUUAUUUGUUCAAAUACGAAUUUCAUAUGAUUCUAAUGUUCCUACUUCAGUUUUGAAAUGUGUGCCUGCCUGUUAUAGAGACAUAAGGGGUUUGUAUUUCUGUGUGUGGUCUGGUCAGCACGGUUGGGGGGUGAACUUUGCAUAUGCAGGGGUUUAUAGGGAGACACUCUUCGAGUUGAAUCCGCAAUGCAUUCCAUAGAUAAUCUGACUACUUUUUAUGUUUUCAUGAAUCUCAGAUUCUGAACAGCAACAUAAUGAUUAUGAGCUUGCGCGCAUGAAAAGAAUAAAGCAGAACAAUGCCAUGGCUGUCAAACUUGGCAUUAAGGGACUGAAAUCAAGUCUGGAUGCAAUGCAAUGCAAACGCUCUCCACCUACAGAUUCAUGCUCAGAAUAUGAUCCUAACAGUGAUUCUGAGCUAGAGGGAGACCUAAGUCAAUGUAGCUCCCUAGUGGAGGAGUCAGAGGAAGAUGCCCUAUCUUAUUCACCCAUCAAGGUACUUGCUCUGACUUUCCAAGGUUACAUUGCUCGCACAUAUCUUGCAACUGAUGCUUUGCAUUGCUUCUACUUUGUUGAACUGCCAUUAGCUUAGUUUACACAUCGUGUAUGUGAAUACACCCUGCCUAUCCAUUUUCAGUACAUAUUCCAUCUGUCAUCAUACCAUAUUUAUCCAUUCAAAUGUUGUUCUUGUGUAUCAGACGUUCAAAAGGAAGAGGGUGAUUGCUGAUUGUGGAGGAGCACAAGCAAAGUAUUUGGAAAAGGUAGUGGCACCUGAUAAAUAAAAUAGCCCAUUAGGUGUAGUUGCAAUAUCACCUGACCCACAAAACACCCCAACUCUAGCAGACUCUAGCCCUACUACACUGGUCAUUUCUGAUGCCCCAACUCAGCAGACCCCAACUGCAGCAAACAACAUGAUUAUGCCAGUUAACAUAGCACCAGUUGUACAACGCAAAACCCCCAUUCCAGCAAAGAGUACACCAAAUCCAGUUGCCAAAUCCCUUUUCGAACCAGAGAGAGCCCCAAUUGCAGCAAAUCGGACCCCUGUUCCAUUUCUUCCCAGUUUAGAAGACGGAGCUUAUGUUGUUGUCAGGAACUUUGUGCGCAUCUUUCCUUCAUGGAAAGAUUAUACCGCAGACACAGAACAAUUUCUAGUCUUCCUCCGCAACUUACGCGUAAGUAAUGUACUAAUGUUAUUCAUGGUCAUUACUGCAUAUGUUUCUGCUGACAGAAGACACAAGAUUUCAUUCUUUUAAAUAGGCGAGGAGCAAACUGGAUUGUGAUGAUGAGCAAGGGUUGGUUGCGCUUUUUAAGCACUCGUUGAUGAAGUAUCGUUCCUACCUGAGGCAAGCGCACUUCGAUGGCAAGCCUCUGAACGAAAUUUCUGUAAAGUCUCCGGUGCUACAUUUAUCCGACGGUGACUGGAAUAGUCUUGUUACACAUUGGUCUCGGCUGCAGCGUAAGGUACUAUCUAUGAUAUCACAUCAUAAUUUGAACUACAUUUCUGCAUUUGCCUUAAUGUCUCACUUGUACGAAAACUGUUAGCAGAAGAACAUUCGUUCUCAAGGGACCAUAGAAUCUCGCAACUAUACUGCACACUGCAUUGCUCUUGUGAGUACCUCUUGCCCUGUAUGACCAUACUUACUUUCAUAGCUGUUUGAUUAUGUAGCAUCACUGCACAUGUUAGCCUCGUAAUCGUCCAUUUAGUGGACAUUAUAAGAUCCGUAUGGACUCUUACAUAAAUUUAGAAUCAACCCAAUGCUUUUGAAGAGGUUUAGCUCUGCAGUCCUCUUGUAAGGACUGAACGUGGUCUAUCACUGUACUUACAUUAACAGCUACUCCCUCCGUCCCAUAAUAUAAGAACGUUUUGUACAGUACACCAGUGUUCAAAACACUCUUGUAUUAUGGGAAGAGGGAUUGGUUCAUUUUGUAGCAUUCUGUAUCUUAUCUCCCUCGCCCACCAUUUACUAAAAAAGAUAAGAUCUAUAUUUAAUCUUACCAACAAGUAGAAUACACAGACAAUGCCAGUGCAGAAGUGUAGCCCAUUGCUCUUGUCAGUACAUUUUGUCCUGUAACGCUUGUACUUCCAGGGAUUGGUAGUUGAUUAUGUAGCAUCAAUCUGCAUCUUAUCUUCAUUAUCCUCUAUCCCUUCCAGUAUUAUCAUAUCUAUAAUUACUCUCUACAAAAUGUAGAGUACAGGCAAUGCUUAUGAAGAAUAUUAUGUGCUAAAAUUCUUGAGUUAUCCUUCCCUUGACAUGGAGAAGGGCAUUAUAAAGCCGGUGUUAACUGUUAAUGUAAGUCAGUCCUUCUAAAGCCUUUAUCCUCAACUGCUGUUUAAUUUGCUCAUACUCCCUAUCGUUUACUGCUAUUUAGUUUGCUGUUUCUACCAAAAUGCAUGUUCGCAAGAACCGUAAGUUCUAAGUUUUACUUGUAAAACCAAAUUCCUUAUUCAUACCAUGCACAUUACUUAAUACUCCCUAUAUGUAUGCUUGUUUUGUGGAUCUAUAAUCUAGUGUGUGGUGAAGCAGCCCACGUUUGCACCUUGUCAUCUCCUGUUUUAUCUUACUGAUGUGGCUGAUGAUAUGAACAACAUGCCAUGCACAUUAUCCAAAAUAGAUACAAUGAUUUUCUUUGCCCUUCAUCUAUGCUUGUUAUGUUGACAUGGUAAUCCAGUAGUGUGGUGAAGCUCCCCGCAUUAUGAACAAUGCCAAAUUAUGCUAUUGAUAUUUUGAACUUACUCUUUAUUUUCUAAUUUGAAAUUGGAUGGAAUUGACAGCACAGUUAUCAUCUUUGUUUAUACACGUGCAAAACCUGUCAUCUCUUUGCUUUGUUUCAGGGUGAUAUGCCUGAUGGCAUGCACAAGUCUGCUGAAGGUUGUGAGACAAACCCAACAUAUAUUGCAGCAAAGAAGGUAAAACAUCUUGAAGAUAGCGAGACAACCCCAAAGUCUUGUCUUGAUGCAGUGUUCACGUUACUUGAGACUAACAGUCAGACAAGCUCACAGAAUUCGUUGUCUGAAUCAGUUCGAGUUCUUCAGUCCCAAGUUCUAGCAGAAAGGCAUUCUGCAACUCAACUUCGACUUGAAGUCCUAUCUCUAAGAAAGAUUGCGGAGAACACGAAUGAGAACCUCAUUGCUAAACAGCUACACCUGGAAGCUAUGAUCGACAUGCUAGGCCGGUCUCAUAGCCUUGCUCAGCAGCUUGCGCAGCGGUUCCCCCGCGAGGCUAACCUUUCUUGAACUGUCUUGGAAGUGGUCUCGAUUCAGUAUUAUUUUGUUACGCUGCAAUGGUGCCCAGUUUUUGUAAUCUGCUUCUUCGUUGCGCUUUAUGAUCACUGGUGGCGAACAUCGAUGCCCAGUGGAUGUAAUAUACCUUAAAUCCUUUAUUGUAUAGUGUAGGUUUAUUCUUAGUUACUAUGCCGUAAUUUCUUUAUUGUAUAGAGUAGGUUUGUUCUUAAUUCCUACUAGUUACUGCCAUCAUUCGCUAUCUGAAAAAAAUCAGAUGUAGUCGACCGGGCCAAAACAUUCGACUCUAACGAGCCUGGUUUUUAGCGGGCCACAAUUGGGCCGGCCUGCGUCUUUCUUGGGCCCGAAUGAUUGGGGCCUUUUCACACAUUGCGCCAGGCCCAAACUUACACCGGCCUAUAUUUUAGUUGGGCCUUUUGUCGACCCAGCGCUUAGUUUGGCCCAGGUAGCGUUGGGCCAUUAACAGGCUGAAUAUUGUACUGGCCUGUUACGGCCGAGAUGAAACCACGGGCCUUUAGCAGGCCAAAAUGCAUGUUGGGCCUCAAUUUUCACUAGUCGUCGACGGGCCUUCAGCAGGCCGAAAUGUAGACCGGGCCUUUUUGGGCCCAGUUAGCUCACGGGCCGUUACCAGGCCGAAACAUAUCUCGGGCCUUAGUUGGCCCACUGAUAUCAUGGGCCUUUAAGAGGCCGAAAGCUUAGUACAGGCAUCAACGGGCCGAAUUACGCGACAGGCCUUUAACAGGCCCAAAGUCACGUUGGGCUUAACUGUUGCCACCUUUAGCACGGGCCGUUAGUGGGCCCGAUGUCCCGUCGGACCAUAUAUGGCCCAUGGGCAGCACGGGCCAUUCCCAAGCCGAAAGUCACACCGGGCUGAAAUGGGCCCAUGUCUACAUCAGGCCUCUAACAGGCCGAAAGUCACUGGGCUGUAGUUGGGCCCAAAUAUUCGGCGAACAAUUAACGGGCCAGAUCUGGCUUCGGGCCGCAAAUGGGCCCAAAUAUUGGGCGAACAAUUAACGGGCCAGAUCUGGCUUCGGGCCGUAAAUGGGCCCAAAUAUUGGGCGAACAACUAAUGGGCUAGAUCUGGCUUCGGGCCGUAAAUGGGCCUUUAUUAAGCAGGUCGUUAUUGGGCUGGCCCACUAGUACCUGAUUAAGUACUACGGGCCUUGACUGGGCCGGCCUUUUUAACCUAUAUGGGCCUCUGUUGGGCCCAACCACGUGUCGACGUAUCAUAGGCAUGUCUCCUCCAAUGGACGGGCGACAUCUGGCCCACUAACGAGCUGACAGGUGUUCCCUUUGGCCAAUCAGAAUUUUACACGUGGAAAUUUCCCAUUGGUCAGGGCUGUUAACGGGUUAUCGGAUCCAAAAUCCGACCCGAUAGCUUAACGGCGUUCCGUUACGGUGGAUGCCACGUGUCGGUCACCCUUGACGAAAGCACUUCUGUGACACGCGAUUUAUCGUCAUGGAAGUGGACACUUCCGUGAUGAUAAUUUUGGUAAUGUCAUGGAACACUUCUACGACAGCACAGGUAUGACUAUCUUGAUUCUGUCAUAAAAUCGUCAUGGAUGUACAUGCAUGACAAAAAACACGACCUACUGUGACAAACACGUAUCAUCACGGAAGUGUAUUUUUUUGUAGUGGAGCGACUCGAUGAAUUGCGGCUUGAUGUCGGCUAGGAUCAGGUCGUUUGCUCGCUCCACCUGAUCGUUCGACUGGGGGUGCGCAUGGAGGCUAGGUCAAGUUGGAUGCCGGAGACAGAGCAGAAGCGGGCCUACGCGCUCUUGGAGAAGUUGGUGCCAUUGUCGGUGAUGAUGUUGUGGGGAACGUCGUAGUGGACCGUCGUAGUGGACCGUGAUGUCUUGGAUGAACUUGACGGCCAUGGGCCCGUCGAGCUUCUUGAACGGCCUUGCCUCAAUCCACUUGGUGAACUUGUCAACAGCCACCAACAGAUGUGUCAUGCCGCCUCGAGCGGUCUUGAAUGGUCCCACCAUGCCGAGGCCCCGGACGGUAAAGGGCCAUGUGAUGGGGAUAGUCUCGAGAGCCACAGUCGGCUGGUGGUUGCGCAUACUGAAGUGUUGGCAGCCCUUGCACUUGAGGACCAGCUACUCAACAUCCUUCAGGGCCCUGGGCCAGUAAAGACCGUGGCGGAAUGCUUUGGCCAGGAGGGCCCUUGAGGUGGCGUGGUGCCCGCACUCGCCCUGGUGGAUGUCGCAUAAGAUCUUGAGCCCCUUGUCCAGCUCGACGCAGCGCUGGAAAACGCUGGUUGUGCUAUGCUUGACGAGCUUGCGGUUCAUGAUGUUGUAGGCGGAGGCCCAGCGUUCCACUUGUCGGAUCGCGGCUUCGUCGUCGGGGAGUCCCCGCUCACCAAAAAGGUGACUAUUGGCUGCACCCAGUAUGGUCCCUCCACCACCGUGAGGACAGCAGCUUGAACGAGGUCUAGAGCAGCAGUCCCCGAGCCAGAGCCGGCAGCCCCCAGGGCUAGUUCGGGGCCGGCAGGCCCUGGGACCUGGACGACAGUCCUCGAGCCAGAGCCGGGAGCCCUCAAGCCGGGUGUGGGAGGCGGCAGGUCGGCCGGGAUGAAGAUGGACUCCGAAUCAGGAGACAACUUGAUGGAGGGCUCGCGCAGGUGCUCAAGGGAGACGCCAAUUGGGAUGGCCUGCCGGCUAGAACCUAGCUUGGCCAGCAUGCCGGCCACCUCGUUCUCGGCCCGAGGGACAUGGAGGAAUUCACAGCCGUCGAAGCCACCGGUCAUCUGUUGGACCAGGUUGGACCAGGAAGCAGUAGCUUGCCAUCUUGGCGUCCCUGGCGUCCCAUUCGCGAGAGACUUGCUGCAUCACCAGGUUGGAGUCGCCGUAGCAUAGGAUGCGUCGGGUGCCGAUCUCUUUGGCCACCCGGAGGCCGUGAACCAUGCCUUCAUACUCGGCAACGUUGUUGGAGGCAGCGAAGUGGAUGUGCAGCGCGUACCGCAGUCGGUCGCCCUUGGGGGAGGAGAGCACGAUACCGGCUCCCAAGCCAGUGCGCAUCUUUGAGUCGUCGAAGUGCAUGCGCCAGUGCGUCGAGUCGGGAGCCGACGGAAAAUACUGGGUCUUCGCCCAGUCAAUGAGGAAGUCAGCCAAGGCCUGGGACUUGAUGGCGGUGUGGGGCUCGUAGAGGAUUGUGUGGUUGGCUAGCUCGAUGGCCCACUUGGCCACCUGGCCGGAUGCAUCACGGCAGCCCAUGAUUUCGCCAAGGGGAGCCGUGCUCACCACGGUAAUGGUGUGGUCCUGGAAGUAUUGCUUCAACUUCUUGGUGGCAAGGUACAAGUCGUAGCACAUCUUCUGGUAGUGGGGUAGUUCUGCUUGGAGAGGGAGAGGACCUCGCUCAGGUAGUACACAGGGCACUGGACCGGCUACGCCUUGCCCUCCUCUCGGAGCUCCACCACCAGCAGCACCACGCUGACCACGCGGGAGGUUGCCGCGAUGUACAUCAGCAAGGGCUCCUUCUUAGCCGGCGUGGGAAGGAUGGGUGCGGUGGAGAGCAUGCGCUUGAGGUCAUGGAAGGCCUCAUCCGCCUGGUCAGUCCAGUCGAACACCAGCGUCUUCUUCAUUAGCUGAUAAAGGGGCAGGGCCCUCUCCCCCAGUCGGCUGACGAACCAGCUAAGAGAGGCCAAGCAGCGGUGAACUUUUGGACAUCGCGCAGCUGAGCAGGCUUGCUCAUGCGCUCGAUCGCCUUGAUCUUCUUCGGGUUGGCCUCGAUGUUGUGGCUCCAAGACGAGGAAACCAAGGAGUUGGCCAGCUAGCACGCCGAAGAUGCACUUCUCUAGGUUGAGCUUGAUCUGGAACCGAUGCAGGUUGGCCAUCAUCUCCUUGAGGUCAGUUAGGAGGGUGAGGUGCUGCUUAGUCUUCACCAUGCCAUAGAGAAAACCGAUACUGCCUGUGCGACGGAUUUGAUGAGCACUUCUUUUCCUCCCGAGGAUAAAAUCUUUUCCAUCCACCCUUUCACCUUGUUCCAAACUCUUUCCUUAAGGUAUCUGAAUGCCCUGUUUUUGCUGCUUCCAACAUCUGUAGGCAUACCAAAAUAUUUUUCAGACAAACUUUCAUUUUGAACAUUAAGGAUAUUUUUCAUACCAUCUUUCACUUCCUGCAUGCAUCCCUUACUGAAGAAAAUCGAGCACUUCGAUAAAUUGAUUUUCUGCCUAGAUGCAUAGGUUUCCAACAAUGAAGAUACCAGAGUAGCACCCUCACUACUAGCCUUGACGGACAGCGGGCUGUCAUCGGUGAAAAGUAAAUGGCUUACUAGCGGAGCCAUUUCUGCCACUUUGAUUCCAUUGAUUGGCGAUGACUAAUUCUGACUUUUAAGGAGGCACGAAAGGCCCUCUACUUCCAACAAGAAUAGGUAAGGUGCUAUCGGAUCCCCCUGCCGAAUUCCCCUUGUAGGUGUGAAUUGCUCCAGUUUCUUCCCAUUAAACAAAACUGAGAACUUAACUGAGCUCACCAUCCUCAUUAUUGUAUUAACCCAAACUGGUGCAAAACCCAAUUUGGUCAUUAUAGCACGCAAAUAUUCCCACUCCAGGCGAUCAUAAGCCUUCAUCAUAUCGAGUUUCAAAGCACAUAAACCAUUAUUCUUUGACUUAUCAUGUUUCAUAAAAUGGAGCCACUGCUCGUAGGCCGAGAUGAUGUUAUCAGUAAUGAGCCUCCCCCCAACAAAGGCCGACUGCUCCUCGGAUAUGAUCUCUGGAAGGAAGAUUUUUAAUCUAUGUGCCAAAACCUUAGAAGCAAUCUUAUAGAGCACAUUGUAAAGGCUUAUAGGGCGGAACUGUGUCAGAAGAGUUGGGUUCGUUACCUUAGGGAUAAGGACCAGAAUUGUAUCAUUCAACUCAUCCACUUCUUCUUCGCCUCUUAGGAUUUUUUAAGAUAAUCAAAGUAAUCUCGUCUCCGCACAUGUCCAAGUGCCUUUGAAAGAAGUGUGCGGGGUAACCAUCUGACCCUGGCGCCUUAGUAGAAGCCAUUUGAAAGAGUGACGUCUUCACUUCCUCCUUAGUAUAUGCCGAAGUCAGCUUUUGAUUCAUCUCAUCGGUCACCCUACAAGGAACAACAUCGAUAACCCUGUCCAUGUUUGAUGUACCCUCUGAAGUGGAAAGGCCACGAUAAAACGUCGUAACCAUACUCUCCAUCUCAUCUGCGUCCGCUGUUGUGGUGCCAUCUUCCCUUAGAAGGGUUUUUAUUUUGUUCUUCAGACGCCGUCUGUUGGCGUGCAAGUGAAAAAAAAUGGUGUUUUUGUCUCCUGCCGCCAGCCAGGUUAUGCGUGCCCUCUACCGCCACAUCACUUCUUCCCUAUGAUACAACUCGACCAAACGAUCCUUGAUUUUUACUUCUAUUCGAGUCCGUUCUAUCCUGCCAGGAUCCGCUUGAAGCCCUUCCAGCUCCAAGUUCAGCCGCUUAAUCUCGGCCUUGACAUUACCAAAUGUGGAUUUGUCCCAUCAUGUAAGGCCCUUUGAAAGAGCAUUAAUUUUCGCACGCGGACCUACAACAAUAGUUGCGCCAGGUCCUUGCCAGUGCUGUUGUAUUUCCUCCUGAAAGCCUUCAUGGGACUCCCACAUGAGCUCAUAUCUGAACAGUUUAUGAUGGCCCUGUUGCACAAUCUACUGUGGACAGGUGGACAGGAGUAUCGGACUAUGAUCGGAUGUGGCUGCCACUUUGUGUAUGAGCUCAGCUUGCGGAUGUAGGCUGCACCACUCACCGCAUGCUAAUGCUCUAUCGAGACAUACUCUUGUAUAUGUGCCUCCUAUAACUCUCUUCUCAAAAGUCCACUUCGGUCCCGAGAAGCCUAGGUCUGUCAGCCCGCAAACAUCAAUAGCUUCCCGAAAACCAAGCACAUGCGUCAUACUGCGAUGGUUGGCACCGUCGUACUCAUCUAGCCUUAAGACUUCAUUAAAAUUCCCAGUACACAUCCAUGGUCGAUCACUCUCCGAAGAUAGAGAGCGUAACAGGUCCCAUGUCCUUCCUCUAUCUCCGACCUUGGCUUCUCGAUAAACGACUGUCAACCUCCACUGCGUCUCACCCGUCAGAGUAACCAAAAGUUUCCAACUUUAUUGCAUUAUUCCAGAAAAUACUUUAUUGCAUUAUUUCAGAAAAUACCAAGACCACCACUUAUACGAGAGCUACUAACAGCAUAAGAAUUAUCAUAGCCUAGUGUACUUGCUAAGCUUUCUACUCAAACUUCUGACAGCUGAGUUUCUACUAUGCAAAACACCGUCGGAGCAAAUUGCCUCGCGAAGCCACGAAGCUCUCGAACUGUCUCGGGUUUGCCUGCCCUGUGAUAGUUCCAACAGAAAAUACUCAUUGAGCCCAGCGGCGCUCCUCGUGGGAGCCUGCCAACUCGCUCUGUGAGUUCGUCGUUUUCUUGGGUGACGUCCCCUUCUUUGGUUUCUUCCUCUCACGAGGUGUGAGGUAUGCAGGGGGUGGAGGCGGAACCGAGCCCGUGUUCCCCUGCUCAGCGACUUGUUAUGGCAUAACCUGUGCAUGCACGUCCCCAUGUUUCUCUUCCAUGUCCGUAGCAGGUGCAUCGUCAGAGAGAUCAAGCUUUUUCCUUGCUGAUGGUUCUGAUUGUCCCGGCUGCUGCGGCCGGUCAUCUUUCUUCUCCACUGGGUCAGCUUUCAAGGGGCUUUCAGCAGUAUCAUGCAGGUCUUCCUCCUGCAGUCCCGCCUCCACGUCUUCCACCCCUAGCUUUCCCCAUGCGUGUUGUUCCACCUCUGAUCGAAGUGGAGUUGUUGUUGCUGGCCGAACUGAUUAGACGGGAAGCUCCUCCUUGUGGCCAACAUCCAUUCCCCGUAUUCAAUUUCUUCAGGACCAUGGAUGCCAUUGCCGCACUCCUCUAGAAUAUGUCCCAUAAUACUGCAGACCUCACAGAAGUAUGCGAUUUUCUCGUAUUUAACUGGAAGAAGUAACCUUUCUUCUCCUUUUAUGUUCAGAGGAGUAAAACGAACCAGAGGUUCAGCAACCUUGAUCUUUGCGCGCGCACGCACACAGUUGCCCUCAAACACACUAGAAGGAUUCAUCUCAACACUCUUAACCUGGUCGAUUCUCCGUGCUAGCUGAUCCAGGAUAGGCUCCUUACGAUAAAGCUCUGUGGUGUCAUGGAUAUGUGCCCACACGUGCACACGAUCAAGCUCGACCGCAUUCGGUUUACCUCUUCCAUCAUAUUCCUCGAUGAUCACCAUGAGACCUCUGAAGAUCCAAGGACCUUGGUGCAUAACUCUAUUCCAGUCACCAACACAAAACAUCUGAAUGACAAAGAGGUUGCCAUCGGCCUUGCGGAUCUCAGGGUCAUAAGCCAAACGCCAGAUGAACUUCAUCAUGGCCUUGAAAGAUUCCGCACUAAAGGGUUUCUUAGUGUUGACCUUAGCAACCGCAAGCCAGCGGGCCUCUUUAGCAAAUUGGGAGAUUUACUCAUCCCCGACGAUCACAUCGUCUAGUUCAGAUUCCUUGAGCUUCAUAUUCUUCAUCGCCGUCUCCAAAUCGACUGCGGUUUUUCCCUCCCUUCUGCCCCCUAACGAUCCUCCAGGGACUCCGAAGGAUGAGGAAGCUGCCAUCAUUGUCGAUCCAAAACCCUAACCCCCGCACGCCGUUCCCGACGGAGGGGAAGACCAGGUCAGGGGAUGGGAGGAGUACAGGAAGACCACAACGGCGAAGUAGAGUCGCCGGAGUAGAAAACCCUAGGCGGGGCCGCUCGCAAGCGUUUGUUUUUUACUUGUCGCGAACUUACACUGCACAUUCUGGAUUAGAAGAUCUGGGCCGGCGUAACACUAUAGCCCAUGACGGCCACACAUGGUCAAUUGGAUUUCACGCACCUAAAAAAAUCCCCUCAAAAAACCUCAAUAAAAAAAGCAAGCAGAGCUGUUUCUCUCUCAAAAAAAGCAGAAAUGUUGGGGAGCUUCAGCGAGUUCUGAAUUACUAUUUCCAUAGUUAAAUACUGCAAUGUACAUCUCACGCGGUUAGUAGUACAUAAUACAACAUGCCCCCUCUUGGUAGGGGUCAGUCCCUUGCAUUCUCACAAUGUCAUCACAGGGCUUAGUAGUGAAAUAACUUAACGGCCAUUCAAAUUUACUAACCAAACAUAACAAUAUGCAAAAGACUUCAACAUCUAAAGCCAGGAGCACAAACGUAUUUUGAACUAGUAUUGUCCAUAUGGCAGCUUGAACUGCACCUGCAUCUCAACCCUCCAAGUGCCGCCCAGACAGAAUCAGGUUUUGUGGAGUUGGUUGCAGUAAUUCUGCCAUCUACCAAGACAUUUCUGCAAGCAAACAAAUUUGCGU